UAGAAGAAUCCAAGCCUCCGCUCCUAUCAAUCGAUCCAUCCAUCAACUAGCGUGCGCAGUAGAACAAUCCCCGAGUUCUUUGGUUCUUGUUAGUUGGCCGUGGUUACGGUCCUAGAGUAGCUUGCUAGCCUGGCUAAUGUAAUUCAUUCGUCUAAUUUCCAGUAGCCAUAUCUAGCUAAUCUGGUGGGCGUGCAUCAUGUGAAGGGCUGCAAAACUCCCAGCAACCUCUCUGUCAAUGAUGGCGGGGCACCUCCGCGUUAAUGCGCAGGCCAGUAAAUGGAAAUCUUGAACGCGCCAGCUCCUCCUUCCUGAUUAAGUUUUUUUGAGUAAUCCUUCUUGAUUAAGUAUUUUUUGAGAUAAUCCUUCUAGAUUAAGUAAGAUGGUGUAAUUAAUUAACGCACGGCUGGGACCGACCAUCAUGGCGAUCGAGUGAUAAAAUGCAGUCCCGGCCCACUGCCCAGUGACUAGCGUACCCAUCUGUUUCUCAAAAAAAAAGAGUACAUUGACUCGUCUCGAUCGAUCCCGCAAGGCUGUUCAACCUGAGCUGUUUUCUUUCCUUUUCUGGCGAAGGUUACAGUAACCUGUACUGAUAAGCAGUAUAGCAGCCACAGAAUCUCCGUCGCUGCGUGUACUACAGCGGUAGCUGCCACAAAUCGAUGGUGACGCCCACAGGUUUUGGCCGGCACUGCAGAAGCAGCCGGCCGGCGCGCGGCCCGUCCGUCCGUUGGUUAACUGUUCCUUUCGCGGGCAAUCACGUACUACGUGGUACGAGUAAAAUCCCCGCGAUUCGAUCUGCACGGUUGCACACUAGCCGGCCGGCCGGCCGUCCAAUCUGAACGCGCAAGCGAUCCAGACCCUUCUGUUCAGUGUUCACUUUGUAACCGGAGUCUGUCAUGACAAUUCAUCAUCAGUUGCCAAAGGGGGAAGGUUAAUUUGUGCAUGCAAGCCAUGCGCGCCGCAUUUAUUUGGUGCCUAAUCAGGGAUCACAGCACAUGGAAAACACGAUUUAUUCAACGACAAGUUCAGAGGGGAAGGGAAGGGCAGGCAAAGUAGCGAGCGAAGAAGGAAGGUAGAGGCCCGUUCAACUUUGCCCGCCCGGCACGUGUGUACGCAAGAAAUAAAAUACAGCAAGCUAAUUCUCCAUGCUUCUAUAGGAAAAUGAGAACAUAUCACGUAUUGCUAUGCAGAUUCAUGCAUCGCGUGGUAGGGCAUGCCUGCUGAUUCCGGCCGAGGCGGCGGCGCAACGCGCACGCGAGGAAAUUGCGCCGCAGGAAUAAUAGGCGACCUGAUCGAGCUGCUCGGUCGUGCACUCGUGCAUCUGUACGACUGUACCCAAAUCGAUGUCGCUGUUAUCUGCUGAUGUGAUUUUACUACAGACAGUCUACAGUGGUGGUGUCGAUAUCGGUCUUAGCCACAGGCUCCAGGACAGGCAAGAAGCUUCCACGCACACACGAAAGCUCCAUGUGAAGCAGAAAAAAGAACGCGAGGGAUGAGUACUACUCCCUCCAUUUCAAAAUAAAUGACUCGACUUUGUAGUAAUUUUAGUAUAAAGUUAGUAUAAAAUUGGGUCAUCUAUUUUAAAACGGAGGGAGUACGUGCGUGAGAUCUGAUCAGGAAGCUGCUGAUUGGCUUGACCUUGACCGACUUAGGACGAACUCAUCCGAAAAACUGAAAGCGACAACAGAGGACGUCACUCGGAUUGCAACUGCCGGAAACGGAAAGGCCAAGACCGGAGGUUGGGGUCACCGCCACACGUCGUUGAAUCUAUUUAUGCGUCGUUGCACCCACUGUGGGAAGCGUAGGUCCCCGGAAAUUUACACGGGCAAAGAAGAUUUGCGUAUUAAAAUUAGGCUGGUCGUAAGGAGAGUAUUAUAUGUAGUAUCAUGCAUGCCAACUAAGCAAAUUUGUUAAAAUGACAUACAAUUAAAUGAAGAAAGAGAGGGUUGAGUAUCAUAUCAUGAUACCGUAUUAUAUUAAAUGUUGUGCUACUAUGUGUCAUGCAUGGUAAUAAAUGGAGUCAUCCAUGAUGUUAACAUAUGAUACUAUGCACUACGGAUGUGGUAUCAUACACUAGUAUCAUAUGCAUGAUACUAAUAUAUUACUCACCAUUACGACCAACCUUAUGAAAAAGAUCGGUCACACUGCCCAAGUUGCAUGUUCGAACCCUGUCACUCAAACUUGCUUAUUUUGGUUGGAGUCAUUAUUCUUUACGAAGAAAUUAGGUUCAUGCCACUCCGUGCCGUCUUCUUAACAACUAUACUUGCAAGACACAUUAAAAACUACACUCACAAAAAAUUUUAAAAAGGCAGCAUUUCGCAGAUGAAUUUUGGUGAAGCAUACGCUUAUUUCUUUGAGAAACACACUGCGAACACAGACGUUCACAAACACGUACAUACACUCACCAGUCACCCCUAUAAAUAACUGGCUUCCUCGUGUAACAGAAGUGUGCUUGAAACCACGGUAGAGACGCGUGUGAUAGUGUGAGGCACAUGCACUUGCAGUAUGGAACUCUUAAGAGGAUAGCAAAAUGGCCAACACGAUGAGUCUGCCACUAGGAAAUGGGAUGCAUUGGAAAAUUUUGUUGGAGUUCCAUGGAAGUUCCAUGGAAGUUACAAGUACGAUGGCACAAGCACUCAGUCGCACUAGAAAACCAAGCGGUACAUGAAUUCACAACUUUGCUUAAGAUAGGACCGUGGCUCUUCAAGAUUCCCAAUGCGGGAGACAUAUCAGCAAGUCAUGGUUGGCUCUAAAACGCUUAUACAAGUUGAGCAGUAGCAUAGUGACUUGCUUUCACGAAAUAGGGUUCCCCGCUUUAGAUUAUAAAGCAACCACCACAACAACAUCCGGCAACCGCGGCCAACAUAAAGGUCCAGCCAAGGAAAACGAAAGUAAGUUGCCCCAAGGGCAUUACAGAAGUGCAACACAGAACGGAGCGCUGGGGGCACAGCCAAACAACCCCAAAAUAUGGAUCAAAGUCUAACUAAUCCGGCUCAGGUGGUGGAGGUGGGAGCGGUGACGCCAAUGCUCCGGCGGUGGUGCGUAGAGCCAAAAUGAUCCUGUCGAUGAAGUCCCGAUCACAUCGCUUGCUGAGCGGUCUCCAUAGUUGUAAGAAGCCACACAGUUUGUAGAUAGAAUCAGUCGCACGCGUUGGAAUCACAUGCUCAAUCACGAGCUUAUUGCGAGUCGUCCACAAGGUCCACGCCAUUGACCCCAAUACUACCCACAGACUAGGGCGCGUCCUGGCCUCUCGGCUUAGGACCGCCUGGAACAAAUCAGGGAGGUUAUCAUGGGCCCAAUCACCACCAAUCACGUCCCUGAUGCAGCUCCAGAGGAAGACUGCCAUCGGACAUCGAAAGAAAAUAUGGGUGGAAUCUUCAGGUAUGUGACAUAGGGGGCAUAGACCAUCCCCGGGGCCAUUCCUCUUUCUAACUUCCGUACCCGAAGGUAAACGGCCUCGCGCCCAUUGCCAUAGAAAGAUGCGAAUCUUUAACGGUAGCUUAAUUUCCCAAAGGAGGGUCAUUUCGGUUGGACCCGGGGUAGCUAGCAAAGCGUGAUAUAGGGAUUUGGUAGAAAACCUCCCACUUGGUUCGAGGGACCAAGAUAUCGAAUCUUCCUCCAUUGAGGGGGAGUGUAGAGGAAUACAUUGGAGCAUCUCGUCCCAUUGGUCCCGUUCUAACGGGCCAAAAGUACGGCGGAAAGCCACAACCCCCAAGUCAGUGAGCGCCGCGUGCACGGAGACUUGCGGUCGGACACAAAUGGUAAAUAGCGCGUUGAAACGUUGGGCGAAUGGUCUAUCACCCGACCAACGGUCAAGCCAGAACAGGGUGUUGGUACCCGUCCCUACCGAGAUGGACGAUCCAAUCCGUAGGACCGACAUUAGCUGGAUGACCGAUUGCCAAAACUGGGAGCCACUCGUCCGGGAGGCGAAGGCAAGGGGUUGUCCACGCAAGUACUUUGCGCGGAUGAUCUGGAGCCAUAGGACCCCAUCCCCUGCCUCAAUGCGCCAUAGUCAUUUGGAGAGUAGGGCUAUGUUCAUCCGCUUGGACGAGAUGACUCCCAAACUGCCUUGGUCCUUGGGCUUGCAAACCUCGGACCACUUCACCAUGUGAUAUUUUUGUCGAUUGUCUGGUCCCGCCCAGAAGAACCGAGACAAGUAUUUGGCUACUUCCUGGUGAAGGGAUUCAUGCAGACUAUAGAAUCCCAUCAAGACAUAAGCAAGCUAACCAAGGAGGAGUUCAUAAACACGACCCGGGCCGCCUUGGAUAGCCACCGCCCUUGCCAAGGCUCGACCCUGUGCUGAAGCUUGGACACCGUGGGGCGAAGAUCCUUCGCCUGGAGGCGGGAAUCGCUAACUAGGAGGCCAAGAUAGGAGGUCGGAAACGAUCCUAGACGGCAGUUCAGCAUAUUGGCUAUGCGCCUGGAUUCCUCCCGGAGUAUCCUAGCACCAUUACUUCUCUUUUAGCAAAGUUUAUUGUCAGGCCCGACAUCUCUUGAAAACACAAGAGUAAGAACUUCAGAUUCUAGACGUCAGUGUCCGAGCCUUCAACCAUGAGGAUGGUGUCGUCUGCAUAUUGGAGAUGAGUAAUGCCGCCGUCACCGACUAGGUGCGGGCAGAUCCCCUUGAUAUGGCCAGCCCUCCGUGCUUUGUCCAAGAUUGUAGCAAGUGCAUCCACAAUCAAGUUAAAUAGGAAGGGGGACAGGGGGUCUCCUUGGUGCAUCCCCUGGGCAGUGCGGAAGUAAGAGCCAACUUCCCCGUUGAUGUUCACUGCCGUGCGGCCAGACAUAACCAACUGCAUCAACCUAGCUAUCCAAUAUGGGUUAAACCCAAGCUUCUCCAUGACCUCCCGGAGAAAGAACCAAUGGACCGUAUCAUAGGCCUUAUGGAAGUCAAUCUUGAAGAAAACAGCACGGAGAUGCUUUCUUUUGACCUCAUGGAGGAUCUCGUGAAGCACUAGAACCCCGUCAAGUAUGAAUCGUCCCUUCGUGAACGCCGAUUGGUUCGAGUGAUGGAUCCUUGGAGCCAAGAGAGCCGCCCUAGCUAGUGGCGUACCCCUUGGCUAGAAUCCUAAAGAUCACGUUAAUGACCGUGAUCGGGCGGAACUGACGAAUAUUCGAUGCCCCCUGGACUUUGGGGAUCAAAGAUAUGAUCCCAUAGUUAAGACGGGAUACAUCAAGGGUCCCCCUCGAGAAUUCCCGAAAUAACGCCAUAAUCUCACCCUUGACGGUGGGCUAGAAAACCUGAAAAAACCGGACCGGGAGCCCGUCCGGACCCGGAGCAGAGGCUGGGUUCAUGGACUUGACAAUGGCCUCCACCUCCGAUUCUUCAAAGGGGUUAAGAAGAGAUUGGUUUUCUUCAGGGGAGACGCGGAGAUGCUCGUCCCAAAAGUUCUCAGCUAGAGCAAGGCCCCCUCGAGGACGAGCGGAAAACAGGGUUAUAUAGAACCCAUCAACAUGAGCCCGGAUCUCGUCCGGGUCCUGUAACAGCUGCUCCCCAUCCCAAAGGAUGGGGAUGGUGCAUCGUCGCCUACGGCCAUUGGCAAUGGCCUGAAAAUAAGCCGUGUUGGCAUCGCCAAAGAGGAUCCAAUUAGCAGAGCCACGCUGGCGCCAGUAUUCUUCCUCUUUGGCAUAGAUGUCAGUGAGGGUAUCUUCUAGGCUAUAGCGAAGAGACCAUUCCUCAGAAGAGAGACCUGGGCCGUCAGCGCGCAUGUCAAGCGCUUGGAUCUCCAUGAGUAGGGCCUGCUUCUGGACCCGCAGGACCCAUCCAAUAUUUGCGCCCCAGCCCUUCAUAAAUUGUCUGGAGCGUUUGGCCAAGUGAUGCCAAUCGUCCAUGACUGACAUGGCCCGGUGAGGUUCGGCACGGGCCGCCAUCCAAUGGUCUCGAACCGCCGCAAUGAAUCCCGGAUGGCGAAGCCAGAACGCCUCAAACCGAAAGCGGGGAGGAGGUCGGGGCCGCUCAUCCAUGGAUGACAGUAAGAGGGGUACAUGGUCGGAUCCAAUCCGCGUGAUGGCCUGGAAAGUAGCUAAGGGGAACCGAAGUUCCCAUUCAGGGGAUACAAAUACCCGGUCCAGGACACUUCGGGUCGGGUUCACCUGUUUAUUAGUCCAGGUGAAUCAGGCUGCGACCCUAUCUAAUUCCCGGAGCUCGAGGUCGGCAAUUCGGUCAUUAAAGCAUUGCAUGCCUGACUGAUCAACCUGACCAUUAUUCUUGUCAGCUGCGGAACGAAGAAGGUUGAAGUCACCCCCAAUGAUCACUGGGACCGUAGCCGCCCUAAUCUUGGCGUGCAAUUUAGCGAGGAACGCGGUGGAGCGACUAUGGUCAGCCGGGCCAUAGACGACAAUCACCUCCCAUUUGAAGUUAACUGCCCUCUCCCACACUUCCAUACUCACGAAGAACUCUCCGCGGUCCAUGGAGCCAACCUCAAAGGUGGCAUCCUUCGCCCUGAGAAGGAUGCCACUGGAGUGUCCCGCCACUCCACUAGAUGGCAACCAGUGCCAUGAAAACAAGUGUCAGCUCAAUCGAUCGAGUUCGGAGAGAGAGAACUCGGUCCUCAUCGUUUCUUGGAUCGCCACUAUAUCAAUAUUCUCCUCGCGCAUGUAAUCCACUAGUUGGCGUCGACGGCCAUCAUGGCCGAAGCCGCGAGGGUUCCAGAAUAGUACCGCAUACUACUCCUCUAGGGGGUCCACGCUGGACCCCACUGCCAUGGACGCACUAAGUGCCCGACGAAGUUGAGCCGUGCGAGAGCGUGUACGGCCCGGAACCUCUACCGUGGCAGCUGCCGACCUGUCACCCCUCCCCACGGCCUGUGUGAUGGGUUUCACGGCAGCCUCGGUAGCGGCAGCCUCGUGAGCCCUAGCGGCUGCAAGGUGGCCAUCAAGGAUCUCUUUAGCCUUGAUGGCCGCGAUCUGUUCGAGGGCGGGGCCCUUCUCACCACGGAAGACAAUCGCAGAGUCAUUGGCAAGAAGGGCCAGAUGGCCUAAGGGAACGGUAGCUAGAGCUGAGAAGGAAUCCAUCGGCUCCUCCUCAGCCGGAAUCCCCCCCAUCAGUUGCUUCAUCUAUAAGCAGGCAAUCAACAGCCGAAAGGACAGGGGGUUUGGGACGGACCUGAGUUCAGGUUGCGAGCCGCAGCCCGGCAAGCGGCCUUCUCGACUGCGUUGGGGGAUGCACCAGUUGCCCGCGCAGCCAAGUCGAUCCGCACGCUCUUCCGAGUGAUCGUCGCCGGAGAAGAGGCCGAAUGCGGCCGACCCUUGCCCUUCGAAGGACGAGGAGGCACCGGGGGCGGAGCUGCUCAGUCCCGGUCACAGGAGAGGCGUCCCCCGCCCCAGCCCGCGGCGAAGUCGGAGGCGAUGGUGCCUGGGCAAGAGCAGGUGAAGCCAGACGCGGGGAGGAGGGGGCAGACUUCCAGGCUGACAUCGCUCGCACCGCUGACCGUCUCCGACUCCGAAGCGGCCACCGGGGUGCCAAGGAGCAAAGAGAGGGCCGCGCUGGGGCGAAGCGGUGAAUCAGCCUCGAGCAUGGCGUUGAGAGCCCGAGCAUCCGCAUCAUCCGCCGGGUCUUGAGUAGUAGUAUCAUGGGCUAGAGAGUGACUCGCUUUCAGGCUGGCCUAAUGAGGGCCCAAUGAAUAUCUCUCUGUUCUGAUAACUGUUCGAUUAAGGAUCAUUCUCAAGUGAGAUCUUAAAAGGAUAAAUGGAUGGGCAAUAUCUCAUUCAAACACCAAUAUCCUUGUUUCACUAGGUGUUGGAUUCGUGUCCACCAGUUUUGCGGUCCAAGGAGACCUUAUUGAACAAAAGUUGCUGGCUUAGAAUCAUCUGUGUCACACUGGAUUCGUGGCCACCAGUUUUGCGGUCCAAGGACUCCUUAUAGAAUUUGUUUAGGUAGUUUUUUUAACAAACCAAUAUGUACAGUGUUAAUGCAUUCUAUGCUCCAAUUCAAAUAAAAUAUUAUGGUUAAAAUUAUAUUAAAACAAUGUUUUACUGGGGUACUUUUGCGGUCACCGCCACGCGUCGUUGAAUCUACUUCUGCAUCAUUGCACCCAACCACCGGAAGCGUAGGUCCCCUGAAAUUUACACCGACAAUGAAGAUUUGUGUACUAAAAUUAUGGAAAAAGUCGGUUUUUGCCACUGCCCAAGUUGCAUGUUCGAAUCCUGUCACUCAAACUUGCUUAUUUUGGUCAGCGUCAUUAAUGUUUACGAAGAAAUUAGGUUAAUGCCACUCCGUGUUGUCUCCUUAACAACAACUAUACUUGCAAGACCCAUUAAAAACUACACUCGCAAAAAAAUAAAUUAAAAAGGCAGCAUCUCGCAGAUGAAUUCUGGUGAAGCAUACGCUUAUUUGUUUGAGAAACACACUACAAACGCAUAAGUUCAUAAACACGUACAUACACUCACACCUAUAGAUAAUUGGCUUCCUCGUGUAAUAGAAGCGUGCUUGAAACCACGGCACAGACGUGUGAUAGGUGCAUCCACUUGCAGUAUGGAAGUCUAAGAGGAUAGUAAAAAUGGCCAACAUGACGAGUCUGCUAGUAGGAUAAAAAGGUGCGGUUUAUUCAUUUUUUUNNNNNNNNNNNNNNNNNNNNNNNNNNNNNNNNNNNNNNNNNNNNNNNNNNNNNNNNNNNNNNNNNNNNNNNNNNNNNNNNNNNNNNNNNNNNNNNNNNNNNNNNNNNNNNNNNNNNNNNNNNNNNNNNNNNNNNNNNNNNNNNNNNNNNNNNNNNNNNNNNNNNNNNNNNNNNNNNNNNNNNNNNNNNNNNNGAAGGCUCCCCACCUGAAUAUAUUUCAAACAUAGCAGAAGAGUACAGAACUCACAUGUUUUGUGAGGAGAGGAAGUCACGCCACAGCCCGGUGAAUUUACUUUGUCUACAUCAUGUCAUCUUGCUUAAGGCGUUACUUCGUUUUUAUGAACAUAAUACUCUAGAUGCAUGCUGGAUAGCGGUCGAUGUGUGGAGUAAUGGUAGUAGAUACACGCAGGAGUCGGUCUACUUGUCUCGGACAUGAUGCCUAUAUACAUUAUCAUUGCCUUAGGUAUCGUCAUGAUUAUUCAUUUUUUUAUCAAUUGUCCAACAGUAAUUUGUUUACCCACCGUAUACUAUUUUCAAGAGAGAAGCUUCUAGUGAAAACUAUGGCACCUGGGUCUACUUUUUUCAUAUAUUAAAAUUCAAAAUACCUUGCUGCAAUUUUUCUUUACUUUACUUUAUUUUGUAUUUUAUUUAUCUAUCUAUCACUACAAGAUUUAAUCCUUGCAAUUAACUGCCAAGGGAUUGACAACCCCUUGUUGUGUUGGGUGCAAGUAUUUGUUAUUUUGUGUUUAGGUGCUGCUAACGAGUUGUUGCGUGAUUCUCCUACUGGAUUGAUAACCUUGAUUUCUAACUGGCGGAAAUAUUUAUCUCUAUUGUACUGCAUCAUCCUCUCCUCUUCGGGGAAAUCCCAAAGCAACUCACAAGUAGCACUUAUCGAACUUUCCGGUGAGCCUGAAAGUUGUCAUUAUGAUCACCUUAUUACAGAUGACGUUUGAGCAACCCGAAAGCCCACCGUCUGGUAGGAAGUGACCGAGACACUUUCCUAACCCGAGGAACUAAUACACAUUCUAAAACUCCGUGUUAUAGCAGAUAAUUUCAGAUGAUGUAAUCACAUAUUAUAACAGACAAGUAUUGGGUCGAUUCAAUAUGAUCGUUCUUCUAACGUCAUACCCUCAAUGUUGCUUUAGGACUAUCGUUACACUUAACAAUAUCCUAAGAUCCAGAAAACGUGAUCACCAACAACACUUGAGCCGGUCUUAGAGGCGAGACUGGGAACCUAUUGUUUACUGUUUAUCAUCCCACAUGUGCAUAUGAGUUUUCCACUGAAUCACAUAUUUCAGGAUCAUAGCAGUAAUAGCAUGAAAUAAAAACUCUUAACUAUGAAUAAUGGAAAUAUAAUAAUACAAUAUUAUUUCCUCUAGGGCAUAUUUCCAACAUGUGUUUCCCUCCAGUAUCUGCAUUUUGCUAGGACUUUUGGAGACACUUUAGUGCAUUCAAUUGAAAAAGGCGUCGAGGACUGUAUAUUCAUGGUAUAUACGUAGUAAAGAUGUGGAAUUAAAAUGAAUAAUACAUGGUCCAUGAUCAAACCCAAAGAAUUAUUAUUUUUUAUUUAGGAGGGUCAGUGCCAAUAAUGAAUUGGCAUUUCUACAAUCUUUGGGUUCGAAUGUUCUGCUGAUUUAUCCACAUAUUUGGUGCAAUACUGCGGUGUCUAUUCUUCUGCAUGUCCAUCCCAAGAUGGAAAUUAAUCUCAAUUCACAAAGGUCAGUUGUGUCCCCCCUGCUUAGCCAACACCAUUCAUCAUUUGACCUAGGGUUGCUAACAUGUACUACCUCUGUAAAGUACUCCCUUUGUUUUUAUUUACUUUGCAGGUUAGUUUUGUCUUGGGCCAAACUUUCUAAACUUUGAACAAGUUUGUAUUUUUUAAAAUUAACAUCCACAAUACUGAUGUCUACUACGCAACUUUAUUCUUGUAGACUUGUGUUGGGCCUCCAAGCACAGAGUUUUGUAGGACAGUAGCAAUUUUCCCUCAAGUGGAUGACCUAAGGUUUAUCAAUCUGUGGGAUGAAGAUGGUCUCUCUCAAAUGACCCUGCAACCAAAUACAAGAAAUCUCUUGUGUCCCCAACACACCAAAUACAAUGGCAAAUUGUAUAGGUGCACUAGUUCGGCGAAGAGAUGGUGAUAAAAGUGUAAUAUUGAUGGUAGAAAUAUAUUUUUAUAAUCUGAAUAAAUAAAAACAGCAAAGUAGCAAAUAGUAAACGGGCACAAAAAUAGUAUUGCAAUGCUUAGAAACAAGGCCUAGGGUCUGUACUUUCGCUACUGCAAUCUCUCAACAAUGCUAAUAUAAUUGGAUCAUAUAAUCAUCCCUCAAAGUGCGAUGAAAAAUCACUCCAAAGUUCCUAUCUAGCGGAGAACAUAAGACGGAAUUGUUUGUAGGGUACGAAACCACCUCAAAGCUAUUCUUUCCGAUCAAUCUAUCCUAGAGUUCGUACUAAAAUAACACCAAAGCAAAUUCAGAUUUGUAUUAUUCAAUCCAACACAAAGAACUUCAAAGAGUGCCCCAAGAUUUCUACCGGAGAAACAAAGACAAGAACGUGCAUCAACCCCUAUGCAUAGAUUACCCCAAUGUCACCUCGGGAAUCCACGAGUUGAGUGCCAAAACAUAUAUCAAGUGAAUCAAUACGAUACCCCAUUGUCACCACGAGUAUUCAAUUGCAAGACAUAUAUCAAGUGUUCUCAAAUCCAUAAAAGUAUUCAAUCCGAUAACAACGAAAUCUCAAAGGGAAAAACUCAAUUCAUCACAACAAGAUAGAGAAGGAAAAACACCAUAUGAUCCGACUAUAUUAACAAAGCCCGCGUUACAUCAAGAUCGUGACAUCUCAGGAACACGAGAGAGAGAGAGAGAGAUUAAACACAUAGCUACUGGUACAAACCCUCAGCCCCGAGGGUGGACUACUCCCUCCUCAUCGUGGUGGCCGCCGGGAUGAUGAAGAUGGCCACCAGAGAUGAUUCCCCCUCCGGCAGGGUGCCAGAAAGGAUCUAGAUUGGUUUUCGGUGGCUAUAGAGCCUUGUGGCGGCGGAACUUCUGAUCUCGGUUAACCCCUGAUGGUUUCUCUAUUUAUAGGAUUUUUUGGUGUUGGUUUCACGCUAAGAUGGGCCUCGAGGUGAGCACAACCCACCGGGGCAAGCCAGGCCCACCAGGCGCGCCCUGGUGGGUUGUGCCCUCCUCGUGGCUCUUCAUGCCCUCCCCCGAAGCUUUGGGGGUCUCUUUUGUUCCAAAAAAAUCGUCAAAAAGUGUCAGCUCAUUUGGAGAACUUUCAUUUCUACACAAAAAACAACACCACGGUAGUUCUGCUGAAAACAGCGUGAGUCCGGGUUAGUUCCAUGCAAAUCAUACCAAAACCAUAUAAAAUUGUUGUAAACAUGGCAUGAAUACUUCAUAAAUUAUAGAUACGUUGGAGACAUAUCAGCAUCCCCAAGCUUAAUUACUACUCGUCCUCGAGUAGGUAAAUGAUAAAAGAAAUAAUUUAUGAAGUGUGAAUGCUAGCAAAGUGCAUAAGUUUGAUCAAUGAUAAUUCCAAUCACUUUUCCUAGCAUCACAACAGCAACUCUUUCUCAUAAAACUUAUCAUGAUAAAGUAGCAAUUUAAAACGGAAUUUUUUUUGUGGAAUAUGUUACCUAUCAUAUUCAUCAUAUACUCUCUUUUUUUGUAGCAUGGACAUUUGGGCUUGAAUGAUUCAAAGUAAUAGUCUAGUUUUGACACGAGGACUUAAAUACUCAAGCAUACCAACAAGCAACUAUGUCUUUCAAAAUAUCAACGCUAAAAUAAGUUAUCCCUAGCCCAUCAUGCUCAAUUAUUGAUCCAUUCAUGAAACACACUCGCAUAUUAACUACACCCAAUGCUCAAGUACGAUCAUAGUGCCUCCUAGUUGGUGCUUUAUAAGAGAAGAUGGAGACUCAAAUUUAAAAUAAAAAUUGCAUAAAGUAAAAGAAAGGCCCUUCGCGGAGGGAACUAGGGAUUUGUAGAGGUGCCAGAGCUCAAAGCGAAAAUUGAGAGAUAAAAACAUUUUGAGAGGCGUACUUUUCCCACCAACAAAAACGACUUAGAGCUCCCAACACUUUCCAUGCUAGAUAUAUCAUAGGAGGUACCCAAACCGAAAAUAAAGUUUAUUCCUUUUUCCACCAUACUUUCACUUUCCAUGGCCAUAUCCACGGGUGCCCUUCAUACCAACACUUUCCAAGGAAUUUAUUAUUUGACAACAUAAAGUAAAUUCAUUUUUCAUUUCGGGACUGGGCAUCCCUAAUACCUUUGCCUUACUCACGUGCAAUGAUAAGUGAAUAAACAUUCAUCGUGAGAAUAACACAUCUAGCAUGGAAAAUAUUGGCCACCCCUCACCGCCUCGCGAGCGGUACGAGCACACAAAAGAGAAAUUUAUUUUGAAAAUUAGAGAUGGCACAUACAAAUUUGCUUAGAACGGCAAAAGAAUACCGCAUAUAGGUAGGUAUGGUGGACUCAUGUGGCAAAACUGGUUUAAAGGAUUUUGGAUGCACAAGUAGUGAUCAUACUUAGUGCAAAAUGAAGGCAAGCAAAAGAUUGAGAAGCAACCAACCAAGAAACUAAUAAUAUCAUUAGUGAGCAUUGAGCAUAAUUAACACCGAAUAAUGCACCACAAGUAGGAUAUAAUUUCAUUGCAUAACUAUUGACUUUCGUGCUUGCAUAGGGAGUCACAAACCUUAACUCCAAUAUUCUUACUAAAGCAUAAUUACUCAUCAACAUGACUCACAUAUCACAUCAUCAUAUCUAAAAACUAUUACGAGGAAUCAAGUUUAUUUUGUCCAAUGAUCUUCAUGAAAGUUUUUAUUAUAUCCUUCUUGCAUAUCUAUCACUUUGGGACUAAUUUUCAUGUGUUGCUUUUGAUAAUCUCAAACAAAUAUAGGUGAAGAUCAUGAGCAUAAUAUUUAUUUCUCUCAAAUUAAUUUAAGUGAAGCAAGAGAGAAUUUCUUCAAAAAUACUAAAGCACACCGUGCUAAAAAAUAUAUAAGUGAAGCACUAGAGCAAUUCCAUAGAAAAGAGCUUCGUUGACGGGAUGUGAAUGCCGCUUACCUAGCCUCCCGGGCAACUAUUUGAGGACACUAAUUUAUUUAAAAACUUUCAGAUCUAAGUAUUUUAUUAAAUCAGCAAGCAAAAACAAAAUAAAAUGACAUUCUAAGAAUAGCACAACUCAUGUGAAGAAGAAAAAACUUAGGCUCAACCGAUACUUACCGAUAAUUGUGUUGGGGAACGCAGUAUUUCAAAUUUUUUUACCUAUGAUCAUGCAAGAUCUAUCUAUGUGAUGCAUAGCAACGAGUGGGAGAGUGUGUCCACGUACCCUCGUAGACCGAAAGCGUAAGCGCUUAGUAACGCAGUUGAUGUAGUCGAACGUCUUCGCGAUCCAACCGAUCAAGUACCGAACACGGCACCUCCGCGAUCUGCACACGUUCAGCUCGGUGACGUCCCUCGAACUCUUGAUCCAGCUGAGGCCGAGGGAGAGUUCUGUCAGCACGACGGCGUGGUGACGGUGUUGAUGAAGUUACCGAUGCAGGGCUUCGCCUAAGCACUACAACGAUAUGACCGAGGUGGAAAUCUGUGGAGGGGGGCACCACACACGGCUAAGAUCAACUUUGAUGUGUUCUAGGGUGCCCCCUCCCCACGUAUAUAAAGGAGGGAGGGGGAGACCGGCCAGCCCUCAUAGGCGCGCCAAGGGCGGAGGAAUCCUCCUCCUAGUAGGAGCUGGACUCCCCCCUUUCCUAGUCCUACUAGGAGAAGAAGGAAGGAGGGGAAAAGAGAAGGAAGGAGGGGGUGCCACCCCUCCCCCUAGUACAAUUCGGACUAGGCCCAUGGGGGGGGGGAGGCCAGCCCUUGGCAGCCCCUCUCUCUCUCUCCCCUAGGCCCAAUAAGGCCCAUUACUUCUCCGGUGGUUCCGAUAACCCUUCCGACACUCCGAUAUUUAGCUGGUGACCCCCGGAACUCAUCCGAUGUCCAAAUAACAUCGUCCAAUAUAUCAUUCUGUAUGUCUCGACCAUUUCGAGACUCCUCGUCAUGUCCGUGAUCACAUCCGGGACUCCGAACUACCUUCGGUACAUCAGAACACAUAAACUCAUAAUAUCGAUCGUCAUCGAACGUUAAGCGUGCGGACCCUACGGGUUCGAGAACUAUGUAGACAUGACCGAGACUCAUCUCCGGUCAAUAACCAAUAGCGGAACUUGGAUGCUCAUAUUGGCUCCCACAUUUUCUACGAAGAUCUAUAUCGGUCAAACCGCAUAACAACGUACGUUGUUCCCUUUGUCAUCGGUAUGUUACUUGCCCGGGAUUCGAUCAUCUGUAUCUCAAUACCUAGUUCAAUCUUGUUACCGGCAAGUCUCUUUACUCGUUCCGUAAUACAUCAUCCCGUAACUAACUCAUUAUUCACAUUGCUUGCAAGGCUUAUAGUGACGUGCAUUAUCGUGAGGGCCCAGAGAUACCUCUCCGACAAUCGGAGUGACAAAUCCUAAUCUUGAUCUAUGCCAACUCAACAAACACCAUCGGAGACACCUGUAGAGCAUCUUUAUAGUCACCCAGUUACGUUGUGACGUUUGAUAGCACACUAAGUGUUCUGCCGAUAUUUGGGAGUUGCAUAAUCUCAUAGUCAUAGGAACAUGUAUAAGUCAUGAAGAAAGCAAUAACAACAAACUAAACGAUCAUCGUGCUAAGCUAACGGAUGGGCGUUGUCAAUCACAUCAUUCUCUAAUGAUGUGAUCCCGUUCAUCAAAUGACAACUCAUGUCUAUGGCUAGGAAACUUAACCAUCUUUGAUUAACGAGCUAGUCAAGUAGAGGCGUACUAGUGACACUUUGUUUGUCUAUGUAUUCACACAUGUACUAAGUUUCUGGUUAAUAAAAUUCUAGUAUGAAUAAUAAACAUUUAUCAUGAUAUAAGGAAAUAUAAAUAACAACUUUAUUAUUGCCUCUAGGGCAUAUUUCCUUCAGUCUCCCACUUGCACUAGAGUCAAUAAUUUAGAUUACACAGUAAUGAUUCUAACACCCAUGGAGUCUUGGUGCUGAUCAUGUUUUGCUCGUGAGAGAGGCUUAGUCAACGGGUCUUCAACAUUCAGAUCUGUAUGUAUCUUGCAAAUCUCUAUGUAUCCCUCCUUGAAUUGAUCGCAGAUGGAAUUGAAGCAUCUCUUGAUGUGCUUGGUUCUCUUAUGAAAUCUGGAUUCCUUUGCCAAGGCAAUUGCACCAGUAUUGUCACAAAAGAUUUUCAUUGGACCUGAUGCACUAGGUAUGACACCUAGAUCGGAUAUGAACUCCUUCAUUUGCUGCUUCCGAAGCAGCUAUGUACUCCGCUUCACACGUAGAUCCCGCCAUGACGCUUUGCUUGGAACUGCACCAACUGACAGCUCAAUAUAAAUACGUAUCCGGUUUGCGACUUAGAGUCAUCCGGACCAGUUUUAAAGCUUGCAUCGACAUAACCAUUUACGACGAGCUCUUUGUCACCUCCAUAAACGAGAAACAUAUCCUUAGUCCUUUUCAGGUAUUUCAGGAUGUUCUUGACCGCUAUCCAGUGAUCCACUCCUGGAUUACUUUGGUACCUCCCUGCUAAACUAAUAGCAAGGCACACAUCAGGUCUGGUACACAACAUUGCAUACAUGAUAGAACCUAUGGCUGAAGCAUAGGGAAUGACUUUCAUUUUCUCUCUAUCUUCUGCAGUGGUCGGGCAUUGAGUCUGACUCAACUUCACACCUUGUAACACAGGCAAGAACCCUUUCUUUGCUUGAUCCAUUUUGAACUUCUUCAAAACUUUAUCAAGGUAUGUACUUUGUGAAAGUCCAAUUAAGCGUCUUGAUCUAUCUCUAUAGAUCUUGAUGCCCAAUAUAUAAGCAGCUUCACCGAGGUCUUUCAUUGAAAAACUCUUGUUCAAGUAUCCUUUUAUGCUAUCGAAAAUUCUAUAUCAUUUCCAAUCAACAAUAUGUCAUCCACAUAUAAUAUUAGAAAUGCUACAGAGCUCCCACUUAGUUUCUUGUAAAUAUAGGCUUCUCCAAAAGUCUGUAUAAAACCAUAUGCUUUGAUCACACUAUCAAAACGUUUAUUCCAACUCCGAGAUGCUUGCACCAGUCCAUAAAUGGAUCGCUGGAGCUUGCACACUUUGUUAGCAUCCUUUGGACCGAUAAAACCUUCUGGUUGCAUCAUAUACAACUCUUCUUCCAGAAAUCCAUUCAGGAAUGUAGUUUUUACAUCCAUUUGCCAAAUUUCAUAAUCAUAAAAUGCAUCAAUUGCUAACAUGAUUCGGACGGACUUAAGCAUCGCUACGGGUGAGAAGGUCUCAUCAUAGUCAACUCCUUGAACUUGUCGAAAACCCUUCGCAACAAGUCGAGCUUUGUAGACAGUAACAUUACCGUCAGUGUCAGUCUUCUUCUUGAAGAUCCAUUUAUUCUCUAUGGCUUGCAGAUCAUUGGGCAAGUCAACCAAAGUCCACACAUUGUUCUCAUACAUGGACCCCAUCUCAUAUUUCAUGGCUUCAAGCCAUUUCGCGGAAUCUGGGCUCAUCAUCGCUUCCUCAUAGUUCGUAGGUUCGUCAUGGUCAAGUAACAUGAUGAUACGUCUCCAACGUAUCUAUAAUUUUUGAUUGUUCCAUGCUAUUAUAUUACCCAUCUUGGAUGUUUUAUAUGCAUUUAUAUGUUGUUUUAUAUGAUUUUUGGGACUAACCUAUUAACCUAGAGCCAAGUGCCAGUUUCUUUUUUUCCUUGUUUUUGAGUUUUACAGAAAAGGAAUACCAAACGGAGUCCAAUUGACGUGCCAAUUUUUGAUGAUUUUUUUUGGACCAAAAGAAGCCUCCGUAGUAAAAGAGUUGGGCCAGAAGAGUCCUGAGCUAUCCACGAGGGUGGAGGGCGCACCCUAUCCCCCUGGGCGCGCCCCCCUAUCUCGUGGACGACUCGGAGACCCCCCUGACGUGAGACCGACGCCAAAAAUUCCUGUAAAUAUAGAAACCCCCAGAAAGAAACCUAGAUCGGGAGUUCCGCCGCCGCAAGCCUCUGUAGCCACCAAAAACCAAUCGGGACCCUGUUCCGGCACCCUGCCGGAGGGGUGGGGAAUCCAUCACCGAUGGCCAUCUUCAUCAUCCCGCUGCUCUCCAUGAGGAGGAGGGAGUAGUUCACCCUCGGGGCUGAGGGUAUGUACCAGUAGCUAUGUGUUUGAUCUCUCUCUCUCUCUCUCUCUCUCUCUCUCUCUCUCUCUCUUUCGUGUUCUUGAUUCGGCACGAUCUUGAUGUAUCGCGAGCUUUGCUAUUAUAGUUGGAUCUUAUGAUGUUUCUCCCCCUCUACUCUCUUGUAAUGGAUUGAGUUUUCCCUUUGAAGUUAUCUUAUCGGAUUGAGUCUUUAAGGAUUUGAGAACACUUGAUAUAUGUCUUGCAUGUGCUUACCUGUGGUGACAAUGGGAUAUUCACGUGAUCUACUUGAUGUAUAGGGCUGGAAUUCGAGUCGAGUCGAGUCAGCUCGGCUCGACUCGCUAGAGCUUGUUUCGUUAACGAGCUAGCUCGACUCGACUCGUUAUUAUAACGAGCUCAAAUUCAAGAUUGGCUCGACUCGUAUAACUCACGAGCUGGCUCGUUUAGCUUGUUAAGCUCGUCAAAGAUAUGAACAUAAAACCCUCAAAUAUUAUAAAAUGAUUACAUAUAUAUUAAACAUAUAUAUCACUAAAAAAUAGUAAUUUCCUUGUAACGCAUGAGUCUCCUAGGCGGUUUGGCCUUCAACGGCUAGCCCUUGUGGUGUGCGCCUGGGACAUAGGGUGCUGAGUGGUUGAUCUUUUUUCUGUAUUGGGAGUGGCUGAUCUUUUGUACCGAGCCUAACAAGCUACACGAGUACUCGUGAGAUUGCCUCGUUUAACUUGGUCUAUAAAUGAUCUUAAACUAAAGCUCGGCUCGACUCGUUAUUCUUCGAGUUCGAGUUGAUUCGAGCCGAGUCACGACCUACUCGUUUAGCUCGUGAGCUUCGAGCUUUUUUCCAGCCCUAUUGAUGUAUGUUUUGGUGAUCAACUUGCGGGUUCAGUGACCUUGUGAACUUAUGCAUAGGGGUUGGCACAGAUUUUCAUCUUGACUCUCCGGUAGAAACUUUGGGGAACUUUUUGAAGUACUUUGUGUUGGUUGAAUAGAUGAAUCUGAGAUUGUGUGAUGCAUAUCGUAUAAUCAUACCCACGGAUACUUGAGGUGACAUUGGAGUAUCAAGUGACAUUAGGGUUUUGGUUGAUUUGUGUCUUAAGGUGUUAUUCUAGUACGAACUCUAGGAUAGAUCGAACGGAAAGAAUAGCUUCGUGUUAUUUUACUACAGACUCUUGAAUAGAUCGAUCAGAAAGAAUAACUUUGAGGUGGUUUCGUACCCUACAAUGAUCUCUUCGUUUGUUCUCCGCUAUUAGUGACUUUGGAGUGACUCUUUGUUAUAUUGUUGAGGGAUUGUUAUAUGACCUAAUUAUGUUAUCAUUGUUGAGAGAACUUGCACUAGUGAAAGUAUGAACCCUAGGCCUUGUUUCCUAGUAUUGCAAUAUCGUUUACGCUCACUUUUAUCGCUUGCUACCUUGUUGUUUUUAUACUUUCAGAUUACAAAUACCCAUAUCUACCAUCCAUAUUGCACUUGUAUCACCAUCUCUUCGCCGAACUAGUGCACCUAUACAAUUUACCAUUGUAUUGGGUGUGUUGGGACACAAGAGACUCUUUGUUAUUUGGUUGCAGGGUUGUUUGAGAGAGACCAUCUUCAUCCUACGCCUCCCACGGAUUGAUAAACUUAGGUCAUCCACUUGAGGGAAAUUUGCUACUGUCCUACAAACCUCUGCACUUGGAGGACCAACAACGUCUACAAGAACAAGGUUGUGUAGUAGACAUCAAGCUCUUUUCUGGCACCGUUGCCGGGGAGGCUAGGUAAGCGGCACUAACACCCCGUCAACUAAGCUCUUUUUUGGCACCGUUGCCGGGGUGGUUAGUGCUUGAAGGUAUAUCUUUAGAUCUUGCAAUCGAAUCUUUUAGUUUCUUGUCUUAUCACUAGUUUAGUCUAUAAAAGAAAACUAAAAAAUGGAAUUGAGGAUGCCUCAUAUGCUUCAUCUUUUUAAUAUCUUUCGUGAAAAUAAGGAUUCCGGUAAUUGUGCUCAAGUUCUAGAAGAAGAAUGGAUUAGAAUGUUUGGCACUAAAUAUUUGAAUGAUGAGCAUGAUUGCAAUGUUGUUAGUAUGAAUUCCUUGAAUAUCCAUGAUGCUAAUGAUAUGCAAAGCCACAAGCUUGGGGAAGCUAUGUUUGAUGAAGAUGAUAUUUCCUGUCCCCCAAGUUUUGAUGAGAAAAUUUAUUAUGAUGAAAGCAUGCCUCCUAUUUAUGAUGAUUAUAUUGAUGAAAGUGGAUUUGGAGAGGUCAUGACUUUAUUUAGUGAUGAAUCCACUAUUUCGGAAGAGGUUCCAAUUGAUUAUGAGAACAAAGUUGCUAUCUAUGAUGAUUAUUGUGAUGACAUGUAUGCUAUAAAGAAUAACGAUAACCAUGAAACUUGUCAUCAUGAUUUUCAUUUUCAAUUGGAUUAUGCCUCACAUGAUAGUUAUUUUGUUGAGUUUGCUCCCACUACUAUUCAUGAGAAGAAGUUUGCUUAUGUGGAGAGUAAUAAAAAUUCUAUGCUUGUGCAUCAUAAAAAUAGUGCUUUAUGUGAUAGUUAUAUUGUUGAAUUCAUUCAUGAUGCUAUUGAAAAUUAUUAUGAGGGAGUAAUAUAUGCUUGUAUGAAUUGCAAUAAUAUCAAGUUUCCUCUCUAUGUGUUGAAAAUCUUGAAGUUAUGCUUGUUUUGCCUUCCUAUGCUAGUUGAUUAUUGUUCCCAUAAGUUGUUUGCUCACAAAAUCCCUAUGCAUAGGAAGUGGGUUAGACUUAAAUGUGUUAGUAAUAUGCUUCAUGAUGCUCUCUUUAUGUUUCAAUUCUUAUCUUUUAUGCGAGCAUCAUUGAAGUCAUCAUGCCUAGCUAAAAGGCAUUAAAGAAAAUCGCUUGUUGGGAGACAACCCAAUAUUUACCCCUACUGUUUUUGUGUGUUCACAUGAUUAUGAUACUGUAGUAAUCAUGUCUUAUAGCUUUUGUUUCAAUAAAGUGCCAAGUAGAACCUUUGGGAUGACUUGGGUGAAAGUUAAUGCGAUCUUGCUGUAAAAAAACACAAACUUUGCGCUCACAAGAAUAAUUGUCAUUUUUAACAGAAGAGUGCUUUUAAGUUGAUUAUUUUUGAAGAAGAUUAAUAGACAAAUCCUCACGUCCACCAAUUUAUUUCAGAAUUUUUGGAGUUGCAUAAGUAUUCGGGAGUUACAGAUUACUACAGACUGUUCUGUUUUUGACAUAUUCUGUUUUCUAUGUGUUGUUUGCUUAUUUUGAUGAAUCUAUGAGUAGUAUCGGAGGGUAUGAACCAUAGAGAAGUUGGAAUACAGUAUAUAUUACACCAAUAUGAAUUUAGAAUGAUUUCACAACAGUACCUAAGUCGUGAUUUAUUUUCUUAUACUAACGGAGCUUACGAGUUUUCUGUUAAGUUUUGUGUUGUGAAGUUUUCAAGUUUUGGGUAAAGAUUCGAUGGACUAUGGAAUAAGGAGUGGCAAGAGCCUAAGAUUGGGGAUGCCCAAGGCACCCCAAGGUAAUAUUCAAGGACAACCAAGAUCCUAAGCUUGGGGAUGCCCCGGAUGGCAUCCCCUCUUUCGUCUUCGUUCAUCGGUAACUUUACUUGGAGCUAUAGUUUUAUUCACCACAUGAUAUGUGUUUUGCUUGGAGCGUCAUUUUAUUUUAUUUUGUCUUGCUUGCUGUUUGAAUAAAAUACCAAGAUCUGAAAUUCUUAAAUGUUAGAGAGUCUUCACAUAGUUGCAUAAUUAUUCGACUACUCAUUGAUCUUCACUUAUAUCUUUUGGAGUAGUUUGUCGUUUGCUCUAGUGCUUCACUUAUAUCUUUUAGAGCAUGACGGUAGUUUUAUUUUGAAGCAAUAGAUGAACUCUCAUGCUUCACUUAUAUUAUUUUGAGAUUCUUUUAGAACAGCAUGGUAAUUUGCUUUGGUUAUAAAACUAGUCCUAGUAUGAUGGGCAUCCAAGAUGGGUAUAAUAAAAACUUUCUUAUAAAGUGCAUUGAAUACUAUGAGAAGUUUGAUGCUUGAUGAUUGUUUUGAGAUAUGAAGAUGGUGAUAUUAGAGUCAUGCUAUUUGAGUGAUUGUGAAUUUGGGAAAUACUUGUGUUGAGGUUUGCAAGUCCCGUAGCAUGCAUGUAUGGUAACCGUUGUGUAACAAAUUUGAAGCAUGAGGUGUUUCUUUGAUUGUCUUCCUUAUGAGGGGUGGUCGGGGAGGAGCGAUGGUAUUUUCCUACCAAUCUAUCCCCCUAGGAGCAUGCGCGUACUGCUUGGUUUGAUGACUUGUAUAUUUUUGCAAUAAGUAUGUGAGUUCUUUAUGACUAAUGUUGAGUCCAUGGAUUAUACGCACUCUCACCCUUCCACCAUUGCUAGCCUCUCUAGUACCGCGCAACUUUCGCCGGUACCAUAAAGCCACCAUUUACCUUCCUCAAAACAGCCACCAUACCUACCUAUUAUGGCAUUUCCAUAGCCAUUCCGAGAUAUAUUGCCAUGCAACUUUCCACCGUUCCGUUUAUGAUGACACGCUCCAUCAUUGUCAUAUUGCUUUGCAUGAUCAUGUAGUUGACAUCGUAUUUGUGGCAAAGCCACCUUCAUAAUUUUUCAUACAUGUCACUCUUGGUUCAUUGCACAUCCCGGUACACCGCCGGAGGCAUUCAUAUAGAGUCAUAUUUUGUUCUAAGUAUCAAGUUGUAAUUCUUGAGUUGUAAAUAAAUAGAAGUGUGAUGAUCAUCAUUAUUAGAGCAUUGACCCGUGUGAGGAAAAAAAAGGGAGAGAGGCCAAAGAAGCCAAACAAAAAAAGAUAGAGAAAAAGAGAGAAGGGACAAUGCUACUAUCCUUUUUCCACACUUGUUCUUCAAAGUAGCACCAUGAUCUUCAUGAUAGAGAGUCUCUUAUUUUAUCACUUUCAUAUACUAGUGGGAAUUUUCAUUAUAGAACUUGGCUUGUAUAUUCCAACGAUGGGCUUCCUUAAAUGCCCUAGGUCUUCGUGAGCAAGCAAGUUGGAUGCACACCCACUUAGUUUCUUUUGUUGAGCUUGCAUACAUUUAUAGCUCUAGUGCAUCCGUUGCAUGGCAAUCCUUACUCACUCACAUUGAUAUCUAUUGAUGGGCAUCUCCAUAGCCCGUUGAUACGCCUAGUUGAUGUGAGACUAUCUUCUCCUUUUUGUCUUCUCCACAACCACCAUUCUAUUCCACCUAUAGUGCUAUGUCCCUGGCUCAUGCUCAUGUAUUGCGUGAAAGUUGAAAAAGUUUGAGAAUACUAAAGUAUGAAACAAUUGCUUGGCUUGUCAUCGGGGUUGUGCAUGAUCUGAAUAUUUUGUGUGACGAAGAUGGAGCAUAGCCAAACUACAUGAUUUUGUAGGGAUGAACUUUCUUUGGCCAUGUUAUUUUGAGAAUACAUGAUUACUUUGUUAGUAUUCUUGAAGUAUUAUUAUUUUUAUGUCAAUAUUAAGCUUUUGUCUUGAAUCUUAUGGAUCUGAAUAUUCUUGCCACAAUAGAGAAGAUUACUUUGAUAAAUAUGUUAGGUAGCAUUCCACAUCAAAAAUUCUGUUUUUAUCAUUUACCUACUCGAGGACGAGCAGGAAUUAAGCUUGGGGAUGUUUGAUACGUCUCCAAUGUAUCUAUAAUUCUUGAUUGUUCCAUGCUAUUAUAUUACCCAUCUUGGAUGUUUUAUAUGCAUUUAUAUGUUGUUUUAUAUGAUUUUUGGGACUAACCUAUUAACCUAGAGCCCAGUGCCAGUUUCUGUUUUUUCCUUGUUUUUGAGUUUCACAAAAAAGGAAUACCAAACGGAGUCCAAUUGACGUGCCAAUUUUGAUGAUUUUUUAUGGACCAAAAGAAGCCUCCGGAGUAAAAGAGUUGGGCCAGAAGAGUCCCGAGCCAUCCACAACGGUGGAGGGCGCGCCCUACCCCCUGGGAGCGCCCUCUAUCUCGUGGACAACUCGGAGAUCCCCCUGACAUGAGACCGACGCCAAAAAUUCCUAUAAAUACAGAAACCCACCAGAAAGAAACCUAGAUCGGGAGUUCCGCCCCCGCAAGCCUCUGUAGCCACCAAAAACCAAUCGGGACCCUGUUCCGGCACCCUGCCGGAGGGGUGGGGAAUCCAUCACCGAUGGCCAUCUUCAUCAUCCCGCUGCUCUCCAUGAGGAGGAGGGAGUAGUUCACCCUCGGGGCUGAGGGUAUGUACCAGUAGCUAUGUGUUUGAUCUCUCUCUCUCUCUCUCUCUCUCUCUCUCUCUUUCGUGUUCUUGAUUCGGCACGAUCUUGAUGUAUCGCGAGCUUUGCUAUUAUAGUUGGAUCUUAUGAUGUUUCUCCCCCUCUACUCUCUUGUAAUGGAUUGAGUUUUCCCUUUGAAGUUAUCUUAUCGGAUUGAGUCUUUAAGGAUUUGAGAACACUUGAUGUAUGUCUUGCAUGUGCUUAUCUGUGGUGACAAUGGGAUAUUCACGUGAUCUACUUGAUAUAUGUUUUGGUGAUCAACUUGCGGGUUCAGUGACCUUGUGAACUUAUGCAUAGGGGUUGGCACACAUUUUCGUCUUGACUCUCCGGCAGAAACUUUGUGGCACUUUUUGAAGUACUUUGUGUUGGUUGAAUAGAUGAAUCUCAGAUUAUGUGACACAUAUCGUAUAAUCAUACCCACGGAUACUUGAGGUGACAUUGGAGUAUCUAGGUGACAUUAGGGUUUUGGUUGAUUUGUGUCUUAAGGUGUUAUUCUAGUACGAACUCUAGGAUAUAUCGAACGAAAAGAAUAGCUUCGUGUUAUUUUACUAUGGACUCUUGAAUAGAUCGAUCAGAAAGAAUAACUUUGAGGUGGUUUCGUACCCUACAAUGAUCUCUUCAUUUGUUCUCCGCUAUUAGUGACUUUGGAGUGACUCUUUGUUGCAUUGUUGAGGGAUUGUUAUAUGACCUAAUUAUGUUAUCAUUGUUGAGAGAACUUGCACUAGUGGAAGUAUGAACCCCAGGCCUUGUUUCCUAGUAUUGCAAUAUCGUUUACGCUCACUUUUAUCGCUUGCUACCUUGCUGUUUUUAUACUUCCAGAUUACAAAUACCCAUAUCUACCAUCCAUAUUGCACUUGUAUCACCAUCUCUUCGCCGAACUAGUGCACCUAUACAAUUUACCAUUGUAUUGGGUGUGUUGGGGACACAAGAGACUCUUUGUUAUUUGGUUGCAGGGUUGUUUGAGAGAGACCAUCUUCAUCCUACGCCUCCCACGGAUUGAUAAACCUUAGGUCAUCCACUUGAGGGAAAUUUGCUACUGUCCUACAAACCUCUGCACUUGGAGGCCCAACAACGUCUACAAGAAGAAGGUUGUGUAAUAGACAUCACAUGACCUCCAGAACAGGAUUACCGUACCACUCUGGUGCGGAUCCUACUCUGGAUGACCUACGAGGUUCCGUAGUAACUUGAUCUGAAGUUACAUGAUCAACAUCAUUAGCUUCCUCACUCAUUGGUGUAGGAGUCACAGGAACUGAUUUCUGUGAUGAACUACUUUCCAAUAAGGGAGCAGGUACAAUUACCUCAUCAAGUUCUACUUUCCUCCCAAUCACUUCUUUCGAGAGAAACUCCUUCUCUAGAAAGGAUCCAUUCUUAGCAACGAAUGUCUUGCCUUCGGAUCUGUGAUAGAAGGUGUACCCAACAGUCUCCUUUGGGUAUCCUAUGAAGACACAUUUCUCCGAUUUGGGUUCGAGUUUAUCAUGUUGAAGCUUUUUCACAUACAGCCCCAAACUUGGGUUUCUUGCCAAACCACAGUUCAUAAGGUGUCGUCUCAAUGGAUUUAGAUGGUGCCCUAUUUAACAUGAAUGCAGCCGUCUCUAAAGCAUAGGCCCAAAAAUGAUAGCGGUAAAUCAGUAAGAGACAUCAUAGAUCGCACCAUAUCUAAUAAAGUGUGGUUACGACGUUCGGACACACCAUUACCCUGUGGUGUUCCGGGUGGCGUGAGUUGUGAAACUAUUCCGCAUUGUUUCAAAUGAAGACCAAACUUGUAACUCAAAUAUUCUCCUCCACGAUCUGAUCACAGAAACUUUAUUUUAUUGUUACGAUGAUUUUCCACUUCACUCUGAAAUUCUUUGAACUUUUCAAAUGUUUCAGACUUAUGUUUCAUUAAGUAGAUAUACCCAUAUCUGCUCAAAUCAUCUGUGAAGGUCAGAAAAUAACAAUACCCGCCGCGAGCCUCAAUAUUCAUUGGACCACAUACAUCAGUAUGUAUGAUUUCAAACAAAUCCGUUGCUCGCUCCAUUGUUCCAGAGAACGGAGUUUUAGUCAUUUUGCCCAUGAGGCAUGGUUCGCAAGUACCAAGUGAUUCCAAAAGUCCACCAGAAUGGAGUUUCUUCAUGCGCUUUACACCAAUAUGACCUAAACGGCAGUGCCACAAAGAAGUUGCACUAUCAUUAUCAACUCUGCCUCUUUUGGCUUCAAUAUUAUGAAUAUGUGUGUCACUACUAUCGAGAUUCAACAAAAAAUAGACCACUCUUCAAGGGUGCAUGACCAUAAAAGAUAUUACUCAUAUAAAUAGAACAACCAUUAUUCUCAUAUUUAAAUGAAUAACCGUCUCGCAUCAAACAAGAUCCAGAUAUAAUGUUCAUGCUUAACGCUGGCACCAAAUAACAAUUAUUCAGGUCUAAAACUAAUCCCGAAGGUAGAUGUAGAGGUAGCGUGCCGACGGCGAUCACAUCGACUUUGGAACCAUUUCCCACCCGCAUCGUCACCUCGUCCUUAGCCAAUCUUCGCUUAAUCCAUAGUCCCUGUUUCGAGUUGCAAAUAUUAGCAACAGAACCAGUAUCAAAUACCCAGGCACUACUACUAGCAUUAGUAAGGUACACAUCAAUAACAUGUAUAUCACAUAUACCUUUGUUCACCUGCCAUCCUUCUUAUCCGCCAAAUACUUGGGGCAGUUCCGCUUCCAGUGACCAGUCCCUUUGCAGUACAAGCACUCAGUCUUAGGCUUAGGUCCAGACUUGGGCUUCUUCACUUGAGCAGCAACUUGCUUGCUGUUCUUCUUGAAGUUCUCCUUCUUCCCUUUACCCUUUUUCUUGAAACUGGUGGUCUUGUUGACCAUCAACACUUGAUGCCCCUUCUUGAUUUCUACCUCCUUUUGAUGCUUUUUCUUGAGCUCGGGAAUUGUCUUAUCCAUCCCUUGCAUAUUAUAGUUCGUCACGAAGCUCUUGUAGCUUGGUGGCAGUGAUUGAAGAACUAUGUCAAUGACACUAUCAACUGGAAGAUUAACUCCCAGCUGAGUCAAGUGAUUAUGAUACCCAGACAUUUUGAGUAUAUGCUCACUGACAGAAUUAUUCUCCUCCAUUUUGCAGCUGCAGAACUUAUUGGAGACUUCAUGUCUCUCAAUCCGGGCAUUUGCUUGAAAUAUUAACUUCAACUCCUGGAACAUCUCAUAUGCUCCAUGACGUUCAAAACGUCGUUGAAGUCCUGGUUCUAUGUCGUAAAGCAUGCCACACUGAACUAUCGAGUAGUCAUCAGCUUUCCUCUGCCAGACGUUCAAAACGUCCAGCGUUGCUCCUGUAGCGGGUCUUGCACCUAGCGGUGCUUCCAUGAUGUAAUUCUUCUGUGCAGCAAUGAGGAUAAUCCUCGAGUUACGGACCCAGUUCGUGUAGUUGCUACCAUAAUCUUUCAUCUUAGCUUUCUCUAGGAACGCAUUAAAAUUCAAAGGAACGGUAGCACGGGCCAUUGAUCUACAACAACAUAGACAUGCAAAAUACUAUCAGGUACUAAGUUCAUGAUAAAUUAAAGUUCAAUUAAUCAUAUUACUUAAGAACUCCCACUUAGAUAGACAUCCCUCUAAUCAUCUAAGUGAUCACGUGAUCCAAAUCAACUAAACCAUGUCCGAUCAUCACGUGAGAUGGAGUAGUUUUCAAUGGUGAACAUCACUAUGUUGAUCAUAUCUACGAUAUGAUUCACGCUCGACCUUUCGGUCUCAGUGUUCUGAGGCCAUAUCUGCAUAUGCUAGGCUCGUCAAGUUUAACCCGAGUAUUCUGUGUGUGCAAAACUGGCUUGCACCUGUUGUAUGUGAACGUAGAGCUUAUCACACGCGAUCAUCACGUGGUGUCUCGGCACGACGAACUUUCGCAACGGUGCAUACUCAGGGAGAACAGUUGUACCUUGAAAUUUAGUGAGAGAUCAUCUUAUAAUGCUACCGCCGAACUUAAGCAAAAUAAGAUGCAUAAAGGAUAAACAUCACAUGCAAUCAAUAUAAUUGAUAUGAUAUGGCCAUCAUCAUCUUGUGCCUUUGAUCUCCAUCUCCAAAGCACCGUCAUGAUCACCAUCGUCACCGGCUUGACACCUUGAUCUCCAUCGAAGCAUCGUUGUCGUCUCGCCAACUAUUGCUAUCACGACUAUCGCUACCGCUUAGUGAUAAAGUAAAGCAAUUACAUGGCGACUGCAUUUCAUACAAUAAAGCGACAACCAUAAGGCUCCUGCUAGUUGCUGAUAACUGUUACAAAACAUGAUCAUCUCAUACAACAAUUUAUAUAUCAUCACCUCUUGACCAUAUCACAUCACAACAUACCCUGCAAAAACAAGUUAGACGUCCUCUACUUGUUGUUUCAAGAUUUACGUGGCUGCUACAGGCUUAGCAAGAACCGUUCUUACCUACGCAUCAAAAUCACAAUGAUUUUUCGUCAAGUUUGCUGUUUUAACCCUCAACAAGGACCGGGCAUAGUCACACUCGAUUCAACUAAAGUUGGAGAAACUGACACCCGCCAGCCACCUAUGUGCAAAGCACGUCGGUAGAACCAAUCUCGCGUAAGCGUACGCAUAAUGUCGGUCCGGGCCGCUUCAUCCAACAAUCGCCGAAUCAAAGUAUGACAUGCUGGUAAGCAGUAUGACUAUUAUCGCCCACAACUCUUUGUGUUCUACUCGUGCAUAUAAGAUCUACGCAUAGAGCUGGCUCAGAUGCCACUGUUGGGGAACGCAGUAUUUCAAAUUUUUUACCUACGAUCACGCAAGAUCUAUCUAUGUGAAGCAUAGCAACGAUCGGGAGAGUGUGUCCACGUACCCUCGUAGACCGAAAGCGGAAGCGUUUAGUAACGCGGUUGAUGUAGUCGUCUUCGCGAUCCAACUGAUCAAGUAUCGAACGCAUGGCACCUCCGUGAUCUGCACACGUUCAGCUGGUGACGUCCCUCGAACUCUUGAUCUAGCUGAGGCCGAGGGAGAUUUCCGUCAGCACGACGGCGUGGUGACGGUGUUGAUGAAGUUACCGACGCAGGGGUUCGCCUAAGCACUACAACAAUGUGACCGAGGUGGAAAUCUGUGGAGGGGGGCAACGCACACGGCUAAGAUCAACUUUGAUGUGUUCUAGGGUGCCCCCCUCCCCAAGUAUAUAAAGGAGGGAGGGGGAGGCCGGCCGGCCCUCAUAGGCACGCCAAGGGGGGAGGAAUCCUCCUCCUAGUAGGAGUAGGACUCCCCCCUUUCCUAGUCCUACUAGGAGAAGAAGGAAGGAGGGGGAAAGAGAAGGAAGUAGGGGGCGCCGCCCCUCCCCCUAGUCCAAUUCGGAGUAGGCCCAUGGGGGGCACGCGGCCAGCCCUUGGCAGCCCCUCUCUCUCUCCCCUAGGCCCAAUAAGGCCCAUUACUUCUCCGGUGGUUCCGAUAACCCUUCCGGCACUCCGAUAUUUAUCCGGUGACCCCCGGAACUCAUCCGAUGUCCGAAUAACAUCGUCCAAUAUAUCAUUCCUUAUGUAUCGACCAUUUCGAGACUCCUCGUCAUGUCUAUCACAUCCGGGACUCCGAACUACCUUCGUUACAUCAAAACACAUAAACUCAUAAUACCGAUCGUCAUCGAACAUUAAGCGUGCGGACCCUACGGGUUCGAGAACUAUGUAGACAUGACCGAGACUCAUCUCCGGUCAACAACCAAUAGCGGAACCUAGAUGCUCAUAUUGGCUCCCACAUUUUCUACGAAGAUCUUUAUCGGUCAAACCACAUAACAACAUACGUUGUUCCCUUUUCAUCGGUAUGUUACUUGCCCGGGAUUCGAUCGUCGGUAUCUCAAUACCUAGUUCAAUCUCGUUACCGGCAAGUCUCUUUAAUCGUUCCGUAAUGCAUCAUCCCAUAACUAACUCAUUAGUCAUUGCUUGCAAGGCUUAUAGUGAUGUGCAUUACCGAGAAGGCCCAGAGAUACCUCUCCGACAAUCGGAGUGACAAAUCCUAAUCUCAAUCUAUGCCAACUCAACAAACACCAUCGAAGACACCUGUAGAGAAUCUUUAUAGUCACCCAGUUACGUUGUGACGUUUGAUAGCACACUAAGUAUUCUUACGGUAUCCAGGAGUUGCAUAAUCUCAUAGUCAUAGGAACAUGUAUAAGUCAUGAAGAAAGCAAUAGCAACAAACUAAACGAUCAUCGUGCUAAGCUAACGGAUGGGUCUUGUCAAUCACAUCAUUCUCUAAUGAUGUGAUCCCGUUCAUCAAAUGACAACUCAUGUCUAUGGCUAGGAAACUUAACCAUCUUUGAUUAACGAGCUAGUCAAGUAGAGGCAUACUAGUGACACUUUGUUUGUCUAUGUAUUCACACAUGUACUAAGUUUCCGGUUAAUACAAUUCUAGCAUGAAUAAUAAACAUUUAUCAUGAUAUAAGGAAAUAUAAAUAACAACUUUAUUAUUGCCUCUAGGGCAUAUUUCCUUCAAAUUGUUGAAGAAGAAAGGUGGGAUGCCUACCGGGCAUCCCCAAGCUUAGCUGCUUGAGACUUCUUGAAAUAUUAUCUUGGGAUGCCUUGGGCAUCCCGAAGCUUGAGCUUUUGUGUCUCCUUAAUUCUUCUCCAUAUCACGGUUUCCCUAAAUCUUAAAAACUUCAUCCACACAAAACUCAACAAGAACUCUCGAGAUAAGUUAGUAUAAACCAAUGCAAAAACCUCAUCAUUCUCUAUUGUAGGAGAUCACAAAAAUUAUUCAACAUUUCAUACUAAAUGCCUCUGCAUAUUUAAUACUCUUAUCCUCAUAUAGAAUCAUUAAACAAGCAAACAUAUGCAAACAAUGCAAACAUAACAGCAAUCUGCCAAAACAGUAUAGUCUGUAAAGAAUGCAAGAGUAUCAAUACUUCUUAAACUCCAAAGAUUAUGAAAUCUUCCAAACUAUAGAGAAUUUAUCAAAGCUUAUUUUGCAAAAAGUUUCAAUAUUUUAUCACAUUCUGAAUUUUCUAGCAAAUUUUUGCAACAUCGAUAAACUUUCUGUUUUGAAACAGCAACUCAUAUACUUGCAAAUUAAGCAUGGCAAAGGCUAUCCUUGACAUUUUUAUUGAAAUGAAAGAUGCAAAAAAUUAUUCUAAAUAAAAGCAAGCAAAUCCUAAAAAAAAUUGAUGCUCCAAGCAAAACACAUAUCAUGUGACGAAUGAAAGCAUAGCUCCAAGUGGGGAUGCCUUCCGGGCACCCCCAAGCUUCAUUGCUUGGAUAUUCCUUGGAUAUUAAUUGGGGUGCCUUGGGCAUCCCCAAGCUUAGGUUGUUGUCACUCCUUAUUCUCCUCAUAUCUAUAUCUCACCCAAAACUUGAAAACUUCAAUCACAGAAAACUUAACGGAACUUUAUGAGAUAGGUUAGUAUGAUAAAGAGCAAACCAUUUCACUUUGGUACUGUCAAAGACAAGAUUCAUAAUUGUUUCCACACAAUGCCUACUGUACCAUAUCAUUUCCACAUUUUAUAUUGAGCAGUAUAAACCAUAGAAACUAGGAAACAAGCAAACAAUGCAUUAAAACAGAAUCUGUCAAAAACAGAACAGUCUGUAGUAAUUUGUACUCCAACCAUACUUCUGCUACUCCAAAAAUUCUGAAAAAUUAGGACCACGUGAGAAAUUUGUAUAUUAAUCUUACUCAAAAAUAAUCAACUCAAAAUCACUCUUCUGUUAAAAAUGAGAAUUAUUUUCGUGAGCGCAAAAGUUUCUGUUUUUCAGCAAGAUCAAAUCAACUAUCACCUAACAUGAUCCCAAAGGCUUUACUUGGCACUUUAUUGAAACAAAAGCAAUAAAAUAUGAUCAAUACAGUAGCAUAAUCAUGUGAACACACAAAAAUAGUAGGUAAUGAAGGAAAUAUGCCCUAGAGGCAAUAAUAAAGUUAUUAUUUAUUUCCUCAUAUCAUGAUAAAUGUUUAUUAUUCAUGCUAGAAUUGUAUUAACCGGAAACCUAGUACAUGUGUGAAUACAUAGACAAAUAGAGUGUCACUAGUAUGCCUCUACUUGACUAGCUCGUUAAUCAAAGAUGGUUAAGUUUCCUAACCAUAGACAUGAGUUGUCAUUUGAUUAACGGGAUCAUAUCAUUAGGAGAAUGAUGUGAUUGACUUGACCCAUUCCGUUAGCUUAGCACUUGAUCGUUUAGUUUCCUGCUAUUGCUUUCUUCAUGACUUAUACAUGUUCCUAUGACUAUGUGGUUAUGCAACUCCCGAUUACCGGAGGAACACUUUGUGUGCUACCAAACGUCACAACGUAACUGGGUGAUUAUAAAGGUGCUCUACAGGUGUCUCCGAUGGUACUUGUUGAGUUGGCAUAGAUCAAGAUUAGGAUUUGUCACUCCGAUUGUCGGAGAGGUAUCUCUGGGCCCACUCGGUAAUACACAUCACUAUAAGCCUUGCAAACAUUGUAACUAAUGAGUUAGUUACGGGAUGAUGUAUUACGGAACGAGUAAGGAGACUUGCCGGUAACGAGAUUGAACUAGGUAUUGAGAUACCGACGAUCGAAUCUCGGGCAAGUAACAUAUCGAUGACAAAGGGAACAACGUAUGUUGUUAUGCGGUUCGACCGAUAAAGAUCUUCGUAGAAUAUGUGGGAGCCAAUAUGAGCAUCCAGGUUCCGCUAUUGGUUAUUGAUCGGAGACGUGUCUCGGUCAUGUCUACAUAGUUCUCGAACCUGUAGGGUCCGCACGCAUAAAGUUCGGUGACGAUCGGUAUUAUGAGUUUUUGUGUUUUGAUGUACCAAAGGUAGUUCGGAGUCCCGGAUAUGAUCACUGACAUGACGAGGAGUCCCGAAAUGGUCGAGAUGUAAAGAUCGAUAUAUUGGACGACUAUAUUCGGAGACCGAAAGUGUUCCGGGUGGUUUCGGAGAAAACCGGAGUGCCGGAGGGUUACCGGAACCCCCCGGGAGAAAUAGUGGGCCUUAUGGGCCUUAGUGGAGAGAGAGAGGGCUGGCCUAGGGCAGGCCGUGCGCCCCUCCCCGUCUGGUCCGAAUUGGACUAGGAGAGGGGGGGGGGGCGGCGCCCCCCUUUCCUUCUCCCUCUCCCCCUUCCUUUCCCCCUCCUAGUAGGAGUAGGAAAGAGGGGAGUCCUACUCCUACUAGGAGGAGGACUCCUCCUCCUGGCGCGCCUACAGGGGCCGGCCGGCCUCCCCCUUUGCUCCUUUAUAUACGGGGGCAGGGGGCACCUCUAGACACACAAGUUGAUCUGUUGAUCUCUCCCAGCCGUGUGCGGUGCCCCCCUACACCAUAAUCCACCCCGAUCAUAUCGUAGCGGUGCUUAGGCGAAGCCCUGCGUCGGUAGCAUCAUCAUCACCAUCAUCACGCCGUCGUGCUGACGAAACUCUAUGGCGAAGCUUUGCUAGAUCGGAGCUCGCGUGACGUCAUCGAGUUGAAUGUGUGCUGAACUCGGAGGUGCCGUGCGUUCAGUACUUGGAUCGGUUGGAUCGUGAAGACGUACGACUACAUCAACCGCGUUGUGCUAACGCUGACGCUUUCGGUCUACGAGGGUACGUGGACACACUCUCCCCUCUCGUUGCUAUGCAUCACCAUGAUCCUGUGUGUGCGUAGGAUUUUUUUGAAAUUACUACGUUCCCCAACAAGUAAAAGUGUUGGGUUGUCUCCCAACAAGCGCUUUUCUUUAAUGCCUUUUAGCUAGGCAUGAUGAUUUCAAUGAUGCUCGCAUAAAAGAUAAGAAUUGAAUCAUAAAGAAAGCACCAUGAAGCAUAUGACUAGCACAUUUAUGUCUAACCCACUUCCUAUGCACAGGGAUUUUGUGAGCAAACAAUUUAUAGGAACAAGAAUCAACUAGCAUAGGAAGGCAAAACAAGUGCAACUCCAAAACUUUCAACAUAUAGAGUGGAAACUUGAUAUUAUUGCAAUACCUACAAGCAUAAGUUCCUCUCCCAUAAUAAUUUUCAGUAGCAUCAUGAAUGAAUUCAACAAUAUAGCUAUCACAUAAAGCAUUCUUUUUAUGAUUCACAAGCAUAGAAAUUUUAUACUCUCCACAUAAGCAAAUUUAUUCUCAUGAAUAGUAGUGGGAGCAAACUCAACAAAAUAACUAUCAUGGGAUUGAAAAUUAAAAUCAUGAUGACAAGUUUCAUGGUUAUCAUUGUUCUUUAUAGCAUACAUGUCAUCACCAUAAUCAUCAUAGAUAGGAACUUUGUUGUCAUAAUCAAUUGUGAUUUCUUCCAACAUAGUGGAAUCAUCAUUAAAUAAAGUCAUGACCUCUCCAAAUCCACUUUCAUCAAUAUAAUCAUCAUAAAUAGGAGUCAUGCUUUAAUCAUAAUAAAUUUUCUCAUCAAAACUUGGGGGAGUAAAAAUAUCAUCUUCAUCAAAUAUAGCAUCCCCAAGCUUAUAGCUUUGCAUAUCAUUAGCAUCAUGGAUAUUCAAAGAAUCAUACUAACAACAUUACAAUCAUGCUCAUCAUUUAAAUAUUUUGUGACAAAGGUUUUAUUGACUUCUUCUUCUAACAAUUGAGCACAAUUUUCCGAUCCAUCAUUUUCAACAAAGAUAUUAUAAAGAUGAUCAAUAAUAUUAUGCAACCUCAAAUCCAUUUUUAUGUAGUUUUGUUUUAUAAACCAAACUAGUGAUAAAACAAGAAACUAAAAGAUUUAAUUGCAAGAUAUAAAGAUAUACCUUCAUGCACUCACCUCCCCGGCAACGGCGCGAGAAAAGAGCUUGAUGUCUACUACGCAACUUUAUUCUUGUAGACUCGUGUUGGGCCUCCAAGCGCAGAGUUUUGUAGGACAAUAGCAAUUUUCCCUCAAGUGGAUGACCUAAGAUUUAUCAAUCCGUGGGAGGCAUAGGAUGAAGAUGGUCUCUCUCAAACGACCCUGCAACCAAAUACAAGAAAUCUCUUGUGUCCCCAAAACAUCAAAUACAAUGGCAAAUUGUAUAGGUGCACUAGUUCGGCAAAGAGACAGUGAUAAAAGUGUAAUAUUGAUGGUAGAAAUAUAUUUUUAUAAUCUGAGUAAACAAAAAAAGCAAGGUAGCAAAUAGUAAACGGGCACAAAAACGGUAUUGCAAUGCUUAGAAACAAGGCCUAGGGUCCGUACUUUCGCUAGUGCAAUCUCUCAACAAUGCUAAUAUAAUUGGAUCAUAUAACCAUCCCUCAAAGUGCGACGAAGAAUCACUCCAAAGUUCCUAUCUAGCGGAGAACAUAAGACGGAAUUGUUUGUAGGGUACGAAACCACCUCAAAGCUAUUCUUUCCGAUCAAUCUAUCCUAGAGUUCGUACUAAAAUAACACCAAAGCAAAUUCAGAUUUGUUAUAUUCAAUCCAACACAAAGAACUUCAAAGAGUGCCCCAAGAUUUCUACCGGAGAAACAAAGACAAGAACGUGCAUCAACCCCUAUGCAUAGAUUACCCCAAGAUUUCUACCGGAAAAACUCAAUUCAUCACAACAAGAUGAUCCGACUAUAUUAACAAAGCUUGCGUUACAUCAAGAUCGUGACAUCUCAAGAACACGAGAGAGAGAGAGAGAGAGAGAGAGAGAGAGAGAGAGAGAGAGAGAGAGAGAGAGAGAUUAAACACAUAGCUACUGGUAUAAACCCUCAGCCCUGAGGGUGGGCUACUCCCUCCUCAUCGUGGUGGCAGCCGAGAUGAUGAAGAUGGCCAUCGGAGAUGAUUCCCCCUCCGGCAGGGUGCCAGAAAGGGUCUAGAUUGAUUUUCGAUGGCCACAGAGCCUAGCGGCAGCGGAACUUCUGAUCUCGGUUAACCCCUGAUGGUUUCUCUAUUUAUAGGAUUUUUUGCCGUUGGUUUCAUGCUAAGAUGGGCCUCGACAUGUGCACAACCCACCGGGGCAAGCCAGGCCCACCAGGCGUGCCCUGGUGGGUUGUGCCCUCCUCGUGGCUCUUCUGGCCCUCCCACGAAGCUUCGGGGGUCUCUUUUGUUCAAAAAAAAUUGUCAAGAAGUUUCAGCUCAUUUGGAGAACUUUCAUUUCUGCACAAAAAACAACACCACGGUAGUUCCGCUGAAAACAACGUCAGUCCGGGUUAGUUCCAUGCAAAUCAUACCAAAACCAUAUAAAAUUGUUGUAAACAUGGCAUGAAUACUUCAUAAAUUAUAGAUACGUUGGAGACAUAUCAAAUACCAAGUCAAUUCCAUUAGAAUCAUCAUUCAAUAUAUUUCCAUACCAUAAUAUACUUUUUAUUGUGAAAGUGUAGAUUGUUUUUAUAAACUUGGUCAAACUUUAUAAAGUUCGAUUUAGGUCAAUGCUAAUAUGGGGAGUAAAAACAAAUGGAGGUAUUAAUAUAAGAUAUUUUACAUCACUUAAGUAGUGAUCUAAAAGGUCUUCUAUUACUUUACAGUGGGAGUAAAUCUGCAAGGGUAUCGAUAAACCAUAGUGCAUCAAAAUAUUUUGGUGUUUUUCGUUGGAAAAACCAACGCCGACGUCAAGAUCAGUCUCCUUUCCUUUCUCUUUUCAGGAGCAGAGCUGAAAAAGAUGGGAAAAUAAAAAAAAUGUUACGAAGCCAGUGACCGUAUUUUCACUCCAUGGUCAUUUACACAUUUUCAAGAAACACAGUAACCAGGCUUGUGAUGGUCUGAUGUUGCAUAUACAUUGGAGAUGCCCGAAUGCAACUUAGAUAUUUUAGUUCCCCUUGAUGAUAACUGCACUCUUUUUGCAAAAAACAAAACAAUAGCUACACCUGUAUAAGAAAGAAAAAAGGAAGUAGGUGGCAUGUGGAGUUUGGUAAAGCAAUGAAGUAUGCGCUCACACCUAGUCUAUAAAUAACUACCUUCCUCAUGUAGCAGAAGCAAUGCCAGCAACUAUGAUAGAGAUGUUUUCCCUUUCGAGGUGACUACAGUAGAGGUGGUAUAGAGGUGUUUGACAGUGUGAGGCAUGGAGAAGUCUAAGAGGAGAGCAAAAAUGUCCAGCAUGAUAAGUGUGGCACUGAUGCUUGAAUGGGGACGUCUUUUAGGAAUGGGAUGUAUUGGAAAUUUCAAUUAGAGUUAGAGGACGCUAAAAUGUCCAGUAUCAUAAGGAAUAGGAAGAAAAGGAGAGCCUCUGUGUACAUAUUGUUUUUGUUCAGCAAGCAAAUUUGGAUGUUGAACCUGUACUACACAUAACCGUCUCAUCUUAGACAAUAGUGUCCUUUUAGUUAGAGGAUCUUUGGUUUUCCUUGAGAAAGAAGAGGAACCCUGAUUUCAUUAACCAUAUGGGGAUUAGAGUGGCACAGGAAAAAAAAUAACACCUCAUAUGAAAGAAAUAGAAUGAGAAAGGUAUAGUUCAUUUUUUUCUCUUUUGAAACUAAAUGGCAAUAAUGGUUUUAUCGUCCUUCAGGUCAAACGAAGGAACCAAUCCUCAAUUCCUUUGUGACCUAAACAACAACAUAUCUUUUGUCCCAUUUCACUAAUCUGUUCAGAACGAGGAACAACUACCUGGUCAAAGAGUAACACUCGAACUAACAAAGAUUUAUCAGAACUAGAUGACCCGGCUGCACGGAUGGCGCAAGAAGCCAGUUAGAAGUGAUAUUAGUAGUGAGUAAGGAAGUGAAGUUAGUAAUCCAUAAGCUAAGACAAACCAAUGUGGAGAUUGCAUAAGAGCAUUAUAAACAUCAAGUCUACCAGUCUGAUACACAAGCCAUAGACACUGAAGGGUUACGAUGGUGUCCUCGUAGGCGGAUGCAGCAAAAACUACCAUCUGAACCAAAUAUAGCAACGAGCAUCCAACCGGCAACCAUAUGAACCAAAGGUAGCAAUGAGCAUCCAGUGGACGUAUAGCUGUGCAUGCAUCAAAACCUACCAUCUAACCGAAGAUAGCAAUGAUAAUCCAGCGGACAAACAUAUGAAUUAAAGAUCUUAGCUAUAUAAGCAGUACACGGUCUAGCCUGAGAAUAGGAUAGGGGACAUACAAUUAUACGGAUAGAAAAUUACAAUUAGCUAUAUAAGUACACUUAGAGUAUCAGUACCCCAUUCACGAAGGAGAUACAUUGAUUCCAAACCAUGAAAGAGGAUGAUUCUCUACCCCAUUCACGAAGCUAGUUAAUGAAUAGCGUUAGGACCACUCAGAUCUCAGACAGUGAGCUGUGGACGUAAAUGUAUAGUUCUUUUCAUGUGAGGGGCUUCUCAACCGAAUGCAGUGUGCAUGAUAGAGGUUUGUACCCAAAUAGGAUACGCUAUACUUUCUUCUUUUUAAAGAAAUCCCACCUUAGAGUAUGAGUACCACUAAGAUCCGUGUGGGCGAAAUCCUACCAUGAGAACCUACUCGCACUAAGCAAUGUCAAAACAAAAGAUAAAUCUAUAGCAACACAUGUUUCACUAGUUGCAAACCACAAAAGGUAUAAACUUAAGGUCAUUCAGUUACAUAUACCAUGCAAUUCAUUUAGAGGCCAAUCUUUACCUACUAAUAAAGCGGCUAUCGCUUCUGGUCGUCCGUCAUUAAAAUUACCCUCUAAGUUGGUAAAAAUUACCACCAAUGCCACCCAUAAGUGGGAAAACGAUUCAAGUUUUCGAACAAAAAUCACCGCCUCCUUCGUGGUCAUAUAGCGGCGUGGCGACAAUAAAUCACAAAACGAUGAUCAGCAGAGUGGUUGGCUGAUCGCUCCUGUAGCGACGAGACUAGGGUUCGAAUCCCAGUUUUCACAAUUUUUAUCUUUCUUUUCUCACGCAUGUCCUACCCAUGUAUGCGUUCAUGGGCCGGCCCAUGUGCAGGGCUUUACUCCCCUGUUUUUUUUCAUUUUACUUUUUGUCUUUUCUUUUCUCAUUUUGUUUUCUUUCUUAUUUCUUAUUUAAAUUAAUUUGGGAUUUUAAUAUUCUAAAAGUUGCGAGUUUUCAAAAAAAAAAAGUUUGAGNNNNNNNNNNNNNNNNNNNNNNNNNNNNNNNNNNNNNNNNNNNNNNNNNNNNNNNNNNNNNNNNNNNNNNNNNNNNNNNNNNNNNNNNNNNNNNNNNNNNNNNNNNNNNNNNNNNNNNNNNNNNNNNNNNNNNNNNNNNNNNNNNNNNNNNNNNNNNNNNNNNNNNNNNNNNNNNNNNNNNNNNNNNNNNNNNNNNNNNNNNNNNNNNNNNNNNNNNNNNNNNNNNNNNNNNNNNNNNNNNNNNNNNNNNNNNNNNNNNNNNNNNNNNNNNNNNNNNNNNNNNNNNNNNNNNNNNNNNNNNNNNNNNNNNNNNNNNNNNNNNNNNNNNNNNNNNNNNNNNNNNNNNNNNNNNNNNNNNNNNNNNNNNNNNNNNNNAAAUGUUUGAGAAAUCAUAAAAAUAUAUGUGAAUUCAAAAAUGUUUAGAAAAUCAUAAAAAAUUUGCAGAUUCAAAAAAUGUUGGUGUUUUUGCAAAAUUGUUCACAAAAUUAUAAAAAAUCACAAUUUGGAAAAAAUGGUCGGGAAAUAAAAUCAUGUUCAUGGGCCGGCCCAUGUGCAGGGCUUUACUCCCCUGUUUUUUUUAUUUUACUUUUUUGUCUUUUCUUUUCUCAUUUUGUUUUCUUUCUUAUUUCUUAUUUAAAUUAAUUUGGGAUUUUAAUAUUCUAAAAGUUGCGAGUUUUCAAAUUUUUUUUUGAAAAAAUGAUCGUGUAUUCAAAACAUAUUCGGGAAUCUGGAAAAAAAGUCCAUUCACAAAAUUAAAAAUAAAAAUUUGUUCCCCAAUUUUUUUUAAAAAAGUUCGUCGAUUCAAAAAAUGUUUGUUGAGUCAAAAAAUGUUAAUGAAUUCGAAACCGGUUCAUACAUUUAAAAAGAUUGUAAACAAAACUAAUGUUCAUGAUUUUUUUGAGGAAAUAAAAAAUUUCAAAACAAAAUUGUCGAUUCAAAAAAUUGUUCACUGAUUCAAAAGUAUUUUAUGUCUAGGAUUUGAUUAGUUUUUCGAAAGUUUUUAUAUAUCUUGGCGUUGGGAGUAGUUCGUGGUCAAUGAGAUUUGUUUUUAAAGUUUUAAAUGUUCCCUUGCACAACAUAAUGAUAAGUGUGGCAUGCACUAGCAAAUUCAUAGCCUUGGGAUUUACCACGGAAUGCAUUGUGAUCACGUGGACAUCGCGACCACCGGCUAGGGUGAGAAAAAUAAAUAAAUGGCAACAUGGUAAGCCACUAUGUUAAAAUAGAGUAUGCUCAUACAUCAGGAUAUUGAGUCGGGGCAUAUUUGCUAUUUGCUAGUAACAAUAAAGCAAUUAGUGCUUCUGCCCGCCCGCUCACCGUCGUGACAGUUUUGUAAAAAAGCCCCUGUUGUUACAGCUAUUUAACCUGCAGUCCUUUUUAGUUUUCGGUCUGUCCGUCGUGGUCUCUUCCAUCGCUGGACUGGAUGGACCAAGCCGUGGGUUUCCUGCUCGCCCGCGUGGGCCGAGUAGGCAUCGGCCGCACUUCAUUAUUUUUAUUAAAACGAUGAUUGGAGGAGCAGCGAAAAAUACUUACGUGCGAGGAUUAGAACUCGUAAAUAGUCCCACCUCGCUAUUCUGCAUCCAAUCCAAUCAUUUUAUAUCUGCGGGCGGCUUUGCUGUAUCAAAAAUCAACAACAGCGGGAACAGAACGAAGGUAUUAAUCCUGCAAGAGGGAAGAAGGGAGCAAAUGAAUACACAAUCUGUAGGUUCAAAGGAAGAACUCUGAAUCAGAUAAGGGCUCGGUGGGGAUUGCCUGAUGCUUGUUUUAAUCAACCAUUGUACAAAUGGUUAUCUGCUAGGUGUCCCCUUCUUAUAUUGGCUUAAUGUGAUUAUUUGACUGUACCGCCUUAUAAUUUGAUGACAAUAGUUUCAACCUAGUAAGCCCUGUGAUAUUCAUGUAACUGUGAUCUCAGAAAUAAAAGUUCAUAGGAAAAAAAAACCUUCACUUAACAUAGAGUUGUCUUGUACCUUAUACUGAAAAAGGUUUGUACGGUAUGAAAAUAUGUUUCGAGGUGAAACAAAUUAUGUUUAUUAGUCAUGCCAGUUUUAGGCACAACUAGAGUCAACUAGGUGUUGUAAUGCUGGACUAACGAUGGACCUUGCUCGGAGAAAAAAAUCUAGGGCCUUCCAUGGGAUAAUAUAUUGGAUAUAUUCCCAUUGUGCUUUGCAUAAUUGUGUUUUGCAUAAUUAUUCUUGGAAGCAUACCGAGCAGGAGCAGGUCAUAUAUUCAACAAAGCGCUGAGAUGAUGCACUCUGUCUUUUCUUGAAGACGCACCAGGUAUAUGUCAAAACCAUUUUAUGUAACUGUGGAACCGAGUUUGGAGCUGAAAUGUUCCCACAUACAAAAAAGGCAGAAUUGAAUGUAUAGGCUUGUAGCCCUCUCGGUGGGGAUUUGGUGCUGUUGCUAUUGCUUUUGCUCUUUUUUUAGGGUUUGAUUAAUUCUCUUGAACAUAUAGAUGAAGCGAUUGCAUAGUUAGUUUUUGGGCUACUUUUUAAAUGGAUUGCUUUAGCCAACUGAGAUAAUAAAAAGUUAUGACGCUUAUCUCAAUAACUUCAACAAUACUAUGUACAUUAAAUUGGACUGUACACAGUCAGCAAGCCAAACAAUGCAUACUCUUCCCCUCCCACACCCAAAAAAGAAUCAUACAUAUGUUCGUUAGACUUUUGCAAUAAAUUUUUAUCCCGUUGCAAUGCACGGGCUAUUUUCCUAGUACAUAAAAAAUAAAAUAGAAAUGAAAGACAUAUUGUAAGAGAGACACAAAGAGUAUUCAAGAACACUUUAUUAUGCUAUGAAACUGAGUACAUCUAAACAAGAAGCAUACAAUCAUAGAGUAGUAAAUGUACCCCACCAACCUCUGCUGCUUCUGCCGGCAGGCGCCAAAUUCGCCACCGCCUUUCAAUAAUAUGGCAGAAACAUGAUUUGGCCUGAUUAUUAUUUAUGAUAUUGUCUUAUAGAGUGUAGCACCUACAAGACAAGCUAAAUAUUUAUAGUAAUGAAGCCAUGCCUUAUUUCUUAAAAAGUUUCUAGCCUAUUAGAACAGGAACAAAAAAAGUAAGAAUAAACUGCCAAAUUAUACCAUGAAAUCACUAAUUUAAUCAAGUUUCUGGUCCAACCUUUGUAUCUACUCAUCUACAGGUAGCAUAUCGACCCACCUAUCCGAGGAAAAAAAGUGGUGAACAAAUACUCAAAUAAAGCACACCAAAAGGGGUAUAACAGAAGAAUGGAACACAUAGUGGCAUUCCUUGGAUCAAUCAUUGUGGAUCUGAGCGGGGAGAGGAAUGGAGCACAAGUAGAGGAAUGCAACGGAAGUUUGAUGAGGUCAAAAUCAUACACAUGCAAAUCAAACAAAGCAUCAGAACAGAAGCAUAGUAAGCCGAAGUAUAGAAUGGCAUUGAAAUCAACCUCUUUAUCUAUCACAAGGUCAGUAUGCUUGAUAGGCCCAUUAUCAGUCGCCCCACGGUAAUGCCAUAAACGUGAAAAAUCUUGGUGCUUGACAAGGAGAAAGAAGAAUACCAAAAAGGUUAGGCAAAAAAAUAUAGAAGGAUAAAACAAAGAGAUGCACCCACUCAUUAGAAAUGCCUCCAAGAAAGCAUAUUGUUGUAGACAUUGUCAAGGCAGGAAGCAACAAAAUGCAACAGACUAAAACCAAACUUUAUUCAACAGGGAAUGAUUUACAAUAACCAAAAGAUUUUGCACAUCAAGCAGUAAAUAGGUAGUAGAUAUUAAUACCCGUGAGAUUGGACAAGCGUAAAAAAAGAGCAUCAGUGUAGAACGGGUAUAUAAUCAGUGUAGUCAACAAAAGAUAGGCAGAAGAGAAACUGAAGAACCCAGAAAGAGCAUUCAUAUAUGAGGUAGUAAGCUGUAUGAACCAAAGGACUGUUGACAACAGCUAGUACAGAACUGGCAGUUGGCACCACACAUGUCGGACGACCACCUUAAACAACUAGAACAGACUGGCAGUCGAUAGCGAACAUGGUAAAUACUAAAUACAACAAUGUACAUACUAUAAAAUACACCACCAGCAUGGAUUCUAAGAAAUGGAUUGGAAUAUCUCAGGAAACACAAUGUUCUUGGUCUGAGAAUCAGUAGUACCAUCUUCAUUUGUAUGUUUAGACAACAACUUUCAGUAGGCUUUCAUAAACCUCUCCCCAUAUAUAACAAGAACACUAACCUUCGGUACAUCAUCGUCGUGAGCUAGAUCUUCAGUUGAGGUAUAUCUUUAGUGGCAAUAACAAACACAACAUCCAGGAAAAUCCAUGAAGCUAUAGAAGAAUUAUCCAACUGUUUUUACGAGAAGCAUAAAAGGAACCAUGGCAUUAGUAAGCAAAGGGAAAUUAGUGUGUCGCCUAAUAAAUGGAAGAAUAAUGCAGUAAACCAAAAAGGGACUUGUCACCAAUUGGUAAAAAUUUCUCUGCCUAAUUAAAAGCAUAUGCCACAGAUUUGUAGCUAUCCCAAGAUGCCUAAUUGUAAAAACAUAUGCAACAGAUUUGUAGCUAUCCCAAGAUGAAAGACAACAAAAAAUGGCAGAAAUACUUGCUUCUUGAACAAUCAAAGCUCAUGUAUACCAGACUUCACGUGUAGCGCAUAUAAUCCCCACAGAACACAGCAACUACUAUUAAUGCAAUUAACAAGCACCAACCAUCGGUUCUUUCUAACCAGAUGAAGUUAAUUGUAUGUGAGAAUGGCACAUCAGUUCUGAAAGUAGGAUCUUCUGUGUAAAGAAAUAACACAAAAUGAAGCAAGAAUUCAUAAAUAGAUCCGAGAGAAAUAACAUUAAAAGAGAAAGAACCUGUCAAUUGACUGAAGGAAAGACAAUACAACUGAAAUAUAGUAGGCAUAAGAAUAAAAUCCAUUUGUAGCCUAAAUUACAUAUAAUAAAAUUUUGUUCUCCCCAAAAACUAUUUGAAGAGGGACAAAUAAGAACACCCCUGCUACCAAAAACUAUCUAAAGAGGGACAAAUAAGAACACCCCUACUACCAAAAACUAUUGGAAGAGGGACAAAUAAGAACACCCUUGCUAACAUAUAGAUAUGCAGGCUAAUGUUUUUCCAACUAAAAUGCAGGGUCAAAUUAGAUUCAACUAAAAUGGGAGAAAUAGACACCCGCAUGCCACCUUUAUGCAAAACAAGUUGCAUGUCAGUCGGUGGAACUGAUCUCAUGUACGUGGACAUGUAGGGUUGGUCCGAGCCGCUUCAUCCCACAAUGCCGCCGAAUCAAAAUAAGACAUUGGUGGGAAGCAAUAUGAACAUCACCGCCCACAACUCCAUUGUGUUCUACUCGUGCAUAUCAUCUACGCAUAGACCUGGCUCAUGAUGCCAUUGAUGGGGAAUAUUGCAUGGAAAACAAAAAAAAUCCACGCACACGCAAGAUCUGUCCUUGGAGAUGCAUAGCUAUGAGAGGGGGAGAGAAUCCACAUAACCUUGUAGAUCGCUAAGCGGAAGCAUUUAUCAUCGCGGUUGAUGUAGUCUUACACCUUCACGAUCUGUUCCGAUAAAGCACCAGACGCACGGCACCUCCGCGUUCAGCACACAACUCAAUGAUGUCCUAGCCUUCUUGAUCCAGGAAGAGGGGCGAAGUAGUAGAUGAGUUUGCAGCACGACGGUGUGGUGACGGUGGUGGUGAAACUAUUUCCGCAGGGCUUCACCAAGCACAACGGAUUAGAGCAGAGGAUAAACUAGAGGGAGAGGGGGCGCCGACACACGGCUUGGGGAUUGAUGGUGUGUGGUGCCCCUCCGCUCCUCUCAUAUAUAUUAGGUGGAGUAGGAGGGGAGGCAGCCCUAGGCGCCCCCUUUCCUUUUUAACGCGAGGAAGAGAAGGCAAGAGGGGGCCGACCCUCUUCCUUCCUUCCCCUGGCCGGUGGCAAUGAGGUGGGGCGUGCCAGCCCCCCUUGUGGGCUGGUGUGCUCCCCUCGUUGGCCCGUUUGGCCCAUUAACUCCUCGUGGCCUCCCGGUACCCCUUCCAAUCAUCCGAUAAUUAUUCGGUGCAUUCCGAAACUUUUCCAGAGACCAAAUACUAUCAUCCUAUAUAUCAAUCUUUACCUCCGGACUAUUCGGGAUCUCCUCGUCAUGUCCGUGAUCUCAUCCAGGACUCCGAACAACAUUCGGUCACCAACAUACAUAACUCAUAUAGUACUAUAUCAUCAACGAACGUUAAGUGUGCGUGAUAACCCACAAGUAUAGGGGAUCGCAACAGUUUUCGAGGGUAGAGUAUUCAACCCAAAUUUAUUGAUUCGACACAAGGGGAGCCAAAGAAUAUUCUCAAGUAUUAGCAGUUGAGUUGUCAAUUCAACCACACCUGGAUAACUUAAUAUCUGCAGCAAAGUAUUUAGUAGCAAAGUAGUAUGGAAGUAACGGUAACAGUGGCAAAAGUAACGGUAGCAGUUUUGUAAUAAUUGUAACAAUGGCAAUGGAAAAGUAACUAAGCGAAGACCAAUAUGUGAAAAGCUCAUAGGCAUUGGACCGGUGAUGGAUAAUUAUGUCGGAUGCGAUUAUUCAUGCAACAGUUAUAACAUAGCGUGACACAGAACUAGCUCCAAUUCAUCAAUGUAAUGUAGGCAUGUAUUCUGAAUAUAGUCAUACGUGCUUAUGGAAAAGAACUUGCAUGACAUCUUUUGUCCUACCCUCCCGUGGCAGCGGGGUCCUAUUGGAAACUAAGGGAUAUUAAGGCCUCCUUUUAAUAGAGUACCGGACCAAAGCAUUAACACUUAGUGAAUACAUGAACUCCUCAAACUACGGUCAUCACCGGUAAGUAUCCCGAUUAUUGUCACUUCGGGGUUAACGGAUCAUAACACAUAAUAGGUGACUAUAGACUUGCAAGAUAGGAUCAAGAACUCACAUAUAUUCAUAAAAACAUAAUAGGUUCAGAUCUGAAACCAUGGCACUCGGGCCCUAGUGACAAGCAUUAAGCAUAGCAAAGUCAUAGCAACAUCAAUCUCAGAACAUAGUGGAUACUAGGGAUCAAACCCUAACAAAACUAACUCGAUUACAUGAUAAAUCUCAUCCAACCCAUCACCAUCCAGCAAGCCUACGAUGGAAUUACUCAUGCACGGCGGUGAGCAUCAUGAAAUUGGUGAUGGAGGAAGGUUGAUGAUGACGACGGUGACGGAUUCCUCUCUCCGGAGCCCCGAACGGACUCCAGAUCAGCCCUCCCGAGAGAGUUUAGGGCUUGGCGGCGGCUUCGUAUCGUAAAACGCGAUGAAUCCUUCUCCCUGAUUUUUUUCUCCCCGAACGUGAAUAUAUGGAUUUGGAGUUGAGGUCGGUGGAGCACCAGGGGGCCCAUGAGGCAGGGGGCACGCCCAGGGGGGUAGGCGCGCCCCCACCCUCGUGGAAAGGGUGUGGGCCCCCUGUGCUUGAUUCUUUCGCCAGUAUUUUUUAUUAAUUCCAAAAAUAUUCUUCGUGAAGUUUCAGGUCAUUCCGAGAACUUUUAUUUCUGCACAAAAACAACACCAUGGCAAUUCUGCUGAAAACAGCGUCAGUCCUGGUUAGUUCCAUUCAAAUCAUGCAGGUUAGAAUCCAAAACAAGGGCAAAAUUGUUUGGAAAAGUAGAUACGAUGGAGACGUAUCAACUCCCCCAAGCUUAAACCUUUGCUUGUCCUCAAGCAAUUCAGUUGAUAAACUGAAACUGAUAAAGAAAAACUUUUACAAACUCUGUUUGCUCUUGUUGUUGCAAAUAUGUAAAGCCAGCAUUCAAGUUUUCAGCAAAGAUUAUGAACUAACCAUAUUCACAAUAACAUUUAGGUCUCAGGUUUACUCAUAUCAAUGGCAUAAUCAACUAGCGAGCAAUAAUAAAUCUCGGAUGGCAACACUUUCUCAAAACAAUCAUAAUAUGAUAUAACAAGAUGGUAUCUCGCUAGCCCUUUCUGAGCCCGCAAAACAUAAAUGCAGAGUACCUCUAAAGACCAAGGACUGACUAAAUAUUGUAAUUCAUGGUAAAAGAGAUCCAGUCAUAGUCAUACUCAAUAUAAAUUAAUAGUAAUGGAUGCAAAUGACAACGAUGCUCUCCAACUGGUAAUGCUUAAUAAGAGGAGGAUGACUCAACAUAAAAGUAAAUAGAUAGUCCCUUCGCAGAGGGAAGCAGGGAUUUGUAGAGGUGCCAGAGCUCGGUUUUGAAAUAGAGAUGAAUAAUAUUUUGAACGACAUACUUUCAUUGUCAACAUAACAACCGAGAGAUCUCGAUAUCUUCCAUGCUACACACAUUAUAGGCAGUUCCCAAACAAAAUGGUAAAGUUUAUACUCCCCCUCCACCAACAAACAUCAAUCCAUGGCUUGUCCGAAAUAACGGGUGCCUCCAACUAACAACAGUCCUGGGGGAGUUUUGUUUGCAAUUAUUUUGAUUUGGUUUGAGCAUGGGACUAGGCAUCCCGGUGACCAGCCAUUUUCUCAUGAAUGAGGAGCGGAGUCCACUCCUCUUGAGAAUAACCCGCCUAGCAUGGAAGAUAUAGACAACCCUAGUUGAUACAUGAGCUAUUCGAGCAUGCAAAACAGAAUUUCAUUUGAAGUUUUAGAGUUUGGCACAUACAAAUUUACUUGGAAUGGUAGGUAGAUACCGCAUAUAGGAAGGUAUGGUGGACUCAUAUGGAAUAACUUUGGGGUUUAUGGAAGUGGAUGCACAAGAAGUAUUCCCACUAAGUACAAGUGAAGGCUAGAAAAAGACUGGGAAGCGACCAACUAGAGAGCGACAACAGUCAUGAACAUGCAUUAAAAUUAAUAAAAAUUGAGUGCAAGCAUGAGUAGGAUAUAAUCCACCAUGAACAUAAAUAUCGUGGAGGCUAUGUUAAUUUUAUUUCAACUACAUGUGUGAACAUGUGCCAAGUCAAGCCACUUGAAUCAUUCAAAGGAGGAUACCACCCUAUCAUACCACAUCACAACCAUUUUAAUAACAUGUUGGCACGCAAGGUAAACCAUUAUAAACUCCUAGCUAAUUAAGCAUGGCAUAAGCAACUAUAAUCUCUAAUUGUCAUUGCAAACAUGUUUCAUUCAUAAUAGGCUGAAUCAGGAACGAUGAACUAAUCAUAUUUACAAAAACAAGAGAGGUCGAGUUCAUACCAGCUUCUCUCAUCUCAAUCAGUCCAUCAUAUAUCGUCAUUAUUGCCUUUCACUUGCACGACCGAAUGGUGUGGAUAAUAAUAAUACUGCUCGUGCAUUGGACUUAGCUGGAAUCUGCAGACAUUUUAAUACACAGGAGAAGACAAGGUAAUAUGGGCUCUUGGUUAAUUCAACAAUAAUGCAUAUGAGAGCCACUUCAACCUUUUCAUCAUGGUCUUCUCCUCUCGACCCUCAAACAAAAGAAAGGAAAUAAAACUAUUUACACGAGAAAGCUCCCAACAAGCAAAAGAAGAACGAGAAAUCUUUUUGGGUUUUCUUUUAAUUAUUACUACUACAGGCAUGGAAAGUAAACUAGCUAAAAGCUACAACUAAUUUUUUUUUGGUUUUUCCUUAAGGUUUUUCAAACACACAAGAAGAAAGCAAGAAAAGAAAAUAAACUAGCAUGGAUAGUACAAUGAAAAAGUAUGAACACCGACAACUAGAAUGAGUGUGUGAACAUGAAUGUAAUGUCGGUGAGAAAUACGUAUUCCCCCAAGCUUAGGCUUUUGGCCUAAGUUGUUCUAUGGCCACGUCUGGCCUGGCGGAUAUCCAAAUUUGUAGCUAGGGUCGUACUGAGAAGGAUCCUCAGGUGCCACUGGUUGGCGAUCUCCUCUGGAUCCCACUGAUAAACGGACUGACGGUGAGGGUCAGGUGGUGGCUCCGGCUCGGGCUCUGGAGCUGGUGUUAGGUUCCGGUAGGCAUGAAUGCCCUCCGGCGGAACAAGGUACUUGCCUGAAAACAUGUUGAACAAAGAAGGAGCAGGCAAGGUAAUAGUCUCAAAGUAAUUUUUUUAAUCAAAUAUCAGUCUAUAGUUAAGCAUCUUUUUCUUAUUCUUAACAAGAAAAUCAUGUGCUACUAUACUGUUAUAGUCUAGAAAAAUAGGAGGCAUCAACUUUUCCUAUUUCUCAUAGUGUCUAAUAGGUAUCUCAAAAUAUUUAGCAAGCCGCGAAGCAAAGAUACCUCCAAAGAUGGGACCCUUCGUAUGGUUUAGAUUUAACUGCUUGGCAACAAUAGUGCCUAAACUAAAAGUGUUAUCAUGAAACAAAGCAUGGCACAAAAUAACAAUAUCAGGGGCACUAAGGUUUCCACAGUUCCCGCGACCAAUUAAGCAUAUACUAGCAAAUAUUGCAAAGUAACGUAGAACAGGAAAGUGUAUGCUAGUAAUUCUUGCAUCGGAAACCUUCCUCGUCUCCCCUACAGCGAUCAUAUCAAUGAACCCCUCCACAUUGUUAUGAUGUGAUUCCUCUAUGCUGCCAUCAAAGGGCAACUUGCAAACCCCACAAAAGUCAUGAAGUGACAUCUCUUUAUACUCAUCAUAUAAAUAAAAAUCCACCGAAGGUGGUGAUCUCCUAGCACGGAAAUGAAAAUUUUGCACAAAAAUAUUAGUGAGUAGGAGAUACUGAUUGAGCUGGUCAUGGAGGAAGUCGAUGAGGCCGGCAUUCUCAGCCAAAUGGUAAAAAUCAUCAUGAAUCCCGGCUGCUCUCAAGAAAUCAUCACAAGGCCAUUCACACGGCCGAACCUCCGCGGUGCAAGGGAGAUUAUAUUUGGGCCCCUUAUCCUCUUCACUUUACUUAUCCUUCGAGCUUCGGCUCGAAGAGCCCCUCAAAAAUCUCUUCAUCAUUUUCUGAAAAUUUCUGAAAUUUUUAGUAACUCGAAAUAAAAGUGAACCUAAACUGAACAAAAUUGAUAGCAACUACUCCCACAAGUGCCUAGAGACUAUGUCAUACAUUAGAACUACUUGGGACCAAAUAAAUUUGACAUGCAAGCUCAAGAACAGGGUCACCUAAGCAGCAAAAUUUUGCAAUAAAUAAAGCACUAGAACAAAAACUAAUUGGACCAUUGGAGGAGUCACAUACCGAAGAUCAAUCCCCCAAAGCAGUUUUGUGAGUGGAGCUUUGAGCAAGGAGAUCGAAAAUGGCAGCAAGAUAAGCUAGAACUCGUGCUUGAGCUGGUUGGUGAUUUUUUCUAGAGGAAGAAGAAGUGUGUGGGUGCAGGAAUAAGUGGAGGGGGGCCACCAGGGGCCCACGAGGCAGGGGGCGCGCCCAGGGGGUGGGCGCGCCCUGGACCCUCGUGGCCAGGUGCUGGCUCCCCCUAAUGUGUUCUUAGUGCCAGAUAUUCUCAAAUAUUCUAGAAAAAAAUCAUAUUUCAAUUGCAGGGCAUUUGGAGAACUUUUAUUUUUGGGGUAUUUUUUUAUUGUACGGAUAAUUCAGAAAACUGACAGAAAAUACUAUUUUUACUUUAUUUAAUCUAAAUAACAGAAAGUAAAAAAGAGGGUACAGAGAGUUGUGCUUUCUAACUUCAUCCAUCUCAUGCUCAUCAAAAGGAAUCCACUUAACAAGGUUGAUCAAGUCUUGUUAACAAACUCUUUUCGAGUAACAUGGACCCGGAGAAAUUUUGAAAAACACUAGGUUACCUCAACGGGGAUAUGCACGUCCCCAACAAUAAGAAUAUCAUAUUUCUUGUUGACAGUAGGAAGAGGAAAUUCAAAACCUCCAAUAGUAGUAGUUGAAAUUUUUCCAAUAGAAUUGAUACCGUGGACUUGAGGUUGUUUCCUCGGAAAGUGUACCGUAUGCUCAUUACCAUUAACAUGAAAAGUGACAUUGCCUUUGUUGCAAUCAAUAACAGCCCCUGCAGUAUUCAAAAAGGGUCUUCCCAGAAUAAUAGACAUACUAUCGUCCUCAGGAAUAUCAAGGAUAACAAAGUCUGUUAAAAUAGUAACAUUUGCAACCACAACAGGCACAUCCUCACAAAUACCGACAGGUAUAGCAGUUGAUUUAUCGGCCAUUUGCAGAGAUAUUUCAGUAGUUGUCAACUAAUUCAAAUCAAGUCUACGAUAUAAAGAGAGAGAGGCAUAACACUAACACCGGCUCCAAGAUCACAUAAAGCAGUUCUAACAUAGUUUCUUUUAAUUGGAGCAUGGUAUAGUUGGUACUCCUGGAUCUCCUAGUUUCUUAGGUAUUCCACCCUUAAAAGUGUAAUUAGCAAGCAUGGUGGAAAUUUCAGCUUCCGGUAUCUUUCUUUUAUUUGUAACAGUAUCUUUCAUGUACUUAGCAUAAGGAUUCAUUUUAAGCAUAUCAGUAAAACGCAUACGCAAGAAGAUAGGCCUAAUCAUUUCAGCAAAGCGCUCAAAAUCCUCAUCAUCCUUUUUCUUGGAUGGUUUAGGAGGAAAAGGCAUGGGUUUUUGAACCCAUGGUUCUCUUUCUUUACCGAGCUUCCUAGCAACGAAGUCUCUCUUAUCAUAAUGUUGAUUCUUUGAUUGUGGGUUAUCAAGAUCAGCAGGUUCAAUCUCUACAUCAUUGUCAUUGCUAGGUUGAGCAUCAACAUGAACAUCAUCAUUAAUAUUAUCACUAGGUUCAUGUUCAUCACCAGAUUGUGUUUCAGCAUCAGAAAUAGAAAUAUCAUUGGGAUUCUCAGGUGUGUCAACAACAGGUUCACUAGAAGCAUGCAAAGUCCUAUCAUUUUUCUUUUUCUUCCUCUUAGAAGGACUAGGUGCAUCAACAUUAGUUCUCUGAGAAUCUUGCUCAAUUCUCUUAGGGUGGCCCUCAGGAUACAAAGGUUCCUGAGUCAUUCUACCCCCUCUAGUCACAACUCUAAUAGCAUUACCCUUUUUCUUACUAUUUAAUUCAUUGAGAAAACCAUUUUGUGCUUUAAGCACUUGUUCUACUUGAGUGGUAACCAUAGAAGCAUGUUUACUAAUAAGUUUGAGUUCAGCUUUAACACUAGACAUAUAAUUACUCAAGUGUUCAAUCAUAUAAGCAUUAUGUUUCAAUUGUCUACCAACAUAAGCAUUGAAGUUUUCUUGUGUAACAAUAAAAUUAUCAAACUCAUCUAAGCAUUGGCUAGCAGACUUAUAACGAGGAAUAUCACCUUCAUCAAAUCUAUAGAGAGAAUUUACCUUUACUACCUAUGUCGGGUUAUCAAGACCAGGUAUUUCUUCAACACGCGGCAAAUUAAGACCAUGUAUUUCUUCAAUAGGAGGUAAAUUCCUUACAUCAUCAGCUUUAAUACCUUUUUCUUUCAUAGAUUUCUUUGCCUCUUGCAUAUCUUCAGGACUGAGAAAUAGAAUACCCCUUUUCUUCGGAGUUGGCUUAGGAGUUGGUUCAGGAAGUGUCCAAUUAUUUUCAUUAGUCAACAUAUUAUUCAAUAGCAAUUCAGCUUGAUCAACCGUUCUUUCCCUGAAAACACAACCAGCACAACUAUCCAGGUGGUCUCUGGAAGCAUCGGUUAGUCCAUUAUAAAAGAUAUCAAGUAUUUCAUUUUUCUUGAGAGGAUAAUCAGGCAAAGCAUUAAGUAAUUGGAUAAGCCUCCCCCAAGCUUGUGGGAGACUGUCUUCUUCAAUUUGCACAAAAUUAUAUAUUUCUCUUAAAGCAGCUUGUUUCUUAUGAGCGGGGAAAUAUUUAGCAGAGAAGUAAUUAAUCGUAUCCUGGGGACUACGCACACAACCAGGAUCAAGAGAAUUAAACCAUGUCUUAGCAUCACCCUUUAAUGAGAACAGAAAUAAUUUAAGGAUGUAGUAGUAGCGAGUUUCCUCAUCAUUAGUGAACAGGGUGGCUAUAUCAUUUAAUUUAGUAAGAUGUGCCACAACAGUUUCAGAUUCAUAGCCAUAAAAAGGAUCAGAUUCAACCAAAGUAAUUAUCUCAGGAUCGACAGAGAAAUCAUAAUCCUUAUCAGUAACACAGAUAGGUGAAGUAGCAAAAGCAGGGUCAUAUUUCAUUCUAGCAUUCAAAGACUUUUCCUUCAGCUUAGCUAAUAAUUUCUUAAGAUCAUUCCUAUCAUUGCAGGCAAGAAAUUCUCUAGCAGUUUCUUCAUCCAUAACAUAGCCCUCAGGCACAACAGGCAAUUCAUAUCUAGGAGGAGAAUCUUCAUCAUCACUUUCAUCAAUAUUAUCAUUUUCAGUAAUUCCAUUCUCUCUAGCCCUAGCAAGUUGUUCAUCAAGAAAUGCACCUAGUGGCACAUUAGUAUCAAGCAUAGAAGUAGUUUCAUCAUAAGUAUCAUGCAUCGCAGAAGUGGCAUCAUCAAUAACAUGCGACAUAUCAGCAUUAAUAGCAGAAGUGGGUUUAGGUGUCACAAGUUUACUCAAAACAGAAGGCGAAUCAAGUGCAGAGCUAGAUGGCAGUUCCUUACCUCCCCUCGUAGUUGAGGGAUAAAUUUUGCUUUCCUCGUCUUUCAAGUUCCUCAUAGUAAUCAGCAGAUUUAUAUCCCAAGUGACUCAAAGGAUAGAGCUAUGCUCCCCGGCAACGGUGCCAGAAAAUAGUCUUGAUAACCCACAAGUAUAGGGGAUCGCAACAGUUUUCGAGGGUAGAGUAUUCAACCCAAAUUUAUUGAUUCGACACAAGGGGAGCCAAAGAAUAUUCUCAAGUAUUAGCAGUUGAGUUGUCAAUUCAACCACACCUGGAUAACUUAAUAUCUGCAGCAAAGUAUUUAGUAGCAAAGUAGUAUGGAAGUAACGGUAACAGUGGCAGAAGUAACGGUAGCAGUUUUGUAAUAAUUGUAACAGUGGCAACGGAAAAGUAACUAAGCGAAGACCAAUAUGUGAAAAGCUCGUAGGCAUUGGAUCGGUGGUGGAUAAUUAUGUUGGAUGCGGUUCAUCAUGUAACAAAUAUAACAUAGGGUGACACAGAACUAGCUCCAAUUCAUCAAUGUAAUGUAGGCAUGUAUUCCGAAUAUAGUCAUAUGUGCUUAUGGAAAAGAACUUGCAUAACAUCUUUUGUCCUACCCUCCCGUGGCAGCGGGAUCCUAUUGGAAACUAAGGGAUAUUAAGGCCUCCUUUUAAUAGAGUACCGGACCAAAGCAUUAACUCAUAGUGAAUACAUGAACUCCUCAAACUACGGUCAUCACCGAAAGUGGUCCCGAUUAUUGUCACUUCGGGGUUGCCGGAUCAUAACACAUAGUAGGUGACUAUUGACUUGCAAGAUAGGAUCAAGAACUCACAUAUAUUCAUGAAAACAUAAUAGGUUCAGAUCUGAAAUCAUGGCACUCGGGCCCUAGUGACAAGCAUUAAGCAUAACAAAGUCAUAGCAACAUCAAUCUCAGAACAUAGUGGAUACUAGGGAUCAAACCCUAACAAAACUAACUCAAUUACAUGAUAAAUCUCAUCCAACCCAUCACCGUCCAGCAAGCCUAUGAUGGAAUUACUCAUGCACGGCGGUGAGCAUCAUGAAAUUGGUGAUGGAGGAAGGUUGAUGAUGACGAUGGCGACGGAUUCCUCUCUCAGGAGCCCCGAACGGACUCCAGAUCAGCCCUCCCGAGAGAGUUUAGGGCUUGGCGGCAGCUCCGUAUCGUAAAACAGGAUGAAUCCUUCUCUUUGAUUUUUUUCUCCCCGAACGUGAAUAUAUGGAGUUGGAGUUGAGGUCGGUGGAGCACCAGGGGGCCCAUGAGGCAGGGGGGCGCGCCUAGGGGGUAGGCGCGCCCCCACCCUCGUGGACAAUGUGUGGCCCCCUGGCCUUGAUUCUUUCGACAGUAUUUUUUAUUAAUUCCAAAAAUAUUUUUCGUGAAGUUUUAGGUCAUUCCGAGAACUUCUAUUUCUGCACAAAAACAACACCAUGGCAAUUCUGCUGAAAACAGUGUCAGUCCGGGUUAGUUCCAUUCAAAUCAUGCAAGUUAGAGUUCAAAACAAGGGCAAAAGUGUUUGGAAAAGUAGAUACGAUGGAGACGUAUCAGUGCGGACCCUACGGGUUCGAGAAUGAUGUAGACAUGACCGAGACGCUUCUUCGGUCAAUAACCAAUAGCGGGACCUGGAUGUCCAUAUUGAUUCCUACAUAUUCUAUGAGGAUCUUUAUCGGUCAAACCCUUAUGACAACAUACGUAGUUCCCUUUGUCUGUCGGUAUGUUACUUGCCCGAGAUUCAAUCAUCGGUAUCUCCAUACCUAGUCCAAUAUCUUUCCAAGCAAGUCUCUUUACUUGUUACGUAAUACAUCAUCAUGUAUCUAACUCCUUAGUCACUUUGUUUGCAAGCUUCUGAUGAUGGUGUAAUACCGAGAGGGCCCAGAGAUACCUCUCCGUCAUACGGAGUGGCAAAUCCCAAUCUCGAUUCGCUCCAACUCAACAGACACCUUCGAAGAUACAUGUAGAGCACAUGUAUGAUCACCUAGUUACGAAGUGUUGUUUGAUAACACACAAGGUAUUCCUCCGAUAUCCGGGAGUUGCAUGAUCUCAUGGUCGAAGGAAUAUGUAUUUCAAUUAAGAAAGAAGUAGCAAUAAACUGAACGAUCAUAUGCUAAGCUAACAGAUGGGUCUUGUCCAUCACAUCAUUCUCCUAAUGAUGUGAUCCCGUUAUCAAGUGACAACACAUGUCUAUGGUCAGGAAACCUUAACCAUCUUUUGCUCAACGAGCUAGUCUAGUAGAGGCUUACUAGGGACUUAGUAUUUUUUUAUGUAUUCACACAUGUAUUUAAGUUUCCAAUAAAUACAAUUAUAGCAUGAAUAAUAAACCUUUAUCAUGAUUAAGGAAAUAUAAUAAUAAGCACUUUAUUAUUGCCUCUAGGGCAUAUUUCCAACACUUGGACGCUGAGAAAUUAUUGACGUUUGGUAAUGAAAAUAGUAUUAUAUGAAAAAUAUUAUGGAAAUAUAAUUACAUGAAAAAUAAAGUUCAACCAUUGGUGUCGUAUAAAAAAUUUGGCCAUACCUAUAUAUUUACAACCCUCUUAUUUUUAUUAUUACACUAUUCUUCGCUAUACAUGAUAGUUGAACAAUUAAAUUGGUUACACCUUACAUGCAUACUGAUGAGACUGUCCUAGCAGAACAAAUUCAGACUCAAAUGGGCACUCUGCUGUUGUGUCAGACACACCACUGCAAACCCUAUUGUGUAUGUCACAAUUCCUAGCAACAACCGUUAUGACGGUGCAAUACCACGAUCGCUAGGGACAUGGAUUCGAGGAGGACAAGAUGGUAGCUAUCGACAAGGAUUCAAGAAGGACCAGACACCAUAGUAGUGGAUGUAAUAUUAGCCAAGAUGAAUCUGAAAAAAUAGAGUCGAUAGGUGGAGGUAUGGUGGACGUUGCAAAAAUAUCUGAUAUAUUUUUGCUAGAGAAGAACAUGUCAAUGUGUAUGCACUGAUAGCAUUUUGUUCAUGACGUAAUAUGUUUGUCUGGCUAUUAAAUUUGUAUUUCUUUUUUAUUCUUUGUUUUGUGUUAUAAACUGUAUUAAAAAAGUAUAGACUGGCCAGCACCAUCAUGGUGUGUAACCAUUUGUAGUAAUAUAAUAUGUUUCAUGUGAGAAGAUUGGUGAAAGUGCAUGUUGUUGGAAUUUGAGUAUUGAGGGAUAAAUUAGCAUUCAUAUGUAACUACCCUUGCAUCACAUAGUGAAAUGUGGGAGAACACACAUCUUUCACAUGCACGAGAGUGGACUAAUAAAAUUAGUGUGAAUAAGUUGAAGAACUAUCGCACCAUGGAAAUGGCAUACAUAAAAUUUGAUGUAAAUAGAGGGGGUCCAUAGCACUCAGAUGGGAAGGCGGUUGCCACCCUUGUCCCUUGCCGCUGGCGUGCCAUAGUGGCAUCGAUCACUUUACAGAGGGAUUAAAUCUGUAAGGGUAUCCAUAAACCAUGGUGCAUCAAAAUAUUUUGGUACGAAGCCAGUGCCGUAUUUUCACACCAUGGUCAUUUACACAUUUUCACAAGCAACACGGGAACCAAGCUUGUGACGGUCUGAUGUUGCAUAUACAUUGGAGAUGCCCUAAUAUAAUUUAGAGAUGUUAGUUCCCCUCGAUGAUAACUACGCUCUUUUCGCAAAAAAAAAACAAUAGCUACACUUGUAUAAGAAAGAAAUAAAGGAAGUAGGUGACAUGCCGGAGUUUGGUGAAACAAUGAAGUAUGCGCUCACGCCUAGUCUAUAAAUAACCUUCCACGUGUAGCAGAAGCAAUGCCCGCAACUAUGAUAGUGGUGUUUUCCCUUUUGAGGUGAUGGCUACAGUAGAGGUGGUAUAGAGGUGUGUGAUAGUGUGAGGCAUGGAGAAGUCUAAGAGGAGAGUAAAAAUGUCCAACACGAUGAGUGUGGCACCGAUGCUUGAAUGGGAACUUCUUUUAGAAAUGGGAAGUAUUGGAAAUUUCAGUUAGAGUCAGAGGAUGCUAAAUGGUCCAGUAUCAUAAGGAAUUGGAAGAAAAGGAGAGCUUUCAUGUACACAUUGUUCUCGUUGACCAAGCAAAUUUGGAUGUUGAAACUGUACGACACAUAGACCGUCUCAUCUAAGAAAAUAGCGCCCUUUUAGUUAGCGGAUCUUUGGUUUUCCUUGAGAAAAAAGAGGAACCCUGAUUUUGUUAACCAUAUGGGGAUUAGAGUGACACUGGAAAAAGUAAAUAACAUCUCGUAUGAAAGGAAUGGAAUGAGAAUAAUUGUUCCCUUUUUUCUCUUUUGAAACUAAAUGUCAAUAAUGGUUUUAUUGUCCUUCAGGUCAAACGAAGGAACAAAUCCUCAAUUCCUUUGUGACCCAAACAACAACGUAUCUUUUCUCUCAUUUCACUAAUCUAUUCAGAACGAAGAACAUCUACCUGGUCAAAGAGUAAUACUUGAACUAACAAAGGUUUAUUAGAAUGACCUCUUCUUGGGAAAUAGGUUGUCCAGGAGGACGUCUCUCAUUUCAACGCACAUUAAACGAUCACAACGGAGAGGAUGCCUCCUUAAUCACAUAAAGCACUUUGUAUUAAACUUUUGUAGAGUAUGGCUAAUAAGAGUAGUCUCAAUGGAAUAUACAAUAAGAACCCACACUAAAGAAUUUGAUCAUUAACUCAGAACUAAAAGUGAUUUCAUCUUCAACUAGAAACAAGUAUUCUAGGCAUACUGAUUGGAAGGCUCGACUGCCUGUGGUACUUAGUAAUGCAAACUUCCAUGUGGCCGAAACAGACUUUCACCUAGCUUUAAGCCCAAAUGGUGAAACCGAUGCAAAGUGGUGAGCAAAUCCCCAUACAAGAAGGUCAAAAGAGAAAAAAAAUGACAUAUGAGAGGGUGGCGAGAACGGCACCCACUCCACCGAGCAUGAAACCAGGAGUCUCCAUACCUAAUAAGAGGCGACCUAGAUUACCGACCAGGAACUAAACGACGCCGCUGGGAAACCACCAGACCCUGAUGCACCAAACACACCAAGCUAUUGCUAGAGAAAUGGUAUCACAGGACAUGUAUUUGGAAAUUGUUUUUGGCGCUACUUCAUGACAAUAUAUUCAUGGUAUAUUGUAAAGAUGUGAAAUUAAAAUGAAAAUAUAUUCAUGGUAUAUAGUAAAGAUGUGAAAUUAAAAUUAAUACAUGGUCAUCCAUAAUCAAUCCCAACGAAUUAUUUUGUUUAUUUAGGAGGGUCAGCCUCAACAAUGAAUUGGCAAUUCUACAAUCUUUGGGUUUGAAUUUUUUUUGGUUUAUACACAUGUUUGAUGUCAUGUCUGUUUUUCUGUCUGGACAUCAUAAGAUGAAAAUUAAUCUCAAUUUAGUGAUAUAUACAGACAGACAUUUGGGUCAUGAUAAACCAUAUUUUCACACCAUGGUCAUUUAUUCAUUUACAUAACCAACAUGGGGACCAUGCUUGUGACAGUCUGAGGCUGCAUACAUUGGAGAUGCCCUAAUGCACCUUAGCAAUGUUAGUUCCUCUUAACGAUGACCACACUCUUCUGAAAAAAGAGAGUUAUGUUCAUAAGAAAGAGACGUGGAGGCAUCAACUGGCAAGUGGAGUUUGGUGAAGCAAUGAAGUAUGCACUUGUGCCUAGUCUAUAAAUAACUACCUUCCAUAUGUAACAACAGCAAUGCUCAAAACCAUGGAAGGUGUGUUUUUCUUUGAGGUAACUACAUUAGAGUUGUGGAAGAUGUGUGUGAGGUGUGAGGCAAUCACACAUAAUGGCAUUAUGUAGCGGAGAGCAGAAAUGUCCAGCACGAUGAGUGAUGUGCCGAUACUAUGGGGACAUCUUUUACAAAUGGGAUGCAUUGGAAAUUUCUGUUGGAUUUAAAGGCAGCUAAUACAUACAAUAUCAUAACAUAUUCGAAGCAACGACUGCGUUCCUACGACUUCUAGAAUCAAUGUGCAAGCAAAUUCGGAUAUUUUCUCAAAAAAAAAGGAAAACAAGUAUUCUAGGCAUACUGAUUUGAAGGUUCGAUUGUUGUGCCACUUAAUAGUACCUCCAUGUGGUCUCACAUCGCACCUUUAGCUACGACACAGAACACACCCCUGCGUGGGAGACCAUGCAUGUAUUAGCACAAAUAGCUUUUUUAUAAUUUAAAUAGGUAUUGUGCAUUGCACUAAACAUACCAAAAGGAAUAAUUUCACAAGUAAGUUCGUAAUCACAUGACACAGAUGCAGAACAAUAGGUUCAUAAAUAUGAACUUCCUCAUAGACAGAGAGACACAACAUGGAGAGGCCUACAACUUGUCGGACUGUAAAUCAUAAGAAUUCAGAAUAUAUCCAUUGAUUACAUAAUGGAGUGUGAUACUAGUCAAUAAUCAAGCACAAUUGCAUGUAAAAUCCUUGCAAUUUCAAGACAUUUACCUAAUGAUUUACUGAAACAAGGAAAAUCAUCACUAAAGCCGAAGAUAACAAACCUUCCAAAAGAACACACAAACAUGAACCGAUAAUCUUGCCAAUGCAAAUGCCAUUUAGCUAUUGUUCUCCCUUCCAUCAGCCGUAUCCUUCGACGAGUGGUUCUUCAACACUGAAGCUCGCUCCAUUAGAAUCUUGUGAUACGUGGUAGCAAACCAACCAUCUUACAUGCUGCAAUGCCAGUGCUUCAAUGGUCCUAUUGUUUUGGAGGAAGCAGGGGAAAUAGGGGUAGGAGUAGGACUCGGGAGGGUUAUUUUCAUAAGACUGCUAUUGUGACCCGCCGUGUUAAGAACGUUAUGUUAUAGAUGGGAAUUUCUUCCUGGAGUGGCAAGGGUUGCAAAUCAUGGCAUUGGGCUUCUUUUGGAAAAGGAGGCAAAACCCUGGGCCUCUGCAUCAAUCGAUGCAUGCAGCCAUCUUAUUAAUGAUAGAGUAUUGAAGUCUUAGGGUCACUAGGGCCCAAAAUCAUAGUGCAAAAUGAAAUAAAACAAACAAAGAUGCCACAUCCGGCGAAACAGAUCAGGCUACGAUGCAUAUACACCUAGCGUAUUAUCAACACGCCAUCCAAAUCGGCUGAAGAUAGCUCGGCUAUCAUCUCCCAACGGUUGCACCAAAUAACCAAAAGCUCCCUGGAGUCUACACGAGUGAGUAAUGACCACAUACGGAUCGACAUUGUAGCUCUGUAGAUUACCUACAAAAAAUCUGUGAAGUUUGUCCCAUUAAAAAUCACACCAUUUCUAGUAUUCCAUAUAGCCCAUAGUAAUGCACAUAUCCCUAUCCGAAUAUGUUUCGCUGUAUUUUAGUCUACUCCAUUGAGCCACAUCCCAAAUAACGUGUUUAUGCUCAUUGGGGGAUGGACGUUAAAGGCUAUAUGAAUUGAGCGCCAUAAUAACUUUGCAAGUGGGCACUCAAGAAAGAGGUGUUUAAUUGUUUCAGUGUGAUAACAGAAACAACAUCUAAAGUUGCCGAUCCAACUUCUUUUAAGGAAAUUAUCUUUGGUCAAAAUGACUCCUUUGUGAACGAACCACAUGAAAAUCUUAAUCCGGAGCGGAACUUUAAUCUUCCAUAUGUGUAGAGACCUAGACAAUGGCCAUGAAUCAUUUAAGUCUAGAUACAUAGAUUUCACUGAAAAUAUAUGGUUCGCAACUAACUUCUAGUGAAUUGUAUCCUCAUGGUCUGAUAGUUGAACUUCCAUCAACCUACGGACAAGGUAUAACCACGCGUUCCACCGCUCCCCAACUAGGGAUCUCCUAAAUUGAAUAUUAAGUGCUACCGUAUUUAAUACUAUGGCGACAAAGUCAUCCUUUCGUUGCACAAUAUAAUAUAGUGUUGGAUAUUGUGGAGCCAGAGGCAUCUCCCCUAGCCAUGUAUCCUCCCAGAAUCUAGUGGUGGUACCUUUACCUACGAUGAACCUCACCCGUUGGAAGAAGGUAACCUUUGUCUUCAUUAACCCUUUUCCAAAAAGGUGAGUCUGUAGGUCUAGCUGUAACCUGGGUCAAAGUCUUAGUACGUAAGUACUUAUUCUGCAGAAUUUGUACCCACAUACCCUCGGUCUCCACCGAUAACCUGUAAAGCCAUUUGCUAAGCAAGCAUCUGUUCUUUACCUCUAAGUUAUCGAUCCCUAACCCAUCUUGGUCCUUUGGUCUGUAGAUGAUAUCCCAUCGGGCCAAUCGGUAUUUCUUCUUAGUCUCAUCGCUUUGCCAAAAGAAGCAGGAUGUAUAGAAGUAUAAUCUUUUCCACACCCCCACCGGCACUUCAAAGAAGGACAGAAGGAACAUCGGCAAGCUCGUCAAAACCGAAUUUAUCAGAACCAGUCGACCUACGUAAGACAUUAGCUUGCCCUUCUAGCAGCUUAGUCUUUUUUCAAAUCUAUCUUCUAUACAUUUCCAUUCCUUGUUUGUUAAAUGCCUAUGAUGGAAUGAGAUCCCUAAGUAACUGAACGGAAAGGAACCCAUUUCACAUCCGAACAAUUGUCUGUAUUCAUCCUAUUCCUCUUUCGCUCUCCCGAAAUAGAACAAUUCACUUUUGCUAAAAUUUGUUUUUAGUCCACACAAUUGCUCAAAUAGGCAGAGCACGAGUUUCAUAUUCCUUGCCUUUGCGAGGUCGUGUUCCAUGAAAAUAAUGGUGUCAUCAGCAUAUUGUAGAAUGGAUACCCCCUCUACUAGGUGAGGGACUAGUCCUCCUACUUGGCCAUUCUCUUUAGCCCGACCGAUAAGUACUGCUAACAUAUCCGCAACUAUGUUAAACAACACGGGAGACAUGGAAUCCCCCUGUCGUAGCCCCUUAUGAGUCUGAAAAUAAUGCCCCGUGUCAUCAUUUACUUUUAUCCCAACACUACCUUUCUGUAUGAAUGUAUCCACCUGAGAUCUCCAAGACUCAUUGAACUCGUUCAUACGUAAGGCUUGCUGGAGGAAGGGCCAUUUAAACUUAUCAUACGCUUUCUCGAAGUCCACUUUGAAUAUAACACCAUCUAGUUUCUUCGUGUGGAUUUCAUGGAGAGUUUCAUGUAAGACGACAACCCCUUCGAGGAUGUGUCAUCUUGGCAUGAAAGUUGUUUGGGUUGGUUGAACUACCGAAUGAGCUAUCCGUGUGAACCUAUUCGUUCCAACCUUGGUAAAGAUCUUGAAGCUUACAUUGAGAAGACAGAUCGGCCUGAAUUACUCAAUGCGAAUUCCCUUCACCUUCUUUGGCAACAAGGUUAUCGUUCCAAAAUUUAGGUGGAAUAACUGUAAGUGACCAUGAAACACGUCCUGGAACAAAGGCAUAAGAUCUCCCUUUAUGAUAUGUGAACAUCUCUUAUAGACUUCCGCCGGGAACCCAUCCGGUCCAGGAGCUUUAUUUUGUUUCAUUUGUGAUAUUGCAUCAAACACCUCUUUCUUAGUGAAAGGAGCAGAUAACACCUCAUUCUCGUCGGAGCUAAGCUGAGGUAUAUCCCGACCUCGCUCUCAUCGAGGGAUAUAGAGUUUUCUUCUGGUGCUCCGAAAAGCGUCUUAUAAUAAUUGGAGAUGUACAGUUUGAGGUUCUCAUGCCCUACAAUUGUACCCUCAUCUUGUUCAAGUUGAAUUUUUUUCUUUUUCCCAUGUCUCCCGUUAGCUAUCAGAUAAAAUAAUUGGGUAUUAUCAUCCCCUUGGACAAUCUUAGAUACCUUCGCUCUAAGUGCCCAUUUCAUCUCCUCUUCUCGCAAAAGAGCUUGUAACUUCUUCUCCGCCUCAUUCUUAAUAUUCCGUCUAGAGAUAUUAAGAAGUGUGUUUUCUGCUCUCAAAUCGAGCUCAUUAAUAAUUUGUAUCAAUCUCUCCUUUUCUACUAUAUAUAGACCACUUUGAUUCUUGGCCCAUCCUCUCAAGAAUGGGCGCAAGUGUCUAAUUUUGUUUUGCCAUCUAUCAAUAUUUGAUAUCCCACCCGACUCCUUGGCCCAUUCGGCUGCAAUGAGAUCAAGGAAGCCUUCCCUCUCGAACCAUCCUAAUGCUAAAGAGAAAUUAUUUCUGUUACCCACAUGUGUUGCUUCGCAAGAAUCGACCAAUAGUGGAGUAUGAUCAGAAAUAGCCCUUUGUAGGGCAUGAACCGUUACCAAAGGAAAUUUAUGUUCCCACUCAACACUAGUGAGAACCCGGUCUAAUUUCUCAUAAGUAGGUACUGGUAAAGAAUUAGCCCAUGUAAAUUGUCUCCCACCAAGGUCAAUCUCUCUCAAAUCAAGACUUUCAAUGAUCGUAUUAAACAUGAAUGACCAUCUCCCAUUGAAAGUUUCAUUAUUUUUUUGUCUUGUCUUCUAAUUAUAUUGAAGUCUCCUCCCACCAAAAUGGGAAGUCUUUCAUCACCACAAAUUCUCACCAGAUCUGCUAGGAAAUCCGAUUUUAGCUCUGGCUGGGCUGCACCAUAUACGGCCACCAAAGCCCAUCUGAAGCCAUCAACUUUCGACCGUACUCGAAAUUUGAUGGUAAAAUCUCCGUAAAUCACAUUCAACACUUCUAGAGAUUCGCACUUCACCCCGAGUAGGAUCCCACCGGACCUACCUCUUGGAGGUAAAACGUGCCAGUCAAAAUCAACCCCCCUGAAAUUGUGUUUAGGAAUUGCGAAGUGUAAUUAUCUCUUCCCGUUUCUAAUAGAGCCAUAAAAUCCAAUUUAUGCUCUAUCGCGGUUUCUCUAAAGAAUCUUCUUGUAGCCAAGUCCGCUAGACCUCUGCUAUUCCAAAAAAUCCCUAUCAUAAAUCAUCGUGGAAUUUUUUUCUUUUGUUUAACUCUAGCACUUCUAUGCACUGCCGAUGUAGGAUAAACCUUCCUCUUUCAGCUUCUUUUUGGUUUAUCCUUCACCACCUCUGCGUCGUCAUGACUAGUGGUAGUGGUAGAACUGACACCCGUUUGCAGAGGGGCCAUAUACCCCUCUGAAACCACAUCCUCAUCCCCAUUUUCUACUGCCUUCGUGGGAAUCAAGUCCUCACAUAGGGACUGUAAAGCGGUAACCCCAAGCUUAUUAAUGUCCGAAUUAUUCAAAGGUUUGACUGCUGCCAUGUUUCGAAUCAACUCGAUGGCUCUGUCCGCUUCUAAGUUUAACAAAUCAUUAAUGGAUUUGGCGGUUUCUUUGUCAUUGCUACCAAGAGAUAUCCCUAGGUUGUGUGUUUUAUCUAAAAUCUCAUGUUCAGAAAAGUGCAGAAUGGAACAACUAGUAUUAACUGGCAUACCUGUCUUUGCUUCAAUAUCUCGAAGCUUGGUGGCCCUCACCGCACGCCCCAUCUGUAUGUCACAGCAUCCGGCUGAGACUGAAUCCGGUGACUAAAGCGCAUGUCCCCGGACACAAGGUCUGGAAUCCCACCAAAAGCUAUCAUCUCCUCCAUAGUCACGCCGCCCGAGCCUUGGCUGCCUGCCAUGAGCUUAGCGACUGCAACCAUGGAGACAACGUCGUCUCGGCCUGAACCUCUGGUGCAUCGUCCACCCUGCAGGUUGGUGCACUGAAGUCAGACAAACGAUCCUCCGCCCCAAACCGGGGCGCCACCUCCUGUGACAUGCCAGUCAGUCGUGGUGAUGAAGAUCGCGUGGUAUGGGGUGACACAUCCGUAGGCAACACAGUUAAAGGUAGAGCGUGAUGGAUAGUCUGGGCGCGCUGAACCUUCAAAGUAUAAUUGAAGACCAACAUUUUAUUUGUUCCCUUAUUUUUUUGACGAUGUAAAACUAUAGGUGUUUUCUUUAAUGGAAAUAGGCGAGUAGGCUCGUUGUUAAUCAAAAUCAAAAUCAAAGAUCAACAGCCUCAUGAAGAUUUUCAUCUUUGAACUUGCCUACACUCCGUGCAUUAUUGAUAUUGGAAAUGGUUCGCCAUGCUACUUGGUGACCACGUAAUCCUAGUGCAUUUAAGGAAGAAGGAACAUGCGCACGAGAAAGAGAGGUGAAGAAAUAGACCGAGAAAGACUCUACUGAUUUAUUUUUAAGCCAGUGGUCGUAUUCUCAUGCCAUGGACAUUUUCACAACCAAGAUGGAGCCUAGCACGAGGCUGCAUAAAUUGAAGAUGCCUUAAUACACCUUAGAGAUGUUAGUUCCUUAACAACAACUACACUCUAUGUCCCAUAAAUUACUAAGCUCGCAAAAAAUAAAAUAAAAAGGCAGCAUCUGGCACAUGAUAGAGGAAGGGGAGGCGAGCCUUUCCUCGCCGGAUGGUUCUGUGGAUGCCCUCGCCGCUGCCUCCUCCUAGGCAUGGUGUAACUGGGAGGAUGACAAAGGAAGGGGAGGCGGAAAGGUGGCCGCCAGAGGCGACCAGACUUGUGCGGCCGGCGAGCCUUUCCUCGCCGGAUGGUUCUAUGGAUGGACCGCCGCGGAUCUGCGCGCCCUCUCCAAAUGCUCCUAUGGUGGCGCCACCGGGAGGAAAGGAGGGGCCGGCGGGAUCGCGUGGUUUUGAUCGCGGAAACACGACGGAUGAAGAGAUUGGACGGGAGAGGAGAGGAUCGACACAAUGGCGGGUUCAAUUCUCCGUCGGGACGAAUCCCGGCAAAUGGAUCGAAGGCCGCCUCCGUUUCACUCCACAGUCACGCAGGAUGGUUCUCCUUGAUUUGGAGAAUGACGUGUUAGCCGGCGACUAUCUUUUGAACAACGACUUUAUCGAGGUAGGGAUACAUUUCAUGAUUGAUGACUAUGAUGUGGUGGUUGGUCAGUGUAUGCAGGUUGAUCUACCUCUGAAGGCAGCGGAGCUGGUCGAUCUGACGGAGACGAUAGAUCGUGGAAGGCUGGGAGGGCGCUUUUGGGCUCUCAUUGAAAGUGAUGAUGAAGAACUGGUGGAGAAUCAGGCCUUGAUGGGUCUGCGUGUGAUCUCGCAGGACGCGGGAUCGCUGAAGUUGCCGGAGCUCAAGGCGGUGCCCGAUCAUCAUCGAUCAAAGUUUCAAAAUCCCAGGCCGAUCGUGAAACACUGGAUCGGCCCGAUCCCUAAGGUACUUUGAGAAUCCGUUACUUUGUCCGAUUUCAUUCCGGAAACAUGGACUCUAGUUACUUGGAAGAAGAAGGGAAAGAAAGGCCGGCCGCCGCUGCCGCCGCGGUCGUUGGUGGAGAGAUCGGCGAGCGCAAUUCGAGCGGCCAGACGGGCACGCUUGAAUCUGCUGCUGGGCCAAGGAAACAAACCGGAUGUGGCGAUGGUCAUGGGCUCUCUAGGCUCGGGUGCGGCCCAGCCAGAGGUGCAAGCCUCGUCUGACCCACAUCCCGCGUGCAUGCAUGAAUCAACGAUACCCGAGGCCUCUGCGCUUGCGGCUAGGGUUUUGCACACAUCGGGGUUCCCGACUCUUGGUGAGGGGUGGGCGACCAAGAUUCUCUGCGCCGGCGAGAUGGCUGGACGCGGGCCUCCACCCGCCAAGCGUGGGCCGCCGCACGCCGUUGGUGCUGGCCGUGGCGCGCCACCUCCACCCAGACAAGGGCUGCCGCCCACUGCUACAGGUCAGCAGGCUGGAACCGGGUGUCAAUGUCAAAACCGGCAGAUCUCGGGUAGGGGGUCCCGAACUGUGCGUCUAAGGAUCAAAGGUAACAGGAGGCAAGGACACGAUGUUUACCCAGGUUUGGGCCCUCCCGAUGGAGGUAAUACCCUACUUCCCGCUUGAUUGACUUUGAUGAAUAUAGGGGUUACAAGAGUUGAUCUACCUCGAGAUUGUAGUGGCUAAACCCUAGAUGUCUAGCCUGUAUGAUUGUGAUUGCCUCUACAGACUAAACCCUCUAGUUUAUAUAGACACCGGAGGUGCCUAGGGUUGUACAGAGUCGGUUUACAGAGAAAGGAAUCUUCAUAUCCAAACACCAAGCUUGCCAUCCACGCAGAGGAGAGUCCUGUCCGGACACGGGAGAAAGUCUUCUAUCUUGUAUCUUCAUGGCCCAUCAGUCCAGCCCAUGUCACAUAGCCCGGACGCCCAAGGACCCCAUAAUCCUGGACUCCCUUAGUAGCCCCUGAACCAGGCUUCAAUGACGAUGUGUCCGGCGCGCAGAUUGUCUUCGGCAUUGCAAGGCGGGUUCCUCCUCCGAAUACUCCAUAGUAGCUUUCCAACAUGAGAGCUGUAUCCGGCUCCGUUUACCAGCUACAACCCUAAACCAUAAGGACAAAAUACUCAAAAAUAAGUCAUGUCCAUUGGCAGGUUUUUAAGACCAGACAUUACGCUCAACCUCAUUAUUAUUUUGAACCGUUUUUAGCCUCUCGCUUCGCGUUUCGAUACACGGCCCAUAUUGACACGUCCUGUCCAAGCGAAGAUCAUGUCCCCUUAUUACGGGAUUCUCAUCAAUAUGGGUUUGGAUAACCCAACCGAGCCGUUUGCACGACCCCUUGGGAAUAGGUGAGUUUUAAGGCUUGUGAGGAGGCGCUUGAUAUUCAUUGCCUUAAUAAAGGGAUAAAGACCCAUCUUUUUCCCCCACGCCUUCUUCUCCCUCAGCCCUUCCCAUCCUCGAGCUCCAGCGCCCAAGUCUCGACCUCUCCCACAGCCACCAAGCACCCCAGCCAUGUCCGGAUCAGGCUCCCAAGGCAAAUGGGUGGCCUCCUGUGUCACCGAGGAGGACAUUGCGGGGCUCCGGGAGGCGAGGUACCUGACUGCGGAAAUCCCACACAAGCUCCCUACCAAAGGGCAAGUCAUCCCCACACCAAAGCCCGCUGAGAGGGUUGUGUUCAUCCCUCACUUCCUCCGCGGAUUAGGGUUCGCUCUUCACCCUUUUUUUCACGGUCUCAUGUUCUAUUACGGGCUAGAUUUUCACGAUCUAGCCCCGAUCUCUUUUCUCCACAUCUCGGCGUUUAUCGUCAUGUGUGAGGCUUUUCUCCGUAUCCCCCACACUUCGGCCUAUGGCUUAAGACAUUCAACGUGAAGCCGAAGGUGGUCGACGGGGAGCACGCGGAGUGCGGCGGCGAUAUGGUGAGCAAGCUCGCCAAUGUUACCUGGCCAAAAGGGGCCUUUGUGGAAACUAUCAAGGCAUGGCAGCAGGAGUGGUUCUACAUCACCGAACCCCGCGACACCAAGUGGGCGGGCGCUCCUGCAUUCAGAUCCGGUCCCCCAUUGCGGCUCGCAUCAUGGAUCAAUAAGGGUCUGGACCGGGGAUCAUCCGACGUGGUGCUGAUGCUGCAAAAGCGUAUCAAGAGCAUCAUCGAAAAAGACACCAGCCUUACUAACGUGAUCCAGGUGAUGCUCGUCCGCCGAACCCUUCCGUGCCAGCGACGGUCUCUCCGUAUGUGGGAGUUUAAUCCGGAAGGGCCGCGGACGCUGUAGCAAUUCUUCGGCACAACGCACAAAGGGAUCUGAAAACUGCUCUUCAAGGCUCAAAAUUCAUGGCCGAACACCUCUGAGGACAUGGGCCUCGACUGCAACUAUCCGGAUACCCCGUUAAGUGCUCAAUUUUUGAACAUAGCUUAGUUCAUUAAUCUAAGGUGACGCACUGAGAAUCCCAUCCUUUAACGAUGGCUGAUAAAGAAGGCGGAGCGGAUCAAGUGUUUGGCUCCACUUCCUGAAAACCCAGCCGAUCCUUUGUUAAUGAAGAUGCUGGUCCCGGCGCCGUACCAAGCGCCGGUGAAGAAGGACAAGAAGAAGAGCAAGAAGGCCGAAGGUGGCCUCCACCCUAAAGGUACAUCGGAUGCUACGCCCGGGGGGACCGAGGCUCCCUCCUCCGAAGACGAAGACGAAGAGGAGGAACAAGGUGAUAUCCCUCCUCCCCAAGGGAAGAAAAAGGGCUGCCUCCGAAGACCUGGAGGUGGAGGCGCCCAAGAGGGGAAAGAUAUCCCUGUCGGAUGGCUCGGGCUCGGAAGCCAAAGCCAUCCCAAAACAUCGCAACAGGGACAAGCCACUUCACUACAAAAAAAUACACUUCCGUGAUGAUACAUGUUUGUCAAAGUAGGUCACAUUUUUUGUCAUGCAUGUACAUCCGUGACAAUUUUAUGACAUAAUCAAGAUAGUCAUACCUGUGCUGACGUACAAGUGUUCCAUGACAUUACCAAAAUUAUCAUCACGGAAGUUUCCACUUCCAUGACGAUAAAUCGCGCGUCAUAGAAGUGCUUUCAUCAAGGGUGACCGACACGUGGCAUCGACCGUAACGGGUCGCCGUUAAGCUAUCGGGUCCGGUUUUGGAUCCGAUAACCCAUUAAUAGCCCGGACCAAUGGGGAUUUUCCACGUGUAAAAUUCUCAUUGGCCGGAGGAAACACGUGUUGGCUCAACAUUCGGACAGAUGUCAUCCACUCAUUGGACAGGAGGCGCCUAUGAUACAUCGACACGUGGCACGACCCAACAGAGGCCCAUUCCAGUGAAAAGGACGGCCCAGCUAAAGGCCCACCAUGUUUUUUCAGACUAGUGGGCUGGCCCGUUAACAGCCUGCCAUGUUUUGGGUCAAAUUGAGGCCCAUACCAGAUCAGGCCCGUUCACAGCCUGCCGUGUUUUGGGCCAAAUUACGGCCCAUAUCGGACCAGGCCCGUUAACAUGCCACUGUUCUUUUGGGCCCAUACUAAGACAGGUUUGUAUUUCAGCCUGUUAAAUGCCCGUUUACCAGUUCGGCCCAUUAAUAGCUUCGGCCUGUUAGUGGCCCAUGGUGCAUCUGCGACGUUGUCGGCCCGGUUUAACUUUAGGCCAUUUAACGGCCCAUGCAGAAACUGGGCUAUUUCUUGUCCGAAGUAACUUUAGGCCUCUUAACGGCCCGUAGUCUUCGUGGAUAAAUUUCAGCCCAACUGGCCUAUCGGCCUGUUAAUGGCCCGUGUAACAGUUGGGCCUAAUUACAGCCCACGUUAAAUCCAUCCUACUUACAGCCCAUCUGAUAAUGGCCCGUGACACUUUUAGGCCUAUGGCCCGCGUAGAUACCGGCCUGAUUAAAGCCCAUAAUUUUAUUGAGCCAAACAAGCCCGAGAUAUAUUUUGGCAUGUUAACUACUCGUCCUAUUUGGGCCAAACAUGGGCCUUAGGCAAUUUCGGCCUUUAUUGGCCUGUGAUUUUUUCGGCUCAACGCUAGCCCAAUCUAGGUUUUAGCCUGUUAAAAGCCCAUGGUAUUCUUUGGCCCAGCUGGACAGAACUUCACUCGGCCUCUUAAAGGCGGGAAACAACUAUAGGUUUAGACCUGCUAAUGGCCCAAGAUGAUUAUAGGCCUAGCUUUUGGCCCAUAUGAGUAACGGGCUGGCCUGAAGACCGACAACACUGAGAUCCACUGAACCUUCCGGCCUAAAUUACAGUAUACCGACCAAGAAUAAACCUAGACUAUACAACAAAGAAAUUACAGCAUAUUACAUCCCCUCGGCAUCAAAGUUCGGCGCCAGUGAUAAUGAAGGGCAACCAGACAGCAGAUUACAUAAACUGGGCAGGUCGCCACUAGUGGAAGUUAACAGGCGGACAAAAUAAUAGACAGAACCGACAACACUUCAACACAGUUCAAGAAAGGUUAGCCCCGCCCAGGAGCUGCAGCUCAAGCAGCUUAGCAACCUGAUGAGACUGCACUUCUUUGGCGCUCAUAUCCACCAACUUAAGCUGCAUAGCAUCAAUAAACGUCCUAUACUUACGAUUAAUCUUGCAUAGAGAUUGGAGUUCCAGUCGUAUUUGAGCGGAAGCAUGUAUUUCUGCUUGAAUUUCAGACUGAAGAAGGCGAACAGAUUCAGGCGGCGACUUCAUCGAGCUUGUGUCACUGAGUAAGUUUGACACUACAUCAAGAUGUGACUUUGUGGUUGUAUCCCUACCCUCAGUAUGUGUUGCCUUCUCCUAUGGAAUAUGUGUUAGAGGGACAAACAAUGGGUUAGUCUCACUAUCAUUGUGGCAAUUCUUCCUAGCAGCAGUGUUGUCACCCUGAAAGAGAAACAAGUAGGUAGAUAACAGGUUUUGCACGUAUAAGCAUCAGUGCUGUCAAUUCAUCUCAUUUCUUUGUCAGAAAUAAAGAGACAUGGUUUAAAAUUGCAUUAACAUAAUAGGCAUUAUUCAUAGUUAAGACGGCAGGAAAUGGCAUUGUGCAGGAGCGGCCAGCUUCACCAGACCACUGGAUUAUAGAUCAAGAACACAAGCAUAGAUGUAGUUCUAAACAACGUAUAAGCAUGAAUGGUGAGUGCACUGUCAAUUUAUACCAUUUCAGAUUGGUAAAUAAAGAGACACGAUUUAAAUAACAUUAAUAUAAUAUGGCAUUGUUCAUAGUUGAGACAUAGCAGGAUAUGACAUUGUGCUGUUGUUGUUAGUCUCACCACACCACUGGAUUACAGAUCACGAACACAAGCAUACACAUAGUGCUAAAGAAGAUAACUUGCUAUGUUUAGUUUAAUUUACAUGCUACGAAUAAGGAACUAGAUUGUACAACUAAAGACUGAUAUUGAGAAGGACAAACUUGUGUUUAUGUACUUCUACUUUAUAAACUUUGAACAAGCAAUUUGAUGCAGACGACAAAAAUAAACAGCAUUUGCACUCAUAGCUAUCCAAAUAUAAACAACAAAGUUUGAAGGCUCGAGGAGGACAAACUUACAUUAGUAGUGAAGACAGGCUCUAUAAAGGCCUUGUCCAUAUUGAUGGGGGGGGCAAUUCAGGAAGUUCAUCGCACACUCUUCUUCAAGAGUAUUGCCUUUAUUCUACAUUUUGUUAAGAGUAAAUAUAGAUGUGAAAAUAUAGGAACAAAUGGCGAUUAUUUAACUUAAGAUGCAGAGUACAAAUGCAAAUACAGCAUACAGGCAGAAGGCACUGACAAGAGCAAUGCGGAGCUAAACUUCUUCAGUAACAUUGGUUUUAUUAAAUAUUUUGUCAAGAGUAAAUGUAGAUAUGAUGUGUAGAAAAAUGGAGGACAAGGGAAAAUAAGUUGCAAAGUGUACAUGAAGAACUAGUUGACAAAUAUAAGUACAGUGAUGAAGGACAAUAGAUACUUACAAGAACAAUGCAGAACUAAAUUUCUUCAUAGAUAUUGGGUUUAUUCUACAUUAAUUUAAGCAUUAAUAUAUAUCUGAUAAUUUGGAGCGAACAAUGGAUAAGCAAGCUAUAAUGCACAAUGAUGUCACAUAAUCCACCAGGUAUGAAUGUAAGGACAAUGAUAGGACAAUAGGUACUCACAAGAGCAAAGCAGCGACCAGCAUAGUUGUGAUAUCCUAGGUUUUGCGGCGCUGGUUCGAUCGCCAAUAUACGUCGGGUGCUAUGUGAUUUCUCCGGUAGCACCACCUUUUUGAAGGACUUUGCUUGUACUCCUUCAGGUUCUGUAAUCACCCUCUUCCUUUUGGAUGCCUGAAACACAAGAACAACAUUUGAAUGGAAAAACAUAGUAUGACGACAAAUGGAAUAGGUGUUGAUAAUGGAUGGGCAUGGCAUUUUCACAUAUAUCAUGAGUAAACUAAGCACAUGGUGGUGCAACGAAGCAAAAGAAAUGCAAGACACCUUAUGCAAGAUAUGUGCAACCAAUAAAACCUUGCCAAAUUAGAACAGGCACCUGAUAACCCACAAGUAUAGGGGAUCGCAACAGUUUUUGAGGGUAGAGUAUUCAACCCAAAUUUAUUGAUUCGACACAAGGGGAGCCAAAGAACAUUCUUAAGUAUUAGCAGUUGAGUUGUCAAUUCAACCACACAUGGAUAACUUAAUAUCUGCAACAAAUUAAUAGUAGCAAAGUAGUAUGGAAGUAACGGUAACAGUGGCAAAGGUAAUAGUAGCAAUAUUGUAGUAAUUGUAACAGUGGCAACGGUAAAGUAACUAAGCAAAGAGAAAUAUGUGAAAAGCUCAUAGGCAUUGGAUCGGUGAUGGAUAAUUAUGUCGGAUGCGGUUCAUCAUGUAACAAAUAUAACAUAGGGUGACACAGAACUAGCUCCAAUUCAUCAAUGUAAUGUAGGCAUGUAUUCCAAAUAUAGUCAUACGUGCUUAUGGAAAAGAAUUUGCAUGACAUCUUUUGUCCUACCCUCCCAUGGCAGCGGGGUCCUAGUGGAAACUAAGGGAUAUUAAGGCCUCCUUUUAGUAGAGUACCGGACCAAAGCAUUAACACAUAGUGAAUACAUGAACUCCUCAAACUACGGUCAUCACCGGGAGUGGUCCCGAUUAUUGUCACUUCGGGGUUGCCGGAUCAUAACACAUAGUAGGUGACUAUUGACUUGCAAGAUAGGAUCAAGAACUCACAUAUAUUCAUGAAAACAUAAUAGGUUCAGAUCUGAAAUCAUGGCACUCGGGACCUAGUGACAAGCAUUAAGCAUAGCAAAGUCAUAGCAACAUCAAUCUCAGAACAUAGUGGAUACUAGGGAUCAAACCCUAACAAAACUAACUCGAUUACAUGAUAAAUCUCAUCCAACCCAUCACCGUCCAGCAAGCCUACAAAGGAAUUACACACGCCCGGCGGUGAGCAUCAUGAAAUUGGUGAUGGAGGAUGGUUGAUGAUGACGACAGCGACGAAUUCCCCUCUCCGGAGCCCCGAACGGACUCCGGAUCAGCCCUCCCGAGAGACAUUAGGGCUUGGCGGCGGCUCCGUAUCGUAAAACGCGAUGAAUCAUUCUCUUUAAUUUUUUUCCCCGAACAUGAAUAUAUGGAGUUGGAGUUGAGGUCGGUGGAGCUCCAGGGGGCCCACGAGGCAGGGGGCGCGCCCAGAGGGGGCAGGCGCGCCUCCCACCCUCGUGGACAGGGUGUGGGGCCCCUGGCCUUGAUUCUUUCGCCAAUAUUUUUUAUUAAUUCCAAAAUAAUUCUCCGUUGAUUUUCAGGUCAUUCCGAGAACUUUUAUUUCUGCACAAAGAUAACACCAUGGCAAUUCUGCUGAAAACAGCGUCAGUCCGGGUUAGUUCCAUUCAAAUCAUGCAAGUUAGAUUCCAAAACAAGGGCAAAAGUCUUUGGAAAAGUAGAUACGACGGAGACGUAUCAACUCCCGCAAGCUUAAACCUUUGCUUGUCCUCAAGCAAUUCAGUUGACAAACUGGAAGUGAUAAAGAAAAACUUUUACAAACUCUAUUUGCUCUUGUUGUUGUAAAUAUGUAAAGCCAGCAUUCAGGUUUUCAGCAAAGAUUAUGACUAACCAUAUUCACAAUAACACUUAGGUCUCAUGUUUACUCAUAUAAAUGGUAUAAUCAACUAGCGAGCAAUAAUAAUAAAUCUCAGAUGACAACACUUUCUGAAAACAAUCAUAAUAUGAUAUAACAAGGUGGUAUCUCGCUAGCCCUUUCUGAGACCGCAAAACACAAAUGCAGAGCACCUCUGAAGACCAAGGACUGACUAAACAUUGUAAUUCAUGGUAAAAGAGAUCCAGUCAUAGUCAUACUCAAUAUAAAUUAAUAGUAAUGGAUGCAAAUGACAGCGGUGCUCUCCAACUGGUGCUUUUUAAUAAGAGGAUGAUGACUCAACAUAAAAGUAGAUAGAUAUGCCCUUUGCAGAGGGAAGCAGGGAUUUGUAGAGGUGCCAGAGCUCGAUUUUGAAAUAUAGAUAAAUAAUAUUUUGAGUGGUAUACUUUCAUUGUCAACAUAACAACCAAGAGAUCUUGAUAUCUUCCAUGCUACACACAUUAUAGGCGUUUCCCAAGCAGAAUGGUAAACCCCCUCCACCAACAAACAUGUCCGAAACAACGGGUGCCUCCAACUAACAACAAUCCUGGGGGAGUUUUCUUUGCAAUUAUUUUGAUUUGAUUUUCUUAAAGCAUGGGACUGGGCAUCCCGGUGACCAGCCAUUUUCUCGUGAGUGAGGAGCGGAGUCCACUCCUCUUGAGAAUAACCCGCCUAGCAUGGAAGAUACAGACAUCCCUAGUUGAUACAUGAGCUAUUCGAGCAUACAAAACAGAAUUUCAUUUGAAGGUUUAGAGUUUGGCACAUACAAAUUUACUUGGAACGACAGGUAGAUACCGCAUAUAUAGGAAGGUAUGGUGGACUCAUAUGGAAUAACUUUGGGGUUUAAGGGAUUGGAUGCACAAUCAGUAUUCCCGCUUAGUACAAGUGAAGGCUAGAAAAAGACUGGGAAGCGACCAACUAGAGAGCGACAACAGUCAUGAACAUGCAUUACAAUUAAUAAACAUUGAGUGCAAGCAUGAGUAGGAUAUAAUCCACCAUGAACAUAAAUAUCGUGGAGGCUAUGUUGAUUUUGUUUCAACUACAUGCGUGAACAUGUGCCAAGUCAAGCCACUCGAAUCAUCCAAAGGAGGAUACCACCCUAUCAUACCACGUCACAACCAUUUUAAUAGCAUGUUGGCACGCAAAGCAACUAUAAUCUAUAAUUGUCAUUGCAAACAUGUUUAUUCAUAAUAGGAUGAAUCAGGAACGAUGAACUAAUCAUAUUUAUAAAAACAAGGGAGGUCGAGUUCAUACCAGCUUCUCUCAUCUCAAUGAGUCCAUCAUAUAUCGUCAUUAUUGCCUUUCACUCGCACGACCGAACGAUGUGGAUAAUAAUAAUAGUGUACGUGCAUUGGACUAAGCUGGAAUCUGCAAGCAUUCAAUAAACAGGAGAAGACAAGGCAAUAUGGGCUCUUGGUUAAAUCAACAAUAAUGCAUAUAAGAGCCACUUCAACAAUUUCAUCAUGUUCUUCCCCUAUCGACCCCCAAAGAAAAGAAAUAAAAUAAAACUAUUUACACGGGAAAGCUCCCAACAAGCAAAAGAAGAACAAGAAAUAAUUUUGGGUUUUCUUUUAAUUAAUGCUACUACAAGCGUGAAAAGUAAACUAGCUAAAAGCUACAACUAAUUUUUUUGUUUUUCUUAAGGUUUUUCAAACACACAAGAAGAAAGCAAGAAAAGAGAAUAAACUAGCAAGGAUAGUACAAUGAAAGAGUAUGAGCACCGACAACUGGAAUGAGUGUGUGAACAUGAAUGCAAUGUCGGUGAGAAAUACGUACUCCCCCAAGCUUAGGCUUUCGGCCUAAGUUGGUUUAUGCCCAUGGAUCAAAGUUGUAGCUGGGGUCGUACUGAGAUGCAUCCUCGGGAUGCCACUGGUUGGCAAUUUCCUCUGGAUCCCACUGAUAAACAGACUGACGGUGUGGAUCAAGUAGUAGUUCUGGCUCUGGUUCUGGAGCUAGUGCUUGGUUCCGGUGGGCAUGAAUAGCCUCCGGCAGAACAAGGUACUUGCCUGAAGAUAAAUUGAACAAAGACGGAGCAGCCAAAGUAAUAGUCUCAAAGUAAUUUUUAUCAAAUAUCAGUCUAUAGUUAAGCAUCUUUUUCUUAUUCUUAACAAUAAAAUCAUGUGCUACCAUACUCUUAUAGUCUAGAAAAAUAGGAGGCAACAACUUUCUUCUUUCUCAUAAUGCCUAAUAGGUAUGCUAAAGUGUGCAGCGAGGCGCGAGGCGAAGAUACCUCCCAAAAUGGGACAUUUCGUACGGUUCAGAUUUAACCGCUUGGCAACAAUAGCGCCCAUACUAAAAGUGUUAUCACGGAACAAGGCAUGGCACAAAAUAAUAAUAUCAGGGGCACUCAGGUUGCCACAGUUUCUGCGACCAAUUAAGCAUCUACUAGCAAAUAUUGCAAAAUAACGUAGAACAGGAAAAUGUAUGCUAGUAAUUCUUGCAUCGGAAACCUUCCUUGUUUCCCCUACAGCAAUUGUAUCAAUGAACCCUUCCACAUCGUUACGAUGUGGUUCCUCUACGCUGCCCGUAAAGGGCAACUUGCAAACCUUACAAAAUUCAUGAAGGGGCAUCUACUUAUACUCAUCAUAUAAAUAAAAAUCCACCGAAGGUGGUGACCUCCUAGCAUGGAAAUGAAAAUUUUGCACAAAAAUAUUAGUGAGUAGGAGAUACAGUUCGCGUUGGUCGUGGAGGAAGUCGGCGAGGCCUGCAUUCUCAGCCAAUCCAUAAAAAUCAUCAUGAAUUCUGGCUGCUCUCAAGAACUCAUCACAAGGCCAUUCACACGGCCGAACCUCCGUGGUGCGAGGGAGAUUAUAUUUAGGCUUCUUAUCUUCUUCACUUUGCUUAUCCUUCGAGCUUUGGCUCGAAGAGCUCCUCAAAAAUCUCUUCAUAAUUUUCAAAAAUCUCUACAUAAUUUUCAAAAAAUUUCUGAAAUUUUUAGUAACUUCAAAUAAAAGUGAAUCAAACUCAACAAAAUUGAUAGCAACUACUCCCAUAAGUGCCUGGAGACUAUACCAUGCAUUAGAACUACUUGGGACCAAAUAAAUUUGACAUGCAAGCUCAAGAACAGGGUCACCUAAGCAGCAAAUAUUCGCAAUGAAUAAGGCACUAGAACAAAAACUAAUUGGAUAAUUGGAGGAGUCACAUUCCCAAGAACAAUCCCCCAAAGCAGUUUUGUGAGUGGAGCUUUGAACAAGGAGAUCGAAAAUGGUAGCAAGAUGAGGUAGAACUCGUGCUUGAGCUGGUUGUUGAUUUUUUGGGAGGAAGAAGAAGUGUGUGGGUGCUAGAAUAAGUGGAGGGGGGCCACCAGGGGCCCACGAGGCAGGGGGGCGCACCCAGGGGGUGUGGGCGCGCCCUGGACCCUCGUGGCCAGGUGCUUGCUCCCCUGCUGUGUUCUCAGUGCCAGAUAUUCUCUAAUAUUCCAGAAAAAAUCAUAUUUCAAUUUUGGGGCAUUUGGAGAACUUUUAUUUUCGGGGUAUUUUUUAUUGCACGAAUAAAUCAGAAAACUGACAGAAAUUACUAUUUUUGCUUUAUUUAAUCUAAAUAACAUAAAGUAAAUGGAGGGUACAAAGAGUUGUGCUUUCUAACUUCAUCCAUUUCAUGCUCAUCAAAAGGAAUCCCCCAACAAGGUUGAUCAGGUUUUGUUAACAAACUCAAUCCGAUUUGCAUGAAACCGGAGAAUUUUUGAAUAGCACUAGGUUACCUCAACGGGGAUAUGCACGUCCCCAAUAAUAAGAAUGUCAUAUUUCUUCUUGACAGUAGGAAGAGUAAAUUCAAAACCUCCAAAAAUAAUUGAUGGAAUUUUUCCAAUAGAGUUGAUAUUGUGGACUUGAGGUUGUUUCCUCGGGAAGUGUACCGUAUGCUCAUUACCAUUAACAUGAAAAGUGACAUUGCCUUUGUUGCAAUCAAUAACAGCCCCUACAGUAUUCAAAAAGGGUCUACCAAGAAUAAUAGACACACUAUCAUCCUCGGGAAUAUCCAGAAUAACAAAGUUCGUUAAGAUAGUAACGUUUGCAACUACAACAGGCACAUCCUCACAGAUACCGACAGGUAUAGCAGUUGAUUUAUCGGCCAUUUGCAAAGAUAUUUCAGUAGGUGUCAACUUAUUCAAAUCAAGUCUACGAUAUAAAGAGAGAGGCAUAGCACUAACACCGGCUCCAAGAUCACUUAAAGCAGUUUUAACAUAGUUUCUUUUAAUGGAGCAUGGUAUAGUGGGUACUGCUGGAUCUCCUAAUUUCUUAGGUAUUCCACCCUUAAAAGUAAAAUUAUCAAGCAUGGUGGAAAUUUCAGCUUCCGGUAUCUUUCUUUUAUUUGUAACAAUAUCCUUCAUGUAUUUAGCAUAAGGGUUUAUUUUAAGCAUAUCUGUCAAACGCAUACGCAAAAAGAUAGGUCUAAUCAUUUCAGCAAAGCGCUCAAAAUCCUCAUCAUCCUUUUUCUUGGAUGGUUUAGAAGGAAAAGGCAUGGGUUUCUGAACCCAUGGUUCUCUUUCUUUACCGUGCUUCCUAGCAACGAAAUCUCUCUUAUCAUAACGUUGAUUCUUUGAUUGUGGGUUAUCAUGAUCAAUAGCAGGUUCAAUUUCUACAUCAUUAUCAUUGCUAGGUUGAGCAUCAACAUGAACAUCAUCAUUAACAUUAUCACUAGGUUCAUGUUCAUCACCAGAUUGUGUUUCAGCAUCAGAAAUAGAAAUAUCAUUGGGAUUCUCAGGUAUGUCAGCAACAGGUUCACUAGAAGCAUGCAAAGUCCUAUCAUUUUUAUUUUUCUUCUUCUUAGAAGGACUAGGUGCAUCAACAUUAGUUCUUUGAGAAUCUUGCUCAAUUCUCUUAGGGUGACCCUCAGGAUACAAAGGUUCCCGAGUCGUUCUACCCCUCUAGUCACAACUCUAAUAGCAUUAUCAUUCUUCUUACUAUUUAAUUCAUUGAGCAAGUCAUUCUGAGCUUUAAGUACUUGUUCGACUUGAGUGGUAACCAUAUAAGCAUGUUUACUAAUAAGUUUAAGUUCACCCUUAACUCUAGACAUAUAAUCACUCAAGUGUUCAAUCAUAUAAGCAUUGCGUUUCAAUUGUCUACCAACAUAAGCAUUGAAGUUUUCUUGUUUAACCAUAAAAUUAUCAAACUCAUCCAAGCAUUGGCUAGCAAACUUAGUAGGCGGGAUUUCAGCUUUAUCAUAUCUAUAGACAGAAUUUAUCUUUACUACCUGUGUCGGGUUAUGAAGACCAUGUAUUUCUUCAACAGGCGGCAAAUUAAGACCAUGUAUUUCUUCAAUAGGAGGUAAAUUCUUAAUAUCAUCAGCUUUAAUUCCUUUUUCUUUCAUAGAUUUCUUUGCCUCUUGCAUAUCUUCAGGACUGAGAAAUAGAAUACCCCUUUUUUUAUGAGUUGGCUUAGGAGUUGGUUUAGGGAGUGUCCAAUUGUUUUCAUUCGUCAACAUAUUAUUCAAUAGAAUUUCAGCUUGAUCAACAAUUCUUUUCCUGAAAACACAACCAGCACAACUAUCCAGGUGGUCUCUGGAGGCAUCGGUUAGUCCAUUAUAAAAGAUAUCAAGUAUUUCAUUUUUCUUGAGAGGAUGAUCAGGCAUAACAUUAAGUAAUUGGAUAAGCCUCCAUCAAGCUUGUGGGAGACUCUCUUCUUCAAUUUGCACAAAAUUAUAUAUUUCCCUUAAGGCAUCUUGUUUCUUCUGAGCAGCGAAAUAUUUAGCAGAGAAGUAAUAAAUCAUAUCCUGGGGACUACGCAUGUCUUAGCAUCACCCUUUAAUGAGAACGGAAAUAAUUUAAGGAUAUAGUAGUAGCGAGUUUUUUCAUCAUUAAUGAAUAGGGUGGCUAUAUCAUUUAAUUUAGUAAGAUGUGCCACAACAGUUUCAGAUUCAUAGCCAUAGAAAGGAUUAGAUUCAACCAAAGUAAUUAUCUCAGGAUCGACAGAGAAAUCAUAAUCCUUAUCAGUAACAAAGAUAGGUGAAGUAGCAAAAGCAGGGUCAUAUUUCAUUCUAGCAUUCACGGAUUUUUCUUUCAGCUUAGCUAAUAAUUUCUUAAGAUCAGAUCUAUCAUUGCAAGCAAGAAAAUUCUAGCAGUUUCUUCAUCCAUAACAUAACCCUCAUGCACAACAAGUAAUUCAUAUCUAGGGGGAGAAUCUUCAUCAUCACUUUCAUCAAUAUUAUCAGUUUCAAUAAUUUCAUUCUCUCUAGCCCUGGCAAGUUGUUCAUCAAGAAAUUCACCUAGUGGCACUGUAUUAUCAAGCAUAGAAGUAGUUUCAUCAUAAGUAGCAUAGUAGAAGUGGCAUCAUCAAUAACAUGCGGCAUAUGAGAAUUAAUAGCAGCAGCAGGUUUAGGUGUCGCAAGCUUACUCAAAACAGAAGGUGAAUCAAGUGCAGAGCUAGAUGGCAGUUCCUUACCUCCCCUCGUAGUUGAGGGAUAAAUUUUGGUUUUCUCGUCUUUCAAGUUCCUCAUAGUGACCAGCAGAUAUAAAUCCCAAGUGACUCAAAGAAUUGAGAUAUGCUCCCCAGCAACGGCGCCAGAAAAUAGUCUUGAUAACCCACAAGUAUAGGGGAUCGCAACAGUUUUCGAGGGUAGAGUAUUCAACCCAAAUUUAUUGAUUCGACACAAGGGGAGCCAAAGAAUAUUCUCAAGUAUUAGUAGUCUAGUUGUCAAUUCAACCUCACCUGGAUAACUAAAUAUCUGCAGCAAAGUAUUUAGUAGCAAAGUAGUAUGGAAGUAACGGUAACAGUGGCAAAGGUAACAGUAGCAAUAUUGUAGUAAUUGUAACAGUGGCAACGGUAAAGUAACUAAGCAAAGAGCAACAUGUGAAAAGCUCGUAGGCAUUGGAUCGGUGAUGGAUAAUUAUAUCGGAUGCGGUUCAUCAUGUAACAAAUAUAACAUAGGGUGACACAGAACUAGCUCCAAUUCAUCAAUGUAAUGUAGGCAUGUAUUCCGAAUAUAGUCAUACAUGCUUAUGGAAAAGAACUUGCAUGACAUCUUUUGUCCUACCCUCCCAUGGCAGCGGGGUCCUAGUGGAAACUAAGGGAUACUAAGGCCUCCUUUUAAUAGAGUACCGGACCAAAGCAUUAACUCAUAGUGAAUACAUGAACUCCUCAAACUACGGUCAUCACCGGAAGUGGUCCUGAUUAUUGUCACUUCAGGGUUGCCGGAUCAUAACACAUAGUAGGUGACUAUUGACUUGCAAGAUAGGAUCAAGAACUCACAUAUAUUCAUGAAAACAUAAUAGGUUCAGAUCUGAAAUCAUGGCACUCGGGCCCUAGUGGCAAGCAUUAAGCAUAACAAAGUCAUAGCAACAUCAAUCUCAGAACAUAGUUGAUACUAGGGAUCAAACCCUAACAAAACUAACUCGAUUACAUGAUAAAUCUCAACCAACCCAUCACCGUCCAACAAGCCUACAAUGGAAUUACUCACGCACGGCGGUGAGCAUCAUGAAAUUGGUGAUGGAGGAUGGUUGAUGAUGACGACGACAACAGAUUCCCCUCUCCGGAGCCCCGAACGGACUCCAGAUCAGCCGUCCCGAGAGAGAUUAGGGCUUGGCGGCGGCUCCGUAUCGUAAAACGCGAUGAAUCCUUCUCUCUGAUUUUUUCUCCCCGAACGUGAAUAUAUGGAGUUGGAGUUGAGGUCGGUGGAGCUCUAGGGGGCCCACGAGGCAGGGGGCGCCCCCAGGGGGGCAGGCGCGCCUCCCACCCUCGUGGACAGGGUGUGGGCCCCCUGGCCUUGAAUCUUUUGCCAGUAUUUUUUAUUAAUCCCAAAAUAAUUCUCCGUUGAUUUUCAGGUCAUUCCGAGAACUUUUAUUUCUGCACAAAGAUAACACCAUGGCAAUUCUGCUGAAAACAGCGUCAGUCCGGGUUAGUUCCAUUCAAAUCAUGCAAGUUAGAGUCCAAAACAAGGGCAAAAGUGUUUGGAAAAGUAGAUACGACGGAGACGUAUCAACACCUUAUUGGUUGAACAGGAUAGGCCAUCUGCCUUUGACUCCUUGAGCUCAAAAUAGUCAUUAGGAUCAUAUUCUGAAUAUGAAUCUAUAGGUCGGGAGCAUGUGGGUUUCAUUGUAUCCACAAUGGACCUCAAUCCCUUGAUGCCAAGUUUACUACCCAUUGAACUGUUCCGCAAUAUUCUUCUGAUGUGUGCAUUCUUAUAUUCAUAAUGAUUUCGUACAAUAUCUCUAAAAUAUGAAAACACAAAUAGUAGUGAGAUUAUCUUGGUAAUGCAGAGGAUAUUGUAAUAUAAGAGAGGCUCCCUGUAAACCCUUGUGUGGUAUCACUGGAUUCUGAUGAGAGAGCCCACGUGUGUUGUAAUAUGGUGAGUAGAUUAAUAUAAUUUGGCACAACUACACAAAAAAAUAAGCUUCCUGUUGGGGGCCCAAGAUGUAAGGAUAGUUGGCAGACGAUCGGUUCAUAAUAUACCGUAUAGAUAGUUUAUUGCCAUACCAUGAUAACGAGAGCGCAGAGCCAGUAGGCAGAUCGUAGUGUAGAUAAUAGGGGUACACCAUAACCACCAUAAAUAAAUCAGGAAAGCGGAACUGGCUGGAAAACAUAGGAUUUUGCCGCUACUAAUAUGCAACCUAUCGAUCACCUAUAGGCCAGCUCUAUUCAUCUGAAGGCGCACAACUGUUACUAUCAGUUUAGUCUAUCAAAGACCGCGCGGCUCCCACCAUUUCCGGGGUAUUAUGGCAGACGAACUCGAAGUGCGAAAUCAUAUAGCAGAACCGGCACAAUAGAGGUGUCGACUGCAGAUGUCCCUGCUCCCCUUCCUGACAAGGAACAUACUGUGCUUACUAAAGAAGAACAGAAGAGGAAGCAUAUUCUGCAUGUCUGCAUGCAAGUCGCGUGACUUUUGUCAUUUGGGUCAGUCGACCAUUUCAGGCGGUUGGAUGAAGAUCCUACAUCUCCUAAACCUUCUUCUUCCUCGUCUUUGAUUCUUCCAAUACAGAACACUGCACGGGCCGCCAGCCGAGCCCCACCACCUGUGUUCCUCCGCCACCCCCACCCCCACCCCCGCACCCACCCGCUCGAGUUUUCUUCGUUUGGCGAGGCCCCACCACCGCCACCCACAACCACCGUCCCCACCCGAGCCCCUUCCUUCGCACCGGCAAACUCCGACGAGCUCUCAAAAAUCAACUGACCCAAUUUUGAAAUUUAGUCUACUGUCAUUUAACUAGUGUGGAAUAUAAAAGGGGAAAACCAUAAGCAUUGCGGGUAUAGUGUUGAGCGUGCCAUGGCGGAUCUGAAGGUGCAAACCGGACAAAGGAAACUUCGCAACCAAUGUUUUCUUUCAACUAGCAAGUAAGUGAUGGACAAGAAAUUAGAGUAAAGCAGUGGCGAUCUAUUUUCUUGUUGCGAUAAAUAAGUUGAGCAGAUAUGAAAGAGUACCGCCUCUGGUGCGGCGCCGUGUAUGCAUCUGCUGAGAAUUUGACGGUGCUGCGGUAGCGAUGGCUGUCGGCAGCGUGGAAGCAGAUCUAGGAGGGUAGAUGGUGGCGGCAGGGCGCGGUGGACAAUACGGUCGUAGGAGCGGCGCCCGCAAGGUGGACGAUGGCGGGGAUGAAGCGAGAGGACGGGAUGCAACGAUCCCGGUCCGAAGCCGUGGAUGAGAGAGGCCGAUCUCUUGUAAUGGCCAACGGCGUCGGGGUAUCAGCUCUGACAUGGUGGAGGAGGACGGCGGUGGAUGGGGUGGCGGACGAAGGAGGCUGGGGUGGAGAGGGUGUUUUGGCGCCCACAGAGUAUGAAUGGGGAAAUGGAGGGAGAGAGGAACGGGGGAACCAUGUCUUCAGGGCACGCUUGUCUCAAAUGCGAGGAAAUUUACAAACUUAGGCCCCGUUUAAUAUUUCCUACAUCACAACAAUAUUAGUCGGUUGGGGAUAGGACAGUAAUCUCGCAUACACCGAAUAUUUGCCGACGAGAGUUUGUUUUUGGCACCCACCGUGUAUGAAUCAGGGAGGGAGUCGAUUUUGGCAGAGGAGACACUGUGUUUUGGCACCCACCGUGUAUGAAUCUGGGUGAGAGGCGGUUAUGUCACGUUUGAGUGAAAUUACAAACCUACCCCUAUCAAAACCUAUAGAAAUCGAGCCGAUAGUCUUUGCGUGUCAGGGAUAGGUAGUAAUUUCCAUCUCGCAGAUUUUGGUUUCGGGCGGUUACUACGACUUUCCCCGCUUCAUUCAAAUUUUUACAGAGUAAGAGUGCACGUUUACCGUGCCAACUCAAUUCGAAUCCAGUUUGUAUUCUAUUUUUGCUCGGGCAGGAUCCAUUUGCGAUUGGAAUAAAAUUCUAUAUACAUCAUUUUUUAUAUAUACUUUCAAAAGCACAACACCCUUUAUACAUAAAUAUGGUUUACAAAUGGCAUGAUCUCAGAUUCAUAAGGCUGUAUCCAUCUUAAUUUGGAUUUCCAAAUAUUUGAAACCACUUUAUGUUGAAAUCCAAUGUAUGCAUUCCUCGCUAACCGUCUCCAAUUAAUGUGUGCUUCAUGCGUUUUUUUACUUCUCAAACAUGUAUAAUGUGUUUCACACACGCAACAUAUAGUGUAAUCCCGCUUAGACAUUAAUUGCAUAGAAAUCAUGCAUUGUCUCUAAUUAAAGAAUAUAUGGAUCACUAAUAUUGAUAAACUAUAUAACAUUACACGUGUCCCCAAAUUCAAAUGAAUAUGCAUGUUUCAUACACCAAUUUGCCUUAUGAUAUUAUCGAUGUCGUGAUCCCUAGUUUAAAUAUUUGAAUCCCCUUUAAUCCAGAUAUUUGUCUCAUAUAGCUAUCACUCAUGCUUAUAUAGGAGUAUCUCUCUAGACCUAUAUGUGUUCAUCGUCUCUCGGGUAUCUCUCGUGCUACCUGUAUGUCGACAACGAUGUUUUAUCUUCGCAACACACUGACGGUACUCUCUCCCUCAACCUUCAUCACUCUGUCUCUCUCUAAGUAUAUCUCGCUCCCUGCUAUGUGUCUCUAACUAUGAUUCUCCAUGUGAAAUAUCUUUCUCCCACACAAACACAAACUUCGUCUCCCGGGGUCUCAUUUCUCUCUACUAUUCCCCUGUGUGCCACUCGCACACCCCCUCUCACACAGAGAUGUCUUUCGCUCCUUAGAUAUGAGAAGCUACGACUCUUCCUCUUAAAUAUCUCUUUCUCGCACACAAACACAAACUCUGUCUCCCAGGCUCUCAUAUCUCUACACAAUUCUCUUGUAUGUCGCUCACACACACUCUCUCUCCCUAGAGAUAUCUUAUGUUCCCUCAUCUGUCUCUCUAGAUAUCACUCUCGUUGUGAAAUAUCUUUCUCUCUCACAGACACAAAACUCCGUCUCUCGGGAUCUCAUUUCUCUCUGAUAUUUGUUUGUAUGUGACUCACAUGCACACUCUCUCUAUCUCUCUCACACCCACACACAUAACUCAGCCUUCUGACCCACUCGACUCCUAUCUCUAACACACACUAGCUAGCUAGCAUCUUUAUCUUUCUAUUUAUAUGUUUCUCCAUCAACCUUCUUUCUCGCCCUCACUCUUGCUUCCUAUCACGCACACUAUAUAUGUUUCUCUCUACAUGCAGUCAAGUGCCCUCUUUUUAUCUUUCUCUCACACACACAUAACUUCACCCUCUGAACCCAGCCGACGGUCAUCUCCAACACUCAAACUAGCUGAUGUCCCUCUAUCUAGCAUCUCUAUCUCUGUAUCUAUCUGUAGUUUCUCCGUCAACAUUUCUUUCUCGCACGCACUCUUGCUUCCUAUCACCCACACUAUAUAUGUCUCUCCAUACAUGCAUUUAUAGGUUGAUCUCUUUUGCACAAUCGUUGUGUCUCGCUCCCUCUGCUCGCCAUAGAUGCAUGCUCCAGCCCACGCCACUAUCUCUUAAAGACAAAAACACAUGCUCAAUUAUCGAGCCUUCUUCCCUGCACUCUCACAUGCAUGCAUAUUGUCAUACCGAUCUCUCCCAUAUCGUUGAUCUUAUGACUUAUGUCUUCUUUCUUUUACCUCGAUCAUGCUCGCGCGCGCACACACACACACAUCCCACGUAUACAUGUAUAACUCUCGCACAUGCAUGUUCAAGGUCUCCUAUGUCCCCAUACAUAGUUAAUUACCCUCAACCCUAAUGCCACAUCGAAUCGUUCUCUUCUUGUGUGCACAUAACUUCCGCCUGGAUGGGUAGAACACAAACUCACACUUAAGAAUCUCCUUAUAGCUACCCCCCUCUCUCACUCUUCCCCUAUAUCCCCGAAACCAAUAAGACCAUCCCUUCGUUUAAUUCCCGCCUACAUGCACCAUCGAUAUAUAGUAGUCUUCCUCGGUGUCUCUCAAACAAACACGUUCUCUCGAUGUCGACACCUCUCAUGCGCACAUGCCUUCUCUUCCCUCUCUACGGGCCUUUUCUCUCUCGCACCCCCUCAUUGGUGGCCCCUGUCAUACCCUAUGAUGAAGCCACACACACUUAAAUUACAUCCGCCACCGAGGACCCCGCGUCACACACACACGCGCACCCACACCCACCCCCCCACACACACUAAGACUCCAUCUCACACACACAUGCUCUAGGCGGAGCAUUUGUUCCUACCACCCUUCGUCCAACCUUACCUGUAUGAUAAGCAAUCACCUUAAUUUACUUGUAUAACAUGGACAAAUUCCACUUUACUUUAGUAGUUAGCAAACUUAUCAUCUCUACUCUUAUAAAAAACGAGUUGGUGAUGAUGGUGUGACUGCCAUCUUAUAAUAUAGACCGUCUGAUCUAUAUCUGACGGAUAGAAAGCAAACUAUGACAAUUUUACAAAAUAUACCCGCACCUCUCUCCACAUUUACAAACAAGGCCUUGCCUCGUUCAUCGUCCUUAUCUCCCACAACCUCAUUGCUGAGCAAUUAAAAAAGGAAGUCUCUGGAACAAUCUAGCAUGGUGGCCACUGCCGCUUGCCGGCGCCGUCCAUCCCCAUGCCUCCGCCCAGUCCGACCGCCAGUCACCACCAGGCUCCACUCCUCCUCACCUUAUCUCUCAUCUUUCAUUUUUUGAUGAAAUUGUCGAGAUACCAGUUUUCCGAUAAAAUUCUUGAGAUAUCAUUAGUUUUUACGCAUGGGAUAUUCCUGCAUGGGUCAAUCACAAUAGGUGUUUUGUAAAAAAAAUGCAUAUUGAUGUUCCGUGCAAUGCACGAGCAUCUUGCUAGUAAUUAUAUAACACAAAUCACGACCAUGAAGUGACAUUUUUUACACAACCACGUUAACAUGGCCAUGUAAAUCUCUAGCUAAAGUGUAAUACCAUUAUACUUAUAUCCCGAUGCAAAAGGUUGAGUACUUGUCCGAAGAGUAGAUUCGCACACACGCACUCUGUCUCUCAGAAUCUCACACACACACCAGUUAUGUGACGCCCACUUAAGAAGACACGUAUGUUACAAUUUGUGCACCCGCGGGUACACGUGAUGGUGCGCAUUUAUUUAAGCCGGACGGUGAACCCAAAUAGUAGCUGCAUUCAUUCCCCUCCCGCCGCCUCUUCUCUGGUCGCCGUAGCCCGGAAGCCAUGGCCCGACCAAAGAUAACAACAUAUGCCAUACUCUCGCCGGAGCGGCGCUUUAAUCUAGAAAUUUUAGUGGUCAUGCAUGCAUCUUUUUGUGCUAGCACUCCUAUAUAAGGGUUGACCGGUCGCUUCCCGUGGAUGUGCGCGGGCGGUGGAAGAGGAAGGAGAAGGGAAGCGGGCUGUGGAGUAACGUUUUUUUACCACAUUUUCUUAGGAAACUGAGUGCAAUAAUUGAGUAGUUUUGCAAACUACCAGUACUACACCUGAAACGGUUCAAAACCAAUACCACCACCACGCCCGCGUCUGACCGCCCUGGCCAACCCAACCCCCCUCCCUUGCCGGCGCGCGCUUCCCACGUGAAACAGUCAGCGUCGCCAUGGAAUGUCAGUGCCGCAUUAAUGCCCGGCCAGAGCGGAGGCGACCUCUCACUGGCGCCGGCUUUCAAGCAACGCGACGGCCGAGAGAGUGCCGCUUCCCGGUGCACGCGACUGCUCUGCGUCGAGGCUGGCCAUAGUUUGGAUGAGUCUCCAUCGUGGGGAGCCACACUAAUUGCGAUGAUAUGGACUCCCGUUGCCCACAAUUAUGGAUCAUUCCAUCUAUGAAGAACACGUGGGACUGGAACUACGAGACGGACAUGUACCCAGGAGUGGACGUACGAACCUGUGUAAUGUAGCGCAGUAAGUGAAGCAGAAAGGCACAAAUAGUAUAAACAUGCAUGGCAUAUAGGCAUUUGUCUCUUACUACCACUAAAUGUUGUACGUGAAAUGCCCGGUGAUGUUAUGGAGUACGUGCCUAAGUACUCUACUACUACUAUAUUAAUUGGAGGCACAUUUAGGUUUUAUAUUUGUUUACGUGUAUGCCCCGAGACCUUUCAACUAGACGUGUCUUUCUCUCCGGAUCGCACUUUGUAUCGUUCAUACCACUAGUACUACUACGUGUGGUCUCCGACCCAGAAGUGGAGACGCUCUACCACGUUGUUCAUGUCCCACUCCUUUCGCUGACGUGUGGGACAUCCAGCACAUGCCGUGUUUGGCACUCCUUCGUCGUAAGAGUUGAAACACUAGCAUUCAUCAGAAAUAAAAAAUAAAUAUAAAUCAGCAGUGAUACUAUACCACGCGGUUUCCUUUCUCCUCGAUAUUGGAAAGAAUACUUCCGUUCGUCGACAUGUGGGACGUCGACCAUCCUGGUCCACUUGCCAUGCCCGCAGAACUCCAAGGGAGAGUCACCCCGGUCGUCGCGCCGCAGUAAUUACUAAUGAGCCAUCAAAUCACAGGCCCAACCUUUCCCACUGUGAAGUUGCUCGGACGAAGGAACUAUCAUGACUUCGUUGAAUUCCGCUUCUUGAAGAAAACUACUGUACCAUCAGUACUGCUAGCUAUAGUAGUUACUCCAGUAAAGGCCUCCUUUGGUUCAUCGGAUAGGAAUUUUAUAGGAAUAUCAAAAUGAUAGGAAGUGAGAUGACAUGUAUCUCAAUUCCUAUAGAGAAAGAGAUGCCAUUUGAUGCAUAGGAUAGGAAUUUUUCCAUUGAGUCUAGGCUAAUGUACUGGUAAUUUGCUCUAAAAACUACAGUAGUAACUAGUAGUACUGGUACAUGCUCGUAAUUAAUUAAAAAACGUACGGGUGACACAGACACACGCACUAACUACUAGUACUACUACUUCUCACAUGUUGUCCAGACACCGUCGUUCUCCUUCCCGGCUUUGUCGGCGUCACCCCACCGUGCUUGGAUCUCUGCCGACCUCUCCGCAGCAGCUCGUGCGUCCUCUUCUUUCUUGCGGCGGCGGGUCUCUCUUUUCUUGAGUGCUUUCUGACUUUUCCGCUCCCUCUGUGCGGCUUUGGCCGCCUCUUGCUCUACCGCCCAUUUGGCCUUGGCAGCUUCAAAUUCCGCCCACAUAGGUGUGAGGUCACGAGCGGCGAUGAACUCGGCACGGCGGGAUGCCAUCGCUUCCCUACCAUUAUGUGUGCGGUCAUGGGCGGCGAGGAACUCGGCGCGGCGGGAUGCCAUCGCUUCCUUACCGGUUAGUGUGCGGCGCGGUGGCAUGAACGACGCUUGGUGACAGCUCUGGGGUGGAGUGGCGAAGAGCUCAAGGACAGAAGACGAAGGAAAUUUGGAUUCCCCUUCAAUCCUGGUCAUUUAUUACCGAGUAAAAUGCAUUGGCGGUAAUUGAACUUGUCUUGAUAGCUCGCUUUGAUCAUUGUAUAUGAGAUAUGGUGAUUAUACGGUCACUGGCUCAGCGUAUAGCUCCGUAUUUGUCUGGUUGAACUAUCAAACAGUCCACAUGCGCCUAAUCAGCACGUGUUCUUUAUCAAUCUAUCUAUGUGGGCCUACCUGUCAGUGGAGAAAGAAAUAAAAACUAAAAUUAUGCGUAUGUGAGGAAUCAAACCACGGGCUCGUCGCUGCAAUGCACACCCGUCAGCCAAAUGAAAAUGAAAUACUGUGCGUUAAAUGCACAAACGGAUUUUUUAUAUUAUACGUGAUGCACACAUUAGCGCACACCGUCCAUAGAGGCAAGUAGCAUGUACGCGUGCAGACAGACAGACACUCACGCUCACGCUCACGCUGUCAAACCAUGCUAAUGCAUGCACGUCGCCCUCUCAAUCAAAGUCCUGCUCAUGGCGCAACGCAAACGGCGAGCCCGUCACCUGCGCGCCCCGGCGGUGCGUGACAUUACUGUUUAUAGACGUUUGCUGGAGGCCUCCGCGAACACCGAGCAUGUAUUCACCUAGCUCAACACCAACGGUCAUACUCGUGACUCGGCGCCUUGCUCAUGUAUAUCGUCCAUCACGACGUCAAUCUAUAAAACAGCCUAGAUAGAGAGGGUACUAUAGUACGGAGUAUGUACUAUCGUGAGCAACCGAUCAUAGUGCCACUGCACACGAGUGUGUGUCUGAUCGAUUCGUCCAUUAUUCGUUAGUUAUGCAUGGUUGUGUGGUGUCUAAUGGUGGUCGUCGAAGGCUAGCUAGCAACAAGAGCAGUUGCAUGGACGCCUGGUUGUCAAUACAUGCCGCAUACGCUUCAAAGGCUCGUCAUCCAUGAGUUCACAUUUUACCACCACGCCAGCGCCUGACCGCCCUGGCCUACCGAAACCCCUUCCAUCGCUAGCGCGCGCUUCCCGCCUGAAACGGUCACCGUCUCUCCAGAACGUCAAUGCCGCAUUCACCGGACUUAACUGCAGGUGCGGUUGGUGUGUCAUUGACAUGCGGGCCAGAUGCCCGUUGGGUCCACAUGUUAGUGAUCCAACGCACCUGCGGUUAAGUCACUGAAGCAGCGUCCGCAUUCACACCCGACGCGACCUCUCACUGGCGCCGGCAUUGCAGCAGCGUGACGGUCGAGAGAGCGCCACCCACGCGGCAUCCCGGUGCAAGGACUGUUCCGCGUUAAUGACUCCACGGCUAUCCUUCCGCCCGCCGCCCACAUUAAUGACACACGGUUGCCGACGAACCCACUCCCGUGCCAGCCGUCUAUCCGUCUGCCGCGGCUCAUUGCCAUUCGCCUGCUACAUUAACUUGAGCCCCAGCUCCCAGCCAUAGCCAAAGACCCACACUCAUUCUCCUCCGGUCCCUUCCUUCUGUCGACACCACUCCAACCAUGGCCUCCUGGCGCUCCAAAGCUCUCUUGGACGUACCGUCGCAGGAGCAAACGAAGGACAUCGGCGGCUCUGCUCCAGGUCCGCUCCAAAGCUCUCUUGGACGUACUGUCACAGGAGCAGACGAAGGAGAUCGCCGGCUCCCCCCCCGGUCGCCCUCCGCCACCAUGACUACAAAGUCGGUGUGCGUGCGCGGGCGCAGCCGGCAGCGAGGAAGUGUAGUACACGGUAGGUCGCCGUUGUUCUGGUCCCAGGAAGGCCCCCGCUCCUCCACUCAGUCGACACCAAGCUUGGUGGGAUAAACAUCGGCGGCCGAUUAGCAGCUUGACGGCGAUGUGAAGGCGGAAAGCUUCAGAACCUUGUGCUCCGGAGGAGGAGGUUAUCGAGGUGGAUGAGGAGGAGGCAAAGACAAUGGCCGGCUUUCUCGGGUUCAUGGCCGAACAUGGUGGUCGGGCACCGGUGAUUGUUUAGAUUAGGUUUACAAUAGGUUUUAGUAUGGUUUGCGCGAAAUAUGUAAUGAAUUUCAUCCAGUUUAUAGGAAAAGUUUUCGAAAUGUAAUGAAUUUCAUCCAGUUAAUUUGAAAUUUACUUUGUUUGCACGAAUUUCGUCCGGUUAGUUCAUAUAGUUGUUGAAAGGUAUGCGGGCAGCAUUGGGUGGCAUCCAUCAGUGUCAUCGGACAGAUGCUGGUGUAAAUUUGAGGGCCAGUGCUGUAGAUGCCCUAACUAUCAUGCUAUAAUCGCUAACACUGCUCCAUUAUUUCGUAGGGAACAGUUAUCCCUCGAUCAAAAUCAGAUCCGCCGUGUUUCGCACUCCUCCCACAUAAGAGUGUAGACUCUUUCUUACAUAAAAAUGGAGCAAGUGGACGGCACUGUAGCACGUCAUAUCACUCAAACUAGCCCGCCUAACGCCCGGGAAAGCACCACCCUCAUCAUUUUGUUCUGGAUUUCUAUGAUCGAUCGCACGAAAAUGUUACGCUUUGCAAGUUCAAAAGGAAAAGGCGGCACACUUAUGACUCGUACGCGUCGCACCCCCGUUAGUCCGGCUCGCACACCGCUCACCAGAGGGGACACGCGUUGUCUUGCAUUUUCACUGACAUGUGGGACUGCAAUUGAAUAAACCGUCGAUAGCUGAAAUCUAAUUGCUCGGCAGGCAUCAGCUGAGAAGAGAGAGACGGGGGAGGGAGAAGAGAUCGCCCACCCGCCGCACACGGACUCUAAGAAAUAUAUAUGGUGAUAAUGUGAGGUGGGCCAUGCGGGAGUCCGGACCGCUUCCAAGCCCGCUUCUGACCGCCCUGGCCCACCAGAACCCCCCCCCACCCCACCACCUCCCCGCGCGUGCUCCCCCCUGAGACGCCACCUGCCCGCAUUCAUAGCAAGUAGUACCAGUAAAAUUCUGGGCUAUAAGGGCAUGUACAAUAUUAAUGGUUGAUAAGAUAGUCUUAUCAUAAGUCUGGCAUGUAAUUUAGAGAUGACAAAAAAACAUGUGUACAAUGGAUCAUCUCUUAGCCUUAUCUUCAAUAACUAGUUAUUCCUAAAAACAUGGUGAAACAUAUUGUGCUAAGAGAUCAUCUCUUGUCUUCUCUUAAAUAAGAGAAGACAAGCCUUUUCUUAUGAUUUCUCUUUCCUCCACCUCAUCAUUCAUCCUAUGUGGCAUCCCUACAAUAGAACCAUCGUACAUGCCCUAAGCUCGCUUAUGUGGAGGAGAGAGAGGCAUUGACAAAGUCAAGGAGUGGGAUCUGCAGGAGCCCAUCUCCACACAUGCUCCUAGGUAUAAAAAACUAAUUCUAUAUAAAAGAGGCAUAAAAAACAACUGUGUCUAAAAAAAGAAAAGUAAACAACUUUUGAGAGGAAAUAGAUAGAGAGAAAGUGAGAAAAAGUUGUAACCUUAUAGCCAACCUUAUAGUCAACCCUAUGGUAGUAUUACAUGAGGAAGGAGGGAGUGGUGCACAUACCAAGUUCAAUGGGCUGCCGUGUUUCACACUCCUCCGUCAUAACAGUGGAGACAAUAGCUUUCAUAAAAAAUAAACAAUGAAUACUCGUUGCUCGUCCACUAUAUCGGAAAGAAUACUUUCAUUCGCCGACAUGUGGGACGUCGACCAUCCUGGUCCACCUGCCAUGCACAAAAUUAUCCUGGUCCACUCCGGUCGUAGCGCAGGCCCAACCUUCCCACUGUAAGUUGGUCGGACGAAGGAACCAUCAUGACUUCGUUGAAUUCCGCUUCUUCAAGAAAACUUACUGUACCCGCAGUACUGCUACCACACGCGAAGACUGGACAGCACUGUACCACGUCAUAUCAAUGAAACCCACUAGGCCAAACUAGCCCGCCUAGGAUUUGUACUCCCUCCGUUUCAAAGUUAGUAGUACAAAGUUGAGUCAUCUAUUUUGGAAUGGAGGGAGUACGUCUUUGUACUGCUAUGAUUUUGUGUUGUACGUCUAUGUACUUUUGCUACGAUUUUCCUACCCUAUGAACCAAAUGAGGCCUGAAUGUAUCCGUGUCGACCAUUGUCUGAUCGAUCGCUAAGCCUACAAUUUUAGGAGCUUGGGCUAUUGGCCGAUCAACGACGGAUCAGUAUAAGCGUACCACGAGCUCAUCAGCCCCAACGUUUCUCUUCGGUGAGUGUUUUGCAAGUACUAUAGCUCGCACAGUAGCUAGCCUACUAACACCAAGAAUCAUCAAACAAUCCCUGCUGAUAUGAUAAACAGUUCAAACUUACAUCUAAGCAUGCCAUAUAUUACAUCAAAAGCUGGUGAGGAUACAUCUGUUUCCACAACUCGGAGACGGUUCGCAUGAUUCACUAUGAAACAAAAGUAGCAAGUACCGCCCACACAAGACAGUGCAAUAGCCCUAAGAUGGUUUGAUAACACGCAUUGUUUUGGUAAUUAAACACAAUGCAAACUACCCUGAAUGAUUAGCGCGACCAACUAUUUCUUGUCAUCGAUCUCUCGGGCAAUGAGCACAGCAUGGACAGCGGCAUGGGAAUCAAUCUCUGGGGCGAUGUCCACCACGACAUCGGAAUCGAUCUCUGGGGCGAUGUCCACAGGAUGGACAGCGGCAUCGGAAUCGAUCUCCGGGGCGAUGUCAAUAGGACGGACCGCGAGAUCGAAAACGAUCUCUGGGGCGUUGUCCACAGGACGGGCCACGACAUCGGAAUCAUCAAGGACGUCCACCGACACCUGCACAACCCUAACAUAUUAGCAAGCACAUUGCAAAUAAUCAAAAACCACAACCAUGGUAAGCCAUUAUUUUUUACCUUAUGCAGCUCACCGGGGGAUCCCAUCCCUCCGGGGGCCAUCUCCUCGUCCUCGAUGGGGGCCAUCACCUUGCCAGGGAAUACUGCUUCUCAACGGCGACUAUCUCCUCAAACUCGGCCUUGAGCCUCGCACAGGUGGCGAUUAGAGUUUCUGGGGUAGGCACAGUGGGGCCCUUGUUGUUCUUCCAACUUUCUUUGAGGAGUUCGUCCGCCAACGUCGUCAACUCUUUGGCCAGUGCUUGUUUCUUGGAGUUCUUUGUCUCCAUGGGUUGGCCCGCCAACAUGGUCCACUCGUUGGUCAGUGCUCGCUUCCUGGAGAGGGCUAUCUCCAGUGGGUUGUCCGCCAGCAACUCUUUGCCUAGUGCUCCAGGAUCCAUCAAUGAACUGACAAACAAAAAGCAAUCAAAAGGCAACCACAAUCGCAAUGAAAACGGGAAAAGAAUAGGCUGUGAGAAUCGGUCGAUGCUUCGUAAAAAGAAGAUUCUUGGAAUGAAAAUAUAGUAGCAUCACUGAUUUGCCCACCUGUCCUUCGUCGGUACAGAAGAAAAAUGGCAGAAGUGAGUAGCCUGGAGUGAGGUUUUCUUCAAGAAAGGGGAGAAAGGGCUUCAACGAGCGUUCCAGUGAAAUGAUGGUUGCUUCGUCCAGUCCAACUUCGAGGCCACUUUACCACUGCUGGUAAAGGUGUGGGUUUUGUGAUAUGAUGGGUCAUGACGGCCACACGGGGGUGACCGGUGAGUCUCGACUAUAGCACCUCGCUGUGAUUUGGUGGAUGGCACGCGGGCCCAGAUGCUUUGUGAUAUGCUUUGAUGUUUGGUAGGGUGUAUGAAGGGUGCAUGAGUCCACACUAGCUUAACACAAAAACACUAGGAGCAUGCAUGAGAAGAGCAUGCAUGAAGAGGGGUGCUGGGAUGAGCAUGCACGAAGAGGGAACAACUAUGCUGAGAUGAGAAUGCAACCAAGCACACUGUAACACCACUUGGAAUAAGCGCGUAGCUAUCUCAAAAAACAAUCAGCAACUCAAAAAACGGCGACGGGGCACGUACACAAUUUUAAACGAUUGUUUUGAUGGAGUGAAAAAGGAAAACUACCCCACUACGUAUAUAUAGGCCGGAGCCUCCGCACUUGCUUGCUAGGGUUGCUCUAUUCACACACUCUCAUCCUCUCCAGAUCUAAACAAGAUAGUGGUGGUAAGACUGUGUUGCUCCCUUCAAAAAACACUGUCUUUCUAUCCUCACCGCUGGUUACAGAUCCGGACGUAUCCCCCUCCGCCGGUGAAGGGGAGGAGGGGCAGCAUUUAGGCCAUCGUCGACAGCGAGGGAGGAGACCCACUGCCGGCCGCACUGUUACCUCUGGCAGAGCGCCGGCGCGGGAGGUCCUCCGAACCCUUCGUCGUUGCCCUAGUGUGGGGAGAUCCGGCCUCCCGCCGCCCACCUAUCCACAUCCCGACGACCUUCAGAUAUAUCUUCCUUUGAAACCACCCUAGCUCUACUUUCCCAGCUCUCUACGUCGUUGCAUGUGCAUCAUUUUCUACCUCUCAACCCCUCUCGAUCGGAUGGUCAAAUGACACAUUUUUUCUUCUAUUGUUAGAGGUAAAGCUACUUCAUGGAGUCGAAUCUUGUACUUGGUUUAAAUAAGAAAUAAAGUGGGGGUGGGGGAAUUUAGUAUGUACAUCGGACUUGGUACAAACAGGAAGGAUAGGGGGUGAAAGUAGUACGGACUGGUCAUCCAACCGGUCUCUUGGUCGAAAAGGGAAAUAUAGGGGAAUCGUUGUACACAGUGGUAUGACCAGGACUAGAUUUGCUAUCCAUACAUAAGAUGGCUACAUGCAUCAUUAUGAUGCAGAGGCCGGGGGCAAGCCUCCAUUUCCAAAAAACACAUAGGAGUAGGUGGCUAGAGUGAACAAAAAUGGGACCAACCCAGAUAUGUUUCUUGGAUGUUUGUUUCUCAGGGCAACAAACUCUGAAUCACCACUUUAUGCCCCGGUUUAGGUACAUGGUGCUGGACUGCUGGUGCACCCACUGUCCCAUGCCCUUAUACCAAAUAUUUAGUUGUUCUUAAUCUAAUGCCCCUGGUAAAAUGAAGCCAUGCCACUAUUAUAAGCCAUGACAAGUUUAGCCAAAUGUUUUUGCCUGUAAUUGUUUGAGACUCUGACUGUUUCCUGUGUAGCUAUUUGUGCAAACACUUCUUAAAAGAAGUGACUUUUGUGCUGUUUAACUGGAAUGUCAGAAUGGAACAGUUGGUUCAUUUCGGUGGAACUGCACAAAGGGAGAUCUAUGUUCCAAUCCUCAUCAUCCAUAUUGGCACCAUAACCUUCCUUUAGGUUAGAAUGAUAUUUAAUGCAUGUGUUCAUCUCUAUUUUGCGACUGCCAUGAGAAAAUAAUGCCAUUGUUUACUAGUACACUUGUACUCCCUCACUGACAAAACCAAUUCUGAAAUAGAAGGCCAAUCAUGUACUUGGUUUCACCAACUGGUGAGGAGAAAAAGAAAUAGAGCAUGAAGAGGAAGAAGAAGAAGAAUAAACAGUGCCAAGGUGAUAUUGCUGAAGCCGAGGCCUCAAUCGAGGCCAUUCAAGGGCUCCGGCAACGUCUACCUUACAUGUGAGACGAUCCGCCAGGGAGCCCUUCCACUUCUGCGUAUUGUCCAUGAUGAAUUUGAUGCUACUGUUAGAGAAAUAUGCUAAUGUCUUUCUAUCCUUUCUCACUAAGCUAAUGAAGGUUUCACCUUGUUCCUACUUGUGCAAACAGGGAUCAUGUUGUGCCAAUCAUACAUUUUAGUGGAACUACACAAGACAAUACAAUGAACUGUAUCCCAGCCAGUGCUUUAACUCUGCUGGAAGUUCUUGAUAAUCUUUUGAUAUAAUCUCAGCACUGGUAAACAGGAGUGAUUUCAACCAUACAUUUGAAGUGCACAACAAUAUAUACUAUUGAGUGAUUCCAGUGAGUGCUUUAUCAUCUCUUCUGGGACUACAUGAAUAAGCUUUUUUGCUCAGGUUGGUACCGGCCUAAGGCCUUCAUCCAUAUUAGUUUGCUGUCAUCUCUAUUUGUAGCGUGCUACUGUCAUGAGAAACUCCUUUAUCUUUGCACGUUAAAGUUUUGCAACCUAUGAUACAUGGCAAUGCUUUGAGUGUUGAGCUAAUUGGCACUGAUUAAAUAAACUAAUACCUCUCUUUAAGCAAGACUAAUAUGUUGCUAACUUUACCCAUUAAGAUAAUGAGGGUGCUUCUAUUUGUUAGUGUAUGUUUCAUCAACUAGUCCCACUAUUACAGUAAUCUCACUCUCUCAAUAUAUGUGCCAACAGGGAUGCUCGAUUUUGGUGGAACUGCACAAAAACUUUGGGUGCUUCAUUGCCUCGAUAGCUUCCUUCCUUUCCUGUCACUCGCUAAUCUAGGCUUGCUUCAUUCCUUUGCUGUCAGUCGCUUGGCUUAUCUCGGCUUCCAGUCAAAGGAAAUAGUAGUUGAUAUGCUACCUCACACAGGUUGGUACUGGUCUUUAUCCUGAUUUUUGUGCUUGUCAUAUGUAUUGGUAAUUUGGUAUUGUGCUACUGUUUGCCGAUUUCAUUAAGGAGUAACUUGGAUCCUGAACUUGCAGGCAAAUCAUUACAUUGGGUGAUUUCAGUAGAACUGCACAAAAAGAUCAGAUGGACAGGUACUUAUGCUGCUGCUAUGUAUUCCAAAGUUCACUCAGACAAGCAUCGAUGUUGACAAGAAAAAGUGCCUAUAUUCAUUCGAGUAUCAACCGGCAUCAACCAGUUGUCAAACUCCAAGUAUUAAGAGUGUGAACGCCAAAAUAUUGCUUGGUGCAUAGCCCAGAAAAACACAGUCCAGUCUUUCGUCCCAACUUGUGCCUUUUGGUUAUCGGCACAUAUGGUAGCGAACUGUAUGGCAUGUAGUCUAAAGAUUCCAGACAAGUUGGUUGACGCGUAUAUUCAUCUGGCACUUAAUCAGUCUGCACGCCAGGGAUGCUCCAUUUCAGUUGAACUGCACAAAAAAUUUGGGUGGUUCGUUUUCUCAACCGCCUCCUUUCUUGUCUGCAAUGUAGAAUUUUGGCGAGCUACAGGACCAAGAUGAGCCAGUAAACUAGUUGGAUGAAAGUAGUGGCCAAGUUGCUCAAACCUCCCUCGGCACGAGGCCACUAUUUGAGGAUAAACCUACAAGCAAAGCUCAGAUUGUCUGUGUUGCCUCUUAUGUACUCGAAAGUUUACUCGUACAAGCAUUAAUUUUAGCAAGAAGUACCUCCGACUGAACACCAUUUACCAGUCUGUACCCUAGGUAAUUAAAGUUUGUCCAUGGAUGAUAUUGGUUGUGAUCUCAAUCAUUUGGUUGCAUAAACAUACUGAACAUGUGUAUAUCUGAAUCUUUUUGUGAAUUACCUAUGAAUAUUGUCGUGUGAUCUAUCAAUCAUUUGGAUGCAUAGACAUGCUGAACUUGUGUAUAUAUGAAUCUUUUGAGUUGUUGAUUGUGAAUGUUGGCUAUGAAUAUGAGCGUGUCCUAUGAACCUGAGUUUGAUACGAAUGUUUACCUGUUGUACUUGGGUGUGAACUUGUUAGUAUGUCUACAGUGGGAUUUGUGACGUGUGGGUGUCAACGGCACACCUUCUUCCCGAGAAGAAUUGCACAUGCUUUGUUAGGGUAGCAACGGCGCAUCACCUCUUUUUAAUUUUUUUGCUCUGUCUUCCCCCCUCCCCCGCUCAACCCCUGCCGUAAUGUUUUCGGCCUCAAAACAAGCAUAGUACUGCGUUGUUUUUGGGGCUUGAUGAAAAAUCGAGUGCUGGUUUCUGUAGGUUGGCCCGCCCAGCAAAUGGGCUGCUGCACCACGGACUGGGUGGCUAAAAAUACAAGUUGUAUGGCGCAGAGGCAAGUAAAAAAACACCAUCGAGAGCCAUCCACUGAAGAAGAAAAUCGCGUCUCAUGUGCUUCCUCAGUCGGGCCGCCGGCCCCCUAUUUAAUCCAGUUCGCUCGGGGAUCUAGCUUACUAUCAUUUUUUUUCCAGAGGGCGAACAAGUAUCAGCUAGGCCUAGGUAUGCGUAGCCCACGAAAUACGGAGACAGUGGUUUCAACUUAUUUUUUUAGGUCCAUACCGGCCUAUGGGCCUCCCAGCGUAGGUUUUACUUUUUCUUAAAGAUCAGCAGCCCAAUGUAUUUUCUUAAUAAAACGCAGAUCUCUGUUCUAUUUAUCUAUAUAUAAGAAUAAUAAUGCUGUGUCCAAUUUAUGUUUUCCCUUCUAACCACAUUAUAUAUAUUUAUAUUAUUACUAGCUGAAUGCCCGUGCGUUGCCACGGAUCAACAAAAAAUAUAUAAUCAAAUAGUUGUUCUAAGUAAAAUGUGCGUCAAAAUGACAAGACAUGAUUUCAAUUCUAACAAAUCGAUGUCUCUCCCACGUCUUUCUUCCUAGGAUAUCAUUGUAUCUCUUUAACCUAUCCCCCCUUACAUCAUUUCUUUCUCCUUAAUUACCCUUCCUUUCCCUUCACCUUUUUUCACACUGCCGUGAGCAAGCCCCUCUUCAAACUCUUGUAUUUUCAUUGAUGAUACUAUCAACAAAAUAUUAUUUUGAUCUCUUUUUUGGUGGUCAAUUAGUUGAAUGGAAACUUAAGAAGUACCUCACAACUAACUGGAAAGAAACAUGAACUCCGAUGAGUAUAAAAACAAAAUAACAAAAAAAUUCUGAAAAAAAUAGACUCCCAUUUUACAGCAUAUACCAUUCCCAAACCCAAAGAAAAAGACCUGCAAACGACGUAUAUUUAAUUCAAAACAACUGACCUUUAGGUCACUCUCAUUAAAAGUUAUUUAUGUAUCCGCCAAAUGACUGGGAGGAGCAUUUUCUGUUAAAGCACUUCUCUGUGCAGGGGCAGCUUGAGUUCAAGGUUGUCCUCUUCCUCCUUAAAAGGAACUCCUGACCUCCUUGAGAAUAGAAAGAAGCUCUACGUGCACCUUGCCUUCAUCAUGGUCAAAUACAAACUAAUAAUUUAGAGCCAUGAUGUCUGCAAUAGUUAGUUUAAUCUCUUACAGCCCAAAAAUCAUAUGAAUUGAUCACCUUAAAGUUCCAAGAUUACCUUGAGCCUUAGAUAUUCUUUCUGAUUUUGUAUAGUUGCAUGUCAAAGCUCCAAGCAUGCCUGCAAAUUGAGAGCGAUGUGAUAAGUUAUGACUGACAGGAACAGUAAGUAGCACAACCAACACGAAAACUACGACGACAUACUACCAUCACACGAAAUAUGUAUGUGUGUGUGUGUGUGCGCGCGCGCGCACUAUUUAGGUUCUCAACACUAUCUCUCAUGCUCUUCCUGUUUCGUUUCUCCUAUCCAAGUGUCUCAUGGCCAAUCUAACAAAAAAAUCAGCUUCCCACAUAGAUGUGGCCUUGAUCAGUGACCCGCGGAAGCGGAGAUCAACCUUCAGGAAGUACUUGUCAAGCUCACCAAAUGCCGGCUCACCGCAGAAGUAAUUCUGCACACAUGAAGACUUCAGAAACAAAAAUUAAUGUCUUAAAAAAUUAAAAGAAGCUACACAUAUAAAAGUGUAAAAAGGUAUAAUUGGGGACAAAAUUGUGGAAUAGCUCUGACGAAUGCAUAAAAGGCAGUACAGUACCAAAAUAAAUUAGUCUAUGUGGCACUUUGAUUAUCAGAGAAGUUUACAUGCUCUUAAUGUACCCUUGAAGAGCAUAAUCAAAUCCUGAGAAAAAUAAAAUUAUUAUCAGUAUAAGGAACAUACAAGAUGUCUAGAAAGCAAAUAGCAAUGGCCAUUUUGACAGGAAUCAAAAUAUGACACAUUAUUUAGAAAAAAGAGUUAUAAAUUCAAUGUGCAGGCAACAUGAUACUAAUUUAUACACACGCACUUGUCAUGCCAUCAGCAGGAACAAUUUGAAAAAAAAAGGUAAUCAAUAUUGGUAUACAUAUACUUGUCUUGGACACAAACCGAAACCUACAUGCAGCUGAAAUCAUGCAUCAAACCUGCACGUACAAAAUACAUCUAAGCUGAUCUUGCCACUUCCUCAUGGAGAGGGCAGCAAUGCCGGCUGAAAGAAUAACCACGACAAUGGCAACACCUGCUGCUGCUGCAGGCUUUGAGAUUCUGUCCAGGUAGCCUGGCGAUCGACACGCUCGAAUCCGACUCAAGACCAAGAUACGGCUCCUGGCCCUCCUUGCCACUGCCGUGAUUGUUCUCGGGCUCACCACUCUCAACAUCCUGUUCACGCUGCUCAGCAGGUUGAGAUGGGGUGUCCAAAUCCUCACUGAUCUCUUCGCCAUUGCUGCUACCUGGAGCUGCUUCUGAUGCUCCAACAUCAAGCUCAUCUACUGCCUUGGAGUAGUCUGAUGCAUCAGAUUCUUCUACCACUGCAGCAACACCCUCUGAUUCUGCAAUCAAGCCAGCAUUGCUUGCUUCAGAAACUGCAUCCUGGAUAUUCAACUGCUCCUCCAAGGCACCGGCACUACCAGGAGUUUCUUCUGACAUUACAACAUCAAGCUCAUCUACUACCAUGUCGUAGUAGGCUGAUGCAUCAGAUUUUUCUCCCACUCCAGCAUCAUCAACUGGUUCUUCUUCCACCACAACAUCACCUUCCGGCUCUGCAGCAGCACGCACACGGAGGCAGCAGACAUGAACAGAACGAAAGCAAGGGGAAGCAGGAACCUCAACGCGGAUCCCUUCUUCGCUGGAGCUCGCACCCCAAGCUCCGGCUCCGGUGUCAGUGCACGAGCUCGCGGAGGAGUCGCCCUAGGCUCCGGUGUAGAGACGCGAGCCGGCUCUGGCUUCACCGCAGCAACCUCCGAUGACAGCAGAGGGGGCCGCGGCGAACCGCCACGGGCUCUGGCGCCAGGACGGAAGCCUCAGGGGCCUCAUAUGGAGCGGCGAGAGCUGACUGCUCCCCUGGCAGGUGAUUUUGUUGUGGUUGCUCUUGUUCCUCCUCCGUACGUGAGGUCGUCCUCCGUGGUGGCAGUGGCGUCGGUUUCGUCGCUGCUCUCGGAGGCGGAGGCGAAGCCGUCCUCGAGGCGCCUGACACCAGCGCCUAGGGGGUCGGGCUUGUAAUGGAGGAACCGCGGCCUCGGCGAGGUGUAGUUGGUCUUGGGGUUGUACAGGGCCGCCCGGGACGGCUCCGCGUCCACCGAUCGGGCGCCGCGUGCUGGUGGUUCACGCCCACGCACACGGGAUCCUCCAUCCCCGAAUUUCUCAAAGACGGCCGCGAAGGCGCCAAGCAGGAGGGGGUCGUCGGCACUGAGGUCGGGCUUCUCCGGCGCGUACUCCACCUCCACCUGCAAUAAGCCAUGGCGUUAGGACUGAGGAGCGGAUUACAGGGAGGCGGAACCGGAGCUCGCCGGGGGUGGGGGUCGGGUUCAGGGCGGGCGCUCUCCUCGCAGGCCCCGCCAGCGCCGGCAUUGGCGCCCGCAGCCCUGCUCUUCCUGUCCCUACGGCAGCGUCGACGGCGGGGUGGCCGCGUCCGGUGUCCCCGCGGCUUGGGGCUCGCCGCAUCCGCCGCGGCAGCGACGGCGGUGAGGGUUGGCGGUGGGCAUGAUCGUCAUCAGCAGAAGCGAGCGAGGCGACCCCCUCCUCCUCGGCGCCUCCGCUGCGCUCCUUCCUCUCUGUGUCCGCGACGAUUUUUGGCAGGAGAGAGACGAGAUCGGGAGCGAGGGGUUGGGGAGAGGUGGGGGCGGGACGUGUUUGUGGGCGGCAGUUUAUUCUUUUUUCUAGCGACGAUGGGGUGGGAGCGUGGGCUGAUUUUCCGGGUUUCUAGUGCGUGCGGGAUCGAGCGAUUUUUUUACCGCGUGCCGAUGGGGUGGGGGUGCCGGAGGUCGAACCAUCACAACGUUCAGUCUCCCUUUAAUAGUAGAGACUAUUAUUGUAUAUUUUAUGGGAAACGUUUCCAGCCGGGGCACCGGCCGAACCGUUACGCCGGCUCACGCAAGCCGCGAGAUGGUUCGCAAUCAUGCGGCCAGAAACAGCUCACCCCUUUCCUUAUCUGCAACACAUCUCCUUCUUCCUUCUCCAUCGCUCGCCUCCUCCGCCAUAGCACCAGGCAACUCCGAGCAUUCCUCCCUUCACACCCCACAGCUGCACCUCCUCCAUGGGGAGUGCUGCUCCCAUGCGCCAUGGCCUGCGAGCUCAAGGUCAGGGCGGCCAUGGCUUACGAGCUCGGGGCGGACUGCGACUGGGGCUCCAACAAGCUACUAUGGACUGUAUCGGGGUGCCGCGACGGAGGUGCUGGGACCGCGCCGGGGGAACCAGUCGACUGCCCGCUACGGCUGAGCUUCAACCAGCGACGGCUGGAGGUGGAAGAAGAUGACAAAACGCUGCAGUUUUGCUACAUGCUUUAACCGGCAUAGAUUUUUGCUACAAGCGGCAUAGCAUUUUGCUACGACCGGCGUCACGUUUUGCUACAACACAUAACUUUUCUCUGGUUGCAAUGUCAGGUUGGAGCUUUCUUUCUUAACGAUUGAAACUUUUUCAUACACGGUUGAAGCUUUUUCCGUCCACGGUUGAAGCUUUUGUGUAAACGAUUGAAACUUUUUUUGUUUUGAGCAGCCCUUGGUUAAAGCUCUCUCUAUCAUCUGGUUGAAACUUUUUUCAUCUAAGGUUGAAGCAUUUUGCGUCAGCGGUUGUAUCUCCUCGUGAAUCGCAGUGCCAGUUGAAGCUUUUUCAUCUAGGGCUUGAAGCUUUUCCAUCCAGGGGUUGAAGCUUUUUUAACAACGUUUGCAACACAGAGGGUGUGCGAUGGUUCAAGCCUUGCCUCGGUUCAGACGUGAGCUCGUCUUCGAGGGCGCGCGUCCGGUGAUCUUCGCCGCCGCAGCUCCGACCGUCGCAGCGGAGUUGCGACCAUCGCCGGGGGAGCUGCAACCGGCGCACACGCUGCUGCAUGCGCCGAGCCAGCAUGAAACACAGGUGGCCACCGGCGGCGAGGGCGGCAACUGGCGGCGAGGGCGGCAACCGGUGGCGAGGGCGGUGACCGGCGCCGGGGGCGGCCAAGCCCGGUGGUGCUUCGAGUCUGGGUGCCUCGCUCAUCCAUGGCGGCUAGAUGUGUACACCAGCGGAGGAAGAGAUGAAGUUGCGUUUGACUUUGGUGAGGAUUAGAUCUAACGGUUAAUAGAGAGGUAAAUCGGGCGGCUACGGUGCGACCGGCCGAAUCGUUCGGCCGGCGCACCGGCGCAGAUCACUGCCCAUAUUUUAUAGAGACUUAUAUAUACAUUAUAAAAACAUUCCGCAUGUUACUAACUUAUAAAAGUAAAUGUUUAACAGAAGUUGGCAAAGAAAAUCCUGGUUGUUUUUUACUCACAGGUAGGAAAAUCCUGGUGAUUGCAUACAAAAGCUUGCGAAGAUUUGAAGGACCAAUGUAAUAAUAACACGCACAUUUUUAUUUUGAGCAAUAACUCGCUAAUUUGUUAAUUAUAUAUAUAUAUAUAAUGUGUCGCAACGGUUUAUUUUGUGAUAUUAAUUGCUCCUUCUAACCUAACAUUAUAUAUAGAAGGAGCCCAGCUAACUCGUGUAUUUCAAGAAACUGCAAAUGGGCUGGGAUUUCUUAGAAAAUAUUAAAUGGGCCGCAUUGACGCGAAAUUAUUGGUUCACCCAGCCCAGCAAAUGGACUGUACAUUCUAGAAAAUAUGGGUUAAAUAUAUGCCACAUUUUUGCAGGAUGUCAUGUGGGACAAUAGGUCGAAGCCUACCCAGGACAUUGUCAAUUUGGUCAACAAAUGAUUAUGACACCCACAACCAUUGGAUUUAUAUCCAACGGCCCACAUGCACCUUCAAUCUCUCAUCGUCUUCCUCCAGCGUCACCAGGGCCUGGUCCGGCCUCCGGCGGCUAGCGGCUCUACUUAGCACGCAUAGCUGCGAAGCGCUACCCCACCGUCGGCCAAGCUAUCCCUCCACCCCUCCACACCUCCUAUUAUACUCCACCGACUGUAGCCCCACGCCGCACCAGAACCAGUUAUAACCACUAGUAGAAAAAGAGGCUUCCAUACGCCCCCAUUAGUCCCAAAAAUAAUCGAACCGCGACCAAAGGGGUCUUUAGUCGCGGUUCGGGAGGAGACCCGCGACCAACUAUCUGGGCCCAGCGCGCUCGGUCGACAGCUGGCGGACGGGAGGGGCUUUAGUCCCAGUUGGCCUGGCCAACCGGGACCUAAAGGUCCUCAGGCUGGCCCGAAGGCCUUUAGUCGCGGUUGGCCAGACCAACCGGGACUAAAGGUUAGACCUUUAGUCCCGGUUGGUCUGGCCAACCGUGACUAAUGGGAUUUGAGGCAUUAGUACCGGUUCAUGGCACGAACCGGUACUAAAGGCCUCAUUUUCAAACUCUACCCCCCCUGGAUCGCCUUUUCAGUUUUAGAAAAAACAAAAGAAAAUGAUGGAAAUGUCAAAAAAAUAAAAUAAAAUAAGUUUCUCAUGUGAUAUGUGGUCUAGUUGUUGGGAAAAUUAACAAAUAUGAAUUUCGACUUUAUUUGCAAAAUCUCUCUGGAAUUUCUUAAAAUGGGCAUAACUUUUGCAUACGAACUCGGAUGAAAAAGUUUUUUAUAUGAAAAAUAAUCUACUCGAAAAGUUACAUCCGAAUUUAACAGGGGGAAAAGUUCUACCCUCCUGUGCGGCCGUUUGUAUUCCUGAGAGUUGUCCAGUCGUCGGCUUCAGCCCCCACGUACAUAAUACGGGUGUGACGCCCCUGAUUCAAUCGUACACUAAUCAUGCACGCAAAUGUGUAUGAUCAAGAUCAGGGACUCACGGGAAGAUAUCACAACACAACUCUACAACAUAAAUAAGUCAUACAAGCAUCAUAAUACAAGCUAGGGGCCUCGAGGGCUCGAAUACAAGUGCUCGAUCAUAGACGAGUCAGGGGAAGCAACAAUAUCUAAGUACAAACAUAAGUUAAACAAGUUUGCCUUAAGAAGGCUAGCACAAACAGGGAUACAGAUCGAAAGAGGCGCAGGCCUCCUGCCUGGGAUCUUCCUAACUACUCCUGGUCGUCGUCAGCGGGCUGCACGUAGUAGUAGGCACCUCCGGUGUAGUAGGAGUCGUCGUCGACGGUGGCGUCUGGCUCCUGGGCUCCGGCAUCUGGUUGCGACAACCAGGUAGAAGGGAAAAGGGGGGAAAAGAGGGAGAAAGCAACCGUGAGUACUCAUCCAAAGUACUCGCAAGCAAGGAGCUACACUACAUAUGCAUGGUACAUGUGUAAAGGGCCAUAUCAGUGGAUUGAACUGCAGAAUGCCAGAAUAAGAGGGGGAUAGCUAAUCCUGCCGAAGACUACGCUUCAGGCCACCUCCAUCUUGCAGCAUGUAGAAGAGAGUAGAUGGUAAGUUCACCAAGUAGCAUCGCAUAGCAUAAUCCUACAGGGCGAUCCACUCCUCGUCGCCCUGUUAGAGAGCGAUCACCGGGUUAUAUCUGGCACUUGGAAGGGUGUAUUUUAUUAAGUAUCCGGUUCUAGUUGUCAUAAGGUCAAGGUACAACUCCGGGUCGUCCUUUUACCGAGGGACGCGGCUAUUCGAAUAGAUAAACUUCCCUGCAGGGCUGCACCACAUAACCCAACACACUUUUCUGGGUCAUGCCCGGCCACGGAAGAUCAACACGUCGCAGCCCCACCUAGGCACAACAUAGAGGUCAGCAUGCCGGUCUAAAUUCUAUGGCACAGGGGCCUGGGCCCAUCGCCCAUUGCACACAUGCACGUUGCGAACGCGGCCGGAAGCAGACCUAGCCUAGCAGGCGUUCCAGUCCAAUCCGGCGCGCGCCGCUCUGUCGCUGACGUCACGAAGGCUUUGGCUGAUACCACGACGCCGAGUGCCCAUAACCGUUCCCGCGUAGUUGGUUAGUGCGUAUAGACCAAAUGGCCAGACUCAGAUCAAAUACCAAGAUCUUGUUAAGCGUGUUAAUUGAUGUAACCGUAGACACCGACCAGGGCCAGGCCCACCUCUCACCUAGGCGGUCUCAACCUGCCCUCUCGCUCCGCCACAAAUAUCCACCCAGAGGGCCGUCGGGACAAAGGUCCUUUCAGCCCCCAAUCCGUGAAUCACUCGCGGGUACUCGUCGAGCCGACCCGACUUUAGUCACCACAUGUAUCAUGUAUAAAGUAUAUAAGUAUAUACCCGUGAUCACCUCCCAAGUGAUCACGGCCCGAUAGUAUAGCACAGCAGACGGACAAGAAUGUAGGGCCACUGAUGGAAAACUAGCAUCCUAUACUAAGCAUGUAGGAUUGCAGGUAAAGGUAACAACAGUAGUGGCAAAGACAGGCUAUGCAGCAGAAUAGGAUUAACGGAAAGCAGUAACAUGCUACACUACUCUAAUGCAAGAGUAUAGAGAAGAAUAGGCGAUAUCUGGUUAUCAAAGGAGGGGCUUGCCUGAUUGCUCUGGCAAGAAGGAGGGGUCGUCAACAGCGUAGUCGGUCGGGGCACCAGCAGCGGCGUCGGUCUCGUAGUCUACCGGAGAAGAGGGGAAAGAAACAAUAAAUAUAAUGCAAACAUAAGCAUGACGAUGGAAGACAUGUCAAUGCGCGGUGCUAGGUGUGCCCGAACACGGUAGGAGGUGGUACUGGGAAAGGGGGGAAACAUCCGGGAAAGUAUUCCCGGUGUUUCGCGUUUUCGGACAAAUGAACUGGAGGGGGAAAGUUGCGUGUUUGCUAUGCUAGGGAUGUGUGGCGGGCAUACGGGCUGCGUAUCCGGAUUCGUCUCGUCGUUCUGAGCAACUUUCAUGUACAAAGUUUUUCCAUCCGAGCUACGGUUUAAUUUAUAUUAAUUUUAAAAGAUUUAAGUCAUUUUUCGGAUUUAUUUAAUUAUUUUAAAACAACAUUAUCCAGAACAGUGCACGCUGACGUCAGCAUGACGUUAGCAGUCAACAGAGGAGUUGACUGGUCAACUGACGUGUGGGUCUCGUUCGUCAUUGACUGUUUAGUUAUUAGGAUUUAGCUAACCUAAUUACAGUUUAAUUAAACUAACUAAUUAAUUAGGUUAACUAAAGAGGAUUAAUUAAGUUAGUUAACUUAGUUAAUUAAUUAAUUAAAUUUAUUAUUAUUAUUAUUUAUCUUUUUUUCUUUAGAAAAGGGGGCGUGGGGCCCCCGUGUCAUAGGCCCAGGGGGCAUAUCGGGGCAGGCACGGGCAUACGGGUGCGGGUGACUGGGCGUGGCCGAACCCAACCGGGCGCCGAACAGGGGAGGGCGCCGGCCGCGGCGAAGGUAGCAGGCCCCGCGGGUGGCUGGGCGCCGGCGGCCGGCGGGCGAGGCCAAGCGGGGGAGGAGCAGCGCGGGGCAGCAGUGNNNNNNNNNNNNNNNNNNNNNNNNNNNNNNNNNNNNNNNNNNNNNNNNNNNNNNNNNNNNNNNNNNNNNNNNNNNNNNNNNNNNNNNNNNNNNNNNNNNNNNNNNNNNNNNNNNNNNNNNNNNNNNNNNNNNNNNNNNNNNNNNNNNNNNNNNNNNNNNNNNNNNNNNNNNNNNNNNNNNNNNNNNNNNNNNNNNNNNNNNNNNNNNNNNNNNNNNNNNNNNNNNNNNNNNNNNNNNNNNNNNNNNNNNNNNNNNNNNNNNNNNNNNNNNNNNNNNNNNNNNNNNNNNNNNNNNNNNNNNNNNNNNNNNNNNNNNNNNNNNNNNNNNNNNNNNNNNNNNNNNNNNNNNNNNNNNNNNNNNNNNNNNNNNNNNNNNNNNNNNNNNNNNNNNNNNNNNNNNNNNNNNNNNNNNNNNNNNNNNNNNNNNNNNNNNNNNNNNNNNNNNNNNNNNNNNNNNNNNNNNNNNNNNNNNNNNNNNNNNNNNNNNNNNNNNNNNNNNNNNNNNNNNNNNNNNNNNNNNNNNNNNNNNNAGCGGGGCGCGAGGUGGAGGUUGGGGACGUCGCGCGUAGAGGAAGCAGGCCGGCGAUGGCGUCCGGCGAGGUCGUGCUCCGAGCGGCGACGAACGGCGUCGGGCGACGAGAUCGGGUCGAUCCCGAUCUGGAUCACGAGAGGGGAGGGGAACGAGCGAUGUGGGGGAGUGGGGGAAGUGUGCGGUCGUGGGGGGUUAGGGUUUGGCUGCGGGUAGGGUUAUGCAGCCGGGGGUGGGCCAGCUGGGCCGCGUGGGUGGCCAGUUGGGCCUGUUGGCCCAGUUGGCCGAGGGUGUCCUUAUCUUUUUAUUUUUAUUUUGUUUUGUCUUUCUCUUUUCUUAUUUUUAUUUGCUAUUUUUUGCUUUCUUUUAGUUUCCUUUUAUUUUAGUUUUAGUAAAUUACCAAAGUGGCACCUAAAUAGAUUUUACAAAUUAUGCCACUGCCAAAAUAGUUUAAUACUUAUAACAAUUUAGUUUUGAAAUUGUUUAUUUAUUUUAAAAGCAUUUAAAUAAUUAUAUUUGCUAUUGUUUUAUUCAUUUUAGAUAAUUUAAACAUUUUAUAAAAGUGUGGUUUCUCCACCAAUAUUAUCCAUGAUUUAUUUGUCACAUUGAGAACAUUUUAGUUUUGACUUUUGAAAACUUUAAUUGUUUGACUUGAUUUUGAAUUUAAAUUUUGAAUCGGUUUUUGAACUAACCCGAGAUUAACUACAGUGACAGAGGUGACGUGGCAUCAUUAACGGGGGAUUACUGUAGCCUAAUUAUCCGAGCGUCACAAUUCUCCUCCACUACAAGAAAUCUCGUCCCGAGAUUUAAGAGGUAGUGAAAGGGGGAAAGGUUUUGGUUACGAAAAAUCUAACGGAUCUUCUCGGUCCUUGUUGCCCUUCUCGAAGAGGUUGAUCCAUUACGUUGAUGUCUUCAUUUCUCCUCUUCAGGUCAUCGUGGUGAAGUCGUCCUUUUCUUCGGGAACUCCAACGUACUUACGAAAGAAUAAAUGGUGGGUAUUACAGAAGAACGAACCUCUGCAAGGUUGACUAUCUGGUCGAUAACAACGGGGAUGGUGGCGGAAAGUAACUCUCGUAUGAAACUUAAGACAAUAUCAAGAGCAAAGUAAGUAGGUACCAUGAGAAGUUUCGAGCGGGUAGGCAAUCGUUCGAUGCCUAAUCAGAAGGUGAAAGGGUUUCAGGGCAAUGAGAAUAGGUAUUGCGCCUCAUACCAGAAUAGAUCACUAGACAGGUGGUCCGUGAAUUACAUACGAAGUCAAGCGCGAGGAACAACCUUGGGAACAGGCGGUGUACAGGAGAGUCAGGUUUCGGUCCUGUGGAACUAUGGGUUAUGGGCCCACCAUGUGGGAUAAAAGUAGGAGGAGUGGUGACAUCUUGCAUGGUCAUGAUAGCAAGGCAUGUCAGAGGGUAGCCUGUCGAUUAUGUCGGCAACAACGUCGGUACCAAGGGCGAGGGACGAAGAGAACCAUUUUCCUGCUUGUUGAACGAGGCGGACCAUUAGGCAAAGUUCUCGUCCAUCGGUGGCUACCGGAAUGUCAUCAACAAUAGUAACAGGGUCUUGCUGACAGAAUUGUACACCGAGGUGUUUACAUAAGCAGGAGAAUAUUUCUGCUUAGAUCAUAUAGAUCACAAGAAAGGUUAAACCAAACAAUGGAAAGGAAAAUGUGAUUAUCAGAUUUAAACAAAACAAUGGAAAGUAAAAUGUGUUUAAACACAUAUUUCAAGGGUAUAUCCUUCCCAAGGGCAAGUAGAGCAUGACAUCCAUGACAGGAUAUAACGUAGAAAACCCUUUAGGAAAGGGGAGAGAAACUUCAUGACAUUACCGAUACAACGGUGAUUGGAUAAUUGAGCAAGAAACAUUUAGCAUUGGGCUUCAAAUGUUCUUAUUGAAGAUCGGAGUACCACAGACAGGCUUCGAGAUAGCAUUGACAGGGUCUUCAAGCAAAGGUCAGACCUUGGAUACACAAAGGAUCCAUCAGCAACAACUUAUAGAAUAAGUCUUACAAUUUCCUCAUGGAAGAAAGGAUAGCCUUGCUAAAAAGGAAACUAUAAUAAUAGGGCCUCCGGCCAGGUGGGCUAGGUAUGACACCACCUUACCGGGUCAUAUAAAGACCAUUGUUCUAACUCUUGGAAAUAUAUUCCAACCAUCAUAUCUGACUGAGAUUCAGAUCUGAUUGGUGUCAGGAUAACUCAGACUCGGGAGGCCCGAGGAGAAAAGGUGCGAUACAAAUUGUCAAGAUGACUGUGUAAGAUUAUCGGGAAUUGGUCUAUGGAAGCGAGUGCCGAAACAAGAGUUCAUCAUUAAAUCAAGGAGAGGUGAGGAGGUGGCUGAUUGACUCAGCGACAAUUCAUUGAGAUUUUCAAAAGAUGGAUUUCCACACUUAUGUGAACAAGGAGACAACAUUUGUCAGAUCAAAUCAUAUAAUGAGGUAUGCUAGAGGAAAGCAUACACAGUUAAACAUUGGUUGAAAGGUGCACCCGAAAUAUGGGCUUAGGUAGCAUGAUCAAUGUUAGAAUGGUUAUCCGAUAACCAAUGGUCUAAGAAUGAAAUAUCGACCAUUAACUUCAAAGCAAUAGGGUUGCUAGAAGUUUUGAAUUCACACAUCAUAGUUAAAUGGCUGGUAUCCCGGUUAGAAACAACACGGGGACCAAGAUAUGAACUGAGAUGGCCAGAAGUAUUACUAUACCAAGAAUUCUUAAGAGGAGGAGUAAUCCUCACAACAUUCUUGAUAUAGAAGACAGUAAUACUACAAGGCAAAGACGAACAAAGGUUGGAUAGCAAUGAACUCAAGGUAUAACACCAAACACGAACAGUUUGUAUUGAACUGAAGGCAAUAAAGUGGUCGAUGAUAACACAAAUCAUCGAGGGCAAGGAUGGUAUUUCUCAUCAUGAAUUCAAUUGAUAUCCUGGAAGAGCUCAGAAUGCUGAUGAUGAUCACGACACAUUUGUCGAGAGAUUUCAUGAAGAUGUAAUCGAUCGGCGAUGACAUCAAGUGAAAGGAAUUAUGAAGCAAAAGGUUAUUGGAACCAUGGGUAUGACACAAACUCAAAAUCAAGCUUGUUGUUCAAGGCGAAAUGAUAUGACGAGAAAGAUUGACGUAAGCUUAGUUCAUCGUCGAAAGUUGUGCUUCGGGAUUAAGGACCAGGUAGCACAGUUAAAAUCGGCACGAUAAUGAUAUAGCCGAGCAGGCUAGGAAUGACGUGAUCGAGUUCAAACUCGUAGGUAAUGAAGGUUACCAAGAGUUGUUUAUUCGCGGUGCGGACUCGAGUCAGUUAUCAGUGUCUUUGAGUGUUUAAUAACUCAGAGCCCGUGAAAAAUUGGAAUCAAUGAGAAUGUAGCACUUGAUGAAGAACUCAUAAGAAGUUAUGCAGUUCCGUGAUAAUCUUGAGACACCAGGGGGUAAUACUCGAUGACAAAUCAAAGUAGAGGUUGGACUGGGGUAUUACUCUGCAGAAGACAAGUGCUUAAACUUGCACGAGAAAUGGUAUUUAAAGGAGAACAUGGUCGGAAACCACGAUCAUAAAUGAUCGAGCCACGGAUACAAGAUGAACUUAUAACAAGGGGGUAAUUAUUUUUACGAGCAGCUCACUACUGGAAUUAGCUAAUUUGCCAUCUGCCAGAUCUUUGCCGUCUGCUAGCUGAUGGCAAAGAAGCUCUUUGCCAUCAGCUACACACAAACAGACGGCAAAGAAAAGGCUGACGGCAAAGAAGCUCUUUGCCAUCUGCCAGGUCUUUGCCGUCUGCCAGCGGACGGCAAAGAGUGUGGUGGCCCCCACCCCCCGCUCGUUUGAAAAAAUCCUAACGGCCCACCUCUUUGCCGUCCGCUAGCGGACGGCAAAGAGGCAGAAAGGCGGACGGCAAAGGCUGGCGGACGGCAAAGAGGGCACUUGCCUAACGGCAGGUACCCCCCGCCCGUUACUCACUUCGUCCUCGCCUCGCCCUUCUCCUCCCACCCCGCCGCCGCCGCCGCCNNNNNNNNNNNNNNNNNNNNNNNNNNNNNNNNNNNNNNNNNNNNNNNNNNNNNNNNNNNNNNNNNNNNNNNNNNNNNNNNNNNNNNNNNNNNNNNNNNNNNNNNNNNNNNNNNNNNNNNNNNNNNNNNNNNNNNNNNNNNNNNNNNNNNNNNNNNNNNNNNNNNNNNNNNNNNNNNNNNNNNNNNNNNNNNNNNNNNNNNNNNNNNNNNNNNNNNNNNNNNNNNNNNNNNNNNNNNNNNNNNNNNNNNNNNNNNNNNNNNNNNNNNNNNNNNNNNNNNNNNNNNNNNNNNNNNNNNNNNNNNNNNNNNNNNNNNNNNNNNNNNNNNNNNNNNNNNNNNNNNNNNNNNNNNNNNNNNNNNNNNNNNNNNNNNNNNNNNNNNNNNNNNNNNNNNNNNNNNNNNNNNNNNNNNNNNNNNNNNNNNNNNNNNNNNNNNNNNNNNNNNNNNNNNNNNNNNNNNNNNNNNNNNNNNNNNNNNNNNNNNNNNNNNNNNNNNNNNNNNNNNNNNNNNNNNNNNNNNNNNNNNNNNNNNNNNNNNNNNNNNNNNNNNNNNNNNNNNNNNNNNNNNNNNNNNNNNNNNNNNNNNNNNNNNNNNNNNNNNNNNNNNNNNNNNNNNNNNNNNNNNNNNNNNNNNNNNNNNNNNNNNNNNNNNNNNNNNNNNNNNNNNNNNNNNNNNNNNNNNNNNNNNNNNNNNNNNNNNNNNNNNNNNNNNNNNNNNNNNNNNNNNNNNNNNNNNNNNNNNNNNNNNNNNNNNNNNNNNNNNNNNNNNNNNNNNNNNNNNNNNNNNNNNNNNNNNNNNNNNNNNNNNNNNNNNNNNNNNNNNNNNNNNNNNNNNNNNNNNNNNNNNNNNNNNNNNNNNNNNNNNNNNNNNNNNNNNNNNNNNNNNNNNNNNNNNNNNNNNNNNNNNNNNNNNNNNNNNNNNNNNNNNNNNNNNNNNNNNNNNNNNNNNNNNNNNNNNNNNNNNNNNNNNNNNNNNNNNNNNNNNNNNNNNNNNNNNNNNNNNNNNNNNNNNNNNNNNNNNNNNNNNNNNNNNNNNNNNNNNNNNNNNNNNNNNNNNNNNNNNNNNNNNNNNNNNNNNNNNNNNNNNNNNNNNNNNNNNNNNNNNNNNNNNNNNNNNNNNNNNNNNNNNNNNNNNNNNNNNNNNNNNNNNNNNNNNNNNNNNNNNNNNNNNNNNNNNNNNNNNNNNNNNNNNNNNNNNNNNNNNNNNNNNNNNNNNNNNNNNNNNNNNNNNNNNNNNNNNNNNNNNNNNNNNNNNNNNNNNNNNNNNNNNNNNNNNNNNNNNNNNNNNNNNNNNNNNNNNNNNNNNNNNNNNNNNNNNNNNNNNNNNNNNNNNNNNNNNNNNNNNNNNNNNNNNNNNNNNNNNNNNNNNNNNNNNNNNNNNNNNNNNNNNNNNNNNNNNNNNNNNNNNNNNNNNNNNNNNNNNNNNNNNNNNNNNNNNNNNNNNNNNNNNNNNNNNNNNNNNNNNNNNNNNNNNNNNNNNNNNNNNNNNNNNNNNNNNNNNNNNNNNNNNNNNNNNNNNNNNNNNNNNNNNNNNNNNNNNNNNNNNNNNNNNNNNNNNNNNNNNNNNNNNNNNNNNNNNNNNNNNNNNNNNNNNNNNNNNNNNNNNNNNNNNNNNNNNNNNNNNNNNNNNNNNNNNNNNNNNNNNNNNNNNNNNNNNNNNNNNNNNNNNNNNNNNNNNNNNNNNNNNNNNNNNNNNNNNNNNNNNNNNNNNNNNNNNNNNNNNNNNNNNNNNNNNNNNNNNNNNNNNNNNNNNNNNNNNNNNNNNNNNNNNNNNNNNNNNNNNNNNNNNNNNNNNNNNNNNNNNNNNNNNNNNNNNNNNNNNNNNNNNNNNNNNNNNNNNNNNNNNNNNNNNNNNNNNNNNNNNNNNNNNNNNNNNNNNNNNNNNNNNNNNNNNNNNNNNNNNNNNNNNNNNNNNNNNNNNNNNNNNNNNNNNNNNNNNNNNNNNNNNNNNNNNNNNNNNNNNNNNNNNNNNNNNNNNNNNNNNNNNNNNNNNNNNNNNNNNNNNNNNNNNNNNNNNNNNNNNNNNNNNNNNNNNNNNNNNNNNNNNNNNNNNNNNNNNNNNNNNNNNNNNNNNNNNNNNNNNNNNNNNNNNNNNNNNNNNNNNNNNNNNNNNNNNNNNNNNNNNNNNNNNNNNNNNNNNNNNNNNNNNNNNNNNNNNNNNNNNNNNNNNNNNNNNNNNNNNNNNNNNNNNNNNNNNNNNNNNNNNNNNNNNNNNNNNNNNNNNNNNNNNNNNNNNNNNNNNNNNNNNNNNNNNNNNNNNNNNNNNNNNNNNNNNNNNNNNNNNNNNNNNNNNNNNNNNNNNNNNNNNNNNNNNNNNNNNNNNNNNNNNNNNNNNNNNNNNNNNNNNNNNNNNNNNNNNNNNNNNNNNNNNNNNNNNNNNNNNNNNNNNNNNNNNNNNNNNNNNNNNNNNNNNNNNNNNNNNNNNNNNNNNNNNNNNNNNNNNNNNNNNNNNNNNNNNNNNNNNNNNNNNNNNNNNNNNNNNNNNNNNNNNNNNNNNNNNNNNNNNNNNNNNNNNNNNNNNNNNNNNNNNNNNNNNNNNNNNNNNNNNNNNNNNNNNNNNNNNNNNNNNNNNNNNNNNNNNNNNNNNNNNNNNNNNNNNNNNNNNNNNNNNNNNNNNNNNNNNNNNNNNNNNNNNNNNNNNNNNNNNNNNNNNNNNNNNNNNNNNNNNNNNNNNNNNNNNNNNNNNNNNNNNNNNNNNNNNNNNNNNNNNNNNNNNNNNNNNNNNNNNNNNNNNNNNNNNNNNNNNNNNNNNNNNNNNNNNNNNNNNNNNNNNNNNNNNNNNNNNNNNNNNNNNNNNNNNNNNNNNNNNNNNNNNNNNNNNNNNNNNNNNNNNNNNNNNNNNNNNNNNNNNNNNNNNNNNNNNNNNNNNNNNNNNNNNNNNNNNNNNNNNNNNNNNNNNNNNNNNNNNNNNNNNNNNNNNNNNNNNNNNNNNNNNNNNNNNNNNNNNNNNNNNNNNNNNNNNNNNNNNNNNNNNNNNNNNNNNNNNNNNNNNNNNNNNNNNNNNNNNNNNNNNNNNNNNNNNNNNNNNNNNNNNNNNNNNNNNNNNNNNNNNNNNNNNNNNNNNNNNNNNNNNNNNNNNNNNNNNNNNNNNNNNNNNNNNNNNNNNNNNNNNNNNNNNNNNNNNNNNNNNNNNNNNNNNNNNNNNNNNNNNNNNNNNNNNNNNNNNNNNNNNNNNNNNNNNNNNNNNNNNNNNNNNNNNNNNNNNNNNNNNNNNNNNNNNNNNNNNNNNNNNNNNNNNNNNNNNNNNNNNNNNNNNNNNNNNNNNNNNNNNNNNNNNNNNNNNNNNNNNNNNNNNNNNNNNNNNNNNNNNNNNNNNNNNNNNNNNNNNNNNNNNNNNNNNNNNNNNNNNNNNNNNNNNNNNNNNNNNNNNNNNNNNNNNNNNNNNNNNNNNNNNNNNNNNNNNNNNNNNNNNNNNNNNNNNNNNNNNNNNNNNNNNNNNNNNNNNNNNNNNNNNNNNNNNNNNNNNNNNNNNNNNNNNNNNNNNNNNNNNNNNNNNNNNNNNNNNNNNNNNNNNNNNNNNNNNNNNNNNNNNNNNNNNNNNNNNNNNNNNNNNNNNNNNNNNNNNNNNNNNNNNNNNNNNNNNNNNNNNNNNNNNNNNNNNNNNNNNNNNNNNNNNNNNNNNNNNNNNNNNNNNNNNNNNNNNNNNNNNNNNNNNNNNNNNNNNNNNNNNNNNNNNNNNNNNNNNNNNNNNNNNNNNNNNNNNNNNNNNNNNNNNNNNNNNNNNNNNNNNNNNNNNNNNNNNNNNNNNNNNNNNNNNNNNNNNNNNNNNNNNNNNNNNNNNNNNNNNNNNNNNNNNNNNNNNNNNNNNNNNNNNNNNNNNNNNNNNNNNNNNNNNNNNNNNNNNNNNNNNNNNNNNNNNNNNNNNNNNNNNNNNNNNNNNNNNNNNNNNNNNNNNNNNNNNNNNNNNNNNNNNNNNNNNNNNNNNNNNNNNNNNNNNNNNNNNNNNNNNNNNNNNNNNNNNNNNNNNNNNNNNNNNNNNNNNNNNNNNNNNNNNNNNNNNNNNNNNNNNNNNNNNNNNNNNNNNNNNNNNNNNNNNNNNNNNNNNNNNNNNNNNNNNNNNNNNNNNNNNNNNNNNNNNNNNNNNNNNNNNNNNNNNNNNNNNNNNNNNNNNNNNNNNNNNNNNNNNNNNNNNNNNNNNNNNNNNNNNNNNNNNNNNNNNNNNNNNNNNNNNNNNNNNNNNNNNNNNNNNNNNNNNNNNNNNNNNNNNNNNNNNNNNNNNNNNNNNNNNNNNNNNNNNNNNNNNNNNNNNNNNNNNNNNNNNNNNNNNNNNNNNNNNNNNNNNNNNNNNNNNNNNNNNNNNNNNNNNNNNNNNNNNNNNNNNNNNNNNNNNNNNNNNNNNNNNNNNNNNNNNNNNNNNNNNNNNNNNNNNNNNNNNNNNNNNNNNNNNNNNNNNNNNNNNNNNNNNNNNNNNNNNNNNNNNNNNNNNNNNNNNNNNNNNNNNNNNNNNNNNNNNNNNNNNNNNNNNNNNNNNNNNNNNNNNNNNNNNNNNNNNNNNNNNNNNNNNNNNNNNNNNNNNNNNNNNNNNNNNNNNNNNNNNNNNNNNNNNNNNNNNNNNNNNNNNNNNNNNNNNNNNNNNNNNNNNNNNNNNNNNNNNNNNNNNNNNNNNNNNNNNNNNNNNNNNNNNNNNNNNNNNNNNNNNNNNNNNNNNNNNNNNNNNNNNNNNNNNNNNNNNNNNNNNNNNNNNNNNNNNNNNNNNNNNNNNNNNNNNNNNNNNNNNNNNNNNNNNNNNNNNNNNNNNNNNNNNNNNNNNNNNNNNNGAGUUGAUCUGCAAGUUAGAGAAGAUCUUUCCACCGGGCUUCUUUAAUCCAAUGCAACAUUUGAUUUUGCAUCUCCCGACGGAGGCAAGAUUGGGGGGGCCCGUGCAAAAUCGUUGGUGCUACCCAACUGAGAGGAUGCAGAAGACGCUUCGACAAAAAUGUAAAAAUAAACGUAGAAUUGAAGCAUCGAUGGCUGAGGCAUUCAUCACUGAGGAGGCGGCAAACUUCGUGACAGCACACUACGAAGCCAAAAAUCGUCAUUUGCAUAAUCCGAAGCCUCGGUACAAUGCUGACGACCCUAAAAAGGGUGGAUCCAACCUCAGCCUAUUCAAAGGGAAUCUCGCACCAGCCAGUGUUUCAAAUCCAGUAUCUUUGGAUAACGAACAAUGGCAGACCAUUUCGUUGUAUAUCUUCAACAACCUGCUAGAAGUGCGGCCGUACAUCGAGUAAGUUCUCGGUACAUAGUUUCGCAACUUCUAUUUCCUUUGAACUGCUCUUAUUCCUGGAUAUUUCAUACAGUCGAUACGUCGCCUUAUUCUCGUAUGGAGCGGUGAUCCAAAAGGAUUCUGUCGAAGAGUAUGAGCUUCUCGCAAAGCAAGGUGGCGGCUAUCCCGGUUUCAUCUCUUGGUUCAAACAAACGGUAAUUUCUAUUAGACUUGUAGGCUAAUUUGUAGGCGGCUAUCCCGGUUUCAUUCGCUAAUUUGUGCGUAAUGCAACAAUCCUUUCAUAUUAAACUUGUAGGCUAAUUCAGAGUCUAUGGACGCUGAAUUGAGACAAGUCGCUAAUGGUUUUGACUAUAAGGUCUGUUCAUUUGACAAAUACGACAUCAACGGGUAUCGCUUUCGUACCUAUGGCAAAGAGCUAUCUAUGGCCGACCGAAAGUCUACAAAUUGUUGUGUAUCUGCUAUCGGCAAAGGAGGUACCGAGUAUUAUGGGAGAGUUGAAGCAAUUUAUGAACUUCUAUUCUAUGGUGAAAACCCACCGAAUGUCGUAGUCUUCAAAUGUUAUUGGUUUCAGCCGAAGAAGACUAGAAGAACUCAUGAACAUAUAGGGCUAGUUGAAAUCAACCAAAGCACCCAUUUAGAUGUUCCUGAUGUCUAUAUUACGGCUCAACAGGCGACCCAAGUAUUCUAUCUACCGUGGGCCUGCCAAACUAAUCCAAAUCUGAAAGGUUGGGAUGUCGUUUAUGAAGUGCCGCCACGUGCUAGACUAUCUCCCCCAAAGGAAGAGGAUUAUGAACCUCACAUUAACCCAGACACAUAUGAAGGAGAAUUCUUCCAAGAGACACGUCUUUCCAAAAAGCGUUUCAAGAACCGCUAUACUUCACCCCAAAACAUUGAAGUAGACAGUGACAGUGAAUCCGACAUCACCCCGGAGGAGGAACAAGAAGAGCCGGAACAAGAAGAGGUUACUGCUGCGGAUGACCUGUCAUUGCUUGACCGAUUACGUCAAGGUGGCCUUGCACAUGUUGAUGCCACUGAACCCUAUGAGCCCGUCAUUGAUUAUAGUGAUGAUGAUGAUUAUGCAUUUAUUGAUGAUACUGAUCGAGAUUAUUAGUAGUGUCAGGUAUUAAAUUUUUUAAUGUUGUACUUGAUGAUGAUACACUUAAGUGAUACACAUAUUAUUAUUCAUGUCGGUCUUUUUUUUAUGUUGUACUAAUUUCGUUUACUGUUUGUCAUGGCAGGUGUUGAAAGAUGGUGGGCGCUGGUCGGGAGCGCGCCAAGGCCCCUUCUUCCUCGGCGCGUGGUCUGAGGUCUUCGAUUCCAGACGUACCUCUUCGCCGAGCAUUGCUGGACAGUAUGUCCACACCGCCGGGCCCUUCUUCGUCCACCGCGGUGCCCAGCAGGGGACGAGGUAGGAAGAGAGGAGGUGGGGCACGUGGUCGCGAGAGAGGAGGUAGGGUGACUGCUAGGGAGCCUUCCUCGCCGCCACCCCCAGCUGUUUCACCCGAGCACGUGACUGCUAGGGUGGACUCGUCCGAGGAGGAGGGUACACGGACUCCGGUCCACGAGCCUCCGGUCCACGGGUCUUGGGCCCACGAGCCUCGGGUCGACUGGCCUUCGGCCCACGAGAGUCCGGCCCACGAGACCCCGGAGGAGCACACGUCCGGAUGGGGUACCUGGCCGGAUCAGCCCGAGGAGCCGAGUGGCCAUGCUGAUAAUGGCGGGGAGCCGACUGAUCUUGAGGAGGAGGGUGGCACCGUCUACCAGCGUGGUGCUACACGGCUCCCGUCCGUGCCGGCGACCCGCGAGCAGAGGUGGUUGAUCUUCCCUGAUGGGGAGAGGUACGUAAGUGCAUUUAAUAUUUUUGUACCUUCUGCAUUCAUGUUUCUUCAAAUAACUAAUGUGUUGGCCUUGUCAUGCUGCAGGGGUUGGGACCACCAUCAUAGUGUCCGCCGGCCCAACUCCGUCCUUGGAGUUCUUUGCCGGCAAAACUUCCCGGGGUUUGUCACGUUGCCUGGUGAGGGUCGGCUUCCAGAGCUUGGGUUGAGCUGGGAGCACUAAGUGGCUGCCCCGGCCCCGCCGGAUGUCAUUAUCGACGGUGUCGUGUGCGACACGAGGGCAGACAUGGUGAUCAGGACGUUCUGGGUAAUUUCUCCUUUACACAUUUCAAAAUCUUCAACUAGCUAGUUAUUAAUUGUACUAAUCAAUAUUGUCUCAUUUGAUUGCAGACAUUCUACAGGUGUGAGGAGGGAUACGAGGAGGAGUGCGCAAAUGUUAUCCAGAACGUCUGCAAGCGCCUACUCCAGAACUUACGGCACGAGGCUCGGGUGCAGGCUGUUCGAGACUACUACGCCUUGCGUGGUAUCAAGAAGCCCAAGCCGGCGUGCCGCGAUAAGUUCCUGAGUAAGGAGCAGUACAUGAAGGUAAUUCUUAAGGCCUUCUACUUAAGUUCCUUCAUUUAGUAAUUCAUAGCCGUAGCGCUCAGGUUUCUAUUUGCUAACUUAGGCGCCUCCGAGAUGGUGUGCGGAUCGGAUGGAUUGUUGGGAGGUGUUGGUCGAUGAGUGGUGCUCACAAGAAUGGCUAGCCCUCCACAACCAGGCCAAGGACAAACGUGCCCAAAUGGAAGGUGUGCCACACCAUCAAGGCAUCUCCAACUUAUAUCAGUUCGGGCGCAACUGGGUAUGUGGUUUGCUUCAUGAUUCAUGCAAUUCAUUCAUCAUGCUAGCUUGAGCCCUUUAAUUACUAAUUUUCAUUGUUUCUCUCUUUCAGGCACGCCACAAUAAGGCGGAUAAGGUGCCAGAGGUGUACGACCUGUAUGCCAUGGCCCACACUGGCUCUUUCAAGAAAGUCAAGGCUUUCUCUCAGUCUGACCUCGAUGAUGCAAACAACUUCACCAACAUCUCCUCCCACAACAAGCUCGUGAGAUAUAGAGAUGAGGGGAAGGCGAGGAAAGGGGAGGACUUUAACCCGAGCCAGGGUCCCAUUGAUCCAGAGCUGGUGAUGAUAUCUGGUGGCGGGAGGUCCCAUGGCUCCAUAGCCAUUGGAGAUGGACUUAUCCGUUGUCCUAGCACUCUCCCGGAGAUCAAGGCGCGCCAGUCCAGCUCCGCUCCUGAGAUAAGGCCUCGUGAACGGCCAGUGCAACUCGCCAUCAAGGUUAGUGAUACGUACUCAGUUAUCUUUCUCCAUUACAUUGUGUGCGCUUCCAUCAAUGAUUACAAAUGGUCAUGUGAGUGGUGUUGCAGGCUGCUAUACAGACUGAGAGAGAUAGAACGGAGAAACUUCUGGCGGAGGCGGCGGAGAGGCAGCGGGAGAUGGAGGAGAGGACGAGAAAGAUGAUGGAGGAGGAGAGGGCACGGAAUGACAUGCAGGCAAGGGCCAUGUACGAGCUCCUUGUGGUAAGUUUCUUCUGCAGAUUACUUGCUAGUCUUAACAUUUGAGUCUCAUUACUAACUAGUAUGACUCUGUUCUGAAAACCAAAUGUGCAGUCUAUGUGCGAGAAGUCCGGUCAGCCCGCUCCGCCGAUGCCAGUGAUUGCUCCUGGGAGCACGGUGAGUUUAGUUUGAAUGGACAUUACUUGGUAGUCUUAACAUUUGAGUGUCAUAAUGCUAACGAGACAUUGGAAAUGAUCUUUGGUGCAGCUUAACUCCAGAAACGCAUCGCACGAUCCUUCUCCAGGUAGCGGCACUAGCCACCCCGCUCCUACACCUCCCUGAUCACGGUAAGUUUCUCUAGUGUUUUGCUUAACAAAUGCAUAAAGACCUAGACUUAGCUUUAUUUCCUCCAAUAUGCUUACCAUAAUGACCUAGAGUUAGCUUAUUUUCCUCCAAAAUGACCCAUUUUACCUAGGUUAGCUUAUAAAUGAUGCAGUUCAUCCAAGUUAGCUCAAAAAUGACCCAUUUUACCUAGAUUAGCUCCUAAAUGAUCCAUUUUACCUACGUUAGCUUUAAAAUGGCCCAUUUCACCUAGGUUAACUCCAAAAUGACCCAUCUUACCUAGGUUAUCUCAUAAACGAUCCAUUUCAACUAAUUUAGCUCAUAAAUGAUCCAUUUGACCUAAGUGAGCUAAAAACGAUCCAUUUCACCUAAAUUAGCUCUUAAAUGAUCCAUUUCACCUAAGUUAGCUCAAAAAGAUCCAUUUCAACUAAAUUAGCUCAUAAAUGAUCCAUUUCAACAAAGUUAGCUCAAAAAGAUCCAUUUCAACUAAAUUAGCUCAAAAAUGAUCCAUUUCAACAAAGUUAGCUCAAAAACGAUCCAUUUCAACUAAGUUAGCUCAUAAAUGAUCCAUUUGACCUAAGUGAGCUAAAAAACGAUCCAUUUCAUCUUAGUUACCUCAAAAACGAUCCAUUUGACCUUAGUUAGCGCAUAAACGACCCAUUUCAACUUAGUUAGCUCAUAUAUGAUCCAUUUCACAUAAGUUAGCCCAUAAAUGACAUACUCUUCUUGUUCUAGUCUUCUUCUUGUUCUAGUCACCUAUUUCUAACUUUCUUAUUUUUCAUUUUGCAGAUUUCAUUCACUUGACGAAAGCUUGCAUAGAUGGAGUGCUCCUUAUCCCUUUAUCUGUUUCUUUUGUAUCGUUGAACUAUGCAUGUAUCUUGGUAGUUGGAUGAACUAUGCUAUGUAUGAUGGAACUUGCUAGUUGGAUGGAACAUAUGUGAUGGAACUAUGUAUGAUGGAACUCUGCAUGUUGGAUGGAUAUCUUAUAUGUUUGCACUUUGCUGUGAAAAUUGUUGUCAUAUAUAUCAUAUAUAUCUUAUAUGUUUGCUGUGAAAUAUAUCUAUAUAUGUCAUAUAUAUUUGUGAUGAAAAUUGUUGGAUUUAAUAAAAAAACAGAAAAAAGAGCCAAUAUGCAGGCUCUUUGCCGUCUGCCACCGACGGCAACGGGCUCUUUGUCGUCAGCCGCAGACGGCAAAGAAGCCACGUGGCAGCCAACUGUGCUUCCUGGGAGCUGACCCAUUUGGUCAGUUUGCCUACAGUGGCAGACGGCAAAGACUUUGCCAUUAGUGGCAGACGGCAAAGAACCUGCACUUUGCCAUCAGUGGCAGACGACAAAGACCCCGGAGGAGCACACGUCUGGAUGGGGUACCUGGCCGGAUCAGCCCGAGGAGGCGAGUGGCCAUGCUGAUGAUGGCGGGGAGCCGACUGAUCUUGAGGAGGAGGGUGGCACCGUCUACCAGCGUGGUGCUACACGGCUCCCGUCCGUGCCGGCGACCCGCGAGCAGAGGUGGUUGAUUUUCCCUGAUGGGGAGAGGUACGUAAGUGCAUUUAAUAUUUUUGUACCUUCUGCAUUCACGUUUCUUCAAAUAACUAAUGCGUUGGCCUUGUCAUGCUGCAGGGGUUGGGACCACCAUCAUAGUGUCCGCCGGCCCAACUCCGUCCUUGGAGUUCUUUGCCGGCAAAACUUCCCGGGGUUUGUCACGUUGCCUGGUGAGGGUCGGCUUCCAGAGCUUGGGUUGAGCUGGGAGCACUACGUGGCUGCCCCGGCCCCGCCGGAUGUCAUUAUCGACGGUGUCGUGUGCGACACGAGGGCAGACGUGGUGAUCAGGACGUUCUGGGUAAUUUCUCCUUUACACAUUUCAAAAUCUUCAACUAGCUAGUUAUUAAUUGUACUAAUCAAUAUUGUCUCAUUUGAUUGCAGACAUUCUACAGGUGUGAGGAGGGAUACGAGGAGGACGCGGCAAAUGUUAUCCAGAACAUCUGCAAGCGCCUACUCCAGAACUUACGGCACGAGGCUCGGGUGCAGGCUGUUCGAGACUACUACGCCUUGCGUGGUAUCAAGAAGACCAAGCCGGCGUGCCGCGAUAAGUUCCUGAGUAAGGAGCAGUACAUGAAGGUAAUUCUUAAGGCCUUCUACUUAAGUUCCUUCAUUUAGUAAUUCUUAGCCGUAGCGCUCAAGUUUCUAUUUGCUAACUUAGGCGCCUCCGAGAUGGUGUGCGGAUCGGAUGGAUUGUUGGGAGGUGUUGGUCGAUGAGUGGUGCUCACAAGAAUGGCUAGCCCUCCACAACCAGGCCAAGGACAAACGUGCCCAAAUGGAAGGUGUGCCACACCAUCAAGGCAGCUCCAACUUAUAUUAGUUCGGGCGCAACUGGGUAUGUGGUUUGCUUCAUGAUUCAUGCAAUUCAUUCAUCAUGCUAGCUUGAGCCCUUUAAUUACUAAUUUUCAUUGUUUCUCUCUUUCAGGCACGCCACAAUAAGGCGGAUAAGGUGCCAGAGGUGUACGACCUGUAUGCCAUGGCCCACACUGGCUCUUACAAGAAAGUCAAGGCUUUCUCUCAGUCUGACCUCGAUGAUGCAAACAACUUCACCAACAUCUCCUCCCACAACAAGCUCGUGAGAUAUAGAGAUGAGGGGAAGGCGAGGAAAGGGGAGGACUUUAACCCGAGCCAGGGUCCCAUUGAUCCAGAGCUGGUGAUGAUAUCUGGUGGCGGGAGGUCCCAUGGCUCCAUAGCCAUUGGAGAUGGACUUAUCCGUUGUCCUAGCACUCUCCCGGAGAUCAAGGCGCGCCAGUCAAGCUCCGCUCCUGAGAUAAGGCCUCGUGAACGGCCAGUGCAACUCGCCAUCAAGGUUAGUGAUACGUACUCAGCUAUCUUUCUCCAUUACAUUGUGUGCGCUUCCAUCAAUGAUUACAAAUGGUCAUGUGAGUGGUGUUGCAGGCUGCUAUACAGAGUGAGAGAGAUAGAACGGAUAAACUUCUGGCGGAGGCGGCGGAGAGGCAGCGGGAGUUGGAGGAGAGGACGACAAAGAUGAUGGAGGAGGAGAGGGCACGGAAUGACAUGCAGGCAAGGGCCAUGUACGAGCUCCUUGUGGUAAGUUUCUUCUGCAGAUUAGCCAAAAAAUUCAUGUAGUGUUUGUCUCAUUACUAACUAGUAUGACUGAGUCGUCAAAACCAAAUGUGCAGUCUGUGUGCGAGAAGACCGGUCAGACCGCUCCGCCGAUGCCAGUGAUUGCUCCUGGGACCACGGUGAGUUUAAUUUGAAUGGACAUUACUUUCUAGUCUUAACAUUUGAGUGUCAUAAUGCUAACGAGACAUUGGAAAUGAUCUUUGGUGCAGCUUAACUCCAAAAACGCAUCGCAUGAUCCUUCUCCAGCUACCGGCACUAGCCAGCCCGCUGCUACACCUCCCUGAUCACGGUAAGUUUCUCUAGUGUUUUGCUUAACAAAUGCAUAAAGACCUAGACUUAGCUUUAUUUCCUCCAAUAUGCUUACCAUAAUGACCUAGAGUUGCUUCUUUUCCUCCAAAAUGACUUAAUAAGCUUACUGACCUCAUAAACCAUCCAUUUUACCUAAGUUAGCUCUAAAAGGAUAUGUACUUAGCUUACUUAUGUCAAAAAUUGCAUAAUUAGCUCAUAAACGACCCAUUUCACCUAGGUUAACUCAUAAACGACCCAUUUCACCUAGGUUAGCUCAUAAACGACCCAUUUCACCUAGGUUAGCUCAUAAACGACCCAUUUCACCUAAGUUAGCUCAAAAAGAUCCAUUUCAACUAAAUUAGCUCAUAAAUGAUCCAUUUCACCUAAGUUAGCUCAAAAACGAUCCAUUUCAACUAAAUUAGCUCAAAAAUGAUCCAUUUCAACAAAGUUAGCUCAAAAACUAUCCAUUUCAACUAAGUUAGCUCAAAAACGAUCCAUUUGACCUAAGUGAGCUAAAAACGAUCCAUUUCACCUUAGUUACCUCAAAAACGAUCCAUUUCAACUAAGUUAGCUCAAAAACGAUCCAUUUCAACUAGGUUAGCUCCAAAAUGACCCAUUUCACCUUACUUAGCUCAAAAACGAUGCCCUUCACCUUAGUUAGCUCAUAAAUGACCCAUUUCAACUAAGUUAGCUCAUAAAUGAUCCAUUUCAACUAAGUUAGCUCAUAAACAACCCAUUUCAACUUAGUUAGCUCAUAUAUGAUCCAUUUCACCUAAGUUAGCUCAUAAAUGACAUAUACUUCUUGUUCUUGUCUUCUUCUUGUUCUAGUCACCUAUUUCUAACUUUCUUAUUUACCAUUUUGCAGAUUUCAUUCACUUGAUGGAAGCUAGCUUGCUAUGAUGGAGUGCUUGCUUUUCCUUUGAUGAAACUUUGCAUUGUAUCUAGCUUGCUAUCUUCAUGACACUUUGCAUUGUAAUAUAUAUAUGGAUGGAACAAUGUGUAUUGAUGGAACUUCCUUAUGUAUGAACAAUGUGUAUGGAUGAAACUGAUGUGAUAUGUGAUAUGAAACUUAUGUGCUAGAUAUGUGUUGGAUAUGUGCUGGAUAUGAAACUUAUAUAUGUGAUAUGUGCUGCAAAUUGUGGGAUUUAAUAAAAAACAGAAAAAACAGACAAUAUGCAGGCUCUUUGCCGUCUGCCACCGACGGCAAAGAGCCUUUGCCGUCUGCCGCGGACGGCAAAGAAGCCACGUGGCAGCCAACUGUGCUUCCUGGGAGCUGACCCAUUUGGUCAGUUUGCCUACAGUGGCGGACGGCAAAGACUUUGCCGUCCGUGGCAGACGACAAAGAACCUGCACUUUGCCAUCAGUGGCAGACGGCAAAGAACCUGCCAUCUAGUGACGUGUAGAUGACAUCAUAAGGCGGACGGCAAAGACCAAAGGCUCUUUGCCGUCUGCGGCGGACGGAAAAGGUCUGCCGUUAGCCACUUAACGGACUGACAGCGCAAAUAUUGCCGACCGCCCUCUUUGCCGUCCGCCGCAGACGGCAAAGAGCCUUUGCCGUCCGCCGCCAGGAAGCAGACGGCAAAGCAGCUGUUUACCGUAGCCUUCUUUGCCGGAGCCUUUUGCCGUCCGCGGCUGACGGCAAAGGUCUUUGCCGUCCGCCUUUCGAGCCUUUGCCGUCCGCCAUGGCAGACGGCAAAGUAGCUGUUUCCUGUAGUGGCUUCCAUGAUAAGUUAUACAUCGUGUCCAUGGGCAUGAACGCAAGGUUCAAGGUCGACUCCCACUUCUUCAAUGUAUAACCUUCCAUUCACUUCUCACUUUGAUAAAGGCAUUAGUGUUGAAAGUUUUACCUGGUGAAAUACCAGAUGAGUAUGACUCGUGAAAACUUCCGAGUUCACACAUAUUAAGGAAGGCAUAGGUUCAACCUGUCAGGGUAUCGUGGAAACAUAUACCACAAGCUUCAAUAGUAAAUACCACCAGCUCGAAAACAGAGCAUGGUUGAGAAAACAGAGGAUACAAUUUACCCAAGGCUUUAUAUAUCCGUGGAAAGACUCACAAGGUUAUUUGAAUAUGAAGGACACUGUCGGAUAAUAAUCCAACAAGAGGUCCGGUGGUCUACAACGGAGCUGAUGUGAGUAUCGGUACUCUAUCAAAGGAAGAAGGAAUGCAAGUGCAUCGGAUUAUAGAAACAACUGACUAACUCAAAGCUUAAAUGCAAAGGAAUUAUGAAUUCCAAGACAAGGGAUCAGAAGCAAUGCUCUGAUUAGGGAUGGAUAAGUUGAAUAGACUUAGGGAUACAACCGAUCAAGGCAUUGAUUGGUCAAGAACCAGCUCAUAUCCAAAUGACGUCUGAGCCGGAAGGAUGAAUUCUAGGAUCUGAUUGAGGAUUGCGAGCAUUCGCAACAAAUUGAAUCAACGGACUCAAAAUGAUAAUGAUAAGGGAUGCCAAUAAGAUUAUGAGACUUAUGGGAUUAAACAUAAUGCGAGCAAGUAAGAAUUUCAAGAGCAAUAGGCUACUCAGGAUUUUCGGAAGUUCAAAUAGUAUUUUGAAGACUUUUGUGAAAUACAUGAAUAACUGGGAAAGAGCGGAUACUCGAUAAGUGCGAGGAAUUAUCCGUAAGGGUAUUCAUGAGGCAAGAACUGUAAAGCAGUAAGCUCAAAGGAUUCUUGGAACAACGGAGAGCGGUUCGGGGCAUCUUGUAUUAACAAGAUUAACUUGGAAUAAAAUUAAGAACAACGGGUGUAAGUAUUUAUCCAUAGGGAUAAAUCAGUGGUAGGGAAUUGCAAAAGCAACGAGCAUAAAGUCUCGAGAACAUCGGAGAGUAUCUUCGAAAUCCUUCGGUGCACCAAGCAAUCAUCUGGAGUGAGGGGCUCUCCGGGAGGAAGUAGUUACGAGAACCUAGAGUCAGAGUUAGUAAAAUCAUUUCACCCGAAUAGAAGAGAGGUCAGAGUCCCAGAGUAUAGGUCGAGGAAUAAAAGAUCCUAAUACCACCCAAUGGCGACGUGGGCCCAUAAGGCACACAGCCAUGUUAGUAAAAGUUUUGUAAUGUCUAGACUCGACUUUGGCCAAGGAGUGUGGAAGGGGGGUUCCUACAGGCAGUCGGCUCUGAUACCAACUUGUGACGCCCCUGAUUCAAUCGUACACUAAUCAUGCACGCAAAAUGUGCACGAUCAAGAUCAGGGACUCACGGGAAGAUAUCACAACACAACUCUACAACAUAAAUAAGUCAUACAAGCAUCAUAAUACAAGCCAGGGGACUCGAGGGCUCGAAUACAAGUGCACCAUCAUAGACGAGUCAGCUGAAGCAACAAUAUCUGAGUACAUACAUAAGUUAAACAAGUUUGCCUUAAGAAGGCUAGCACAAACUGGGAUACAGAUCGAAAGAGGCGCAGGCCUCCUGCCUGGGAUCCUCCUAACUACUCCUGGUCGUCGUUAGCGGGCUGCACGUAGUAGUAGGCACCUCCGGUGGAGUAGGAGUCGCCGUCGACGGUGGCGUCUGGCUCCUAGGCUCCGGCAUCUGGUUGCGACAACCAGGUAGAAGGGAAAAGGGGGGGAAAGAGGGAGAAAGCAACCGUGAGUACUCAUCCAAAGUACUCGCAAGCAAGGAGCUACACUACAUAUGCAUGGGUACAUGUGUAAAGGGCCAUAUCGGUGGACUGAACUGCAGAAUGCCAUAAUAAGAGGGGGAUAGCUAAUCCUGCCGAAGACUACGCUUCAGGCCACCUCCAUCUUGCAGCAUGUAGAAGAGAGUAGAUGGUAAGUUCACCAAGUAGCAUCGCAUAGCAUAAUCCUACCCGGCGAUCCACUCCUCGUCGCCCUGUUAGAGAGCGAUCACCGGGUUAUAUCUGGCACUUGGAAGGGUGUAUUUUAUUAAGUAUCCGGUUCUAGUUGUCAUAAGGUCAAGGUACAACUCCGGGUCAUCCUUUUACUGAGGGACACGGCUAUUCGAAUAGAUAAACUUCCCUGCAGGGGUGCACCACAUAACCCAACACGCUUGAUCCCAUUUGGCCGGACACCCUUUUCUGGGUCAUGCCCGGCCGGGAAGAUCAACACGUCGCAGCCCCACCUAGGCACAACAGAGAGGUCAGCACGCCGGUCGAAAUCCUAUGGCGCAGGGGUCUGGGCCCAUCGCCCAUUGCACCCCUGCAUGUUGCGAACGCGGCCGGAAGCAGACCUAGCCUAGCAGGCGUUCCAGUCCAAUCCGGCGCGCGCCGCUCAGUCGCUGACGUCACGAAGGCUUCGACUGGUACCAUGACGCCGAGUGCCCAUAACCGUUCCCGCGUAGUUGGUUAGUGCGUAUAGACCAAAUGGCCAGACUCAGAUCAAAUACCAAGAUCUUGUUAAGCGUGUUAAUUGAUGUAACCGCGGACACCGACCAGGGCCAGGCCCACCUCUCACCUAGGCGGUCUCAACCAGCCCUGUCGCUCCGCCACAAAGAUCCACCCAGAGGGCCGUCGGGACAAAGGUCCUUUCAGCCCCCAAUCUGUGAAUCACUCGCGGGUACUCCUCGAGCCGACCCGACUUUAGUCACCACAUGUAUCAUGUAUGAAGUAUAUACCCGUGAUCACCUCCCAAGUGAUCACGGCCCGAUAGUAUAGCACAGCAGACGGACAAGAAUGUAGGGCCACUGAUGGAAAACUAGCAUCCUAUACUAAGCAUGUAGGAUUGCAGGUAAAGGUAACAACAGUAGUGGCAAAGACAGGCUAUGCAGCAGAAUAGGAUUAACGGAAAGCAGUAACAUGCUACACUACUCUAAUGCAAGAGUAUAGAGAAGAAUAGGCGAUAUCUGGUGAUCAAGGGGGGGCUUGCCUGAUUACUCUGGCAAGAAGGAGGGGUCGUCAACAGCGUAGUCGGUCGGGGCACCAGCAGCGGCGUCGGUCUCGUAGUCUACCAGAGAAGAGGGGGAAGAAACAAUAAAUAUAAUGCAAACAUAAGCAUGACGAUGGAAGACAUGUCAAUGUGCGGUGCUAGGUGUGCCCUAACACGGUAGGAGGUGGUACUGGGAAAGGGGGGGAAACAUUCGGGAAAUUAUUCCCGGUGUUUCGCGUUUUCGCACAGAUGAACCGGAGGGGGAAAGUUGCGUGUUUGCUAUGCUAGGGAUGUGUGGUGGGCGAACGGGCUGCGUAUCCGGAUUCGUCUCGUCGUUCUGAGCAACUUUCAUGUACAAAGCUUUUCCAUCCGAGCUACAGUUUAAUUUAUAUUAAUUUUAAAAGAUUUAAAUCAUUUUUAGGAUUUAUUUAAUUAUUUUAAAACAACAUUAUCCAGAACAGUGCACGCUGACAUCAGCAUGACGUCAGCAGUCAACAGAGGAGUUGACUGGUCAACUGACGUGUGGGUCCCGUUCGUCAUUGACUGUUUAGUUAAUUAGGAUUUAGCUAGCCUAAUUACGGUUUAAUUAAACUAACUAAUUAAUUAGGUUAACUAAACAUGAUUAAUUAAGUAAAUUAACUUAGUUAAUUAAUUAAUUAAGUUAAUUAACGUGUGGGCGCCAGACAGGGGAGGGCGCCGGCCGCGGCGAAGGUAGCAGGGCCCGCGGGUGGCUGGGCGCCGGCGGCCGGCGGGCGAGGCCAAGCGGGGGAGGAGCGGCGCNNNNNNNNNNNNNNNNNNNNNNNNNNNNNNNNNNNNNNNNNNNNNNNNNNNNNNNNNNNNNNNNNNNNNNNNNNNNNNNNNNNNNNNNNNNNNNNNNNNNNNNNNNNNNNNNNNNNNNNNNNNNNNNNNNNNNNNNNNNNNNNNNNNNNNNNNNNNNNNNNNNNNNNNNNNNNNNNNNNNNNNNNNNNNNNNNNNNNNNNNNNNNNNNNNNNNNNNNNNNNNNNNNNNNNNNNNNNNNNNNNNNNNNNNNNNNNNNNNNNNNNNNNNNNNNNNNNNNNNNNNNNNNNNNNNNNNNNNNNNNNNNNNNNNNNNNNNNNNNNNNNNNNNNNNNNNNNNNNNNNNNNNNNGGCAAGGACGAGGCAGGGCGCCGGCAGGGACGAGCGAGGGAAGCUGGCCGAACCACGAGUGGGCGCAGUGAGCGCGCGUGCGCACGGCGGAGGAGGCCGGAGCGGGGUGAGCAGCGGCAGUGGGACGCACGGGCGAGCGGAGGUCCUCGGGGCGAUGUGUGCGCGGAGGUGUCAACGUCUUGGUCCAUAAAGGAGGUGUCAGUGCGGCGAACCAGGCAAUCGGACUAUAAGGCUUUACCACUCUCACUUAGCCAUAGGAGUUUGACGAUGGGUCUACGAAGUAGCCCCUGGUAUGUACACGGCUAUCCGAAUGCGGAUGCGUUACAUAUGUGACCGGAAAUCAGUCCUUCGUGUAAUACGGAAAAAAUCGCUAAAGAUUUUAAUACGUCGUCGAGUGGCUGACCAGCUGUCGGCGCAUCAUGAUAGUCAGUUUUCGGCUUUCUCUACUGAGGUGCUUCACCGGACGAACCGGAAACACAAUUGCAGUAGUUCUCCCUUUACUACCCUAGCCGAUAAGACGGAACGUAAGGUAGCGAACACAGGAGCCGGGCAACCCAACUAUUGACCAAAGACAUGGUUCGGAGCUGGUGCAUAUAAUGCCAAACUCGGGACGCCGAAGUGUGCUAUAAAGCUGUUCGGGCUUUUGUUUGGCAACACAUAUGUUGCCAUAUAGAGCCCCUGGCAAUUUGUUCCGAGGUGUGUGCGUGAGACAACGGAAGAGACGAAACACAGUCUAUGAAUGAAAGCAAUACUGAAUAAGAAUUAUGUUCACUGUAAUCUGAUUGAUACGUCAAACGUAAUCUGACAGAUUGUACCACAAUCACCAAGGCCAUUUUACAUGCCGGGGGUCGAAGACUAAGGGGAAAAGCUCUAUACAGGUUUUUAAAUAAAGUUUUGGUCUAAAAAAUCCUUUGGACCUCCUGCCGCACGUUUGCGCUGCUUUCACCUUAGUGAGAAAGAUUCCUUGAGAGGGUGGACUUCGUUUAUUUGUACGAAACCGGGCUCGGAGAGAGUCCUUGUAAGUCCGUAGGAUGAAUAGGUUUUAAUUCACCUGUGGGAAAAGAUAAGGAAAUAAUUAAAGGAGAAGGGAAGACCAUAUAGGGUCGAACCGAACUAUCGACCUGCCCGUGUUGUGCCUCCGCCGAUGUCCAAGGUAUUUUGAGUGCAUAAUUAUGCGCGGGCAGUACGAAUUUCGUGGAUGUACGUGGCGAUCGACGAAGGCGAAACUGCUAACCCAGUUCUGGAAUUGCCGGCCUGCCAGCAUGCAGAAUUGACCGGCCCUGUGUAAUAAAGUCUGGCGGCUUAAUAGCCGGUCAGGUGUGCAGCUUGACAGGGCCGCUUUGUACUUUGGCUCUGAUGGCCGCGGUAUGCUCCUCAGUACGGAGGGAGCGUUCCAUGUUUCCGUUGAUUGUAAUGACGCCACGUGGACCGGGCAUCUUAAGCUUUAGAUAGGCGUACUAUGGGACCGCAUUAAAACGGGCAAAAACGGUUUAUCCGAGCAGUGCGUGAUAGCCACUGCGGAAGGGGACGAUAUCGAAGAUCAAGUCCUCGCUUCGGAAGUUUUCCGGCGAACCGAAGACGACUGAUACGUCUCCGUCGUAUCUACUUUUCCAAACACUUUUGCCCUUGUUUUGGACUCUAACUUGCAUGAUUUGAAUGGAGCUAACCCGGACUGACGCUAUUUUCAGCAGACUUUCCAUGGUGUUAUUAAUGUGCAGAAACAAAAGUUCUCGGAAUGACCUGAAACUCCACGGAACUUAUUUUUGGAAAAUAUUAAAAAUACUGGAAGAAGAAUCCACGUCAGGGGGCCUCCACCUGUCCACGAGGGUGGGGGGCGCGCCUGCCCCCCAGGGUGCGCCCCCCUGCCUCGUGGGCCCCCUGACGCUCCACCGACCUCAACUCCAACUCCAUGUAUUCGUGUUCGGGGAGAAAAAAAUCAGAGAGAAGGAUUCAUCGCGUUUUACGAUACGGAGCCGCCGCCAAGCCCUAAAACCUCUCGGGAGGACUGAUCUGGAGUCCGUUCGGGGCUCCGGAGAGGGGAAUCCGUCGCCAUCGUCAUCAUCAACCAUCCUCCAUCACCAAUUUCAUGAUGCUCACCGCCGUGCGUGAGUAAUUCCAUCGUAGGCUUGCUGGACGGUGAUGGCUUGGAUGAGAUCUAUCAUGUAAUCGAGUUAGUUUUGUUAGGGUUUGAUCCCUAGUAUCCACUAUGUUCUGAGAUUGAUGUUGCUAUGACUUUGCUAUGCUUAAUGCUUGUCACUAGGGCCCGAGUGCCAUGAUUUCAGAUCUGAACCUAUUAUGUUUUCAUGAAUAUAUGUGAGAUCUUGAUCCUAUCUUGCAAGUCUAUAGUCACCUACUAUGUGUUAUGAUCCAGCAACCCCGAAGUGACAAUAAUCGGGACUACUCCCAGUGAUGACCGUAGUUUGAGGAGUUCAUAUAUUCACUAUGUGUUAAUGCUUUGGUCCGGUACUCUAUUAAAAGGAGGCCUUAAUAUCCCUUAGUUUCCAUGAGGACCCCGCUGCCACGGGAGGGUAGGACAAAAGAUGUCAUGCAAGUUCUUUUCCAUAAGCACGUAUGACUAUAUUCGGAAUACAUGCCUACAUUACAUUGAUGAAUUGGAGCUAGUUCUGCGGCACCCUAAGUUAUGACUGUUACGUGAUGAACCGCAUCUGGCAUAAUUUUCCGUCACCGAUCCAAUGCCUACGAGCUUUUCACAUAUUGUUCUUCUCUUAUUUACUUUUCCGUUGCUACUGUUACAAUCACUACAAAAGCCAAAAAUAUUACUUUUGCUACCGUUACCGAUACUUCCAUAUUACUUUUCUACUAAAUACUUUGCUGCAGAUACUAAGUUAUCCAGGUGUGGUUGAAUUGACAACUCAACUGCUAAUACUUGAGAAUAUUCUUUGGCUCCCCUUGUGUCGAAUCAAUAAAUUUGGGUUGAAUACUCUACCCUCGAAAACUGUUACGAUCCCCUAUACUUGUGGGUUAUCAAGACUAUUUUCUAGCGCCGUUGCCGGGGAGCAUAGCUCUAUUGUUUGAGUCACUUGGGAUUUAUAUCUGCUGGUCACUAUGAAGAACUUGAAAGACGCAAAAACAACAAUUUAUCCCUCAACUACAAGGGGGGGUAAGGAACUGCCAUCUAGCUCUGCACUUGAUUCACCUUCUGUUUUGAGUAAGCUUGCGACACCUAAACCUGCUUCUUCUAUUAAUUCUGAUAUGUCGCAUGUUAUUGAUGAUGCCACUUCUGCUAUGCAUGAUACUUAUGAUGAAACUACUACUAUGCUUGAUACUACUGUGCCACUUGGUGAAUUUCUUGAUGAACAACUUGCUAGGGUUAGAGAGAAUGAAAUUUUUGAAACUGAUAAUAUUGAAGAUAGUGAUGAUGAAAACUCUCCCACUAAUAAAUAUGAAUUGUCUGUUGUGCCUGAGGGUUAUGUUUUGGAUGAAGAAUCAGCUAGAGCUAUUUUAGCUUGCAAUGAUAGAAGUGAUCUUAAGAAAUUAUUAGCUAAAUGGAAGCAGCGAUCUCUUAAUGCUAGAAUGAAACCUGACCCUGCUUGUGCUACUUCACCUAUCUGUGUUACUGAUAAGGAUUAUGAAUUCUCUGUUGAUGCUGAUAUAAUUACUUUGGUUGAAUCUGAUCCUUUUUAUGGCUAUGAAUCUGAAACUGUUGUGGCACAUCUUACUAAAUUAAAUGAUAUACCCACCCUGUUCACUAAUGAUGAGAGAACCCGCUACCUUUAUAUCCUUAAAAUAUUUCCGUUCUCAUUAAAGGGUGAUGCUAAGAUAUGGUUUAAUUCUCUUGGUCCUGGUUGUGUGCGUAGUCCCCAGGAUAUGAUUUAUUACUUCUCUGCUAAAUAUUUCCCUGCUCAUAAGAAACAAGCUGCUUUAAGGGAUAUAUAUAAUUUUGUGCAAAUUGAAGAAGAGAGUGAAAGGAACUAGAUGACGACUAGAGGGGGGUGAAUAGGUGUUUUAAAACUAUUACGGAUUUGGCUUUAUCCUAAUGCAGAAUUAAACUAAACGGAUACUUUUCAAGCACAAAUCCUAAAUAUCCUAGGCUCAACUAAGUGCACCAACAACCUAUGCUAAACAAGAUAGGCACCUAAGGAAACUAGCAAGCACAAACUAUAUCACAAGACAUGGAAGUGUAGGAACAACUAAGCAAUUCAACUAGCACAAGAUAUAUUACUGAGAGCAAGUAUGAAUUGCGGAAAGUAAAGGGUGUGGGUAUGAGAUAACCACAAGUGAGUUGGGGACGCGGAUUUAUCCCGAAGUUCACACUCGUGAGAGUGCUAAUCUCCGUUAGAGCGGUGCCGAAGCCAAAGCUUCGGGGCACCACCAAGUGGCUCACCGUAUUCUCCCUUUCGAGUCACCCCCAACGGAUGAGCCUCGAUUCACUCGGGGUUGGUCUUGAAGGCGACCACCACACCUUUACCAACUUCUCCGGAGCACACCACAAACAAGGAAGCUUCUGGAGGAACCUUGACCACUAAGGCCACUUCAUACCCUUCCCUGGAGCACACCACAAAAGGAAGCUUCCGGGGGAACCUUGGCCACAUAGGCCUCUUCACAAUCGUCCCAAUGAAUAUCACAAAACCGUCUAGGAGGCCGAAACCUCCAAGAGUAAUAAACUCACGGACUCUCACUCGAACUAAUUGAUGUGGGGAGCUCAAACCAAUGCAAAAAAUGCAAUGCAAUGUCAAGCAACAAAUGCUCAACACACUCUCUCAAUCUCACAAGAUGCACUCUUGAAAGUAGGAGAUUGAGGAGAGGGGAUGCAAUGGAUAUGAUCAACAAAUGGCUCACAAAUCCGUCCACAAAUCCCCCUUCACAUAGAGGGGAGAAAGGGCUUUGGGAGAGGUGUAGAGAUGCUCAAAAUGGUGUUUAGAAAGUGUAAGAACCAACCCCCAACCGGUGGGAGGAAAGGGCCCUUAAAUAGCCAAACUCCGAAACUAGCCGUUGGGGCUCCAACGGGCAUUUCCUGGACACCCCGUGCGCACGGGGGUUUAGACCCCGUGCCCACGGGGUCCCGUGCGCACGGUACAAGCCCCGUGCACAUGGGGCCCCGUGCCCACGGGGGUCAAAUACCCCAUGCACACGGAGUCCCCAGGACAGCCAGCAGCAGCCCACUAAAACGUUGAUAACUUUGGCAUACGGACUCCGAAUUCGGUGAUCUUGGGCUCGUUUGGAAGCUAUGGAAAAGCCCAAGGUCCUCAGAUAGAGAACCACCCAAGAUCAACAAGAAAGAAUGAUGAAAGUAAUGCAAAGGUUUGAGCUCUCUACGUGCGACGUGAUCAAGCUACUUGCCUGAGAGUCCCUCUUGAUAGUACGGCUAUCAAACCUAUAAUCCGGUCUCCCACCAAGCACUAUGAGAUCGGCAAAACUAGAAAAACCUAGCUAAGUUAUACCUUUGCCUUGCAUAUUCAACUUGAGCUUGAUGAUGACUUUAAUGCUUGCCUCAAGUUGGAAUCCCUUUCUUGUCCACAACCACUUGGUGAAGAUACUCGAAUUGCUUCCUCAUAUUGCAAUGAGGGAAGCCUUAACUUAAGCCCAUCUUCACAUGUGCAUUAUCAUGAUGUGGACCGCAAGCUUCAAAGCAUAUAACCUCCGGCUUCUCAUCUUGCACUUGGACACCUCGAACCUGAUGACCAUCACCACUUGAUGUCAUCCUCACAUAGGCUACUUGAAAUCUUUCCUUUUGAUGAAAGCCCAUGAGAAACACCUAACCCACAUAGACAUACCAAACACAUAGCAUGGGUUAGGUAACAAAGCACAAUUCACAAUUACUUACCAUACCACUAUAUCACUUGAUCUGACGUGGUACAAUGUUUGUGCUUUGAGAGUUGACCACUUAGAUAUAAUCUUCGAGCUUCAUCUUGGUCAACCAACAUCUUUACUCCAAGCUCCAUCUUGGUUUCUUGAAAGCCACAAUGAACUCUUCAUUUCCCUUCAUUGCUUCAAGACUAUAUCACCAAAGACUCUUCCAUGACCAUAUCAAGUUCCACUAUGAAUAUCAUCUUGGUCACCACUUGCCCUUCUAAAAACUCCAUCACAAUCUCUUGAGAGGCAUAAUGAAUUCGUCACUCUAUUUGCUUGCUUCAAGACUUGAUCAACCGAAACCCAACACAUGAGCGCACCAUGAUCUUGUCUUGAGACCAUAACUUGAAUUCUUCUAUUUGAUUAUUCUCUCAAGCCCUUGAUCCUUAGAAGCCCUCCAUCAUAAUAUCUUGAGAGGCACAAUGAAUUCUUCACUCUAGUUGUUUGCUUCAAGACUUGAUCAACCUAAACCCAACACAUGAUCUCACCAUGAUCUUGUCUUGAAACCAUAACUUGAAUUCUUCUCUUUGAUUACUCUCUCAAGCCUUGAUCCUCAAAAGCCCAAAUAUAUCAAUCUUUGAGAUCCUCCAAUGAACUCCAUCAUGAACAUAAUUAGAUUAGGCAUUGAAACCAAUCUUGAUGGCUUCAAUAGAAGUACCCGAAGACCAACUUGAAACCUCACUGGAUAUGGUAUCUCGAGAGCCAACACCUAGGCCCCGUGAGCACGGGGUAUCCAGAGAGUUGACACUCGACCCCGUGCGCACGGUACAAGCCCGUGUGCACGGGGUAUCCAGAGAAGGAUACCAUGAGGACUUCUUCGGAUGCUUUGAUGGCAGACUUCACAAAAGAACCCAAUGCACUUCAAGCAUCACUAUGGAACAUAUCUUCAUAUAAGAUUCAAUGCACUUGAUGCUCCAUAGGAAUUGUCAUUUAAUACCAAAGCAUAGGGCAAAUAUAUCUUCAUAUAUAUGGACUUCAUGCUUGAUUCCGUCCAAUAUCCUUGAGGCACUAUCUUCAUAUAUAUAUGGACUUCAUCCUUGAUUCCGUCCAAUAUCCUUGAGGCACUAUCUUCAUAUAUAUGGACUUCAUCCUUGAUUCCGUCCAAUAUCCUUGAGGCACUAUCUUCAUAUAUAUGGACUUCAUCCUUGAUUCCAUCCAUAUCCUUGUGGCACCAUCUAUGGACAAAACCUUCAAAUAUAUCUCACUGAAAACAUUAUUCCAUAGAGAUUGUCAUUUAAUUACCAAAACCACACUUAGGGGCUAGAUGCCCUUUCAAUCUCCCCCAUUUUGGUAAUUGAUGACAAUCUCAACAAGAGGGUUUAUAUAUUGAAUUUAAAACAAGUACGCAAUCUAUCCGAGAAUAAAUUGUAUACUUGAGGUGGUUUUGAUAGCCUCAAACAUCACAAAGAUAGUUGUUGUUACCAAAACCGGUUGUACUAGCAUCAAAAUACUACACAAGAAUUUGAUGCUAGUAGAACCACAAUAUAUAGAGCAAACUCCCCCACAAUAUAUGCACAGGAAAUAACUUGGUGGAGUUUCCUCUAUAUACACAUUCAUGCAAUGAGCAAGCACAACAAAAGUAGAUAAGCAUGAAUGACAGGAACCAACCCACUUCACCUAAACCCUCUAUACUUCUCCCCCAUUGGCAACAAGUGCCAAAAUGGAAGAAAAAUCUAGACGGCCAAUAUAGUAUGAGUUCCUCCUUAAUUUGUGCAUUUCUCAUAUUGUGAGUGGAAUCAAAUGCACAUAUCCAAUUACGAACAAACGGAGAAAUUCACACUAUAUUGAGGAUCCAUAAAAUGCACCAAAAUGAUAUGACAAGAGAAUCAAACAUUCAAAGGAUCCAAGAACAUAUUUUGGACAAGGGAUAAUGGAGAUAUCCAAUAUGAUAAUCAUGCUAAGCAUGGGUCCAAAAUAUAUCCAACAACUCAUGAGUGCAAACAUAUAUGCAAAACAUACAAGCACUCACUCAACAAGUACUAAUCAUGCUAUGAUGCAACAUACACAAUGUUGACUCUAAUUUAAAUAAAUGCAUGAAGUAAGUACUUGUUACCGAGAGAGAGAGCAUUGGUUCAAGGGGCCCUUGAUCUAGUAAGCGAACAUGAGGGACUUGAUCUUGUUCUUGGAUAGGUACAUGAUCUCCCAUAGCAUCUUGUUCUUAUGUUAGGGGUGAUGACUUCCCUUGUGGUGGAUCCACAAGAGGGGCUCUUACUCCUUCUUCUUCUACAUGGACAAGGGGUGUUUCUUGUGGAAGAAUAUGACCAACCCCCAUUGUACUUGUAUCUCGGGAAGGAGCCUGAUCACCUACAACACUUGAAACAAAUUGCUCCGCAUGGAAGCUGUAAUUCUCAUCACACUCCACAUUCGCUGUUUUCUCAAUACAUCCCGUGGAUUUAUUGAGAAUACAGUAAGUGUGGGAGUUUGAUGCAUAUCCAACAAAUAGACCCAAAUUUUGGUUAACCGGGUUUUCAUGAUGAUAAUGAAAUACUUACGACCGAACCGGGUUUUCAUUUAUCUUCUCCCUCAAAUCAAAGAAUCAAUCAAGCUUGGCCCUAAUAAUUUCCCGCGGUGUCUCCACCUUCCUCGUGAAUAAGCCAAGCAUCCAAUCCUUCUCCAAGGUACCUAAAACACAUUAAGGUACAAAUUGGUCCCCAAACAUAUUGGGUCCGAAGUAGUAAGCACAACCACAAUACAUAGGGCAAACUCCACAAUAAAUAUGUGCAAAAGGAUAUGAAAUUUAAUUUCAUGCACACCUUUAACCAUUAAUGAUAUUAUGGAGUUUACCCUAUAUAGAGGAUCAAGAGAGCAAGCAAGGCAUGAAGAAGUAUAUAAAUAAAUAUGAAUGCACAUGCCUACCAAGAUCCAAAGAGAUAUAAUUUGGACAAAAGAACACUUAAAUGAUGAAUACUCCAAUAAUGACAUAAAGCAUUCAAGUUGUCCAAAUUAUAUCAAAGUGACGAAUCCACAUAGUACCGCACACAAAGUACAACAUAUGAACUAAGCAAAAACCAAAGAGCAUAAAGGAUAUACACUACACACAUGCUCAAAGGCUUAUCUCACUCAAGUAGAUAAUAGAUAGUACAAGCAGUGAGAUAUGGCAAGUUGAAGCACGAGCCAAGAAGAAGAUGAUCAUAAGGUUCUACCACAUGAGGAAAUACCAAUUGAAGAGAAUACAAAUGGUAUUGGAAUUAACACUCGGGGGUAGAUUCCGAAGAUCCACAAGAUCAUCAACAUACUCCAAAGCAUAAGAGAGAAAUAGCGUACUUGGCCGGGUGGGCAUUUAUGCCCAAUGGACCCCGUGCGCACGGGCCAUGUUAGCCCCGUGCGCACGGGGUGUCCAGUGGAAUUCCAACCACCCCGUGCGCACGGGGGUCUAGGACCCCGUGCGCACGGGGUGUCCUAUAAGUUUCGUGGUACCCCGUGCGCAUGGGGGUCAAAGACCCCGUGCACACGGGGUGUCUAGAAACUUACUGAAGAACAUCACCGGACACCGCGGCGAAGCAUGCAACAAAGGCAAAUAACAACAAACAAGAGAUAAUUAGUGGAUGCUCUGAGAAUUUGAAUUUCAAAUGAGCUUGGCAUACCACAUAGUGACUAGAUAAGGUUGAAUAUCAAUACUAUUGGCAUUUCUCAUAUUCACAUUUUGGGUUUGUGGUGUGCACAAAACAUAGCACUCCCCCAUAAUGAUGAUCCACUAAUAUCUCGCAAGAGCCAAACAAGAUACAAUAAAGGCUCAAAACAACAAGCACCACUAUAUGAUGUGCAAUGCAACCUACACAUGCUAGAUAACACAAAUCAAGCAUACUAGAAAAUACAACAUAUAAAUGCACAUGCUAGAUACAAAACCUAAGCAUGCAAGGGGCAAGAACUUUCAAUGUAAGCAAUAAAAAUACAAGUUACCGCAAGGAGGAACAUUGGAUAGAUAAUAUGAAGAUAAACCACAUGACUUGGCUCAAACAAAUAAAUGAUGAAUAUUCUUUUCUUCAUGAACUAGCCAAAUCUCCAAUGUCCUCCACACACCUAUUGAUUAAGGUUGAGCUUGAUGGUCCCCAACCAAGUUGGGUCCUAAGAAGUUAGUCACAAGAGGUUUGGCAACCCAAAUGGCCUUUUCCAUUUCCAAACCACUUUGGGCGCCAACAAACUUGGCAAACAAAUUGCCAACAACAUCCUUCCUAAGCGAAUAAUGAUCAUUGACUAGAGGAGGCUUAGGGAUGUUACCGUUGGGACAAGAUGAGGAUAUGUGUCCCUUAUCACGACAAUUAUAGCAACAUGUGCUCCCCCUUCUCUUCUUCUUUAUUUUCUCAACUUGGGAAGCAAUAUCUUGGUUCAUCAUUGGUAGUGGCCUUUCUUCAACAUGAGGUUGACCUUGAGAUUGAACUUGAGGUUGACCUUGAGAUUGAAAUUGAGGCCGCUUACCUUGUUGCUUCACAUUUGAAGCCUUCUUCUUCAAUGGACAAGAUCUCACAUGGUGUCCAACAUUCUUGCACUUGAAGCAUGUAAUGUUGGCCAGAUUCUUGACUUGGUCUUGUCCCUUACCCUUUUUCUUGGACUUCUUGUUGUCGGAAGUGAAACAAAGACCACCCUUGUCAUGAGGGGAUUUUUGAACACUCAAAAUAGUGUUGAGAGUGGAAUUUCCUUCAUGACACAUUUCCAAGUCUUUCUUCAAAUUAGUGACUUGGGCCUUGAGCUCUUUGUUUUCCUCUCCAAGGUUAGUAUCAACAAAAGUACUAGAGGAAGUAGAAGCUUCAUUAUUAGAGCAACAAGGCAAGGAGAGCAAUUCAUCACAAGAAUUAGCAAUAAUAUGUCUAGAUGAAUCACUAGGACUAGCACAUGUCAAUAAAGCAUUUUGAGUAGAAAUAGUGCUAAUGUCCACAUGAGGCUCACAAGAUGUUACCUUAGUCAUAAUAGCCUCAUGAGCUAACUUUAGCCUUUCAUGGGAGAUAAGAAGAUCAUCAUGAGAGUUUGGGAGCUUUUCAUGACUUUCUUCUAAUUCCCCAUAAUUGCUAGUUAGAAAAUCAAGUUGAGGCCUUAGCUCAACAUUCUCCUUCAAGAUAGAUGCUUCACAAGAAGUAGAGUUAGUAGCACAAGCAUCAUUGAUAAUAUGAGAGGAGCUAGUAGAAACUAGAGACUUCACAUGAGUAGCUUGAAGUUCCUCAUAAGAAUUAGAGAGUUUGAUGAGCUCUCCUUUGACAUUUUUGUAGCCAAGGUCAAGGUGCUCAAAAUCCUCUUUAAGUUGAUCAUGAGCAACUUCAAUCUCUUCUUUAGAAGAUUCUAAGUCUCUAAGAGUUUCUAGAGCAUCAAGAAGGUUACAAUCAAGUUUUUCAUUUUGUUCUUGCUCUUCGUGAAGUAAAUCAUUACACUUUACAAAAUGAGUAAUAAGAUCUUUAAAUAUCUCAUAAGUGUUCUUAUUAACCCCACGAAGAGAAUUACCAAUUUCAUAUAUUUCUUGACUCAUAUCCCUAUCACAUUCAUCAUCACACUCAUCAUUAUCAUUACUAUGAGUAGAUGAUACCUCGAUAGUACCUCUUGCCAUGAGGCACAUGUGAACAUCGGAGGUUGAUGAUGAUUCUUUUGAAGAGGGAGAUUCUUCAUCAUCAAGAGUAGGAUGUCCAUGUCCAUCCUCUUGACACUCAUAGCAUUUCCUCUCCAACGUGGUGAUGUUCUUCUUUGCUCUUCUAGCAAUUUCUCCAUUAAUGAUGUGUGCACUAUUUUUCUUUAUUUUCUCUACAUUGUUAGUCAAACAACAACUAGAGGAAAUAGAAGCAUAUAGAUCAUGGCAACAAGGAAUCUCUACAUGAUAUGCUUGGACUAUCAACACAAGAAUGUAUGUCAUUUUUGGUGCUAGAUAUGCUCAAGUCCAUAGAACCAAGAACACUAGCAUUUCAACAUGAAAGAUCAUCAAUGUUGAGCACAACAUCAUCAUCAUCACAAAGGAUAUUUCCACUCACCAUGUCAUUACCGUGGGACAUGCCAUAUGAUGGUGAGGUGGAAGAAGUUGAAAUGUCCAAGCACACGGAGGAAGAAGCAAUAUGGAGUUCUUCAUAAUAUGAAGAUGUGGACAACUCCUCAAUUGACUCCUCCGAAAGAUGAUGAACCUCAUCAAGAUUGGACCCACCAUAUAUUACUUCAAGCUUGGUCCACAUCUCAUGAGCCGACACACAAGUCAUGAUUGACUCAAACACUUCGAGGGAUAUAGACCGGAUUAUGAUAUUCUUAGCACCAUAUCCACAAAGCAUAUCAUCAUUUUCCUCACUAGUUGGAAAAAGUCCAUCCUUCCACGGAGAAGCCCCUACAAGAACAAUUCGCACAAAAUUUGGACCCAUGGCCCAAAAAUGACAAAGCAGGCGAAUUUUUCACAAGUGAUAGUUUGUGCCACUAAAACAGAAAGUGUCAUCGUGCACUAUACCACUAGUCGACAUCUUUACUCUCUAGGCGGUGAAGCCUAGCAAGGAGAGACCAAAGCUCUAAUACCAAUUGAAAGGAACUAGAUGACGACUAGAGGGGGGUGAAUAGGCGUUUUAAAACUAUUACGGAUUUGGCUUUAUCCUAAUGCGGAAUUAAACUAAACGGGUACUUUUCAAGCACAAAUCCUAAAUAUGCUAGGCUCAACUAAGUGCACCAACAACCUAUGCUAAACAAGAUAGGCACUUAAGGAAACUAGCAAGCACAAACUAUAUCACAAGACAUGGAAGUGUAGGAACAACUAAGCAAUUCAACUAGCACAAGAUAUAUUAAUAAGAGCAAGUAUGAAUUGCGGAAAGUAAAGGGUGUGGGUAUGAGUUAACCACAAGUGAGUCGGGGACGCGGAUUUAUCCCGAAGUUCACACUCGUGAGAGUGCUAAUCUCCGUUAGAGCGGUGCCGAAGCCAAAGAUUCGGGGCGCCACCAAGUGGCUCAUCGUAUUCUCCCUUUCGAGUCACCCCCAACGGAUGAGCCUCGAUUCACUCGGGGUUGGUAUUGAAGGCGACCACCACAUCUUUACAAACUUCUCCAGAGCAUACCACAAACAAGGAAGCUUCCGGAGGAACCUUGACCACUUAGGCCACUUCACACCCUUCCCUGGAGCACACCACAAAAGGAAGCUUCCGGGGGAACCUUGGCCACAUAGGCCUCUUCACAAUCUUCCCAAUGAAUAUCACCAAACCGUCUAGGAGGCCGAAACCUCCCAGAGUAAUAAACUCACGGACUCUCACUCGAACUAAUUGAUGUGGGGAGCUCAAACCAAUGCAACAAAUGCAAUGCAAUGUCAAGUAACAAAUGCUCAACACACUCUCUCAAUCUCACAAGAUGCACUCUUGAAAGUAGGAGAUUGAGGAGAGGGGAUGCAAUGGAUAUGAUCAACAAAUGGCUCACAAAUCCAUCCGCAAAUCCCCCUUCACAUAGAGGGGAGAAAGGGCUUUGGGAGAGGUGUAGAGAGGCUCAAAAUGGUGUUUAGAAAGUGUAAGAACCAACCCCCAACCGGUGGGAGGAAAGGCCCCUUAAAGAGCCAAACUCCGAACCUAGCCGUUGGGGCUCCAACGGGCAUUUCCUGGACACCCCGUGCGCACGGGGGUUUAGACCCCGUGCCCACGGGGUCCCGUGCGCACGGUACAAGCCCUGUGCACAUGGGGCCCCGUGCCCACGGGGGUCAAAUACCCCGUGCACACGGAGUCCCCAGGACAGCCAGCAGCAGCCCACUAAAACGUUGAUAACUUUGGCUUAUGGACUCCGAAUUCGAUGAUCUUGGGCUCGUUUUGAAGCUAUAGAAAAGCCCAAGGUCCUCAGAUAGAGAACCACCCAAGAUAAACAAGAAAGAAUGACGCAAGUAAUGCAAAGUUUUGAGCUCUCUACAUGCGACGUGAUCAAGCUACUUUCCCGAGAGUCCCUCUUGAUUGUACGGCUAUCAAAGCUAUAAUCCGGUCUCCCACCAAGCACUAUGAGAUCGGCAAAACUAGAAAAACCUAGCUAAGUUAUACCUUUGCCUUGCAUAUUCAACUUGAGCUUGAUGAUGACUUUAAUGCUUGCCUCAAGUUGGAAUCCCUUUCUUGUCCACAACCACUUGGUGAAGAUACUCGAAUUGCUUCCUCAUAUUGCAAUGAGGGAAGCCCUAACUUAAGCCCAUCUUCACAUGUGCAUUAUCAUGAUGUGGACCGCAAGCUUCAAAGCAUAUAACCUCCGGCUUCUCAUCUUGCACAUGGACACCUCGAACCCGAUGACCAUCACCACUUGAUGUCAUCCUCACCUAGGCUACUUGAAAUCUUUCCUUUUGAUGAAAGCCCAUGAGAAACACCUAACCCACAUAGACAUACCAAACACAUAGCAUGGGUUAGGUAACAAAGCACAAUUCACAAUUACUUACCAUACCACUAGAUCACUUGAUCUCACGUGGUACAAUGUUUGUGCUUUGAGAGUUGACCACUUAGAUAUAAUCUUCGAGCUUCAUCUUGGUCAACCAACAUCUUUACUCCAAGCUCCAUCUUGGUUACUCGAAAGCCACAAUGAACUCUUCAUUUCCCUUCAUUGCUUCAAGACUAUAUCACCAAAGACUCUUCCAUGACCAUAUCAAGUUCCACUAUGAAUAUCAUCUUGGUCACCACUUGCCCUUCUAAAAACUCCAUCACAAUCUCUUGAGAGGCAUAAUGAAUUCGUCACUCUAUUUGCUUGCUUCAAGACUUGAUCAACCGAAACCCAACACACGAGCUCACCAUGAUCUUUUCUUGAGACCAUAACUUGAAUUAUUCUCUUUGAUAAUUCUCUCAAGCCCUUGAUCCUUAAAAGCCCUCCAUCAUAAUAUCUUGAGAGGCACAAUGAAUUCUUCACUCUAGUUGUUUGCUUCAAGACUUGAUCAACCUAAACCCAACACAUGAGCUCACCAUGAUCUUGUCUUGAAACCAUAACUUGAAUUCUUCUCUUUGAUUACUCUCUCAAGCCUUGAUCCUCAAAAGCCCAAAUAUAUCAAUCUUUGAGAUCCUCCAAUGAACUCCAUCAUGAACAUAAUUAGAUUAGGCAUUGAAACCAAUCUUGAUGGCUUCAAUAGAAGUACCCGAAGACCAACUUGAAACCUCACUGGAUAUGGUAUCUCGAGAGCCAACACCUAGGCCCCGUGAGCACGGGGUAUCCAGAGAGUUGACACUCGACCCCGUGCGCACGGUACAAGCCCGUGUGCACGGGGUAUCCAGAGAAGGAUACCAUGAGGACUUCUUCGGAUGCUUUGAUGGUGGACUUCACAAAACAACCCAAUGCACUUCAAGCAUCACUAUGGAACAUAUCUUCAUAUAAGAUUCAAUGCACUUGAUGCUCCAUAGGAAUUGUCAUUUACUACCAAAGCAUAGGGCAAAUAUAUCUUCAUAUAUAUGGACUUCAUCCUUGAUUCCGUCCAAUAUCCUUGAGGCACUAUCUUCAUAUAUAUAUGGACUUCAUCCUUGAUUCCGUCCAAUAUCCUUGAGGCACUGUCUUCAUAUAUAUGGACUUCAUCCUUGAUUCCGUCCAAUAUCCUUGAGGCACUAUCUUCAUAUAUAUGGACUUCAUCCUUGAUUCCAUCCAUAUCCUUGUGGCACCAUCUAUGGACAAAACCUUCAAAUAUAUCUCACUGAAAACAUUAGUCCAUAGAGAUUGUCAUUUAAUUACCAAAACCACACUUAGGGGCUACAUGCCCUUUCAGAGAGUCUCCCACAAGCUUUUGGGAGGCUUCUCCAAUUACUUAAUGCUUUGCCUGAUCAUCCUCUUAAGAAAAAUGAAAUACUUGAUAUCUUUUAUAAUGGACUAACAGACGCUUCCAGAGAUUACCUGGAUAGUUGUGCUGGUUCUGUUUUCAGGGAAAGAACACCAGAUGAAGCUGAAAUUCUAUUGAAUAAUAUGUUGACAAAUGAAAAUAAUUGGACACUUCCUGAGCUAGCUCCUGAGCCAAUUCCUGAGCCUAUUCCUAAACCAACUCCGAAGAAGAGGGGUGUUCUAUUUCUCAGUCCUGAAGAUAUGCAAGGGGCAAAGAAAUCUAUGAAAGAGAAGGGUAUUAAAGCUGAAGAUGUUAAGAAUUUACCUCCUAUUGAAGAAAUACAUAGUCUUAAUUUACCGCCUGUUGAAGAAACAUAUGAUCUUAAUCCAUCACCUAUUGAAGAAACUCAUUGUCUUGAUAACCCGACACAGGUAGUAAAGGUAAAUUCUCUCUAUAGAUUUGAUGAAGGUGAUAUUCCUCACUAUAAGUCUGCUAGACAAUGCUUAGAAGAGUUUGAUAAUUUUAUUGUCAAACAAGAAAACUUCAAUGCUUAUUUUGGUAGACAAUUGAAAUACAAUUCCGAUACGCUUGAACACUUGGGUGAUUAUAUGUCUAGAGUUAAAGGUGAACUUAAACUCAUUAGUAAACAUGCUUCUAUGGUUACCACUCAAGUAGAACAAGUACUUAAGGCUCAAAAUGAUUUGCUCAAUGAAUUAAACAGUAAGAAUAAUGAUUAUGAUGUUAGAGUGGCUACUAGAACUGGUAGAAUGACUCAGGAACCUUUGUAUCCUGAAGGCCACCCUAAGAGAAUUGAACAAGAUUCUCAGAGAAAUAAUAUUGAUGCACCUAGUCCUUCUAAAAAGAAGAAAAAGAAAAAUGAUAAGACUUUGCAUGCUUCUAGUGAACCUAUUGCUGAACCACCUGAGAAUCCAAAUGAUACCUCUAUUUUUGAUGCUGAAACACAAUCUGGUAAUGAACAUGAACCUAAUGAAAAUGCUAAUGAUGAUGUUCAUGUUGAUGCUCAACCUAGCAAUGAUAAUGAUAUAGAAAUUGAACCUGCUGUUGAUCUUGAUAACCCACAAUCAAAGAAUCAACGUUAUGAUAAGAGAGACUUUGUUGCUAGGAAACACGGUAAAGAAAGGGAACCAUGGGUUCAGAAACCCAUGAAUUUUCCUCCCAAACCAUCCAAGAAAAAGGAUGAUGAGGAUUUUGAGCGCUUUGCUGAAAUGAUUAGACAUAUCUUUUUGCGUAUGCGAUUAACUGAUAUGCUCAAAAUGAAUCCUUAUGCUAAGUAUAUGAAAGUAAUUGUCACUAAUAAAAGAAAGAUACUGGAAGCUGAAAUUUCCACCAUCCUUGCUAAUUACACUUUUAAGGGUGGAAUACCUAAGAAACUAGGAGAUCCAGGAGUACCAACUAUACCAUGCUCCAUUAAAAGAAAUUACGUUAAAACUGCUUUAUGUGAUCUUGGAGCUGGUGUUAGUGUUAUGCCUCUCUCUUUAUAUCGUAGACUUGAUUUGAAUAAGUUGUCACCUACUGAAAUAUCUUUGCAAAUGGCUGAUAAAUCAACUACUAUACCUGUCGGUAUUUGUGAGGAUGUGCCUGUUGUGGUUGCAAACGUUACUAUUUUAACGGACUUUGUUAUUCUUGAUAUUCCCGAGGACGAUAGUAUGUCUAUUAUUCUUGGAAGACCCUUUUUGAAUACUGCAGGGGCUGUUAUUGAUUGCAACAAAGGUAAUGUCACUUUUCAUGUUAAUGGUAAUGAGCAUACGGUACACUUUCCGAGGAAACAACCUCAAGUUCAUAGUAUCAACUCUAUUGGAAAAAUUCCAUCAAUCAUUUUUGGAGGUUUUGAAUUUCCUCUUCCUACUGUCAAGAAGAAAUAUGAUAUUCUUAUUAUUGGGGAUGUGCAUAUCCCCGUUGAGGUAACAUAGUGCUAUUCGAAAUUUCUCCCGUUCCAUGUUAUUCGGAAUGAGUUUGUUAACAAGACUUGAUCAACCUUGUUAGUGGAUUCCUUUUCAUGAGCGUGAGAUGGAUGAAACUAGAAGGCACAACCUUCUGUACCCCCUCUCUACUUUCUGUCAUUUAGUUGAAAUAAAGUAAAAAUUGUAUUUUUCUGUCUGUUUUCUGAAUUAUCCAUGCAAUAUAAAAAUACCCCGAAAAUAAAAGUUUUCCAGAUGCCCUGCCAAUUUAAUAUGAUUUUUUCUGGAAUAUUUGAGAACAUCUGGAACUGAGAACACAACAGGGUGAGGAAGCACCUGACCACGAGGGUCCAGGGCGCGCCCCCUGCCUCGUGGGCCCACGGUGGCUCCCUUCCACCUAUUCCUGCACCCACACACUUCUUCUUCCUCCCAAAAAAUCACCAUCCAGCUCAAGCACGAGUUCUAGCUCAUUUUGCUGCGAUUUUCGAUCUCCUUGCUCAAAGCACCUCUCACAAAACUGCUUGGGGAGAUUGUUCCUUGGUAUGUGACUCCUCCAUUGGUCCAAUUAGUUUUUGUUCUAGUGCUUUAUUCAUUGCAAAUUUGUGCUGCCUAGGUGACCAUGUUCUUGAGCUUGCAUGUCAAAUUUAUAUGGUAACAACUAAUUCUAAUGCAUGAUAUAGUCUCUAGGCACUUGUAGGAGUAUUUGCUACCAAUUUUGUUGAGCUUGGUUCACUUUUAUUUGAAGUUACUAAAAAUUUCAGAAUUUUUCAGAAAAUAAUGAAGAGAUUUUUGAGGGGCUCAUCGAGCCGAAGCUCGAAGAAAAGCAAAGUGAAGAAGCACAGAGGCCCAAAUAUAAUUUGCCUCGCACCGCGGAGGUUCGGCCGUGUGAAUGGACUUCCGAUGAUUUCUUGAGAGAAGUCGGGAUUUACGAUGAUUUUUAUGAAUUGGCUGAGAAUGCAGACCUCACCGACUUCCUCUGCGACCAACGCGAACGUUAUCUCUUACUCACCAAUACUUUUGUGCAAAACUUCUACUAUUAUCCUAAGGAAUCACCUCCUUCAGUAGAGUUUCAUUUAUAUGAUGUGGUUAAGAAGAUGCCACUAGAUGAAUUUUGCAAGGUUUGCAAAAUACCUUUUGAGGGUAGUUUAGAAGAACCACAUCGUAAAGAUGUGGACGGGUUUAUUGACACUAUUACCGUGGGGGAAACUAGAAAGGUUUCCGAUGCAAGAAUCACUAGCAUACAUUUUCCUGUUUUAUGCUACUUUGCCAUAUUUGCUAGUCGUUGCUUAAUUGGUCGCGGAAACUGUGGAAACCUUAGUGUUCCUGAUAUUAUCAUUUUGUUCCAUGGUUUGUUCUGCGAUAACACUGUUAGUAUGGGCGGUAUUAUUGCGAAACGGUUAAGUUUGAACCGUACAAAGGGCCCCAUCUUUGGAGGUAUUUACGCUUCACGCCUUGCUGCACAUUAUAACAUACCUAUUAGGCACUAUGAAAAAGAAGAAAAAUUGCUGCCCACUACUUAUUUAGAUUACAAGAGUAUGGUAGCGCAUGACAUUAUUGUUAAGAAUAGGGAAGGGGCGCUUAAAUACAAAUUGUUCUUUGAUAAACAUCACCCUGAGACUAUUAACUUGCCUACUCCCUCCUUGUUCAAUUUAUCUGCAGGUCCAUAUCUCAUUCCGCUGGCGGCCAUUCACGCCUACCGGAACCCUACACCAGCCACAGAUCCGGAACCACAAUUUGAUCCUCCACGACAGUCUAAUUACUAUUGGGAUCCGGAGAUGACUGCCAGCCAGUGGCAGUCAGAGUCUUCUUCAUCUCUGUACAACCCCGGCUACAACUAUGGAUAUCCGCCAGGCCAUCCGUGGCAAUAAACCAACUUAGGCCAAAAGCCUAAGCUUGGGGGAGUACGUAUUUCCCACCGACAUUACAUUCAUGUUCACACACACUCAUUGCUAGAUGUCGGUGCUCAUACUCUUUCACAGUAAUAUUCAUGCUAGUUUAUUUUCUUUUUCUUGCUUUCUUCUUGUGUGUUUGAUAAACCUUAAGAAAAACCAAAAAAAUUAGUGUAGCUUUUAGUUAGUUUACUUUUCUUGCUGUAGUAGUAAUUAAAAAGAAAACCCAAAAAGAUUUCUCAUUCUUCUUUUGCUUGUUGGGAGCUUUUCCAUGUAAAUAGUUUUAUUUCUUUUCUUUUCUUUGGGGGUCGAUAGGAGAAGACCAUAAUUAAAUUGUUGAAGUGGCUCUUAUAUGCAUUAUUGUUGAUUUAACCAAGAGCCCAUAUUGCCUUGUCUUCUCCAGUUUAUUGAAUGCUCGCAGAUUCCAGCUUAGUCCAAUGCACAUGCACUCUUAUUAUUAUUCACAUCGUUCGUUCGUGCAAGUGAAAGGCAAUUAUGACGAUAUAUGAUGGACUGACUGAGAUGAGAGAAGCUGGUAUGAACUCGACCUCUCUUGUUUUUGUAAAUAUGAUUAAUUCAUCAUUCCUGAUUCAGCCAAUUAUGAAUAAACAUGUUUGCAAUGAGAAUUAGGGAUUGUAGUUUCUCGUUCCAUGCUUGAUUAGCUAUGAGUUAUAAUGGUUUACCUUGCGUGCCAACAUGCUAUUAAAAUGGUUGUGAUGUGGUAUGAUGGGGUGGUAUCCUCCUUUGAAUGAUUUAAGUGACUCGACUUGGCACAUGUUCACACAUGUAGUUGAAACAAAAUCAACAUAGGCUUCACGAUAUUUAUGUUCAUGGUGGAUUAUAUCCUACUUAUGCUUGCAUCCAAUGUUUAUUAAUUUUAAUGCAUGUUCAUGACUGUUGUCGCUCUCUAGUUGGUCGCUUCCCAGUCUUUUGCUAACCUUCACUUCUACUAAGCGGGAAUACUGCUUGUGCAUCCAAUCCCUUAAACCCCAAAGUAAUUCCAUAUGAGUCCACCAUACCUUCCUAUAUGCGGUAUCUACCUGCCGUUCCAAGUAAAUUUGUAUGUGCCAAACUCUAAACCUUCAACUGAAAUUCUGUUUUGUAUGCUCGAAUAGCUCAUGUACCAACUAGGGUUGUCCGUAUCUUCCAUGCUAGGCGGGUUAUUCUCAAGAGGAGUGGACUCCGCUCCUCACUCACGAGAAAAUGGCUGGUCACCGGGAUGCCCAGUUCCAUGCUUUAUGCAAACUAAAUCAAAAUAAUUGCAAACAAAACUCUCCCUGGGAAUGUUGCUAGUUGGAGGCACUCGUUGUUUCGAGCAAGCCAUGGAUUGAUGCUUGUUGGUGGAGGGGGAGUAUAAACUUUACCAUUCUGUUUGGGAACCGCCUAUAAUGUGUGUAGCAUGGAAGAUAUCGCCAUCUCUUGGUUGUUAUGUUUACAAUGAAAGUAUGCUGCUCAAAAUAUUAUUUAUCUCUAUUUUAAAACCGAGCUCUGGCACCUCUUCAAAUCCCUGCUUCCCUCUGCGAAGGGCCUAUCUAUUUAAUUUUAUGUUGAGUCAUCACCCUCUUAUUAAAAAGCACUAGCUGGAGAGCGCAGUUGUCAUUUGCAUUCAUCACUAUUAAUUUAUAUUGGGUAUGACUAUGACUGGAUCUCUUUUACCAUGAAUUACAAUGUUUAGUCAGUCCUUGAUCUUUAAAGGUGCUAUGCAUUUAUGUUUUGCGGUCUCAGAAAGGGCUAGCGAGAUACCAUCUUGUUAUAUCAUAUUAUGAUUGUUUUGAGAAAGUGUUGUCAUCCGAGAUUUAUUAUUAUUGCUCGCUAGUUGAUUAUGCCAUUGACAUGAGUAAACAUGAGACCUAAGUGUUAUUGUGAACGUGGUUAGUUAUAAUCUUUGCUGAAAACUUGAAUGCUGGCUUUACAUAUUUACGACAACAAGAGCAAACAGAGUUUGUAAAAGUUUUUCUUUAUCACUUUCAGUUUAUCAACUGAAUUGCUUGAGGACAAGCAAAGGUUUAAGCUUGGGGGAGUUGAUAUGUCUCCGUCGUAUCUACUUUUCCAAACACUUUUGCCCUUGUUUUGGACUCUAACUUUCAUGAUUUGAAUGGAACUAACCCGGACUGACGCUAUUUUCAGCAGACUUUCCAUGGUGUUAUUCAUGUGCAGAAACAAAAGUUCUCUGAAUGACCUGAAACUCCACGGAAGUUAUUUUUGGAAAAUAUUAAAAAUACUGGAAGAAGAAUCCACGUCAGGGGGGCCUCCACCUGUCCACGAGGGUGGGGGGCAUGCCUGCCCCCUGGGCGCGCCCCCUGCCUCGUGGGCCCCCUGACGCUCCACCGACCUCAACUCAAACUCCAUAUAUUCGUGUUCGGGGAGAAAAAAAUCAGAGAGAAGGAUUCAUCGCGUUUUACGAUACGGAGCCGCCGCCAAGCCCUAAAACCUCUUGGGAGGGCUGAUCUGGAGUCCGUUUGGGGCUCCCGAGAGGGGAAUCCGUCGCCAUCAUCAUCAUCAACCAUCCUCCAUCACCAAUUUCAUGAUGCUCACCGCCGUGCGUGAGUAAUUCCAUCGUAGGCUUGCUGGACGGUGAUGGGUUGGAUGAGAUCUAUCAUGUAAUCGAGUUAGUUUAGUUAGGGUUUGAUCCCUAGUAUCCACUAUGUUCUGAGAUUGAUGUUGCUAUGACUUUGCUAUGCUUAAUGCUUGUCACUAGGGCCCGAGUGCCAUGAUUUCAUAUCUGAACCUAUUAUGUUUUCAUGAAUAUAUGUGAGUUCUUGAUCCUAUCUUGCAAGUCUAUAGUCACCUACUAUGUGUUAUGAUCCGGCAACCCCGAAGUGACAAUAAUCGGGACUACUCCCGGUGAUGACCGUAGUUUGAGGAGUUCAUGUAUUCACUAUGUGUUAAUGCUUUGGUCCGGUACUCUAUUAAAAGGAGGCCUUAAUAUCCCUUAGUCUCCAUUAGGACCCCGCUGCCACGGGAGGGUAGGACAAAAGAUGCCAUGCAAGUUCUUUUCCAUAAGCACGUAUGACUAUAUUCGGAAUACAUGCCUACAUUAUAUUGAUGAAUUGGAGCUAGUUCUGUGUCACCCUAUGUUAUGACUGUUGGAAAUAUGCCCUAGAGGCAAUGAUAAAAUGGUUAUUAUUGUAUUUCCUUGUUCAUGAUAAUUGUCUAUUGUUCAUGCUAUAAUUGUAUUAACUGGAAACCGUAAUACAUAUGUGAAUACAUAGACCACAACAUGUCCCUAGUAAGCCUCUAGUUGACUAGCUCGUUGAUCAAUAGAUGGUUAUGGUUUCCUGACCAUGGACAUUGGAUGUCAUUGAUAACGGGAUCACAUCAUUAGGAGAAUGAUGUGAUGGACAAGACCCAAUCCUAAGCGUAGCACAAGAUCGUGUAGUUCGUUUGCUAAGAGCUUUUCUAAUGUUAAGUAUCAUUUCCUUAGACCAUGAGAUUGUGCAACUCCCGGAUACCGUAGGAAUGCUUUGGGUGUACCAAACGUCACAACGUAACUGGGUGGCUAUAAAGGUGCACUACAGGUAUCUCCGAAAGUGUCUAUUGGGCUGGCACGAAUCGAGACUGGGAUUUGUCACUCCGUAUGACGGAGAGGUAUCUCUGGGCCCACUCGGUAAUGCAUCAUCAUAAUGAGCUCAGUGUGACUAAUGAGUUAGCCACGGGAUCAUGCGUUACGGAACGAGUAAAGUGACUUGCCGGUAACGAGAUUGAACGAGGUAUUGGGAUACCGACGAUCGAAUCUCGGGCAAGUAACAUACCGAUUGACAAAGGGAAUUGAAUACGGGAUUGAUUGAAUCCCCGACAUCAUGGUUCAUCCGAUGAGAUCAUCGUGGAACAUGUGGGAGCCAAUAUGGGUAUCCAGAUCCCGCUAUUGGUUAUUGGCCGGAGAGGUGUCUCGGUCAUGUCUGCAUGGUUCCCGAACCCGUAGGGUCUACACACUUAAGGUUCGGUGACGCUAGAGUUGUUAUGGGAAAUAGUAUGUGGUUACCGAAGGUUGUUCGGAGUCCCGGAUGAGAUCCCAGACAUAACGAGGAGUUCCAGAAUGGUCCGGCGGUGAAGAUCGAUAUAUUGGACGAAGGGUAUUGGAGUCUGGAAGUGUUCCGGGGGUACCAGGCUAUGGCCAGCAUGACCGAAAGGUGUUUCGGGAGCCCCGGCAAGUGUUGGAGGGCCUCAUGGGCCAAAGGGGAAGGGGCAAACCAGCCCACUAAGGGGUGGUGCGCCCCCCACACCCUUUCCCAUGUUACUUGGGGAGGUGGGGCGCCUCCACCUGGCUUGGGAGGCAAGCCUCCACCUGCUUGGCUUGGGGGGCAAGUCUCCCUAGGAUUUUCCCUAGGGAGAUCCAAUCUGCUUGGCCGCUGCCCCCUAGGGGAAACCCUAGGGCGCCUCCCCCUCUCCCCUUGCCCCUAUAUAUAAUGGAGGGGUGGGAGGGCAGCCGCACCUCUUCCCUGACGCAGCCCUCCCUCCUCAUACACCUCCUCAUCCUCCUCCGUAGUGCUUAGCGAAGCUCUGCCGGAGAACCACGAGCUCCAUUGCCACCACGCCGUCGUGCUGCUGGAGUUCUCCCUCAACUUCUCCUCUCCCCUUGCUGGAUCAAGAAGGAGGUGACGUCCUCGGGCUGUACGUGUGUUGAACGCGGAGGCGCCGUCCGUUCGGCGCUAGGUCGGAUCUUCCGCGAUUUGAAUCGCUGCGAGUACGACUCCAUCAACCGCGUUCUUGUAACGCUUCCGCUUAGCGAUCUUCAAGGGUAUGAAGAUGCACUCCCUCUCUCUCGUUGCUAGCAUCUCCUAGAUUGGUCUUGGUGACACGUAGGAAAAUUUUGAAUUAUUGCUACGUUCCCCAACAAUGACUGUUACAUGAUGAACCGCAUCCGGCAUAAUUUUCCAUCACCGAUCCAAUGCCUACGAGCUUUUCACAUAUUGUUCUUCGCUUAUUUACUUUUCCGUUGCUACUGUUACAAUCACUACAAAACCCAAAAAUAUUACUUUUUCCACCGUUACCAUUACUUCCAUAUUACUUUGCUACUAAAUACUUUGCUGCAGAUACUAUGUUAUCCAGGUGUGGUUGAAUUGACAACUCAACUGCUAAUACUUGAGAAUAUUCUUUGGCUCCCCUUGUGUCGAAUCAAUAAAUUUGGGUUGAAUACUCUACCCUCGAAAACUGUUCCGAUCCCCUAUACUUGUGGGUUAUCAACGACUUCCAAUGUGAUUGAGCCCGUGCAGCGGGCCUCUACACUAGGUAUUACUCCUUUGAAGGUAGUUUUAGUGGGCUUGAUUCUUGAAGGAUCAAUGCCCAUUUUGCGGACAGUGUCUUGAUAAAGUAAAUCGAGACUGCUGCUGCUGUCCAUGAGGACUCGCGUGAGAUGGAAUCCAUGGAUGAUUGGAUCGAGGACAAGAGCUGCCGAACCUCCAUGACGGAUACUAGUUGGGUGGUCCUUUCGAUCGAAGGUGAUCGGGCAAGCCGACCAUGGGUUGAGUUUUGGGGCGACCGGCUCUAUGGCGUAGACGUCCCAUAAUGCGCACUUGCGCUCCCUCUUAGGGAUAUGUGUGACAUAUAUCAUGUUUACUGUUUUUACCUCGGGGGGAAAUUGCUUCUGUCCCCCUGUGUUCGGCUGACAAGGCUCUUCCCCGUUGUCGCGGGGUGGCCCUUUCCCCUUGUGUUUGGCGUUGAGUUUGCCGACCUGUUUAAAAAACCAACAAUGUCUGUUGGUAUGAUUGGCAGGUUUAUCAGGGGUGCCGUGAAUCUGGCAAGGCCGAUCAAGUAUUUUAUUUAAACUGGAUGGACCAUCUCUGUUUGCCUUGAAUGGCUUCUUCCGUAGACCGGGUUUGGAGCCACUGAAUCCGGUGUUGACCGCCAUGUCUUGGGUUCCUACAUUAUUGUUUCGAUGCUUGUGUUUGUUGCGUCGUGGCCUGAAAUUGCCGUCCCUAGCUUCGGAGGUGCCAGGGUCGCUGGUGCUAUUGCUUCUACGAGCAAGCCAGCUAUCCACUCCCGCGCAAAAGUGGGUCAUAAGUGCGGUAAGGGCUGCCAUGGACUUCGGAUUUUCUUGGCCGAGGUGUCGGGCGAGCCACUCAUCUCGGACGCUAUGUUUGAAGGCCGCGAGGGCUUCGGCAUCCGGACAAUCCAUAAUCUGGUUCUUUUUAAUUAAGAACCUAGUCCAGAGCUGCCGGGAUGAUUCUCUGGGUUGCUGGAUUAUGUGGCUAAGAUCAUCGGCGUCUGGGGGCCGAACAUAGGUACCUUGGAAGUUGUCUCUAAAUGCGUCCUCCAAGUCUUCCCAGCUUCCAAUAGAGUUUUCUGAUAGACUGUUCAGCCAGUGUCGUGCUGGCCCAUUGAGUUUUAGUGGGGGUAUUUGAUGGCAUGUAGGUCGCCACCGCAUGCCAUGUGAAUGUGGAGAAGAAAAUCUUCAAUCCAUACUGCAGGAUCUGUUGUGACAUCGUAUGAUUCAAUGUUCACGGGUUUAACCCUUUUGGGAACUGGUGCUCCAUUACCUCAUCGGUGAAGCAUAGGGGGUGUGCAGCGCCUCUGUAUCGGGCUCCAUCACGGAGCAGUUCAGAAGAGGUCCGUAUGCGGUUUUCGGCCCGGGUGAGGUUGUGGUUGUCGCGCCAGGCUUAAUAGCUGUCUUCUCGCGCCGGGGCACGCCCCCGUGAUCCGUAGAUUGAUCUGGUCUGACCGGCUCUAUUUUCCAGGUCCUGUCAUAGGUCGUAACACUAGUAGAAAAAGGGCCAUUUGUCCCGAUUCAUAUGGCCCAUCUGUCCCGGUUGGGGAACCGAGACUAAAGGGUCGUUACUAAUGCCCUAUGCCUUUAGUCCCGGUUCUUAUACUAACCAGGACAGAUGGGCCUCCACGUGGCCGCUCCGGCGAGCCCAGGCAGGAGGGCCUUUGGUCCCGGUUGGUAGCACCAACCGGGACCAAUAAGCUUCCACGCGUCAGCAUUUCAGGGGCUGUUUUUUUAAAGGAGGUGGUUUAGGGGUUUUAGGGGUUAAUUUAGGUUGUUAUAGGUAGCUAAUAGAGAGAUGUGUCCUCUCUUAUCUCCGUGCUACUGCUACUGCUAUGCCUAAACAUGACUUAGAUUGAAGUGAGGCAACAUGUGGUGCAUGUCGAAAGUAAUACUAAUCCUAACUUGAUCAAGUUUGGAUUGUACUACUUUCGACAUGCACCACAUGCAUGUUGCUUUCACUUCAACCCAAUCCAUGUUCAUUUCACCCACUGAUAUAUAAUAACUCUUCAUGCUUGCAUCAUGCAUCAUCAUAUAUAAUAACAAGUCCUACUAAUCAUCAUCAUACAACUUCUACUCGUUAUUAAUAACAAGUCAUACGAUCAUCAUCCUCAUAGUCAUCGAACCAACCCUACUUAAUUGUUCUUAGCACAUGAUCAUCAGUAUUAGGCAGGACCUAAAUACCCUCUUUAAGGUAAAAUAGCAUAAAACAAUAUAGACCCUGACUCUCCAUUAUGGAGAAUGGAGAUCAUCCUGUCUCCAAUUCUUGCGCUUCGCUUACUUUUGCUUCCAAGAACCUCCUUGUGACUGUCCAUACAUUUUUUCCAUUCUUUGAUUAGCAUGUCUCCACUUCUUUGAGAAAUUUGGUAUGGACAGUUGAGAUUCGUAGGAUGACCUGGAUAUAUGUUCAAAACACGAAGGCUACCAUUCUGAUAGAUCAAAUGAGGCACACAAUCCUCUGGGAUUCUCUGUUGAAAAACAUAGUAAUAACUUCAUAGUUAGCAAUGAUGUACUAGUUUUAGAAGUAUGCAAAAGAUGCACGGAUGUUGUAAUAGUAAAAAAUCUUACUAGGGUAUCUCCAUGGUAGUUACCGUAGUUCAACACGUGCACUAGUGGCACGUAUUGACCAUAAUGUUGAGGAGUUUGAUUGUAGAUAUUGUAAUUCUCAAUAUCAGUACAAAAUCCGACCAUAUGAUUUUUCUCCUUACAAGUUAACUCAGAGCCAUCGGUGUAGUAGGUUCUGUCUACCAUCUUCCGCACAUUCUUUGAACAAUCAAAAUAAGCUGUCAAUGGAAAUAAGUUGUCAACUAUUUUGAAAUGAACAAUAUAAAUUAGUUAAUAAUUAACUAUGUUUGAGAAACUCACAUAGCGGUAGAACUGGAGGCGUAUCAACAAGGACCCAAAUGUCCAUAUUGUAUUGAUCGAUGUCAGGAUCACCAAGAUCCAUGGUGCCAAGCAUACCCUCAUCAAAACCAUACAUCUUGCAAAAUGCUUCCCAAUUUUUGCAACCAAAAUGGGUUACGCUCUCAGCAUUAUAAAGAUUUACUUCAAAAUCCACAUCAUGAUGGGUCCUUAGGUGAAUUUUCUUCGUUUCAAAAUUUUCAUGGUCUUCAAAAUCCAUCCUCCAAGACAUAGCGCCUUGCAUGGCAUGGGUUAAGCUAUGCUCGAAUUGUAAAAGAUGAAAAUUACACGUUGAAAUAGUUGAAGUCAUGCUUAAUUACGAAAAAAAACUUGUCGUCGUUGUGUACCGUUUCAACUUCGAAGGUCUCCUCGAGCUUAAUGCUGAAGCGCCGAUCAUCGUCCAGGUGAGGCCUGUCGCACAGAGCUCGAUCGACGUGGCACCAGCUGCACUCCCCCGGGAGACUUUCGUCGUCCGAUGACGACAUUUCCUACGUUCAUAAUUCAAAGAUUAAACUUGUACAAUUAAAUAUAUGUACUACAAAAACUAAAUUAGAUCAUUAUUAUUCAUCACGAGUUGACUAUCAGUCUGUCGAGUCUUUUCUUGAAAACUCUCAGCUCACGUGGUGUAUACAUUUGACCAUUGGUGAUGGUCGCUCCUCCAUUCGUCCCCGAGUGCAUUACACCAAAAUGUCUAGCACACGGGAACGAAGGAGAAGCGACCCCCACGACAACAGUCGGGAUUCCUCGUCCUCUCAUAUAUAUAUGGUGGAACUCUCCCUCAUUGAUUCCUCUCUCACAUUUGUGACCGUCGGUGAUGGUAGCUCCUCCUUUCGUUCCCGAGUGCAUUACACCAAAUUGUCUAGCACACGAGAACAAAGGAGAAGCUACCCCACCACAACAGUCGGGAUUCUUCGUCCUCUCAUAUAUGGUGGAGACUCGACAGACUUAAAUUCAACUUGAAAUAUCGUUUAAUUAUCUUCCUAAAAAAGGAUUUGGCUGGUCUCACCUCGAGGUCGGAGGGGGUCGGUGACGGGGACGACGACGGGGAUGAUGGAGGGGGGCUCCUAGAUUUCUGCGACAACAAAAACCCUAUAAGCUAUCAACUAAUCAUAUGCAUAUGCCUUGCAUAGUGCUCUCCAAUUUUAGCAUUCAAAGUAGGAGUAGUUUUCCAAUUUGAGCAUUCAAUAAGCAAAACCAAAUCGUAAAAUAAAGUAGUAUCCAAAUUAGCAUGCAUUCAAUUAUAAGCAAAACUACAUCAUCUCUUCCGUUCGUACAUCGUCGAAUAUUAUCACUAAUACACCUCGAAUACUAUCAUACAUAUAGCAUCGCUAGUACAGCUAGAACCGUAGUGCCCGACGGGUAUCGGCGCGGGCGGUGAACACCCAAAGGGAAGGAACCAUCACAGGAUCAUAGCACGAGUGAGAUCCCUGAAGAACCUGCCAGGUAUUGUCGAACCUGCCCUCCAACGUAACCAUGUAGCGACGGACGUGCUCAUCCUCCUCGCUGACACAGUGACGUACCACCUCCGCGGUGUCCGGAAGCCUAGGCACCAUCACUGGCCUAUGCGACCGCCACCAAACAAGGAUCGGGUCAACGACGGGCUGGCUCCUCACCAACCUAUGCCCCCCGGAAGGUAGCACCUCCCAAUACCAGCCCGGCAGAGCCCAGUCCCGGACAUGGCCCCUCUGAUCAAGCCGGCCUCCUCCGCCGAGUCGAUGACGAGGAUGCGGGAUAGGCAUCGUCGACGUCGAUGCGGGAAUAAUUGCUUGAACUAAAAAAAUAAACUAGUUCUAUUAAUUUUCUUGCUAAAAAUAAACUACUUCUAUAGUAAAAUAAAGUAGUUUUAUUAAAUCAACUAGUUCAACUACUAAGCACUUACUAUAAAUAAAAUAAAGUAGUACUUACUAAAAAUAAACUACUUCUAUAGUAAAAUAAAGUAGUUUUAUUAAAUCAACUAGUUCAACUACUAAGCACUUACUAUAAAUAAAAUAAAGUAGUACUUACUAAAAAUAAACUANNNNNNNNNNNNNNNNNNNNNNNNNNNNNNNNNNNNNNNNNNNNNNNNNNNNNNNNNNNNNNNNNNNNNNNNNNNNNNNNNNNNNNNNNNNNNNNNNNNNNNNNNNNNNNNNNNNNNNNNNNNNNNNNNNNNNNNNNNNNNNNNNNNNNNNNNNNNNNNNNNNNNNNNNNNNNNNNNNNNNNNNNNNNNNNNNNNNNNNNNNNNNNNNNNNNNNNNNNNNNNNNNNNNNNNNNNNNNNNNNNNNNNNNNNNNNNNNNNNNNNNNNNNNNNNNNNNNNNNNNNNNNNNNNNNNNNNNNNNNNNNNNNNNNNNNNNNNNNNNNNNNNNNNNNNNNNNNNNNNNNNNNNNNNNNNNNNNNNNNNNNNNNNNNNNNNNNNNNNNNNNNNNNNNNNNNNNNNNNNNNNNNNNNNNNNNNNNNNNNNNNNNNNNNNNNNNNNNNNNNNNNNNNNNNNNNNNNNNNNNNNNNNNNNNNNNNNNNNNNNNNNNNNNNNNNNNNNNNNNNNNNNNNNNNNCAACUACUAAGCACUUACUAUAAAUCUAAUAAAGUAGUACUUACUAAAAAUAAACUACUUCUAUAGGAAAAUAAAGUAGUUUUAUUAAAUCAACUAGUUCAACUACUAAGCACUUACUAUAAAUAAAAUAAAGUAGUACUUACUAAAAAUAAACUAGUUUAACUAGUUCUAUUAUUUAUCGACCCCCUCCCCUCAUGUCGAAGUUAUCGGGGAGGGGGUAUAUCGACAACGACAUACCCGAUAAAAAAUAAGAAGAGGAAGAAGAAGAAAAAUAAAAGAGGAGAAGAAGAAAGGAAUAGAGGAGAAGAUCGAAGAAAAAAGAAGAAGAAAGAAAGAGGAGAAGAAGAAAGCAAUAGAGUCUUGUCCUCUAUUCCUUUCUUCUUCUCCUCAUUUUUUUUCUUCUUUUUUCCUCUUCUUAUUUAUUUCUCCACUUCUUCCUCUCCUCUUCUUCUCCUUCUUCUUCUCCUUCUUCCUCUUCUUAUUUUCCUUUUUCCUCUCCUUUUUUUCUUCUUCUUUCCUUCUUCCUUCUUCCUCUUUUCUUCCUUUUCAUUAUUUUACUUUUUCCUCUCCGAUCCACUAACCUGGAAUCUACUAUCCUAAAAUGCACUAACAGUAGAACUAAUAACCAAAAAUGCCCUAAAUCAACUAACCUUAAAUGUAACUUUUGCAACACAAUUUUUUUUAUAAAUAUGCACAUAUAUAUAUAUAUGAACAUAUAUAUACAUAAAUUGACAAAAAAAUCUAAAAAAAACAUACAUCAAUGCAUACACAUCCAUGGAUCAUACAUACAUCUGCAUAUAUAUACAUAUACAUACAACAUCCAUAUAUACAUACAUCAAUGGAAAAAAAAAGUGUAUGAAAAAACCAGAGAGCAGGUCGGGGCGGCGGCGGCGGCGCGCGGCAAGCAGAGCAGGCAGGGGCGGCGGCGCGGGGGAAGGGAGGGGGCUCACUGGGCGGCGACGACAAGGCGCGGCGACGGCNNNNNNNNNNNNNNNNNNNNNNNNNNNNNNNNNNNNNNNNNNNNNNNNNNNNNNNNNNNNNNNNNNNNNNNNNNNNNNNNNNNNNNNNNNNNNNNNNNNNNNNNNNNNNNNNNNNNNNNNNNNNNNNNNNNNNNNNNNNNNNNNNNNNNNNNNNNNNNNNNNNNNNNNNNNNNNNNNNNNNNNNNNNNNNNNNNNNNNNNNNNNNNNNNNNNNNNNNNNNNNNNNNNNNNNNNNNNNNNNNNNNNNNNNNNNNNNNNNNNNNNNNNNNNNNNNNNNNNNNNNNNNNNNNNNNNNNNNNNNNNNNNNNNNNNNNNNNNNNNNNNNNNNNNNNNNNNNNNNNNNNNNNNNNNNNNNNNNNNNNNNNNNNNNNNNNNNNNNNNNNNNNNNNNNNNNNNNNNNNNNNNNNNNNNNNNNNNNNNNNNNNNNNNNNNNNNNNNNNNNNNNNNNNNNNNNNNNNNNNNNNNNNNNNNNNNNNNNNNNNNNNNNNNNNNNNNNNNNNNNNNNNNNNNNNNNNNNNNNNNNNNNNNNNNNNNNNNNNNNNNNNNNNNNNNNNNNNNNNNNNNNNNNNNNNNNNNNNNNNNNNNNNNNNNNNNNNNNNNNNNNNNNNNNNNNNNNNNNNNNNNNNNNNNNNNNNNNNNNNNNNNNNNNNNNNNNNNNNNNNNNNNNNNNNNNNNNNNNNNNNNNNNNNNNNNNNNNNNNNNNNNNNNNNNNNNNNNNNNNNNNNNNNNNNNNNNNNNNNNNNNNNNNNNNNNNNNNNNNNNNNNNNNNNNNNNNNNNNNNNNNNNNNNNNNNNNNNNNNNNNNNNNNNNNNNNNNNNNNNNNNNNNNNNNNNNNNNNNNNNNNNNNNNNNNNNNNNNNNNNNNNNNNNNNNNNNNNNNNNNNNNNNNNNNNNNNNNNNNNNNNNNNNNNNNNNNNNNNNNNNNNNNNNNNNNNNNNNNNNNNNNNNNNNNNNNNNNNNNNNNNNNNNNNNNNNNNNNNNNNNNNNNNNNNNNNNNNNNNNNNNNNNNNNNNNNNNNNNNNNNNNNNNNNNNNNNNNNNNNNNNNNNNNNNNNNNNNNNNNNNNNNNNNNNNNNNNNNNNNNNNNNNNNNNNNNNNNNNNNNNNNNNNNNNNNNGAACAGAAAAAACUUUGAUAAUUUUACUUGCAUCAAUUUUAUAUAAUUUUAGCUUCAAUAAUACUAGAGGUUGCUUAUAAUGUUUUGAACAGAAAAUACGUUGAUAAUUUUAGUUUCAUAAAUUUUAUUUAUGUUAUUAAAGUUUAUUUUAUUUUGUUUCUACUUAUAUAUUUUAUUAAAGUUUAUUUUAUUCUGCUUCUAAUUACUUAUUUAUUUUAUUAUAUGAUAUUUGUUAUUUUCCAUGCAUUUACUGAUUAUUUUGAGCUAUAAGACCCUGAAAUUGAAAAGCACUACAAAUGAACUCUGAAGAGGUUGAAAGUUGGCAUGGUAUCAUCAUUUCACCCACAUAGCAUGUGCAAGAAAGUAGAGAGGGUUACGGCAAAAACUGGAUGCACUUCGUGUACAAAACGAACAAUCUUUUUCGAAGUAUCAGGAUUGCAUAUGGAAACUCGUCUGUUACAACAAGCAUUUCAAAUGAACUACGAAAAGGUUGAAAGUUCGGAUGGUAUCAUCAUAAUAGUUGUGGACAGAAAGUCUUCACUUUUUUUUCGCUUGUGUGUUUUGCUUAUUGCGCCGUAACCAUGGAUAAUCUUCAUCGUUUAUCAGGAUGCUUGGGUCAGCCUUGACUUUGAAGGGAGGAAUUUCAUGAAACUUUUCAUAAUAUUUAGACAUGUCUGUCUUGCCCUCCACUCCCACGAUGUCCCUUUUUCCUGAAAGAACUAUGUGGCGCGUUGGCUCAUCGUAUGAUGUAUUCGCUUCCUUAUCUGUUAUUUUUCUCGGUUUGGUAGACAUGUCCUUCACAUAGAUAACUUGUGCCACAUCAUUGGCUAGGACGAACGGUUCGUCGGUGUACCCAAGAUUGUUCAGAUCCACUGUUGUCAUUCCGUACUGUGGGUCUACCUGUACCCCGCCUCCUGACAGAUUGACCCAUUUGCACUUAAACAAAGGAACCUUGAAAUCAUGUCCGUAGUCAAGUUCCCAUAUGUCCACUUUGUAACCAUAAUAUGUGUCCUUUCCCCUCUUGGUUGCUGCAUCAAAGCAGACACCGCUGUUUUGGUUGGUGCUCUUUUGAUCUUGGGCGAUCGUGUAAAAUGUAUUCCCAUUUAUCUCGUAUCCUUUGUAAGUCAAUACAGUCGAAGAUGGUCCCCUGGACAACGAGUACAGCUCAUCACAAACAGUGUUGUCACCUCUGAGACGUGUUUCCAACCAACUGCUGAAAGUCCUGAUGUGUUCACAUGUAAUCCAGUUGGCACACUGCUCCGGGUGUUUGGAGCGCAGACUGUUCUUGUGUUCAUCGACAUACGGGGUCACCAAGGUAGAGUUCUGUAGAACUGUGUAGUGCGCUUGAGACCAAGAAUGCCCGUCCCUGCAUAUUAUUGAGUCCGCUCCUAGUGUGCCUUUUCCAGCCAGUCUCCCGUCAUACCGCGAUUUAGGGAGACCUAUCUUCUUAAGGCCAGGAAUGAAAUCAACACAAAACGAAUGACAUCCUCUGUUUGAUGGCCCAUGGAGAUGCUUCCUUCUGGCCUAGCACGGUUACGGACAUAUUUCUUUAGGACUCCCAUGAACCUCUCAAAGGGGAACAUAUUGUGUAGAAAUACGGGGCCCAGAAUGACAAUCACGUCGACUAGAUGAACUAGGACGUGCGUCAUGAUAUUGAAGAAGGAUGGUGGGAACACCAGCUCGAAACUGACAAGACAUUGCGCCACAUCACUCCUUAGCCUUGGUAUGAUUUCUGGAUCGAUCACCUUCUGAGAGAUUGCAUUGAGGAAUGCACAUAGCUUCACAAUGGCUAAUCGGACGUUUUCCGGUAGAAGCCACCUCAAUGCAACCGGAAGCAGUUGCGUCAUAAUCACGUGGCAGUCAUGAGACUUUAGGUUCUUGAACUUUUUCUCUGGAAUAUUUAUUAUUCCCUUUAUAUUCGACGAGAAGCCAGUCGGGACCUUCAUAUUGAGCAGGCAUUCAAAAAAGAUUUCCUUCUCUUCUUUGGUAAGAGCGUAGCUGGCAGGACCUUCAUACUGCUUUGGAGGCAUGCCGUCUUUUUCGUGCAAACGUUGCAGGUCCUCCCGUGCCUCAGGUGUAUCUUUUGUCUUCCCAUACACGCCCAAGAAGCCUAACAGGUUCAUGCAAAGGUUCUCCGUCACGUGCAUCACGUCGAUUGAAGAGCGUACCUCUAGCUCUUUCCAGUAGGGUAGGUCCCAAAAUAUAGAUUUCUUCUUCCACAUGGGUGCGCGUCCCUCGGCGUCAUUCGGAACAGCUAGUCCGUCAGGACCCUUUCCAAAUAUUACGUGUAAAUCAGAGACCAUAGCAAGUAUGUGAUCACCGGUACGCAUGGCGGGCUUCUUCCGGUGAUCUGCCUCACCUUUGAAAUGCUUGCCUUUCUUUCGACAUUGAUGGUUGGUCGGGAGAAAUCGAUGAUGGCCCAGGUACACAUUCUUCCCGCAUCUGUCCAGGUAUAUACUUUUGGUGUCAGCUAAACAAUGCGUGCAUGUGUGGUAUCCGUUGUUUGUCUGUCCUGAAAGGUUAUUGAGAGCGGGCCAAUCAUUGAUGGUUACAAACAGCAACGCAUGCAGGUUAAAUUCCUCCUGUUUGUGCUCAUCCCACGCACGUACACCGUUUCCAUUCCACAGCUGUAAAAGUUCUUCAACUAAUGGCCUUAGGUACACAUCAAUGUCGUUGUCGGGUUGCUUAGGGCCUUGGAUGAUAAUUGGCAUCAUAAUGAACUUCCGCUUCAUGCACAUCCAAGGAGGAAGGUUAUACAUACAUAGAGUCACGGGCCAGGUGCUGUGAUUGCUGCUCUGCUCCCCGAAAGGAUUAAUGCCAUCCGCGCUUAAAGCAAACCAUACGUUCAUUGGGUCACUUGCAAACUGAGCCCAGUACUUUCUCUCGACUUUUCUCCACUGCGACCCGUCAGCAGGUGCUCUCAACUGCCCGUCUUUCUUACGAUCCUCACUGUGCCAUCGCAUCAACUUGGCAUGCUCUUUGUUUCUGAACAGUCGUUUCAACCGUGGUAUUAUAGGAGCAUACCACAUCACUUUCGCAGGAACCCUCUUCCUGCGGGGCUCGCCCUCAACAUCACCAGGGUCAUCUCGUCUGAUCUUAUACCCCAAUGCACCGCAUACCGGGCAUGCAUUCAAAUCAUUGUACGCACCACGGUAGAGGAUGCAGUCAUUAGGGCAUGCAUGUAUCUUCUCCACCUCCAAUCCUAGAGGGCAUACGACCUUCUUUGCUGCGUACGUACUGUCGGGCAAUUCAUUAUCCUUUGGAAGCUUCUUCUUCAAUAUUUUCAGUAGCUUCUCAAAUCCUUUGUCAGGCACAACAUUCUCUGCCUUCCACUGCAGCAAUUCCAGUACGGUACUGAGCUUUGUGUUGCCAUCUCAGCAAUUGGGGUACAACCCUUUUUUGUGAUCCUCUAACAUGCGAUCGAACUUCAGCUUCUCCUUUUCACUUUCGCACUUUUCCCUUGCAUCAACAAUGACCCGGCGGAGAUCAUCAUCGGGCACAUUGUCUGGUUCCUCUUGAUCUUUAGCUUCCCCCGUUGCAGCAUCACCGUAUUCAGGGGGCACAUAGUUAUCAUCGUCCUCUUCUUCUUCGCUGUCUUCCAUCAUAACCCCUAUUUCUCCGUGCUUCGUCCAAACAUUAUAGUGUGGCAUGAAACCCUUAUAAAGCAGGUGGGUGUGAAGGAUUUUCUUGUCAGAGUAAGACCUCGUAUUCCCACAAUUAGGGCAUGGACAACACAUAAAACCAUUCUGCUUGUUUGCCUCAGCCACUUCGAGAAAAUUAUGCACGCCCUUAAUGUACUCGGAGGUGUGUCUGUCACCGUACAUCCAUUGCCGGUUCAUCUGCGUGCAUUAUAUAUAAUUAUGUGUGUCAAAAGUAAGAAAAUUAGACAAGUAUCUAUCUAAAGUAAGAUUUUUUUUCUUUCAGAAAGAAGAUAAGAUAAAGAGGCUCACCACGGUGGUGCCGGCGACGAGAUCAGCGCGGGCGAUCGACGGCGGUGAAGACGAGGACGGGGCGUGACGGACCGCUAAACCUAGACAAAUCUCGGAAAAAAAUGGAGGUCGGAGGUCGAGCUUCGAGAGGAGAAAACUUAACUAGUGUGGCUCGAGCAUUUCAUCGAACACCUCACAUGCAUAAGAGGUGAGCUAGAGCACCCAAAUGCCCUUCCUCGCCGGCCAGCAAAAAACAGAGCACUGUGGAGUGCUCUGCUCGCCGGCGAUGGGGUAUAUAUAUAUAUAUAUGCAACUCAUUUGUCCCGGUUCAUGGGUGGAACCGGGACUAAAGGCCACCCUUCUGUCCCGGUUCCUGCCAUGAACCGGGACCAAUGGUUGUGGGCCAGGAGCGAGGCCCAUUGGUCCCGGUUCGUGCCAAGAACCGGGACAAAUGGGCCCAGACGAACCGGGACCAAUGCCCACGAGGCCCCGGCCGGCCCCCUGGGCUCACGAACCGGGACAAAUGCCUCCAUUGGUCCCGGUUCGUGGCAGAACCGGGACUAAUGGGCUGGCCAGGCCCGAACGAAAGCCCUUUUUUCUACUAGUGUAAGUGUAUCCGCGAGCUGUUGUUUCUCUACAUUUAUGACGAGGUGGUGCGGGUUGGUGUUCGGCUUGAUUCGCCGUUCUGUCCUGGCCACGUGGUGGUCGAUCAGGUCCGUUGGCAGCGUUGCGCGCUGGUGGUAUGGGCUCCAACGCCUCAUCGACGAAUUGAGGUAAUAGUUUACGCUUCGGGUAACUCUUAGUUGGGCGUUCGAGGCCGUAUUCUUCGGCUGCUAGGACAUUAGUCCAUCUGUCGUUGAGCAGAUCUUGGUCAGCUUGAAGCUGCUGCUGCUUCUUUUUUAGGCAUCUUGCAGUGGCUAUUAGCUGGCACUUAAAGCGCUCUUGUUCAAGGGGUUCCUCUGGCAUGAUAAAAUCAUCGCCGCUGAGGCUCACGUCGUCCUCGGAGAGUGGUAGAUAGGUGCUAUCCUCCGGGUCUUUGUUCCCUGCUAGCUCGUUAGGGUCAACUUGCCCAUCCUCCCGAUCAUCCUAUUUGGAUGUUGGUUCGGUGGGGUCUUCUUGGUCUUCGGCGUUCUCCGGAGUAUUAUUGUCUCCGGUGCCGGUAUUGUUGUCUUUUCACGACGCGAUUUAGAGCGGCGCCGCCGACGUCGACGCUUUGGGGGUAUCUCAGGAGGUUCGUCCUCGACUGGAUCCUUCUCAUCAUCGUCGUCGCCUUCUUUAGGUGUGUCCACCAUGUACACGUCGUAUGAAGAAGUGGCCGUCCAGCGUCCGGUGAACGGCGGGUUUUGGGCCUGCUCUUCUCCGGCAUCGCUGUCCAUACCGUCGAUGUCUUGGGCCUGCUCCUCGACAGUGGCUAUGAAGUGGAUGGUGGGUGGGAAGUAAAAUUCCCUUCUUUCAGCCCCUAGUCUGGGCUGGGCGCAAUUCGGAAGCGAUUCCUCUGUGAUGCCGAGGGAUCGCAUUAAGUCCAAAGCCUCGUUUAAGAGCGAGGUUUGAACGGGGAAGCGAGAGUCGGUGGAGUAGGGCGGGAAAGAAGUUCCCUGGCCGAGCUCACAUGAUGCGGACUUCGAGGGUUCGGAGCUAGUGUCCGGAGAAGAGUCCGGCUUUAUGAUGACUGCCGGUGACACUAUUCCCUCCGAUUCUCCUGUGUAGAGCUCUAUAGCCGCAGAGAGUCUGGCGGGCUCUAGACUCCCGUCUUCGGACUUGGUGACGCGCUACGGAUCUAGGGCCAGAGCGGUAGUUGGGGCCACGAACCCUUGGAAGAUCAAGUCUCCUCGGAUAUCAGUGACAUAGUUCAGAUUUCCAAAACUGAUCUGGUGACCAGGGGCAUAGCUGUUGAUCUGCUCUAGGUGGCCAACCGAGUUGGCCCGCAGUGUGAAGCCGCUGAAUACAAAGAUCUGGCAGGGGAGAAAAAUCUCCUUCAUGGAAGCAUUGUUGCAGAUGAUUGAUGGAGCCAUCGAGCCUUUUGACGACGACAUAGUGGAACUCUCAAUGAAAGCACCAAUGUCGGUGUCAAAACUGGCAGAUCUCGGGUAGGGGGUCCCGAACUGUGCGUCUAAGGAUCGAAGGUAACAGGAGGGAGGGACACGAUAUUUACCCAGGUUCGGGCCCUCACGAUAGAGGUAAUACCCUACUUCCUGCUUGAUUGACUUUGAUGAAUAUAGGGGUUACAAGAGUUGAUCUACCUCGAGAUCGUAGUGGCUAAACCCUAGAUGUCUAGCCUGUAUGAUUGUGAUUGCCUCUACAAACUAAACCCUCCAGUUGAUAUAGACACCGGAGGGGCCUAGGGUUGUACAGAGUCGGUUACAGAGAAAGGAAUCUUCAUAUCCGAACAACAAGCUUGCCAUCCACGCAAAGGAGAGUCAUGUCCGGACACGGGAGAAAGUCUUCUAUCUUGUAUCUUCAUGGCCCAUCAGUCCAGCCCUUGUCACAUAGCCCGGACGCCCGAGGACCCCAUAAUCCUGGACUCCCGCACCGGGGCCGGCCGAGGCGCUCAGCUUCCCGCGAGGCAGGGGCCGUUGCCUAGCGCUUCGGGUUCACAGGCGCCGGUGCUUGCUGCUCGGCCAAGCGCGCGGCAGCCGGAGGAGCCGGCGCAGCCGCCGAUGGCCAAUGCGCGGGCCCUUGGAAGAGGUCGGGGCUCUAACAAUGGAUGGGAUGGUCAAGGACACGGUGGAUACAGCAGAGAUGGUCCGAGAUUCAACUGGUACGGGCAGUGGGGCGAUGAUGGUUACGAUGCAUAUGGUGAGGGGCUGCACCAUGGAUCAUCCUCCGGUGGCGGCCGUGGUUUAAACUCGUACAACGGCAGCGGUCCAGGACAUGGAUUUCAGGGCCCACCCGGCAAUUUUGUUGAAGGUGUCGCUGGCCCCAAUGAUUGUUUCCGGGGAGGUUAUCGGCGUGGCGGGAGAGGGAGACGCCCACCUCCACCGCGACAACUUCCGCCCCCACCACCACCGGGGGCGGAGUUGGAGCACUCUGCAGGUGCGGCGGGGGUCUCAUCCAUGUUGCCUGAGGCAGCGGUUGAUGCGGUGAAGGCUCUGGCAGCGAUAACAAUUCCGGCGGCUUCUGGAGUCGCUAAGACUAGGGAUUGUGGGGCGGACAAAGGGCCGGACAAAGCAGAGGGAGAAAAGCUUUCGAAGUGGGAAAUUAAGAAGAAGAAGUUACCUUGCUAUAGAUGUGGCGAACCGGGACACUUUGUGGCAGAGUGUAUUAAUGAUCUUUGUGGCUACUGCCUCAGAUCGCAGCAUGUGACCGGUGACUGCCCACUCCUAUCCAGUCCUAAGCCUGGCGUAAACAUUUUUGGGGUGUGUUGCAAGGAGUUGAUGUACUUUGAGACACCGGAGGUGGACCCUCUUCCUCCGAUGGUUGAGAAUUCCUUCCCAGCAGUGGUUCGGGUUACUAAUGGACAGAUGACUGAGGCUCAGAUUGUGAGGCAGUUGCGUGAGCUGGUACCGGGUAACUAUCAGUGGCAUCUUAACAAGCUGGAGGGCCAGGCUUACAAGGUGGAUUUCCCCACUAAAGAGGACCAGUUGCAUAUUCUUAAGUGGGGUAUGUGCAGAGUUCCAAGUACCAACAUUAUCAUUGCCUUCGAUGAGUGGAAGCAGGAAGAACCAGAGGGUACUCCUUUAGAGAAGGUUUGGGUACGGUUCUUUGGCGCACCACCAAAACUGAUUAAACACUUUCUGAUUGCUUGGAGCUUGGGUUCUAUGGUUGGUAAGACGGAAAAGGUGGACAUGCCUUUCACUCGUGCACAGGGGGCCGCGAGGUUGCUGGUCAGUGUUGUGAGUGUUGAGUACAUACCGGAUGUAGUUAGAUGGACACAUGCUGGAGUCACCUACGUUUUAGAGCUUGAGAUUGAGGACACUCCGAUUUCCCAGGAUGGGGAUGAGAUUCAGGAUAUGGACACAAUUGAGGGGGGCGGAGCUCCCGGGAAUCAGGAUAAGGGGCCCGACAAUUCACCACGGGAGUCGGCCAAGGGGCCAAAUGCGCAACCAGAUAAGGCGGAUAAGUCUGCCAAGGAGGCGACACCGUCCACUACUCCGAUGAACACUCUUUGUUUUGGUUCGUUUGGAGCGAGGUCGGCUCCUAGUCAGUUAUGGAGCACCAGAGUUGAGGCGGACGACCCGGCGGAACUUGAGCUACCACCGGUGUUGGUCCCCAUCUGUGAGGCCCUUGAGUCUGGACCCACGGUAACUUUGAGAGAGGUAUCCAGUACCCCACAGCAGGCACCACAGGGGACACGACACACUUACAGUGGCCCAGUCACGAUGGGUUCCAUGCCCGGUGGCCAGGUGNNNNNNNNNNNNNNNNNNNNNNNNNNNNNNNNNNNNNNNNNNNNNNNNNNNNNNNNNNNNNNNNNNNNNNNNNNNNNNNNNNNNNNNNNNNNNNNNNNNNNNNNNNNNNNNNNNNNNNNNNNNNNNNNNNNNNNNNNNNNNNNNNNNNNNNNNNNNNNNNNNNNNNNNNNNNNNNNNNNNNNNNNNNNNNNNNNNNNNNNNNNNNNNNNNNNNNNNNNNNNNNNNNNNNNNNNNNNNNNNNNNNNNNNNNNNNNNNNNNNNNNNNNNNNNNNNNNNNNNNNNNNNNNNUGAAGGAAAUAUGCCCUAGAGGCAAUAAUAAAGUUAUUAUUUAUUUCCUUAUAUCAUGAUAAAUGUUUAUUAUUCAUGCUAGAAUUGUAUUAACCGGAAACAUAAUACUUGUGUGAAUACAUAGACAAACAAAGUGUCACUAGUAUGCCUCUACUUGACUAGCUCGUUAAUCAAAGAUGGUUAUGUUUCCUAGACAUAGACAUGAGUUGUCAUUUGAUUAACGGGAUCACAUCAUUAGGAGAAUGAUGUGAUUGACUUGACCCAUUUCGUUAGCUUAGCACUCGAUCGUUUAGUAUGUUGCUAUUGCUUUCUUCAUGACUUACACAUGUUCCUAUGACUAUGAGAUUAUGCAACUCCCGUUUACCAGAGGAACACCUUGUGUGCUACCAAACGUCACAACGUAACUGGGUGAUUAUAAAGGAGCUCUACAGGUGUCUCCAAAGGUACUUGUUGGGUUGGCGUAUUUCAAGAUUAGGAUUUAUCACUCCGAUUGUCGGAGAGGUAUCUCUGGGCCCUCUCGGUAAUGCACAUCACUUAAGCCUUGCAAGCAUUGCAACUAAUGAGUUUGUUGCGAGAUGAUGUAUUAUGGAACGAGUAAAGAGACUUGCCGGUAACGAGAUUGAACUAGGUAUUAAGAUACCGACGAUCGAAUCUCGGGCAAGUAACAUACCGAUGACAAAGGGAACAACGUAUGUUGUUAUGCGGUCUGACCAAUAAAGAUCUUCGUAGAAUAUGUGGGAGCCAAUAUGAGCAUCCAGGUUCCGCUAUUGGUUAUUGACCGGAGACGUGUCUCGGUCAUAUCUACAUAGUUCUCGAACCCGUAGGGUCCGCACGCUUAACGUUACGAUGACAGUUAUAUUAUGAGUUUAUAUGUUUUGAUGUACCGAAGGAGUUCGGUGUCCCGGAUGAGAUCGGGGACUUGCCGAGGAGUCUCGAAAUGGUCGAGACGUAAAGAUCGAUAUAUUGGACGACUAUAUUCGGACAUCGGAAAUGUUCCGAGUGAUUCGGGUAUUUUUCGGAGUACCGGAGAGUUACGGGAAUUCGUAUUGGGCCUUAAUGGGCCAUAAGGGAAAGGAGAGAAAGACCCCAAAGGGUGGCCGCACCCCUCCCCAUGGACUAGUCCGAAUUGGACUAGGGAGGGGGGCGCCCCCUUCCUUCUUUCUCCUUCUCCCUUCCCUUUUCCUACUCCAACAAGGAAAGGAGGAGUCCUACUCCCGAUGGGAGUAGGACCCCCCCCCCCUUGGCGCGCCCUCCUCCUUGGCCGGCCGCCUUCCCCUUGCUCCUUUAUAUACGGGGGCAGGGGGCACCCCAUAGACACAACAAUUGAUCAUUGAUCUCUUAGCCGUGUGCGGUGCCCCUCUCCACCAUAUUACGCCUCGAUAAUAUCGUAGCGGUGCUUAGGCGAAGCCCUGCGUCGGUAGAACAUCAUCAUCGUCACCACGUCGUCAUGCUGAUGAAACUCUCCCUCAACACUCGGCUGGAUCGGAGUUCGAGAGACGUCAUCGAGCUGAACGUCUGCUGAACUCGGAGGUACCGUGCGUUCGGUGCUUGAUCGGUCGGAUCGUGAAGACGUACGACUACAUCAACCGCGUUGUAUUAACGCUUCCACUAUCGGUCUACGAGGGUACGUGGACAACACUCUCCCCUCUCGUUGCUAUGCAUCACCAUGAUCUUGCGUGUGCGUAGGAAUUUUUUUGAAAUUACUACGUUCCCCAUCAGUGGCAUCCGAGCCUGGUUUUAUGCGUUGAUGUUAUAUGCACGAGUAGAACACAAGUGAGUUGUGGGCGAUAUAAGUCAUACUGCUUACCAGCAUGUCAUACUUUGGUUCGGCGGUAUUGUGAGAUGAAGCGGCCCGGACCGACAUUACGCGUAAGCUUACGCGAGACUGGUUUCACCGCUGCGAGCACUCGUUGCUUAAAGGUGACUGGCGGGUGUCUGUCUCUCUCACUUUAGUUGAACCGAGUGUGGCUACGCCCGGUCCUUGCGAAGGUUAAAACAGCACCAACUUGACAAACUAUCGUUGUGGUUUUGAUGCGUAGGUAAGAACGGUUCUUGCUCAGCCUAUAACAACCACGUAAAACUUGCAACAACAAAGUAGAGGAGGUCUAACUUGUUUUUGCAGGGCAUGUUGUGAUGUGAUAUGGUCAAGGCAUGAUUCUAUAUUUUAUUGUAUGAGAUGAUCAUGUUUUGUAACCGAGUUAUCGGCAACUGGCAAGAGCCAUAUGGUUGUCGCUUUAUUGUAUGCAAUGCAAUCGCCAUGUAAUUGUUUUACUUUAUCACUAAGCGGUAGCAAUAGUCAUAGAAGCAAUAGUUGGCGAGACGACAACGAUGCUACGAUGGAGAUCAAGGUGUCUCGCCGGUGACGAUGGGGAUCAUGACGGUGCUUUGGAGAUGGAGAUCACAAGCACAAGAUGAUGAUGGCCAUAUCAUAUCACUUAUAUUGAUUGCAUGUGAUGUUUAUCUUUUAUGCAUCUUAUCUUGCUUUGAUUGACGGUAGCAUUAUAAGAUGAUCUCUCACUAAAUUUUAAGAUAAAAGUGUUCUCCCUGAGUAUGCACCGUUGCCAAAGUUCGUCGUGCCCAGACACCACGUGAUGAUCGGGUGUGAUAAGCUCUAUGUCCAUAUAGAAUGGGUGCAAGCCAGUUUUGCACACGCAGAAUACUCAUGUUAAACUUGACGAGCCUAGCAUAUGCAGAUAUGGCCUCGGAACACUGAGACCGAAAGGUCGAGCGUGAAUCAUAUAGUAGAUAUGAUCAACAUAAUGAUGUUCACCAUUGAAAACUACUCCAUUUCACGUGAUGAUCGGUUAUGGUUUAGUUGAUUUGGAUCACGUGAUCACUUAGAUGAUUAGAGGGAUGUCUAUCUAAGUGGGAGUUCUUAAGUAAUAUGAUUAAUUGAACUUAAAUUUAUCAUGAACUUAGUCCUAAUAGUAUUUUUGCAAAUUAUGUUGUAGAUCAAUAGCUCGCGUUGUUGCUUCCCUCUGUUUAAUUUCAUAUGUUCCUAGAGAAAAAUUAUGUUGAAAGAUGUUAGAAGCAAAGAUGCGGAUUGGAUCCGUGAUCUGAGGAUUAUCCUCAUUGUUGCACAGAAGAAUUAUGUCCUUGUUCCACCGCUAGGUGACAGACCUAUUGCAGGAGCAGAUGCAGACGUUAUGAACGUUUGGCUAGCUCAAUAUGAUGACUACUUGAUAGUUUAGUGCACCAUGCUUAAUGGCUUAGAAUCGGGACUUCAAAGACGUUUUGAACGUCAUGGACCAUAUGAGAUGUUCCAGGAGUUGAAGUUAAUAUUUCAAGCAAAUACCCGAGUUGAGAGAUAGGAAGUCUCCAACAAGUUCUAUAGCUAAAAGAUGGAGGAGAAUAGCUCAAGCAGUGAGCAUGUGCUCAGAUUGUCUGGGUACUACAAUCGCUUGAAUCAAGUGGGAGUUAAUCUUCCAGAUAAAAUAGUGAUUAACAGAAUUCUCUAGUCACCAUCACCAAGUUAGUAGAACUUCGUGAUGAACUAUAGUAUGCAAGGGAUGACAAAAGUAAUUCCCGAGCUCUUCGUGAUGCUGAAAUCGACGAAGGUAGAAAUCAAGAAAAACAGCAAGUGUUAAUGGUUGACGAGACCACUAGUUUCAAGAAAAGGGCAAAGGGAAGAAGGGGAACUUCAAGAAGAACGGCAAGCAAGUUGCUGCUCAAGUGAAGAAGCCUAAGUCUGGUCCUAAGCCUGAGACUAAGUGCUUCUACUGCAAAGGGACUGGUCACUUGAAGCGGAACUGCCCCAAGUAUUUGGUGGAUAAGAAGGAUGGCAAAGUGAACAAAGGUAUAUUUGAUAUACAGAUUAUUGAUGUGCAUUUUACUAGUGUUCGUAGCAACCCCUCGGUAUUUGAUACUGGUUCAGUUGCUAAAGAGUAGUAACUUGAAACGGGAGUUGCAUAAUGAACAUAAACUAGUUAAGGAUGAAGUAACGAUGUGUAUUGGAAGUGGUUCCAAGAUUGAUAUGAUCAUCAUCGCAUACUCCCCUUACCUUCGGGAUUAGUGUUGAACCUAAAUAAAUGUUAUUUGGUGUUUGCGUUGAGCAUAAAUAUGAUUGGAUCAUGUUUAUUACAAUACGGUUAUUGGUGUGUGCGUUGAGCAUGAAUAUGAUUGGAUCAUGUUUAUCGCAAUACGGUUAUUCAUUUAAACCGAAGAAUAAUUGUUGUUCUGUUUACAUGAAUAAAACCUUCUAUGGUCAUACACUCAAUGGUUUAUUGAAUCUCGACCGUAGUGAUACACAUAUUCAUAAUAUUGAUGCCAAAAGAUGCAAAGUUGAUAAUGAUAGUGCAACAUAUUUGUGGCACUGCCGUUUAGGUCAUAUUGGUGUAAAGCGCAUGAAAAAACUCCAUGCUGAUGGGCUUUUGGAAUCACUUGAUUAUGAAUCACUUGAUGCUUGCGAACCAUGCCUUAUGGGCAAGAUGACUAAGACUCUGUUCUCCGGAACAAUGGAGCGAGCAACUAACUUAUUGGAAAUAAUACAUACUGAUGUAUGCGAUCCGACGAGUGUUGAGGCUCGCGGCGGGUAUCGUUAUUUUCUGACCUUCACAGAUGAUUUGAGCAGAUAUGGGUAUAUCUACUUAAUGAAACACAAGUCUGACACAUUUGAAAAGUUCAAAUAAUUUCAGAGUGAAGUGGAUAAUCUUCGUAACAAGAAAAUAAAGUUUCUACGAUCUGAUCACGGAGACAAAUAUUUGAGUUACGAGUUUGGUCUUCAAUUAAAACAAUGUGGAAUAGUUUCACAAACUCAUGCCGCCUAGAACACCACAACAUAAUGGUGUGUCCGAACGUCAUAACCGUACUUUAUUGGAUAUAGUGCAAUCUAUGAUGUUUCUUACCGAUUUACCACUAUAGUUUUGGGGUUAUGCAUUAGAGAUAGCUGCAUUCACGUUAAAACGGCACCAUCUAAAUCCGUUGAGAUGACACCAUAUGAACUGUGGUUUGGCAAGAAACUAAAGUUGUCGUUUCUUAAAGUUUGGGGUUGCGAUGCUUAUGAGAAAAAGUUUCAUCCUGAUAAGCUCAAACCCAAAUCGGAGAAAUGUGUCUUCAUAGGAUACCCAAAGGAGACAGUUGGGUACACCUUCUAUCACAGAUCCGAAGGCAAGACAUUCGUUGCUAAGAAUGGAUCCUUUCUAGAGAAGGAGUUUCUAUCGAAAGAAGUGAGUGGGAGGAAAAUAGAACUUGAUGAGGUAACUUUACCUGCUCCCUUAUUGGAAAGUAGUUCAUCACAGAAAUCUGUUCCUGUGAGUCCUACACCAAUUAGUGAGGAAGCUAAUGAUGAUGAUCAUGUAACUUCAGAUCAAGUUACUACCGAACCUCGUAGGUCAACCAGAAUGAAAUCCGCACCAGAGUGCUACGGUAAUCCUGUUCUGGAGGUCAUGUUACUUGACCAUGACGAACCUACGAACUAUGAGGAAGCGAUGGUGAGCCCAGAUUCCGCAAAAUGGCUUGAGGCCAUGAAAUCUGAGAUGGGAUCCAUGUAUGAGAACAAUGUGUGGACUUUGGUCGACUUGCCCGAUGGUCGGCAAGCCAUAGAAAAUAAAUGGAUCUUCAAGAGGAAGACGGACGCUGAUAGUAGUGUUACUAUCUACAAAGCUAGACUUGUCGGAAAAAGGUUUUUGACAAAGUUCAAGGUGUUGACUAAGAUGAAAUUUUCUCACUCGCAGCGAUGCUUAAGUCUGUCCGAAUCAUGUUAGCAAUUGCCGCAUUUUAUGAUUAUGAAAUUUGGCAAAUGGAUGUCAAAACUGCAUUCCUGAAUGGAUUUCUGGAAGAAGAGUUGUAUAUGAUGCAACCGGAAGGUUUUGUCGAUCCAAAGGGAGCUGACAAAGUUUGCAAGCUCCAGCGAUCCAUUUAUGGACUGGUGCAAGCCUCUCGGAGUUGGAAUAAAUGCUUUGAUAGUGUGAUCAAAGCAUUUGGUUUUGUACAGACUUUUGGAGAAGCCUGUAUUUACAAGAAAGUGAGUGGGAGCUCUGUAGCAUUUCUGAUAUUAUAUGUGGAUGACAUAUUGCUGAUUGGAAAUGAUAUGGAAUUUCUGGAUAGCAUAAAGGGAUACUUGAAUAAGAGUUUUUCAAUGAAAGACCUCGGUGAAGCUGCUUACAUAUUGAGCAUCAAGAUCUAUAGAGAUAGAUCAAGACGCUUGAUAAGUUUUUUCAAUGAGUACAUACCUUAACAAGAUUUUGAAGUGGUUCAAAAUGGAACAGUCAAAGAAAGAGUUUCUUGCCUGUGUUACAAGGUGUGAAAUUGAGUAAGACUCAAAGCCCGACCACAGCAGAAGAUAGAAAAAGAAUGAAAGUCAUUCCCUAUGCCUCGGCCAUAGGUUCUAUAAAGUAUGCCAUGCUGUGUACCAGAUCUAUUGUAUACCCUACACUGAUUUUGGCAAGGGAGUACAAUAGUGAUCUAGGAGUAGAUCACUGGACAGCGGUCAAAAUUAUCCUUACUGGAAUAAGGAUAUGUUUCUCGAUUAUGGAAGUGACAAAAGGUUCGUCGUAAAGGGUUACGUCAAUGCAAGUUUUGACACUAAUCUAGAUGACUCUAAGUCUCGAUCUAGAUACAUAUUGAAAGUGGGAGCAAUUAGCUAGAGUAGCUCCGUGCAGAGCAUUGUAGACAUAGAAAUUAGCAAAAUACUUACGGAUCUGAAUGUGACAGACCCGUUGACUAAAAUUAUCUCACAAGCAAAACAUGAUCACACCUUAGUACUCUUUGGGUGUUAAUCACAUAGCGAUGUGAACUAGAUUAUUGACUCUAGUAAACCCUUUGGGUGUUGGUCACAUGACGAUGUGAACUAUGGGUGUUAAUCACAUGGUGAUGUGAACUAUUGAUGUUAAAUCACAUGGCGAUGUGAACUAGAUUAUUGACUCUAGUGCAAGUGGGAGACUGAAGGAAAUAUGCCCUAGAGGCAAUAAUAAAGUUAUUAUUUAUUUCCUUAUAUCAUGAUAAAUGUUUAUUAUUCAUGCUAGAAUUGUAUUAACCGGAAACAUAAUACUUGUGUGAAUACAUAGACAAACAAAGUGUCACUAGUAUGCCUCUACUUGACUAGCUCGUUAAUCAAAGAUGGUUAUGUUUCCUAGCCAUAGACAUGAGUUGUCAUUUGAUUAACGGGAUCACAUCAUUAGGAGAAUGAUGUGAUUGACUUGACCCAUUUCGUUAGCUUAGCACUCGAUCGUUUAGUAUGUUGCUAUUGCUUUCUUCAUGACUUAUACAUGUUCCUAUGACUAUGAGAUUAUGCAACUCCCGUUUACCGGAGGAACACUUUGUGUGCUACCAAACGUUACAACUUAACAGGGUGAUUAUAAAGGAGCUCUACAGGUGUCUCCAAAGGUACUUGUUGGGUUGGCGUAUUUCGAGAUUAGGAUUUGUCACUCCGAUUGUCAGAGAGGUAUCUCUGGGCCCUCUCGGUAAUGCACAUCACUUAAGCCUUGCAAGCAUUGCAACUAAUGAGUUUGUUGCGAGAUGAUGUAUUACGGAACAUGUAAAGAGACUUGCCGGUAACGAGAUUGAACUAGGUAUUAAGAUACCGACGAUCGAAUCUCGGGCAAGUAACAUACCGAUGACAAAGGGAACAACGUAUGUUGUUAUGCGGUCUGGCCGAUAAAGAUCUUCGUAGAAUAUGUGGGAGCCAAUAUGAGCAUCCAGGUUCCGCUAUUGGUUAUUGACCGGAGAUGUGUCUCGGUCAUGUCUACAUAGUUCUCGAACCCGUAGGGUCCGCACGCUUAACGUUACGAUGACAGUUAUAUUAUGAGUUUAUAUGUUUUGAUGUACCGAAGGAGUUCGGAGUCCCGGAUGAGAUCAGGGACUUGACGAGGAGUCUCGAAAUGGUCGAGACGUAAAGAUCGAUAUAUUGGACGACUAUAUUCGGACAUCGGAAAGGUUCCGAGUGAUUCGGGUAUUUUUCGGAGUACCGGAGAGUUACGGGAAUUCGUAUUGGGCCUUAAUGGGCCAUACGGGAAAGGAGAGAAAGACCCCAAAGGGUAGCCGCACCCCUCCCCAUGGACUAGUCCGAAUUGGACUAGGGAGGGGGUGCCCCCUUCCUUCUUUCUCCUUCUCCCUUCCCUUUUCCUACUCCAACAUGGAAAGGAGGAGUCCUACUCCCGGUGGGAGUAGGACUCCCCGCUUGGCGCGCCCUCCUCCUUGGCCGGCCGCCUUCCCCUUGCUCCUUUAUAUACGGGGGCUGGAGGGCACCCCAUAGACACAACAAUUGAUCAUUGAUCUCUUAGCCGUGUGCGGUGCCCCCCUCCACCAUAUUACACCUCGAUAAUAUCGUAGUGGUGCUUAGGCGAAGCCCUGCGUCGGUAGAACAUCAUCAUCGUCACCACGCCGUCGUGCUGACGAAACUCUCCCUCAACACUCGGCUGGAUCGGAGUUCGAGAGACGUCAUCGAGAUGAACGUGUGCUGAACUCGGAGGUACCGUGCGUUCAGUGCUUGAUCGGUCGGAUCGUGAAGACGUAUGACUACAUCAACCGCGUUGUAUUAACGCUUCCGCUAUCGGUCUACGGGGGUACGUGGACAACACUCUCCCCUCUCGUUGCUAUGCAUCACCAUGAUCUUGCGUGUGCGUAGGAAUUUUUUCGAAAUUACUACGUUCCCCAUCAGAGAGGUGCGGGCAGGAGGCCCGUGGCAUAACCUUUUCGAAGGACUACGCCGAGCAGAACGGACAGGGGUCGCGCUCUUGUGUUGGCGAGGGGGGAGUGGAACUAUUGAGCAGGUGGCUCCACGGUCUCCUUCCCCCUUGGCCACUGCGGGCGGUAUCCGCUCGACCACGCCCUACCCUCCUUCACCGACGCUAGGGGAAGGUCGUGGGAGUCGGAUGCAUACACCUCGGGAGAGGACGGCAGAGGAGCUUAGCGCUUUCGGCGGGAUCGCGGAUCCGGUGAUGGCUGGCAGGCGUGUCAGCAGCCGGAUCCAGGGACAGCCUGAUGCGGAUGACCUGCAGUUAGCGCGUGCCAAGAGGGUGGCCAUGCUUGUCAUGUCAGGGCUACUACAGGUGCGUCUUUUGAUAAAAGUUGUUCAAUUUUGCAUUUCACAGAGAAUGAAAUAGUUCAUAAGGCAAAUGACUUAGGAAUUUCUUUGGGAUCAAAUGAAACCGAGGUCGUGAAAUCCGUAAACGAUCUUUUAGAUUUGGAAGCGGAGAGGGCUUCCAAAAUUAUUUGUAAUCUUGCUUCUAUCAAACCCAUGAAUGACAAUGAAAUGAAGAAUUUAGGAAUGGUUGAUCUCGAAAAUAUAUGUAACAAUCUCCUGCCUAGUGCGGAGGCCGAGGAUGAGGAGGGGUCGGAAACUACAGACACGGUAGAGCCUCUAAUGAUGGAGGGCGCAGCUUCUCACGUUCCUGAUCCGACAUUCCCGCAGGGUGUUGGGGAGAAGCCCAAACGACCCUGGAAGCGGAAAAUUUAUCCUGCUUCGGCAGUUCGUAGGAGUGCUAGAGUUAAGCUUAAGAAAAAAUUUCAUGAUGACCUAUGAAAGGAAUCUUUUGGAAUAACAGAGGUCUAGCUGACUUGGCUAAACGAAGGUUCUUAGCGGAGACAACGAUAGAACAACACUUAGAAUUUAUUGCACUUUUGGAAACAGGACGAGAUAAUUUUACAUCUUAGUUCAUUCAAAUUCUCUCUAGUGGUAUUGAUUUUGACUGACACAUCUUACCUCCUAGAGGAAGAUCCAGUGGGAUUUUACUAGGAGUGCGGUGUGAAACGCUUGAGGUGCUUAAUGUGGUUUAGGGAGACUUUUCGGUUAAUUUUCGGGUGAGAUCAAAAUUGGAUGGUUUCCGGUGGUCUCUUGUAGCUGUAUAUGGGGCAGCACAACCUGAAUUCAAACCAGACUUUUUGGCCGAUUUGGUGUGGAUGUGUGGAGAUGAAACCCUGCCAAUCCUAGUCGGGGGGGGGGGGGAUUUUAAUAUAAUUCGGAGGAGAGAUGAAAAGAAUAAUGACAAUUUUGAUGGACGUUGGUCUAUGAUGUUUAACAUGAUUAUCGAGAGUCUUAAUUUGAGAGAAAUAGAGCUCACUGGUAAACAAUUGACAUGGGCCAAUUCGUUACCCAUUCCGACUUAUGAAAAGUUGGAUAGGGUACUUGCUUGUGUCGAAUGGGAACAAAAGUAUCCUUUGGUGUCGGUUCAUGCGAUGCAGAGAGCAAUCUCAGACCACACACCACUUCUAUUAGACUCGGGAGAGGCUACCCAUGUGGCGAAUAAAAAUGCCUUCUCCUUUGAACUAAGCUGGUUCAAGAGAGAACGCUUUUUGGAGAUCAUUGCACGCGAAUGGGCUAAGCCUGUUAGUGGAAGGACGCAUAUUGAGAGAUGGCAAAAUAAAAUUAGACAUCUCCGACAGUUUUUGAGAGGUCGGGCCAGAAAUGAGAGUGCGAUUUACAAACAAGAAAAAGAGCAUCUUACUCAAUUAGUUGAAGCACUAGACUUAAAAGCUGAAGACACUCUUCUUACGAUUAAUGAGCAAAGAUCCAAGUCCGACGCUGAGCAAGGUCUACGAGCUCUCUUGAGAGAGGAGGAGCUCAAGUGGGCAUUGCGUGCUAAAGUGCUUAAGGUUGUCCAAGGGGACGACAAUACGCAAUUCUUCCAUAUGGUUGCAAAUGGUAAACAUAGGAAGAAGAAAAUCAUACAGCUUGAACAGGACGAGGGGACAAUAGUGGGGCAUGAGAAUUUGAAAGCGUAUAUCUCUAAUUACUAUAAACAACUUUUUGGGCCUCCGAAUGCAUGUACGGUGAAGCUAGAUGAAUCUGUGUUUGAGGAUAUACCUCAAUUACAGGCAGAGGAGAAUGAUAUUCUCUCUGCACCGUUUACUGAAAAAUAGGUUCUUGAGGCAAUAUCACAAAUGAAACCAAAUAAAGCACCAGGACCAGAUGGGUUUCCAGCUGAAUUCUAUAAGAAAUGUUGGCAUAUUAUUAAAGAUGAUCUUAUGCCUAUGUUUCAUGAUUUCUUCAACGGUCAUUUAGAGUUGUUUCAUCUUAACUUCGGUACGAUAACGCUGUUGCCAAAGAAAGAUGAGGCAGUUCGGAUCGAACAAUUCAGGCCCAUAUGUCUUCUUAAUGUGAGUUUCAAAAAUUUCACAAAGGUUGGACCCAAUAGAUUGACACGAAUUGCUCAUUUAGUGGUCCAACCAAGUCAGACAGCGUUUAUGCCAGGGCGGCACAUAAUGGAAGGGGAGGUCGUCUUGCAUGAAACGCUUCAUGAUAUCCACUCGAAGAAACUAGAUGGGGUUAUCUUCAAAGUGGAUUUUGAGAAGGCGUAUGAUAAAGUAAAGUGGCCUUUCCUUCAGUAGGCAAUGCGCGUGAAAGGGUUUAGUGAGGCCUGGCGAAACCAAGUGGAUACCCAAGUCCAGAAGGGUAGUGUCGGAAUCAAGGUGAACGAUGAUAUCGGUCAUUAUUUUCAGACACACAAGGGGUUGAGACAAGGGGAUUCUAUGUCUCCUCUUUUGUUUAAUAUAGUGGCAGAUAUGUUGGUCGUUCUUAUUGGCAGGGCCAAGCAGCAUGGCCAUGUAGAGGGUUUAGUUCCUCAGCUAGUCGAUGAAGGGGUGUCCAUUCUACAGUAUGCUGAUGACACUAUCUUAUUAAUGGAACAUGACAUGGCUAAGGAUCGUAAUAUGAAACUUAUCUUAUGUCUCUUCGAACAAUUGUCUGGCUUAAAAAUUAAUUUUCCUAAGAGCGAGUUGUUUUGCUUUGGGAAGGCCAAAGACGAGAAAAACACUUAUAGACAAUUGUUCGGAUGUGAAUUAGGUGCUUUACCAUUCAGUUAUUUGGGAAUACCGACCCACCAUCGUAAGUUAUCCAAUAAAGAAUGGAAGUGUAUUGAAGAGUGAAUUGAAAAAAAUGUUGCUGGAAGGGCAAGCUUAUGUCACAUGGAGGUCGGCUAGUCCUGAUUAACUCGGCUGUGACUAGUAUGCCGAUGUUCCUACUUUCGUUCUUUGAAAUUCCGAAAGGGGUUCAGAAGCGACUUGAUUUCUUUAGAUCUCGUUUCUUCUAGCAGUCUGAUGAGGCCAAGAGGAAAUACCGUCUUGCGCGAUGGGAUAUCCUUUGCCGACCUAAAGACUAAGGGGGUCUCGGUAUUGAGAACUUAGAACUUAAGAAUAAAUGCCUUAUGAGCAAAUGGCUAUACGGGCUAGGGACAGAGCCCGAGGGUAUGUGGUCUCAAAUUCUGCGCAAUAAGUAUUUACAGUCGAAAACACUAGCCCAGGUUACCAUGAGACCAACUGACUCGCCAUUCUGGAAGGGACUUAUGAGAACGAAGGACUUGUUUUUCUGCAGGGUCAAAUUCUUGGUUGGCAAUGGGAUGUUAACGAGAUUUGGGGAGGAUACAUGGUUAGGAGAGACGCCCCUGGCUGUCCAAUAUCCCACCCUUUACAAUAUUGUGCAACGUAAGGAGGUUUAUGUAGGCACAGUCUUCCAAACAAUUCCCUUGGACAUUCAGUUCAGACGUGCAUUAGUUGGUGAGAGAUGGACUGCCUGGAUGCAUUUGGUUCGGAGAUUGAUAGAGGUUCAACUCUCCGACCAGCCAGUUUCGACACAAUGGAAGUUAACUAAAAAUGGGAUUUUGACAGUGAAAUCAUUCUAUAUGGAUUUGAUUAAUUCUGGCCCAAUCUCAAGAUCGUUGCAUAUUUGGAGGUUUAAGGUUCCUUUGCGUAUUAAAAUCUUUAUGUGGUCCGUCCACAAGCGAGUGAUACUCACAAAGGACAACUUAAUCAAAAAGCGAUGUGUAGGAAGUUCGCGGUGCUGUUUUUGUGAUCAUGAUGAAACAAUACAACACUUAUUUCUUGAAUGCCCACUUGACAAGUUACUUUGGAGAAUGAUUCAUGUAGGUUUCAACAUUAAUCCUCCAGUCGAUAUUGCGUCGUUGUUUGGGACGUGGUUAGCUGGGGUUGAACAGAUUACCGCGGCUCGUAUUCGGAUUGGAAUAUGUGCGCUAUUAUGGGCUAUAUGGAACUGCAGGAAUGAUAUGAUUUUUAACAGACAACACACUUGAACUUUCUUACAGGUCAACUUCAGAGCUACAGCUUGGAUCCGUACGUGGUCCUUACUCACUCCUAUGGACUCCAGGGAGCUUUGGUUACUGGGUGCAACCAAUGGGAGAUGGUAGCACGGGCUAUUUUCAACCGGUUCGGAUGGCGAUCGCAUAACAGGAUAGAAGUCUAGGGAGCUUAUCCUUCAUAUUACCGUAUCGGUUGCUUUUGUCAGCAUGUAAUUUUCUUUUUUUCCUUUGUAUUGCUCCGCUUGCGAGCUGUAAGACUAUUACGACUGUUUCGAUACUUCGUGGAUUUUUAAUAAGAUGGCCGCAUGCAUCGUCAUGAUGCAGAGGCCAGGGGCAUGCCUCCAUUUCCAAAAAAACAUCUGGCACAUGAAGUUUGGUGAAGCAAUGAAGUAUUCACUUACACCUGGUCUAUAAAUAACUAGCUUUCACAUGUAGCAGAACCAAUGCUUGAACUACAAUAGAGAUGUGUAGUAGUGUGGGGCAAUCACAUACAGUUCCAGUAUGGAAGUCUAAGAGAAGAGCAAAAGUGGCCAUCACUAUGAGUCCGGCACUAGUAGUUGAAUGGGGACAACUUACAGAAAUGGGAUGUCUUGGAAUUUCCGUUGGAGAUCAACCUCGAGGAUACGCCUGACAUUCGAAGGACUCUGUCGGACCAGAGGCCUAUUGUGUAAGUAGCUCUUGAAGCUUCUCAAUGAGAAAGUCAUGUGGCAAGAACCUCAUUCCAAAUAAACAUUUCAGCUUUAAAACACUACUACUACAUAAUGCUUUAGCGCCGACGGGUCAAAAUGGCUUACCGCUAGCUGAUGAGGGCUGACACAUAAGGUUUUCAUCGGCGAUGACUUGGUGACCGUUGAGGCGUUGACGGGUCGGACGACCGGAGAGGGAUGAGAUUCAACGCUAAUGGGCAGGCCUAUAUGCAUUGUUUAAUAUCUUGAAAUUCCUUGUGGUAGGACUUUGUAUCCCAUUUAUUUCAUAGGGGUGCCUAAGAGCUUGAGCUUUGUACGCCGACAAAAAUGAAUACUCGCCCAAGGGAGUAAAUUACAAAGAACAUAUUUGGGCUCUAGGGUAUCAAAAUUUACUUCUCCCAAGAUGGUGACUGCUGCUACCAUUUGAUAAACUGACAAUGUACCGGCUGCUGCCACCCGUUCAAGUCAUUCCACAGCAUGCAAUCACAUCGCAGCUCAAUCAGGCGCGCGUCGGUGUUCCUGCUGGCGCUUUCCCUGAAAUGGAAAUUAGUUAUAUCCCUGCGGUCCCAGAUCAGUUGUAAUAAUGUACGGGUCGGUUGCUACAGUUCUAGGUGAUAACAGGUACUUCCUCUGUUCACUUUUAUAAGACCUUGAAGACAUUUCAGACAAUGUGCAAAACAGACUAUUUUGAGUUGUCUGAAAUGACUUACAAAAGUGAACGGAGGGAGUACUACAUUUUAGAUUUGUUAGGGUCCACUAGCUGCUACUGCUGGAAUUUUGUCUAUUUUGGGCCUAGCCCAAUAGCAGUUUCAGAAAUUCCUAAUAAAUCCUAGAGGCCCACGCAACCCAUUCGUGCAAGGCAAGAGGUGGAACUAAAGUUUAGUCCCACAUUGCUAGUUUAGAGGGAGUUGGACCUCUUUAUAAGGGAUGUUCUUUCCCCACAUAUAUGAGUAUGAGAACAAGAGGGACAUCCACGCGCGCUCCUCCUCCGCCACCCGCCUCGUCACGACGCGCCGCGGGUUGCGGGAAUGAGCCGAUGUCUAAAUUUUUGCCACGCAUGACGGGUAUACGAACGGUCACACGGGAGCUGAAACGUUUUGCUGUAGUGGAGACUGAAUACGAACGGCGCACCUCUUCGCGUGCUGCCUGUUCGCCUCGUCUCCCUCCAUUGCUUCACCUCCCGCCGCAGCCUGUUCGCAUCCUUCUCCCGUGCCUAUAUAAGAGAGGUCGCUCCUCUCCAAAGAGACACACCAGAAGAUCCUCUUCCUCUCGCCACAAAGUUCCUGAGCACUGCGCUGCUGCUACGAUCUUCCCCAUCCCGACUUGCGGCGUGCACCGCAGGUCGGGACAGUAGGCCUCCGAAACCGCACCUUUUGAGUCCUGUACGGGAGAAGGGUGAUAAGGUUUUUGGGGAGCGCUCUGCGCGACUACUGACUCCUUCGUCACGGACGCUCCGGACUCCGACGACUACUUCCCCGACGACGACUUCUUCCCCAACGUCGACAACCUCCUCGAUGACAUGGCUGGCGAGGAUGUCAACCCCAAGUCCAGUACUGCUGCUGCUGUCCCAUAUGUGAUCUUCUCCUUCCUGUUCGAGGUUCCGCUACAGUACCUUGUUCUGGUGUUUGCCCUAGAUAUAUUAGGUACUACAUCAUAUAUGCAACUACCUCUACUGUCUGCUCUAGAUUUGCUAGGCUACAGUUCAUAUUUGCAGAUGCCAUUUACCUUCUCUCUGUCAGAACGCAUGACUUAUUUUAUCUCUACUAUAUUAGUCAUGCUUUAUCUAAUUUUUCUGUUAAUAAAAUCAUUUGGUAAAUUGCUCAUAUUUCCAGCAAUCCUAAAACCUUAUUAUAGGCAAUUUACACCAAGUGGUUUUGCUGCUUCCAUGAGACCUCCUAUGUUUGAGGGUAUCCACUAUAAGAGGUGGCGCAUGAGAGCAGUCUUAUGGUUUCAAACCAUGAGUUGCUAUGACGCCACUCUUGGCAAACUUGAAGGAGAGCUUGAUGCUCAACAGGCACAAGCUUUUCAGAAAAUGGAUACUCUGUUUAAGGCUGCUCUCUUGAGUGUUCUUGGUGAGAACAUAGUUGAUGCUUAUGCGUCAAUUGAUAAUGGAAAACAUAUGUGGGAUGCACUCGAGGCCAAGUUUGGGGUCUCGGAUGCUGGCACUGAGCUGUACAUCAUGGAGCAAUUCUAUGAUUAUAGGAUGACUGAAGAGCGCUCCGUGGUUGAGCAAGCUCAUGAGAUACAAUCAUUUGCUAGAGAACUUGAGCACUUCAGUUGUAUGUUACCGGACAAGUUUGUUGCCGGAGGUAUCAUCACUAAGCUUCCUCCUUCGUGAAGGAACUUUGCUACCUUACUGAAACAUAAGAGACAGGAGUUUUUCGUCCCAGAUCUCAUUGGCACUCUUGAUGUGGAAGAAAAGGCGAGAGCAAAGGACACACGUGCUCGAGGUAUUGAGGGAGGAUCUAGUGCCAAUAUGGUACAGAAGAAGAACCUCCAGCCCCACAAGUUCAAGAACAAGGGCAAGUUUGAUGGUAAAGCAAAGUUUGAUGGGAAGAACAAGGUUGUGCAACACACGAACUUCAAGAAGAAGAAUGACAAGAAGAAAGGUGUUUGUCAUGUGUGUGGGGAUCCUUAUCAUUGGGCUCCUAGUUGCCCUAAUCGCUAUGACAAGCGUCAUCCUGGGAAAGGCGGCAAGACCGCUAAUGUUGUCAUUAGAGACACUGACAUGAAGGAUGUUGGGUAUGGUAUAUUUCCCACUGUUCUUUCAGUAUGUCAUUCUCCUGAUUGGUUGAUUGACACGGGUGCUAAUGUGCAUGUAUGCGGUGAUAUUUCCAUGUUUUCGUCUUAUCAGACCGCAGGGACUUCAACCGUGCUGAUGGGCAACGGUUCAAGUGGUUCUGUUCGUGGUGUUGGCACGGUCGAUCUGAAGUUUACUUCGGGAAAGAUCGUGCGGCUGAAGAACGUGCAUUAUGUCCCCUCCGUCAAUAAAAAUCUUGUUAGCGGAUCUCUUCUGUGUAGGGAUGGGUAUAAGCUUGUCUUUGAGUCGAAUAAAUUUGUAAUAUCCAAGUAUAGAACCUUUAUCAGUAAAGGCUAUGAGUCAGGAGGCCUGUUUCGUUUAUCCUUAUCAGACAUUUGCAAUAAAGUUGUUAAUCAUGUUUGCAACAAUAGUGAAUCAAAUGUGUGGCAUUCACGUCUUUGUCAUGUUAACUUUGGUUGCAUGUCGCGACUAGCGAAGUUGAAUUUAAUCCCUAGUUUCACCACUGUCAAGGGAUCUAAGUGUCAAGUUUGUGUGCAAGCUAAGCAUCCUCGUAAGUCUCACACGACUGCGGAAACGAGAAAUCUUGCACCACUAGAGGUCAUACAUUCAGAUUUAUGUCAAAUGAAUGGUGUUUUGACAAAAGGUGGAAAGAAAUAUUUCAUGACGUUAAUUGAUGACUCCACUAGAUACUGUCGUGUGUAUCUUCUGAAAUCUAAGGAUGAGGCUUUGAACUUUUUCAAGAUCUAUAAAGCUGAAGUGGAAAACCAACUUGAUCGGAAAAUCAAGAGGCUUAGGUCCGACCGUGGUGGAGAGUAUUUUUCCAAUGAAUUUGAUGCUUUUUGUGCGGAACAUGAUAUAAUCCAUGAGAGGACGCCUCCCUAUUCACCUCAGUCAAAUAGGGUGGCCGAAAGAAAGAACUGUACUCUAACUGUUUGGUUAACGCCAUGUUAGACACAUUGGGUCUCUCCAAGGCAUGGUGGGGGCAGGCGAUAUUGACUGCAUGUCAUGUCCUAAACCGAGUUCCCACAAAGAAUAAAGAGAUAACUCCAUUCGAGGAACGGGAGAAGAAAAGAUUAAAACUCUCUUAUCCACGAACCUGGGGUUGUUUGGCGAAAGUCAAUGUGCCAAUUCCAAAGAAGCGCAAGCUUGGCCCAAAGACCGUGGAUUGUGUUUUCAUGGGAUAUGCUUUUCAUAGCAUUGGUUAUAGAUUCUUAGUUGUAAAAUCUGAGGUACCUGACAUGCAUGUCGGUACGAUCAUGGAGUCGAAUGAUGCGACUUUCUUUGAAGAUAUCUUUCCCAUGAAGGAUAUGGUUACCUCAUCUAAUCAGGAGAUGCCUAGUUCAUCAAAUCAGGAACCAGUUACAAUUACCGAACCUGCCAUUUCGAUGGAACACUUUGAAAGUCCUGUGGAGGAGAACAAUGAAGUUCCUACUAGGAGCAAGAGACAGAGGACUGCAAAGUCAUUUGGUGAUGAUUUUCUUGUGUAUCUCAUAGAUGACACUCCCAGUUCUAUUUCAGAGGCCUAUGCAUCUGAAGAUGCUGACUACUGGAAGGAAGCGGUUCGUAGCGAGAUGGAUUCCAUCUUGGCGAAUGAAACUUGGGAGAUAACUGAUCGUCCUUAUGGGUGCAAACCUAUAGGAUGCAAAUGGGUAUUCAAGAAGAACCUUAGGCCUGAUGGUACUAUUGAAAAGUACAAGGCUCGGCUCGUGGCUAAGGGUUAUACCCAAAAGGAAGGUGAAGACUUCUUUGAUACUUACUCACCUGUGGCUCGACUGACUACUAUUCGAGUUCUACUUUCACUAGCUGCCUCACAUGGUCUUCUUGUUCAUCAAAUGGAUGUUAAGACUGCUUUCCUAAAUGGAGAGUUGGACGAGGAAAUUUAUAUGGAACAACCAGAUGGGUUUGUACUAGAUGGUCAGGAAGGACAAGUGUGCAAGUUGUUGAAGUCUUUGUAUGGACUCAAGCAAACACCUAAACAGUGGCAUGAGCAGUUUGAAAGAACUUUAACAGCUGCAGGCUUUGUUGUAAACGAAGCUGACAAAUGUGUGUACUAUCGCCAUGGUGGGGGCGAGGGAGUUGUCCUUUGCUUGUAUGUUGAUGACAUACUGAUUUUUGGAACAAAUUUGACUGUUAUUAAGGAGGUCAAGGAUUUCCUAUCUCGUUGUUUUAAGAUGAAGGAUUUAGGAGUGACUGAUGUCAUUCUGAACAUCAAGUUGUUGAGAGACGAUGAUGGUGGGAUUACAUUGCUUCAAUCUCACUAUGUGCAAAAGAUCUUGAGUCGCGUUGGCUAUAGUGACUGCAAGCCCUCUCCAACACCAUAUGAUGCAAGUGUGUUACUUCGAAAGAAUCGAAGAAUUGCUAGAGAUCAAUUGAAAUAUUCUCAGAUUAUUGGCUCGCUUAUGUACUUAGCCAGUGCUACAAGACCUGACAUCUCUUUUGCUGUUAGCAAACUAAGUCGGUUUGUCUCAAAACCAGGAGAUGUGCAUUGGAAAGCUCUAGAGAGAGUUUUGCGUUAUUUGAAAGGCACUGCUAAUUAUGGAAUUCACUACACUGGGCACCCAAAGGUGCUUGAAGGGUAUAGUGACUCAAACUAGAUCUCAGAUGCUGAUGAGAUAAAGGCCACGAGCGGAUAUGUAUUCACUCAUGGAGGUGGCGCUGUUUCUUGGAAGUCUUGCAAGCAGACCAUCUAAACAAGGUCAACAAUGGAAGCAGAACUCACAGCACUAGAUACAGCUACGGUCGAAGCAGAUUGGCUUCGCCAGCUCUUGAAUGACUUGCCGGUUGUUGAGAAACUUGUACCGGGUAUCCUUAUGAACUGCGACAAUCAAACUGUGAUCACGAAAGUGAGCAGCUCAAAGGAUAACAUGAUGUCAUCAAGACACGUUCAGAGAAGGUUAAAGUCUGUCAGGAAAAUGAGAAACUCCGUAGUUAUUGCAUUGGAUUAUAUCCAAACGUCUAAAAAUCUGGAAGAUCCUUUUACUAAGGGUCUAGCACGUAAUGUGAUAGAUAAUGCAUCGAGGGAGAUGGGUAUGAGACCCACAAUAUGAGUUGUUCACAUUGGUAACCUAUUCUUUGUGAUCGGAGAUCCCGUGAAUUAGAUGUGGAAGACAAGAUGUUGAUCAACUGAGAGGAGAGUAUCCUUACUAUUAACAAUACCACUCCAUGAAGAUGCAAUACUCUCCUAAAACUGCAUGGCAGGUUGAUGUAUAUCUUAAUGUGUUCUAAGUGGCUCAUUUAAGCAGAGAUAUUGUCCUGCAGAACAUCUUUUGAAGAACACACCUAUAUGAGUCUGAUUGUUAAACGUCGCAAUCUAUGAGAGUAGGGUUCUCUCUAGUAACUCAUGAAAGGUCUCGGAGUAUGACGCAUAAGCUCCACCCGCGGGGAAGACCCACGGUAGCCACGUAUCGGUCAAGGCUUUAUGUGAAGCUAGAUUCGCAGAAAACUUGCAGUUCAAGGCCCAGUCCACUGUUCAAGUUGCUUACUAGUGUAGCAUAGAGUUCUAGGUGGAAGUUCAACUUAACAGUCUCCACUGCAGUACUGGUAUAUAAAACAGUGUUUUGGAACCAAAGACCAAUUUUGUGUGCCUAUGGGAUCUGGUGGGGAUUGCUGGAAUUUUGUCUAUUUUGGGCCUAGCCCAAUAGCAGUUUAAGAAAUUCCUAAUAAAUCCUAGAGGCCCACGCAACCCAUUCGUGCAAGGCAAGAGGUGGAACUAAAGUUUAGUCCCACAUUGCUAGUUUAGAGGGAGUUGGACCUCUUUAUAAGGGAGGUUCUUUCCCCACAUGUAUGAGCAUGAGAACAAAAGCGACAUCCACGUGCGCUCCUCCUCCGUCGCCCGCCUCGCCAAGCCACGCCUCGCCUCGCCUCGUCACGACGCGACGCAGGUUGCGGGAAUGAGCCGAGCCGAUGUCUAAAUUUUUGCCACGCACGACGGGUAUAUGAACGGUCACAGCAGCCUAUUCGCGUCCUUCUCCUGUGCCUAUAUAAGAGAGGUCGCUCCUCUCCAGAGAGACACGCCAGAAGAUCCUCUUCCUCUCGCCACAAAGUUCCUAAGCACUGCGCUGCUGCUACGAUCUUCCCCAUCCCAACGUCGACAACCUCCUCGACGACAUGGCUGGCGAGGAUGUCGACCCCAAGUCCAGUACUGUUGCUGCUGUCCCGUAUGUGAUCUUCUCCUUCCUGUUCGAGGUUCUGCUACAGUACCUUGUUCUGGCGUUUGCCCUAGAUAUAUUAGGUACUACAUCAUAUAUGCAACUACCACUAGUAGAAAAAGAGGCUUCCAUACGCCCCCAUUAGUCCCCAAAAUAAUCGAACCGCGGCCAAAGGGGUCUUUAGUCGCGGUUCGGGAGGAGACCCGCGACCAACUAUCUGGGCCCAGCGCGCUCGGUCGACAGCUGGCGGACGGGAGGGGCUUUAGUCCCGGUUGGCCUGGCCAACCGGGACUAAAGGUCCUCAGGCUGGCCCGAAGGCCUUUAGUCGCGGUUGGCCAGACCAACCGGGACUAAAGGUUAGUCCUUUAGUCACGGUUGGCCAGACCAACCGGGACUAAAGGGCCCAUCAAACUCUACCCCCCUGACCGCCUUUUCAGUUUUAGAAAAACCAAAACAAAAUGAUGGAAAUGUCAAAAAAAUAAAAUAAAAUAAGUUUGUCAUGUGAUAUAUGGUCUAGUUGUUGGGAAAAUUAACAAAUAUGAAUUUCGACUUUAUUUGCAAAAUCUCUCUGGAAUUUCUUAAAAUGGGCAUAACUUUUGCAUACGAACUCGGAUGAAAAAGUUUUUUAUAUGAAAAAUCAUCUACUCGAAAAGUUACAUCCGAAUUUAACGGGGGGAACCCCGUUAAACAUUUUCAAAAUCCUCAAAAACCUAACAGAAAAAAAGAUACGGGGCUUUUAAGAUCUGGAGAGGCAAAAAAAUUCAAAAAAUUUCAAAUUGUGGUCAAACUGUGGUCAAACAAUGGUCAAACUAAUUAUUCUACAAUAUUAGUGUUACUAAAUAAUUAUUUCAGUUUUUUUAAAAUUUUGGUCAAAUCUGGUCAAACUGUGGUCAAACAAUGGUCAAACUAAUUAUUCCAGAAAUAUUAGUGUUACUAAAUAAUUAUUGUUUUUUAAAACAAUAGUUUCAAACUCAAACAGUGAAAUGUGUCACUUCAUGCUCAAGCUAAAUUCCUGAGGGUUAAUAGAAUUGACAUCCUACUAUUGUCAGGAAAACAACAAGUGCAGACUUGGAAACGAGGGAGAAUAGAACCCGAAAGUUAAGCGUGCUCAGGCUGGAGUAGUGAGAGGAUGGGUGACCGUCCGGGAAGUUAGAUGAUUUGAAAUGAUGAGGGGUGAUUAGAGAUUAGAGGAUAAAUUGAGCAAUGAUGAGGGGUGGUGAUUAGAGAUUAGAGGUUAAAAUAAUUCAGAAAUUUGAAAAUAAUAAAAAAUAAAAAAAAAUUCGCAAAAAAACCAGGUUUAGGGGGGCUAAAACCCUAAACCUGCGGAGGAGGCCUUUAGUCCCGGUUAGCCACGAGAACCGGGACUAAAGGACGGGCCUUUAGUCCCGGUUAGCCACGAGAACCGGGACUAAAGCCUUUAGUCCCGGUUCGUGUGAGGCGCGACUAAAGGGGGGGUCUUUAGUCGCGCAUAUUUAGUCCCGGUUGCACAGCCGGGACUAAAGGCCUUUGCGAACCGGGACUAAAGGCUCAUUUUCUACCAGUGUACCUCUACUGUCUACUCUAGAUUUGCUAGGCUACAGUUCAUAUUUGCAGAUGCCAUUUACCUUCUCUCUGUCAGAACGCAUUAUUUUAUCUCUACUAUAUUAGUCAUGCUUUAUUUAAUUUUUCUAUUAAUAAAAUCAUUUGGUAAAUUGCUCAUAUUUCCAACAGCUACAAGUAUGAUUAACAUCUUGUCUUAGCUUCACUAGGGGAAUAUGCUCCGCCAUAGUUGCCACUGAUCUCUUCUUAACCAGCUGGCUACGUCCUCCCCAGUUUCCCAGGCGCCCUGUAAGAAUGGUGCCUAUCAUCCUGCAUAUUCCUGUGAAUAUACCGUCCUCGGCGUAUAACUAGAUUCCAGUAGUGGAAGAAUAUAUACUCGCACAAGUGUAGGAGUACUAGCUCGUUUGCUUAAACAUUUCAAUGUCCCGUCGCACUUACACUAACAGCCAGCUUGUCUGCGUAACAUUUCGUACGUCCCGUCGCAUUAAACUGCAAAUCAUGCAGCAUUAUAUUGUCUAGUCGCUAAUCACAUGCCGCUCCAAUCUGCAAAAGAACCGUGGAACGAAAAGUCUACAAGAACGCCAUUUCUGAGCAAGUGUAGUCGCCUGUGAUUAUGCGUGCGUUUCUUCUUUCUUGUGCCUCUGCAGCUUAAUUUGUUGCUGAAACAAGAAGAUGCCGCGCGUGAAACGCAAGGCAUCUCUCUCGUCUCUCAUUUCACCUGCUAGCGCGAACUGUCUGAUUGAGUGUCAAAUCGCGCGGCGGAGGGAAAAUGGACUUUUGGGGAUCGGAAGAAAUUGAAGAAAAAUGGGGCAUAGAUUUGUGGACAAGUGCCCCGUGCAUAAUUUGUAAGUCAAAAGGAGAAUAAUAUAUAGAAGUAGUAGCAAUUCGUAUCCAACACUUCUUCAAUAAGAAGCUCCACGACUUUAAUAUUUUCCCCGGAAAAAAGGAAUUUAAUAUUUUAAAAUGAACACCAAAAAGGCAUUUUCUAUGUACCGGAAAGAAAUAGUAUUUGUUUUUGAAAUAACCACACAUACAUUCAUUAGAUAAACGUAUAACAAAGUGUACACAUGUGGUAAUUACAAGAGACAUACAUAGAUGUUUUGCUAUAUUGCACAAAAGACUUCGCAAGAAGUAAAACUAGAAUUUCACCACAGCAAAAUCUUGUGCCACAUCAAAACUUUGCCCACCAUCGUCCUCCUCCUCUGCUGCCGAGGCAACAUUGAAGAAAGAGGGGAACUGUUGUCAUGCCAAGAUCUUUGGAGGAGCACGUUUGCACAUAAGGAUGUUUUUCGAGCCGAUGAACUGGACCACCGCAAGCAACGAGACCGAGGCUUUGUGGCACAUCGGCCGGGGUUCUUCCCUGUGUCCGCUAGAUCCCAGUGCCGUCAACUUCAUUCGACACGAUCGAAGAAGAGGAACGUCGUUGCAUGCCGCCAUCCAUGCACCCCACUGCAAGACACCAAACACAACUACAACAACCGACACCAACGCCACCCUAGAGAGUGUCGUGCGCCGACCAUCAGACACAAAUCAUGCCGGAGGCAUCAAUUCGCGAUCCGGUUGAUGUGGCCUAGAAGUUAUGGCCUGAUAUGUAACGUUUUGGGCCUCCAAAAAUAGCUUACCAACGACGAAGCCAUUGCCGUUGAAAGAAUCUGACCGGGGCAGCACCCCGGAUACACCAUCAAACUUUAGAUCUGGUACCCACCCCCCUCCCCCCGAUGAAGAUCUCGAAGGAGAAAACCAUACCUACCAGCCACCAACCAUGAACCCAACACACAAUCCACCAUCCUUUAAAUUUUCCGCUGACGCAAACCGCCAUGUGCAUUCGCUCCUGGAUUACCUCUCAACCUCCAUGUCGGCGCUGAAGCAAACGUCGUUGGAACGGCGAAGCCCGGGGACACAAUUCCACCACAUGGAGUACGCCGCCGCCACACAAUCACCGCCUGAACAAACUAGUUCCCAAAUCCCUCAUCGACCAUAGAGCAAGACGCCUCAUCAGAGAAAGAUCUGGAGCUUCUUUAUUAUGCGGCGCCGUCACCGUAGCCGAAGCCAAGACGUGAGACGACCAAAACCUAAAAUUAACACGACCCUAAACCUAUAGCUACACACGCACACCUCUGCAUGUGUGAGAUCCAGCGAACCCCCUCACCAGCGACCAAAAGGUCGUCACCGGAGUCCGGAGGGGAGCCGCCAGAAACGGCAUUGGAGAGCUUGUCGCCCUUGCGGCGGCUAGGCCGCCUUCUUUCUUCUACAUGGAGAAAGAAAAGUCCUAAUUAACUUGGCUAGGACCUUUGGACCUAGAGCGCCCUAGUGUAAAAGGGUUUUGGUAUUUCCGAAAUGUUGCAUGAGCAUACCGUGUGCAUCCCAUUGUUAGAGUCCGAAGCAAAAUGAAGCCUCCCCAUGCGUUUAGAUUCUGGACCGUCCGAUCGAGCUCCCUGACGCGUCCUGUCCGUCGGAUCACGAGAUGGAGCGAUCCGGGCCGUCCGAUCGUGAGAUGGUGCGAUCCGGGCCGUCCGUUCUCUCCCGGCACUGCUAGGCCAUGCCACCGCCUGUAAAUUCCGUGCCCCACCGAGGGUAUUCUCGUCUUUUCGCAUCGCAUGAGAGGGGGGUCGAUAGGGCGUCGACAGCCUCGUCCUCUCCUCAUCUCCUCACUUCCCCCCGCUCCUCAUUCCCCUAACCCUAGCCCAUUCUCCACGCCGCCGCCCCGCCGCCGCCGCCUCCCAUCCCCUGGCGCCGCCACCAUGCCCACUCGCCAUCGCGUCGUCGCGCCUUCCCCUCCUCCUCGCACUCUCGCUGCUCAGCAGGAGGAGCACGGCUCGCCGCCAGCCCUCACGCGCCGCCUCCCUCCUCCUCUCCUCCUCCGCGUCGGGGCCGCUCGAUAGAGGGAACACUGAUGGCUUCAACGGGAGGAGCAGCAGGCCAAACCCCAGCGGCUGGCACCACCGGAUGGCGGCGGCCACCUCCUCCCUGCCGGCCGCACCGCGCCACGCCCCUUUUCUACCCUGUGUGCCUUCCGGAGACGGCGAUGGAAACAUAGCAGAAGCCGCCGUGCGAAGGUGGCACGAAGGCCGCCAAAGUGGUUAUGCAUUAUUCGUGCAGGUGCUUAGCUGACCAUGAGAUUCAUCUCUUUCUUACAAGAGACAUUUUGCUUGAUCUAUACAAUUACUGAUGCUACGAACUUCUGGUCCAAUUCCGUGCAAGAUUACAUGUUGUGACUCUCUCCUACAAUGUCAGAUUAUAUUUGAUGUUGAUAUACAUGCUUCACUUGUGUAAUCCUCAAUGGUUUGUGCAUUAAGCGCUACCAGGAUUUUGCUCUCUACUUAAAUAAACUUGCUACUUCUCUUGAACUAAUAAUAAUAAGGACGCCGAUAACUGCCACACGUGUGGGUGUUAAGGAAUCUGCCCACACGUUCUGUGUGGUGCCUAAGAGGACCAGCCUACACGUCUGUGUGUGGGCAAAACAACUAGCGCCCACACGCCUUUUUUUUUCUCCCGGCCCCUCUUACACGCGUGUGUGGGCGAAAUAGAUAACGCCCACACGCCCGGUACGUCAGGCCUCGUACCUCGUGGUCCCGCACGCCCCACGUGACACUUUACCGCGCGCCCCGCAGUUGCCAUGGGCCGGACCCUCGUCCAUGUUCGUUUAAGUGCAGUUGCCAUGUCGCUGAACUACGGUUGCCAUGUCGGACAACUACAGUUGCCAUGUUUGCUCAACUGCAGUUGCCAUCUCAAGUCAAAGUUCCAGAUUGCCAUUUUUUGGACAACUACAACUGUUGCCAUGUGUGGUCUGGUCUACUACAGUUGCCAUGAUUUCAAAACUUUAGGAGUUGCCACCUACUAACACUAGGCAGUUGCCAUGUAGCGCUACAAAAAAAGGCAUGGCAAAAAACAUGUUCGGGUAAAAGAGAGAGUUGCCAUGUGCUCACAAGCAUGCUAGGGCAGUUGUCAUUUAAAAAGAAAGAGUUGCCAUCUGCUUACGUGCACGCUAGGGCUGUUUGCCAUGUACCAUGCAAAACAUAUGACAACUGACAUGUUCGGGUAAAAAAAAGAGAGAGUUGCCAUCUACUUGCAAUCACACUAGGGCAGUUGCCAUGUACACUGCAAAACGCAUGGCAACUGGCAGCUUGGGUGUGAGAGAGGAGGCGGGCGUGUGGGCGAGAUGGCAAACGCCCACACACCAGCCCUUGUGCGUGACUGAAAACUGAUGUGUGGGCGAACUGCUAAACGCCCACACACCGGCCCCUCCGUGUGGGCGACCUCUCUCACACACCACAUACGCGAGUUGUCCUACGUGGCAUACAAAAUCAGCUAAUUCGUGCAGAAGUUACUGGACGGUGAUGGAGGUGUAUGGGUGAGUUGGCUAACGCCCACACGUGUGGGCGUUACACUUUUCGAAUAAUAAUGCUUUUGUGUCGGUGGACGCUCACUUUGUUCAAGACAAUCACAGCACUGCUCCUGAUUUCUUGCUUAAUCCUGAACAUGUCAUCACAAUUAUAAGCAUGAUUUCUGAUGUAGUUGUUCGGAGAUGGACAGAUCGCAGCGGAGGAAGAACUCACCAUCUCGAUCGAGGAGCGGUGGGGGUAGAGGCGCAAGGCGAGGAGCGCUUGAUGCGAAGCACUCAUGACAGCCACGUCUGCCUUACCGGCGAGGGCAUCAAGGUUUGCCACCAACUUCUCUCUUUUUCUUCAGAGGAUGAGAGGAACACUGCUGAUUAGAUACCCCCGUUAAAUUUUUCCAAGCAGACGCUAGGUUUUGAAUCUUAAAUGUUGGUGGGAUCCAUUUAUGGUUGUAGUUGAAUUAGUUUAAUGUCUAUUCUAUGAGAGUCUGAUGGUCAGUAAAGGUUUCAAAUAUUCUACUUACAUUGGUUCAGUCCCUCUGAUGGCUAGAGAAGGGAAUCCUGCAUGAAACUGGUCGACGGCUUUGAAGUAUUUAGAUUGAGGAUUAUGGAGAUAAUUUUGGUUGAGAACUAUAACUGAAUUAAGCUAGAAAUACGCUACAACACUUGGGGUAGGAUUCAACAUAUCAGAUGGAUGGUCCACUGCUCAAUAAGAAAAAGAUACUAAUUUUGCUGCAGUUCCAGUUUGUUGUAAUGAGAUGGCUCAUAUUCCGUUUAACUCAAACUCUGUAGGCCUCACAACAUUUUUGAGACAUAUUAUCCAGAUUUGCUACUAGCUUGGCCUCAACUAAGGAACUGUUGGAGCAUCCUUGCCACAUGAGAAGAGCUUGCAUUGCGUAUGCUGGCAAGCUCGCUCCUUUGUAAUGGUAUAUUCCUCGAACGAGAGACUAUGAUGUAAGUCUCUCUCUCUCUCUCUCUCUCUCUCUCUCUCUCUGUGUGUGUGUGUGUGUGUGUGUGUGUGUGUUGUGAUCCCUUUUCUACAGCUAGACAUGCAGGUCAGCGUUUGUGUUUGUGUGCAGAAGCUCAGGAGGGACAAAGGAGGAGGUUGUUGGGAGAUGACGGAGGGGAGUGCAUCACAAUAGCGCUGCCCUGUUUCUCUUUGGUGUCGCCGACUCGGCUUAGGGCGCUCAUGUGUACCAAUGUUGCAGGGUAUGUUUUUCUUCUUUCCUAUAAUUUCCUUUAUUUGUUAAACCCACUCUGUUCUAAGCAUUGUGAAGCAGAAAGCAUGAUUCCAGUUUACUUUAUUUUUCUGUUUAGUGUAAGCAAUAUAAUCUGAUGUAUUUGAGUACUAUCUAAUUCUUUUUCAUACUAUAUUACUGCCAAUUCAGGCACGGUAAUUGGAUACGAGGCCAAAUCCCACCAGGCUUAUUUCUGUUUGUCCUUUUCACUAGCGUACACAUGAAGACGUGCUUAUAUUCUGUCACUCUUCACCAGCAAGAAAUUACCCAUGAGAGAGUAUUCAGAUUACUCAUAUCUUGGAUGCAAUCUAAAGUAUAAGAAUUUUAUAAGUUGUGUGUGUCCUUUUGCUUUUGUUUGAUUAUGAUAAGAAAAGAAGAAAUACUUCUAUGAUGACAAGAUGGUCCAGAUGUGCAUACGAAGUCUGGUGGUUAUAAGUGUCUCCCUAACUCCCCUGUUCUUUGAUAGGGUAAUACUGUAGAAGUAUUAGUACUACAUAGGUACUUAUAGCUAUAUUCGGUUUGCGAGUGGUAUAUGACGUUUUUAUGGCUUUAUGUAUUAAUCAGCCUAGCUACUGUUAGUUAUAAAAGGGUUGCCAGGUUCCUUUCUCUAAAGGGUUGCCUCAUGUUAGCUCGCAAACAAAAAUGUGCUCAGUUUAAUCAGUGUCAUCUACUAAAGUUUUCUAAUUCCAAUGGCUAGAAUAUUAUGGUAUAAAGAUUCUAAUGCUCCAGAAGUGGGAACCCCCCAGGUCUAAUAUUGAAAAACAAUUCAUUAGAAUCCUAACUCUUGGUUCCUGAUCAUUGUUGCUAUAAAAUGCACUCACAAAAGUCAAGCAAUAUCCGUGAAGGCAUGUUAUAUAUUUUUUACUAUCAGCACGGGAAACUUUGCUACCGUGUUACACCAAACAAAGGGUCAACAUUAAUCAUCUAGUUAAGCACCCACGAUAGGUUCCCCAACAUUAUAUGAAAGAAUACCUUUUUCGCUUGCUCAACGAACCAGUUUAUAGAUAUUCUAUCGUGAUCACAUAAUUGUUGUGCUUUUAUAUGCAGGAAAACUAGCUUGUGAUGUGGCUUUCUUGCAUCCCAUUUGACUAGCUGCUCCUUAAAAAGAUGGACCAUUUUGAUAUCCUUUAGCAUGUGUUUGAUUUUUAUAUUGUGUUUAGUUGUUUCUGCUUGAUGCACUAUGUUCAUACCAUUGUUGAUACUUGCCUUGUGUUGUUGAGUUUCUGAAUUUAUUAUUAUAGAUAUUUGAGUAUGUGUUGGGCAAGCAUUCUCUGCACCCCUUUGUACAAAGUAUAUAUAUGUAUGUGACCUUUUAUCUAAGUGAAAUACACACCAUCAUUGGGUCAUGCUUUAACUUUUUUUACUUAGUUUUACUGAUCUUUUUAUCCCUUGGGAUGCACAUGACAUGUAAUGAGACUUGAUAUUUGUACUGAAUCUAAGAAUUUGUUAUCUCCUGCUCACCGAAUAAUACCAGAAAUUGGAUCCUUAAACUUCUAUUAUCCAUUUUCCGCCUCUUUACAUUUCCUUCCUGGAUAUAUUGAGUAAUACCGUAUGUUGGAUCAUUAUACUUUUUUAUAUCUUUGUGCCCUCUACCUUUCCAUCCUAAGCUAUAUAUUUUCUAUUACCGGGUUGGCUAAAACAGGCCAAGUGGGGUGUGGCUGGCUGCACUUCCUAUCUCGACUUCUCUAUAUUGAUAAAAUAUGAAACCACUCUGGAAUUAAGAUCCAGUCAUUCUUUGGUGGUGGUAGCCCCUUUGGAGGUAAAAUCGUAUGCGAACCAACUGAAUGACUAACUGCCAUUGUGGUAUUCCUUCACAUGUGAUUUUGUCCAUUGAAACACUAAGAGAAGCUCCUUAAUUUGAAUUGGUUGCUGAUAGUGGAUUGUCAAGGGGCGUCAUCUUCUGCACUCGUCCCUCUUGCUGGCUUUCCCAUUCGUCGACUCAAGUAUGGCUGGAGGCGAGCAGAAAGGUAGUACGGGUUGGACCUUGGUUUCCUAUAGCAUCAUGACUGGGAUUUCCCUCUACAACCAGGCGUCCCACUGUCUAUAUAUGAAUAUUUAGUCGAGGAAUGCAUAGCUCUGUUGUUAUCUAUAUAUGAGUAUUAGUGAGCUGAUGAAUUGAUUAUAAGAGAUUACCAUAGGUUAGAGUCAUCUAUUGCUGCAUAUAUAGAUAUAUACAUAUGAUGAUUUUCAUUCAACCAUGAGAUGAGAAAAUGCCAUAAGGUACUGCAAUGUUGGCAUGCAUGCUAACUUCUUUAUAUUUUGUGUCAGCUAUGUUGCGUUGUGUUUGCUCUCACGAUCCAAGUUUUGACGAAUUGUUUAAGUUUAAGGUGUCUUGGUUUGAUUUAUCUAAAAAAGUCAUACCUGCCCUUUCUCCUUUCAGUCAUAUACACCUCCUUUAUGCAAGUGAGACAAUUGAAUUCAGUAAAUAGUUUAUUCAUAACUAGGCGCAAUCUCAGAUAUACUACAAGCACCAGUUUGCAAAGGGUUUAAAACUCGGCUAUUUUAGAACAUGGUCCACUGGAACUGUCAUAUGCAUUUUAUAUUAUUUUAACCAUGAGAUGCGAUACAUAAUUGUAGUAUGUUUGUAGUCAGACUGCAUGUUUACACCAGUUUUUUUGGUUACUUGCCAAAUACUUUCUAUAAGUAUGCCAAGGAUAUUUUUUUCUGUGGCCCUUUUUGGCAAUUUUAGCAUGUUAUGUUAAGGCAUAUGGGUAAUACUGAUAAUAUUACAUAUAUUUUGUGCUUGUGCACACGUUGCUAAUGCGACAUAAUUGUCUCACAAGUAAAUUUGAAAUGAAUCUUUUGUUGAUCUUCCGUUGGCAGCCCCUCACUGUUGCACACUGCUGCAUUUGUAGUACCCCCAGCUGGUCCAAGUAGAGGAGAAAAGGUGGUUAUCUCUUUUGUUGCAGCUAAUAUAUAUGAUUGAUUAAUGUCCACAGAUUUUUACUGAAAUGAUCGUGAGAUAUUAUAUCUGACAAAAUGCUCAUGAGAGGAUAAGGUGCAUAGGUCACACAGAACACUAUCUGUAAUAAAGAGCAAGGUUUCCUUAUGGUGUCGAGCGUUCUGUGCUACCUAUUGUUACCAGCUUCUUCCUUUGUUUGCUAACUAUUGUUGCUUCAUGCAUUGCUGUUAUUCCAGGGUCAGCUUUGUUAUGAUUUGUGCCUAUUCAUUCAUAGCAAGCAACUGAUCGAUAUAAAUUCAUAGAGCAAUUGAUGGAUGUUGUAGUUCCUACUUCUUCAGGUACUAUAUUUCUGUAAGCAUUUGGGGCUUCAGGUUCAAUCAUUGGAGGGGAACUGUGUAUCAAUGAGGAAUGCGGUGACAAAAGAGCAUGUUUCUUUAUUGGAGGAGCUGUGAUUUUCUUCUUUUAAUAUAUCAGUCUUGCACUCAGUCGUCGAUGAAGUAUUCACGUGUACAGUUUACUAUGUUUGGACUGCACCUCCUAAUAUAAUUUGUCUUUGUUUAAUGUCUACAAUAUAAGGUAUCUUUUAGAUGCUUUUAACAUUGUGAAUGUCUGCUCGUGAUUCCUAUUUAGGCUUUAGACUUUGAAAGAUUUGGUUUUAGCCCUUUAGAUAUUCUUGCCAGUGGCGUGAAUGAUGGUGUGCUUGAUAUCUAGGCAUUAAUGAUCUACAUAAAGCUUAUUCUUUAGUAUCCACAUUAAUGGUGUGCGACGAUUCUUUCAUUAUAACGGCUUAUAAUUAUCAUCGGACUCAUACUAUUAUGCAAAUGCUUCUUGUGAUUUCAUUGGUUAAAUUGUAUAAUUGUGACAGAUUUAUAUAUCAUGUGAAGAAAGAGCUGAGAACGGGACGACCCGACAACACAAUCAAAUAUUUGGUUACAUGCCAGCUACUUAGGUUCUUUAUAUUGCACGGGGCCUUAUGGAUCCCUUUGUCUAUAUAAUUACUGAACUACCAUAUUUAAUUUGUGACGACUCAUUGUGUUGGUUUAAUUUUGGAAUAAAAAUGCUGCUAAGCCUUUGGUGUAACAGAUUGCACUGCCUUUUGGUUUGGUCCGGUCUGGACGGAUGCCAUGUAUUGGACACAGUUAUGUUAUCUACAAAGGCAUUCUCAGUUUGUUCACAUGUCAACCUAUCGAAUUUGAAGCGACCUAAUAUGUGACCGCACCCGGCAGGGGUGCGGGGUGCGGCAAGCCGCACUUUCCAUCUAGUUUUCUAUAAGAGAGGCCACGAGAGAGAAGAUAGUGUUGGCAUGCCAUGCCCUGCACGGUGCAAGGCCGUACAUGUACAUCGCAUCUGGUGCGUAGGCUGUGGCCGUGUCACGGACAUGUCGGCACUAGGGAGGAGCCGGGGCGAGACCAGAAGAGACAAGGCACUGUAAGGCCAGCCCAGAUGCGCACCGCUCCGUGGAUGGCCGUCCAAAGUGGUCUCCUCAUGGAGGCCCUUUUUUGAAAAAAUAAAAAUUCAUAAUUUUUAUGUUUCAGAAAUUUCUGAAAAACAGAUAUACAUGAAGGCAUAAUGUAUAUGUGUGUAAAAUUUCAUGAUGAAAUAUGUUGGAAAUGAAAAAAAAAAGACGUGGCUUUUUAACACAUGAUGUUGUUCAUGCCUGAAGUGCAUGAAUUUGUUUUUUCUUACAGGCCCACAAGGUAUUUCAUCCUUAUGUAGAUGCUAUUUUUUUCAUUUUCUUUGAAACCGGAAAGUUUGAUUUUGAAUAUUCGAAAAAUUUGGGCUCCAUGGAGCCCGGUCACCGAGUAAUCCAUAUGAGUUUUAUAUGAUUGUAUAAUCGAUAUGAGUUUUUUCCAUGUAAUCUAUUAAAUGGUUUUUUCUUGUAGUGUCUACCUAAUGGAAUUCUUUCAUUUCGACAACAAUCAUGGUAUACGUCUAAUCCAUUAGAAGAAUGCUAGCUUUUCAACAUGACAUGACAUCAAAUUUCUACGUUUUCCUAUUUCAGUAUUUUCAAAUCUUAUGAAGUUAUGGACCAAAUUAAAAUGUGGAGGGCUACACAUUUUUUUAUCUUCACCUAAUGUUUACCCGUUAAUGUUCGACAGUUAAAUGUUGAGUUUUAGUUAAGUUAAGAACUAAAUUAAGAGAAUUUUACAUGAACAUCAUUGUAAUAUGUUUCUCAGAUAUCCUAUUUUCCAAUGAUACAAUUUGGAACCCAAUAGGCUUGACCUUUUGUUUAAGAUAAGAUCAAGUAAUACAACUUGGUACCUUGCUUUUUCUUCGGGGGAUUGUGGAAGUAACGCUGCAUGUAUGGGUAUGCUCGAUGUCGGUACAUGGGCUUGAUCACAUUGUUUUCCCCGUUCUAUUUGUCGUAUGGGCGUGUUGAACUCUGUCGGUGGCUUGUAGGUUGAUGAAACUCCUCCGACUCCCCGACUCUCCCAACUCCUCCGACUCCUCCCGUUCCUUGCCGCUGCCGGGACGCACCGCCGGGCAAAGCCCGGUCGGCGUCGGUGGCGACGGGAUCUCUUCUCCCAAGGCUCGCUGGAUUUGGCGCCGGCGGAUCGCAGCGGUUGUUGGCGGCGCGCUGGAGGCGGGGCGCGCCGAUGCGGGCUUGGGGCCGACGGCAGAGCUCACGCUCGCGGUUUCCCCUGGUGUGCGUGGGAGUCCGCUCGGGGCGCGCGGCGGCGGCCCUCGGCAAGCGGUGGCGGGCGCUGUGCUCUCGGCGGCGCUCCGGCGUGUGCAGGUGGCGGUGGUCCCUGUGCGCGGUCGGCGGUUCCAUCUCUGACUCGGACGGCGUGGGCGAUGGCGGCGGCCCGGCGUGGCCGGCGAUCUGGAUGCGGUGGUGCCGGUGGCUCGCUGAUCUGCCGGUGCUCCAGGGUUCUACCUGGUGGUGCUGGUGGUGACGGCGGCCCAUGCACGAAAGUUGGAUCCCUUCGAACUGAUCUGGUUGAAAAUGUUGGGGAACGUAGUAAUUUCAAAAAAAAUUCCUACGCACACGCAAGAUCAUGGUGAUGCAUAGCAACGAGAGGGGAGAGUGUGUCCACGUACCCUCGUAGACCGAAAGCGGAAGCGUUAGCACAACGCGGUUGAUGUAGUCGUACGUCUUCACGAUCCGACUGAUCAAGUACCGAACGCACGGCAUCUCCGAGUUCAGCACACGUUCAGCCCGAUGACGUCCCUUGAACUCCGAUCCAGCCGAGUGUUGAGGGAGAGUUUCGUCAGCACGACGGCAUGAUGACGAUGAUGAUGUUCUACCGACGCAGGGCUUCGCCUAAGCACCGCUACAGUAUUAUCGAGGUGGACUAUGGUGGAGGGGGGCACUGCACACGGCUAAAAGAUCAAGCGAUCAAUUGUUGUGUCUCUAGGGUGCCCCCCUGCCCCCGUAUAUAAAGGAGCAAGGGGGGAGGUGCGGCCGGCCAGGAGGGGCGCGCCAGGUGGAGUCCUACUCCCACCGGGAGUAGGACUCCCUCCCUUUUCCUAGUUGGAUUAGGAGUGGAGGGGGAAAGAGGAGGGAGAGAGGAAGGAAAAGGGGGGGCGCCGCCCCCUCUCCUUGUCCUAUUCGGAUUAGGGGGGAUGGGCGCGCGGCCCUGCCCUGGCCGCCUCCCCUCUUCUCCACAAAGACCCACUAUGACCCAUUGAGCCCCCGGGGUUUCCGGUAACCCCUCGGUACUCCGGUAAAAUCCCGAUUUCACCCGGAACACUUUCGAUAUCCAAAUAUAGGCUUCCAAUAUAUCAAUCUUCAUGUCUCGACCAUUUCGAGACUCCUCGUCAUGUCCGUGAUCACAUCCGGGACUCCGAACAACCUUCGGUACAUCAAAACAUAUAAACUCAUAAUAUAACUGUCAUCGAAACGUUAAGCGUGCGGACCCUACGGGUUCGAGAACUAUGUAGACAUGACCGAGACACGUCUCCGGUCAAUAACCAAUAGCGGAACCUGGAAGCUCAUAUUGGCUCCCACAUAUUCUAUGAAGAUCUUUAUCGGUCAGACCGCAUAACAACAUACGUUGUUCCCUUUGUCAUCGGUAUGUUACUUGCCCGAGAUUCGAUCGUCGGUAUCUCAAUACCUAGUUCAAUCUCGUUACCGGCAAGUCUCUUUACUCGUUCCGUAAUACAUCAUCCCACAACUAACUCAUUAGUUGCAAUGCUUGCAAGGCUUAAGUGAUGUGCAUUACCGAGAGGGCCCAGAGAUACCUCUCCGACAUUGGAGUGACAAAUCCUAAUCUCGAAAUACGCCAACCCAACAAGUACCUUCGGAGACACCUGUAGAGCACCUUUAUAAUCACCCAGUUACGUUGUGACGUUUGGUAGCACACAAAGUGUUCCUCCGGUAAACGGGAGUUGCAUAAUCUCAUAGUCAUAGGAACAUGUAUAAGUCAUGAAGAAAGCAAUAGCAACAUACUAAACGAUCGAGUGCUAAGCUAACGGAAUGGGUCAAGUCAAUCACAUCAUUCUCCUAAUGAUGUGAUCCCGUUAAUCAAAUGACAACUCAUGUCUAUGGCUAGGAAACAUAACCAUCUUUGAUCAACGAGCUAGUCAAGUAGAGGCAUACUAGUGACACUCUGUUUGUCUAUGUAUUCACACAUGUACUAAGUUUCCGGUUAAUACAAUUCUAGCAUGAAUAAUAAAUAUUUAUCAUGAUAUAAGGAAAUAAAUAAUAACUUUAUUAUUGCCUCAGGGGCAUAUUUCCUUCAGUCUCCCACUUGCACUAGAGUCAAUAAUCUAGUUCACAUCACCAUGUGAUUUAACACCAAUAGUUCACAUCACCAUGUGAUUAACACCCAUAGUUCACAUCGUCAUGUGACCAACACCCAAAGGGUUUACUAGAGUCAAUAAUCUAGUUCACAUCGCUAUGUGAUUAACACCCAAAGAGUAAUAAGGUGUGAUCAUGUUUUGCUUGUGAGAGAAGUUUAGUCAACGGGUCUGCCACAUUCAGAUCUGUAUGUAUUUUGCAAAUUUCUAUGUCAACAAUUCUCUGCACGGAGCUACUCUAGCUAAUUGCUCCCACUUUCAAUAUGUAUCCAGAUUGAGACUUAGAGUCAUCUGGAUCAGUGUCAAAACUUGCAUCGACGUAACCCUUUACGACGAACGUUUUGUCACCUCCAUAAUCGAGAAACAUAUCCUUAUUCCACUAAGGAUAAUUUUGACCGCUGUCCAGUGAUCUACUCCUAGAUCACUAUUGUACUCCCUUGCCAAAAUUAGUGUAGGGUAUGCAAUAGAUCUGGUACACAGCAUGGCAUACUUUAUAGAACCUAUGGCUGAGGCAUAGGGAAUGACUUUCAUUCUCUUUCUAUCUUCUGCCGUGGUCGGGCUUUGAGUCUUACUCAAUUUCACACCUUGUAACACAGGCAAGAACUCUUUCUUUGACUGUUCCAUUUUGAACGACUUCAAAAUCUUGUCAAGGUAUGUACUCAUUGAAAAAACUUAUCAAGCGUCUUGAUCUAUCUCUAUAGAUCUUGAUGCUCAAUAUAUAAGCAGCUUCACCAAGGUCUUUCUUUGAAAAACUCCUUUCAAACACUCCUUUAUGCUUUGCAGAAUAAUUCUACAUUAUUUCCGAUCAACAAUAUGUCAUUCACAUAUACUUAUCAGAAAUGUUAUAGUGCUCCCACUCACUUUCUUGUAAAUACAGUCUUCACCGCAAGUCUGUAUAAAACUAUAUGCUUUAAUCAACUUAUCAAAGCGUAUAUUCCAACUCCGAGAUGCUUGCACCAGUCCAUAGAUGGAUCGCUGGAGCUUGCAUAUUUUGUUAGCACCUUUAGGAUUGACAAAACCUUCUGGUUGCAUCAUAUACAACUCUUCUUUAAUAAAUCCAUUAAGGAAUGCAGUUUUGUUUAUCCAUUUGCCAGAUUUCAUAAAAUGCGGCAAUUGCUAACAUGAUUCGGACAGACUUAAGCAUAUAUACGAGUGAGAAACUCUCAUCGUAGUCAACACCUUGAACUUUGUCGAAAACCUUUUGCGACAAUUCUAGCUUUGUAGAUAGUAACACUACUAUCAGCGUCCGUCUUCCUCUUGAAGAUCCAUUUAAUCUCAAUGGCUCGCCGAUCAUUGGGCAAGUCAAUCAAAGUACAUACUUUGUUCUCAUACAUGGAUCCCAUCUCAGAUUUCAUGGCCUCAAGCCAUUUUGCGGAAUCUGGGCUCAUCAUCGCUUCCUCAUAGUUUGUAGGUUCGUCAUGGUCAAGUAACAUGACCUCCAGAACAGGAUUCCGUACCACUCUGGUGCGGGUCUCACUCUGGUUGACCUACGAGGUUCGGUAGUAACUUGAUCUGAAGUUACAUGAUCAUCAUCAUUAGCUUCCUCACUAAUUGGUGUAGGAGUCACAGGAACAAAUUUCUGUGAUGAACUACUUUCCAAUAAGGGAGCAGGUACAGUUACCUCAUCAAGUUCUACUUUCCUCCCACUCACUUCUUUCGCGAGAAACUCCUUCUCUAGAAAGGAUCCAUUAUAAGUAACGAAUAUCUUGCCUUUGGAUCUGUGAUAGAAGGUGUACCGAACUGUCUCCUUUGGGUAUCCUAUGAAGACACAUUUCUCCGAUUUGGGUUUGAGCUUAUCGGGAUGAAACUUUUUCACAUAAGCAUCGCAACCCCAAAUUUUAAGAAACGACAACUUUGGUUUCUUGCUAAACCACAGUUCAUAUGGUGUCGUCUCAACGGAUUUAGACGGUGCCCUAUUUAACGUGAAUGCAGCUGUCUCUAAUGCAUAACCCCAAAAUGAUAAUGGUAAAUCGGUAAGAGACAUCAUAGAUUGCACCAUAUCUAAUAAAGUACGGUUACGAUGUUCGGACACACCAUUAUGUUGUGGUGUUCCAGGUGGCAUGAGUUUGUGAAACUAUUUCACAUUGUUUUAACUGAAGGCCAAACUAGUAACUCAAAUAUUCGUCUCCGCGAUCAGAUCGUAGAAACUUUAUUUUCUUGUUACGACGAUUUUCCACUUCACUCUGAAAUUAUAUGAACUUUUCAAAUGUUUCAGACUUAUGUUUCAUCAAGUAGAUAUACCCAUAUCUGCUCAAAUCAUCUGUGAAGUUCAGAAAAUAACGAUACCCGCCGCGAGCCUCAACACUCAUCGGAUCGCAUACAUCAGUAUGUAUUAUUUCCAAUAAGUUAGUUGCUCGCUCCAUUGUUUCGGAGAACGGAGUCUUAGUCAUCUUGCCCAUAAGGCAUGGUUCGCAAGCAUCAGGUGAUUCAUAAUCAAGUGAUUCCAAAAUCCCAUCAGCAUGGAGUUUCUUCAUGCGCUUUACACCAAUAUGACCUAAACGGCAGUGCCACAAACAAGUUGCACUAUCAUUAUUAACUUUGCAUCUUUUGGCUUCAAUAUUAUGAAUAUGUGUAUCACUACGAUCGAGAUCCAACAAACCAUUUUCAUUGGUGUGUAUGACCAUAGAAGGUUUUAUUCAUGUAAACAGAACAACAAUUGUUCUCUAACAUAAAUGAAUAACCGUAUUGCAAUAAACAUGAUCAAAUCAUAUUCAUGCUCAACGCAAACACCAAAUAACACUUAUUUCAACACUAAUCCUGAAAGUAUAGGGAGUGUGCGAUGAUGAUCAUAUCAAUCUUGGAACUACUUCCAAUACACAUCGUCACCUUGCCUUUUACUAGUUUCUGUUUAUUCUGCAACUCCCGUUUCGAGUUACUAAUCUUAGCAACUGAACCAGUAUCAAAUGUCGAGGGGUUGCUAUAAACACUAGUAAAGUACACAUCAAUAACAUGUAUAUCCAAUAUACCUUUGUUCACUUUGCCAUCCUUCUUAUCCGCCAAAUACUUGGGGCAGUUCCGCUUCCAGUGACCAGUCCCUUUGUAGUAGAAGUACUUAGUCUCAGGCUUAGGACCAGACUUGGGCUUCUUCACUUGAGCAGCAACUUGCUUGCCGUUCUUCUUGAAGUUCCCCUUCUUCCCUUUGUCCUUUUCCUGAAACUAGUGGUCUCGUCAACCAUCAACACUUGAUGUUUUUCUUGAUUUCUACCUUCGUUGAUUUCAGCAUCACGAAGAGCUUGGGAAUUGUUUCCGUUAUCCCUUGCAUAUUAUAGUUCAUCACGAAGUUCUACUAACUUGGUGAUGGUGACUAGAGGAUUUUGUCAAUCACUAUCUUAUCUGGAAGAUUAACUCCCACUUGAUUCAAGCGAUUGUAGUACUCAGACAAUCUGAGCACAUGCUCACUGCUUGAGCUAUUCUCCUCCAUCUUUUAGCUAUAGAACUUGUUGGAGACUUCAUAUCUCUCAACUCAGGUAUUUGCUUGAAAUAUUAACUUCAACUUCUGGAACAUCUCAUAUGGUCCAUGACGUUCAAAACGUCUUUGAAGUCCUGAUUCUAAGCCGUUAAGCAUGGUGCACUAAACUAUCAAGUAGUCAUCAUAUUGAGCUAGCCAAACGUUCAUAACGUCUGCAUAUGCUCCUGCAAUAGGUCCGUCACCUAGCGGUGCAUCAAGGACAUAAUUCUUCUGUGCAACAAUGAGGAUAAACCUCAGAUCACGGACCAAGUCCGCAUCAUUGCUACUAACAUUUUUCAACAUAGUUUUUCUCUAGGAACAUAUCAAAAAUAAAACAGGGGAGCUAAACGCGAGCUAUUGAUCUACAACAUAGAUAUGCUAAUACUACCAGGACUAAGUUCAUGAUAAAUUAAAGUUCAAUUAAUCAUAUUACUUAAGAACUCCCACUUAGAUAGACAUCCCUCUAAUCCUCUAAGUGAUCACGUGAUCCAAAUCAACUAAACCAUGUCUGAUCAUCACGUGAGAUGGAGUAGUUUCAAUGGUGAACAUCACUAUGUUGAUCAUAUCUACUAUAUGAUUCACGCUCGACCUUUCGGUCUCCGUGUUCCGAGGCCAUAUCUGUUAUAUGCUAAGCUCGUCAAGUUUAACCUGAGUAUUCUGCGUGUGCAACUGUUUUGCACCCGUUGUAUUUGAACGUAGAGCCUAUCACACCCGAUCAUCACGUGGUGUCUCAGCACGAAGAACUUUCGCAACAGUGCAUACUCAGGGAGAACACUUAUACUUUGAUAAUUUAGUGAGGGAUCAUCUUAUAAUGCUACCGUCAAUCAAAGCAAGAUAAGAUGCAUAGAAGAUAAACAUCACAUGCAAUCAAUAUAAGUGAUAUGAUAUGGCCAUCAUCAUCUUGUGCUUGUGAUCUCCAUCUCCGAAGCACCGUCAUGAUCACCAUCGUCACCGGCGCGACACCUUGAUCUUCAUCGUAGCAUCGUUGUCGUCUCGCCAAUCUUAUGCUUCUAGGACUAUCGCUACCACUUAGUGAUAAAGUAAAGCAUUACAGGGCGAUUGCAUUGCAUACAAUAAAGCGAAAACCAUAUGGCUCCUGCCAGUUGCCGAUAACUCGGUUACAAAACAUGAUCAUCUCAUACAAUAAAAUUUAGCAUCAUGUCUUGACCAUAUCACAUCACAACAUGCCCUGCAAAAACAAGUUAGACGUCCUCUACUUUGUUGUUGCAAAUUUUACGUGGCUGCUACGGGCUUAGCAAGAAACGUUCUUACCUACGCAUCAAAACCACAACGAUAGUUUGUCAAGUUGGUGUUGUUUUAACCUUCGCAAGGACCGGGCGUAGCCACACUCGGUUCAACUAAAGUUGGAGAAACUGAUACCCGCCAGCCACCUGUGUGCAAAGCACGUCGGUGGAACCAGUCUCGCGUAACCGUACACGUAAUGUCGGUCCGGGCUGCUUCAUCCAACAAUACCGCCGAACCAAAGUAUGACAUGCUGGUAAGCAGUAUGACUUAUAUCGCCCACAACUCACUUGUGUUCUACUCGUGCAUAUAACAUCAACGCAUAAAACCUGGCUCGGAUGCCACUAUUGGGGAACGUAGUAAUUUAAAAAAAUUCCUACGCACACGCAAGAUCAUGGUGAUGGAUAGCAACGAGAGGGGAGAGUGUGUCCACGUACCCUCGUAGACCAAAAGCGGAAGCGUUAGCACAACGCGGUUGAUGUAGUCGUACGUCUUCACGAUCCGACCGAUCAAGUAUCGAACGCACGUCACCUCCGAGUUCAGCACACGUUCAGCCCGAUGACGUCCCUCGAACUCCGAUCCAGCCGAGUGUUGAGGGAGAGUUUCGUUAGCACGACGGCGUGGUGGUGAUGAUGAUGUUCUACCGACGCAGGGCUUCGCCUAAGCACCGCUACAGUAUUAUCGAGGUGGACUAUGGUGGAGGGGGGCACCGCACACGGCUAAAAGAUCAAGCGAUCAAUUGUUGUGUCUCUAGGGUGCCCCUGCCCCGUAUAUAAAGGAGCAAGGGGGGAGGUGCGGCCGGCCAGGAGGGGCGCGCCAGGUGGAGUCCUACUCCCAGCGGGAGUAGGACUCCCUCCCUUUUCCUAGUUGGAUUAGGAGUGGAGGGGGAAAGAGGAGGGAGAGAGGAAGGAAAAGGGGGGCGCCGCCCCCCUCUCCUUGUCCUAUUCGGAUUAGGGGGGGGAGGGGCGCGCGGCCCUGCCCUGGCCGCCUCUCCUCUUCUCCACAAAGGCCCACUAUGGCCCAUUAAGCCUCCGGGGUUUCCGGUAACCCCUCGGUACUCCGGUAAAAUCCCGAUUUCACCCGGAACACUUCCGAUAUCCAAAUAUAGGCUUCCAAUAUAUCAAUCUUCAUGUCUCGACCAUUUCGAGACUGCUCGUCAUGUCCGUGAUCACAUCCGGGACUCCGAACAACCUUCGGUACAUCAAAACAUAUAAACUCAUAAUAUAACUGUCAUCGAAACGUUAAGCGUGCGGACCCUACGGGUUCGAGAACUAUGUAGACAUGACCGAGACACGUCUCCAGUCAAUAACCAAUAGCGGAACCUGGAUGCUCAUAUUGGCUCCCACAUAUUCUACGAAGAUCUUUAUCGGUCAGACCGCAUAACAACAUACGUUGUUCCCGUUGUCAUCGGUAUGUUACUUGCCCGAGAUUCGAUCGUCGGUAUCUCAAUACCUAGUUCAAUCUCGUUACCGGCAAGUCUCUUUACUCGUUCCGUAAUACAUCAUCCCACAACUAACUCAUUAGUUGCAAUGCUUGCAAGGCUUAAGUGAUGUGCAUUACCGAGAGGGCCCAGAGAUACCUCUCCGACAUCGGAGUGACAAAUCCUAAUCUCGAAAUACGCCAACCCAACAAGUACCUUCGGAGACACCUGUAGAGCACCUUUAUAAUCACCCAGUUACGUUGUGACGUUUGGUAGCACACAAAGUGUUCCUCCGGUAAACGGGAGUUGCAUAAUCUCAUAGUCAUAGGAACAUGUAUAAGUCAUGAAGAAAGCAAUAGCAACAUACUAAACGAUCGAGUGCUAAGCUAACGGAAUGGGUCAAGUCAAUCAUAUCAUUCUCCUAAUGAUGUGAUCCCGCUAAUCAAAUGACAACUCAUGUCUAUGGCUAGGAAACAUAACCAUCUUUGAUCAACGAGCUAGUCAAGUAGAGGCAUACUAGUGACACUCUGUUUGUCUAUGUAUUCACACAUGUACUAAGUUUCCGGUUAAUACAAUUCUAGCAUGAAUAAUAAAUAUUUAUCAUGAUAUAAGGAAAUAAAUAAUAACUUUAUUAUUGCCUCUAGGGCAUAUUUCUUCAGAAAACUUGUCUUCGGCGUCUGCUAAGGCCGGCGGUGGCGGCGCUAUCUGCGUCGUUCCCUUCUUGAAGGCAUCGCCGUGGAGAACUUCAAGGCCACUCUCUGCUACCUCCGGGGGAAACCCUAGAUCGGAUGAUCGGAUGACGGCGGUGCUCUGCUGUCGUUCCUCCCUUGGGGGCGUCAUUCUUGGAGGUACAAACGUGAUCGAGGGACCAGAGGACAUAUUCUUUGGUGGAGCGGUGAUUCAUCCUACACACGGAUGGCGACUGAUCUUGACGGCGUGGCGCAGUGCAGAUUCGGAGUUCGCUGUGGGAGGAUGGACUCGCGCAGGAGGACGACGCUGUCGGGCGUCGUGGUGGCGUCGAUGGCAGAGAGACCUGGCACGGUUCAUGCAACAGUACAUCUCUGAAGAUGGAUUGGUGGCUGGUGGCUGCGGCGGCCUCAUACCUGGCAGGCGUCCUGGUUGAGGAGUGCGCCGGACUGUUAGGUGCCCCAUACCCGGCAGGCGUCCUGGUUGGGACCUCAGGUCUUAGAUAUUUAGGUUUGGCUGCAAUGUCUGUUUGGUAUUAGGCCCAGACUAUCUGCGCCCCUUCAUCAAUUGGAUAGGUAUAUCGACAGUUGUUGCUUAGACGGUGGCUUUAUUCUUGCUGUUGUAUGGCUUUAUAAGGUCUUGUGAGAAUAAUUAAUAAAGUGUCCGUAUGCAUUGCCCAGAUGCAGAGGCUGGGGGUCAUCCUCUUUUUCCAAAAAAAAGUUGAUGAAACCCUAUCGUCUAAAUUAAUUAAUUUUUGUAUCUUGAAAGGAUAGUGGAAACUUCACUUGCUGGGGCAUGGUGUAUCGAGAGAUACGGGAGAACAACUAUAUCUACACUAUCACCCACAAAAGAAAAAUAAACUAUAUAUCUAAACUAAGAUGUCUUCAACCGUAGGCCUUAUCCCGUUCAGUGUCAAUCCAAAAGACCAAAACUUAUCUUAUCAUGGAUGCGUACAAAAGCAAGAUGGGCACAAGCAUGCAUAAACUUCAAUGUUUAUUAGUAGUCUUUUUUUCUUUUGAGUGGUUCCCCGCAAUAAAUGGUUUAUUAGUCAACAAAUAAAUACACAUGUAGUAGUAUGAUUUUUUUAAAGGAUGUACACUAGUGCCCCUAGGGAAGAAAAAAAAUCAAAGGCCUGCCACUGUAGCGUGUAUUCUUCCACUAGAGAGCGGCACAUGGGCCUCCCGUGGGUCGUAUAUCCAUCGAGACGUACGCGAGCCCGUAAAAGUAAAACGCAAACGGGUAGCUGCCGCGCGCGCAGGCGCAGCGGUCCUACCCCUGCCUCCCGCCUGCGCCCUCGUCCCCUCCGCUAUAUAUGCCUUCCCCGGCACCGGCCACAAAAAUCCCCAGACUUUUCAAAGCCAAACCACCAACUCACCCCUCUUCUUCCUCCUCUCGUGCGACCGAGGGGAUCGUCGAUCGAUGGCAACAAUGGGCGUGGGCGGAGCGGUGAAGAUGAUCGUCGGAGCGAAGGAGGAGCGGGUGGUGGCCACGGGCAAGGCGCCCGGCGCGUGCCCGUCCUGCGGCAGCCCCGUGGUGGCGACCGACGUGGAGAGCGAGCGGCGCAUCCUCUGCCUCCCGCUGUGCCUCAAGAACAAGCGCAAGUACUCCUGCACCAGGUGCUUCCGCCGCCUCGUCACCGCCUACAGCUAGCCGAUUCCAAGCGUCUACUCCUACCCAUCAAUCCAUCGAUCAACUAGCGUGCGGAGUCGAACAAUCCCCGAGUUAUUUGGUUCUUUGUUGGCCGUGGUUACGGUCCUAGAGUAGCUUGCUAGCCUGGCUAAUGUAAUUCAUUGAUCUAAUUUCCAGUAGCCAUAUCUAGCUAAUCUGGUGGGCGUGCAUCACGUCGAUCGCUGCAAAACUGGCACUCUGCUGUGUCUUGCAGCAACCUCCCUGUCAAUGGUGGCGGGGCACCUCCGCGUUAAUGCGCAGGCCAGUAAUGGAAAUUUCGUACGCGCCAGCUCCUCCUUCUUGAUUAAGUUUUUUUGAGUAAUCCUUCUUGAUUAAGUAAGAUGGUGUAUUAACGCACGGCUGGGACCGACCAUCAUGGUGAGCGAUAAAAUGCAGUCCCGGCCCACUGCCCAGUGACUAGCGUACCCCUCUGGUCUCAGAAAAAAGAGAGUACAUUGACUCGUCUCGAUCGAUCCCACAAGGCUGUCCAACCUGCGCUAUUUUCUUUCCUUUUUUGCGAAGGUUACAGUAGCCUGUACUGAUAAACAGCAUAGCAGCCACAGAAUCUCCGUCGCUGCAUGUAUUACAGGUUUUGGCUGCCACUGCAGAAGCUGCCGGCCGGCGCGCGGCCCGUCCGUCCGUUGGUUAACUGUCCCUUUCGCGGGCAAUCACGUACGUCGUACGAGUAAAAUCCCCGCGAUUCGAUCUGCACGGCUGCACACUAACCGGCACUGCAGAAGCAUGGAAAACACGGUUUAUUCAAGAGAGAAGUAGCUAGCGAAGAAGGAAGGUAUAGAGGCCCGUUCAACUUUGCCCGCCCGGCACGUGUGUACGCAAGAAAUAAAAUACAAAAAGCUAACUCUCCGUGCUUCGAUUAGAAAAUGAGAAAAUAUAUUGAUAUGCAGAUUCAUGCAUCGCGUGGUAGGGCACGGCUGCUGAUUCCGGCCGACGAGUGGCGGCGGCGCAACGCGCACGCUAGGAAAUUGCGCCGCAGGAGUAAUAGGCGACGGAGCUGCUAGGUCGUCCAUCGAUCUGUACCCAAAUCCAUGUCGCUGUUACCUGCUCAUGUCCAGGAGAUAUUACUACAGACAGUCUACAGUGGUGCUGUUGAUAUCGAUCGUAGCCACAGGACAGGCAAGAAGCUUCCACGCACACACAAAAGCUCGUUGUGAAGCAGGGAAAAAAACGCGAGGGAUGAGAACUACGUGCGUGGAGAUCAUAUCAGGAAGAAACUCAUCCGAAAAACUGAAAGCGACGACAGACGACGUCGCUCGGGUUGCAACUGCCGAAAACGGAAAGGCCAAGACCGGAGGUUGGGGUCACCGCCACGCGUCGUUGAAUCUAUUUCUGCGUCGUUGCACCCAUCACCGGAAGCGUAGCCCCCCUGAAAAUUUACACGGACAAUGAAGAUCUGUGUACUAAAAUUUGGAAAAAGUCGGUCCGUGUGCCACGGCCGAAGUUGCAUGUUCGAAUCCUGUCACUCAAACUUCUUUAUUUUGGUCGGAGUCAUUAAUGUUUAUGAAGAAAUUAGGUCCAUGCCGUCUCCUUAACAACAACUGUACUUGCAAGACCCAUUAAAAGCUACACUCGCAAAAAAUAAUUAAAAGGGGACGUGGCUCGCUGGCGCACGGGCGCCCGAUCGCAACACCGAGCGCUCUCCCAGAAAAGGAAGGAGUGGCCCACGCGCGUGACCAGACAGCCAAAAACGGAAAGGAGCCACGGCGCGCGCGAAAUCGACCUAUCGAAGCCCGCGCGAAUAACGGAUGGAUCGCACGCGCACCCCAAUCACACCUGGUCCCCCUGGCCCCCGCUUCGUCGCACCCGCCGUCGCCCAGGCUUCGGUCCCCACCCCUUCCCUGCACCCCCGCCCACGCUCCCUUGCGGACGCCUCACGCAACCCCCUCCUUCCUUCUCCUUGAAGGACAAGCCCACGCACGGGCCCCCUUCUUCCAACUUGCUCCUCCCUUUCUCCCUCUAAACAAGAUCUGCCCCAUCUAUGGCGUCUUGAAGAACAAAGCCGACACAGGAACACCUCCUUCCUCCUCGCUCCAAAAAUCAGAUCUGGACAGAAAAAAACCAGACCUACCUCCCCCCAAAAAGGUAAGCACCACCUCCACCCGACUCCUCUCUCUUCCCUACUCAACCACGCCUGCCCUUCCCUGCUUGAACAUCAACUAGUCCAGUUUUUAGUUCGUUCUUUUGAUCAGGUGAAAAAGCAACUUGUAGAACGCUUUGAGCCAACCCUAUGUAUGGCAUGCAUCUUGAGCAACUGUUAUGAUACAAAAAAGCAACACCAGUACAAAAAUAGGGCAACUCUAGUGGGAAACAAAAUGCAGGACCAUUGCGCAUUUUUGCAGGUGCAUUGCAACACCAAAACAUAAUUUCUCUAUAUUGUAUGCAUUGAAACAUGUUUGGCUUUCUUUCCUAUCCUAGUAUAAGGUGCUUAGGGUUCAUGAGCGACCCUGAUCAGGAAACAAACCUGACAACUCGAACAGUUAACUGAAGCAACUAUAUUCAUUUUUGAAGCAACUCUGGUAAAAAAAGAGUUGUGCAAGCGUAGCUGUUCAGAAAUUCUGGGGUUGCCUCUACCAGAUGUGAGAACAUGGCAACUCUAGUACUAAAACACAUGCAACUUCCCUGUGCAUUAAAGCAUGAACUAUCAAGAACAUAAAAACUCAUGUUAUAAGCAAAGGUAGAAAGUAUUAACUUGCAUGUGUUAACACACAACUUUUGCCAUAUCAGUAUGGUUCUCGCUAAAAAAGACACAAACGACAAACGCACAAAACAAAGGACACGUCAUAAACAGAUUCGGACAAUCCCACACUAAGAUACUUUGCUCCAUAUGGUCUCACUAAAAAAAUAAAAAAGACAUAAACUACACCAAAUGAUAGGCCUGCUGCUCCUGGUAAGCUCUCCGUCAGAUAUGCACAUUGUUUCCCAUCAUCAAAAAGUUGUAAUCUGCUGCUGAAAAAAGGCACAAAUGAAUCAGUGCAUGUCAUGUAAAAACAAAUCUUUGCUGCUGUAUAUGUGUGUCAUACUGGUAGAAACAUAAAACGUAUAAGAAAAAGGAAGAAACAAGAAACUUUCGAGAAAAAAGAAGAUAGGAAUUGCCUCUGUUUAACUUUAUAGUUGCCCAAACAAGUGUUUAUAGUUGCUCCUUUAUAUUCUACAACUAGUUUGUUCAAAAACGUCAUGCAUGCUUUUAUGGUGGGCUAACACACAGUUUGUUGCAGCUUGAUUGUUCAUGAUGAUUGAUCUGAAUGAACCACCGCUUGACGUAGAGUCCAUCAACAUUUCAGUCGAGUUGGGUGCACCCUUCUUGCAUGCAGGGGAUGAGCAGGAGCAUCAACAUUUGGAGGAGGAGGUUGGUGAGUCUCCUGACCCCAACGUUGGCUCUAACACUAUUCAUGUUCUGGACAAUCGUGUUGCCGCUCCCCCACCUAUGGUUGCUUCUGCUAAUGCUUUAGUUCAUGAGGCACAUGAGUUGGAAGACGAAGAAGCUGGAUCACAGCCACAACAACCUUAUGUUGGCAUGCGCUUCGACACAUUAGAGGAUGCGAGAGAACACUACAAUCGCUACGCUUUGAUGGAGGGCUUUUCAAUCAAGUCAAAUACGUCUUACAGGUCGGCCUACACAGGCGUGCUGGAAAAACAGCAAUUCUGCUGUAACAAGUUACGCAAACCAGUAGAGAGGGUUGGGAUCCCGGAUGUUCCCUCGUCAAGCAAAAACACUACAUGCCCGAGUUCACCUGAACAAGAUGUUGAAGAGGAAACAAGAAACUGUGAAGCAAACAGAAUGCCGUGCUAAGAUGGUGGUGAAGCUUAAAGAUGACAGAUGGGAGGUUAUCACUUUUAUUGCAGAUCACAACCAUCCACCGAUUGAGAAGCCAUCGCUUUCGAAAUACCCCCGUUCUCAUCAAGGAAUCCCGCCGGAACAGAAAAAAUUUCUGACUCACCUAAACGACUGCAACUUGACAGCAGAUACAACUCACAUUGGAUUAAAUAUUUUUACCACAGAAUUGUUACUUAUUCCUGCAUCAAGUACUUUGACCUGAGCCAACUAUGUUCAUUUUUUGUGCAACUCUGGUAAUUAAAAAAAUCAUGACCCAAAACAGAAAACCUUGGUGUUGCCUAUUCCUACCUCAACUACUUGGAUUUCUUUCCUAUCCUCGUAUAAGCUGCUUAGGAUUCAUGGGCAACCCUGAUCAGGGAGAAAAACCGGCAACUUGAACAGUAAACUGAGGCAACUAUGUUCAUUUUCCGUGCAACUCUGAUAAAUAAAUAAAAGACAUCACCGAGCAGAAAAAAAAACUUGGUGGGAUACAGGCUUGGUUCUUGUUCUACUUAUGCAUAAUUGUUACUUUAUGUUCUCUAUAAAAACAUGUUGCUCACUGCAUUAUGGUUAGUUAGUCCAGGAAAACACAAGUUUCUGUUUUUUUAUGGAAGGAAAGAUGAUGACGUUAAUGUCAUCAUAAUACGGCUCGGAGUUGAUUGUUCCGUACACAGCAAAAGCCAUCCAUAACCACUGUUCGAAGGUCAACGCCCCAACUAAAGACAUUGACAUUGAAGAAACACUAAACUAGUUUUGCAAGGUGAUGGAAAACGACCCAGGAUUCUUCUUUAAAUGCAAGACAGAUGCGGAAGGCAGGACAGAAAACUUGUUUUGGGUGGAUGGUGCACCACGGAAAGCAUACGCGGAGGCUUAUCAUGAUUGCGUGUCAUUUGAUGCAACUUAUCUCACAAACAUGUACAAUAUGCCGUUUGCCCCCUUCAUUGGCAUCAGCAGACAUGGGCAGUCAAUUAUGCUUGGGUGUGGAUUUGUCCGGCAGGAACUAGCCUCAAGUUAUGACUGGUUGUUUGAUGCUUUCCUAGAAGCAAUGGAUGGUUUGGCUCCGGACAACAUCAUCACAGACCAAGAUGUUGCUAUGGCACAAUCUAUCAAGAGGAAGUUCUCGGCAACGAUUCACCGUUGCUGCAGUUGGCAUAUAAUGAAGAAAGCACAAGAGAAGCUUGGCCUGUUGGCUAGGAACCCGGAUUUGGUAAAAGACUUCAAUGAAUGCAUUGACUUUAGUUUCACCCCGGCUGAGUUUGAAAGGAAAUGGGCUGCACUUCAAUUGAAAUACGAAGGUCUUAUGCAUGGUCACUCUGAGAAACUCUAUGAAGACCGGGCUACAUGGGUGCCGUGUUACUUCAAAUUCAGGUUCUUCCCUUCCCUUCAGUCAACGCAACGCAGCGAAGGGUUCAAUGCUGUGUUGAAGCGCUAUGUGAACCCACACAAGUCAAUUCUCAACUUCGUCAAGCAAUAUGAGAAGAUUCAGGUACACAUACUCGUGAGGGAGGGCGGGAACUACUACCGGACAGAGCAUCUAGAAGCACAAAGAUGGUCGCGUUUCCCCAUUGAGAGGCAUGCCUACAAAGCAUACACUAGGGACAUCUAUGUGAAAUUUAGAACCGAGUUUCAGAUGAUUGGCCAGUACGAUGUGCGUCCCGCUGGAAUCAACUUCUAUUACCUUGAGCCCAAUACAGAAGAAGUUCUAGGGUAUGGCUGAAGGAAGUACCGAGUCACAGUGAGACCAGAGACAGCAAUCUAUGAUUGCGAAUGUUGCAAGUGGCAUAGGUACGGCAUGCUUUGUUGCCAUGUCUUGAAAAUCUUCACACACCUUGGCGGUAAUGAGAUACCUGAACACUACAUCAAGCACCGCUGGAUGCAAGAUGCAGUGCCAAGUGCACCACCGGCAACUAAUGAGGGCCCUCCACAGGACUUGCCCGCUGAGUCAGAGAACCAAGUUCGGCAAGUGACUCUGACAAUGGAUUUUGCAAAGCUAGCCAAGAAGGCAAUGACUAGUGAUGAGGCAGCCGCUGCAGUUAGGAGGCACAUGAAAGCAGCAGAGGUUACUAAGCUGAAUAAACUGAGGAAUACGAGGCUAAAGGCAGCCCGAGAAGCGGCUCGUGCUAGGGAAGCAUCAAACCCUAAUGCCCCAAGUGCUUCAAACCAACCUCCUGCCCCCCUGCUCCUAUGGAUCCAACUCGUUCAGUCACAAAAGGGCGCAGCCGCAGCAGGCGCUUCAAAUCAACCCUGGAACUAUACCCUAAGAAUAAGAACAAGUGCAACAUUUGUUAAUCAAUCGAUCACACUGCUGCGACAUGCCUAGGGAAGCUGAUGUGAUCGUUACCACAUGAAGAUAAUGACCCCAUGGGCUUGCAAAACUAGCUGAAGUAAGAAAAAAAAGCAACAGUGUCCUGGUAGAUGAAGCAAUUGUGGUCUGGUUUCUGAGAAAAUGUAGAAGGGAAAUCAAGCAACUGUCAGUUUAAAAAAAAAGCAACUAUGAAAUGAUUUGCAUGGACUUGUUUUAAUUUAUGUGUUUUCCUAGCUUUAAAUUCACAAAUUGGAGACUGUGUGGAGGUAGAUGCUUGACAUUUGUGCUUAUAUUCCUUACUCGUAAACUUGCAAAUCCUAUGGACGCUUGUGAUUUAUGCAAACUUGUUAUAGGUGGUUUGGGACAAACUUUUGUGAGUUUUCUAAUGGAACACAUUAGUAUUCGCAUUUGAUAUUCUCUAAUGGAACACGUUGAUCAGGAAAAAAAUUUACCUAGUUAUUUGUUCACUUGUUGGCCGGUUUGAGGAUCUCCUGCCAUGGAAUCUUGUUCAGGUCACACUUCAGCAUGGAGAUGGUCAUCUUCUUCUUGAUGUUUGGUAUGUCGCUUUCUUCGUAGUUCGGGAGCCACGUCCCGUUCCACAAUAACGCGUUCAUCAAUGCGAAUAUGCUACAGUCACCGCUACAAAAAAACAAAUGUCAAGAAAGCACUUGCAAAAAAGGCAAACACUACGUCUUAUAACAACGAUAUGUAUGUAUGUGGGUUAGUCCUUACGAUACAGUCUGCUUUGGUGCAUCGAUAUCCACAAGCGAGAACUUGUCCAUUGUCUUUGCUUGUUUUGGAUAGUAUUUGUCCCACAACACAUGAACUGCAGCUACAAUAGCCCUUGCAACAUCAUCCAGCCUCUUGCUUUUCUUUAACAUCCUCCAUGAGUCAAACACUUCGAACCUUUUGUCCCUCAGAUUGAUGUUGAGUAGCCAGUAGUGGUGUGUACCAUUGGCGUUCUCUGGGUCUAAAUUUUCAAGCACAGGAAUCAUAACCUUCAAAAAAAAACCAUGUCAGCAUAACAAAGGACAUCAACACCUGAUAUGUUUUUGGGUAACUCUAUAUGUUUUUAGGAGCAACAUCUGAUAUGAUUUUUAGGCAACUCUCUAGAAUUUUAGGCAACUUCUGGCAUAACUCUCAAAACACUAGAAAAAAUCAAAAAACUUCUGACAUGUGUAUGAAGCUUCUACAAUGGCUUAUCAGGCAACUUUGUGGGUUUUUAUGAGCAACUUACCAUGUGAUUUCAAGCAACUCCUAUGAUUUCCUGAUAUCAGCUUCUAAAAAAAAUCUAAGAAAAAACAGAAAUAACACCAACUUUCAGAUGUGGUUUCAGGAAACCCUGAGUUGGUAGGGGCAACUUUACUUGAGUAAGUGCGAUAGAUAUGUAAAAACCAAAAAUAAAUAAAAAACUGACUUCUGAACAACAAAACACAGGCAAUGCUCUUGGUUUUCAAACUGUGCAGAAAAAAAUGUCACUAUAACCAUGCACAUUUUAGGCAACAAUGCAAACUAAAACAGGCAACAUAUAUGUAAAGAAAAGCCAACUGACAGAUACUGCUCACCCAUAUCUUGAGGGGGCUAUUAUAGUAGGUACACAGCAGGGGUGGUUGUGUACAUGCACAGCAGGAGGGGUUGGUACAUCCACCUAAGUGUAAGUGCAUCUACUGCCACCCCUAGUUGGUUUUGGAGUAUUGACGACAAACCUGGUUGAGGGACUAAUGUGUUUGUGAGAAUUGCAGGAUAACACAGGUAGUAGUCCCUCAUUGAUUCGGUUUACCUACCGGAGAUGACCCCUAAAAACGUAUGAAGACAAUGGUGGUAUGUGAAGAUAUUCACAUUGAAGACUAUGACAAGAGAAGACAUCGCGUGAAGACUACGGAGCGCGAAGACUUAGUUGUUUCGUUGUUUCCUUUUCUUCUUUGUUGAGUCACAGGAACCACCGUACUGUUAAGUGGGGUCCCAGUGACAAAGUCAGAGUGACUGAAGUGAUGCUCAACCAAAUCCUAUGUCUUCGAGCGAAGACAAUGAGAGCAAAUCUUAUCCAGAGCUGGAUGAGUCAGCUUUACUUGUAGCCCAAGUCAAGCUGCCGCGUGUGUUUGAAAUUUGACCAUUGGAACACGUGUCAGUUCCUUAGUGACCCAGGGUCAUUUCGGACAAAUCAGGUCGGGUUGCCUAGUGGCUAUAAAUAGCCCACCCCCUACACCAUAAAUUGGUGGCUGCUUAGAGUUAGUACACGGCUUUUGUCGUUUGAGAGCAACCCACCUCCGAAGCUUUUGAGAGAGAGAAAUGCUUGCGAGGACAAAGCCCAAACACCCAGAGCAAAAGAGUUGUAGGCAUCACUGAAGUCUUUCUGUCCGCAUGACCUGAAGACUUGUUACACUUGAGGACUGUGAAUCCUCCAGCCGGUUAGGCGUCGCGUUCUGAGCAUCCAAGAGUCAUUGUGGAUCACCGGUGAACGAAGUCUGUGAAGGUUUGGAAGUCUACCUUGAAGACUUACCAGAGUGAUUGGGUGAGGACUGGGUGUCCUUAGCUCAAGGGGAAUAAGGUGAAGACACGGUCUUCUGAGUUAAAUCUCAGCCUCCCUAACCAGACAUACAGUUGUCACAGCAACUGGAACUGGUCCAACAAAUCAUUGUCCUCAUCAAGAGACUGGUUCUAUCCUCUCUCUCUCUUUAUUUAUAGUUUGUCUUCGUGAAGUCAUUGCCUGCUUGUGUUACCUGUUUGACUUCACUGUGUGACUUCUAUUGUUGUUUGGCUUCACACUAUCUUCCAUCCUGAUCUUUACUACCUAGCUGCUAUUAGUCUUCAUGCUUUCACUUCAUUGAAUACUUAACUAUGGCCUGCCUAGUGUAGUCUACCUUCCGUUGCAUGUCAAUAGGUUCAUUUCUAUCGUUUGUCUUUGAAACUCCCAUGUUUUGAAGACUUACAUAAAAAUCGCCUAUUCACCCCCCUCAAGUCGAUAACUAGCACUUUCAAUUGGUAUCAGAGCAAGGUACUCCCUUGUUCUGUGUGAUUCGGUUUAACCACCUGGAGUUUUAGCUAUGUCGAUUGCAGGGAUAAUCAAAGUCUCCGCUGCGUGCCCCGUCUUUGAUGGAACAUAAUAUCCCUACUGGAAGAAUAAGAUGCACAUGCAUCUUGAAGCCAUUGAUGUCGACCUCUGGUAUGUCGUCAAGAAUGGUGUUCCCAAGACUGGUGAAGGUGUCACCCCUGCUGAUGUCAAGAAGUUCAUUCAACUAGAUUCUACUGCCAAGAACAUCAUCUGUGGUCAUCUGACCAAAGGACAGUAUGGCCGUGUGAGUGCUCUGGAAACGUCGAAGCUAGUCUGGGACUGGCUCUCCAAGGUCAACGAAGGCAUCUCAACCCAGAGAGAUCAAAGGAUCAGUGUUCUUCGCAACCUCUUCAACCGUUUCAAGAGAAACGACAAUGAGAAUGUCCAGCUCAUGUUUGAUCGCCUCACUGACAUCACAAAUGAGCUUCGUGCUCUCGGCACCACUGAGAUCACCAAGCAUGAAAUCGUCAAGACACUCCUGAGAUCACUUGACAGCUCGUUCGACACCCUUGCCCUAAUGAUACAAGAACGCCCUGACUUCAAUACACUCGAUCUGUCUGACAUACUUGAGAGGCUCAACACACAUGAGUUCCAGCUAUCUGAGAAAAGAGAUAUCUAUGGUCCAAACUAUGGCCGAACUUGCGCUUUGAAGGCAAAAGCUGUUUCCUCAUCUGAAGAAGAAUCUGACUGCAGUUCUGGUGAUCCUGAAGACAUUGGAAAGGAGCUUGCUAUGCUUGUGAAGAAGUUCCAGAAGUUCACUAAGAAGAAGGGCUUCAGAAAGUCUUCACGAUCCAGCUCAAGAAAUGAUGAAGCUUCCACUCAUGAUUACAAGAAGAGAACAUGUCACAAGUGCAAGAAACCUGGACACUACAUCUCUGAGUGUCCACAGUGGGACAAUGAGAACAAGAAGAAGAAGAAGAAGAGCAAGGAAUAUGAUUCUGAUGACAAGAAGAAGAAAAAAUCCUCAAAGUCUUUGUCCAAGUCUUCAUCACAUAACAAGAGCUCAUCUGGCAAGGCUCGUGCUUUUGUUGGCAAGGAGAUGGAUUUAGAGGAGGAGUCUGCUUCUGAGGAGGCUGAGGUGGAGUCUGAGGAGGAGUCUGACACUGGCGUUGCAAGUCUGGCUCUAGCUACAGCUUACGUUGCGAAGUCCAUCUUCAACACUGAAGACAAUGGCCCCGUCACCAACGCUGAUGCUAAUGACAAGGACGACUCUGCCCCCACCUACUCCUUCAUGGCACGUGGUGCCAAGGUAAAAUCAUGCGAUGCUUACUUUCAAACAUGAAGUGAAGAUGACUCUGAUUGUGAAUCCAAACCCAGCUACAAAACACUUGCUAAAAUUGCAUCUAAACAACAGAAAGCUAUGGAACAUACUCAAAAACUGCUAGACAAAAGUGAUGACCUGUUGGACGCGGAAAUGACCCGAUCUCAGUCCUUAAUUGAAGACAUAAAAAAUCUUCAUGCUAAGUACCAGGAACUUGAAAGUCGUCAUGAAAUGCUCUCAACGACUCAUGAAAAGCUUUCCUAUGAUUAUCUUCAAACGAAGCAAGAACUUGAGAAAUUGAGAGCGGCUCAUGAAGAUCUUCAAAAGGAGAAUGAGUCACUUCGCGCUCAACAGAUCAGUCCCGCUCAGGAAGGAUUUGAACCACCAUGUCUAAAAUGCCUUGAGUGUGAUAACGCUACUUCUGUUGCCGAAUGUUCUACUGCUGCUACUGUUGCAAUAUCUUCAACUAUUGAUGUGGUAACUAACCCCUCUCCUGAGGAUACCACUACUAUUGCUGAUGAAAAUGCUAGGUUGAAGACAUUGCUUGAAACAGGGAUGUACAAAAGUCUCAAAGGGCAUCAGACACUGUGCGAUGUCCUCAAAAAGCAGAUUCUGAACCGAAACCCUAGGAAAGAGGGUGUUGGGUUCGAGAGGAAAAUGAAUGUUGAUGGUUCCUACUGGAAGCCUGAGCAGUACCCCAAAACCACAUGGGUAGCUGCAAAGGGACCUUCAGUGGAUCCAUCCACUUUAUCUGGCUUCACUUGUGCUAACCCAGUUAUCAUUGAUGAAUCCUUUGAUGCAAACUAUAAACUGUUUAAGAAUCAGAAUGGUGAAGUGUUCGCCAGGUAUAUUGGUACUAACUGCAGGAAUGGGCCACCUAUGAAGAAGAUCUGGGUUCCCAAAAGUUGUCUUGAGAAUGUCAUCGUGAUACCGCCUGGGAAGAAGACAAAUCCCAGACCAAAAGCUUCAUAUGGUCCAAAGGCUUCAUACCGAUACAGGACUCAACUGAGUCACCCUAACGCCAAUGUUUUGCAGGGAAAUCAUACUUAAAACUUAUGAAUAUGAGCGUGUUUCUUCAAACCGCUAUGUUCAUAAGACCAAGAACUUUUCUGCUUAUUCAUAUGAGUAUUAUUCUCCUCCUGCAAGGAUAUUUGCUAGGGCUCCAAAGCCGUAGUUCUCAGAUGCUGCACUUAGACUCAUUGCUUCUAAGCCACCCCUGAAGAUGUGGGUGGUUAAGAAGAAUUAACUUUCCUUUGCAGGGAAAGGUCUCCAGCCGGAAAUCAAAGGCGUCCGAUGCUAUUGCUGGGGACCUAAAACAUCUUGUAGGGCGCAAGAUAAAAUGCCCAAAUGGUUUCACUAUGUAUUUUGUUCCUGAAUCACUUGCCAAACAUCCUAUAAGUCGCAACCUUGAUCUGAGCUUUGAUAAUCCUCUUGUCCGUAAAAUUUUUAUGCUUCACAAUACUUUUGGUGAAGCCUAUCCCCCUAACUGUACUGUAGGGUAUGACACCAAAGUCUUCAGAAUGGAUUAUGGACAGCGGAUGCACUAAUCAUAUGACUAGUGAUCGAAGUCUUCUCAUGGACUCAACCUUACGUCCAUCUGACAAGAGUCACAUCACAUUUGCUGACACUGGUAAAAGCAAGGUAUUGGGUCUAGGUAGAGUUGCAAUCUCAAAGGAUCAGCACAUGGAUAAAGUGAUGCUUGUUGAAUUCCUUGGUUUCAACUUAAUGUCUGUCUCAAUGCUUUGUGACUUGAACAUGAUUGUGAUAUUUGGAAAAUAUCGUUGGCUUGUACUAAUGGAAUCUGACAAGUCUUUAGUCUUGGAAGGGUAUCGGAAAGAUGAUUUGUACAUGGUAGAUUUCUCAGCAGGACCACAGCUUGCCGUAUGUCUUCUAGCAAAAGCUUUAGAGUGCUGGCUCUGGCAUCGGAGGCUAGGGCAUGCUGGGAUGAGGAACUUGCAUACGCUUGCAAAGAAGAAACACGUCAUAGGCAUCGAGGGCGUCAAGUUCAAGAAGGAUCACUUAUGCGGUGCCUACGAAGCUGGAAAGAUGACAAGUGCCAAGCAUCCCUCGAAGACAAUCAUGACAACAUCUCAACCCUUCGAGCUGCUACACAUGGACUUAUUUGGCCCUACUCACUACUCUACUCUCACUACUACUGCUUGUCUCUAUGGUUUCGUCAUUGUUGUUGAUUAUUCAAGAUAUACUUGGGUGGACAUAAUCCUCUACAAGACUGAAGUGCAGGAUGUAUUCAGACGCUUCGCCAACCGUGCCAUGAACAACUAUGGCGUCAAGAUCAAGCAUAUCAGAAGUGACAACGGCACAGAGUUCAAGAACACCGGCCACGACCUUUACUUGGAUACAUUGGGAAUCACUCAUGAGUUCUCAGCUCUGUACACACCUCAGCAAAAUGGCAUCAUGGAGCGCAAGAACAGAACACUCAUUGAGAUAGCUCGGACGAUGCUUGAUGAAUACAAGACUGCAAGAAAGUCCUGGCCUGAAGCUAUUGAUACUGCAUGCCAUGUCAUCACCCAUGUUUAUCUUCACAAGCUUCUUAAGAAGACAUCCUAUGAGCUCCUAACUGGUAAAAAGCCAAAUGUAAGUUACUUCAGAGUAUUUAGUGCUAGGUGUUGGAUCAAGGAUCCACAUCACACAUCAAAAUUUGCACUGAAAGCACAUGAAGGUUUUAUUCUUGGUUACGGAAAGGAUUCGCACUCCUACAGAGUCUUCAACCUCUUUCACUAUAAAGUGGUUGAAACUGUAGAUGUGCGGUUCGAUGAAACUAACGGCUCGCAAAGAGAGCACCUGCCAAAUGUGAUAGGUGAAGUUCCACCUAGUGAAUCCAUCAAGCUUAUGGGAACUGGAGAAAUCAUACCGUCUGAAGCACAGCCUGAAGAGGACUUAUCAUUUCUGCACCUAAUCAACCUGAAGACAAUCCUCCUAACGAUGACAAUGAUCAGCAAGAGCAAAAUCUUCGUCCAGUUCAUCCUCGUGUUGCAAAUGAAGUACAGAUUGAGAAGAUAAUUGAUAGCAUCAAUGCGCCUGGUCCACUCACUCGUUCAAGAGCAACACAGCUAGCAAAUUUCUGUGGGCACUUUGCAUUUGUCUCAAUAUCAGAACCCAAGAAAGUUGCUGAAGCCUUCAUGGAACCUGAAUGGAUUCAAGCUACGCAAGAAGAGCUUCAACAGUUCAAGCUGAACAAUGUGUGGGAACUUGUCAAGCGUCCUGACCCUCGCAAGCACAACAUAAUAGGCACAAAAUGGAUAUAUCGCAACAAGCAAGAUGAGCAUGGUCAAGUUGUCAGAAACAAGGCUCGUCUCGUUGCUCAAGGAUACACUCAAGUUGAAGGGAUUGACUUCGAUGAAACAUUUGCUCCCGUGGCUAGGCUUGAAGCCAUUCGCAUAUUGCUAGCCUACGCAAAUCAUCACAACAUCCUUCUAUAUCAAAUGGAUGUGAAGAGUGCAUUUCUCAAUGGCAAGAUUGAAGAAGAAGUGUAUGUUGCCCAACCUCCUGGCUUUGAAGAUCCAAAACAUCCUGAUAUGGUAUACAAGCUUAGCAAGGCACUGUAUGACCUCAAACAAGCCCCUCGCGCUUGGUAUGACACGCUCAAAGACUUCCUGAAGAGCAAAGGCUUCAAACCUGGUUCCCAGGAUCCCACACUCUUCACAAAGACAUAUGAUGGUGAACUGUUUGUGUGCCAAAUAUAUGUGGAUGACAUUAUCUUCGGCUGCACCAACCAGAAAUACAGUGAUGAGUUUGGACACAUGAUGCAAGAGCAAUAUUAGAUGUCCAUGAUGGGUGAGCUGAAGUUCUUCCUUGGUCUUCAAAUUCAUCAGCAAAGCAAUGGCAUCUUCAUAUCUCAAGGGAAAUAUCUCAAAGAUUGCCUGAAGAAGUUUGGAAUGCAAGACUGCAAAGGUUACACGACGCCAAUGCCAACCAAGAGUCAUCUGGGUCUUGACGCCAAUGGUAAAGAGUUCGAUCAAAAGGUAUACCGCUCCAUGAUUGGUUCUUUACUUUAUUUAUGUGCAUCUAGGUCAGAUAUCAUGCUUAGUGUUUGUGUGCUCGAUUCCAAGCGGCACCAAAGGAAUCGCAUCACUUAGCUGUGAAGCGAAUUCUUCGAUAUUUGGCUUACACCCCAACAUUAGGAUUAUGGUAUCCAAAGGGCUCAGAGUUUGAUCUAGUUGGAUUCUCGGAUGCUGAUUAUGCUGGUGACAAGGUGGUUCGCAAGUCUACAUCAGGCACAUGUCACUUUCUGGGACGAUCACUUGUCUGUUGGUCUUCAAAGAAGCAGAACUGUGUAUCACUCUCCACUGUUGAAUCUGAAUACAUUGCUGCUCGAUCUUGCUGCGCUCAGCUUCUAUGGAUGAAGCAAACACUCAAGGACUAUGUCAUCCAUCUGAAGCAAGUACCACUCUACUGUGAUAAUGAAAGCGCCAUCAAGAUUGCCAACAACCCAGUUCAGCACUCGAAGACAAAGCACAUUGAAAUUCGUCAUCACUUUCUUAGAGAUCAUGUUAUGACGGAAGAUAUUGAUAUCAUUCACGUCAACACUGAAGAGCAAUUGGCAGAUAUCUUCACAAAGCCCUUGGAUGAGAAAAGGUUUUGCAAGUUACGGUGUGAGCUAAAUAUCUUGGAAUCCUCGAAUGUCCUAUGAUCAGGCACACAUCCUAACACUUAUGCAUGUUGAUGACUUAGAUGUGCAACACACAAAGUAAUGUAUAUCUUCAAUCAAUGAAGACUUACACUCUGAGUGUGAAUACAUUAAUGCAGAAUUUGACUUCGGAGCGCCACGAUAAUUGUGCGCCGUGUCUGGGUCUAAUACUUCCUAUACGGUGGGUAACGCCACCACCAAACUUUUGUUUGAAGUGUUUUCUAUUGGCGUUACUUCUGCAAAGUCUUCGCACUUGGUUUGUCUUCAAUAUUGACAUGACUUCAUGUUUAUCUUCACAAUGUUGAUUUGGUCUUAUUCUGAUAUAUACAUAUAUUAGUGUUGUAUCCUCUACAGCAUUCACUUAUAGCUAUGUCUUCUCGUUUGAAACUUUUGAACUAAGUGAAUGUGAUCGGACCCUAACCUCUCUAUGCUUCCUUCUCAAAUCUAUCUAUCCAAAUCAUAUGCAUUCUAUUGAAACCGUUGUAUGUCUUCUCUGCGUCCUUGUUAGCAGAAGAUACAGAAACAAACAUUAAAUCUGUUUUAAAUGCUCAAUCCUUAUUGCCUGAAACCCGGAGAAGCCGAAACGACCACCCGACAGUUCAGGCAUGCACGAGAACAUGGAACAACUCCCAAUGUGUUGCAUGUUCGCCACAUGUCCCUCAGAUGUGAACCGCCAGGGGGCACCUGCGUAAUUGCGCUGUGCCGUCCCUCUCCUUAUAAAUACACAUCACAUCGCGGUCAAAAUACUUCUUCCACCUCUCCACCUCAGACAAACCCUAGCGCCACCGCUAGCUCUAGACGACGCCGACGAUGAAGCGCUUAGCUGCCGCGACCUCACCGACGACGUCCCCACGCCGGCCGCGGACAUCGUCUUCUCCGCGCCGCUGUAGGUGUCCUCCGUCGCCAAGUUAGGGCACGGAAGAUCGAACUGCUCCGCCUCAUCUUCUACUCCGUCUAGCAGUUCAUCGUGUGGUAAAUUAAAACUCUCUUUUUACUGUCUUUUUGAUCCGAUGGAUUCAUCUUUCCUUACCAAAAGUAGUUUCUGCCUCCACAAGUUGGAUCUAUCCCGUUCUACAUCUCAUAAUAUGCCUAGUAUAUUCACUUAUGCCUCAUACGUAGUUAGAUUCCUCACUUGUACCUAUUCUUGGAUUCGUACAAAUCUGGAACCAACUCUCAACAUAUAAGUGAAUGUCUUCGCGCUAUGAGGUCAAUGUCUUCUAAACUGAUUUAUCUUCAAAAUCUUCUGAGAAUGCAUAUGACCUCUUCCCCUUCCCUCGCAUCUCUAAUGCUGUCACAGGUACAUGUCCGUGGGAGAAUCCCUUGGUUCUCAUAGCCUGCAUUCAUUUGCAGAAUUAUUACAGCAUCAUAUCAAUUCUCCCGAAGCUAGUUCUUGUCUUACCAGCAGACGGAAGACUUUGACAGCUUUGAAGCCAUUCAGUCUGAACUACAUGGCCACAGAAAAAUCAGCAAGGAAGGGAGGCAGACAGCGCCUCGGGGGCACAUCAAUGGAUCUGCCCGAAGAUCUCUAUGAGCUAUACAAAACUGAUCCUGAAGAGAGCUAUGGCCAACGCAAAACUCGAAUCCAAUGGAUUCGAAGAUAUUGGGCCGAGCAAUGGUUCAAGUACAGAUUCGUCACCAAGGAAUACGCUGAAAAGAAUGCCAUCAAGCGUCCUUGGGGAGACAUUCUCUACAAAAAUCUUCAACCCAAGACCAGAUCUGAAGCUAUUGCCCAGGGUUUCUACCCUUGCAUGGUCCGUGGACCACAGCCUGCUGAUGCCGACCCAUCCUCUUUGCCAUGGUGCCAUGAAGACAAUCUGUUCAAGCGCAACUACCAGUUUGCCAAGAACUCGGCCAAAGAGAACAAGAAGAGUCUCGGAUGCGAUUUCAACCCAGGGCCUUCUGCUCCACGGGCUGAUGGUACAAGAGAUGCCAAUCCAAAUGUCAUCGGCCCCUUUGAUAACUUUGAUGGUCUCCUCUCCUACAUCGCUGCUCAGAGGGCCACGGUGGAUCAGUCUGGAGAUGAAGCUGAUUCUGAUGAGGCUCCUGCUCCACCAAAGCCUCAAAAGCAGAAGAAACUCAAGGCUUCAAAAGCCCUCCUAUGCACCAAGAGCUUCGCGAGUGAAGCCUCUGGCCACUGCUCCUCCUGCACCUAGUGUGCAUUCUGAAGAUCUCUCUCGCAUCUCCAAGACAGAGAAGAAGAAGAAACCCAUACAAACUACUGGUCAAGCACUGAGCCCAGCUGCUGUUUUGAGGAAUGAGAAUGAAGCCAUUGAUCUUUCUAGUGACGACGAUCUUGGCGAUGAUGCUCUUGAGCUGCUGAUAAAGAGCAAACAAGAGGUGGAAAUCUUCAACGAUCUUCCCCUGUUUGAUGUGGACAUUCUGAACAAGUUCAUUGAUGAAUGGUUUGAUAGCCCAAACCUCAGCUUUGAUGAUCUUCAGCUUCCUGUUGGCCUCAGUGUUUCAUUCCAUGGAGCCAUUGCUCCUAAGCUGGCUCUAGCUGAGAAAAUUGUUGAACUGAAGCACAAAAUCGACUAUGAGAAGGCUCAGUUCAAGAAGCAUAUGGCUGAGCUCAGUGUGACUGAUGUUCAGAAUUUCAAGCAAAUGAUGCAUGAGCUCAAGGAGGCUUUUCACAAGAAACGUGACGAAGCUAAAGGUUCUCGAGAGCGCAUGAAACUCCUGGCUGCCAAAUGUGUUCAAGCUUACAAUGAAGCAGAGAAGCGCAAGGCACUUGGGCGUCCUGGCAUCUACCCCAAGAUGGCUGCCAAGAUGAAGAAGAAGCCUGCUGUGGACCAAGCUGAAGCAUCCAGGCGGGAGGAACCUCGCAUUGUCUUCCCCGCCAGUAUGACAGGCGUGAAGCCAAAGGUCCCCAUAGUGGCUUCAGAUUUCAAGAAAACCAGGACAGCUGAAGCUGAAGCCAGAAAGCGCAAGUCCAAGAACACCACUGAUGAAGCUCCACCAACCAAGAAGAGAAAAACGAAGAAGAAAGAUCGGGCUGCUCCCACAGAGCCCCUUGUUGUCGAGCCAAUUUCUGUUGCUCGUCCUGCGUCUGCACACCAAGAGCGUCGGUUGAUAGUUCAUGAGCCUGCUACCACAGAGGCUCCUGAAACUGAAGAGAUUCCAGCUGUUGACCCCACCGCAGCUGAAGACAUUGGUCACCAAGACAAUGUAGAAGAUGAUGAAGUCCUUCCUCAGAUCGAGCACAACGUGGUAUCAUCGCCUGUUCUCACGACCAGCGAACUCNNNNNNNNNNNNNNNNNNNNNNNNNNNNNNNNNNNNNNNNNNNNNNNNNNNNNNNNNNNNNNNNNNNNNNNNNNNNNNNNNNNNNNNNNNNNNNNNNNNNNNNNNNNNNNNNNNNNNNNNNNNNNNNNNNNNNNNNNNNNNNNNNNNNNNNNNNNNNNNNNNNNNNNNNNNNNNNNNNNNNNNNNNNNNNNNNNNNNNNNNNNNNNNNNNNNNNNNNNNNNNNNNNNNNNNNNNNNNNNNNNNNNNNNNNNNNNNNNNNNNNNNNNNNNNNNNNNNNNAGAAACACCAACCACUCCCCCAACUCAAGUCACCACUCCAGUACUUGAAGAUGAAGACUUGGUGGCCCAGACAACUCUAUAUCCACAAGUGUCGCUAGCGUUUCGCAGGCUUCGCAAAGGACCAAGGCCACAAGUCACACUUUUGAGUGUUCCAGAAGGAGAAGAGCACCACUCUGUAUCACACCAAGUAUUUCAUGAAGCCUCUCCAUCUGCAAACAUCUCCGAGUCUGAAGCCAAAGUGGCUGAAGACAUUCCGGCUGCAUCAGCCGAUGAACAAGAAGAGCCAAGAGUAGAAGAAGAACGUGUUGCUACACCCCCGUCCAACCCUGAAGUUGUUCUCGAGGAGAACGUGUCCGACCCUCCAGCUACUCAAGAGGAGGUUAAUAAUACUGAGGCGGCCACAAACAACUCAACUAAAGCCAAUAACAUUGUCAUGGCCGAAGCUAAUGUGGCGCCUGAAGCUAAUGUGGUGCCAGAAGUGAAUGCAUCUGAAGCCAAUGCUGCACCUGAUACAAAUCUGCAGCCUGAAGUCAAUGCCACUGCCACUGCUCAUGUACCACCUCCAAGGCCAGACACCAUCGAGCAAGCAUUUGAUCGUGGUCAGCUGGUUACUGUCAGAUGGCCCAUUCUGGUUCCUCCACCUGCUGCUGGUCCACAAUUUGACUAUCAUGUCGAGCACAGGCCUCAGGUCGAGAAGCCUAAGCCAAGGUUGCCAAGGUUUCCAGGUACUGCAACUUCACUAGGGUCAUCCAAUGCAAAUGGCCUCAUUGCGCACAACACUUUCUUUGAUAGUGCCAAGAACCCCUACUCCAAGCCAAGAAUUUCAUCUGAUCGGUUCUGGAGCUAUCAGCAGCGCAGUUUUAUUCCUGUGUUCUCUAUGAUCAAGGGCGCAUUUUUCCACAUAUGCGCCUAGACUGUGAAGCUAUUGCUGGACUGCCCUGCCUAGAAGAAGCUCUUGACUGUUUCCGUGAUGCUGGUCUUCUAAACUUUGUGUCUGAUAAAGAGCAUUGGAAUGAAGAGCUUCUGCUACAAUUCUAUGCUACCCUCCACAUUCGCAGCUUCAAUAGGGAUCCAAAGACAUGGAUCCUUGAGUGGAUGACAGGCAAUGUCCAUCAUGAAGCCAAAGCUCUGGAUAUCAUUGAGCUUACAGGCCUGCCCACUCUAGGUGAACUCUUCGAGCCUGGUUGUCAGGUUCACCGCAAUGCUUUGGAGAGCAUCUUUCAGAAGCCAGAGCCCAACAUGAGCCAAAUGUUGAGCAUGAUGAAGCCUCUGCCACGCGACGCUGAAUACCCAAAGAAUUAUUUGUUGAAGACCUAGAGUAUCUGCCCCGCACUAUUUAUCAUAUCAUCAUGUGAACUCUAUGGCCUGUCAAAGGACAUUCUUCUGUAGCGAAGCUUGAAGGAGCAAUGAAGACAUUGGUCUUUUAUAUCUUCAAUGGAAUCAACUUCAAUGCUCAAGACUUCUUUAUCAGGCAACUGGCUGCAUCAGGCUCUGAUCUCUUUGGUCUGAAAUUCUACGCUCCAUGGGUUAUGCGGCUUAUCAAGCUUCAUUCAGCUGUCAACUAUCAGCCUUCCGCUCGCAACCAUCUGAUAUUUUUGCCAGAGGUUGAUAUGUCAGUUGAAGCCAUAUAUCCAGAGCCUGCCAAGGAGCCUGUUUAUCUUCACAAUGCUGAUCACCAAAGCUUCACACAGCCCAUUUCAGGAGUUCAGGCCAUCACUCGUGUUUAUCCUUUGGCUGUCAAUACACGCUUACCUCAUCGUGCCCAUACUAAAGCCACUGAAAGCAUUAUUUCUCAAAGGCCUCGGAAGCGAUCUCGUGUUCUCAAUGACCGAGAACUUCUCGUCGCCCUGCAUCAGAAACAGGAUAAGCAUCACUACUAGCUGAAGCGGCAGCUGCAAAGCCUCUUGGUGGACGUCAAUCGCAUUCGCAACCUUGCCACCAAGAAUGCAUUUGUCACUCAUGAAACCAGUCGGAGGUCAUGGAAGAGUUUGACUUUGCUCAGUGCUGACGCUGAUCUUCAAGACGAUGGCUUCACUGAAAGAUUCAAGUUUGACUUCACUCCUCCAAGGAAUGCUGUCUUGCGUCGGACUCCCUCUCUUGAAGACUCUGACUAUUCCUCCUCAGCUGCAAUAGUGAAUGCCAGAGUCAUUGAUGACCAAGAUGAUGCUACUUCACCACCUCCAACUUCGGCGCGUAUCGACACUGCACCAAGUUCUUCUACACCACCAAACCUCAACGACGACCCUGCUGCUUCACCUACUCCUCAUGGGAACGAGUAGCGACUCUAUGUCUUCAAACCUUUUUGGUCCUUACUGACAAAAGGGGGAGAAUCAUAUGAUUUGAUAGUCUUCAAGCGGGUCCAUAUGGGUGGUUGCUUUAUAUAUUUUGCCAAGUGUUUACAACUCUCGCUUUUGAUACAUUUGGUUCUUUGAGUUGUAACACUUAAAAUUGAUGGUUGUCUGCUACUAGUUUGCUACUCUGUGAUGCGAUGAUAAAUUCCGCAUGUGCGAUGAUAAAUCCCGCACGAAGUCAUAUUGCCGACGUCCAUUUUUCAUUAUGCAUGUCAUUAUCUUUGUUAUAUCAAAUCAUGCAUGAUGAAUUGUCUUCAUAAGUUGAAGAGGAUCUCCACAAGUACAACCUGCCAUGUGCAUUUGCAUUCCAAAAGCAAAUUACUUAUAUGCACAUCUUCAGGGGGAGCCUUUUGCUACUUAUGAAUACAAUAUCUUAAUCCUUUACAAUUUCACAUACUUUUAUCCCCGUUGAAAACUUCAACCAGUUUGUCAUCAAUCACCAAAAAGGGGGAGAUUGUAAGUGCAUCUAGUGCCACCCCUUGUUGGUUUUGGAGUAUUGACGACAAGCCUGGUUGAGGGACUAUUGUGUUUGUGAGAAUUACAGGAUAACACAGGUAGUAGUCCCUCAUUGAUUCGGUUUACCUACCGGAGAUGACCCCUAAAAAUGUAUGAAGACAUUGAAGACAAUGGUGGUAUGUGAAGAUAUUCACAUUGAAGACUAUGACAAGAGAAGACAUCGCGUGAAGACUAUGGAGCGCGAAGACUUAGUUGUUUCGUUGUUUCCUUUUCUUCUUUGUUGAGUCAUAGGAACCACCGUACUGUUAAGUGGGGUGCCAGUGAACAAAGUCAGAAUGACUGAAGUGAUGCUCAACCAAAUCCUAUGUCUUCGAGCGAAGACAAUGAGAGCAAAUCUUAUCCAGAGCUGGAUGAGUCAGCUUUACUUGUAGCCCAAGUCAAGCUGCCGCAUGUGUUUAAAAUCUGACCGUUGGAACACGUGUAAGUUCCUUAGUGACCCAGGGUCAUUUCGGACAAAUCAGGUCGGGUUGCCUAGUGGCUAUAAAUAGCCCACCCCCUACACCAUAAAUUGGUGGCUGCUCAGAGUUAGUACACGGCUUUUGUCGUUUGAGAGCAACCCAUCUCCGAAGCUUUUGAGAGAGAGAAAUCCUUGCGAGGACAAAGCCCAAACACCCAGAGCCAAAGAGUGUUAGGCAUCACUGAAGUCUUUCUGUCCGCGUGACCUGAAGACUUGUUACACUUGAGGCCUGUGAAUCCUCUAGCCGGUUAGGCGUCGCGUUCUGAGCAUCCAAGAGUCAUUGUGGAUCGCCGGUGAACGAAGUCUGUGAAGGUUUGGAAGUCUACCUUGAAGACUUACCAGAGUGAUUGGGCGAGGACUGAGUGUCCUUAGCUCAAGGGGAAUAAGGUGAAGACACGGUCUUUUGAGUUGAAUCUCAGCCUCCCUAACCAGACGUACAGUUGUCACAACAACUGGAACCGGUCCAACAAAUCAUUGUCCUCAUCAAGUGACUGGUUCUAUCCUCUCUCUCUCUCUCUCUCUCUCUCUCUCUCUCUCUCUUUAUUUACAGUUUGUCUUCGUGAAGUCAUUGCCUGCUUGUAUUACCUGUUUGACUUCACUGUGUGACUUCUAUUGUUGUUUGGUUUCACACUAUCUUCCAUCCUGAUCUUUACUACCUAGCUGCUAUUAGUCUUUGUGCUUUCACUUCAUUGAAUACUUAACUAUGGCCUGCCUAGUGUAGUCUACCUUCCGCUGCAUGUCAAUAGGUUCAUUUCUAUCGUUUGUCUUCGAAACUCCCAUGUUUUGAAGACUUUCAUAAAAAUCGCCUAUUCACCCCCCUCUAGUCGAUAACUAGCACUUUCACUAAGGCCAUCCUAAUUAUGUGUCACAUGUCAUAGAAAUUUAGACAACAAACACACACACAAUUAUAGACAAACUAAAAAAAUGUUUUUAAAAGGGAGACAACUAGUAAAACACAUGGAGCAUACCAUGUCUUGCUCCUCCAAACGGUUUGAUUCUUUGAACGUGUCAUGCAGCUCCUUCACAUCGAGAUCGAGUCUUUGAAGCCAAGUCUAUGAAUAAAUGUAGAAUGAGAUGAUAAAGAAACAACUUCAGUGCCAAAAACAAAAAAAGGAAAAACUGUGGGUUUUUAUUUCUCUUACCGAAAACCUAACAGGCAUGAUUAUUUUCUUGGACCCCACCUGUCUGUUGUACAUGAUUGCUUCAAUCCCUAACUCAAAGACAUGUGUCUUCAUCCAUCCCGCCUUCCUCAUUGAUUGAGCAAGCUCCUUGAUUGUGCAAAAGUAACCACGAUAGUUUAUGAUUUUGUGACAGCCUGGUUUUUGUCCUCUUCCAUUUGUCUGAUUUUUAUUUGAUUUGGUUAUAAAAUUUGGAGUUUUGAAUCUUUUCAUAUGGACUUAAACGCUUGGGUACCCCUUGACUUUCACCCAAGUGCCUCAUUUUCCCCCUCUAACUAUCAUUUCCUCUCUGGUCCACCACAAAAUACUAGUUUGAAUAUUUUUCUUAAACGAAAAAUAUUCAUUUCCCUCUCUUAAACCCUAGCUAGCUCAAUGUGCUCCAAAGCAACCCCAAUUUUUCUUGCCCACAAAAAUCUGAGGAAAUUCAGAAAUAUUCUUUGAACCCUAGGGCACCUUCCUGAGCAAAAAUAUUUCAUCACUUUUUGGAAUAUUUUUGCUACAGAAAAUAUUUUCUGUUCUGGACAGAAAUGGUAGUUUCUACACCAACUACCAUUUUACUUGAUCCAUUGUGGCUGAUUUUUCUUGUGCAUCAUCACCUUUGUAGAAGAUUGCUAACCUCCAAAGCCCAGCUCCCAACUCCCAGUAGUUUGACCACAGUAAGCUCUCAAAGUUACUGACCAGAAACUUACCAGACGGUUGAAAUCUAUUCUACUACGCCUGCGAUCAAACCCAAGUGUGGUAACCACUAAAACUACCACGAACAACAUGCCAGACAUGAAGUUUAGGCUUAGGUCGGCCUGAGGUCAGAGUUCAAGCGGUGACCACGCGUGUGCCCGAUGCCAACCUGCAUGUCGCCGCGCUCUGAGUGCAGCCGAGCGCUCUGUUGCGCGCGUGCUCGCUUCCCCGCCUGCCUAGCCUUGUCAAACUUCGCCACAAUCUUCGUCCAAACCCUCUAAACUCCCUCCUGGCGCUCGCCGACGCCGGAGCUCGCCACAGCGAGCAUGGGCGCGGUCCGGCCAACGCAACAGUGCGCUGCGCACUGUGCUCGUCGCCACCCUCUCGCUCUUGUGCCCGUCUCCGCUCGCCCACAGUUCUCGCGUGAGCUGCGUCGCCUUCUCCCUCUCUCACUGACGCCGUUCGUCACCGGGCGCCGUGUCCAGGUGUCCACCGGCGGAGCCCGAUCCCCCCUUGACGCUCGGCUCUAAAUAGAGCCCUCCCCAGCCUCCUGGAGCAUCAUCUACUCCUCCCACACACUCCACGAUCUCGUAGAAAGCCGUAGCCCGGCCGGGCAGGGCGCGGGCCGCCGUCCCCGAGCUCGAGCUCGCCGGCGAUCCCCUCGGGUCGUCUCUGCGGCUCCAGCCCCUCCCAGGCUCGGGCCACCCUUCCAGGGCCUCCGCCGUGCCUCGGUGGUGCCAUUCCGCCCGGUUGGAGCCCCUGGUGUCGCCUCUGGUCGCCGUCGUCUUCAUCUCCGGCGACCUCUGCUCUCUGUCUCCGCUAGAGAGGCUGUUUCCGACCCGUCCGACCACCCCUAGCUACUCUACGGGUAUGGGCAGGUGCGCCUCCAUCUUCUCUUUCGAGCCCUCCCUCUCGUUCUGGCUGAGAAGCUCUUUGACCGGGUCAUGGUGCCACUGAAUCGAGUUUUCCCAGUGCAACCACAUUUGCCUUUAUGGGAAGGCCUUUAUUCGGUCCGUUGUCAUGCCUCUGGUCGGUGCCUCCAACGAGGGAAGGUUAUGGGCGUGCGGUACCCUGGCCCGGUAAGCAGACAUAACCUUGUGUGCCCGUUGUUGAGAUUAUGGUACCUUGUCCCCGUGUGGGACUGUUUAUGUUUUGGCCACGACGGUGGCCGUUGGUGUCUUUGGUAGACACGGGGCCACCCAGGACUAACCCAGUGGGGAGUGAGUCAGAGUGGCCGGGAGAGUGUCAUGGCAAUGGAGGGGUUUCGUCGGAAUGCCGUUGGUCCACCCGAAUGGGAGUGCGAGGCCAUGGGUUCCGUGGUGUGGGUACAGUGCGCUACCUCUGCAGAGUGUAAUAAAUCUAUCGAUAUCCAAGUCCACGGUUACGGACACGCUCGAGAGUAGGUCACACCAUGGGUCAACGUUUAAUAAAUCUUGCACACUAAAUCAUGAACUUUGCACUGUUGGUGAUGGUGGGAAGACCAUCUUGAUGUUUGAGACCAAGUGUUGGUCGUGGUUGUGAUCGCUGGAAGGAUCACCGUUUGAGACCAAGUGUUGGUCGUGGUUGUGAUCCAAGAGCGAUCACCGUUGGUAAGCCAGUCCGAGGGACUUUUCUCACAAGAGUUUGAUCACAGCAUGCUGGAUAAAUUGUUAGAUUAUUAAUAAUUGGUUAAUUAUCAUGAUAUUGUUUGUCAUUAUGUUUAUGCUUGUUGUGAGCUUGCAAGUACAUUCAAUGUACAGACCUGGGGUGCCAUGCCAGAUUUCAGGAAAGUCUCGUUGGAAAGGAGUGUUGUCCGAGUCUAGAUCGUGUCCACAUUGGUGUCCCUGUGCUAUGGAGUUCCGCUACGACGUUGUUCCGCUGCCGCGUAGUUGUGAUGAUCGAGGCCCCUUUAUGUUCACUAAAUAAUGUACAUAUUGUUCAGCCGCACCGUGUGUGCCGCUUGGCCUUGGCACCUGUUGUAAUAUAAACUAUGAUCUGCUAGCAUCAAUAAAGCGGUUGUUUUCUGUAGCAAGAGGUUGUGUGUUGCCAGAAGACAUGGUCUCUGGGCUGGCAAUGCAUGGUAAACCGGUUGCUCUGAGCUAGGGUGCCACAGAUUUGCAGCUUGUAGAACAAAAAGAAAGGCUCUGUUGAGAAAAAUAAUAGUAGGAGAGAUCAUUGCAUACAAAAAGAAAAAAGCAGGAAAAAAGUGGCUACUGGAAGAAACACACACAUUGUAUCAUCACCCUGCGACGUCCUUCUCGUCCCUCCUCCUCCUCCAAGCAAUAGAAUCAGUGCAUACACUCUGUUUGUCUCUGCAUUGCAUGUGAAAUCCUUCCUCAUCUCUACAUUCACAUAUGGUGACCUCUAUGAUGGUGGAGCUUUCAGUAUCCUCCUCUCGCACUUCUCAGGAACGGGCUCUUCCGAGCUGCUGGCUGCACCUUUGCCCGAUGACUCCCCCUCAGUGGUAGUUUUUGCAACUUCGGUUGGUGUGCUAAAACCGGCAGGUGACAUGUGCCCCGCACUCUGACCUACACCAUUUUUCACUGCCCCCUCGACAACUUCAUCGAAAUCCAUAUUGCCCCAGUUAAUUCCCCACUCAAUGUCACCGGUGGCAGGUGCGUUUGCCACCCCCUUAUCCUCUGUUGCCUUGCCCUCCUCGCCUGUUAUUCCUGCUGGCUCAUCUAUCCCAAGAUCGAAAGGUGGAGCUGGAUAGUAAUCAUCCCACAUAGCACUCCCAGACUUUGAUCUUUGCAGCAAUCGUGCUUCUUCACCAGAAUCGCAUGCUCCUUUGUUUGCUGGUAGAUUGAUGGCAGCUGAUGCCCUUAUUACAGGUAUGGUGCCAGCAGAAUUACUCCUCGCGAGCGGUGGCGUCGAACCUAGGCUCACACACUUCUCAAGCAGCUUGUUGAUGUCCCUAACAUCAUGGAAUGAGAUUUUUCCCCCUUUGCAGAGCACGCUUGCUUGUUGGGGAGUACCGGAGGCUUGUCUGUUGAUUCCUGGGCAGUUGCUUGCUCCUGCUCAGGGGUUGCUUCCUCAAGCACAACAGUUGCCUACGUACUUUGCGUGGGAGGGGCUGCUGAUUCCUGGGCAGUUGCUGCCUGCAUGCUCACGUUGGUUGCCUGAGUUUUUUGCUGAGUUGCUUCAAAGGUAGCACCAGUUUCUCUGUUUUCACUCUUUGUUGAUUCAGCAGUUGCUUGUUUUUUCUGUUCAGUUGCUUGCAGAAUAUGAUUAAUUGCUGUGUUUUGCUUCUUUGAUGCUCUUUUCUAGUAAACCUUGCUUUUUGCUGGUGAUGUUGCUUUCUGACUUGCCACUUCAUUUGUCGGCCUCUGAGCUGUCGGAGCUUGCUGGCUGGUUGUCGUAGUUGCAACACUUUGAACAGCCGUAUCCUCGCUUCCUUUUAGAGACAUAACACAGGCCUUAACUGUCUUAUGGCUCACUUUCUUGACCUUCCUCAUGGCAGCCGCUCCAACUCCUCCUGUAAGCUUUCUUUCCUUCUCUUUUUGGCAAAACUUGGUAGUUCCAACUCAUCUACCAUCGUCUCAGGGCACAAAUCCAUCACGGAGAAUUUUUCCUCAGUUGGCAUCGCGGACAUCGGGAAAAGAGGGAUAUCAUGGGUCUCGGGGAUGGCCUGUUUCUGUCUGUACUGGGCAUCUCCAAUCCUCACCAAAUCUGCAGCUGAAAUGAGAGGCCCACUCUGAACCUCAAAUGGCUCCUUCCGCAUGUCCAUCUUGACGAAGUUGCUCUGAAAAAAACUGCCGGCGCUUUGGAUGCUUCCUUGUGUGCUCUCGACGGACAUCGUUUCCUCUGGCUCACUUUUUUCCUUGCUUGUGCGCUUGAGUCUCUCAAUGAUCGUACUUAGCGGCACCUCGUCGUCGCAACUGCCCCCACGCCACCCCGGAUUUUGUGCACCUCCCUCAUCAUCACCACCUCCCUUGCUGGGCUGGUCGGUGCUAGCGGUGCCGCCAUUGCCGCCAUCAUCCUUAUCUUCACCCCCCUUCUUCCCACCCCCACCAUCUUGUUCCGCCUCAUCAUCUUCAUCCUCUCUGUCUUCCUCCUCUUCAUUCUUUUCAUCAUCCUGUUUCUCCUCCGAUUUCCCCUCUUUCUUUUCUGGUUCAUUCUCUUUAUCAUUGCCCUCUUCCACAUUUCUCUCCUUCUCUUUGUCCUCUUCAUCGUCCCGUUCCUCUUCAUCAUCCUCCUCCCUGUCCUGCUCUUCCUCUUCAACAUCAUCCUCGUCGUCCUCUUCCUCAUCUUCACCAUCUUCUUCACCGGCAAGGGGCGGCUGUGAGUUGUCAGCGUCCAUGUGCUGUGAAUCAUCAUCGCGAGCUUUUGUGGCCGCUGGUGGGCUGGUGUAUGACGGAACAUCAUCAUCAUAGUCAUCAUCGUCGUCGUCGUCAUCAUUGUUGUCCCCGUACUGAUCCGAACUCUCCUCUUCAAGACUUUCCACAUGUUUCCCUUCCUCCUCCUCUUCUUCUUCUUCUGAAGAUUCAAAUUCUUCCUCGCCAGAUUCCUCCUCGUCGUCAUCGGACGCCAAAAGUGUCUCCUACCAUCGACUGCUACUGCCCCCUGUAUUCUUUUGCUUUGCAACCUUCUGUUGUUCCGGACUUGCCGCUGCCUUUUUCUGCCGUGCUGAUUGACGUACGCUUGCGACCCUAGAAACACUUGUGGCUGCUGGUUCAACCUCCUCCUCUUCCAACUUGCCCACCCCUUGAACAAACCUCCCAAUUUGGACUGAUAUUUCAAAGCACAUAUCGUGGACCAGCAUUGACAACCUCCUUUGUUUCUGCAAAAAUAGAAAAAUACAAAACUCAAAAGAUGAGCAGUCUAUACAACAACAAUGAUAAACAAAAAAAAGCACUCUGUUUCUUAUGAAAACAGCAAAACCAUGGUAGCAAAGAAAUACAUUGCUAUUGUAGUUUUGAGGAAGUCUCGCAGCAACAAACUUCUGGAUGUGAUCCAUGCUGCCAAAAACACUAUCUUCUGCGCAUCUCGAGAACUCGGCUUUGAGCUGUUUGUUGUAUAAAAAAUGUACAUGAUAAACUCAGUUAGCAAAAAGAUCAAAGAAAGUUCAAAAGAGGGAAUGGAUGAGCAACUGCCUCCCUAACUUAGGGCACUACCUGCACUAUUGAUGGCAACUGCAGUCAUGGACAUCACAAAAACCUACAGCACCUACAGCAACCCCCCGAUAAAUUGAGCAACUACAAAAACUAUAAAUUAUUGGCAACUGUUGCUUAAAAAAACUCAUGUAAUUGGACAUGUAUGACUACUUGGAGACAAAAUGAUGAAGAUUACCAUAUAAAUUUCCAUGCAAAAAAAACUGUAUGAAACUAGCUUCAAAAGCAACUAGCUCCUAAAAUUAGGCAACACAAUCCCUAUAGGUGGGCAACUACAUAAAAAAUCAUGCAACUACAAAAAAUUAUGUUCAGAAAGUAAAGUAACACUUACUCGCAACUUUCCAUAGACACCCUUCCUAAUCCUGUCCUUCUUAAUUACUGCUGAUCAGACCUUCAUUCCAUGCUUUGACCCUUGGAAGAAUAGUUGCCGUCCUCUCAUCCACAUAAUCCUUAUAGACUGUCCCAUAGUCCACAUCACGCGAGUCAAGGUAUAGGAGCUGUUUCAAAAAAUAGAGAACACAUGUCAGUUGCGAAAAAACCUAUCCAACUUCAGCAUGAAACAUAUAACGCGAAAAUGAACCGAAAAAAGAGGGGGGGGUCUAGAUCAUUUUACCACUAGGUGAAAAAGGCAGCAGCAUAUAGUAUUCUUCUUGUCUCCAAAACCCAUGAAAGCAAGCCUAAGUUGGUCGACGACAAACUGGCAAACAUUUGAAUUCACAACCUCACGUGGAUUCAGCGCAGCUGAGUAUGCGCGCGGUGACACCUUCAAGCUGGUCGUCGGUGCAAGAAAACAGCUAUAAACAACAACCAGCCAGGCACUUAAGAACUUGUCGUCCGCAGCAACUCCCAUAUCAUUUAUCAUUUUGCACCACUCGGUUACUGAAGGCGCGGGCUCUGUCGGGAUGUCAAACUUCUCGUUGAACAACCUAACUACGUCUGGCUACACUUCAUACGCAACCUUCCUCUGCCCCCUUGGCAAACCCCAGAUUCUUUCUACACUUGCUGCAUCAACUGAGAUCUUCCCCCUAUCUGGGAUAACAAGCUGCGACAACUCUGGAUCAUAACACUUCAUCACAAACUUCACAAGAUCUCCUUUCAUUGUUCUUGUCCCGAUAUCAAGCACACCCCAAAGCUUAUAUCACCGAUGGCAUCCUUUUGUGUAUCAUCGAGGCCACUGUUUAGGACAAAAAAGUCUUGAAGGUGAUGCCCUGUUCCUCGGUGGUGGCCCACUGCUACCAAUCUGCAUACAAAUUAAAUUGAGCAACCCACUAUAUUAAGCUGAGAAACUCACUGUACUAAGCUAAGCAAACCACACCAUAAUUAAAAAAAGCAAAGCUGUGUUUGCUAAAAAACUGAGCAACUAGAUCUAUACUGAAGUGCAACUCCUAGUACUAAACUAGGCAACUGCUACACUGCUAUUCUGCUGCUUAUCAAAUGAUAGGAGUGCAUAUACAAAAGAAAAUGCCAUGCUGACUUGAGCAUUACAUAUUUCAAGGAUGCCUCCCUUCUUUCAAGUUUUUCAUAAAAAAAUACCUCGUCCGCAACUUUCUUCGCAUGUUUCGGAUUUCUCCCUCCUUCAUCACGAGGGGCGGAAUCGGUGCCCUGUUUCCCCGCCCGACCACCCCGGGCAGAAUUGGUGGCCCGUUUCCCUGCCCGACCACCACGUACAGGAUCCUGAUUCGCCCGCCCGCGCUUGCGUCCAACAUUACUCCUUGCUGAUUGAGCUGCCACUUCUUCUCCCUCAUUUUCACCAUCAGUUCUACCCUCAUGCCUUUUGCUUUUUGGAGCCAUUCUAUACAAGAAAACACAACAAAAAAAUCAUGUUAAUGAAAAAAGAUACAAAGCCCUAUAACUCAACUGCUCAACUACUUGCAUUUGGAGGUAACAUCACUGUCAUUUGGAGAUGAACGAACUCCAUUUAUUCCUACCCAGAUAUAACUCAACUACUGAAUUUCUAGUGCUUGCAAAGGCAGUUUGGUAUUGAAAACUAUGCAACUACUCAUUAUUUUGUGGCAACUAAAAAUAAAUGACAUAAAACAAGCACAUAAAAAACUCCUCAUCACAAAAAAGUCACAUAUUCAUCUUCAUCACAUUAGCUAAAACAUCAAAAACACUCGGGCUUUGCCGCUUAUUCAUGAGAGAUAUCUCAUCUCCUAUUCAUAGUUGCAAUAAAGACCGCAACUCGAUGGUGGAUAUAGGCAAUGUCAUGUUUCAUACAGUAAAUUUAAAGAACACUACAAAAAGGAUAACAACUUGGUGCUGCAAAUCUAGGCAAUAACUAAAAUCAACCAAUCACAAAAACCAUUUCCCAAAAAAAAACAGUGUGCUACUUUAAUGUUGAACACAAGGCGACUACUGCCCCUAAUUAGUGCAACUGCCGAUCACCCCUCCAUGAACUGCCCAAGUCAGAUGCAUCCCCUGACCCUACCCUUGCAAAUUUGCAGGAAAAAACUAAGCAACUAGCAUCAAAUUUAUGAACAACUGCCCAAGUCAGAUGCGUCCCCUGACCCUCCCCUCGCAAAAUUUGCAGCAAAAACUAAGCAACUAGCAUCAAAUUUAUGAACAACUGCCCCAGUCAGAUGCAUCCCCCUUACCCUGCCCCUCCAUCUCGCAAAUUACAGGAAAAAUCUAAGCAACUACCCCCAGUCAGAUGCAUCCCCUUACCCUGCCCCUCAAUCUCGCAAAUUACAGGAAAAAUCUAAGCAACUGCCAUCAAAAUUAUGAGCAACUGCGUCCUGAGAAGCAAGCAACAUCAAAAAAGAAUCCUAUGCCCCAGUCACUAGGAUUAGUCGUGUGUAUCCCCUUACACCGACUCAAUCCCGCCUACCCUCAGCAGAAACCCAUCCCCACCCUCCCCCCGCCAUAGCAACGCCACGCCUUUCUAAGCAUUGACGACGCGGAGGCCGAGGACGCCAUGGACAACUUCGUGCCCGCCCCCUCACCGAAACCCUAACUCCAUAGACCGCAACCGGGGAGCACAGCGAGAAUAGGAGGGAAUAGGUGCCGGGUUUACCUCCGCCUGCAGCCGGCGACUCGCGGCGCUCACGGACGGCCUCCUACACCGGCGACUCCGCGCCGGAUCCACCACCGCAGCACACCGCCUCGUCGCGCCGUUGCUAGAGGAGAGGAAGGGAGAGGGGGAGGAGUUCGAAUGAAAUCUGCAGGUGCGGGCGGGCGGUUUCGAACAAGACGAGCGGGGGGUGCGGGCAGUUUUUGCCUGGAAUAAAGGCCGGGCCCACCACGCGCCGCACGCCUCGCGCAGUCCCGUAACGGCACCUGGUCGGGAUGCAUCGCGCGCGGGGAGGCAUCGAAUGGAUGGAGCGCGUGCGCUCGAGACAACGAACGAGCGCAGCUGCACGAGUCAGAAUUUAGGAUUAAAAGGCAACAUCUCGCAGUUAAAUGUUGAUGAAGCAUUAUUUCUUUCAGAAACACACUACAAAUGCAGACGUUCACAAACAUGUACAUAUACUCACCCUUAUAAUUAAUUGGCUCCCUUAAGUAACAGAAGCGUGCUUGAAACCACAGUGGAGACGUGUGAUAGUGUGACGCACAUGCACUCCUGCAGUAUGGAAGUCUAAGAGGAUAGCAAAAAUGUCCAACAUGACGAGUCUGCCACUAGGAAAUGGGAUGCAUUGGAAAAUUUAGUUGGAGUUCCAUGGAAGUUACAAGUACGACGGCACAUGAAUUCACGACUUGGGUUAAAAGAUAGGACCGUGGUUUCAAACUUCCGAAUGAGGAACAUAUAGCAGCAAGUCCUGGGUUCGGAAUUAUUAUCUGGGCUCUAAAACGCUUACACAAGUUGAGCUGUAGCGUAGUGGCUCUCACUUCAAGGUUGACCUAACAAGGGCCAAGUGAACUUAUCUCUGUUUUGAUAACAGUUCGAUCAAGGAUCAUUCUCACGUGAGAUAUUGAAAGGAUAAAUGGACGGGGAGUAUCUCACUCAAUGACCAAUAUCCUCGCUUGACUAGGUGUUGGGUUUGUGCCCACCAGUUUUGCGGUCCAUGGAGACCUUGUUAAAAGAAGUUCCUGGCAUAGAAUCAUCUGUGUUACAACAAUACUGAUGCACACUUGCUCGACAAACAUGACUCUUUUUGGUAGAAUUUGUGCAACCAGUUUUCUAUCAAACCUAUGUAUACAAUGUUGAUGCAUUCUAUGUUCCAAUUCAAAACAAAAAAUCAUGCAAAGUUAAAAGUCUAUUAAAUCAAUAUUUUCCUGGGGUACUUCCUUGAGAGUGUUAUGUUAACCAAUAAUUAUCAACUUAAAAGAAAUUACAAGGGUAUCUAAAAAUGUUACUUCCGCGAUCAUGACGAGAUCUUAAAGUGUCCACUUUUGACUGUCACUUUGUAUGCGUUAGCUACAAAAUUGUCCACAUGAAGUCUAACUUAUGUCCUCAUUGCUAUCAUGUUUGAUAAUUAGUAACGGGUGACAGAAGCAGUGAUUUUGUGAGCAGUAAAAUCAUAAAAAAUAGCAAAAAAUAUCUGAUUUUUUUGUCAUCUAAGAUGCUUGAGUGCGUGAUGUGCAUGAAAAAAAUUUCAUGAUGUUUGGACAUUCAAUGAUGUCGUGACAAAAAAAAACCAAAUUUGGUUGUGAAUGAACUUUGAAAAGCACAUUGUUUGGGCUCGAUUUUUUUCCUAGCGCUCCACAGAUGUCCAAACAUCACGAAAAUGUGCACGCUCCUUGCGCACUCGAUCAUCUUGAAUGCUAGAAAAAUUCAGUUUUUUAAUUUAUUUACUAUUUUUUAUUUUAUUAAAUAGCUGUUCAUCAGGUGUGGAUGAGCCCGGGCUCAAAAGUGAAUUACCAAUGAGUGACCCCUUUUUUACACCAUGGUCAUUUACUCAUCUUUGCAGCCAAGAUGGGUCUGACUUGUGCGGGCUUGAGCUGCAUACCUUGGAGACGAUGCCCUAAUGCGAUAUAUAUAUUAGGCAAUAUUAGUUCCUUCAAAAUAACUGCACUCCCUUUGCAGAAACAAAACAAUAACUAGAUUGAGACGAAAAGGAACAGAAAGCAGCUGACAUGUGGAGUUUGGUGAUGCAAUGAAGUCUACACUUACAUCUGUUUAUAAAUAACUACCUCCCUCAUAAGAAGCAAUGCUCGAAACAAUAGUAUAGGUGUUUUUAUUUUAUAGGUAACUACAAUAGAGGUGUGUAACAGUGUGAGUUAAUCACACAUAAUGGAAGUAUAGAGCAGUAUAAGAGGAGAGAGAGAAAUGUCCCGGAUGAUGAGUGUGAGAACAAUACUCGAAUGGGGACAUCUUUUGGAAAUGCGAUGUAUUGGAAAAUUUUGUUAUAACUUGAAAAGGAGAAGAAGUGGUUCUCGAUACUGAUCAAGAAGUCACUUUCAAUGCAUAAAGUAGGAAACAAGGAAGCAGGCAUUGAUAAAGAGUGAAUAUUUAUCCAAUCCUAUAAUGGCUCAAUUCGAUCCAACAACGGUGCUUCCAAAGGCUCCUCGUGAAAUUUAUUGUCCUUCAUUCUACCUUCAGGAGUAUGGACACCCGGAUAUUUACUAUCAAAGGUAGAUGCAACCACAUAGGUACAUCUUUGGAGAACCGUUCAACAUUGUUUCCGAUCAUUAUAGAGAGAUAAAAUAUAUGAUGAAUAACUUCACAUAUGUAUCAGCUGUAGCUAUCAAAAGGAGCAGGAAUAUGCUGGCCAAUGAAUUGGCACUACAUGCAAGAAAGUUUGGGAAUUAGAUUCGGCUUGCUGGUGUGCCCCCUCCGAGAGCCCUACUGCAAAAAGAAUGCAAUCUGCUUGUUGCUACCUCCUAAACAUAGGUUGUUCUAUGAUAUUUCUAAAAAAAUAGUUAGAGGUAGAGGCCAUCGACACAUCCAGUAUCCUAAGGAAUUGGAAGUAAAGGACGCCUUGAUGUGUCAUCCAAAAUCAAUGUGUGGGCAAAUUUGGAUAUUCAAACUACACACACAUACAUUCUCUCAUCCAAGAAAAGUGACAUUCUAGUUACAUGAUCUAUGGUGUUCCUUAAGACCAUGGUUUUACUAACCAUUUGAUGAUUAGAGUGGAACAUGAAAAAAAGGAAUAUCUCAUAUGAAAAUAAUAUAAUGACAUCAUUUUUUUCUGUCCAAACAAAAUGGUAGCAAUGUUUUUAAUGGAUGUGUGCAUCGUAUGAUGCAGAGGCCCGGAUUAUCCCAUUAAAAGUAAUUGUUUUAAUGUCCUUCAUGUCAAGAGAAAAGUAGCAAAACCUCAGUUCCUUUGUGACCCAAACAACAUCGUAACAUGUAUAUAGACAUAUUUUAGAGUGUAGAUUCACUCAUUUUACUCCGUAUGUAGUCCAUAUUGGAAUCUCUAAAAAGACUUAGUUAUAUUUUGGAAAUGAGGGAGUAGUAAAAGUCGGCUCGUGCCACUGCUGAAGUUGCAUAUUCGAAUCAUAUGUUACUCAAACUUACUUGUUUUGAUCUGUUUCCCUAAUGCUUGUGAAGACAUUAGGUUUGUGGAACUUUGCGACGUCUCCUCGACAACAACUACACCUGCAACUCGUAAAUAAAAAAAUUAAAGUGGCAACAUCUCGCGGGUAAACUUUAGUGAAGCAAUGAAAUCUUUUUUUUAGAAACACACUAUAAAUGCAGACGUUAACCAACAUGUACAUACACCAACCGCUAUAAAUAAAUAUCUUCCUCAUGUAAUAGAAGCAUGCUUGAAACCACAGUAGAGACGUCUGAUAUUGUGAGGCACAUGCAGCAGCAAUAUGAAAGUCAAAGAGUACAAUAAAAAUGGCCAACAUGAUGAGUCUGUCACUACUAGUUGACUGGAGACACAGACGCCAUUUGGAAAUGAGACACAUAGGAAAAUUUAGUUGGAAUUCAAUGGAAGUUACAAGUACGAUGGCACAAGCACUGAGUCGUACUAGAAACCCAAGUGGUACAUGAAUUCACGACUUGGGGUUAAGCGAUAGGAAAGUGGCUCUUCAGCUUUCCAGUGAGGAAGACAUAGGAGCAAGUUCUGGUUCUGAAUUAUUAUUUGUGCUCUAAACCGCUUAUCCAAGUCAAGCCAUAGGCCCAUAGGGUAGUGACUCCCACUUCCAGGUUGGACUAACAAGGGCCAAGUGAACAUCUCUCUGUUCUGAGAGUUGUUCGGCUGAGGAUCAUUCUCAAGUGAGAUCUUGAAUUUAUAAAUGGGUGGGGAAUGUACCACCCAAAGACCAAUACCCUCGGUUGGCGAGGUACUGGAUUCAUGCCCACAAGUUUUCUGGUGCAAGGAGAUCUUAUUGAAUAGAAGUUCCUGGCUUAGAAUCAUCUAUGUUACAACCUUACUAAUGCACACUUGAUCAAACAAUGCGACUCUUUUUAUAGAAUUUGUGCAGGCAGCUUUCUACCAAACCAAUGUGUACAGUGUUGAUGCAUUCUAUGCUCCAGUUCAAAACAAACAAUAUGGAAAAUUAUAAGUCUAUUAAAACAAAGUUUCCUAAGGUACUUUCGUCAUAGUGUUAUUUUAACACGAUUAUCUACUUAAGAGAAAUUAUAGGGGUAUCUCAAAUUGUUACUUCUGCAAUGAGACCAUAAAACAUCCACUUUUAGUUAUCACUUUGUAUGCGCCCUGUGAAAAAUUGGUCACGUGACAUCUAACUUAUGUCCUCACUGCUAUCAUGUUUGAUAACGGGUUGAGGGUAUUAAAUAAAUAGUUAAUAGUUGUUAGGCUAGUCAGAGUUACGUACUAAUCGGGAUCUAUUGAUUUGUACAUAACUAUAAUCAAGCUAAUAUGAAAAUUUGUGAAGGCAUCCAGAAACCCUAGUUCAUCGCAAUAUUUAGAUAUGGACAAGGAACAUUUACAUGAAGUGAGGGGGUUACACUUGCGGACAUGAUAAAAAGAAUUCUAAGCCGGUGACCAUUUUUUACACCAUCGUCAUUUACUCAUCUUCCCAGCCAGAUGGCCAGGCUUGUGAUGGCUUUGAGCUGCAUACAUUGGAGAUGAUGGCCUAAUGCAAUAUUAGGCAAUGUUAGUUCCUUGAAAAUAAUUGCACUCUCUUCGCCAAAAAAAUACGUUGAUAAGAAAGGAAAUAAAAAGCAACAAUUGACAUGUGGUGUUCGGUGAUGCAUUGAAGUCUGCACUUACACCAUUUCUAUAAAAAACUACAUCCUUGAGAAGAAGCAAUGCUCGAAACAAUGGCAGAUGUGUUUUCAUUUUUGAGGUAACUACAAUAGACUUGUGUAAUAGUGUGGCAUAAUCUCAAAUUCUAGAAGCAUGGACAAGUGUAAUAGGGGGGAGAGAAAUGUCCCAUACGAUGAGUGCGACACCACUACUUGAAUGGGGACAUAUCUCACUACUGCAGGAUGCUGCUAACGCGACACUACGAUCAGUGACCCUUCGACGAAACUGUGUGCGAUGCAAUAAUCGCAAACGGUGGUGUAAAAAACCGUCAAAAAGGCGCACAACAUUUGCGAUGACGGAUGCAUCAAACACGGUUCAGAUUUUAGUUGCGUGUGCGAUUCAGGGCAUACGAUUCAGUUCAAUUAACCGUUUUCGAUGUGUAGGAACAAAAGAAACAGGCAGCCAGAUGAAGGUGUGUGCGAUGUACAGCAUACGGUUCACUCAGAUGAACUGUUUGUGAUUAGGCAACACAAAAGAAACGGUCAGCCAGAUCAAGGUGUGUGCGAUGUACAUCAUACAGUUCACUCGGAUGAACUGUUUAUGAUUAGGCAACACAAAAGAAAUGGUCAGCUAGAUCAAGGUGUGUGCGAUGUACGACAUGCGGUUUACCCGGAUGAACUGUGUGCGUUGAGACAAGAGAACAUAAACGGUUCAAUAUAACAAAUACCAUAAAUAUUGCAAGGUUCAAAUUCAAAGAUUACAACACCCAAAUUCAAACAUUGCAAGCUGCGGUAUUUCUGAAAAGGGAUCAGCCGCUGACAAGUCAUGUAUGGGUUUGACACAAUGAUUUCCAAUUGCUUUGCCAUAUGUUCUUCCCAUAUGAACUUUGGCAUUUUUGGAGGCACUUCCAUUCAACAGUACCAGUCGGCUCUGCUGAUCAUACCAUUGAUCUUUCCUAAUUAAAUGCGUGUUCAACCUCAGUACACUCAGCACCUUUGCUCUGGCAAGAAAGAACCUGGCGAGUGUAAUCUCCGGUGGGGUCCCUCGGUAGGAGUUCAAAGUAAUAUUUGAGAGAUGUAGAUCCAUGCAUUCGAUGUGAUUGUCGUUAUAAACAUCAUCCACUGUGGGCCUAAUAUGCACUGCAAAAGAAGAGAAUGUGUUAGUGCCUACAUGCAGUUUUGAACACUGCUACACGCCCAUUUGGUUUGCAGGAUUGGUAAAAUGCACCAACGUGCCAUCUUCGAUCUGGCAUGAUUAACAUGGGCAUUUGAUUACAAUCUAGAAACAUGUAGCCUUCUUCACAAGAGGUUGGAUUGGAUGAAAAUUCCCUAAGAAAACUAGUACAGAUGAAUCCAAAGGAGAAAUUCUUAUGGACGAUUGUAACCAUAUGAAUGAAGCAACCAAUAUGGGGUGGGGGUGUAUGUCCUAAAAUCCUCCAAAAUUCCUUCAGAAAUAGUAGUACAUUGUCAUUGUGAACUUGGGAAAAGGUGCAAAAAAUUGAACUCCCUUAUGGUUAACAUUUAACAGGAAAGGAACAUCACCUCGAUAUACAGCUUCUUCAGGCACUCGCUCCGUUGGGGCGCUUUGGCGGCAUCCUCGCACACUGACGGCUUUGAGGACUCAGAGCGGUGUCGAGGAUACGGGCAGAGAGAGAGGAAUUGUGUGUGUGGCAAGGAUGGGGGGUGCGGCCGCUCGGCGGCGCCAUUAAUAUAGACCAGUGGGAGCGAGGCGGGCGGCGGUCCAAGGCUGUCUCACUUCCCGGUGAGAACGACUGCUUAAUCUCUAGUAUGAAUGAAAUAUAUGCUUAAUUACUGAAUUUUAGUUGCAAAAAAUAGAUGGUGAUAUUGAUUUUUAGCUGCAUAUUUUGACAAAUCGCAGUGUCUCUUGGCUUAGCGCCGAAGUCUGGCUUUAAUUUGCAUACCGUAAUCCGAAUCGUUUGCGUUGAAGAGAUGUACAGAGCAUGCGUUGAACAGCUUGUACGCUUCCCGGUGAGCCUGCGCACCGGACUGCGGUCGCACGCCUCCCGUUCAGUCAAGCAGCUGUCCACACGACAUCUCCUAUAGCCAUUAAAACCAAGACACAUGGCGUCACGUGAAUGGUUAACCGAACGCACACGAUUUGAAUUAUACAAAUGUUUCAGAUAUUAAAGUGGCAACUAUUUUUUUUGAAAAUGCCUUUGUUGGCUUUCAUUAUUCGAGUGCGCCUUCUCUCAAAAUGGACACGAAAAAUACCACAGCAUGUCAGGUGCCCUUCCAUGAUAGCAUGCCAAGUUUCAUGAAUUUCAGACGAGUUUUGAUUUACUAGAAUUUAAAAAUCAGGCAUCUCAAUUUUUUGCCGGCAAUCAACGGUGCCCUGGUUUUUGAAAUUCAUCCCCAUUUCUUGCAUGGGACCUAAGCAUGCACCCAGGGACACAGAUUUGAUUUUUCAACCAAUUUAUAUGCACUGGAGCAUGCACAUGUAGUUCAAAUUUGAAUUAUGCACAUAAAUGCAUUUUAAACUCAGUUAAUGCAUAAACAUGUCCAAACGAACCCCGAAAAAUCACAAAAAUUCACACAACACUCCCUUCGAUUUGUGAGAAGCAUAUACCCAAACCUGCCCCAAAUGGGACAAAAUUUGUACCACAGCAUGUUGAUGCCGCUCCUUGAUAGCAUGCCAAGUUUCAUGAAUUUUAGACGAUUUUUGGAUUUACUAGAAUUUAAAAACACUAGUACAAAACAGGGCUUUCGUCACAGGGCAAUAUUCACAUUAGUCCCGGUUCAGUCACGAACCGGGAUUAAUGUGAGCAUUGGUCCCGAUUCGUGCGGCAAAGGCAUUAGUCCCGGUUCACCUGGGCCCUUUAGUCCCGGUUGGUGCCACGAACUGGGACUAAAGGGUGCGAUGCCCAUUAGUACCGGUUGGUGGCACCAACCGGGACUAAAGGUCUAACCUUUAGUACCGGUUGGUGCCACCAACUGAUACUAAUGGGCUUUGAGGCAUUAGUACCGGUUCAUGGCAUGAACCGGUACUAAAGGGCCCAUUUUCAAACUCUACCCCCCCUGUGGACCGCCUUUUCAGUUUUAGAAAAAACAAAACAAAAUGAUGGAAAUGUCAAAAAAAUAAAAUAAAAUAAGUUUCUCAUGUGAUAUGUGGUCUAGUUGUUGGGAAAAUUAACAAAUAUGAAUUUCGACUUUAUUUGCAAAAUCUCUCUGGAAUUUCUUAAAAUGGGCAUAACUUUUGCAUACGAACUCGGAUGAAAAAGUUUUUUAUAUGAAAAAUCAUCUACUCAAAAAGUUACAUUCGAAUUUAACCGGGGGAACCCCGUUAAACAUUUUCAAAAUCCUCAAAAAUUUAACAGAAAAAACAUACGGGGCUUUUAAGAUCUGGAGAGGCAAAAAAAUUCAAAAAAAUUCAAAUUGUGGUCAAACUAUGGUCAAAAAAUGGUCAAACUAAUUAUUCUAGAAUAUUAGUGUUACUAAAUAAUUAUUUCAGUUUUUUUGAAUUUUGGUCAAAUCUAGUCAAACUGUGGUCGAACAGUGGUCAAACUAAUUAUUCCAGAAAUAUUAGUGUUACUAAAUAAUUAUUGUUUUUUAAAACAAUAGUUUCAAACUCAAACAGUGAAAUGUGUCACUUCAUGCUCAAGCUAAAUUCCUGAGGGUUAAUAGAAUUGACAUCUUACUAUUGUCAGGAAAACAACAAGUGCAGACUUGGAAACGAGGGAGAAUAGAACCCGGAAGUUAAGCGUGCUCAGGCUGGAGUAGUGAGAGGAUGGGUGACCGUCCGGGAAGUUAGAUGAUUUGGAAUGAUGAGGGGUGAUUAGAGAUUAGAGGAUAAAUUGAGCAGUGAUGAGGGGUGGUGAUUAGAGAUUAGAGGUUAAAAUAAUUCAGAAAUUUGAAAAUCAAAAAAAAAAUUAAAAAAAUUCGCAAAAAAAAUUUCAAAAAAAAUCAUAAAAUUUCCUUUAGUCCCACCGGGACUAAAGGUGGAGCUCCAGGCUGCGUCCACAUGGACGGCCUUUAGUCCCGGUUCGUGUAAGAACCGGGACUAAAGGGGGGAGGCAUUAGUAACGACCCUUUAGUCCCGGUUCAAAAACCGGGAUUAAAGGCCCUUACCAACCGGGACAAAAGCCCCCUUUUCUACUAGUGAAAUCAGGCAUCUCACUGUUUUGCCGGCAAUCAACGGUGGCAUGGUGUUUGAAAUUCAUUCCCAUUUCUUGCAUGGGACCUAAGCAUGCACCCAAGGACAAAGAUUUGAUUUUUCAACGAAUUUAUAUGCACUGGAGUAUGCGCAUGUAGUUCAAAUUUGAAUUAUGCACAUAAAUGCAUUGAAACUCAGUUAAUGCAUAAAAAUGUCCAAACGAACCCUGAAUAAUUCCAAUUCUUUUAUGAUCACUUCAGAUAAAAGGUCUAGCAAUUCAAACACCGUGCAUGGCCGCUGUGACCCCAUUAUGUAAUUCUAAUCAAGACCAAAAAUCAAGUAGAUCCCACACAGUUUAUUAUAACCAACCGUGUGAGAUGCAGCAGAAAAUAUCUUUGGACCGUGUCUGAAUAAGGGACCAUGUCUGAUGACACUUUGCACGCCAGUUUAUUGGCUGAAGCGAUUCGAAAGCUUCGGCUUCCGCGGAAAUAUCUACCUCUCCUCCCCCUCUCCCUACCAAAAGCCACAUUUCCCCUCUUUCCGCCUUCCUUUCCAAGUUGAAACCUUCACUUCUUGCUUACAGCGCCGCCGCCUCCUCGCCGGCGACCCUCCUUCACGCUGCUCAGCCUAGCCUAUCCAGGCAGGUAAUGCACACCCGACCCCCAUCCUCCUCCUCCUUCCACAUCCCACAUGGCCUGACCGCCGGCGCGAGCGCGACACUUUCCACCCAAAUCACCGACCCCUCCACCAAAUAAGCGCCGACCUAAGCCAUGGUGCUCGCAGUAUAGCCAGGACCUCAAGGAGCAUUUGGCAGCGGAGAAGCAAAUCGUGGCCGCACGCGCGGAUGAGAUCGCGAAGGCUGCCAUUCGUGCCGACCCCCAGAUCUUGGAGGAGCACCUCGCCCUCGAGGCCACUGUUGACGCCUCGCGCACCGAUGCCGCGACGCGUUGGCUGCUUUAAACGACAGUUCAUGGCGUUUCACCGUCGGUGCCUUCGACGAAGACUACGAGGUGUUUUCUCAGCGUGCACGUGCUUACCUCAUCUCGAGAGCCAGCAGGUUGGUGCCCGGAGCGGCUCAGGCAACUCACCACUACAAUGAGGGCACCCAUGAUGCGGAGGCCUCGCCCUCUUCCAUGUCCAAGGAGCCAAUCAUCAUCGAUAUCUCCAACAAUGAGGAGUAGCCUGUCUUAUUAGCUCACUAUAAGGACCCAUGUUCAGUUUGCUAGCUACUGCCUUUCCUUAACAAAUUCUAGUGAAAUGCGCUAUCUACUUUUACCAUACAAUCUUCUGCUACAGUGUAGAUGUUUUAUAUGUCGUGCAAUGUGGUGUUCAAUUAACUGCGUGGUUCAAUUCUGCAAAUGUGAUGUUCAAUUCUUCAGGGUGCAAUAUUUCCAAGUUGUUAAGCAUGCUUGGUUUGGUUGACUGUCUCAUCUUCUAUUAGGAGUAUGUUAUAUUGUUCAAUUGGUGUUUACUUAACUACUUGGUUCAUUUGUUGUGGCUUGGUUCACUUGUUGUGGUGUUUAGUUAACCGCUUGGUUCAAUUCUGAAAUGCGAUGUUCAAUUGUUGUGGCUGCAUUCUAUUAUUGUAUACCAUGCGAGGAAUAAAUCGAAUUUGGUUGUACUAAAUACAUGAGAAACAAAUAGAAUUGAUAUAUUUCCAAGUUGUUAAGCAUGCUUGGUUUGGUUAACUGUCUGAUCUUCUAUUAGAAGUAUGUUAUAUUGUGCAAUGUGGUGCUCAGUUAACGUUUGGUUCAUUUGUUGUGGUGUUUAGUUAACUGCUUGGUUUAAUUCUGCAAUGCGAUGUUCAAUUGUUGUGGCUGCAUUCUGUUAUUGUAUACCAUGUGAGGAAUAAAUCGAAUUUGGCUGCACUUAAUACAUGAGAAACAUAUACAAGUGCUAUAUUUCCUAGUUCUUAAUCAUGCUUGGUUUGGAUAAAUGGGUUUUCCAUGUGGCUUGAAUUAAUCUGAUGAAUUUGCAAUGUGCUUAUUUAUCAUCAACAUAUUUUACUGAUAUUAUACGAACCCUUACUUAACCUGAUGACUAACUACCUUAUAUGUGUUGCAGGGAAACAAUGGGAAGCACUGAGGUUUACAAGAUGGUACUAACUAUUAUACCUUGCCUUUUUGUAUUCCUUUGCCCCAUUUCCAAUAUAGAGAAGAUAUUUAUGCACAUCCUUGUUUUCAGGCUUUAGUGAUGAUUACCUCUCAAACCACCUCUAUGGUCAGGAGGCGAGGAAAGUUUUCAUACAACAGCCACGGUUCAAUAUUGAAGUGUUCCUGAAGAGGUCGAAGGAUGGACGGUAAAUCAUCCAUUGGCACUGGCCUAAAGUUGCAAAGACCUUCAACAUGAAUGAAGGCUCAAUAUUCGCCUUCUGCUUCAGCAGUUUUCCAAAUGUGAUGCAUCUCUCUAUGUACCGUCUAAGAUGCUAAUUUCGAAAGGUUCUAGAUGUUGCAUGUGAAACUUGCUGCUGGUGCAGUUGUGUAAUGGGGUAGCUGAGUGCUGAAGCUAUAUCAUGUUGUCCUCUGAUGUAUUUCAAUUAUGAAAUCUUGCUUCCUUAAUAUGGAAAUGGAAUAUAUUAUGUGCUUAAUAUGAAUGUCAAUUAGAUUAGUAAAUGGAUUAUUAAUAAUAGGGCAAUUAGCCCGCUAAUUGGCCAAUUAGCUUGCUAAUUGGGUUUUCCUAUUGCAAACGGUUAAUGAGAAACCACCGUGGGCGAUGACCUCAGGCAACGCACACGGUUUCUAGCAAUAAACCGUGUUGGAUCAAUGAACAAUCACACACGAUAUUCUCUUAAAAAUCGUUUGCGUUACGCCACCUUGCGCAAACGUUUUCCUUGGAGCGACUGUGUGGGAUGUACAUACGAAUGGAAACGUUUAGCGGGGACUGACUGUGUGGGAUGUACUUGCGACCGGAAGCAAUUUCGCCGUAUAAUUGUAUUUUUAGCUAGACUAUACGUAUUUCCGUAUUUGCGCGCUCGCCGGUCGCACACGACCUCAUUUUGCCGAACGUGUGUGCCAGGAGGGCAUACCCCCGACGGUUUCUGGGUCAUGUGGGAAGGACCCCCCUAUCACCCACACUCACUUGGCGACGGUUCCAGAUCUCGUCGCGGAAAGGGGUUAAAAACCAUUUGUUUAGGACCGACGCGCUCCAGUGUCUGGGAAAUGUGAUAUGUUGGAAAUUUUAGCUAGAGGUAGAGGCUAUUGACCCAUCCAGUAUCAUAAGGAAUUGGAAGUAAAGGAAUGCCUUAUUGUGCCGUCUGAAAUCAAUGUGCGACAAAAUUCGUAUAUUGAAACUAUACAUAUACAACGUCUCGUACCAGAAAACAAUGACAUUAUGUCAUUUUAAUGAGAGGAUCCCUAGUUUCCUUAAACCCUGGUUUCACUAUCGAUUUGGGGAUUAGAGUGGAACUAGAUUUUUUUUGGAACCUCUCAUAUUCAAGGAAUAGAAUGACAACAGUUGUUCCUUUCCUUUUGAAACAAGGUGGCAAAAAUGGAUUUAAUGUCCUUCAGGCCAUGAGAAGGAAUAAAUCUCAAUUCCUUUGUGACCCAAACCACAUCACAUGUUUCGCCUCACUUCACUAAUAUGUUCAGAACAAAGGGCAUAUACAUGAUCAAAAAGUAAUACUCAAACUAACACAUGUUGAUUAGAAUGAUCUUCUUCUUGGGAAACAUGUUGCUCAAGAGGAUGCCUCUCAUUUCAGCAACACAGUAUUCAACCAGAAUGAAAAAUAUCUACCUGAGUAAAAUGUAAUAAAUAAGCUUGCAGUGUCAACUGCAUAUCCAGCUUCCUUGAUCUUCAUCGGAUGUGCGUACCCACACUACUGCAGGAUGCUGCUAACGCAACACUACGAUCAGAGACACUUUGACGAAACUGUGUGCGAUGCAAUAAUCGCAAACGGUGGUGUAAAAAACCGUCAAAAAUGGUGCAAAACGUUUGCGAUGACGGAUGCAUCAAACACGGUUCAGAUUUUAGUUGCGUGUGCGAUGCAGGGCAUACGGUACAGUUCAAUUAACUGUUUGCCAUGAGGAGGAACAAAAGAAAAGCCAGAUGAAGGUGUGUGCGAUAUACAACAUAGGGUUCACUGGAUGAACUGUUUGUGAUUAGGCAACACAAAAGAAACGGUCAGCCAGAUCAAGGUGUGUGCGAUAUACGGUAUGCGGUUCACUCGGAUGAACUGUUUGUGUUGAGACAAGAGAACCGAAACGGUUCAAUAUAACAAGAUGUAUGUGAUACGCGACAAACAGGUGUGUAAUCAGAAAUGUUUGCGAAGACCAAUAAUAACACAGACGAUUGCUGCUAAUAAGACGUAUGUGAGAUGCUCUGUAUACACAACAUCUAUUGGGCAUUGGGCGACGGGAAAUCAUCCGGGUAUGAAAUAAGGAUGCGAAGAGGCAUCCUAUAUCAGCAAGGACUAGCUGUUCCACCAAUAGCUCAUCUAAGAGAACUCUCAAGUUGUGCUAAGGCUGGAGCAGCUAUCAGAUGGGUGACUCGAUGGGAAGUUAUCUUGAUGUUAAAUUAACUGAUGGGAUGGGUCAUCCAGGUCAAAUUAAAUGACCUGUAUGAUCCAUCCCAUCAGUUAAAUUAAUCUCGGGGUCCUUGUUUUUUGACACAUGUUAAAGAAGGUCUACCGCAUUACUUUUUGAGAAUGUGCGAUACGUGGCAUACAGUUGAUCCAUCCAACCUAUUUGUGAUGGAAUAAGCCAUGUGUGUUGUGGGCAAACACAUGCUAGUAUACAACCGUUUGCGAUUGAUAAAUUCAUCACCGACGGGUUCCCUAGUAUGGUCCGUGUUCAUCUGAUCAUCAUCUACUUCUUGUGCUAGCUCGAUGUUUCUUAUAUGCUAAGUUUCCAUUAAUUGAUGGCGUUUUGUGAACACGCCACCGUUUCCCGCCAUUUCCACACCUGUUUCCCCCCACCCAGCGAUAUUGUGCAUAAACCUAGGCGGCGCAUGAUGCACGGAGGCAACAAGCGUAGCCUGUAGCACAUCCACCUUUUCCAAGCAUGCCAACCCACCAUAGCGCCGCCUCUGCCAUCAACCUCGUCGACGAGGAAAACGAGCAGGCUGCACGGCUCAUCGAGGCCGAGGCGCUCCCCGACAAUGCGAUGGACGACGCCGUGAUGCGUGUCAUCGCCAGGGUUGAGCUGACCCUUGGUGCAUGGCGCUUCAGCGCCACGGAUCAAGAUAGGCAUGUCAGCGUCGAGAGGCUGCAGCUCGCCGCACAACAUGAUCGAUGGCGUGCCGCAGAGCAAGCUAGGCGCGUCCGCGCCGAUAGGUUGCGGCUCGCCGCAUGGCGACAACGUUGGAGCGCUGCAGAGCGAGAGGCGCGGCACGGUGCACAACAAGAGCGGAUCCAUCGGCGCUUGCCUGUUGUCAACAGGGCGUCGCAGCUGGGUGCACGUCCCGUCAGUACACCCAUUCCUCGCCAGGAGUGGGCAGAGGCCCUCUGCGCCAAACCUACACAAGAGGCCGGCUGUGUCGUACUUGCACCAGACGCCUGCUGUGUCGUUCGCAUGGGUCGCGCCGUUCGCAUUGUCCUCGGCCCGCUCGAUGCCAACGCGCUGGUCGGUAGGUUCGACCGCCUCCUUGGCCCAGGUGUCCACCUGGGCGCAGUAGAGGAACAUGGCCGUCGCAUCCUCGAGCUGGUGAUGUACGAUGAAAGAGCCAACUUGGAGUUCGAGAUCACGCUCCAGAUGUAUCGCGAGCGUGUCGACCGCUUGGACGAACGCCUGCACGAGUUCAGGCAAAGCCAAGAUCUACCGUAGGCAAGGGCUGUUGGUCAUGGUCUUAUGGACGUGUUUUAUUUUGUUGAGUCGUUUCAAUGUGGAUAGCUAUGUAUUCACAGCAAUCAUAGUAUUGCUCUGUUUCAAUGUGUGUACUCUGUUUUCCAUUCUUAUAUGUUCUGUUUCAAUGUGUGCAUAUACGCUUUCCAUACUGUAUAUGUGGAUGAUAACAGCCAGAUUCAAAUUAGUAUACAAAAAAAGAUAGAAAAUGCAAUUCAUAAUAUAUAUAUAUAUUAAUUGUUCAUUAGUUCAUCAUAGAAUAUAUAUAAUAUCAUCACAUAUACAUGAUGAUACUUAACUACUAUGUACAAUGCAUAAAAUUGAAAACGAAUAAUACUAAAACUAAUAAUCCCUCCUGGGGCGAGUAUUCCGGCAACCCCUCGCCAGUAGCUCCCUGGUGCGUUGGGUGCCCACCGAAGCUCCUCGGCAGUGGCACGGUGGAGCUUAUCGGCCCACCUCCACACAGCGAUGAGGCGCCCAGUGCCACUACUGGAAUCAGAGAUUUUGCCGUCUGCCAGUUCUUUGCCGUCCGCUAGCAGACGGCAAAGAAGGUCUGUGCCAUCAGCUACCAAAAAGCAGACGGCAAACAACUGGCAGACGGCAAAGAAGGUCUUUGCAAUCUGUCAAUUCUUUGCCGUCUGCUGGCUGACGGCAAAGAGAGAGGUGGCCCCCACUAACGAGCCGAUUAGAAAAAACUUAACGGCCCCCCUCUUUGCCGUCUAAAAAAAGCGGAUGGCAAAGGCUAACUAACCUAACCUAACUAACGGCCAAUCCACCCCCCCCCCCCGCCCGUUACUCCUCUCUGUUUCUCUCCCUNNNNNNNNNNNNNNNNNNNNNNNNNNNNNNNNNNNNNNNNNNNNNNNNNNNNNNNNNNNNNNNNNNNNNNNNNNNNNNNNNNNNNNNNNNNNNNNNNNNNNNNNNNNNNNNNNNNNNNNNNNNNNNNNNNNNNNNNNNNNNNNNNNNNNNNNNNNNNNNNNNNNNNNNNNNNNNNNNNNNNNNNNNNNNNNNNNNNNNNNNNNNNNNNNNNNNNNNNNNNNNNNNNNNNNNNNNNNNNNNNNNNNNNNNNNNNNNNNNNNNNNNNNNNNNNNNNNNNNNNNNNNNNNNNNNNNNNNNNNNNNNNNNNNNNNNNNNNNNNNNNNNNNNNNNNNNNNNNNNNNNNNNNNNNNNNNNNNNNNNNNNNNNNNNNNNNNNNNNNNNNNNNNNNNNNNNNNNNNNNNNNNNNNNNNNNNNNNNNNNNNNNNNNNNNNNNNNNNNNNNNNNNNNNNNNNNNNNNNNNNNNNNNNNNNNNNNNNNNNNNNNNNNNNNNNNNNNNNNNNNNNNNNNNNNNNNNNNNNNNNNNNNNNNNNNNNNNNNNNNNNNNNNNNNNNNNNNNNNNNNNNNNNNNNNNNNNNNNNNNNNNNNNNNNNNNNNNNNNNNNNNNNNNNNNNNNNNNNNNNNNNNNNNNNNNNNNNNNNNNNNNNNNNNNNNNNNNNNNNNNNNNNNNNNNNNNNNNNNNNNNNNNNNNNNNNNNNNNNNNNNNNNNNNNNNNNNNNNNNNNNNNNNNNNNNNNNNNNNNNNNNNNNNNNNNNNNNNNNNNNNNNNNNNNNNNNNNNNNNNNNNNNNNNNNNNNNNNNNNNNNNNNNNNNNNNNNNNNNNNNNNNNNNNNNNNNNNNNNNNNNNNNNNNNNNNNNNNNNNNNNNNNNNNNNNNNNNNNNNNNNNNNNNNNNNNNNNNNNNNNNNNNNNNNNNNNNNNNNNNNNNNNNNNNNNNNNNNNNNNNNNNNNNNNNNNNNNNNNNNNNNNNNNNNNNNNNNNNNNNNNNNNNNNNNNNNNNNNNNNNNNNNNNNNNNNNNNNNNNNNNNNNNNNNNNNNNNNNNNNNNNNNNNNNNNNNNNNNNNNNNNNNNNNNNNNNNNNNNNNNNNNNNNNNNNNNNNNNNNNNNNNNNNNNNNNNNNNNNNNNNNNNNNNNNNNNNNNNNNNNNNNNNNNNNNNNNNNNNNNNNNNNNNNCCCAACCCCGACACGGCACCCCGACACCGACACGACACCCCGACCCCCGACACCUCCCGAAAAGGUGCUCUUUGGCCGUCCAGAGGCCGACGGGAUCAUAUAUUUGUGAAUUAUGAGUUAGGUCAUAUAUUUUUCGAUUUUGUUAUGAAAAACAUCAUAUAUAUAUAUAUAUAUAUAAUUGUGUUGAUCGGGUAGAUUUAAAUGUGCAGUUGUUUCAUCGCUGCGAGGUUUGGUGUUCGACGACCUCGCUGUGCGUUUGACGAGCUCUGCCCCUUCGUUCGUGGGUGAGCACAAAUGACAUGUCCUCCUCCCCCAUUAAUUAUUUGCUCUGUUCAGGUGUUCGUGCCGAUGAAACUUGAUAGCUAGCUAUAUAUGUGUCUUGAAUCAUCAGUAUGCGUAACCAAUAUGUGUCUCCCAUUCGAAAGCGUUAUAGUUAUAAAUAUGCAUGCAUUUGCAUAUUUAUAACCUUGAUUCUUUCGAAUUGUCCAACGCUAUCCAUGGACAGCCCGAGUAUGUGUAGAUUGGGUUCGUUUUCCCAUAUGCUUUGCUCCGGAUCCGACGCAUAAAUUUCGUCAGUGCCUCCCCUGUUGUUCUCCGGGUACACAUCCUCUCUGUUUAUUGCAGAGACGUGUAUCAGGAGAACAGCGGGGAGGUGCUGCCGAAAUUUUGCGUCGGAUCCGAAGCAUAGCAUGGGAAAAUGAACCCAAUCUACACAUAUUCGGGUGGGAUUAUGAUCUAUCAUUACCUAUUAGAGUGUAGGUUGCAUGGACGUAAUAAAAUUGACAAAGUAGAUCAACUGAUGAAUAUAUACAUGGUGAAUUAUAUAUAUAUUUGUUGUGUGUCCAGUAGCUCUGAAAGUCAAGAUGAGUGAUCGUGCGUGGAUGUAUACCGGUCACACUGGUCAGAACAAAUGGAGCGCUGAAUGGUUCACAAAAACCAAGGGGUUUGUGCAAGCUGCAUUUGCAAAUGGCCAGCCUGGUGCCCCUGUUUCCGGUGCGGCAAUUGGGAAAAGAGGACAGAGGAUGAAAUGGGCAAACACCUGUAGAAGAGUGGUUUUACGCCCCAUUAUACGGUGUGGACAUAUCAUGGUGAGUCUGCCCAACGUGACAGAGCUGAGGUGGAUCGUCGUCGCACCGACGAGCAUGGUACCGGGAUGGACAACGUUGAAGCAAUUUAUGAACUUAUAUUCUAUGGUGACAACCCACCGAAUGUCGUACUCUUCAAAUGUUAUUGGUUUCAGCCGAAGGAGACUAGAAGGACUCAUGAACAUAUAGGGCUAGUUGAAAUCAAACAAAGCACCCAUUUAGAUGUUCCUGAUGUCUAUAUUACGGCUCAACAGGCGACCCAAGUAUUCUAUCUAGCGUGGGCCUGCCAAACUAAUCCAAAUCUGAAAGGUUGGGAUGUCGUUUAUGAAGUGUCGCCACGUGCUAGACUAUCUCCCCCAAAGGAAGAGGAUUAUGAACCUCACAUUAACCCAGACACAUAUGAAGGAGAAUUCUUCCAAGAGACGCGUCUUUCCAAAAAGCAUUUCAAGAACCGCUAUACUUCACCCCAAAAUAUUGAAGUAGACAGCGACAGUGAAUCCGACAUCAACCCAGAGGAGGAACAAGAAGAGCCGGAACAAGAAGAGGUUACUGCUGCGGAUGACCUAUCAAUGCUUGACCGAUUACGUCAAGGUGGCCUUCCACAUGUUGAUGCCACUGAACCCUAUGAGCCCAUCAUUGAUUAUAGUGAUGAUGAUGAUUAUGCAUUUAUUGAUGAUAGUGAUCGAGAUUAUUAGUAGUGUCAGGUACAUAAUUUUUUUAUGUUGUACUUGAUGAUGAUACACUUAAGUGGUAUACAUAUUAUUAUUCAUGUCGGUAUUUUUUAUGUUGUACUAAUUUCGUUUACUCUUUGUCAUGGCAGGUCUUGAAAGAUGGUGGGCGCUAGUAAGGUUCUUCUAGUGUUUUGCUUAACAAAUGCAUAAAGACCUAGACUUAGCCUUAUUUCCUCCCAUAUGCUUACCACAAUGACCUAGAGUUAGCUUCUUUUCCUCCAAAAUGACUUAAUAAGCUUACUGACCUCCAAAACCAUCCAUUUUACCUAAGUUAGCUCUAAAACGAUCUAUACUUAGCUUUGUUUCCUCCAAAAUGACCUAAGUUAGCUCUAGUAUGCUUAGUUAACUAGGUUUGCUCAAUAAUGACAUGUACUUAGCUUACAUAUGUCAAAAAUGGCAUAAUUAGCUUAGUUAGCUCAUAAACAAUCCAUUUUACCUAAGUUAGCUCUAAAAUGACCCACUAUACCUUAGUUAGCUCAUAAAUGAUCCAUUUUACCCAAGUUAGCUCUAAAAUGACCCAUUUUACCUAGACUAACUUCAAAAUGAUCCAUUUUACCUAUGUUAGCUCUAAAAUGACCCAUUUUACCUAGGUUAGCUCCAAAAUGACCCAUCUUACCUACGUUAGCUCCAAAAUGAUGCAUUUUACCCAAGUUAGCUCUAAAAUGACCCAUUUUACCUAGAUUAGCUCAUAAACGAUCCAUUUCACCUAGGUUAGCUCACAAACGAUCCAUUUUACCUAGUUUACCUCCAAAAUGACCCAUCAAACCUAAGUUAGAUCUAAAAUGAUGCAUUUUACCAAAGUUAGCUCAUAAACGAUCUAUUUCACCUAGGUUAGCUCAUAAACGAUCCAUUUCACCUAACUUAGCUAAAAAACGAUCCAUUUCACCUAGGUUAGCUCUAAAAUGACCCAUCUUACCUAGGUUAGCUCUAAAAUGAUGCAUUAUACCUAAGUUAGCUCAUAAACGAUCUAUUUCACCUAGUUUAGCUCAUAAACGAUCCAUUUCAACUAAGUUAGCUCAUAAAUGAUCCAUUUCACCUAAGUUAGCUCAUAAAUGGCAUAUACUUCUUCUUCUUCUAGUCACCUUUUUCUAACUUUCUUAUUUGCCUCAGAUUUCAUUCACUUCACGGAAGCUAGCUUGCUAUGAUGGAGUGCUUGUUUUUUCUUUCGUUCUCCUCUAGUAUUCUUCUAGCUUGCUAUGAUGGAACUUGCUAUCUUGAUGAAACUUUGCAUUGUAAUAUGUAUGGAUGGAACAAUGUGUAUGUGCAACUUGCUAUGUAUGAAUGGGUGGAACUAUAUAUGUAUGCACGAUGAAACUUAUGUGUUGGAUAUGUCAUAUGUUUGCUGUUAAAUAGCCCUGUGAAAUAUAUAUAUAUGUCAUAUAUUUGCUGUGAAAAUUGCUGGAUUUAAAAAAAACAGAAAAAAAGAGGCACCUUUGCCGUCAGCCGCUAAUGGCAAAGGCGCCUUUGCCGUCCGCCGCAGACGGCAAAGAAGCCAUGCGGCGGCCACCUGUGCUCCCUGGGAGCUAACCCAUUUGGGCAGUUUGCCUACAGCGGCGGACGGCAAAGGCUUUGCCUACAGUGGCAGACGGCAAAGACUUGUCCCACAGUGACGUCCAGCCGACGUCAUUCGGCGGACGGCAAAGGCCGGAUGCUCUUUGCCGUCAGCGGCGGACGGCAAAGGCUGCCGUUAGCCGCCUAACAGACUAACAGCACAUUUAUUGCCGUCGGCUUUCUUUGCCGUCCGCCGCUGAUGGCAAAAGCCCCUUUGCCGUCCGCUUCAGAAAGCAGACGGCAAAGAAGCUCUUUGUCAUAGCCUACUUUGCCGGAGCCUUUUGCCUUCCGCGGCAGACGGCAAAGGCCUUUCCCGUCCGCCAUCCUUGCCUUUGCCGUCUGCCGUGGCAGACGGCAAAGUAGCUGAUUCCUGUAGUGUGCCUUUGACCUUCCUCGCGAAGUACCCGUCUUCGUACACGUCCUCCGCACAACGAGGCGCCCGACCCCAAAGCUCUGCCACCUCCUUUUUCCAGGCGGCAUCACGGGCUUCACAAGCCGCCUGGUACCUAGCUUCCUCCUCCGCCAUCCCCUUCUUGAGUGCCACUUGCCUGGCUUUCUGAGCCGGCAGCAAUGACUUCCACAGACAAAGACUGUACUGGCCCCAAAACCAAUCCAAAGUUGGAGGGUCCGGUGCAACCUCGUCCGGCGGCGUGUAGGGAUCCUCGUUGCUGCUAUUCGAGUGAGCGUCCUCAGGGGGCGGCGACUCAUCGUCGGCGCCUGGGCAGACCGGCGGCACCAUGGUAGAGAUUUGAGAGAGAGAGAGGGCGACCGAGGGGAGGAUGUAGAUGAGAAUGCAGGCGGGACGACGUGAGCAAGGUAGUAUUUAUUGGCGGCCGGAAUCUAGAUCGAUGGGAACAGUACACACGCCGGUCGCCGGAAUUUACGAGUAUUGUAGUUUGAAUUACACACGAUUCCCGCAGCAAAAUCUGUGUGUGAACAUAAUAGCUAACGGUUUCCAAUACAGAACCGUGUUUGAUUAAUGACCCCCGCCUCUCACCUACCAAACUUCGAGCCGCGAAAUAGAGUGCCAAUCGUGUGGGGCCCGGUUGUCUUACCAGAUCUUGACAUUUUCUUUUUUGAACACCAGAAAUUUACAUCGUCUGAUAAUUUUUUAACUCGCACACAAGUACACAAAAACAUGAUCACACCGUUAUGGUUAGCCGUUGCAUGUAGAUGUAGUUCAAAUUUGAAUUACGGUCAUUAAAUGGCUAGAAAAUCACUUAAAUGCCUUUAAAAGGUCAAAUGACCCCAAGAAUUUUCCAAAUUUCACAGGACAAUUGUAGUAGUGCAUGUUAAACGUAGAAAAAAAAUUGAAGGCCGUAAGAGGAAGCUAUCUCCCGUUCGUUAUCAAACAUGCAUUGUUCCCUCUCGGGACUCAGAACCACGAGCAUUCUAGUGAGUUGCUCCGGUUUCUGAGGGGUGUGUGUCCAAACUUUCGUCAAACAGGCCAAUUUUUAUACCACAUAAUAUUGGUGGCAUGACAUUACAUUAAGCAAGGUUUCAUGUUUUCCUGAUCAUUUUUUUAUUUUUUGGAACAAAAAUGCCAUGGCACUCCAUGCAUGUGUCAAUCCCAUGAGACCAAUAUGUUUGAAAGUUCCUUCUAAUUUACUGCACAUGGAAUUAACUCGCACACAAGUACUCAAAUAUGAUUUUUCAAACCGUUAUGGUUAGCCGUUGCAUGUAGAUGUAGUUCAAAUUUGAAUUACGGUCAUUAAAUGGCUACAAAAUCACUUAAAUGUCUUUAAAAGGUCAAAUGACCCCCAGAAAUUUUCCAAAUUUUCACAUGACAGUUGUAUUAGUGCGCGUUAAAUGUAGAAAAAAAUUGAAGGCCGUAAGAGGAAGUUAUCUCCCGCUCGUCAUCAAACAUGCAUUGUUCCCUCUCGGAACCACGAGCCUUCUAGUGAGUUGCUCCGGUUUGUGAGGGGGUGUGUCCAAACUUUCGUCAAACAGGCCAAUUUUUUUACGACAUCAUCUUGGUGGCAUGACAUUACAUCAAGCAAGCUUUCAUGUUUUUCUGAUCAUUCUUUAUUUUUUGGAAUUUAAAUGCCAUGGCACUCCAUGCAUGUGUCCAUGCUGUGAGACCAAUAUGUUUGAAAAUUCCUUCUAAUUUACUACACAUGGAAUUAACUCGCACAUAAGUACACAAAUAUGAUUUUUCAAACCGUUAUGGUUAGCUAUUGCAUGUAGGUGUAGUUCAAAUUUGAAUUACGGUCAUUAAAUGGCUAGAAAAUCACUUAAAUGUCUUUAUAAGGUCAAAUGACCCCUGCAAUUUUCCAAAUUUUCACAUGACAGUUGUAUUAGUGCACGUUAAAUGUAGAAAAAAAUUGAUGGCCGUAAGGGGAAGCUACCUCCCGUUCGUCAUCAAACAUGCAUUGUUCCCUCUCGGAACCACGAGCCUUCUAGUGAGUUGCUCCGGUUUGUGAGGGGGGUGUUUCGAAACUUUCGUAAAACAAGACAAUUUUUUACCACAUCAUCUUGGUGGCAUGACAUUACAUCAAGCAAGGUUUCAUGUUUUUCUGAUCAUUUUUUGUUUUUUGGAAUUUAAAUGCCAUGGCACUCCAUGCACGUGUCCAUGCCGUGAGACCAAUAUGUUUGAAAAUUCCUUCUAAUUUACUGCACAUGGAAUUAACUCGCACACAAGUAAACAAAUAUGAUUUUCCAAACCGUUAAGGUUAGUUGUUGCAUGUAGAUGUAGUUCAAAUUUGAAUUACGGUCACUAAAUGGCUAGAAAAUCACAUAAAUGUCUUUAAAAGGUCAAAUGACCCUUGAAAUUUUCCAAAUUUUCACAUGACAGUUGUAUUAGUGCACGUUAAAUGUAGAAAAAAUUUGAAGACCGUAAGGGGAAGCUAUCUCCCGUUCGUCAUCAAACAUGCAUUGUUCCCUCUCGGAAACACGAGCCUUCUAGUGAGUUGCUUCGGUUUGUGAGGGGUGCCUGUCCAAAUUUCGUCAAACAUGCCAAUUUUUUUACCACAUCAUCUUGGUGGCAUGACAUUACGUCAAGAAAGGUUUAAUUUUUUCUGAUCAUUUUUUAUUUUUUUGGAAUUAAUAUGACAUGGCACUCCAUGCAUGUGUCCAUGUCAUGAGACCACUAUGUUUGAAAAUUCCUUCUAAUUUACUGCACAAGGAAUUAACUCGCACACAAGUACACAUAUUUUUUUUUCAAACCGUUAUGGUUAGCCGUUACAAGUAGAUGUAGUUCAAAUUUUAAUUACGGUCAUUAAAUGGCUAGAAAAUCACUUAAAUGUGUUUAAAAGGUCAAAUCACCCCUGAAAGUUUCCAAAUUUUCACAUGACAGUUGUAUUAUUGCAUGUUAAAAAAUGCUAACUCUUGAGCAUGCGUUGGUUUUCCCUUGAGUAGGAGAUUACACGCAAGUCACCUAGUACCUGGACAAACAAUCAAGAACCUCGCAAUCAAUGUGAUAAAGGGGUUGUCAAUCCCUUCACGGUCACUCGCAAAAGUGAGAUCUGAUAAAGAUAUUAAGAUAAAUAUUUUUGGUAUUUUUGUUGUAUAGAUUGGAAAGUAAAGAUUGCAAAAUAAACGGCGACAGAAAUUGGUAAGUUGACGAGAAACUAAUAUGAUGUAAGACAGACUCGAGGCCCAUAGGUUUCACUAGUGGCUUCUCCCAAGAUAGCAUAUAUUACGGUGCGUGAACAAAUUACUGCUGAGCAAUUGAUAGAAAAGCGCAUAGUUAUGAGAAUAUCUAGGCAUGAUCAUGAACAUAGGCAUCACGUCCGUGUCAAGUAGACCGAAACGAUUCUGCAUCUACUACUAUUACUCCACACAUCGACCGCUAUCCAGCAUGCAUCUAGAGUAUUAAGUUCAUAAGAACAGAGUAACGCAUUAAGCAAGAUGACAUGAUGUAGAGGGAUAAACUCAAACAAUAUGAUAUAAACCCCAUCUUUUUAUCCUCGAUGGAAACAAUACAAUACGUGCCUUGCUGCCCCUACUGUCACUGGGAAAGGACAAUGCAAGAUUGAACCCAAAGCUAAGCACUUCUCCCAUUGCAAGAAAGAUCAAUCUAGUAGGCCAAACUAAACCGAUAAUUCAAAGACACUUGCAAAGAUAUCAAAUCAUGCAUAUAAGAAUUCAGAGAAGAACCAAAUAUUAUUCAUAGAUAAACUUGAUAAUAAAUCCACAAUUCCUCGGAUCUCGGCAAACACACCGCAAAAGAGUAUUACAUCGAAUAGAUCUCCAAGAACAUCAAGAAGAACUUUGUAUUGAGAACCAAAGAGAGAGAAGAAGCCAUCCAGCUAAUAACUAUGGACCCGAAGGUCUGUGGUAAACUACUCACACAUCAUCGGAGAGGCUAUGGUGUUGAUGUAGAAGCCCUCCGUGAUCGAUUCCCCCUCCAACGGAGCGCCGGAAAAGGCCCCAAGAUGGGAUCUCACGGGUACAAAAGGUUGCGGCGGUGGAAAAUUGGUUUCGUGGCUCCCGCUGAUAUUUUUAGGGUAUAGGAGUAUAUAUAGGCGAAAGAAGUACGUCGCUGGAGCUACGAGGGGCCCAUGAGGGUGGGGGCGUGCCUACCCCCCUGGGCGCGCCAUCCUGCCUCGUGGCCGCCCCGUUGCGUCUCCGACUUCAUCUCCAAGUCUCCUGGUUUGCUUUCGGUCCAAGAAAGAUCAUCGCGAAGGUUUCAUUCCGUUUGAUAUUCCUUUUCUACGAAACACUGAAAUACGCAAAAAAACAGAAACUGGCACUGGGCCUUCGGUUAAUAGGUUAGUCCCAAAAAUAAUAAGAAAUAGCUUAUUAAAGCCCAUUAAACAUCCAAAACAGAUAAUAUAAUAGCAUGGAACAAUAAAAAAUUAUAGAUACGUUGGAGACGUAUCAAGCAUCCCCAAGCUUAAUUCCUGCUCGUCCUCGAGUAGGUAAAUGAUAAAAACAUAAUUUUUGAUGUGGAAUGCUACCUAACAUAAUUUUCAAUGUAAUUUUCUUUAUUGGGGCCUGAAUGUUCAGAUCCGAAAGAUUCAAGACAAAAGUUUAAUAUUGACAUAAAAAUAAUAAUACUUCAAGCAUACUAAAAAGUAAUCAUGUCUUCUCAAAAUAACAUGGCCAAAGAAAGUUCAUCCCUACAAAAUCAUAUAGUUUGGCUAUGCUCCAUCUUCGUCACACAAAAUGCUCAAAUCAUGCACAACCCAGAUGACAAGCCAAGCAAUUGUUUCAUACUUUAGUAUUCUCAAACUUUUUCAACUUUCACGCAAUACAGGAGCGUGAGCCAUGGACAUAGCACUAUAGGUGGAAUAGAAUGGUGGUUGUGGAGAAGACAAAAAAAGGAAGAUGGUCUCACAUCAACUAGGCGUAUCAAUUUGCUAUGGAGAUGCCCAUCAAUAGAUAUGAAUCUGAGUGAGUAGGGAUUGCCAUGCAACGGAUGCACUAGAGCUAUAAAUGUAUGAAAGCUCAACAAAAGAAACUAGUGGGUGUGCAUCCAACUUGCUUGCUCACGAAGACCUAGGGCAUUUGAGGAAGCCCAUCGUUGGAAUAUACAAGCCAAGUUCUAUUACGAAAAUUCCCACUAGUAUAUGAAAGUGACAAAAUAAGAGACUCUCUAUCAUGAAGAUCAUGGUGCUACUUUGAAGCACAAGUGUGGAAAAAGGAUAGUAACAUUGCCCCUUCUCUCUUUUUCUCUCAUUUUUUUGGGCCUUCACUUUUUUAUUUGGCCUUUCUCUUUUUUGGGGGCCUUCUCUUUUUUUAUUUGGCCUUUCUCUUUUUUUAUUUCCUCACACGGGACAAUGAUCUAAUAAUGAUGAUCAUCACACUUCUAUUUAUAUAACUCAAGGAUUACAACUCGAUGCUAGAACAACAUAUGACUCUAUAUGAGUGCCUCCGGCGGUGUACCGGGAUGGGCAAUGAGUCAAGAGUGACAUGUAUGAAAAAUUAUGAAUGGUGGCUUUGCCACAAAUAUGAUAUCAACUACAUGAUCAUGCAAGGCAAUAUGACAAUGAUGAAGCGUGUCAUAAUAAACGGAACGGUGGAAAGUUGCAUGGCAAUAUAUCUCGGAAUGGCUAUGGAAAUGCCAUAAUAGGUAGGUAUGGUGGCUGUUUUGAGGAAUGUAUAUGGUGGGUUUAUGGUACCGGCGAGAAUUGUGCGGUACUAGAAAGGCUAGCAAUGGUGGGAGGAUGAGAGUGCGUAUAAUCCAUGGACUCAACAUUAGUCAUAAAGAACUCACAUACUUAUUGCAAAAAUCUACAAGUCAUCAAAACCAAGCACUACGCGCAUGCUCCUAGGGGGAUAGAUUGGUAGGAAAAGACCAUCGCUCGUCCCCGACCGCCACUCAUAAGGAGGACAAUCAAAGAAACACUUCAUGCUUCAAAUUUGUUACACAACGGUUACCAUACGUGCAUGCUACGGGACUUGCAAACCUCAACACAAGUAUUUCUCAAAUUCACAAAUACUCAACUAGCAUGACUCUAAUAUCAGCAUCUUCAUAUCUCAUAACAAUCAUCAAGUAUCAAACUUCUCAUAGUAUUCAAUGCACUCUAUAUGAAAGUUUUUAUUAUACCCAUCUUGAAUGCCCAUCAUAUUAGGACUAAAUUUAUAGCUGAAGCAAAUUACCAUGCUGUUCUAAAAGACUCUCAAAAUAAUAUAAGUGAAGCAUGAGAGAUCAAUAAUUUCUAUAAAAUAAAACCACCACCGUGCUCUAAAAAGAUAUAAGUGAAGCACUAGAGCAAAAUUAUCUAGCUCAAAAGAUAUAAGUGAAGCACAUAGAGUAUUCUAAUAAAUUCUGAUUCAUGUGUGUCUCUCCAAAAGGUGUGUACAGCAAGGAUGAUUGUGAUAAAAUAAAAAGCAAAGACUCAAAUCAUACAAGACGCUCCAAGCAAAACACAUAUCAUGUGGCGAAUAAAAAUAUAGCCUCAAGUAAUGUUACCGAUAGACGAAGACGAAAGAUGGGAUGCCUUCCGGGGCAUCCCCAAGCUUAGGCUUUUGGUUGUCCUUGAAUUUUACCUUGGGGUUCCUUGGGCAUCCCCAAGAUUAGGCUCUUGCCAUUCCUUAUUCCAAAAUCAAUCAAAUAUUUACCCAAAAACUUGAAAACUUCACAACACAAAACUUAACAGAAAAUCUUAUGAGCUCCGUUAGUAUAAAAAAAACACCACUUUAAGGUACUGUAAUGAACUCAUUCUUUAUUUAUAUUGGUGUUAGACCUACUGUAUUCCAACUUCUCUUUGGUUCAUACCCCCCGAUAUUACCCAUAGAUUCAUUAAAAUAAGCAAACAACACACGAAAAACAGAAUCUGUCAAAACAGAACAGUCUGUAGAAAUCUGUAUCAAACGAAUACUUCUGGAACUCCAAAAAUUCUGAAAUAAAUUGGUGGACGUGAAGAAUAUGUCUAUUAAUCAUCUGUUAAAAGAAUCAACCUAAAAGCACUCUCCAGUAAACAAUGGCAUCUAAUCUCGUGAGUGCGAAAGUUUCUACUUUUUACAGGAAGAUUGCAAAGACUUCACCCAUGUCUUCCCAAAGGUUCUACUUGGCAAAAACACUAAUUAAAACAUAAAACCACAUCUAAACAGAGGCUAGAUGAAUUAUUUAUUACUGAACAGGAAGAAAAAUCAAAUAAAAAAUAAAAUUGGGUUGCCUCCCAACAAGCGCUAUCGCUUAACGCCCCUAGCUAGGCAUUGAAAAUUUCAAUGAUGCUCACAUGAAAGACAAGAAUUGAAGCACAAAGAGAGCAUCAUGAAACACACGACAAACACAUCUAAGUCUAACAUACUUCCUAUGCAUAGGCAUCUUAUAGGCAAACAAAUUAUUAUAGCAAGCAAAAACUAGCAUAUCCAAGGAAGCGGAAAGAAACAAUAGCAAUCUCAACAUAACGAGAGGUAAUUUAGUAACAUGAAAAUUUCUACAAUCAUAUUUUCCUCUCUCAUAAUAAUUACAUGUGGGAUCAUAAGAAAAUUCAACAAUAUAGCUAUCAUAUAAAAUAUUUUCAACACGAUCCACAUGCAUGCGAAGUUGACACUCUUCCAAAAUAGUGGGAUUAACAUUAACUAAAGUCAUGACCUCUCCAAACCCACUUUUAUCAAAAAUUUCAUAAGAUUGAACAUUUUCCAAAUAUGUGGGAUCUAAAGUUCACACUCUUCCAAACCCACUUUCAAUAUUAUUGCAAACAUUAUUAUCAAUCUCAUAUUCUUCAUGGGGCUUAAAUAAAUUUUCAAGAUUGUAAGAAGAAUCACCCCAAUCAUGAUCAUUGCAACAAGUAGUGGACAUAGAAAAACUAGCAUCACCAAGCUUAGGGUUUUGCAUAUCAUUAACACAAUUGACAUUAAUAGAAUUUAUAUUAUAUCAUUGCAAUCAUGCUUUUCAUUCAAGGAGCUAUCACGAAUCACUUCAUAAGUUUCUUCUUUCAACACUUCAUCACAAUUUUCAGAUUCACGAAUUUCAAGCAAAAUCUCAUAAAGAUAAUCUAGUACACAAAACUCACUAGCAAUUGGUUCAUCAUAUUUGGAUCUUUUAAAAAGAUUAGCAAAGAGGAUGAGGAUCCAUAACAAUAGAUUUUUAGCAAGCGAAGAUGCAAGCAAAUAGAAGGCACAUGGUAACACGAGCAAAUAGAAGGACGAACGGAAAAGGGGCAAAGAAAAGGCAAAGGUUUUGGAAAAUCGUUUUAGAAGUGGGGGAGAGGAAAACGAGAGGCGAAUGGCAAAUAAUGUAAUGCGAGGGAGAAGAGUUUAUGAUGGGUACUUGGUAUGUCUUGACAUGGCGUAGAUCUCCCCGGCAAUGGCGCCAGAAAUCCUUCUUGCUACCACUUGAGCAUGUGUUGGUUUUCCCUUGAAGAGGAAAGGGUGAUGCAGCAAAGUAGCGUAAGUAUUUCCCUCAGUUUUUGAGAACCAAGGUAUCAAUCCAGUAUUAGAUUACACGCAAGUCACCUAGUACCUGCACAAACAAUCAAGAACCUCGCAACCACGCGAUAAAGGGGUUGCCAAUCCCUUCACGGUCACUCGCAAAAGUGAGAUCUGAUAAAGAUAGCAAGAUAAAUAUUUUUUGUGUUUUUGUUGUAUAGAUUGGAAAGUAAAGAUUGCAAAAUAAACGGCGACAAAAAUUGGUAACUUGACGAGAAACUAAUAUGAUGUAAGAUAGACCCCCGGGCCAUAGGUUUCACUAGUGGCUUCUCUCAAGAUAGCAUAUAUUACGCUGGGUGAACAAAUUACUGCCGAGCAAUUGAUAGAAAAGGGCAUAGUUACGAGAAUAUCUAGGCAUGAUCAUGAACAUAGGCAUCACAUCCGUGUCAAGUAGACCGAAAUGAUUCUGCAUCUACUACUAUUACUCCACACAUCGACCGCUAUCCAGCAUGCAUCUAGAGUAUUAAGUUCAUAAGAAUAGAGUAACACAUUAAGCAAGAUGACAUGAUGUAGAGGGAUAAAAUCAAACAAUAUGAUAUAAACCCUAUCAUUUUAUCCUCGAUGGCAACAAUACAAUACGUGCCUUGCUGCCCCUACUGUCACUGGGAAAGGACACCGCAAGAUUGAACCCAAAGCUAAGCACUUCUCCCAUUGCAAGAAAAAUCAAUCUAGUAGGCCAAACUAAACCGAUAAUUCGAAGAGACUUGCAAAGAUAUCAAAUCGUGCAUAUAAGAAUUCAGAGAAGAACCAAAAAUUAUUCAUAGAUAAACUUGAUAAUAAAUCCACAAUUCAUCGGAUCUCGGCAAACACACCGCAAAAGAGUAUUACAUCGAAUAGAUCCCCAAGAACAUCGAGGAGAACUUUGUAUUGAGAACCAAAGAGAGAAAACAAGCCAUCUAGCUAAUAACAAUGGACCCGAAGGUCUGUGGUAAACUACUCACACAUCAUCGGAGAGGCUAUGGUGUUGAUGUAGAAGCCCUCCGUGAUCGAUUCCCCCUCCGACGGAGCGCCGGAAAAGGCCCCAAGAUGGGAUCUCACGGGUACAAAAGUUUGCGGCGGUGGAAAAGUGGUUUCGUGGCUCCCUCUGAUAUUUUUAGGGUAUAAGAGUAUAUAUAGGCGAAAGAAGUACGUCGGUGGAGCUACGAGGGGCCCACGAGGGUGGGGGCGCGCCUACCCCCCUGGGCGCGCCCUCCUGCCUCGUGGCUGCCUCGUUGCGUCUCCGACUUCAUCUCCAAGUCUCCAGGUUUGCUUUCGGUCCAAGAAAGAUCACCGCGAAGGUUUCAUUCCGUUUGAUAUUCCUUUUCUACGAAACACUGAAAUAGGCGAAAAAACAGAAACUAGCACUGGGCCUUCGGUUAAUAGGUUAGUCCCAAAAAUAAUAUAAAAUAGCUUAUUCAAGCCCAUUAAACAUCCAAAACUGAUAAUAUAAUAGCAUGGAACAAUCAAAAAUUAUAGAUACGUUGGAGACGUAUCAAUAAACAUAAAAAAAUUGAAGGUCGUAAGAGGAAGCUAUUUCCCGUUUGUCAUCAAACAUGCAUUGUUCCAUCUCGGAACCACGAGCAUUCUAGUGAGUUGCUCCGGUUUGUGAGGGGGUUGUGUCCAAACUUUCGUCAAACAGGCUAAUUGUUUUACCACAUCAUCUUGGUGGCAUGACAUUACAUCAAGCAAGGUUUCAUUUUUUUUCUGAUCAUUUUUUAUUUUUUUGGAAUUAAAAUGCCAUGACACUCCAUGCUUAAUUGUGUCAUAGCCGUUAGACCAAUAUGUUUGAAAAUUCCUUCCAAUUUACUGCACAUGGAAUUAGAUCUCGCACAAGUACACAAAAUAUGACUUUUCAAACUGUUAUGUUUAGCUGUUGCAUGUACAUGUAGUUCAAAUUUGAAUUACGGUCAUUAAAUUGCUAGAAAAUUACUUAAAUGUCUUAAAAGGUCAAAUGACCACUGAAAUUUUCCAAAAUUUUACAUGACAGUUGUAUUAGUACUACAAUUUUUCUUGUACAUUUAAAACACCAUCCGUUGCCACUUUACUCCAAAUUCAAAUUUCACAGCUAAUAAAAAAUAUCCACAACAUCACACACAAUUUGUUUGUCGGAACCGUUUGCGAUGAAAAUUUCUGGGUCUAUUUAAGUCUUCCUCCUUAAGCUUCACCGACUCGUCUGCUCCAGUGUCGGCAACCCCCGAAUCCAUGAAUCCCGAUCCCCAUUCCCGCACCCCCUUCUUGCAAAGAUGACGCCGUGGAAACGCUUCGUGAAGGCUCGUACGAUGGCCGCGUCCUCCCCGAUCGCCGCCGCCUGCGCCGAGAGCGCGGCCGCCUAUGCCGAGAGUGCCGCCGCAUCUACAUUGAGCGCGGCCGCAUCUGCCGAGAGGGCGUCUGCGGCGGCCGACAGGGCAGCUGCAGGAGACGAGACGGCUGCAUCUAGUGCUGCAACGGCGGCUGCAAACGACGAGAGCGCUCGAGCAGCCAUCCGUGCCGCCGAUGUUGCCCUGUCCCGGGUUGAGGCCAUCGACGCCAAGAUCGAGGAUGCACACGCCAAGAUAUCAGGCCACCUCAGAAUCCAUCAAGCAACCCACGUACGAAAAGGCGGCGAUGGCCAUGGAACACCUGCUUCCUCAUGAGAUCGCCGAGCGGGAGCUCGAGAUGCAGGAGGGGGCGGAGAUCGAGGAGCGCCAGGAGGAUGAGUUGCGCGUGGCCGAGGUCGAGGUAGAGAAGAGUCUGUCCGUCGAGGAAUCGGCGGUGGAGUACCAACACGAGAUCUGGCGCAGCCACUACUACGAGUACUACAACCUUGAGGACGACGCCAAGGACGAGGACGAGGACGUGGUCGACUUCAGAAUGGGGACGAGGAGUCCACCAACGGCGGCAUUUCGCCACGAAAAGUAAUCGACCUGUCAUCUGACACCGGUGAUGCAUAGGCCGGCGUGGCGGCAGAUUUGUUAAAAUUAUGCUUACUUGGGCUUUGUUUUUAAUGCUGGUCUUUUGUUAGAGCAAUGUUUAGGUCAACUGGCUCUGUUUAAUUACUAAAUUUGCUCGAUUCAGUAAGUGUGGUCUGUGUGUUGUACACUCUUUUGUGCGCCCAAAUUAGUAAGCGAUGUUAAAUUAUGCAAUGACGUACCAUGGGGAAAUUUUCACCAAAAUUUGAAUUAUCAAACUCAUCCCAUGCGCGUAAAGCAUAAGAAUCGUUUGUAUUGCACACAAUUGUUUAAAGUGAAUGGUGUCCGGCGGCACCGCACGCAAAGUUUCCCUCCACAUUUCCAAAAUUUUGGCCUACCGCCAAAAUAUCUACCCCCUCCCCCCUUCCCCACCCCCUUUUCUCCCCAACCACAAGUCACGUUUCCCCGGUGUCCUCCUUCCUUCCUUCCUAAGCUAUGGCCGCUUCCUCGCUCUCGUCGUCUCGCAUCCUACCACCGGGGUUGCCAUGGUCUUCUUCAAUGACCUCUCCAGCGGUUCAUCCUCCUCCUCCGACUCCUUCACCACCCGGGUAUGCCUCUCUUCUCUCUCUCGGGCUAUCACUUGGAAUGAAGGAAUUUAACCCGGCGGUCGAUUUGAGUCAUUUCAUCCUCUUGUAGUUCCCUAGGACCAUCAGUUGCAAUGAGUGGAGCGGGGUGACUGAAGAUCUGUCUGCUCGUUGUCACCAUCAAUCUCCAUGCGUGAAGCUUCUGGCAUGUGCAGAGAAGGUGAGACCCUCUUUCGUUGUUACAAAUCAUUUCUUAGAUGUGAUUCAGACACUGUCACGGUUCCAACCCAUUCAUACCACACCUUCAACCAAACGCAUCCUAAGACAGUGUCACAAUUUGUACCUAGUAUCUAAAAAUGUUGCCAUCUCAUCAGCGGUGCCUUUAGAAAAUUAUUUGGCACCAUUUCAGUAGUUUGUGCCGCCAACUUUGGUCCACACAUCCAAGAAGCCAAGCAGUAAAAUACUAAAUCUUUAUGGCAUGAAGGAACUGGGCAUCGGAGCAACUAGGUGCUCCGGAGUUCGGGUCCCUGAUUUCCGCUGCAUCGGCUCGCCAAUGCAGGGCACCGGUGCGAGAUGUAGCAACAGUUGUCUUUACACCGGUUUUGGCAUACAUAGUGGAUGGCCUUAGUGCUAUUAGUUCUCUGUUACUAAAUUUGUGCAUGUACACACCUGUUAGUAUCAAUUUGCUGUCAUCCAAACACUGUCGCUAUGCUGUUGAAGUUAUAUUUACCUUCCUCAUAAAAUGUUCAAUUUGCUAUUUAUAGUACAUGAGUAAGAACUUGUAGCGUUGUUGUAGUUAAUUAUAGCUUCUGAUGUUUCAGAAUUUGGUUGUUGUCUCAGUAGCAACUAAUUCAUUUGCACAUUGAUCUUUUUGAGAAGAUAUGUCAUAAUUAACCUAUUUCUUUAGUUUUUCAAAAUAAGUAUUGGUGAUUUUCUAUGUUGCUAUAAACCCAUGUUCCCUUACAAUUGUUACAGAUCUAGUUUUAAAUAUUAUAGGAUGAACGGAAGUGUUCUUACUUGGACUGGGUUGGUCAAGAGUGGCCACAGUCUUUGAAGACAUGCCUGGCAAAUCUCUGGAGCAUGUAUGAGGAAGAGAACAGAGGUAGGCUUAGAGAAAGUGUUGUCAACGGUGAAUAAUAUUUGAAGAUGCGGGAUAAAAAGAGGAAGGUGGAGAAUGAGCUCAGAUUUUUGAAGUCAGACUUUGCUAAAAUGGUGUUGGUGAAGGGGGAGGCACUUUCCCAGUUGGACAGUGCAAAACAGGUUCUUACUAAACUGAAAGCAUAGGUGGAUAAGGCGUGCCUGGAUGAUCUCGAUAAGGGAAAUGUAUAUGUUGUUCUAAUAUUGUUCUUAUGAAGUUGAACUAGCUAUAUAAUGUACUAUGUUGUUUCCAGGUAGCUAUCGUACUGUGAUGUUAAGAUAUAUUUAUGUGCCUGAUAUGAAAUUGGCAAACAGUUGUUCGAUAUGAAAUGUGGAAUUAUUAAUUUUAAACUAAUAAACCUGCUAAAUGUGUCAUGGAAUGUUGCAAAUGGUUCUAGCAGUAAAAGCGCUUGCGACGGAUAGCCCAAUGCCACACAGUUUUCUUCAUAAAAUCAUGUGUGAUGUAGCUGAUAAAAGAAAAUGGUUAACCAAGGCAGAGCGUGUGUGAUAGUUACACCUUUCACACACGAGCCUAUACAUAAAACUGUGUGGGAUGUACAUACGAAUGGAAACUUUUUCCCUGGAUUGACUGUGUGGGGUGUACAUAAGAACGGAAACAUAUUCCUUGGAUUGACUGUGUGUGGUAUACAUACGAACGGAAAUGUUUUCCCUGGAUUGACUGUGUGGGAUGUACAUAAGAACGGAAACGUAUUCCUUGGAUUGACUGGGUGUGAUAUACAUAAGAACGAAAAUGUUUUUCUAGGAUUCACCGUGUGGGAUCUACAUACGAACGGAAAGGAUUGGGUUUUGAUGCCUCUCCUGAUCACACCCGAGCUCAUUUUGCCCCAGCCUGUGUGCCACGAGGGCCUAUUCCCGACCGUUUCUGGGUCGUGUGGGAAGGACCCCCUAUCGCCCACACUCACUUGACGACGGUUCCAAAUGCCAUCACGGAAAGGGGUUAAAAACCGUUUGUAUAGCACUGACGCAUACAAGUGCCAUGGCAGUGCCACCUUUGUGCUCAUGGUGUUAGGGAAAAAAUGUUCGCAUAGUUCGUCCAUGGUGGUCACUUGGUCUUGGCACCCACAUUGCUAUCCUGCAUGAAUGGUCAUAGAUGACAUUCUCCUUGAGCCAAACACCCCCCCUAAUUGGAGAUGAGCUAACUACAUAAGAUUUUUUAAACGUGCCUCCUCCAGGUACUCAACUGUGCCCCCAUGCAUUCCCUGGCCGUUCCGUACCGCUGAAGAUGCUCAUCCCAUUGUGUGCGUCUCCGUGUAGCCGCAUCAAUGCCGAGCGACGUCACACGCUCUUUCUCUAGUGACUGUGUGGCAUCACCGUGUGUGUUUCUUCCUGUGGUUGAAGCAUGUAGUCACAACGAUGCACCGGGAAGCAAGGUCAAGGCUGUUGCAGGUUCGGAUGUGCGCACGACCGGUGACGUGCGCACGACCGGUGCUGCGAGGACGACACAUGGCAUGUGUUGACGCUCAAAAGUGGCACAAUCGUAAAAGUUUCUUAAAGCUAUGUCAAGAUUGAGUCAAACUUAUGAUUGGAAGUCAUCAUGGGAUGGCUCUCUUCGCGAAGAUCGAGAUGGAUAUGAAGAUGGUCUAAAACAGAGCUCGCAUGCAAAAGUUAUGACAAGUUCAGAGAUGCUCAUGUUGACAGCAGAUCAAAGAAUGACAUGAAACUCAAUUAAGACGGCCUCUGAUAGAAAAAGUUUCAACAUGUAUCAGCAAAACGGUUGAUCUUGAUAUAAAAAUCGUCUUAAUCCGAGGUCAUAUGCAACCUGUGGAGCCACAAGGCUAAAAACAGAAGCUGCAGAGUCAUUUCGGACCGACCGAGUUGACUUGACUCGGUGAUACCGAGUUGACUUGGUAAUUCCGAGUUAAACCACUCAAAAAAUUUGAAUGAGAUACAGAAGAUUACAGAAGGUUGGCCACAUUCACUCGGUGGGACCGAAGCAAAUCACAUGGUGGCUCUGAGUUGAUCCGAAAAAUUGCCAAAGAUUCAUGUCCGAGUUUGGUAAGGGUUUUUGAUGUUUUGGACGGCAUUUUUAGUCCUUUUCUUGUAUGGAAAUUCCAUCCGCCUCAUAAAUAGAUGAGAGGUGACAGCCGAUUGAACAUCACACAAACGAACAAAUCUAUCUAGCACUUUUUAGUUUUAUCUUUUACCUUCUCCCUUUGUUCUUCUUCUUCUCGUUCUUUGUGAAGCAGGGCAGUGAUCCACCAGGCCCUAGGGGCGAUCAGGUCGACCUAGGGCAGCUCAUAGCCACCGCACGCCCUGACGGGGUCCCUCCCGGGCGUAUAGAGAUAAGAGUUUGCCUCCUAUUACAAGAAAAACCAAUCUAGUUGUCCAAACUAAACCAAUAAUUCGAAGAGAAAUACAAAGAUAUUUAAUCAUGCAUAAAAGAUUUCAGAGAAGACCCAAAUAAUAUUCAUAGAUAAUCUGAUCAUAAAUUCACAAUUCAUCGGAUCUCGACAAACACACCACAAAAUAAUAUUACAACAGAUAGAACUCCAAGAACAUCGAGGAAAACAUUGUAUUGGAGAUCAGAGAGAGAGAGAGAGAGAGGAAGCCUAGCUAUGGACCGGUAGAUCUGUGGUAAACUACUCACACUUCAUCGGAAGGGCAGCAAGGUUGAUGUAGAUGCCCUCCGUGAUCGAAUCCCCCUCUGGCAGGAUGCUAGAAAAGGCCCCAAGAUGGGAUCUCACGGGAAGAGAGGCUUGCGGCGGCGGAAAAGUAUUUUGGUGGACGCUUCUGGUGGUUUCGGAAUAUUUGGGAAUUUAUAGUACAAGAAUUAGGGUUGAAGGACUCCCGAGGGGCCCACAAGCCCUCAGGGCGCCCCCCAUGGGCGUGCCUCGCAGGCUUGUGGCCUGCUCGGGCAUCUUCUAACCCCCUCUCCAAGCUCCGUGGAUGUCUUCUGAUCCAAGAAAAAUCAUCGUAAAGUUUUAUUCGAUUUGAUAUUUCUUUUCUAUAAAACUCAAAAACAAGAAAAAACAUAAACUGGCACUGGGAUCUAGGUUAAUAGGUUAGUCCCAAAAUAAUAUAAAAUAGCAUAUUGAUGCAUAUAAAACAUCCACAACAUAUAAUAUAAUAGCAUGGAACAAUAAAAAAUUAUAGAUACGUUGGAGAUGUAUCAAGCGCCCGCCGAAUUGCUUGUGUACCGCGCUUCCGGACGGGUCUCCUUCGACGUGAGUUGCGGUGCAUCACCCCCGACGUCGAGGGUACACGGUGAUGUGUUCGUGUGCAAACACACUUUUUGGCGACUCCGCUGGGGACGAAGCUUUGAACGGUCUGCAGCCCGUUAUUCCUAGGAACAGAUCAUCGUUUAGGGUUUGCAAUCUACAAAGGUAAUAUGAAUACCCAAGUCACUUAUGUAGAUGCCAAUAACGCAUAUGUGAUUGCUAGAUCGUUUCAUGAUUAUAAUGUAUCGGCUAGCCCUAGUUUUAUCAAUCAUGCAUCUAAUUAUGUGCAAGGGCCGAUGCAAAAUAAUCUUCAUGCUUCAAAUUCUUAUGAUUUUAGCAACGUACAACAUAUGUAUCCUAAGUCUCAUGCAUCGGCAACCCCAUAAAUCCAUAUACCAUUGUACAACAUGAUGGGUUUGGUUAAUCAAUUUGAAACACCUCAUGUUAAAAUUUCCAAUAGCAUACAAGAAAGUGUUUCACCCUUUUAUUCGUCGGUAACUAAUUUGCAAUAUGUGAGUCCAAACUUGCUGAUGGAUGGGGGAAUUGGCCAUACUACCACUAGCUAUUCGGACAGUUACUCUGAACGGUCAUAUGCUACACCUCAUGUUAGCAAUUUUUCAGCACCGUACGCAACUGUAGAUGUUCAUAAUUCGGCCCCGCACCUUCAUGGUCAUAGACGAAUAAGUGAAAUUUUCAAGGAACACACGUGCCAUCAUCUAAUAUUGUAGUGUAUAAUGCAUGCUCUAAGCAAUUCGAGAAUUUCGGCAACACUCACGAAUCGUUGCCGAAAGAAUCUAAAAGUAUUGUGGAGCAAUCCCUUCCAGAAGCGGUUGUGGCUGCAUUAAAAAAGAGCUUAGCACAAAACAAGAGGAUUAGUGCUCUUUGCCAUGAACAAUAUGAAAAGGGGUUGUUCCUUGGUUGUGCUGCAAUAAAGGCUAUAGUUUCACAAGAAAAUGAAACUUCAUCAAUUGAUAGAAUUGGCGAAAGAACAUAUGGUUAUAGAGGAGUGCAUACACCUCCACGUUGUACCGCAACAUAUUAUACACCCCCUACAAAAUUGCAAAAUUUCGGCAACACUAAGAAUUCAUUGCCGAAAGAUCAUAAAAGCAUUGGGAGGCAAGCUGAUCUAGAGAGAGCAGAAAUUGAGAGGGGAGUUAAAGCUUUGCACGAUAGGGUGCAAUUACUUCUCCAAGAGAGAAUUAAUAGGGAAUUGGCUUAAAGAAAACAAGCCUUGACAAUUUGUAGAAUUAAUGAAAACAAGGAUGAUUCAGAACAUGAAAGUCCUUCGGUUGAAAAAGCCGAAUUAAGUAGUAUAUAUUCCGAGUCCAUCAAAUCCAAAGAGGCAAGCAUUAUUGAGAAAGGAAAUGGCAAGCAUAGCAAAAUGGCCAUGCUUGAUUUUUCUGAAGUUAAUGGAACCUACUUCCUACCCUAUGAGUUCCGUGCCACAUAAAUUGAGAAGCCUCAAGAACAGAACAAGUAGCCGAACAAAGUUCGGUUGACAAGGACCUUCAAAGUAACGAUGCAAGGAAUCAAGAAAAAAGGUGAUGAAAAGGCAUUGGGGAGCCAUCCAAAGACGGAGCAAGAUAUUGUUCAAGUCAUAUCACCAUCAUGCUCUCCCAACAUAUUUGAAGAGGUAUAUCUAGCAAGUAAUUUACCUAUUUUCAGAUUUGGUCACAACUUUAUUAUUGAUACAUCAAUUAGAAAAAUUAUCAUAAGUAAUUUUCAAAGACCAAUGAAGUAGGUAAUUUACUUGUUAGCAAUAAAAAUUUUAUAGAACAUAUCAGUCAACCCAUUGCGCCAUUUAUAAAAACUGAUAGCUACUUAUUGUUGCAACCAAGGAUUUCCCUUUUGCUUUAUCUAAAGUUUAUAUCCAAUUGGGUAGUUUUGCUUGCUUCAUACUUGCUUAUGGAUGGUCUCAAUUGAGACAUGUAUGUUCUAACUGCUUUGAUUUCAGAAAUUUAAAACCAAGGUUAUACUUUGUUGAGAAAACUGAUGAUAGUAUAAUUUCCUUUUCAAAGACAUCGGAGAUAGAGUGCAAAACCCAAUGCAUAGCCGAAUGAGGCAAUGCAAAAUCCGAACCAUUCGUUUGCUUAACUCCAAAUCCGUUCUCACAGCAAGAUCAGCUAGAGAAUAAAAAGUAUACCUUCAAUUCAAAUAUGUGUAAUAAAAUCUUUGAUUUGGUGUUGAAAAAUAGUUAUAUAAGAAUUCUUGAUCACCAUGUCAAGCCAUCAACCAAAGGACGAAUGUAUUGUAAGUUGCAUGAUUCAUCCAAGUAUAAUUUUGAAGAUUGCGUCAUAUUCCGUCAAAUAGUUAAAUCGGCCAUUUAUAAAGGACGACUGAGAUUUGUUGAAACGCCAAAGAAUGACCAAUCUAUUCCGAUUGGUCCUAAUAGAAAAAGGUUUUUGAAUCAGCUGCUUCAAGGCGAUUCAUUUAAAGGUAAGAACGUAAAAGUUGUGGAUGGUGCGAUCAAGCUUUCAAAUAAUCAAAGUUGGCUGGCCCAUUUUACGCGUGCACAUGUUUUUAUUUUUCUUCUAUGUUUCGUUUUUUGGUUUAUUUUUUAUUUUUUAUAUGACCAACCUAAUAUUUUGUGCUAGGCACUAUCAGAAUUGGCACAUGCCUGUAUGUCAUGGUUAGUUGGUAGCGCCGCCUUCAUUUAGGAUAAACCUCCCCCAUCGAUUCUUUUCAAUCCCACCAAUUUAUUUUAACUGAUUUUUAGCCCACUGAUCUAUUUAAUCUCCUUUUUUCUGCCAAAUUAGUAAUGUCAUCAUCUUUACUCCUAAAGGGUAGUUGGUAGUCUCGCCUCACUACCACCAACACUAUGUUACACCCGCGAGCGUCUUUGAGCCGGCCGAUUUGGCGCGUGCAUGAACUCAAUUAAAUCAGUAUUUUCUCGAAACAACAUCAUGCAUUAAUUAAUUCAAAUCAAAUCUUUUAAUAAAAUCUCUACUAAAUCUAAACUUUUCUUUCUUCCAUUUUUUUCUAUGUUUUGUUUUCUGGUUUAUUCUUUUCUGUUUCAUUUUUUCUAUGACCAGACUAAUAAUUUGUGCUCGGCACUACCGGAAUCUGCACAGACUUGUACGUCAUGGUUAGUUGCUAGCAUCGCCUUUAUUUCUUCUAAAUCUCCCCCAUCGAUUUUAUCUAUCCCACCAAUUUAUUUUAAUUAAUUUUAACCCACUAAUCAAUUUAAUCCGGUUUUUCUGCCAAAUUAGUAAUGUCGUUAUGGAAAGUAAUCAAUUAAGAUGAUCUCUAAUCAAUCUUUAAACACCAAAUCCAUGGAAAGGAAUCAAUGUUAGAUAACAAGGGGCAAUAUUUAUGGAAAGGAAUCAGCGUUUGAUUAUAGAACCCAACACGUUUUCAAUAUUGGUUUGAACUCCUCCACUGCGGUUAACUACCCACAACAAAGUGGCCAACCAGCUGGUUAAAUUUUUCUUCACCGGUUUAAUUCACAUCACCCUUUCACCACCCCUUCACGCUGGUUUUUUCUCCCUCACACGUAACUCCCCUGCCUCUGUUGACCCAACUCAUCUCUUUCUCUAAAAAAUCAUCACUAUGUCGAUCUCUCAAAUUAUCCUGUUGCUCGACUAUCUUUUUUCUAGAGUUCCUCAACAUCGCCGCCCCUCUGCCACACCUGCCACCACCAGCUGGUGGCCAAGAUCAACCUCAUCGAGUGUGGCCUAGUCGAGGCCCCGACUCGUGGGAUGACGAAGCUGGCGCCAUCGCCUCACCCCGGUGUAGGGUGUGUCUGCAACCGCGGUGCAGGCAGUGAGGAGCUCUCCAAGGGCUCUCCACCCGCCCACCCCCUACUCGGUCUUGGCCAUGCACAUUGUAGAUGGGGCGCUGCUCCACCCAUUCGUGGUAGUCGCCCCAUCCUCCUCCACCUCUUUAGUGCCCCAAACCCCCACCUUCCGGAGACGCGGGCCAGCUAGGGAGAUCCUUCCGUGCACCCCUCCUCGGCCAUGGCCAUGUUGCACUACCUCUGUCUGAAACACCCCGUGUGUUCACCUUUGUAGUUAACUUCCUUAUAGAUGAAGCCAACCUCGAAUAUCUGUUUAUUGGAACCAUUAGAUUUAUCAAUAGUUUUAGUCAUUACAUUCUAGAGGGCCUGAAAUGAAGAAAAGAAACACCUAUCCCUUUUUAAUCAUGUAAUGGUAAGGGGGUGACACUCUUUGACGGUGAGAAAUUAUUGACGUUUGGUAAUGAAAUAGUAUUAUAUGAAGAAUAUUAUAGAAAUAUAAUUACAUGAAAAAUAAAGUUCAACUACUGUUGUCUUAUAAAAGAUUUGGUCAUACCUAUAUAUUUUUAACCCUCUUAUUUUUAUUAUUACACUGUUCUUCGCUAUACAUGAUAGUUCAACUAUGAAAUUGAUUACACCUUACAUGCAUACUGACCAAACUUUCCUAAUAGAACCACUUCGGACUCAAAUGGAAACUCUGAAGUUCCGUCAGAAACACCACUGCAAAAAAUAUUGUGUAUGUCACAAUUCCCAGCAACAACCGUUAUGACAGCGCAAUGCCACGAUCGCGAGGGACAUGGAUUCGAUGAGGACAAGAUGGUAGCUAUCGACAAGGAUUCAAGAAGGACCAGACACCACAGUAGUGGUUGUAAUAUUAUCCGAGAUGAAUUUGAAAAAAUAGUCGAUAUGUGGAGGUAUGGUGGAUUUUGCAAAAAUAUCUUAUAGAUUUUUGCUAGAGAGAACAUAUCGAUGUGUAUGCACUGAUAGCAUUUGCUUCAUGACGCAAUAUGUUUGUCCUGCUAUUAAAUUUGUAUUAUUUUUUUAUUUUUUGUUUUGUGUUAUAAAACGCAUAAAAAAGUAUAGAUCGUCCAGCACCAUCUUGGUGUGUAAGCAUUUGUAGUAAUAUAAUAUGUUUCAUGUGAGAAGAUUGGUGAAAGUGUAUGUUGAUGGAUUUGAGUAUUGAGAGAUAAAUUAGCAUUCCUAUGUAACUACCCUUCCAUCACAUAGUGAAAUAUGGGAGACCACACAUCUUUCACAUGCACGAGAGUUGAUUAAUAAAAUUAGUGUGAAUAAGUUGAAGAACUAUCAUACCAUGGCAAUGGCAUACAUAAGAUGAAGUAAAUAGAAGGGGUCCAUAGCACUCAGAUGGGAAGGCAGUUGCCACCCUUGUCCCUUGCCGCUGGCCUACCAUGGUGGCGUCGACCACUGGCUCACUUAGAACAUGAGUUAGUUAAUUUUAUGAGAAGAGUGAGGGUUGAGAGUGAGCGGGAGGAGUGUUGGGGUUGGUCUAUUCAGUUACGGCUAUCUGAGCAAGAUAAUUUCCCUACUUAGAAAAUGUGGCAAAUUGCAUCCGUUAGUGAUGGUUUUGCAGCAAAUUGCAUGAGCGAGUCGUUCAUAUUUUUUUCAUCAAGUCGCUUACUUUUUUAUUAGGAUAGAAGGGUAAAUGCAGUGGUUGGUUUCUUCAAAAGUUAAUAACAAUCUUUUUUGGUUAGGAUAGAAUGGUAAAUGCAUUGGUUGCCUGCUUCAGGAGUUAACAUAAGAGACACUGUGUCCUAUCACUCGCAUGCCAAACAAUGUACAUCAUAUUUUUGUUUUGUGGUAAUGCGCGAUAUUCAAAUGUAUGUUACAAUGUGGCAAUGGCUUAGGAGACAUCAGAUCUGGCUUCUGGGCUGGGGGACGCACACGCCUCCUCCCCCUUGAUGGCAGUGACAGAUCAACACAAACAUUGGGGAGGGAUCAAGGCCGAGAGCGGGGCGUUUGGUAGGGGACGUCUCCUUGGUGGUCCGUGGGGAAGUACGAUGUGAAGGAGAGAGGGCGCCAUGGAAAAUGUGAGGUGGGCGUCAUCUGGUUUUAAAGAGAGAAAUGUCCUGCUACAGUGGUAAAUCGAGAAGAAAGUGGAGGGUCCGACAGAAAAAGGGAAGGGUGCAUCGUAGGGGUGAGUUUUUUGUGUUGGGGCGCAUGUUUGGGAUAACAUGGCAGAUAGUCUAAACAACCACAUUUGUCUGCCAUGUAUGGGUUGGAUUAGAGGAAGCCCGGACUAUCUAGACAGUUGAGUUUUGAGGAGCCCACUGGGCACCCGUUUGAUGUGCAGACACACCAAAACAUAUGAGGAAAUGAUUUUUGACCUUGGAGAAGACAUUAAUCAUUUGUUUGAUUCAUUUCUGUACAUAGGUAUGUGCCCGUGCGUUCCCACGGGAGCCAAAUAUUUUUUUAACACAAUAAUUAAUCGGGUAGCCUCGGUCAUGCCUGGUAAGUAGCUUAAUGGGAUAUAUUGAGUGGUGCAGGGGAAGAUGCGCUGAAAUAUGGCGUACAAUUAAGCAACGAAAUUCCACAUUAUUGCAAAAAGGUAAGUUAAUUAAGGUGGAAUUGAUGUAGUGCUACUAAAUUAAAUUAAAUUAAUAUGAUUGAGCAACGUACUUGAAAGGUGCGAUCAAAUAUUGCUUCGUGAAAAAAACCCAGCUAGAUGAAUAAAAAUGGGGGUGGAAUGUGGUGAAAAAGGGAGAACCAGUUGACGGAGAGUUUUUCUUGGCAGGAAAAGGAACACUACUUAUUUUUUAAGUACUAUAUAGAGAUUGUAGCCCGUAGCAACACACAUAGGUUGUAUUAGUGAUAUAUAAAAGGGUUGUGUUUCCCUCUAGUAUCUGCAUUUUGUUAGGACUUUUGGAGACACUUUAGUGCAUUCAAUUGAAAAAGGUGUCGAGGACUAUAUAUUCAUGGUAUAUAGUAAAGAUGUGGAUUUAAAAUGAAUAAUCCAUAGUCCAUCAUCAAACCCAAGGAAUUAUUUUGUUUAUUUAGGAGGGUCGGCGCCAAUAAUGAAUUGGCAUUUCAACAAUCUUUGGGUUCGAAUGUUCUCUUGAUUUAUCCACAUAUUUGGUGUCGUACUGUUGUGUCUAUUCUUCUGCCUGUUCAUCCCAAGAUGGAAAUUAAUCUUAAUUUACAAAGGCUAGCUGUGUAUCCCCCCUUUAACCAGCACCAGUCAUCAUUUGACCUAGGGGUUGCUAACAUGUACUACCUCUGUAAAGUACUCCCUCCGUUUAAAAAAAUGAGAUCCAUGGGAACUAGCACACAGGACAUAUUUCUAUAGAAGAAGCUCAGUCGGGUGAGGGUCCCGAAAUUCGCUCCCGACGGGAUUUGAACUCUGGCCACUGGGUGCACCACUGCAACCCAUUGCCACUUGGCUACAGCCUGGCACUCACCCCCUCCGUUUUUAUUUACUUCGAAGAUUAGCUUUGUCUCGGGACAAACUUUCUAUACUUUGAUCAAGUUUAUAUAUAAAAAAUUAACAUCCACAAUAGCAUGUCAAUUCCUUUAUAAUCAUCAUUCAAUAUAUUUCCAUAUCAUAAUACUUUUUAUUGUGAAAGUUUAGACUGUUUUUGAUAAAACUUGGUCAAACUUUCUAAAGUUUGACUUAGUUCAAUGCUAAUAUACGGAGUAACUAAAAAUGGAGGGAGUAAUAUAAGAUCUUUUAGAUCACUAAAGUAGUGAUCUAAAAGGUCUUAUUUUACUUUUUGGAGGUAGUAAAUCUGUAAGGGUAUCCAUAAACCAUAGUGCACCGAAAUAUUUUGGUAGGAAGCUAGUGACCGUUUUUUCACACCAUGGUCAUUUACACAUUUUCACAAGCAACACAGGAACCAGGCUUGUGACGGUCUGAUGUUGCAUAUACAUUGGAGAUACCCUAAUGCAACUUAGAGAUGUUAUUUCCCCUCGAUUAACUACACUCUUUUGGCAAAAAACUAAACAAUAGCUACACCUGUAUAAGAAAGAAAUAAAGGAAGUAGGUGACAUGUGGAGUUUGGUGAAGCAAUGAAGUAUGCGCUCACACUUAAUCUAUGAAUAACUACCUUCCACGUGUAGCAAAAGCAAUAACUGCAACUAUGAUAGAGGUGUUUUCCCUUUUGAGGUGAUGGCUACAGUAGAGGUGGUAUAAAGGUGUGUGAUAGUGUGAGGCAUGGAGAAGUCCAAGAGGAGAGUAAAAAUGUCCAGCACGAUGAGUGUGGCACCCAUGCUUGAAUGGGGACUUCUUUUAGAAAUGGGAUGUAUUGGAAAUUUCAGUUAGAGUCAGAGGAUGCUAAAAUGUCCAGUAUCAUAAGGAAUUGGAAGAAAAGGAGAGCUUUCAUGUACACAUUGUUCUCGUUGACCAAGCAAAUUUGGAUGUUGAAACUAUACGACACAUAGACCGUCUCAUAUCAGAAAAUAGUGUCCUUUUAGUUAGUGGAUCUUUGGUUUUCCUUGAGAAAAAAGAGGAACCCUCAUUUCAUUAACCAUAUGGGGAUUAGAGUGUGAUACGUCUCCAACAUAUCUAUAAUUUUUUAUUGUUCCAUGCUAUAUUAUAUUCUGUUUUGGAUGUUUAAUGGGCUUUAUUAUACACUUUUAUAUUAUUUUUGGAACUAACCUAUUAACCGGAGGCCCAACGCAAAUUGCUGUUUUUUGCCUAUUUCAGUGUUUCGAAGGAAAAGAAUAUCAAACAGAGUCCAAACGGAAUGAAACCUUCGGGAACGUGAUUUUCGGAACAAACGUGAUCCAGAGGACUUGGAGUCUACGUAAAGCAAUCAACGAGGAAGGCACGAGGCAGGGGCGCGCCUACCCCCCUUGGGCGCGCCCUCCACCCUCGUGGGCCCCUCGUUGCUCCACCGACGUACUUCUUCCUCCUAUAUAUACCUACGUACCCCCAAACCAUCAUGUACGGAGCCAAAACCCUAUUUCCACUGCCGCAACCUUCUGUACCCGUGAGAUCCCAUCUUGGGGCCUUUUCCGGCGCUCCGCCGGUGGGGGCAUUGAUCACGGAGGGCUUCUACAUCAACACCAUAGCCUCUCCGAUGAUAUGUGAGUAGUUUACCUCAGACCUUCGGGUCCAUAGUUAUUAGCUAGAUGGCUUCUUCUCUCUCUUUGGAUCUCAAUACAAAGCUCAUCUCGAUCUUCUUGGAGAUCUAUUCGAUGUAAUCUUCUUUUGCGGUGUGUUUGUCGAGAUCCGAUGAAUUGUGGGUUUAUGAUCAAGAUUAUCUAUGAAUAAUAUUUGAAUCUCCUCUGCAUUCUUUUAUGUAUGAUUGGUUAUCUUGGCAAGUCUCUUCAAAUUAUCAGUUUGGUUUGGCCUACUAGAUUGAUCUUUCUUACAAUGGGAGAAGUGCUUAACUUUGGGUUCAAUCUUGCGGUGCUCGAUCCCUGUGACAGAAAGGGAAACGACACGUAUUGUAUUGUUGCCAUCGAGGAUAAAAAGAUGGGGUUUAUAUCAUAUUGCAUGAGUUUAUCCCUCUACAUCAUGUCAUCUUACUUAAAGCAUUACUCUGUUCUUAUGAACUUAAUACUCUAGAUGCAUGUUGGAUAGCGAUCGAUGUGUGGAGUAAUAGUAGUAGAUGCAGAAUUGUUUCGGUCUACUUGUCACGGACGUGAUGCUUAUAUACAUGAUCAUACCUAGAUAUUCUCAUAACUAUGAUCAAUUCUAUCAAUUGCUCGACAGUAAUUCGUUUACCCAUCAUAAUACUUAUGCAAUCUUGAGAGAAGCCACUAGUGAAACCUGUGGCCCCCGGGUCUAUUUUCUAUCAUAUUAAUCUCCCGACAACAAGCUAUUUCUGGCGCCGUUUAUUUUACUUUGCAUCUUUAUUUACUCUUUAUCAUAAAAAUACCAAAAAUAUUAUCUUAUCAUAUCUAUCAGAUCUCACUCUCGUAAGUGACCGUGAAGGGAUUGACAACCCCUUUAUCGCGUUGGUUGCGAGGUUCUUAUUUGUUUGUGUAGGUGCGUGGGACUCGAGCGUGGUCUCCUACUGGAUUGAUAUCUUGGUUCUCAAAAACUAAGGGAAAUACUUACGCUACUUUACUGCAUCACCCUUUCCUCUUCAAGGGAAAACCAACGCAGUGCUCAAGAGGUAGCAAGGAUUUCUGGCGCCGUUGCCGGGGAGUCUACGCACAAGCCAAGACAUACCAAGUACCCAUCACAAACUCUUAUCCCUCGCACUACAUUAUUUGCCAUUUGCCUCUCGUUUUCCUCUCCCCCACUUCACCUUUGCCAUUUUAUUUUCCCCUCUUCCGUUCGUCCUUCUGUUUGCUCUUGUUACCAUGUGCCUUCUUUUUGCUUGCAUCUUUGCUUGCUAAAAGUUUAUGGAUCCUCAUCCACUUGCUAAUCUCUUUAAGAGAUCCAAUUAUGGUGAACCUAUUGCUAGUGAGUUUUGUGCACUAGAUUAUCUUUAUGAGGUUUUGCUUGAAAUUCGUGAAUCUGAAAAUUGUGAUGAAGUGUUGAAACAAGAAACUUAUGAAGUGAUUCACGAUAGAUAUUUGAAUAAAAAGCAUGAUUGCAAUGAUGUUAUUAUAAAUUCUAUUAAUGUCAGUUGUGCUAAAUAUAUGCAAAACCCUAAGCUUGGGGAUGCUAGUUUUGCUAUGUCCUCUACUUGUUGCAAUGAUCAUGAUUGGGGUGAUAGUUCUUCUUAUAAUCUUGAAAUUUUAUUUAAGCCCCAUGAUGAAUAUGAGAUUGAUAAUAGUGUUUGCAAUAUUAUUGAAAGUGGGUUUGGAAGAGUGUCAACUUUAGAUCCCGCAUAUUUGGAGAAUAUUCAAUCUUAUGAAAUUUUUGACAAAAGUGGGUUUGGAGAGGUCAUGACUUUAGUUAAUGUUAAUCCCACUAUUUUGGAAGAGUGUCAACUUUGCAUGCAUGUGGAUCGUGUUGAAAAUAUUUUAUGUGAUAGCUAUUUUGUUGAAUUUUCUUAUGAUCCCACAUGUAAUUAUUAUGAGAGAGGAAAAUAUGGAUGUAGAAAUUUUCAUGUUACUAAAUUACCUCUCGUUACGUUGAGAUUGCUAUUGUUUCUUUCCACUUCCUUGCAUAUGCUAGUUUUUGCUUGCUAUGAUCAUUUUUUUGCCUAUAAUAUGCCUAUGCAUAGGAAUUAUGUUAGACUUAGAUGUGUUUAUCACGAGUUUUAUGAUGCUCUCUUUGUGCUUCAAUUCUUGUCUUUCAUGUGAGCAUCUUUGAAAUUUUUAUGCCUAGCUAGGGGCGUUAAACGAUAGCGCUUGUUGGGAGGUGAUACGUAUCCGUCGUAUCUACAAAAGUUCUCGGAAUGACCUGAAACUCCACGGAACAUAUUUUUGGAAAAUAUUAAAAAUACUGGAAGAAGAAUCCACGUCAGGGGGCCCACACCCUGUCCACGAGGGUGGGGGGCGCGCCUGCCCCCCUAGGCGCGCCCCCUGCCUCGUGGGCCCCCUAACGCUCCACCGACCUCAACUCCAACUCCAUAUAUUCACUUUCGGGGAGAAAAAAUCAGAGAGAAGGAUUCAUCGCGUUUUACGAUACGGAGCCGCCGCCAAGCCCUAAAACCUCUCGGGAGGGCUGAUCUGGAGUCCGUUCGGGGCUCUGGAGAGGGGAAUCCGUUGCCAUUGUCAUCAUCAACCAUCCUCCAUCACCAAUUUCAUGAUGCUCACCGCCGUGCGUGAGUAAUUCCAUCUUAGGCUUGCUGGACGGUGAUGGGUUGGAUGAGAUCUAUCAUGUAAUCGAGUUAGUUUUGUUAGGGUUUGAUCCCUAGUAUCCACUAUGUUCUGAGAUUGAUGUUGCUAUGACUUUGCUAUGCUUAAUGCUUGUCACUAGGGCCCGAGUGCCAUGAUUUCAGAUCUGAACCUAUUAUGUUUUCAUGAAUAUAUGUGAGUUCUUGAUCCUAUCUUGCAAGUCUAUAGUCACCUACUAUGUGUUAUGAUCCGGCAACCCCGAAGUGACAAUAAUCGGGACCACUCCCGGUGAUGACCGUAGUUUGAGGAGUUCAUGUAUUCACUAUGUGUUAAUGCUUUGGUCCGGUACUCUAUUAAAAGGAGGCCUUAAUAUCCCUUAGUUUCCGCUAGGACCCCGCUGCCACGGGAGGGUAGGACAAAAGAUGUCAUGCAAGUUCUUUUCCAUAAGCAUGUAUGACUAUAUUCGGAAUACAUGCCUACAUUACAUUGAUGAAUUGGAGCUAGUUCUGUGUCACCCUAUGUUAUGACUGUUACAUGAUGAACCGCAUCCGGCAUAAUUCUCCAUCACCGAUCCAAUGCCUACGAGCUUUUCACAUAUUGUUCUUCGCUAUUUACUUUUCCGUUGCUAUUGUUACAAUCACUACAAAACCAAAAAAUAUUACUUUUGCUACCGUUACCGUUACUUCCAUACUACUUUGCUACUAAAUACUUUGCUGUAGAUACUAUGUUAUCCAGGUGUGGUUGAAUUGACAACUCAACUGCUAAUACUUGAGAAUAUUCUUUGGCUCCCCUUGUGUCGAAUCAAUAAAUUUGGGUUGAAUACUCUACCCUCGAAAAGUGUUGCGAUCCCCUAUACUUGUGGGUUAUCAAGACUAUUUUCUGGCGCCGUUGCCGGGGAGAAUAGCUCUAUUCUUUGAGUCACUUGGGAUUUAUAUCUGCUGGUCACUACGCGAAAACAAAAAUUUAUCCCUCAACUACGAGGGGAUGUAAGGAACUGCCAUCUAGCUCUGCACUUGAUUCACCUUCUUGAGUAAGCUUGCGACACCUAAACCUGCUUCUGCUAUUCAUUUUGAUAUGUCGCAUGUUACUGAUGAUGCCACUUAUGCUAUGCAUUAUACUUAUGAUGAAACUACUUCUAUGCUUGAUACUACAAUGCCACUUGGUGAAUUUCUUGAUGAACAACUUGUUAGGGCUAGAGAGAAUGAAAUUACUAAAACUGAUAAUAUUGAAGAUAGUGAUGAUGAAGACUCUCCCCCUAAUAAAUAUGAAUUCCCUGUUGUUCCUGAGGUUUAUGUUUUGGAUGAAGAAUCUACUAGAGCCAUUCUUGCUUGCAAUGAUAGAAGUGAUCUUAAGAAAUUAUUAGCUAAAUGGAAGCAGCGAUCUCUUAAUGCUAGAAUGAAACCUGACCCUGCUUUUGCUACUUCACCUAUCUGUGUUAUUGAUAAGGAUUAUGAAUUCUCUGUUGAUCCUGAUAUAAUUACUUUGGUUGAAUCUGAUCCUUUUUAUGGCUAUGAAUCUGAAACUGUUGUGGCACAUCUUACUAAAUUAAAUGAUAUAGCCACCCUGUUCACUAAUGACGAGAGAACUCGCUACCUUUAUAUCCUUAAAAUAUUUCCGUUCUCAUUAAAGGGUGAUGCUAAGAUAUGGUUUAAUUCUCUUGAUCCUAGUUGUGUGCGUAGUCCCCGGGAUAUGAUUUAUUACUUCUCUGCUAAAUAUUUCCCUGCUCAUAAGAAACAAGCUGCUUUAAGGGAUAUAUAUAAUUUUGUGCAAAUUAAAGAAGAGAGUCUGCCACAAGCUUGGGGGAGGCUUCUCCAAUUACUUAAUGCUUUGCCUGAUCAUCCUCUGAAGAAAAAUGAAAUACUUGAUAUCUUUUAUAAUGGACUAACCGAUGCCUCCAGAGAUUACCUGGAUAGUUGUGCUGGUUCUGUUUUCAGGGAAAGAACACCGGAUGAAGCUGAAAUUCUAUUAAACAAUAUGUUGACCAAUGAAAAUAAUUGGACACUUCUUGAGCCAACUCCUGAGCCUAUUCCUAAACCAACUCCAAAGAAGAGGGGUGUUCUAUUUCUCAGUCCUGAAGAUAUGCAAGAGGCAAAGAAAUCUAUGAAAGAAAAGGGUAUUAAAGCUGAAGAUGUUAAGAAUUUACCUCCUAUUGAAGAAACAUAAGAUCUUCAUCCUUCACCUAUUGAAGAAACACAUGGUCUUGAUAACCCGACACAGGUAGUAAAGGUAAAUUCUCUCUAUAGAUUUGAUGAAGGUGAUAUUCCUCACUAUAAGUCUGCUAGACAAUGCUUAGAAGUGUUUGAUAAUUUUAUUGUCAAACAAGAAAACUUCAAUGCUUAUUUUGGUAGACAAUUGAAAUACAAUUCCGAUACGCUUGAACACUUUGGUGAUUAUAUGUCUAGAGUUAAAGGUGAACUUAAACUCAUUAGUAAACAUGCUUCUAUGUUUACCACUCAAGUAGAACAAGUACUUAAAGCUCAGAAUGAUUUUCUCAAUGAAUUGAAUAGUAAGAAAAAUGAUUAUGUUGUUAGAGUGGCUACUAGAACUGGUAAAAUGACUCAGGAACCUUUGUAUCCUGAAGGCCAUCAUAAGAGAAUUGAGCAAGAUUCUCAGACAAAUAAUAUAGAUGCACCUAGUCCUUCUAAAAGAAGAAAAAGAAAGAUGAUAGGACUUUGCAUGCUUCUAGUGGACCUAUUGCUAAACCACCUGAGAAUCCAAAUGAUAUUUCUAUUUCUGAUGCUGAAACACAAUCUGGUAAAGAACAUGAACCUAAUGAAAAUAUUAAUGAAGAUGUUCAUGAUGAUGCUCAACCUAGUAAUGAUAAUGAUGUAGAAAUUGAACCUGCAGUUGAUCUUGAUAACCCACAACCAAAGAAUCAACGUUAUGAUAAGAGAGACUUUGUUGCUAGGAAACAUGGUAAAGAAAGAGAACCAUGGAUUUAGAAACCCAUGCCUUUUCCUCCCAAAACAUCCAAGAAAAAGGAUGAUGAGGAUUUUGAGCGCUUUGCUGAAAUGAUUAGACCUAUCUUUUUGCGUAUGCGAUUGACUGAUAUGCUCAAAAUAAAUCCUUAUGCUAAGUACAUAAAAGAAAUUGUCACUAAUAAAAGAAAGAUACCGGAAGCUGAAAUUUCCACCAUGCUUGCUAAUUAUAAUUUUAAGGGUGGAAUACCUAAGAAACUAGGAGAUCCAGGAGUGCCAACUAUACCAUGCUCCAUUAAAAGAAACUAUGUUAAAACUGCUUUAUGUGAUCUUGGAGCCGGUGUUAGUGUUAUGCCUCUCUCUUUAUACCGUAGACUUGAUUUGAAUAAGUUGACACCUACUGAAAUAUCUUUGCAAAUGGCUGAUAAAUCAACUGCUAUACCUGUCGGUAUUUGUGAGGAUGUGCCUGUUGUGGUUGCAAACGUUACUAUUUUAACGGACUUUGUUAUUCUUGAUAUCCCCGAGGACGAUAGUAUGUCUAUUAUUCUUAGAAGACCUUUUUUGAAUACUGCAGGGGCUGUUAUUGAUUGCAACAAAGGCAAUGUCACUUUUCAUGUUAAUGGUAAUGAGCAUACGGUACACUUUCCGAGGAAGCAACCUCAAGUCCAUAGUAUCAAUUCUAUUGGAAAAAUUCCAUCGAUUAUUUUUGGAGGUUUUGAAUUUCCUCUUCCUACUGCCAAGAAGAAAUAUGAUAUUCUUAUUAUUGGGGAUGUGCAUAUCCCCAUUGAGGUAACAUAUUGUUAUUCGAAAUUUCUCCGGUUCCAUGUUAUUCGGAAUGAGUUUGUUAACAAGACUUGAUCAACCUUGUUAGUGGAUUCCUUUUGAUGAGCAUGAGAUGGAUGAAACUAGAAGCACAACCUUCUAUACCCUCUCUUUACUUUCUGUUAUUUAGUUGAAAUAAAGCAAAAAAUAGUAUUUUCCUGUCUGUUUUCUGAUUUAUCCGUGCAAUAUAAAAAUACCCCGAAAAUAAAAGUUCUCCAAAUGCCCUGAAAAUGGAAUAUGAUUUUUUCUGGAAUAUUUGAGAAUAUCUGGCACUGAGAACACAUAAGGGGGAGCAAGCACCUGGCCACGAGGGUCCAGGGCGCGCCCACCCCUACAAGGCGCGCCCCCUGCCUCGUGGGCCCACGGUGGCUCCCCUCCACUUAUUCCUGCACCCACACACUUCUUCUUCCUCCCAAAAAAAUCACCAUCCAACUCAAGCACGAGUAGCUCAUUUUGCUGCGAUUUUCGAUCUCCUUGCUCAAAGCACCUCUCACAAAACUGCUUGGGAAGAUUGUUCCUUGGUAUGUGACUCCUCCAUUGGUCCAAUUAGUUUUUGUUCUAGUGCUUUAUUCAUUGCAAAUUUGUGCUGCCUAGGUGACCAUGUUCUUGAGCUUGCAUGUCAAAUUUAUAUGGUUCCAAGUAGUUCUAAUGCUUGAUAUAGGCUCUAGGCACUUGUAGGAGUAGUUGCUAUCAAUUUUGUUGAGCUUGGUUCACUUUUAUUUUUAAGUUACUAAAAAUUUCAGAAAUUUUUCAGAGGAAGAAAUAUGCUUAGGAAAAUGUUCCAUGGUGGUCCUUCAAGUAAGCAAGGACCCAGGCUUGCAAUGUGUGAUGCUGCCGAUGACCCACCAAGGGACGCUCCAGUGCGGCCUUGUGAAUGGCCUUCAGAAAACUUUAUGGAUCGAGCGGGAAUCAAGGAAGAAUUUAACGCGUAUUUGCGUAACGCUGAUCUUGUGAACUUCGAGGGAGAGAAGUGCCGCCAGUACCACUAUCUCACUAGUUCCUUUGUGAGGAGGCAAAAGGAAGACAUUUUAUUAUCAGAGAGGAGACAGAUGAGUACGAGAGGAGGGCGGAGGCAGCUCGCCGCCACGCUGCAGCCCAGGAGGCAAUAACUGUCGCAUCGCAGUACGACCCUGGCUACAACUAUGGAUAUCCGCCAGGCCAUCCGUGGCAAUAAAACAACUUAGGCCAAAAGCCUAAGCUUGGGGGAGUAUGUAUUUCCCACCGACAUUACAUUUAUGUUCACACACACUCAUUGCUAGAUGUAGGUGCUCAUACUCUUUCUCUGUAAUAUCCAUGCUAGUUUAUUUUCCUUUUUCUUGCUUUCUUCUUGUGUGUUUAAUAAACCUUAAGAAAAACAAAAAAAUAGUGUAGCUUUUAGUUAGUUUACUUUUCUUGUUGUAGUAGUAGUAAUUAAAAAGAAAACCCAAAAAGAUUUCCUCUUCUUCUUUUGCUUGUUGGGAGCUUUCCCGUGUAAAUGUUUUAUUUCUUUUCUUUUCUUUGGGGGUCGAUAGGAGAAGACCAUGAUUAAAUUGUUAAAGUGGCUCUUAUAUGCAUUAUUGAUGAUUUAACCAAGAGCCCAUAUUGCCUUGUCGUCUCCUGUUUAUUGAAUGCUCACAGAUUCCAGCUUAGUCCAAUGCACGUGCACUCUUAUUAUUUUCACAUCGUUCGGUCGUGCAAGUGAAAGGCAAUUAUGACGAUAUAUGAUGGACUGACUGAGAUGAGAGAAGCUGGUAUGAACUCGACCUCUCUUGUUUUUGUAAAUAUGAUUAGUUCAUCGUUCCUGAUUCAGCCUAUUAUGAAUAAACAUGUUUGCAAUGACAAUUAGAGAUCAUAGUUGCUUAUGCCAUGCUUGAUUAGCUAUGAGUUAUAAUGGUUUACCUUGCGUGCCAACAUGCUAUUAAAAUGGUUGUGAUGUGGUAUAGUGGGGUGGUAUCCUCCUUUGAAUGAUUUAAGUGACUCGACUUGGCACAUGUUCACACAUGUAGUUGAAACAAAUCAACAUAGCCUUCACGAUAUCUAUGUUCAUGGUGGAUUAUAUCCUACUCAUGCUCGUACUCAAUGUCUAUUAAUUUUAAUGCAUGUUCAUGACUGUUGUCGCUCUCUAGUUGGUCGCUACCCAGUCUUUUGCUAGCCUUCACCUGUACUAAGCGGGAAUACUGCUUGUGCAUCCAAUCCCUUAAACCCCAAAGUUAUUCCAUAUGAGUCCACCAUACCUUCCUAUAUGCGGUAUCUACCUGCCGUUCCAAGUAAAUUUGUAUGUGCCAAAUUCUAAACCUUCAAAUGAAAUUCUGUUUUGUAUGCUCGAAUAGCUCAUGUAUCAACUAGGGUUGUCUGUAUCUUCCAUGCUAGGUGGGUUAUUCUCAAGAGGAGUGGACUCCGCUCCUCACUCAUGAGAAAAUGGCUGGUCAACGGGAUGCCCAGUCCCAUGCUUUAUGCAAACUAAAUCAAAAUAAUUGCAAACAAAACUCCCCCUGGGACUGUUGCUAGUUGGAGGCACUCGUUGUUUCGAGCAAGCCAUGGAUUGAUGCUUGUUGGUGGAGGGGGAGUAUAAACUUUGCCAUUCUAUUUGGGAACCGCCUAUAAUGUGUGUAGCAUGGAAGAUAUCGCCAUCUCUUGGUUGUUAUGUUGACAAUGAAAGUAUGCCGCUCAAAAUACUAUUUAUCUCUAUUUCAAAAUCGAGCUCUGGCACCUCUACAAAUCCCUGCUUCCCUCUGCGAAGGGCCUAUCUAUUUACUUUCAUGUUGAGUCAUCACCCUCUUAUUAAAAAGCACUAGCUGGAGAGCACUGCUGUCAUUUGCAUCCAUUACUAUUAAUUUAUAUUGGGUAUGACUAUGACUGGAUCUCUUUUACCAUGAAUUACAAUGUCUAGUCAGUCCUUGGUCUUUAAAGAUGCUCUGCAUUUAUGUUUUGGGGUCUCAGAAAGGGCUAGCGAGAUACCAUCUUAUUAUAUCAUAUUAUGAUUGUUUUUAGAAAGUGUUGUCAUCCGAGAUUUAUUAUUAUUGCUCGCUAGUUGAUUAUGCCAUUGAUAUGAGUAAACAUGAGACCUAAGAGUUAUUGUGAAUGUGGUUAGUCAUAAUCUUUGCUGAAAACUUGAAUGCUGGCUUUACAUAUUUACAACAACAAGUGCAAACAGAGUUUGUAAAAGUUUUUCUUUAUCACUUUCAGUUUAUCAACUGAAUUGCUUUAGGACAAGCAAAGGUUUAAGCUUGGGGGAGUUGAUACGUCUCCGUCGUAUCUACUUUUCCAAACGCUUUUGCCCUUGUUUUGGACUCUAACUUGCAUGAUUUGAAUGGAACUAACCCGGACUGACGCUGUUUUCAGCAGACUUUCUAUGGUGUUAUUUAUGUGCAAAAACAAAAGUUCUCGGAAUGACCUGAAACUCCACGAAACAUAUUUUUGGAAAAUAUUAAAAAUACUGGAAGAAGAAUCCACGUCAGGGGGCCCACACCCUGUCCAUGAGGGUGGGGCGCGCCUGCCCCCCUGGGCGCGCCCCCUGCCUCGUGGGCCCCCUGACGCUCCACCGUCCUCAACUCCAACUCCAUAUAUUCACUUUCGGGGAGAAAAAAAUCAGACAGAAGGAUUCAUCGUGUUUUACGAUACGGAGCCGCCGCCAAGCCCUAAAACCUCUCGGGAGGGCUGAUCUGGAGUCCGUUCGGGGCUCCAGAGAGGGGAAUCCGUCGCCAUCGUCAUCAUCAACCAUCCUCCAUCACCAUUUUCAUGAUUCUCACUGCCGUGCGUGAGUAAUUCCAUCGUAGGCUUGCUGGACGGUGAUGGGUUGGAUGAGAUCUAUCAUGUAAUGGACUUAGUUUUGUUAGGGUUUGAUCCAUAGUAUCCACUAUGUUCUGAGAUUGAUGUUGCUAUGACUUUGCUAUGCUUAAUGCUUGUCACUAGGGCCCGAGUGCCAUGAUUUCAGAUUUGAACCUAUCAUGUUUUCAUGAAUAUAUGUGAGUUCUUGAUCCUAUCUUGCAAGUCUAUAGUCACCUACUAUGUGUUAUGAUCCGGCAACCCCGAAGUGACAAUAAUCGGGACCACUCCCGGUGAUGACUGUACUUUGAGGAGUUCAUGUAUUCACUAUGUGUUAAUGCUUUUGUCCAGUACUCUAUUAAAAGAAGGCCUUAAUACCCCUUAGUUUCCGCUAGGACCCCGCUGCCACGGGAGGGUAGGACAAAAGAUGUCAUGCAAGUUCUUUUCCAUAAGCACGUAUGACUAUAUUCGGAAUACAUGCCUACAUUACAUUCAUGAAUUGGAGCUAGUUCUGUGUCACCCUAUGUUAUUUCUGUUACAUGAUGAACCGCAUCCGGCAUAAUUCUCCAUCACCGAUCCAAUUCCUACGAGCUUUUCACAUAUUGUUCUUCGCUUAUUUACUUUUCCGUUGCUAUUGUUACAAUCACUACAAAACCCAAAAAUAUUACUUUUGCUACCGUCACCGUUACUUCCAUACUACUUUGCUCCUAAAUACUUUGCUGCAGAUACUAAGUUAUCCAGGUGUGGUUGAAUUGACAACUCAACUGCUAAUACUUGAGAAUAUUCUUUGGCUCCCCUUGUGUCGAAUCAAUAAAUUUGGGUUGAAUACUCUACCCUCGAAAACUGUUGCGAUCCCCUGUACUUGUGGGUUAUCAGGAGGCAACCCAAUUUUAUUUUUAGUUUUUUUGCUUUUUGGUUCUGUUUAGGAAAAAUUCUUUGAUCUAGCCUCUGGUUAGAUUUGUUUUUAUGUUUUAAUUAGUGUUUGUGCCAAGUUAAACCUAUAGGAUCUUCUUGGAUGAUAGUUAUUUGAUCUUGCUGAAAAUUCCAGAAACUUUCUGUUCACGAAAACAAUUGUUUAAAAUCACCAGAACGUGAUAAAAUACUGAUUCCAAUUGCAGUAGAUCAAUAAACAAAUUUUCUAGGUCUUCCUAUUUUGGUAGAAUUUUUUGAGUUCUAGAAGUUUGCGUUAGUUAUAGAUUACAACAGACUGUUCUGUUUUUUGACAGAUUCUGUUUUUCGCUUGUUGUUUGCUUAUUUUGAUGAAUCUAUGGCUAGUAAAAGAGUUUAUAAACCAUAGAGAAGUUGAAAUACAGUAGGUUUAACACCAAUAUAAAUAAAUAAUGAGUUCAAUACAGUAACUUGAAGUGGUGUUUUGUUUUCUUUCGCUAACGGAGCUCACGAGAUUUUCUGCUGAGUUUUGUGUUGUGAAGUUUUCAAGUUUUGGGUAAAGAUUUGAUGGAUUAUGGAACAAGGAGUGGCAAGAGUCUAAGCUUGGGGAUGCCCAUCGCACCCCAAGGUAAUCUAAGGACACCAAAAAGCCAAAGCUUGGGGAUGCCCCAGAAGGCAUCCCCUCUUUCGUCUUCGUCCAUCGGUAACUUUACUUGGAGCUAUAUUUUUAUUCACCACAUGAUAUGUGUUUUGCUUGGAGCGUCUUGUAUGAUUUGAGUCUUUGCUUUUUAGUUUACCACAAUCAUACUUGAUGUACACACCUUUUGAGAGAGACACGCAUGAUUCGGAAUUUAUUAGAAUACUCUAUGUGCUUCACUUAUAUCUUUUGAGCUAUAUAGUUUUUGCUCUAGUGCUUCACUUAUAUCUUUUAGAGCACGGUGGUGGAUUUGUUUUAUAGAAACUUUUGUUCUCUCAUGCUUCACUUAUAUUAUUUUGAGAGUCCUACAAACAGCAUGGUAAUUUGCUUUAAUCAUAAAAAUGGGUCCUAAUAUAAUAGGCAUCCAAGAUUAGUAAAAAAAAUCUUAUGAGUGUGUUGAAUACUAUGAGAAGUUUGAUGCUUGAUAAUUGUUUUGAGAUAUGAAGAUGGUGAUAGUAGAGUCGUGCUAGUUGAGUGGUUAUGAAUUUGAGAAAUACUUGUGUUAAAGUUUGUGAUUCCUGUAGCAUGCACGUAUGGUGAACCGUUAUGUGAUGAAGUCGGAGCAUGCUUUAUUUACUGAUUGUCUUCCUUAUGAGUGGUGGUCUGGGACGAGCGAUGGUCUUUUCCUACCAAUCUAUCCCCCUAGGAGCAUGCGCGUAAUACUUUGCUUUGAUAACUUGUAGAUUUUUGCAACAAGUAUAUGAGUUCUUUAUGACUAAUGUUGAGUCCAUGGAUUACACGCACUCUCAUCCUUCCACCAUUGCUAGCCUCUCUAAUACCACGCUCUUGUCGCCGGUAUCAUACACCCACCAUAUACCUUCCUCAAAACAGCCACCAUAACUACCUAUCAUGGCAUUUCCAUAGCCAUUCCGAGAUAUAUUGCCAUGCAACUUACCACCGUUUCGUUUACUAUGACACGCUUCAUCAUUGUCAUAAUUGCUUUGCAUGAUCAUGUAGUUGACAUCGUAUUUGUGGCAAAGCCACCGUUCAUGAUUCUUUUAUACAUGUCACUCUUGAUUCAUUGCAUAUACCGGUACACCGCCGGAGGCAUUCACAUAGAGUCAUAUUUUGUUCUAAGUAUUGAGUUGUAAUUCUUGAGUUGUAAGUAAAUAAAAGUGUGAUGAUCAUCAUUAUUAGAGCAUUGUCCCAAGUGAGGAAAGGAUGAUGGAGACUAUGAUUCCCCCACAAGUCGGGAUGAGACUCCGGACAAAAAAAAAAGAAAGGCCAUAUAAAAAAAGAGAAGGCCCCCAAAAAAAGAGAGAAAAGGAGAGAAGGGACAAUGCUACUAUCCUUUUUCCACACUUGUGCUUCAAAGUAGCACCAUGAUCUUCAUGAUAGAGAGUCUCCUAUGAUAUUACUUUCAUAUACUAGUGGGAACUUUUCAUUAUAGAACUUGGCUUGUAUAUUCCAAUGAUGGGCUUCCUCAAAAUGCCCUAAGUCUUCAUGAGCAAACGAGUUGGAUGCACACCCACUUAGUUUUUUUUGUUGAGCUUUCAUAUACUUAUAGCUCUAGUGCAUCUGUUGCAUGGCAAUCCCUACUCACUCGCAUUGAUAUCUAUUAAUGGGCAUCUCCAUAGCCCGUUGAUACGCCUAGUUUAUGUGAGACUAUCUUCUCCUUUUUUGUCUUCUCCACAACCACCAUUCUAUUCCACAUGUAGUGCUAUGUCCAUGGCUCACGCUCAUGUAUUGCGUGAAGAUUGAAAAAGUUUGAGAACAUCAAAAGUAUGAAACAAUUGCUUGGCUUGUCAUCGGGGUUGUGCAUGAUUUAAAUAUUUUGUGUGGUGAAGAUAGAGCAUAGCCAGACUAUAUGAUUUCAUAGGGAUAACUUUCUUUGGCCAUGUUAUUUUGGGAAGACAUAAUUGCUUAGUUACUAUCUUGAAGUAUUAUUAUUUUCAUGUCAAUAUUAAACUUUUAUCUUGAAUCUUUUGGAUCUGAAUAUUCAUACCACAAAUAAGAGAAUUACAUUGAAAAUUAUGCUAACUAGCAUUCCACAUCAAAAAUUCUGUUUUUAUCAUUUACCUACUCGAGGACGAGCAGGAAUUAAGCUUGGGGAUGCUUGAUACGUCUCCAACGUAUCUAUAAUUUUUUAUUGUUCCAUGCUAUAUUAUAUUCUGUUUUGGAUGUUUAAUGGGCUUUAUUAUACACUUUUAUAUUAUUUUUGGGACUAACCUAUUAACCGGAGGCCCAGCCCAAAUUGCUGUUUUUUGCCUAUUUCAGUGUUUCGAAGGAAAAGAAUAUCAAACGGAGUCCAAACGGAAUGAAACCUUCGGGAACGUGAUUUUCGGAACAAACGUGAUCCAGAGGACUUGGAGUCUACGUAAAGCAAUCAACAAGGAAGGCACGAGGCAGGGGGCGCGCCUACCCCCCUGGGCGCGCCCUCCACCCUCAUGGGACCCUCGUUGCUCCACCGACGUACUUCUUCCUCCUAUAUAUACCUACGUACCCCCAAACCAUCAUAUACGGAGCCAAAACCCUAUUUCCACCACCGCAACCUUCUGUACCCGUGAGAUCCCAUCUUGGGGCCUUUUCCGGCGCUCCGCCGGAGGGGGCAUUGAUCACGGAGGGCUACUACAUCAACAACAUAGACUCUCCGAUGAUGUGCGAGUUGUUUACCUCAGACCUUCGGGUCCAUAGUUAUUAGCUAGAUGGCUUCUUCUCUCUCUUUGGAUCUCAAUACAAAGUUCUCCUCGAUCUUCUUGGAGAUCUAUUCAAUGUAAUCUUCUUUUGCGGUGUGUUUGUCGAGAUCCGAUGAAUUGUGGGUUUAUGAUCAAGAUUAUCUAUGAACAAUAUUUGAAUCUCCUCUGAAUUCUUUUAUGUAUGAUUGGUUAUCUUUGUAAGUCUCUUCGAAUUAUCAGUUUGGCUUGGCCUGCUAGAUUGAUGUUUCUUGCAAUGGGAGAAGUGCUUAGCUUUGGGUUCAAUCUUGCGGUGCUCGAUCCCUGUGACAGAAAGGGAAACGACACGUAUUGUAUUGUUGCCAUCGAGGAUAAAAAGAUGGGGUUUAUAUCAUAUUGCAUGAGUUUAUCCCUCUACAUCAUGUCAUCUUACUUAAAGCAUUACUCUGUUCUUAUGAACUUAAUACUCUAGAUGCAUGCUGGAUAGCGGUCGAUGUGUGGAGUAAUAGUAGUAGAUGCAGAAUCGUUUCGGUCUACUUGUCACGGACGUGAUGCCUAUAUACAUGAUCAUACCUAGAUAUUCUCAUAACUAUGCUCAAUUCUAUCAAUUGCUCGACAGUAAUUCGUUUACCCAUCGUAAUACUUAUGCUAUCUUGAGAGAAGCCACUAGUGAAACCUAUGGCCCCCGGGUCUAUUUUCUAUCAUAUUAAUCUCCCGACAACAAGCUAUUUCUGGCGCCAUUUAUUUUACUUUGCAUCUUUAUUUACUCUUUAUCAUAAAAAUACCAAAAAUAUUAUCUUAUCAUAUCUAUCAGAUCUCACUCUCGUAAGUGACCGUGAAGGGAUUGACAACCCCUUUAUCGCGUUGGUUGCGAGGUUCUUAUUUGUUUGUGUAGGUGCGUGGGACUCGAGCGUGGUCUCCUACUGGAUUGAUACCUUGGUUCUCAAAAACUGAGGGAAAUACUUACGCUACUUUACUGCAUCACCCUUUCCUCUUCAAGGGAAAACCAACGCAGUGCUCAAGAGGUAGCAGAGUGGAACAGGAAAAAUAUAUAACAUCUCGUAUGAAAGGAAUGGAAUGAGAACAAUUGUUCCUUUUUUACUCUUUUGAAACUAAAUUGCAAUAAUGUUUUUAUUGUCCUUCAGGUCAAAUGAAGAAAUAAAUCCUCAAUUCCUUUGUGACCAAACAACAACGUAUCUUCUGUUUCAUUUCACUAAUCCAUUUAGAACGAAGAACAUCUACCUGGUCAAAGAGUAAUACUCGAACUAACAAAGGUUUAUUAGAAUGACCUCUUCUUGGGAAAUAGGUUGUCCAGGAGGACGUCUCUCAUCUCAACGCAAUUAAAUGAUCACAAUGGAAAAGGAUGCCUCCUUAAUCGCAUAAAGCACCUUGGAUUAAACUUUGCAGAUUAUGGCUAAUAAUAGUAGUCUCGAUGUAAUAUACAAUAAGAACUCAGAGUAAAGAUUUGAUCAUUAACUAAUAACUAAAAGUGAUUUGAUCUUCAAUUACAAACAACUAUUCUAGGCAUGCCGAUUUGAAGGCUCGGCUGCCUGUGCUACUUAGUAAUGCAAACUUCCAUGUGGCCGAAAUAGGCUUUCACCUAGCUUUAAGCCCAAACGGUCAAACUGAUGCAUAGUGGUGAGUAAAUCCCCAUAGAAGAAGGCCAAAAGAGAAAACCGACAUCCGAGAGGGUGGCGAGAAUGGCACCCACUCGACCGAGCAUGAAACCAUGAGCCGCCAUACCUAAUAAGAGGCGACCUAGAUUACCGACCAGGAAAUAAACCACGCCGAUGGGAAACCACCGGACCCUGAUGGACCAAACACACCAAACUAUUGCCGGAGAAAUCGUAUCACAGGGCAUGUAUUUCGAAAUUGUUUUUUGUGCUACUUGGUGACAAUAUAUUCAUGGUAUAUAGUAGAGAUGUGAAAUUAAAAUGAAUUUGUGGUCAACCAUAAUCAAUCCCAACGAAUUAUUUUGUUUAUUUAGGAGGGUCAGCCUCAACAAUGAAUUGGCAAUUCUACAAUCUUUGGGUUUGAAGAUUUUUUUGGUUUAUACACAUGUUUGAAGUCGUGUCAGUUUUUCUGACUGGACAUCAUAAGAUGAAAAUUAAUCUCAAUUUAGUGACAGAUACAUACAGACAUUUGGGUCAUGAUAAACCAUAUUUUCACACCAUGGUCAUUUACUCAUUUUCAUAACCAACAUGGGGACCAGGCUUGUGACAGUCUGAGGCUGCAUCCAUUGGGGAUGCCCUAAUGCACCUUAGCUAUGUUAGUUCCUCUUAACGAUGACCACACUCUUCUGAAAAAAGAUUUAUUUUCAUAAGAAAGAGACCUCAAGGCAGUACUUGGCAUGUGGAGUUUGGUGAAGCAAUGAAGUAUGCACUUGCGCCUAGUCUAUAAAUAACUACCUUCCUCAUUUAACAACUGCAAUGCUCGAAACCAUGGAAGAUGUGUUUUUCUUUGAGGUAACUACAAUAGAGCUAUGGUAGAUGUGUGUGAGGUGUGAGGCAGUCACACAUAAUGGCAUAUGGAGAGGAGAGCAGAAAUGUCCAGCACGAUGAGUGAGGUGCCGAUACUAUGGGGACAUCUUUUACAAAUGGGAUGCAUUGUAAAUUUCUGAUGGAUUUAAAUGCAGCUAAUACAUACAGUAUUAUAACAAAUUUGAAGCAACAACUGCCUUCUUGCGCCUUCUAGAAUCAAUGUGCAAGCAAAUUUGCAUAUUUUCUCGAAAAAAACGGGAAACAAGUAUUCUUGGCAUACUGAUUUGAAGGUUCGAUUGCCGUGCCACUUAUUAGUACCUCCAUGUGGUCUCACUUCACAGCUUUAGCUACGACACAGAACACACCCCUGCAUGGGGGACCAUGCAUGUAUUAGCACAAUUAACAUUUUGAUAAUUUAAAUAGGUAUUGUGCAUUGUACUAAACAUACCAAAAGGAACAAUUUCAUGAGUAAGGGCGUACUCACAUGGUACAUAUGCAGAACAACAAGUUCAUAAAUAUGAACUCCUCAUAGACAGAGAAACACAACAUGGAGAGGGCUGCAACUUGCCGACCUGUAAAUCAUAGGAAUCCAGAAUAUAUCCACUGAUUACAUAAUGGAGUGUGAUACUUGUCAAUAAUCAAGCACAAUGGCAUGUAGAAUCCUUGCAGUUUCAAGACAUUUGCCUGAUGAUUUCUUGAAACAAGGAAAAUCGUCCCUAAAGCCGAAGAUAACAAACCUUCCAACAUAACACACAGACAUGAACCGAUAAUCUUGGCAAUGCAAAUGUCAUUUACCUACUAUUCUCCCUUCUAUCAGUUGUAUCCUUCGACGAGUGGUUCUUCAACACUAAAGCUCGCUCCUUUAGAAUCUUGUGAUACGUGAUAGCAAAGCAACCAACUUACACUGCAACGUCAGUGCCUCAGUGGUCCUAUCUUUUUGGAGGAAGCAGUGAAAAUAGGGGUAGGAGUAGGACUCGGGAGGGUUAUUUUCAUAAGACUGCUAUUGUACCCGCCGGGUUAAGAACGUUAUGUUACAAAUGGGAAUUUCUUCCUGGAGCGGCAAGGGCAGCAAAUCAUGGCAUUGGGCUAUUUAGGCAACACAGUUAAAGGUAGAGCAUGAUGGAUAGUCCGGGCAUGCUGAACCUUCAAAUUAUAAUCAAAGAUCAACAUUUUCUUUGUUCCUUUAUUUUUUUGACGAAGUAAAACUAUUGGUGGUUUCUUUAAUGGAAAUAGGUGAGGAGGCUCGUUGUUAAUAAAACUCAAAAUCAAAGAUCACAGCCCCAUGAAGGUUUUCAUCUUUGAACUUGCCUACGCUCCGUGCAUUAUUGAUUUUGGAAAUGGUUUGCCAUGCUACUUGGUGACUACGUAAUCCUAGUGCAUCGAAGGAAGAAGGAACAUGCACAUGAGAAAGAGGGGUGAAGAAAUGGAUAGAGAAAGACUCUGCUGAUUUUAUUUUUAAUCCAGUGGCCAUAUUCUCACACCAUGGCCAUUUUCACAACCAAGAUGGAGCCAAGCAUGAGGUGCAUAAAUUGAAGAUGCCUUAAUGCACCUUAGAGAUGUUAGUUCCUUAACAACAACUACACCCUAUGUGCCAUAAAUGACUAAGCUCGCAAAAAAUAAAAUAAAAAGGCAGCAUCUGGCACAUGAAGUUUGGUGAAGUAAUGAAGUAUGCACUUACACCUGAUCUAUAAAUAACUAGCUUUCACAUGUAGCAGAACCAAUGCUUGAACUACAAUAGAGAUGUGCAGUAGUGUGAGGCAAUCACAGACAGUUCCAGUAUGGAAGUCUAAGAGAAGAGCAAAAGUGGCCAUCACGACGAGUCCAUCACUAGUAGUUAAAUGGGGACAACUUAUAGAAAUGGGAUGCCUUGGAAAUUUCAGUUGGAGAUCAACCUCCAGGAUACGCCUGACAUUCGAAGGACUCUGUCGGACCAGAGGACUAUUGUGUAAGUAUCCCUUGAAGCUUCUCAAUGAGAAAGUCAUGUGGCAAGAACCUCAUUCCGAAUAAACAUUUCGGCUCUAAAACACUACUACUACAUAAUGUUUUAGCACCCAUGAGUCAAAAUGGCUUACUGCUAGCUGAUGAGGGCUGGCACAUAAGGUUUUCAUCAGUGAUGAUUUGGUGACCGUUGAUAGGUCGGACGACCCGAGAGGGAUGAGAUUCAACGCUAACGGGCGGACCUAUAUGCAUUGUUUAAUAUCUUGAAAUUCUUUGGGGUAGCACUUAGAGCAACUCCAACGGGGUGACCCAAACAGACGCGCACUUUGUCCGUUUGGGUCGGCCAGGCAGACGUGUGCGUUCGCAUUCUCAAAUAAAUGGGUCGGCUUGACCGCCCAACGGGAGGCGGAUCCAAAUCUGUCGGCGUAGGAAAAAAAUAGCUCGCAAAAAUAAACAUAAUUAAACAUUAAGUGGCUAGUCAACCUCCGGCCAAAGUCCACUUAAACCUAAUUAAACAAUAAUUAAAACAUAAAAAAGUCUGCGCCCGCACGCUGCCCUAGACGUCGUCGGCCUUGCCUUGCCCUUUACGUCGCCAUCGCCAUCGCCGCCGGUGAGGUCGAUGAAGACGGGAGCAGGGCCAGCCCACCCGAACGCCGCUUGGUACGCUGCCAAGAUAGCCUCCUCCAGCGUUUGCUGGGGCGGCGGCAUUGCGGCCCGCCGAGCACGCUCCUCCUCCUCAAGCCGCAGCGCCUCCGCGUCGCGGUGCAGCAGCUGCUCCCAACCCAUCCGCCGCUCGUCGUCGGCCUGCUCCUGGGCGAGCAAGUGUGCUUUCCAGCGCUCAAGAUGGGCCGCCUCCUCCUCCGCCGUCGCGGCGUAGUGGACCGGAGGCGUGCUCACCCACUCGCGAUGCUCGUCGGUCCACGUGUUGGCCUCCUCCGGUCAAGGGGUGGAGGCGGGGAGCUCAUCCGCGUCGGCUCCGGAUCCGCGUUGUGCUCGAGGACGGGCGGCGGCGGUGGAGGAGGCUGGACAAAGAGCGGGGUUUGGACGGAGUCCCCGCCGCCGACAAGGCAAGGGCUUGCUCCAGCCCAUCCCAAUAUGCGUCCUCCUCGAGCCGGCUAGCCUCCAGCGCGUGCUGCAAUGCCUCCUUGAGGGCGACUUGGUACUACGCCUCCGCCUCCAUUUCCUCCGGCUCUACCCGCGGGGGCGGCGGUGGAAACGGCGGGUUGGCAUCGACGCCUAGCCGACGUUACUCCUCAUGUUCGAGGGCAAACCACGCCUCCCAGUUGGGAGAGUCGGCGGCGUACUCGGGCAUUCGCUAUUGCGCCAGCGUGAGCUGCGCCCGGCGCCUGCGCACCUCCUCGUCGUGCGCCCACUGUGUCCGCGGAACCGCCGGCACCGGGAUCCGGUGCGGAUCCAGGUGCUAGUGGUGCGGCAGCGUCACAUCGGGGUAGGGUAGCGCAUGUACUCCCAGUGCCACCGCGCUUGGUGCACCAUGAUGUGCAGACGCCUGCGACCUGGGUGGACACGCGCCAGUGGCGGAGGUGGAGGGGGAGGAGGAGCACGGGAGGAUGAGGCGCCGGGGGUGCACUUCCCCUUUCUGCUGCUGCUGCCGAAGAGGCCCAUUGCUUGCUAGGGUUUGGUGGUGUCGCCGGCGAGGAAGCACAAGGGGGUGGUCGGGGGCCAGAUGUGGACGAAAGUGGAUGAGGCCGGCCCCCGCCGCACGCGUGGGUUAAAAAAGGACGCUUCCACUGGCUGACUGGUGGGCCCGCUGUCGGUGGUCGUCAUAAAUUAGACAACGAGCGGUAGUUGGGUGGCCGUCAAGUGGGACCGCGGCGGACAACGAGGAGACGUGCGGCGCGUCCGCGCCGACGCAUUUCAGGCGCAAUUUUUGGCCAGAAAUGGGUCGGCGCGGAUGCUAGGCGGACGCGAUUUGGGUUUGGGUCGGCGCGUUGGGCUUUUAUUUUUGUCCGCGUCGAUCCAAACAGAUCGCAGGCUGACAAAAUAGGUCGCAUCGUUGGAGUUGCUCUUAAUAUCCCAUUUAUUUCCUAGGGGUGCCUAAGAUCUUGAGCUUUGUACGCCGACAAAAAUGAAUACUCGUCCGAGGGAGUAAAUUACAAAGAACAUAUUUGGGCUCUAGGAUAUAAGAAAUUUACUUCUCUCGAGAUGGUGACUGCUGCUACCAUUUGACAAACCGACAAUGUACCGUGUACCGGCAGCUGCCACCCAUUCAAGUCGCUCCACAGCAUGCAAUCACAUCGCAGUUCAAUCAUGCACACAUGCCGCGCGUCGGCGUUCCGGCUUGCGCUUUCCCUGAAAUGGAAAUUAGCUAGCUGGAUUCAUGCGGUCCCAGAUCAGUUGUAAUAAUGUACGGGUUGGUUUCUACAGUUCUAGGUGAUAACAGGUACUGUAGUAGGUACAGUAUAAUUUAGAUUUGUUAGGAUCGGCUAGCUGCUACAAGUAUAUGAUUAACAUCUUGUCUUAGCUUCGCCUAAGGGAAUAUGCUCGGGCAUAUAUAGCUCUCUUCUUGAACCCACUGGCUACGUCCUCACCAGUUUCCAGGCGCCUGUCAGUCUGCAUGUUCCGGUGAAUAUACCGUGCCGGGGAAGAAUAUACUCGCACAAGUGGUAAACAAUCAGCUCGUUUGCUUGACAUUGCAUAUCUCCCGUCGCACUUACACUAACAACCAGCUUGUCUACGUAACUGUCGUACGCCCCGUCACAUUUAGACUGCAAAUCUUGGAGCAUUGUCUAGUCGCUAAUCACACGCCGCUACAAUCUGCAAAAGAACCAUGGAACGAAAAGUCUACAAGAACGCCAUUUCUGAGCAAGUGUAGGCGCUCGUGAUUAUGCAAGCAUACCUCAACAUCGCAACCAGUAUGAGCUAUCCUUUUUGCGUGUGUUUGUUCUUUCUUGUGCCUCCGCAGCUUAAUUUGUAGCUGAAACGGCAAGAUUCCGCGUGUGACACGCAAGGCAUCUCUCUCGUCUCUCAUUUCAGCUGCUAGCGCGAACGUCUGAUUCAGUGUCAAAUCGCGCGGCGCGGAGGGAAAAUGAACUUUUGGGGAUCGGAAGAGGUUGAUGAAAAACGGAGCAUAGAUUUGUGGAUAAGUGCCCCAUGCAUAAUUUACAAGUCAAAAGGAGAAUAAUAUAUAGAAGUAGUAGCAAUUCGUAUCCAACACUUCUUCAAUAAUAAGCUCAAUAUUCCACCCCCCCCCCCCUCCCCCGUGCGCAAAAAAAGACUUUAAUAUUUUAAUAUGAACACCAAAAGGGCAUUUUCUAUGUGAAGGUAAAAAAGAGGCAUUACUAGAAAGAAAUAUUUUUUCAUUUUUGAAAUAACCACACAUAUAUUUAUUAGACAAACGUAUUACAAAAAGUACACAUGUGGUAAUCACAAGAGACAUACAUAGAUGUCUUGCAAUAUUGCACCAAAGAGUUCGCAAGAAUUAAAACUAGAAUUUCACGCCACACCAAAACUUCGCCAACCAUCGUCCUCCUCCACCGCCGAGGCAACAUUGAAGAAAGAGGGGAACUGCCGUCAUGCCAAGACCUUUGGAGGAGCACCUUUGCACAUACGGAUGCUUUUUGAGCCAAUGAACUGGCACCCACCCCCUCCCCCCAGCGCCGUCAACUUCAUUCGACGCGGUCGAAGAAGAGGAACUCCACUACAUGCCGCCAUCCACGCACCCCACUGCAAGACACCAAACACAACUGCAACAACCGACACCAACGCCAGCCUAUAUAGAAAGUGUCGUGCGCCGACCAUCUGACACAAAUCACGUCGGAGGCAUCAAUCGCGAUCCGAUUGAUGCAUGUGGCCUAAGAUGUUAUGGUCUGAUAUGUAGCUUUUCGGGCCUCCAACUUACCAAAGACAGAGCCAUUGCCGUUGAAAGAAUCUGACCGGGGCAGCAUCCCGGAUACACCAUCAAACUCCAAAUCUGGCACCCAUCCCCCUCCCCCAAUGAAGAUCUCGAGGGAGAAAACCAUACCUGUCAGCCAACAACCAUGAAUCCAACACACAAUCCACCAUCUUUUAAAUGCCGCUAACGCAAACCACCAUCUGCAUUCGCUCCUGGAUUACCUCCCAAACUUCAUGCUGGCGCUGAAGCAAACGUCAUUGGAACGGCGAAGCCCGGGGAUACAAUUCCACCACAUGGAUUACGCCACCGCCACGCAAUCACCGCUUGAAAGAUCUGGAGCUUCUUUAUAAUGCGCCGUCGUCAUCAUAGCUGAAGCCAAGACUUGAGACGACCAAGACCUAAAAUUAACAUGACCCUAAACCUAUAGCUACACAUGUCCGCAUGUGUGAGAUCCAGCGAACCCCCUCACCAGUGACCAAAAGGUCGUCACCGGAGUCCGGAGGGGAGCCGCCAGAUACGGCGUUGGAGAGCUUGUUGCCCUUGCGGCUAGGCCGCUUUCUUUCUUCUACGGGGAGAAAGGAAAGUCCUAAUUAACUUGGCUAGCACCUUUGAACCUAGAGCGCCCUAGUGUAAAAGGGUUUUGGUAUUUCCGAAAUGUUGCAUGAGCAUGCCGUGUGCAUUUUCUAUGAAGGAGGCCACGAGAGAGAAGAUAGCGUUGGCAUGUCACGCCCUGCACGGUGCAAGGCCGUACAUCCACAUCACAUCCGGUGCGUAGGCUGUGGCCGUCUCACGUACAAGCCGGCACUAGGGGAUGGUCCGAGUGACCAGACAAGACAAGGCGCUGUAACAAACCGGCACGGCGUGUACCGGGAGGAGGCCCAGAUGCGCACCGCGGGCAAAAUCACUGUUCUGACCCUUUUGGAAUAGUUAAGCUUGAUUUGACCCUGCUUUAUAAAUAUUUUCAAAUCUGACCUUUUUCAUCGCGCCAGACGGCAGGGCGCUAUGUUCAACGUUAUAGCGCCGUGACUUAUGGUGCCAUGCGUAGGCCAGCGUGCCAGAGCGGAGCCCAGGUUGCAGGCCAUAGCGCCGGGGAUAAGGGCGCUAUACAUCAAACAUAGCGCCGCGCAGUUUGGCGCUAUACUCUUAAAGUAGCGUCACGUAGUAGGAUGUUUAAGCACUGAUGCUGCUGGCUGGCCAUUACUUCCCGUAAACCAACUGCCACUGCCUCUUAUUACACACUACCGGCAGUGUAGGCUUUCGGCAUCUAGACGCUGUAGCUCCAUAUUUUGUGGUACUCCGCAGCGGGGACAUGCUUUUUUCUGAUUAGCACCUCCUAUUUAGCCAACUAAACCCAGAAAAUGUAGUCACCUCUUCUAACAGUUUUCCUGUACCGCUUCACUAGUGACGCUGUUCACUCGAAAUGAUGUUUAACCUGUAACUUUUUGUUUUUUGCUCACUUGACUAGAGAAAGGUUAACAGUAGCGAAUCUUUUGUACAUCCAAAAUUCAACCNNNNNNNNNNNNNNNNNNNNNNNNNNNNNNNNNNNNNNNNNNNNNNNNNNNNNNNNNNNNNNNNNNNNNNNNNNNNNNNNNNNNNNNNNNNNNNNNNNNNNNNNNNNNNNNNNNNNNNNNNNNNNNNNNNNNNNNNNNNNNNNNNNNNNNNNNNNNNNNNNNNNNNNNNNNNNNNNNNNNNNNNNNNNNNNNNNNNNNNNNNNNNNNNNNNNNNNNNNNNNNNNNNNNNNNNNNNNNNNNNNNNNNNNNNNNNNNNNNNNNNNNNNNNNNNNNNNNNNNNNNNNNNNNNNNNNNNNNNNNNNNNNNNNNNNNNNNNNNNNNNNNNNNNNNNNNNNNNNNNNNNNNNNNNNNNNNNNNNNNNNNNNNNNNNNNNNNNNNNNNNNNNNNNNNNNNNNNNNNNNNNNNNNNNNNNNNNNNNNNNNNNNNNNNNNNNNNNNNNNNNNNNNNNNNNNNNNNNNNNNNNNNNNNNNNNNAACUAAAAUAUGCCUAUAUACACCAUUCUACGACAAGUAAUUCGGAACGGAGAGAGAGAGUAUGUUUUACAUUUCGAAGUCAAAUUUGUUAACGUAUAUUUGUAUGUUUUACAUCCGAGACAAACGUGCUACUGCUAAACCUAGUGUGGCGGGAACGGCCGGGCAAUUUUAGUAGUAGUGUUUGUUUUCCGUGCCGCGCUACUAAGUCGAUAGCAGUAGCGCCUGGUCUUGACACGCGCCACGGCUAAGUAGGAGUAGCGCCUCUUUUUAUCCAGCGCUACUGCUAAGAGCAUCUCCACUCGCGCCCCCAGGGUCUUGUUUAUCGCCGGUUUGGGCCGAAAUAACAGCCGGCAAAUCCGAGCCUAACCCAAGCCCCCGGGGGUCGCCUGGGGACGCCGGCCGAAGCGAAUAGGCAUGUGGGUCCGCUAUGUCGGCGAGAGACGGAUCUUUUUCCCGCCGAUCCCUAGCUUCCCCCUUCCUUUCCCUCCAUUCUCCCCUCUUCUCCCGCCAUUCUCCUCCAUCUCGCCUCCAUCCGGCCGCCAUGCCACCGAAGAAGUAUACUGCCCCUCGCGCCGCUACCGACACCGACGCCGCCCCGCCGAAGCAGAGGAAGCCAAGGGCACCAUCGGCGAAACCACGGGCAUGUCUAACGCCGACUGGAAGGCGGAGGUUCAGCGCCGGGAGGCUGUCACCACCGACCGGCUGAACGGGCUCAACGCCAAGAGGGUCCGGGACGCGGCCGCGGCGGCGGCGGCUGCGGCGGAGCAGGGAGAGGCGGCUUGCAUGGCGGAGCAGGCAGAGGCGUCUCGCGCAGGUAUGAUGUAUCCACCCGGCGGCCACGGCCCACAAGCAUGGAGCCAGCAGAGCGUCGGGUCGCCACAGCCAUGGGGGUGCUCGCCCUCGCCUGGCUGUGGCAUGGUGAUGGCCGAACUAGCCGCGGAUUGCCGGACUUGUGGCUUUUUUGGAUAGCGGGAAAUGUCGAGUUUGAAUUUAUAACGUCUUGGGGCCGACACCUGGGGGUGUGGCUGGGAACUAGAUCGCCCCCAGGGCCGAAAAAGCGCCGGCCGGGGCCCUGGGGGGCGAACGAGUGGAGAUGCUCUAAGAUUAUGUGUAUAAGGUUUUCCCUAGUAGUGAAGAGCUAUACUGGUAUCCGGACAUCCACUUGACAAACAAAAAAGCCACCACAAAAUCCUCCUCUCUUUUCUCUCUCCACACAUACAUGGUCCCCUCUCCUCUCACUCUUCCCAACUAGACAAAGAACAUAAAAACAUAAAAACAGACAUAUACCGAGUCAUUUGUGGGUAGCUUUGGAGACGCCCUUAGUUCUUUGUCCGAUGUCAAACAGUGCUGACCAUAAUUAAAUGGGGAUCAUCACUCUCAGAUAUAUAGAUGAUCAUAUAGAUAAGGCCGGCGGUCAUAGGGGGAGUAACUUAGCUAGUAACAUAACACAUCUCAAUGCAAGUUUGCUUAUGUGGCAUGUUAAUGAGAAUAGAAGUGUUUGUGGUAACAUAAUAUGUUAUCAUAACAUAACGGACCCCAAGACAAAAUGACUCUACAUAUAAAUAAAUGAAGGCUUGCAUGAUACUACACUAUAAAAGAUUGUAUGUUACUAGUCUAAGUUACUUCCCUCUAUGACAAGCCUAAUUUAGUUAAAUCCCUCGGAGUUCUGUGCACACCUGUCCCAAUGAUUUUCGUUAGCAUUCAACACAUUACUACAAUAUUAUGCAGUAAUUAGAUUUUCCUUGUUUCAAUCAAUUUUAAUUGACCAUACUACGAUGCAAACAUUAUAAACAUUUAUAGAUAAGUUGAUGAACUUCAGGCAAUAAGUUAACUGUAUCAAAACGUUGAUGUUCAUACCACAUGCAUACACUGAAACAAACAACCUUCUCAAAUUUCUUCUAAUAGUAUAUAAAUCUAAUAUAUUGUGCGUACGUGAGAGUAAAAUGGUUUCAUCUAAAUCAAGUGGAUCAUGGAGCCACACACAAAAAUAUUACCUUUAUUCAAAAAUCUGCCUCGACAGCUACGAACAUGAAAAUAUAAAAUGUUCUUCUAAAGCAACGAUUCAUAUAAUCAUGUUUUAGCUGAGAUGACAGCAGUAAGUAAUGCAGCGCUACUUUGAAUGUAUAGCGCCUCACCAACUGGCGCUAUGGUUGAUGUAUAGCGUCCUCCAUCACGGCGCUAUGGCCUGCAACAUUGACUCAACUGUGCCACGCUGGCCCAGGCAUGGCGCCACGAGUCACGGCGCUAUAUUGUGGUACAUAGCGCCCCUGAUACUGGCGCGAUGAAAAAGGGUCAAAUUCGAAAAUAUUUACAAAGCAGGGUCAAAUCCUGCUUAACUUUCUCAAAAAGGUCAGAACAGUGAUUUUGUCCGCGCACCGCUCCGAGGAGACCGUCCAAAAGUGGUCUCAUCAGGGACCUGCAACAACGAAGCUGGUUGCAGCUUUUUGUCAUCGUCCAUGGCUUCCGUCGUCUAUGGUUGAAACGUUUUUCGCCGCCGGUUGAACCUUUUCUUGUAGACGGUUGCAAUACAAUUAAAUGCCAGUGCCAGCUAUUUGCUCCUAAAAAAGGUAAUCCAUGGAAAAUAUUUGAUCGUAGAACUAUCUCCUUUUAAGGAAAAAGGAGGUAUGGUAAUUCAUUGCAUGUAUAAGAUUAAUUAUGUAUCACUAGUAGAAAAAGGGUCAAAUGUUCAGCUCAUUAGUGCCGGUUUGAAUUUGAGCCGGCACUAAUGUGUCCAUUAGUGCCGGUUCCAACGGCUAGCCGGGUCGCUCUCAUUAGUACCGGUUCUUGCUGAACUUUUAGCACCGGUUCGUGCCACGAACCGGUACUAAUGAGAGUGGUGGCAGGAUGUUGUCAGUCUGGGGCCCCUCCAGCACCUUUAGGACCGGUUCGUGCCACGAACCGGUACUAAAGGUCGCCCUAUAUAAACCCUUCGUCCACCCGAGCUCGCUUCUUCCCCCUUUCCCCUCUCCUCUGUUCUGCCCUUCCUCUCGAGCUCAUCACAAAUUUUUCCCAAAUUUAUCAAGAUUUGAAGGCCCCCCAUCCAUUCAAAUGAUCACAAAGGUUAGCAACUUUGUCCUUUCAUCUCUCAUUGCUAGAUUAGCUCUUGCAAUGGUUUAUAUAGUGAUUAAUUUGUGGGUUUUAGUAAUUUGGAAGGAAUUAUAUGUGGUAGUAUUUGAUUUAUAUGCAAUUUGAGGUCAAAAUAACACUUAGUUUGCAUAUGUAGGUGUGGUUUACUUAGUGCCUUCUAAAUCUCCGUCGUAACCACCGUCGAUCGCCCGCACCGUCCCGUCGCUGGCACCACCUUGUGGUGAGCCUCUUGUUCAUGAAUUUUUAUAUAAAAAAUUGAUGUUUGUGUGAUUUCGAUAUAUAGUUACUCGUAUAAUUAUCUUACCCGUACGUUGUUUGUUAUACAUACUGCCAUGGUUUUGAUAUCCGUCCCCGUCGGCCCUCGUCCUUGUUAUGAUUCAGAUGUGGUAUAUUCUCUUUUAAAACUAUUUGUUGCAUUUCGUGUUUAUGACAAAUUAUGCCCAUCAAGUUGACAUAGAUAUUUUUAUCUAGGAGGUAUGUGAACCGGGAAUUGCAACCGACCCUAUUGUCGAGAGGUUAAAUUUAGUUGAAAGAGAAAACGAGUAUUUGAAAGAAAAAUUGAAAAGAAUUGUGGGGGAGAAGAUGGAAUUGGAGUUGCAUGUUGCCGAUGUCGUCGAUGAUCACAAGAUCAAGAUGGAGAAAAUGCGCUUGAAGAUUAGAAAGCUUAGAAAAUAUGCCAUUGAUAGUGAGGCUUGGUAUCAUUAUGUUGUUGGAUCAAUUGUUACCUUUGUUGCGAUCUUGAUUGCAUUUAAAUGCUUUAGCUAGAGAGUUAUUUGUUUGUUGCAUUUAAGUGUUGUAUGAACUUUAUGUAUGAACUUGUAUCAAUUUGGUCUUUUCGGUGUUGUGUAAUGAAGAUGAGCCGACAAUGGAUGUACGAUGACCGAUGCUCUCCCGAGUUCAUUAAUGGUGUGCAAACUUUUCUGCUUGCGGCUGAGGCAAACAAGCGGGCGGAUGGUUUUAUGCCUUGUCCAUGUGCUGGCUGUAAGAAUGAUCACAAUUACUCUAAGUCAAGAACCAUUCACGUCCACCUGUUUGAGUCCGGUUUCAUGCCCCACUAUAAUGUUUGGACUAAGCACGGAGAAAGAGGGGUUAUGAUGGAAGACAAUGAAGAAGAAGAGGACGACGACAACUAUCCUGGCCAUGGGUUCCCUGAAUACGAUGAUACAACAAUGGGGGAAGAAGCUGAGCCGGCAAUGCGGGAAGAAGCUGAAGAAGAGGCAUCAGAUGAGCCCGCUGAUGAUCUAGGUCGGGCCAUUGCCGAUGUAAAGAGAAACUGCGCAAGUGAUUUGGAGAAGAAGAAGUUGCGGCGCAUGUUAGAGGAUCACAAGAAAUUGUUGUACCCGAAUUUCGAAGCUGACAAUAAAAGUUGGGCACCGCACUGGAAUUGCUGCAAUGGAAGGCAGAGAAUGGUGUAUCUGACAAGGGAUUUGGAAAGUUGCUGGUAAUGAUAAAGAAUAUGCUUCCAAAGGAUAAUGAAUUGCCCGAGAGUACGUACGAAGCAAAGAAGGCUGUCUGCCCUCUAGGGUCAGAGGUGCAGAAGAUACAUGCAUGCCCUAAUGACUGCAUCCUCUAUCGCGGUGAGUACGAGGAUUUGAACGAUUGCCCGGUAUGCGGUGCAUUGCGCUAUAAGAUCAGCCGCGAUGACCCUGGUGAUGACGAGGGCAAGCGCCCCAGGAAGAAGAUUCCUGCCAAGGUGAUGUGGUAUGCUCUUAUAAUACCACGGUUGAAACGUUUGUUCCAAAACAAAGAGCAUGCCAAGGCGAUGCGAUGGCACAGAGAAGACCAUAAGAAAGACGGAAAGUUGAGAGUACCCGCUGACGGGUCGCGGUGGAGAAAAUCGAGAGAAAGUACAGGGAAGAGUUUGCAGGUGACGCAAGGAACGUAUGGUUUGGUCUAAGCGCAGAUGGCAUUAAUCCUUUUCGGGAGCAGAGCAGCAACCAUAGCACCUGGCCUGUGACUCUAUGUUUGUAUAACCUUCCUCCUUGGUUGUGCAUGAAGCGGAAGUUCAUUAUGAUGCCAGUGCUCAUCCAAGGCCCUAAGCAACCCGGCAACGACAUUGAUGUGCACCUAAGGCCAUUAGUUGAAGAACUCUUAAAGCUGUGGAAUGGAACAGGUGUACGUGCGUGGGAUGAGCACGCACAUGAAGAAUUUGACCUAAAGGUGUUGCUGUUCGUGACCAUCAAUGAUUGGCCUGCUCUCAGUAACCUUCCAGGACAGACAAACAAGGGAUACCGCGCAUGCACGGACUGUUUGGAUGAUAUCGACAGUAUAUGUUUGGAUAAUUGUAGGAAGAAUGUGUACCUGGGACAUCGUCGAUUUCUUCCGAGCAGGCAUCCCGUAAGAAAGAAAGGCAAGCAUUUCAAAGGUGAGGCGGAUCACCGGGCGAAGCCUCGCCACCGUACUGGUGCUGAUGUACAUGAUAUAGUCAAAGAUUUGAAGGUAGUCUUUGGAAAGGGUCCUGGCGGACAACCUGUUUCGAAUGACACUGACGGACGCGCACCCAUGUGGAAGAAGAAAUCUAUAUUUUGGGACCUGCCCUAUUGGAAAGACCUAGAGGUCCGCUCUGCAAUCCACGUGAUGCACGUGACGAAGAAUCUUUGCGUGACCCUGCUUGGCUUCUUGGGCGUGUAUGGGAAAACAAAAGAUACACCUGAGACACGGGAGGACCAGCAACGUAUGCACGGAAAAGACGCCAUACAUUAGGGUCAUGCCAGCUACGCUCUUACCAAAGAAGAGAAGGAAAUCUUCUUUGAAUGCCUGCUCAGUAUUAAGGUACCGUCUGGCUUCUCGUCGAAUAUAAAGGGAAUAAUAAAUAUGGUAGAGAAAAUGUUCCAGAACCUAAAGUCUCAUGACUGCCACGUGAUUAUGACGCAACUUCUUUCGGUUGCAUUGAGGGGGCUUCUACCGGAAAACGUUCGAUUAGCCAUUGUGAAGCUAUGUGCAUUCCUCAAUGUAAUCUCUCAGAAGGUAAUCGAUCCAGAAAUCACGCUAAGGUUAGAGAAUGAUUUGGUGCAAUGUCUUGUCAGUUUCGAGUUGGUGUUCCCACCAUCCUUCUUCAACAUCAUGACGCACGUCCUAGUUCACCUAUGCGAGAGAUUAAUGUUUUGGUCCUGUAUUUCUACACAAUAUGUUCCCCUUUGAGAGGUUCAUUGGAGUCUUAAAGAAAUAUGUUCAUAUCCGUGCUAGGCCAGAAGGAAGCAUCUCCAAGGGCCAUGAAAAUGAGGAGGUCAUUGAGUUUUGUAUUGACUUUAUUCCUGAUCUUAAGCCGAUUGGUGUUCCUGAAUCACGACAUAAGGGCAGACUGGAUGGAAAAGGCACGCUAGGAGGGAAUCAAAUAAUUUGUAUGGACGGACAUUCUCUCACUGAAGCACACUACACAGUUCUAUAGAAUUCCGCCUUGGUGGCUCCGUAUAUGGACAAACACAAGAAUUUUCUACGCUCCAAACACCCGGAGCGGUCUGAUGACUGGAUUACACGUGAACAAACGGGGACUUUCGCCGGCUGGUUGCAGACACGUGCCAUGCAUGACGCCUCUAUUGAAGAUGACAUGUACUUGCUGUCCCAGUUACCAUCUUCGAAUACAAUGACUUUCAAAGGGUACGAGAUAAAUGGGAAUACAUUUUACACGAUCACCCAAGAUAAGAAGAGCACCAACCAAAACAGUUGUGUCCGCUUUGAUGCAGCAACCAAGACGGGAAAGGAAACAUAUUAUGGUUACAUAGAGGACAUAUGGGAACUUGACUAUGGACGUGGUUUGAAGGUCCCUUUGUUUCGGUGCAAAUGGGUCAAUAUGACACGAGGCGGGGUAACGGAAGACCCGCAGUACAGAAUGACAACAGUGGAUCUCAACAAUCUUGCGUAUGCAGACGAAUCAUUCAUCCUAGCCAAUGAUGUGGUAUAGGUUUUCUAUGUGAAGGACAUGUCUACCAAGCCGAGAAAAAGAAAAGAUAAGGAAGCGAAUGCAUCAUACGAUGAGCCAAAGCGCCACAUAGUUCUUUUUGGGAAGAGAAACAUCGUGGGAGUGGAUGACAAGACAGACAUGUCAGAAGAUUAUGAAAAGUUUGAUGACAUUGCUCCAUUCACAGUGAAUAUUGACCCGAGCAUCCAGUUAAAUGAUGAAGAUUUUCCAUGGCUACAGCGCAAAGGGACACACACGAAGAAAAAGUUUCACACCCAAAGAUCUGGGAUGUGAUCGGCUUCACUAUCAUCACUUUCUUCUGUGUUUCACUCCCAGGAGGUAAUUUGUGUAAUAGUUAGGGUAGUUAUGUGUUUUGGCAUUUGAAACGCGAAGAAAUUUUAUUUGCAAACAAAUUCUUUCAUGCAUUUACUGAUUUUUUUCCAGCUAAAUGACCCUGAAAUUGAAAAACACUUCAAAUGAACUCCGAAAAGGUUGAAAGUUGGCAUUGUAUCAUAAUUUCACCCACAUAGCAUGUGCAAAAAAGUAGAGAGGCUUACGGCAAAAACUAGAUGCACUUCGUGUACAAAAUGGACAAUCUCUUUCGAAGUAUCAGGGUUUCGGAAGAAAACUCAUCUGUUACAAAGGCAUUUCAUUUUUUUAAAUAACAUAAGCAAUACCAAAUUGAAUAUAAUGAUAAAACACACUAAUAUUAAACAUAAUAAAAAAGAAUCACUGAAAAAUCUAUUUUUAAAGUUAAGUUAUUCACAAACUAGUGAUUCACACAAAUUUCAAAUAAUUCAAAAUUUAAACUAUUCAAAUUUGAAAACUACCGGCACUAACAGAAAGUUUGUAAUUUUUUGUACCUAAAGAAAAAUAUUCACAAAGAAACUCUAAAUACAGCAAAAAAACAACUCUGAAAUAAAUAAAAGAAAAUAAAUAAAGCAAAAAAGAAAAUACAAAAAUAAAAGCCCGCCUACUGGGCCACAGCGGCCUGCAUACGACUAGAAACCCAACCUUUUAUUGGGCCAUGAUGCAGGCCCGCAAGGCCCAGUUGGCCCACAGGGCAGCACAGAACAGGUAGGCCCAGAAGGCCUGUGAAAGGAUCGAUAUAGUUGACUAGAGGGGGGGUGAAUAGGCAACUAACAAUUUUUAGCUUUUCUUUAUCAAAUUAAAGUUUGCAUCAAAAUAGGUUGUCUAGAUAUGCAACUAAGUGAGCAACCUAUAUGAUGCAACGACAACAAGCACGCAAGCAAGUAAGAGCAAUAACACAAGUAAACUAGCGAAAGUAAAGGAACAAGAUAACCAAGAGUGGAGCCGGUGGAGACGAGGAUGUGUUACCGAAGUUCCUUCCUUUUGAAGGGAAGUACGUCUCCAUUGGAGCGGUGUGGAGGCACAAUGCUCCCCAAGAAGCCACUAGGGCCACCGUAUUCUCCUCACGCCCUCACACAAUGCGAGAUGCCGUGAUUCCACUAUUGGUGCCCUUGAAGGCGGCGACCGAACCUUUACAAACAAGGUUGGGGCAAUCUCCACAACUUAAUUGGAGGCUCCCAACGACACCACAGAGCUUCACCACAAUGGACUAUGGCUUCGCGGUGACCUCAACCGUCUAGGGUGCUCAAACACCCAAGAGUAACAAGAUCUGCUAGGGAUAAGUGGGGGAAUCAAAUUUCUCUUGGUGGAAGUGUAGAUCGUGGCCUUCUCAACCAAUCCCAAGCAAAUCAACAAGUUUGAUUGGCUAGGGAGAGAGAUCGGGCGAAAAUGGAGCUUGGAGCAACAAUGGAGCUUUUGGAGGAAGAGGUAAGUCAACUUUGGGGAAGAAGACCCCUUUAUAUAGUGGGGGGAACAAACCAACCGUAACCCCCCCUCUGCCCCGAAGAGAGCGGUAGUACCGCUGGCUCAGCGGUACUACCGCUUGCAACAAUAAGCGGUACUACCGCCCAAGAGCGCGGUACUACCGCUUGGUCCACAGCGGUACUACCGCAGAGGGAGGGCGGUACUACCGCACAGGGGCGGUACUACGGCCCCCACAACCGCGGCCAGUACCGUAAAAUCCGACACGAAAAAGAGCCCUCGAAUCGAGGCGGUACUAGCACGGGACUAGAGCGGUACUACGGCUUGGGGCCACCAGCGAUACUACUGCUCUGGAGCGGUACUACCGCGCCCAGAGCGAUACUACCGCUUGUGGCACCCAAGCGGUACUACCGCUCCGUCCCGCGGUACUACCGCUGGGACCAGAGACAGCACACACACGGUGCUACUAGCGGUACUACCGCUCCGGAGCGGUACUACCGCUUGUACCACCCAAGCGGUACUACCGCUCUGGCCCGCGGUACUACCGCUGGGACCAGAGAGGGCACAAAGAAAGGAGAACCAAGCCCAUCAUCGAAACGGAAAGGCUCGGAGGGAGGGGCAAAGGAAGUGUACGCGAUGAUUCCGCCCUAGCCUUUCCAAAACGGACCCCCUCUUGAUAGUACGGUGAUCCCUAUGAAACUAGUCCACCAAACUAAUCCGAAAGGACUACACCGUCUUCGCUUUAAGCUCCGAGGGGAGGAUAUCGUCUCGUGCCCAAAAGAAUGAAUCUCUGAAAAGCACUCAGCGCACACGAUUAGUCCGCAAAAGCAUUGUCAUCAAUCACCAAAACAUCUUAGGGAUAAAUAUGCCCUUACAAUCUCCCCCUUUUUGGUGGAUUGAUGACAAUACGGGAUUUGCACAACUGGGAAAAAAUGGCAUAAGCAAACCCCAAGUCUCUAAAAUAUAGACGGGCUCCCCCUAGAUAUGUGCCAUCAAGAUAGGUGCUUUGAGCUGCACGACACACAUACUCGGAUCAACACUCCCCCUGUAUUUUAGAGACCAACAACCUAAGCGAGAAACAGGAAAGCAUGAUAUAUAACAUAAUGAAGCGUAUAGCUCAAGAGAUAUCAAAUGACUAGAGACAAAGAUAAAGAUAUUAUAAUGAUAGGGUAGCAUAUGUCUCACACCAUAUGACGCGAACUAAAGUCUUACUGAACACAAAACCAAGCAAACGCAAGUUCCAAGCAAAGCACAAAGUAGCACAUAACGAAAGCACAAAGGCAAAGACACACUCGCAACAACACUCGCAACACAACGAUGCAACGCAAAUCCCUAAACUCUCUCCCCCUUUGGCAUCGAGACACCAAAAGGGGCAAAGAGCUAACCUACGGCUCCAGGUGAGAGCAUGCUGAGGAUCUCGAACAUCAGGACUCUACGUGAUCAUCUGCACUGCCGUCCGCGCCCGGAAACUGCUCGGCAUCUGAGUCGGUCCAGGGACAGUGCUACUGGAUCCACUCCUCCUCCUCAGUAAUCUGACCCUCUGAGCCGCUGGCAACUGUCGCACCCAUCUGCCGCAUUAGCUCCUUGUGUCGUCCUCUUGCCUUCUUCUCAGCCACAUGAGUCAUGUACUGACCAUGAGACUCCAUGCAGUACAGCUUCUUCAUCUUGUAUUUCAGCUUCUUUGCCCAAGAGGGCUCUGCUGCAGAAGGCUCUGUCCCAGGUGGCACAUACUCCUCAUCAUCAUCCCCGGCAUCAGCCUCGUCCUCGGUCUCCAUGGCAGCAGCAGAAGAUGGAGCUCCAGAUCUACCCCAAUUAUCCUUCUUCCGCAGACGCUUGAUCUCAUGAGAGACCAACUCUCCAGUCUCCAGCUGCUCAUCAGGAUAGGUACGUCUCCAGGCCCUCUCAAUAAGCAACAUGAUGAACGGACCAUAAAUUGGGCACUUGCGCUCAGAAACAGCCGCCAAAAGCUCAGACCACAUGACAUGAGAGAUGUCCAGAGACUCGCCGGUGUUUGCGUCCUUCUCACGCUGGCAGAAGAGAAGCAUGUCCACAAGGUAAGAGUGCACCAUGUCCAGAUUCCCAAUACGAGGGAAGAGAGUCUCGCGGAAGAUGCGGUGAAGGAUGUCCAAAUAGGUAGACAACUCAUAAGUUUCCUUCCUGGUCUCAGGCUGGACCUUCCGAGUACAGUAGGGCCAGAGGGCUUGCUUGUGAGUGGAGGUAGUAUUCUGGUGAGGACGAAAACCAACUGGAGUCUCAAGCCCUUGAUCUUCCACCUCAAGCAGCCCCAUGUAGUACAGCUAGCACCUUUCCAUUUGUCAUCCAAGUCAGAGUCCUGUCUGCGUCAGUCCCUAGGUGAACAGUGGCAAAGAACUGUGCUAGCAAAUCUGCAUCAAAGUCCUUGUUGAACUGCAUGAUCCUGAGAAUGUUCAACUGAGAGCACAUCUGUAGAGCAUCACCAAAGUACUCAGGGUCCUUCUCCAUAGCAUCCGUGUUGAUGGAAUGAACAUUGACAAAGAGAUUCUUCUUGGCUUUGAUCACAUCAAAGUAUGUGGAAUACUGAAACCGGUUCCAGAACGGGCGGUUGACAAGAUUGGGUUCUUGUUCUUCCUCAUAGGGGUUGCGCCGACGCUUGUCCCAGAAUUCCCUGCUAGACAUCUCAGUCACUUUCCUGCCACUUGGCAUUGGUCGGCUGGCAAUCUUCUUCGUGCGAGGAGGAUUAGCACUUGAGGAAGCACCCCCUGCCGGCUGUGGAGCACUGGAAGAACCACCUGCAGGCUCAGAUGAGCGGUACCGCUUCGACGUUGAACGCCCGGGGUUGACACGACGGACAUGCUGCUCAGGAUGUUCAUCACCUGGAACCAAACACACGGACACAAGAAACAACCAGUAGAAACGAUCAAAACCAAAUAAACACAACAAAGAUGGAUCAACAUGUGGUAGGAAACAAUGGAACUAGGCAUCCAGCGGUAGUACCGUGCCUGCUCAGCGGUAGUACCGCUUAUCCACACAAGCGGUAGUACCGCUCCGCGGAGCGGUAGUACCGCUCGAGACGGGGCACGGCGGAUCCCUACUGCCGUGGUCAGAUCCGGCACUACCGGGGAUGCCAAAUUCAAAAAUAAACCUACCAAACAUCAAUCCAAAGAGUCUAGUUGCCUUCUCCAACCUACUCAAGCCUAGAUUUGGCCAAAAAUCUAGAGAUGCAACUACUAUUGCCCCUAAAACGCAAGAUCUGAAAACUAGACACGAAGAGAAGAGGAACGGGGGCAAUACCGGCAUCCAUGGCAAGAGGACGAGGUGGGGAUCGACUGCACCGAAGGAAAUGGAGAGGAAUGGUCCGGAGACGGAGGGCCGCCGGAGCCUUCCCGCGGCGAGAUGGCGCUGUAGAGAGGAAGAGGAACCAGGGGACGAAGCAAAUGGGUAUGGGGUCGAGGAAACCACCCCUGCCCACGACUUAACCCCCUGGCCCCGCCCCUUAGCGGUAGUACCGUGGUGAGGGGCGGUAGUACCGCUUAGCCGAAUAAGCGGUAGUACCGCUCCAUGGAGCGGUAGUACCGCUCCUGCGCAACUGUAGUACCGCCCAGCGCAACACAAACCAGACUCAACACAUAUGGUGCAAAACGAAAGACGGGAAACAACGGCAAGAAGACCAACAAGAGCACUAGCAAGAGAACAAGAAUCACACGCCUCUAUACGAGAGGGCGGUGGCCGAGGCCACCUAUGUUUGAGUCACUUGGUAUGGCACCGCGAAGAAUUAUCCUUGGGCCCAUGACCAAAGCUCGUCUUUGAAGCACAAGUACCAUCAAAAAUGGCUAAUGUGAAAGAGUGAGAUCAGUUUAUGCAUUGUGGGGGGAGGGAAAGUUCAUUGAGAGAACAACACUCCCCCUACGUCCAUGCCUACACCUAGACAAGAAAGCACAAUGAAUGUGAGGGGUGUGCAAAGGUUCAAACCACAUUGCUCGAAUCAAUGAUAUUUAGCUCAUGCCUUAACUCGCGAAAUCUUGCUUCAUCCAAUGGCUUUGUGAAAAUAUCUGCAAGGUUAUCAUGAGUGUUGACAUAGUUGAGCUCGAUCUCCCCUCGCCUAAUAUGAUCCCGGAUGAAGUGAUACCGAAUCUCAAUAUGCUUUGUCUUGAAGUGUUGCACCGGGUUUAGAGAAAUCUUGAUAGCACUUUCAUUGUCACACCAAAGAGGCACUUUGUCACAAAUGACACCGUAAUCCUUUAAAGUUUGCCUCAUCCAUAAGAGUUGUGCACAACAACUUCCGGCCGCCACAUACUCCGCUUCGGUGGACGAGAGAGACACACAACUUUGCUUUUUGGAAGACCAACUUACCAAAGAGCCACCAAGAAAUUGGCACCCUCCGGAAGUGGACUUCCUAUCCACUUUGUCUCCCGCCCAAUCGGAGUCCGAAAAACCUACAAGCUUGAAGUUUGCUCCUCUUGGGUACCAUAGGCCAAAGUUUGGGGUAUGAGCCAAAUAUCGAAAGAUUCGCCUGACCGCCACAAAGUGGCUUUCCUUAGGUGCGGCUUGAAACCGUGCACAUAUCCCCACACUCAACAUAAUAUCCGGUCUAGAUGCACAAAGGUAAAGCAAGGAUCCAAUCAUAGAGCGAUAUACCUUUUGAUCCACCGCUUUACCAUUGGGAUCAAUGUCAAGUUGGCACUUGGUGGGCAUUGGAGUGGAAGCCGGCUUGACAUCACUUAGCUUGAAUCUCUUUAGCAUGUCUUGAGUGUAUUUGGCUUGGUUGAUGAAGGUUCCUUCUCUUCUUUGUUUGAUUUCGAAUCCGAGAAAGAACUUCAACUCUCCCAUCAUAGACAUCUUGAACUUUGAGGUCAUGAGAGCGGAAAAUUCUUCAUUGAAAGCUUUGUUAGGGAAACCAAAAAUAAUAUCAUCAACAUAUAGUUGGCACACAAACAACUCCCCUUUGACCUUCUUAGUAAAAAGAGUGGGGUCGAUUUUCCCGAUUUCGAAUCCACGAUCUUGUAACAACUCCGUAAGAUGCUCAUACCACGCACGUGGGGCUUGUUUAAGGCCAUAGAGCGCCUUGUGGAGUUGAUACACAUGAUCGGGGAAAUAGGGAUCUUCGAACCCGGGGGGUUGUUUGACAUAUACCAACUCAUUUAUGGGACCAUUAAGAAAGGCACUCUUCACAUCCAUUUGUUGCAAAGUGAAAUUAUGAUGAGAAGCAUAAGCAAUCAACAAACGAAUAGAUUCAAGGCGAGCAACGGGGGCAAAGGUUUCACCGUAGUCGAUACCCUCGACUUGGGAGUAGCCUUGUGCCACUAGACGAGCCUUGUUGCGAACAAUGAUUCCAUGAGCGUCUUGCUUGUUCUUGAAUAUCCACUUGGUUCCAAUGACAUUAUGAUUCCCGGUUGGCCUUGGCACUAACUUCCACACUUGGUUAUGUUCGAAGUUGUUGAGUUCUUCAUGCAUGGCGUUGAGCCAAUCCGGGUCCUCAAGCGCUUCAUAAACCUUUUGGGGUUCGACACAAGAAACAAACGCAUGAUGUUCACAAUAGUUUGCUAAUUGUCUAUGAGUGCUUACCCCCUUUCUUAGGCUUCCAACCACAUUCUCCAUGAGAUGACCUUUGGUGGUGAGCUUGGAAGCGAUCUUAGCGGCACGACGCUCCAAUUCCUCCUCGGAAGUGAAGUGAGGAGGGGUAACUUGAUCAUCUUGAGCAUCAUCUUGAGCUUGUUCUUGAUCUUGAACUAGCUCGAGGGGAAGAACUUGACCUUGGGCAUCAUUUGGUGGAUCAUCACCAUCUUGAGGUUGAUCUUGCCCUUGAUCUUGUUCAUGAGGUUGAGGGCCUUCACUUUGUUCUUCGGAAGCGUGUGGGUCUUGCGUUGGUGAAGGCUCCACUUGAGUGGAGCAUUGUCCUUCUCCUUCGGCCACAAGGGGUUCCUCAAUGGGUAGGAUAUAACCAAUACCCAUUCUUCUUAUGGCUUGGGGAGGAAUUUCAUCACCUACAUCACAAGUACCACUUUGCUCCACUUGGGAGCCGUUAUUUCAAUCAAACUCCACGUUACACGUCUCCUCAAUAAGUCCCGUGGACUUUUUGAGAACACGGUAAGCAUGGGAGUUUGUAGCAUAACCAACAAAUAUGCCCUCAUGAGCUCUAGUCUCAAAUUUAGACAAACGAACACCUUUCUUGAGAAUGAAACACUUACACCCGAACACCCGAAAGUACUUGAGGUUGGGCUUGUUACCAGUGAGGAUCUCAUAUGGAGUCUUGUUCAAACCUUUGCGAAGAUAGAGCCGAUUUGAAGCAUGACACGCGGUGUUGAUGGCUUCGGCCCAAAAGUUGUAUGGAGACUUGAACUCCGCCAUCAUGGUCCUUGCCACAUCCAUCAACGUCCGAUUCUUCCUCUCCGCAACACCAUUUUGUUGAGGGGUGUAAGGUGCGGAAUAUUGAUGCUUGAUCCCCUCAUCACUGAGAAACUCAUCCAAGGUGUAGUUCUUGAAUUCGGUGCCGUUGUCGAUUCUUAUUGUCAAGAUCUUUGUAUUGUGUUGACGUUGGGCUUCAUUUGCAAAGUCAAUGACUGUUUGUUGAGUCUCACUCUUCCUCUUGAAGAAAUACACCCACGUGUAUCUAGAAUAAUCAUCCACAAUUACCAAGCAGUACUUUCUACCCCCAAGACUAUCAAAGGAUGGAGGCCCAAAGAGAUCCAAAUGAAGGAGCUCCAACGGCCUCUUCGAGUAAAUAAGAGUCGUGGGAGGGUGAGCCUUCUCAUGAAGCUUUCCUUCGAUACAAGCACUGCAAGCACGAUCUUUGGCAAAACUAACGUUCGUUAGUCCACGGACAUGGUCCCCCUUGAGAAGACUUUGCAAAGAUCUCAUAUUGACAUGGGCUAAACGGCGAUGCCACAGCCACCCUACGUCAACUUUAGCCAUUAGGCAUGUCGCGGUCUUAGUGGGUUGCUCCGAAAAGUUAAUCACAUAGAGACCGUUCUCGACAUGCCCAACAAAGGCUACUUUAAGAGUCUUGCUCCACAAGAGGGCCACGGUAUCAAUAUCAAAGAAGGUGGCAAAGCCCAUGAUAGCAAGUUGACGAACGGAAAGUAAAUUGUAUGCAAGGGACUCAACUAGCAUGACCUUCUCGAUCGUGAGAUCAUGAGAAAUGGCAACUUUGCCGAGUCCCAGUACCUUAGAAGACGAGGCAUCACCCCACUCGACAUUGGUGGGCAUAGAUGGAUUCUUGUGCACGUCCACCACCAAGUCCUUGCUUCCGGUCAUACGAUUUGUAGCUCCACUAUCGAGCAACCAUGAUCCCCCACCGGAAGCAAACACCUACAAGAGAUCAAUGCUUGGUUUUAGGUACCCAUUUUGUAAUGGGUCCUUUGAUGUUAGCAACAAGGGUCUUAGGAACCCAAAUAGACCAUUCAAUGUACUCAUGAGGAGAACCAACGAAUUUGGCAUAAACAUGCCCAUCACUAGCACGGCAUAACACAUAAGAAGGAUUAAAGUCGCCGGCUUUGUUGGAAGGAGUGGCAUUGCACUUCUUGACACCUCCACCCUUCGCAUUGUUCUUCUUCUCCUUGGAAGCACCCUCUCCCUCCUUCACAAAAGUUUGCUUGAGAGGAGGAGGUCGCUUGGCCUUGUCAUUCUUCUUCUUGUUCUUGGGAUUGGGUGCGAACCCAAUCCCCUCCUUGGCCACAACUUCCUUUUGAUUGCUCAAGAGGUCUUUGAGGUUCUUCUCACCUUGUAUGCAUGACACGGGUUAGUAGCAUUUGCAUUAUCAAUUAACACCAUAUGAGGAAAGGUGGCUUUCUCCUUUGUUAGCUUCACUUGGAGUUGAUCAUGAGACUCCUUGAGGCUAGCAUGAACACCCUUCAAGACUUUGUGAGCCUUGUCGAGAAUGCCAAACUCCUCUUUGAGUCUAGCAAGAUCAACCCCAAGUUUUGCCUUCUCGGAGUUUAGCACACGAGACACAACAAGAGCAUGAUCAAGAUCCUUCUUUAACUUAGCAUGAUCAUCGUUGUAUGACUCCUCAAGAGCCAAACGAAGACCACGCUCUUCGUCAAGAGCAUUGGAAAGAUCCAAAAUCUCAUCGGCAUAGUCACGACUAUGCCCCUCCAUCUUAGAGAUGGUAUCUUCGUGAGCCUCGAUCAUGUCAUUGGCUUCACCAAGUUGUUCCAAGAGAGCAACGAAGUGCUUCUUGGAUUUACCCUUGAGUUUACUCAUAAAGAUCUCAAACUCAUUUUCCUCCACAUUUGUUCCCUCGUGUUCAUCAAUGCUAUCCGUCGAAGAAGGAUGAUUAAUGAUGGUAGUUUUGAUGUUGGAGGUUACCUUAUUGGUGGCUUUAGCCAUGAGGCACUUGGCGGUGAUGUUCUCAUUGGGUGAGUCGAAGAGAGACACCCGUGGGGUCUUUGCAACGGCAACGGAGGCCAUGGCAACCGACUCACUAUCUUCAUCAUCGUCAUCAUCCUCAUUGUACUCUUCUUGAACCACCAACGCCUUGAAGGGAGUCUUCUUGGUGAAGUUGCUCUUGUUGGGGAACGACUUGGCCUUGUCUUUUCUAAUGAGCUUGCCACCAUUGUCUUCCCUCUUCUCGUAAGGGCACUCCGCAACAAAGUGGCUCACAUUGCCACAAUUGAAACAAGUCCUCAUCCGUUGCUUGCCCUUUGCGCCACUUGAGUUGCUUUUGUUGAAGUUUGGCCUCAUGUUCUUCUUGCUCCAAAAUUGUCUUGAAGCAAGAGCCAUGUGUUCAUGAUAGGCAUACUUCGUAUCUUCGAGGUUGCCCUCCUCUUCUUCCUCUUCAUCCUCUUCCUCCAUACUAGCCUUGGCCUUUAGAGCAAGGUUGGGCUUCUUUACUCUUUGAGAGCGAAGAACCGCAUUGUCGGCGGUCUUGUCCAAGAUGCUCAUAGCAACAAACUCAUCCAACACUUCACUUGAUGACAAGGUGUGGAAGUCCGGCCUUUGACGAAUUACAGAGGACAUGGCUUUGUGGUAGGGCAUCAUUGCCUUGAGGAAUUUGCGCUUGAUCCAAUUGUCAUCCGUGUCCUUACUUCCAUGAUCUCGGAGAGAGACCGCGAGUUUGGUCACUCUCCGAAAAAGCUCACGAGGUUCUUCAUCUUCUUUCAUUGCAAACUCGUCGGCUUCAUCUUGCACCACUUCAUAGUUGGAGCGUUGAAUGCUUGCGCUUCCCCGAUAGAGGGAAACAACUUGGAGCCAAGCAUCUUUGGCCACGGUGUAAGGCCAGAGAUGAGGAAGAUCUUCGGGCGGGAUUGCUUCUUGGAUGAUGAAGAGAGCAUUCUCAUUGAAUUGAUGAUCCACAACUUCUCUAGGAGUGAAGUUGCUUCGGUCAUGCGGAUAGAAGCCUUCUUCAAUGAUUCUCCAAAGGUUAGUGUUCACAUGAUUUAAAUGACGCUUAAAACGAUAGACCCAAGAAUCAAAAUCUACAUUCUUCUCAAUCUUAGGGGCCGGGCCGGCAUGAUUCAAAUGAGUGGAAGGAAGCGGUCCACCAUAGACGGGUGGAGGUUCCACAUGGGCAAAGAUGCUGGUCCCAUUUUUAUCACUAGAACAAGGAGCCUUCUCGCUCGAAGCUUCCCCCUUGUUGGAGGUAGCAUCCGUCACCUUGUUAGCGGGAUCACCCACUUUCAACGGUGCGGUUGUAAGUUUAAGCCCUUCUAAGAAUUUAUUCAACAUGCUUUCGACCUUGGUCGUCAUGGAGUUUUUCAAUGUGUCCAACGCCACAUUGAAUUCCUCACGAGAGACCGCGGUUCCCCCAUCUCCCGUAGACGAGACAGGAUUCUCACCGGAGUGCUCCUCCGCACCGUCUACGACGUCAACCAUACUCUUUGGACGGUAAAGUCCUUAAUAAAGAGACGAGGCUCUGAUACCAAUUGAAAGGAUCGAUAUAGUUGACUAGAGGGGGGGUGAAUAGGCAACUAACAAUUUUUAGCUUUUCUUUAUCAAAUUAAAGUUUGCAUCAAAAUAGGUUGUCUAGAUAUGCAACUAAGUGAGCAACCUAUAUGAUGCAAUGACAACAAGCACGCAAGCAAGUAAGAGAAAUAACACAAGUAAACUAGCGAAAGUAAAGGAACAAGAUAACCAAGAGUGGAGCCGGUGGAGACGAGGAUGUGUUACCGAAGUUCCUUCCUUUUGAAGGGAAGUACGUCUCCGUUGGAGCGGUGUGGAGGCACAAUGCUCCCCAAGAAGCCACUAGGGCCACCGUAUUCUCCUCACGCCCUCACACAAUGCGAGAUGCCGUGAUUCCACUAUUGGUGCCCUUGAAGGCGGCGACCGAACCUUUACAAACAAGGUUGGGGCAAUCUCCACAACUUAAUUGGAGGCUCCCAACGACACCACAGAGCUUCACCACAAUGGACUAUGGCUUCGCGGUGACCUCAACCGUCUAGGGUGCUCAAACACCCAAGAGUAACAAGAUCCGCUAGGGAUAAGUGGGGGAAUCAAAUUUCUCUUGGUGGAAGUGUAGAUCGUGGCCUUCUCAACCAAUCCCGAGAAAAUCAACAAGUUUGAUUGGCUAGGGAGAGAGAUCGGGCGAAAAUGGAGCUUGGAGCAACAAUGGAGCUUUUGGGGGAAGAGGUAAGUCAACUUUGGGGAAGAAGACCCCUUUAUAUAGUGGGGGGAACAAACCAACCAUUACCCCCCCUCUGCCCCGAAGAGAGCGGUAGUACCGCUGGCUCAGCGGUACUACCGCUUGCAACAAUAAGCGGUACUACCGCCCAAGAGCGCGGUACUACCGCUUGGUCCACAGCGGUACUACCGCAGAGGGAGGGCGGUACUACCGCACAGGGGCGGUACUACGGCCCCCACAACCGCGGCCAGUACCGUAAAACCCGACACGAAAAAGAGCCCUCGAAUCGAGGCGGCACUAGCACGGGACCAGAGCGGUACUACGGCUUGGGGCCACCAGCGGUACUACUGCUCUGGAGCGGUACUACCACGCCCAGAGCGGUACUACCGCUUGUGGCACCCAAGCGGUACUACCGCUCUGUCCCGCGGUACUACCUUUGGGACCAGAGACAGCACACACACGGUGCUACUAGCGGUACUACUGCUCUGGGCGGUACUACCGCUCCGGAGCGGUACUACCGCUUGUACCACCCAAGCGGUACUACCGCUCUGGCCCGCGGUACUACCGCUGGGACCAGAGAGGGCACAAAGAAAGGAGAACCAAGCCCAUCAUCGAAACGGAAAGGCUCGGAGGGAGGGGCAAAGGAAGUGUAUGUGAUGAUUCCGCCCUAGCCUUUCCAAAACGGACCCCCUCUUGAUAGUACGGUGAUCCCUAUGAAACUAGUCCACCAAACUAAUCCGAAAGGACUACACCGUCUUCGCUUUAAGCUCCGAGGGGAGGAUAUCGUCUCGUGCCCAAAAGAAUGAAUCUUUGAAAAGCACUCAGCGCACACGAUUAGUCCGCAAAAGCAUUGUCAUCAAUCACCAAAACAUCUUAGGGAUAAAUAUGCCCUUACAGCCUGCUUUGGAGAGGAGCUCGAAGGAGCAGCCGCAGCUCGGUUUAUAAACCAGUACGGCUGCCCUUCGCUAGGCGAGGUGGGACUAAACUUUGCGCCCCUCGCCUGGCAGCGCACCCCUCUUUAGUACCGGGUCGUGGCUCCAACUGGUACUAAAGGUGCCUCCUAUAUAAGAAAACACUUCAAAAAUUUCAGUUUCUCAUCUCCCACUUCUCUCUGCCGCCGCCCCGUCCCACGCCGUCGCCGUCGCCGCCCCCAUCGCGCCGUCUCGCGCCGUCGCCGUCCCCGUCGCGCCGCCGCCCCGUCCCGCACCNNNNNNNNNNNNNNNNNNNNNNNNNNNNNNNNNNNNNNNNNNNNNNNNNNNNNNNNNNNNNNNNNNNNNNNNNNNNNNNNNNNNNNNNNNNNNNNNNNNNNNNNNNNNNNNNNNNNNNNNNNNNNNNNNNNNNNNNNNNNNNNNNNNNNNNNNNNNNNNNNNNNNNNNNNNNNNNNNNNNNNNNNNNNNNNNNNNNNNNNNNNNNNNNNNNNNNNNNNNNNNNNNNNNNNNNNNNNNNNNNNNNNNNNNNNNNNNNNNNNNNNNNNNNNNNNNNNNNNNNNNNNNNNNNNNNNNNNNNNNNNNNNNNNNNNNNNNNNNNNNNNNNNNNNNNNNNNNNNNNNNNNNNNNNNNNNNNNNNNNNNNNNNNNNNNNNNNNNNNNNNNNNNNNNNNNNNNNNNNNNGCGCCGGCCGCGCGCGCACACACACACACACACUACACGCACACACACACAUACACUACACGCGCGCACACACACACACACUACACGCGCGCACACACACACAACUUUUUAGUUUUUGGUUUUUAGUUUUUCUGUUUUUUCUGUUUUCAUACAAAGUUUUAGAUGAAUUAAUUAGAUUAGAUUAGAUUAAUGUCAAAUAGUAUAUAGAAAUGUUAGUUAUAAUAUAAUGUCAAAGGUUUUUUCUGUUUUUAUAAAAAUGUUAUAAAUUUUAGUAUAUAGAAAUGUUAGAAAUUUUAGAAAUGUUAGGUUUAGCAAGAUGAAUUAGAUUAAUUUCAAAUUGUUAGACGAUGAUCGAUGUUCUUUUAGUUUCUUAUAAUUUUAGUUAUAGAAAUUUACAUUUUGAAUAUAAGACACAAUCCAAUAAUUUAAAAAAUGUUACAUUUGCAUAUAGUAUUUGUUUUCGACGAUGCCCGGACCGCAUCCUCGCCGUCGACCCGUUCGCGACGACGUCCUGCUUCAGAGGACCCAUGUCCGGGACCGGGCUCCGCCCAGCUGGCACUGGGAGGUGCUACCUUCAGGGGAGCGCCGCUUGGUGAGGAACCCGGCCCCGGGUCCCGUCGUCGACCCUGAUCUCGUUUGGUGGCAUUUGCGUGGGCCACAUUCGGUGCAGAGGGAGCCAGCCCCGCCGGAGGUGGUGCGUCGCCGUGUCAGGGAGGAGGACGAGCACGUCCGUCGCUACAUGGCUGCUAUGGACGUCAGGUUCUACAAUACCUGGCAGAUUCUUUGGGCAGAUGACCGGAGAUAUGAUCUUGUGAUGGUUCCUUCUCUUUGGGUGUCCACCGCCCGCGCCUCAGGAACCGCGAGUGGCCUAGAUUCUUCUGUAGUAUUCGAUCUUUAUUAGCUAGCUAGCUAUAGUGAUGUAUUCGAUAUAUAAUAUUCGAGACGAUGUAUUCGAGAUUAUAUAUGUUAUUAGAGAAGAUGUAUUCGAGAUUAUAUAUUAUUCGAGAUGAUGUAUUCGAGAUUAUAUAUUAUUUGAGACGGUGCAUAUUAUGUACUAUGAUUCAGUUUUUCCUUAUUGAUUACAUCCAUGCAUUGUAAUUUGAAUACUAAAUUAUUUUAUAUUUCUUCUGUAUUAGUUAAAUAAAAGCUAUGGCGGAGAAUACCGGCAGAGAGGGAGAAGAGGCCCUGUUCGAGAUCAUACGCAGCCCUCGCAGCCCAGAUGAUCUGAAUGAAGAAGAUGACGGCUCCCAAUAUCUGAACAAUACCGGGGAUGGUGAUGAUAAGAUAUUCGAUCUCGACGACCGAAUUGAUGAAGUCAUGAACUAUGAUUAUGAUUAUGAUGACGCAGACAAUGUUGAUCUUGAAAUAACAAAGACCGGCGAGGUAUAUUAAUAUAAGGAGGCAUCUGGUGAUCAUCACAUGUUUUCUGAUUUGAAGAUAUAUUAACGAAUCGAUCGUUCUUCUUUCAGCCCUUCGGAUCGAGCAAAUCUGCUUCUACAGGCAGCAGGACAAAGCGAGGCCCAGGCAAAAAGUUGAAGGAGGGUGUAAAGAACAACAUCGAUGCCAUCAAAGCUAAUGGCGAAUGAAGCACGCCUAAGAACAUUGCGAACAAGUUCAUUCGUCAGUGCGGAGUUCUUGUGAAGGACCAACUCCCGAUCUCCAUUCAAGAAUGGAAAGAGCCAAAAAAUAAACGUCCAAAUCUUACUUGGGUCGACGACAGAGCAAAAUAAACGCUUUGGGAAUCUCUCGUGGAACAUUUCACCCUACCAGAUCAUUUCACUGAUGCAGAUGUGCAGAAAGUCAAGGACGCUGCUCUUAGGAAGAUGGCAAUUACAUUCAACACCCACAAGAAAACUGUAUGGGCCAACUACGUCGAAGGAUGAAGGAAGACUCCAGAAUUCAAGGGAACACUGGAGAAGCAAAGAGAACACUGGCCCGCUUUCAUGAAAUUCAAGGAAUCAGAAUUAUCUAAGGAACGGUUGAGAAAAAACAAGGCCAAUUCCGCAAAAAAGAUGCAGUUCCAUAGGCUGGGGCCAGGUGGCUAUACAGUGGCAAUGCCUAAGUGGGAUAAGUCUUAGCAAGAGAUGCUGGAUGCAGAGGUCACUCCAGUUACUAGGAGCUGGCCCCCCCAGGUGCAGAACUUGGUUCUAUGCGCAUGGGGGGGCGUUGUGUUGGAAAUAUGCCCUAGAGGCAAUAAUAAAAUGGUUAUUAUUGUAUUUCCUUGUUCAUGAUAAUUUUCUAUUGUUCAUGCUAUAAUUGUAUUAACUGGAAACCGUAAUACAUGUGUGAAUACAUAGACCACAACAUGUCCCUAGUGAGCCUCUGGUUGACUAGCUCGUUGAUCAAUAGAUGGUUAUGGUUUCCUGACCAUGGACAUUAGAUGUCAUUGAUAACGGGAUCACAUCAUUCGGAGAAUGAUGUGAUGGACAAGACCCAAUCCUAAGCAUAGCACAAGAUCGUGUAGUUCGUUUGCUAGAAGCUUUUCUAAUGUCAAGUAUCAUUUCCUUAGACCAUGAGAUUGUGCAACUCCCGGAUACCGUAGGAAUGCUUUGGGUGUACCAAACGUCACAACGUAACUGGGUGGCUAUAUAAAGGUGCACUACAGGUAUCUAAGAAAGUGUCUGUUGGGUUGGCACGAAUCGAGACCAGGAUUUGUCACUCCGUAUGACGGAGAUGUAUCUCUGGGCCCACUCGGUAAUGCAUCAUCAUAAUGAGCUCAAUGUGACUAAGUAGUUAGUCGCGGGAUCAUGCAUUAUGAAACGAGUAAAGUGACUUGCCAGUAACGAGAUUGAACGAGGUAUUGGGAUACCGACGAUCGAAUCUCGGGCAAGUAACGUACCAAUUGACAAAGGGAAUUGUAUACAGGAUUGAUUGAAUCCCCGACAUCGUGGUUCAUCCGAUGAGAUCAUCGUGGAACAUGUGGGAGCCAACAUGGGUAUCCAUAUCCCGCUGUUGGUUAUUGGCCAGAGAGCUGUCUCGGUCAUGUCUGCAUGAUUCCCGAACCCGUAGGGUCUACACACUUAAGGUUCGAUGACGCUAGAGUUGUUAUGGGAAUUAGUGUGCAGUUACCGAAUGUUGUUCGGAGUCCCGGAUGAGAUCCCGGACGUCACGAGGAGUUCCGAAAUGGUCCGGAGGUAAAGAUUUAUAUAUGGGAAGUCCUAUUUUGGCCAUCGGAAAAUGUUCGGGAUUUUUCGGUAUUAUACCGGGAAGGUUCUAGAAGGUUCCGGAGUGGGGCCCACCUGCAUGGGGGGACCCACAUGAACUUUGGUAGUGGGGGCAAGGCCCCACACCCCUGGUCAAGGCGCACCAAGAUCCCCCCUUAGAAGGAAUAAGAUCAUAUCCCGAAGGGAUAAGAUCAAGAUCCCUAAAAAAGGGGGAUAACAAUCGGUGGGGAAGGGAAAUGAUGGGAUUUCUUUCCCCCACCUUUGCCAACGCCCCAACGGACUUGGAGGGCAAGAAACCAGCCCCCUCCACCCCUAUAUAUAGUGGGGAGGCGCAUGGGAGCCGCACCCCCUUCCCCUGGCGCAGCCCUCUCCCUCCCCAACACCUCCUCCUCCUCCGUAGUGCUUGGUGAAGCCCAGCCGGAGAACUGCAAGCUCCACCACCACGCCAUCGUGCUGCCGGAGCUCUCCCUCAAAUUCUCCUCUCCCCUUGCUGGAUCAAGAAGGAGGAGACGUCCCCGGGCUGUACGUGUGUUGAACGCGGAGGCGCUGUUGUUCGGCGCUUAGAUCGGAAUCAACCGCGAUCUGAAUCGCUGCGAGAACGACUCCUUCAUUCACAUUCUUGUAACGCUUCCACGUCGCGAUCUUCAAGGGUAUGAAGAUGCACUCCCCUCUCUCUCGUUGCUAGUCUCUCCGUAGAUUGAUCUUGGUGAUGCGUAGAAUUUUUUUUAAUUUCUGCAACGAUCCCCAACAGUGGUAUCAGAGCUAGGUCUAUGCGUAGUUUCUAUGCACGAGUAGAACACAAGUUGUUGUGGGCGUCGAUUUUGUCAAUUUACUUGCCGUUACUAGUCUUAUCUUGAUUCGGCAGCAUCGUGGGAUGAAGCGGCCCGGACCGACCCUACACGUACGCUUACAUGAGACAGGUUCCACCGACUGACAUGCACUAGUUGCAUAAGGUGGCUAGCGGGUGUCUGUCUCUCCCACUUUAGUCGGAUCGGAUUUGAUGAAAAGGGUCCUUAUGAAGGGUAAAUACAAAUUGGCAUAUCACGUUGUGGUUUUGGCGUAGGUAAGAAAAGUUCUUGCUAGAAACCUAUAGCAGCCACGUAAAAACUUGUAACAACAAUUAGAGGACGUCUAACUUGUUCUUGCAGCAUAUGCCGUGUGAUGUGAUAUGGCCAAAAGGAUGUGAUGAAUGAUAUAUGUGAUGUAUGAGAUUGAUCAUGUUCUUGUAAUAGGAAUCACGACUUGCAUGUCGAUGAGUAUGACAACCGGCACGAGCCAUAGGAGUUGUCUUAAUUUGUUAUAUGACCUGCGUGUCCAUGAAAACGCCAUGUAAUUACUUUACUUUAUUGCUAACUGUUAGCCAUAGUAGUAGAAGUAAUAGUUGGCGAGACAACUUCAUGAAGACACGAUGACGGAGAUCAUGAUGAUGGAGAUCAUGGUGUCAUGCCGGUGACGAUGAUGAUCAUGGUGCCCCGAAGAUGGAGAUCAAAAGGAGCAAAAUGAUAUUGGCCAUAUCAUGUCACUAUUUGAUUGCAUGUGAUGUUUAUCAUGAUUUUACAUCUUAUUUGCUUAGAACGACGGUAGCAUAAAUAAGAUGAUCCCUCAUAAAAUUUCAAGAAAGUGUUCCCCCUAACUGUGCAUCGUUGCGAAAGUUCGUUGUUUCGAAGCACCACGUGAUGAUCAGGUGUGAUAGAUUCUAACGUUCGCAUACAACGGGUGUAAGCCAGACUUACACAUGCAAAACACUUAGGUUGACUUGACGAGCCUAGCAUGUACAGACAUGGCCUCGGAACACAAGAGACCAAAAGGUCAAACAUGAGUCGUAUAGUGGAUACGAUCAACAUGAAGAUGUUCACCGAUGAUGACUAGUCCGUCUCACGUGAUGAUCGGACACGGCCUAGUUGACUCGGAUCAUGUAUUACUUAGAUGACUAGAGGGAUGUCUAUCUGAGUGGGAGUUCAUUAAAUAAUUUGAUUAGAUGAACUUAAUUAUCAUGAACAUAGUCAAAAGGUCUUUGCAAAUUAUGUCGUAGCUCAUGCUUUGGUUCUACUGUUUUAGAUUUGCUCCUAGAGAAAUUUAGUUGAGAGUUGACAGUAGCAAUUAUGCGGACUGGGUCCGUAAACUGAGGAUUGUCCUCAUUGCUGCGCAGAAGGAUUAUGUCCUUAAUGCACCGCUCAGUGUGCUGAACCUUGAGCGUCGGUUGUGAAUGUUGCGAACAUCUGACAUACACGUUUUGAUGACUACAUGAUAGUUCAGUGUGUAAUGCUAAAUGGUUUAAAAUUGAGGCACCAAAGACAUUUUUGAAACAUCGCAGAACAUAUGAGAUGUUCCAAGGACUGAAAUUGGGAUUUCAGGCUAGUGCCCACGUCAAUAGGUAUGAGACCUCUGACAAGUUUCUUAAGCCUGCAAACUAAGGAGAAAAGCUCAGUCGUUGAGCAUGUGCUCACAUUGUAUGAGUACUACAAUCGCUUGAAUCGAGUGGGAGUUGAUCUUCCAGAUGAGAUAGUGAUGGUUCUCCAAAGUCACUAUCACCAAGCUACUAGAGCUUCAUGAUGAACUAUAACAUAUCAGGGAUAGAUAUGAUGAUCCUUGAGCUAUUCGCGACACCGCAAAAGUAGAAAUCAAAUAGGAGCAUCAAUUUUUGAUGGUUAGUAAAACCACUAGUUUCAAGAAGGGCAAGGGCAAGAAAGGGAUACUUCAUGAAACGGCAAAUCAGUUGCUGCUCUAGUGAAGAAACCCAAGGUUGAACCCAAACCCGAGACUAAAUGCUUCUGAAAUAAGGGGAACGGUCACUGAAGCAGAACUACCCUAGAUACUUGGUAGAUGAGAAUGCUGGCAAGGCCGAUAGAAGUAUAUUGGAUAUACAUUAUAAUGUGUACUUUACUAGUACUCCUAGUAGCACCAGGGUAUUAAAAUACCGGUUCGGUUGCUAAGUGUUAGUAACUCUAAAUAAAAAGCUACGGAAUAAACGGAGACUAGCUGAAGGUGAGAUGACGAUAUGUGUUGGAAGUGUUUCCAAGGUUGAUGUGAUCAAGCAUCGCAUGCUCCCUCUACCAUCGAGAUUGGUGUUAAACCUAAAUAAUUGUUAUUUGGUGUUUGCGUUGAGCAUAGACAUGAUUGGAUUAUGUUUAUCGCAAUACGGUUAUUCAUUUAAGGAGAAUAAUGGUUACUCUGUUUAUUUGAAUAAUACCUUCAAUGGUCUUGCACCUAAAAUGAAUGGUUUAUUGAAUCUCGAUCAUAGUGAUACACAUGUUCAUUCCAAAAGAUAUAAGAUAGUAAUGAUAGUACCACAUACUUGUGGCACUGCCAUUUGAGUCAUAUCGGUAUAAAACGCAUGAAGAAGCUCCAUGUUGAUGGAUCUUUGGACUCACUCAUUUUUUGAAAAGUUUGAGACAUGCGAACCAUGUCUAUUGGUUUAUACGCAUGAAGAAACUCCAUGCAGGUGGAUCGUUUGGACUCACUUGAUUUUGAAUCACUUGAGACAUGCAAAUCAUACCACAUGGGCAAGAUGACUGAAAGGCCUCGUUUUCAGUGAGAUGAAACAAGAGAGCAACUUGUUGGAAGUAAUACAUUUGAUGUGUGCAAUCCAAUGAGUGCUGAGGCACGCAGUGAAUAUCGUUAUGCUCUUACUUCACAGAUGAUUUGAGUAGAUUCUAAGUAUAUUUACUUGAUGAAACACAAGUCUGAAUUAUUGAAAGGUUCAAGUAAUUUCAUAGUGAAGUUGAAGAUCGUCGUGACAAGAGGAUAAAAUGUCUAUGAUAUGAUCAUAGAGAUGAAUAUCUGAGUUACGUGUUUGGUACACAAUUAAGACAUUGUGGAAAUUGUUUCACAACUAAUGCCAACUGGAACACCAUAGUGUGAUGGUGUGUCCGAACAUCAUAGCUGCACCCUAUUGGAUGUGGUGCAUACCAUGAUGUCUCUUAUCGAAUUACCACUAUCGUUUAUGGGUUAGGCAUUAGAGACAACCGCAUUCACUUUAAAUAGGGCAUCACGUAAUUCCGUUGAGAUGACACCGUAUGAACUAUGGUUUAGAGAAACAUAAGCUGUCAUUUCUUAAAAGUUUGGGGCUGCGACGCUUAUGUGAAAAAGGUUUAGCCUGAUAAGCUCGAACCCAAAGCGGAUAAAUGCAUCUUCAUAGGACACCCAAAAUAGUUGGGUAUACCUCCUAUUUCGGAUCCGGAAGCAAAAGUAAUUGUUUCUAGAAACAGGUCCUUUCUCGAGGAAAAGUUUCUCUCGAAAGAAUUGGGUGGGAGGAUGGUGGAGACUUGAUGAGGUUAUUGAACUGUCACUUCAACCAGUGUGUAGCAGGGCACAGGAAGUUGUUCCUGUAGCGCCUACACCAAUUGAAGUGGAAGCUGAUGAUAGUGAUCAUGAAACUUCGGAUCAAGUCACUACCAAACCUCGUAGGUCGACAAGGAUGCAUACUAUUUCAGAGUGGUACGUAAUCCUGUCUUCGAGGUCAUGUUGCUAGACAACAAUGAACCUAUGAGCUAUGGAGAAGCGAUGGUGGGCCCGGAUUCCGACAAAUGGCUCGAGGCCAUAAAAUCCGAGAGGAUCCAUGUGUGAAAACAAGGUAUAGACUUUGGAAGAACUACUUGAUGGUCGUAAGGCUAUUGGGUACAGAUGGAUUUUAAAAGGAAGACAGACAAUGAUGGUAUGUAUCACCAUUAAGAAAGCUCGACUUGUCGUUAAGAUGUUUUCCGACAAGUUCAAGGAAUUGACUACGGUGAGACUUUCUCACUUGUAGCGAUGCUAAGAGUCUGUUGGAAUUAUAUUAGCAGUUACUGCAUUAUUUAUGAAAUCUUGCAGAUAGGAUGUCAAAACAUUGUUUCCUCCACGAUUUUCUUGAGGAAAGGUUGUAUGUGAUACAACCAGAAGGUUUUGUCAAUCCUGAACUAUGCUAACAAGUAUGCAAAGCUCCAGCAAUCCUUCUAAGGACUGGAGUAAGCAUCUCGGAGUUGGAAUGUACGCUUUGAUGAGAUGAUCAAAGAUUUUGGGUUUAUACAAAGUUUAUGAGAAACUUGUAUUUCCAAAGAAGUGAGUGGGAGCACUAUAGAAUUUUUGAUGAGUAUAUGUUGUUAACAUAUUGUUGAUCAGAAAUGAUGUAGAAUUUCUAGAAAGCAUAUAGAGUUAUUUGAAAAGUGUUUUUCAAUGGAAAACCUGGAUUAAGCUACUUUAACAUUGAGCAUCAAGAUCUAUAAGGAUAGAUCAAAAACGCUUAAUUGUACUUUCAAAUGAAUACAUACCGUGACAAGAUUUUGAAGGAGUUCAAAUAAGAUCAGCAAAGAAGGAGUUAUUGCCUGUGUUAUAAGGUGUGAGCAUUGAGUGAGACUCAAGAUCUGACCACAGCAGAAGAGAGAGAAAGGAUGAAGGUUGUCCCCUAUGCUUUAGACGUAGGCUCUAUAGUAUGCUAUGCUGUGUACCGCACCUGAAGUGUGCCUUGCCAUGAGUCAAUCAAGGGGUACAAGAGUGAUCCAGGAAUGGAUCACAUGACAACGGUCAAACUUAUCCUUAGUAACUAGUGGACUAAGGAAUUUUCUCGAUUAUGGAGGUGGUAAAAGAGUUCGUCGUAAAGGGUUACGUCGAUGCGAACUUUGACACUAAUCCGGAUGACUCUGAGUAGUAAACCGGAUUCGUAUAGUAGAGCAGUUAUUUGGAAUAGCUCCAAGUAGCGCAUGCUAGCUGCAUCUACAAGAUGACAUAGAGAUUUGUAAAGCGCUCACGGAUCUGAAAGGUUCAGACUCGUUGACUAAUAACCUCUCUCACAAGUGAGAUAUGAUCAAACCCCAUCGGUGUUGGAUUCAUUACAAUCACAUAGUGAUGUGAACUAGAUUAUUGACUCUAGUGCAAGUGGGAGACUGUUGGAAAUAUGCCCUAGAGGCAAUAAUAAAAUGGUUAUUAUUGUAUUUCCUUGUUCAUGAUAAUUGUCUAUUGUUCAUGUUAUAAUUGUAUUAACUGGAAACCGUAAUACAUGUGUGAAUACAUAGGCCACAACAUGUCCCUAGUGAGCCUCUGGUUGACUAGCUCGUUGAUCAAUAGAUGGUUAUGGUUUCCUGACCAUGGACAUUAGAUGUCAUUGAUAACGGGAUCACAUCAUUAGGAGAAUGAUGUGAUAGACAAGACCCAAUCCUAAGCAUAGCACAAGAUCGUGUAGUUCGUUUGCUAGAAGCUUUUCUAAUGUCAAGUAUCAUUUCCUUAUACCAUGAGAUUGUGCAACUCCCGGAUACCGUAGGAAUGCUUUGGGUGUACCAAACGUCACAACGUAACUGGGUGGCUAUAAAGGUGCACUACAGGUAUCUCCGAAAGUGUCUGUUGGGUUGGCACGAAUCGAGACUGGGAUUUGUCACUCCGUAUGACGGAGAGGUAUCUCUGGGCCCACGCGGUAAUGCAUCAUCAUAAUGAGCUCAAUGUGACUAAGUAGUUAGUCGCGGGAUCAUGCAUUACGAAACGAGUAAAGUGACUUGCCGGUAAUGAGAUUGAACGAGGUAUUGGGAUACCGACGAUCGAAUCUCGGGCAAGUAACGUACCGAUUGACAAAGGGAAUUGUAUACAGGAUUGAUUGAAUCCCCGACAUCGUGGUUCAUCCGAUGAGAUCAUCAUGGAACAUGUGGGAGCCAACAUGGGUAUCCAGAUCCCGCUGUUGGUUAUUGGCCAGAGAGCUGUCUCGGUCAUGUCUGCAUGAUUCCCGAACCCGUAGGGUCUACACACUUAAGGUUCGAUGACGCUAGAGUUCUUAUGGGAAUUAGUGUGCAGUUACCGAAUGUUGUUCGGAGUCCCGGACGAGAUCCCGCAUGUCACGAGGAGUUCCGAAAUGGUCCGGAGGUAAAAUUUAUAUAUGGGAAGUCCUAUUAUGGCCACCGGAAAAUGUUCGCGAUUUUUCUGUAUUGUACCGGGAAGGUUCUAGAAGGUUCCGGAGUGGGGCCCACCUGCCUGGGGGGACCCACAUGAACUUGGGUAGUGGGGGCAAGGCCCCACACCCCUGGUCAAGGCGCACCAAGAUCCCCCCUUAGAAGGAAUAAGAUCAUAUCCCGAAGGGAUAAUAAGAUCAAGAUCCCUAAAAAAGGGGGAUAACAAUCGGUGGGGAAGGGAAAUGAUGGGAUUCCUUUCCCCCACCUUUGCCAAUGCCCCAAUGGACUUGGAGGGCAAGAAACCUGCCCCUCCAACCCUAUAUAUAGUGGGGAGUUGCAUGGGAGCCACACCCCCUUCCCCUGGCGCAGCCCUCUCCCUCCCCAACACCUCCGUAGUAGUAGUGCUUGGCGAAGCCCUGCCGGAGAACUGCAAGCUCCACCACCACGCCGUCGUGCUGCCGGAGCUCUCCCUCAACUUCUCCUCUCCCCUUGCUGGAUCAAGAAGGAGGAGACGUCCCCGGGCUGUACGUGUGUUGAACGCGGAGGCGCCGUUGUUCGGCGCUUAGAUCGGAAUCAACCGCGAUCUGAAUCGCUGCGAGUACGACUCCUUCAAUCACAUUUUUGUAACGCUUCCGCGUCGCGAUCUUCAAGGGUAUGAAGAUGCACUCCCAUCUCUCUCGUUGCUAGUCUUUCCAUAGAUUGAUCUUGGUGAUGCGUAGAAUUUUUUUUAAUUUCUGCAACGAUCCCCAACACGUUGAACCCGAAGACAGGCCUAGUUUCGAAGAAGGCGAGUCUAAAAGGAGCCGAAGAUAAGUUACUGGAAGCAAUAGAAGAUGCUCGAAAGGGGGUGUUCACGCCCAAUGGAGAGAACGACGAGCUUACGCGCACCCUAGGACAUCCUGAACACCGAGGAAGAACACGAGGCAACGGCGUUAUUCCGUGGUAUGAGGGCUUUUCGGACUGGAACGCGGACUACAGAAGCCGUGCAAGAAGGAAGAUGGAGGUGGAGAAGAAGAGGAAGCUGGAGGAGGAGCAGAGGAAGCAGGAAUCAAAAUGCCUUCAAGGCCUAGAAUCAGCGCACGCGGACUUGGCACUCAAAUUCCAGCGGGAGCAGCAGCAGAUCGACUCACUUAGCCAGGAAAGGGGAUCUCAGCAGCGGCAGCGGCUAGCGGAUGAUCCAGCAUUGGAUAGCACCGUCCCAUCCAUGCCGAGAAGCAGCGUGGGUUCCGCCCUAGGCGACGCACUGCUGGAUAGAUACCCUAUGGAUGACAUCAUGGAGAGCACUAACUGUGAGCUACACUUCAAAAUGAAGAACAUAUCCAUGAAGGUGGCGGACGCCAUUGCUCAUACAAAUUCCCCCGAUGCAACCUUCCAUUGCAACCCGAUUCCAGCCGGCUAUGCUCGUGUCGUGGUUGAUGAGGUGGUGGACCAAUAUUCGGGGCUAGAGCUUGACAUUCCUGGAGGUGACGAGGAGCACACACUGGGAGAGGCCAAACAUCGUAUCAUCCUAUGGAGAAAGGAUUGCAUCAUCUUUCCAAGGCCACCGACACCGCGUCAGCCGACUCCUCCUCAAAGUCCGCCACCGCGUCAGCAGACUCCCGCUCCUCCAAGUCCGGCACAGCAUCAGGCCACUCCUCCUGCUUCAAGUCCGGCACAGCGUCAGCAGACUCCUCCUUGAAGUUUGCCACCGCGUCAGCAGACUCCCGCUCCUCCAAGUCCACCAAAGCGUCAGGCCACUCCUCCUCCUCCAAGUCAGGCACAGCGUCAGGCCACUCCUCCUGCUCCAACUCAGCCAUGUCAGCCAUCUCCGCCGCCUCAGCAAUCGCAAAAGAGAGUCGCCGCAGCUAUGGUGCGUAGCGGUACGAGUCGAGGUAGUACAGGAGGUACAGGCGGAGGCAAGCGAUAUAAAUAUGGUCCAAGCCUCGCUCCUCUUCCUCAGCGGCCUUACGACAUGACCGAGGAGCAAAACAUAGUCAUAGUGCAGACCCAAGUGGACGCCCAUUUUGGACCGAAACUGGCACCGCCACCAAGGGAGAAAGUGCCUGAGGAAAAGAUUGACAACUUCAUUCAUAUGGCUAGAACACCAGCUCCCAAGCCUGUUGACUCAGACUAUGAGCGCCAAAUCAGGAAGGCACAUCGAGCACGACUACAGAAGGAGUCGAGCUCGAGCUCGAACCAAGCAGCUGGCAAAAAAUGCGGGAAAACCGUACCCCAGCUGGGAGAACAAGCGGCGCACUCGAUCCCCCCGCUUGUUGUGCCAACAACACAUGAGAGUACUGCCGCCCUAUAUAUAUGUGGGCAAACCGUUCCCAGCUAGGCAAUCUGGUAUUAACCGAGGAGCAUAUAAUGCAGGCUGAAAUGCUCGGUAUCACUGUUGGACAACUCCUCGAGAUCGAGCCCAUGUCUCCGCUUAGAGAGGAGGAAAUAAAACGGAAAUAUGUCCGCGGCCAACCUUUGGUCGAGCCCGAGGAGGUCAAGAACCUCCCAACGAGAAUGUAUGAAUUGCAUGAUUGGUACAUGAAAAUUACCAAGAGUUCCAAUCGAGAGUCCCUCAUGGUGAAUGUCAAGGAAGAGCAUUACUUCCAUAAGCUAGCUCUGUUCGUUGAGUAUUCAAAACUAUUUCAGUUAUUCAAUCAAGAUGCACUCGACAAAUCUCUCGUCAGUUGCUAUUAUCUGUAAGUGAUUCUUUUUGUAAUUUAAGUCCCAAGCUAGCUUUAGUGCUCAUUGAUCGAUCAUUACUUGUAAUUAUCCUCACUGUAUUCUUUUUUGUGGUAUUAUGCAGGAUGAAGAUGUAUGAAAUGAAAAAAGCUGGACUCUAUGGCAUCCUGUUCAUUGACCCAAAUACCAUUAAUGAAACAACAUGGAAAUUGGAAUGGUAUAAACAAGAUGUAGAGAAUAAAAUGCUAGAGUUCUUGAAGCGCCUCAAUACCAAUGAAGAUAUAGUACUUCCUUACAACUUCCGAUGAGUCACACUGUACUACAAAUUCUGUUUUUGCUUACUAGCUAGUUAGAUGAUAAUUAAGUGUAUAGGGUUUAGGGUAGUUGAUUAGUGUUAUGCACAUGCCCGCUUAAUUAAGACAUGCAAUCGUGUGCGCAUGCAGUUACCACUGGAUCUUGUUAGACAUUAAAGUUGAAGAAGGAAAAGUUGAAGUACUGGACUCACUACUUAAAAAAGAAAGUGACUACACCAUCUUGAAGGGGAUAGUCGGCAGGUAAUUUCAAUCAUUAUUAACUAUAUCUCGGCCUAUUUAGUUCGUCAUUUCCUGAUAUCAACUAUUUAAUAACCCCUUUAUUAAUUUUCUUUGCCGGCGGGCAGGGCUUGGGCAAAGUUCAUCAAGGUAACUCCAGGCAAAUGGCGAGAAAAGCUGUUUUGGUAUCGACCCAAGGUAAGUAAUUAAGUAGAUGUGACGCCCUCGAUUCAAUCGUACACUAAUCAUACAUGCAAAUGUGUACGAUCAAGAUCAAGGACUCACGGGAAGAUAUCACAACACAACUCUAGACACAAAAUAAAAUAAUACAAGCUUUAUAUUACAAGCCAGGGGCCUCGAGGGCUCGAAUACAUAAGCUCGAAAUCACAAGAGUCAACGGAAGCAACAAUAUCUGAGCACAGACAUGAGUUAGACAAGUUUUCCUUAAGAAGGCUAGCACAAAAGCAACAACGAUCGAAAAGGCAAGGCCUCCUGCCUGGGAGCCUCCUAACUACUCCUGGUCGUCGACGGUCUCCACGUAGUAAUAUGCAUCGGCGGUGGCAUCUGGCUCCUGGGCCCCGACAUCUGGUUGCAUCAACCGGAAAGAAGAAGAAAGGGGGAAAGGGGGAGCAAAGCAACCGUGAGUACUCAUCCAAAGUACUCGCAAGCAAGGAUCUACACUACAUAUGCAACAUUAUCAAAGGAAGGCUGUAUAUGUGGACUGGGCUGCAGAAAUGCUAGAAUAGAGAGAAGGCAUAGUCCUAUCGAAGACUAGCAUCUUCUGGAAACCACCAUCUUGCAGCAACAGGAGGGAGUAGAGUAGCAUAAAGUAAAGUAGUAGUAGUGUUAUCAACCUCGGCCAGAGAUCCUUUCUCGACUCCCUGCAAGAAAGCAAUCCCAGAGCCAUACUAUCCAGUUAUCAUCACAAUCCAUUACUCAUCACAAGUAUCCAGUUCUAGUUGUAUCGAUCGGGAUACAACUCCAAGUGUCCGUUACCGUAGGACAGGCUAUCGAUAGAUGUUUUCUUUCCUGCAGGGGUGCACCAACUUACCCACCACGCUCGAUUAACUCCGUCCAGACACACUUUCCUGGGUCAUGCCCGGCCUCGGCCAAACAAUACGCCGCAACCCGACCUAGGCUUAAAAGAGAGGCCAGCACACCGGACUAAACCUAUGCCCCCAGGGGUCAUGGACCAUCUCCCCGGGAACUCUUGCAUGUUGCGAGGGCGGCCGGUGAGCAGACCUAGCUACCUCCUUCAACAAGGCAGGUGCUUAAGCAGUCCAACCCGGCGCGCGCCGCUCAGUCGCUGACGUCUAUUAAGCUUCGGCUGAUGCAUACGACGCAGAACGCCCAUACUAUGCUCACGUGAUGGUUAGUGCUAUCAGGCCAAAGGCCCAUCGGAUCAAAUAUCCAAAUCGUAGUGGAUUAGGAACGCGCGGUAACAAGCAGAGACUCACGAAAGAUGUGACCCCAUUGCCCCGUCUCGAGGACUUGCAGCAAGCGCUGGGAAUGCCCGGCCACGCCUCGUAAUUAUCUCACGGGCACCCUCCAGGUCAAACCGUCUCCACAUCACUCGCAAUUUAGCUCGUGCGGGUACCCCUCAGGGCCGACCCGUCUUUAGUAACAUGGUUCAGUGUAAAGUCAUAGUAACCAUAGUAACUGUGUGUCCAAACAUCAAGGGGAAAACCCGAGGAAUCACCCCCGGUGAAUUCCACUCGAUGUAAUCAUCAAGGUGAACGUAAGAGGAACCACCCCCGGUGUUCACACUUGAGGGGUUGCACGACAGAGUCGUAUCGGAAGUGCUUAAGACAGAAUCACCCUCGAUGACCACGACCGGAUAGCUACACUACAGGGUUAACAUCAGAAGUGCUGUAGAGGUGUCACCCUCGGCACUCGAUAGUAACCCAGUAGUGUCGAGCAACUAAGGGGAAAGUGAUGUGCGGUGCCGGGGCCUGGUCUUCAAUCCCGUUGAUCGGGUCUUCGAUGAUGAAGCAGGGGCAACAAGGACAAGGCGGGGGUCACUGAUGGAUCACUAACCAACCUAUACUAAGCAGUUUAGGUAAGCAGGUAGGUAACAAUGAGCAGGUUACAAAAGCAGGCUAUGCAUCAGAAUAGGAGCAAACAAUAACAGUAGCAAAAUCUAAUGCAAGCAUGAGAGAAUGGAAUGGGCGAUAUCGGGAUGAUCAAAGGGGGGGCUUGCCUGGUUGCUCUGGCAAGGAGGGGUCGUCGUCGACGUAGUCGAUCACAGGGGCGGCAUCGGUCUCGGGGUCUACCAGAGAGAAGAGGGGGAAGAAACAAUAAAUUAAAGCAAGCAUAGCAUCACAAAGCAUAACAUGGCAAUAUGCUGUGUCGGGUGUGACCUAACGUAUGGCUACACGAUAAAGGUGAAGGGGGAAUUCAACCGGGAAUGUAUUCCCGGUUCUAGACCUAUAUCAAACAGAUGACCGGAGGGGGAAUGUUCCAUGUUCAGCAUGCUACGGGCAUGUGACAGAUGAACGGACCACGUAUUCGGAUUCGUUGGAUUUUUCUGAGCAACUUUCAUGUAGAAAACAUUUUCAUCGGAAUUACGGUUUAUUUUCUAUGAAUUUCUAAAGGUUUAAACAUUUUCUAAAAUUAUUUAAAUUAACAGAAUUAACAGAAAAGGAAAUAUGACGUCAGCAUUGUGUGGCGAUGAUGUCAGCGGUCAACAGACACGCUGACCAGGUCAAAACUGACCUGUGGGUCCAGUGGGUCCCACUGGUCAGUGACUGGACUAAUUAACAGUGGUUAAUUUAACUAUACUAAGUUAAUUAGCUAGUAGGCCCCACCUGUCAGUUUCUAAUUAGUUUAACUAAAUAAGUUUUAAUUAUUAAAACGUUGAUUAAAGGAAUGGGGCCUGCCUGUCAGUGGCUCUGGGCUGCCCAGUCAGCGAGUUGACUGGGUCAACACAGUCAACAGGGCCCCAUGGGCCCACACGUCAGCCUCACAGGGGAGGCCACGCGGCGCCACGUCGGACGCCGGCGACGGAGCGGCUCCGACGACCAAAGAAACGGCGGCGCCUCGCCAGAGUUGGCCGGAGCCACGCUACAGGGGACCUCCGGACCUGCGGCUUGGACCUAAGGGUGUGGCCCGGCGCCGCGCACACGAUGGUGACGACGAUCGGCGUCGGGGACGACCGGAGCAUCGCCGGUGGCGAGCGGAGGCGGCAGCGUCGUUCGGGAGCGUGUCGGGAGAAGCCUACGGGGCGCCAAACCGGCCGCGGCUGGUCGUGUUCGAACGGGGAGUGAGCGGCGCAGCUGGUGGUGGUGGUGGUUUCGCCGGAAUCGGUCGAAAUCAGCACUGGCGACGAGCGGAGGCGACGGCGUUCUCGGACGCUCGUCGAGCUAGGUGCUUAGGGGGCACGGGAAGGCGAGUGCGCGUGCGCGUUGGUCUCCUGGGAACCCCAGGAGCACAACGGUGAGCUCGGGCGAGCGUGUCAACGGCCACAAUGACGACAACGAGCUCGUCGGCGGCGACGCGUGCGGGUGCUAGCGGAGCGGUGGCUACGAGCGGCGAAAAGCUUCGCGGAGAUAGGGAAAAGGGGGAGAGGCUCACCGUGCGGCUCACACGUAGGCCCGUGACGGCUUAGGAGCUGCAGAGGUCGACGGAGACGGAGAAGAUCGCCGGAGCCUGAGAAGAGAGGGGGCGGCUCGAUCCACGGCCUGCGGUGCUCCUCGAGCUCGAUGGUGACGCGUAGUCGAGGUUGAGGUCGACGGCGCGUCUUGUGGGCGUGCUGGCGAGGCACGGGGUGUGCGGUGGCCGCGGCUACGGCACAGCCAUGGCGACAGCGGCGCUCUGUUGAGGUGGGGAACUAGGGGUGGAGAGCAAGGAGGGAUCUGAUGGGAGAGGGAGAGGCGGAGCGGGCGACAGUGGAGAGCGGGGGAGAGGACCGAGGCGUCCGGAGCCUUAUCCCCUCGUCGGGUGUCGCCGGCGAGGUGGUUGGACGGCGACGGGCGCGCGCUGUCCCGCCCGGUCAGAGGAACAGGAAGCGACCGGGGAGGGGGAGUGGGCCAGCCUGCUGGGCCAGUUGGCUCGGGCCAGGCACUAUGCACUUGGCCCAAUGCACAGUAGCCUGUGCUCUUUCUCUUUUAUUUUUAUUUUUUUUAACUUUUGCUUUUUUUAGCAGCUUUUGCAUUUUCUUUUAGCCACAAUUGACUUUGCAAAAAUAUGCCACUGGCCAAAACAAUUUUAAACAAUUAUUGGGCACUGUCACAAAAAGUUUGGGGCCAUCAGGAGUUGUCCAAGCAUUUUAGAAAAUGAAAAGGACAUCUUAAAUACUGUUGGACCAGAUAAUAAAUUUCCAGGGGCAAAUUUGGGAAUUCCAAAAAGUUGGCUUCAACAUGACAAAUAUCUAGGGAUUAUUUGCCAUAGGAUGAACUAUUUUAUUUGCAUGAAAGAAGAUGCAAAUAUUUGACAUGCAAUUUGAAUUAGAAUUUGAAGCAGAUUUUGGACAAGUGGCAUUUUGGCAUGAUGAUCAUGAUGACAUGACCUUCAUUAGGGGGAGAUUACUGUAGUGUGAUGCUGUUGAUGUUACAUAGUACUAGCUAGCUACCAUCUAUUUAAUUCUUAUUUCAAUACCAUUAAUUAAUUAUCAUGCUUGAUUAAUUAUUAUCUGAUUAAAUUCCAUUCUCGUAAAGGCCCUGAAGCAGGCGCCGGGGGCUGAUCUGUGUGCAUACUACGUUUGCGAGAACAUUCGCAUGAUGGCGUCCGAAAGGAGCAAAUCUCAAAGACAGGAAUGGGUACGUUUGCCAGAACACUAUUCACAAUUUUUACAUCAUUAUCGAUAUCUAGUCACACAACUAAUACACAUGCAUAUUGAUCUCCUUCUUAACAGUUCAAAGAGGUGCGGGAGAAGCUCCUACCAACGGAGCGCAUACUAGCACUUCAAGAGGGAAUAGCGGGAUUUUUGCUCGACCAGGUCAUAGAUCCCAAAGGAGAAUACUAUUACCCGCUACCGCCCCCCAUGAACCACUCCCAAUUGUCAUCGUGCUCCGAAGGCAUCAAUGCAACAUGUAGGAGAAAUUGUAUAUAUAUAUAUAUAUAUAUAUAUAUAUAUAUAUAUAUAUAUAUAUUUAUAUAUAUAUAUAUAUGAUCGGUUCUAUGAGAAAUUCUAUUUAUAUAUAUGCAUAACGUGUACAAUAUGCAGUAUCGUAAAAUACCAGCAAACAAAAAAGAAUUAAAUGGAAAACACAAAAUUAAAGGAAAAUAAAAAAUAAAACCAAAACCCCCCAAAUGUUACCAACCGGUACUAAAGGGCUCCCCGCCCCCGGCGCUGGCUCGUGCCACGUUGUGGCCCUUUAGCGGCGGUUCAUGAAGAACCGGUACUAAAGUGGGGACCUUUAGUCCCCACCCUUUAGUGCCGGUUACAAAACCGGCACUAAAGACCCUUACGAACCGGUGAUACAUCCCGGUUCUGCACUAGUGUAUGGCUGGAUCAAUGGUUUUAUAUGAAUAUAUAAUCCAUAAGAGUUUUUCAUGUAAUCUACUUUCUAUAUAAUUUCAAUGGAUUUUCAUUUUCAUCGAGUCUACCUGAACAGAAUUCUUUCAUUUUGGUGACAAUCAUGGUAUACAUCUAGUCCAGUAGAAGAAUGCUAGCUUUUCAACACGACAUGUCAUCAAAUUUCUACCUUUUUCCUCUUUCGGUAUCUUCAAAACUUAUGAACCAAAUUAAAAUGUGGGAGGCUACGCAUUUCUUAACCUUUACAUAUUGUUCACCCAUUAAUGUUCAACAAUUAAAUCUUGAGUUGUAGUUAAGUGGAGAACUAAAUUAAGAGAAUUCAAUGGUUCUUCUACCCCGUACAACAUGUGGAUGUCCUGCAGCUGUGUGAAGACCUGUUCCUGCACGGGAUCAAAAUCCAACAGAUGAGGAUAGAAAUCGAGAUCGAGAUCAAGAUCAAGAGAGAGCCUGUAGAUAGGGGAAGGCGGCCUCAUCCAUCCGUCAUCACGCUCGAGGAAGACGGUCAGAGGGAAGCCCUAGCGGCGGAGGAACACCUGGUUGUGGCUGGUUGAAGUAGAUGUCGAGUUGUCUGGCCGCCUAGUGAGGAAGGGAAACGAUGGGAGCCGGAGUGAUUGUCACCAGAAUACUAAACGUUUUCCUAAGCGAGCGAGGAACUAUCCUUUUAUUACGGAGAGAGGUUGAGCUUUGAUCGGCUGUUUCGUUUGGAAACGGACCUGCUGGGAAUUAAAUAGAAGUACAUAGUGGACGGUGGCUUGAGAAAAACCUUGCAGGGGGAUAUGCCAGCAAGCGAUGGUACGUAUACGUGGAGAAGGAAAAAUAACUAAGAAAUGAAGUGACGUGGGUGGAAUUUGCUGAGGUGGCACGAUGAUGACGUGGACGGCCUGCAUGUUGAGAGAAUAGGUAGUACUCCAGGUUUAGGAACAAGUAAAACAAACACUAAAAAUAAUAAAAAUAAUAAACAUUCAAUCUAUCCAUCUUCAAUCAUGACAGUACAACGAACACUAAAAAUAAUAAAAAUUACAUCUAGAUCCAUAGACCACCUAGCAACGACUACAAGCACUGAAGCGAGUUGCAGACGGGCCGUCGUCAUCGCCCUACCUCGCUGGAGCCGGGCAAAACUUAUUGUAGUGGACAGUCGAAGAGUCGCUGUGUUAAGGCCCUAUAGGACCAGCACAACAGAAUCCGACCGGCACCGAUGAAUAGUAGGGUAGGUCGGAAGGUUUAACCUUUUGUUUAAGAUAAGAUAAAGUGAUACAAUCUGGGCACUUUGCUUUUUCGUUGAGGGGUCAUGGAAAUAACACUGCAUGUAUUGAGUAUGAUCGAUGUUUAUAUAUGUGCUUGAUCAUAAUGUUUUUGUGGUUCUAUUUGUCGUAUUGAUGUGUCGAACUCAAUCGGUGACUUGUAGGGUGACGAAACCUUACGUCCACGUUAAUUAAUUUGUGCAUCUAAGGAAGGAUAGUAGGCACUGCGGUUAAAGCGUGGAGGCUAUUCCAGCAAAAUAAUAAUAAUGGGCACUGCGGUUUUUUCUUUCUUUUUUAACCGAUCUAGAGUUACAUUGAAGUGGAGUGCUGAACUAAAAGAGAAUUUGACAUGGAGUACAUACAUGGCAUUACAUGGGGAGUAUUUAUAAGCAGUGACUUGAUUUAGGGAAGAGUCAGCCGGUCGAUUCUUUUUGGCGAAAAUCAUGGUCAAUGUAAAUAUGUACUGUAUCUCGCAAAGAAGAAAAACACAGAUAACAUGUAAUAACUUUGAACUAUGUAAAUUUGGCACGUGCACAUUUUCCAUUUCUAGUAUUGUUUGUUGGCAACAUAUACAAAUGACUCGCCGUCUUAUGAGUAAAUAUUUAGUAUACCUUAUUAAUCCUACACAUAAUAAGCCAAGCCUCUUGUCAUCAAUUGACUCAUGACGUCUAUGGCAGAGUGUGGUUUGUUCGAAAACUUUGGAUCAUCCAUAUGAGUUUUUCAUGUAAUCCACUUUCCCCAUAAUUUCAAAUGAAAAUUUUCAUAGUAUUUUUUUUGGAAAUAUACUGACCGUUGAACGUACCCUGGGAGGGGGUGGCAAGCAAACACAUUUUCUAGACAGUUUUAGUUGCAACCCGAAAUUAUACGGUGGCAGUUUUAGAAGAAAAAUGCCUUCCUCUGAAGAAAUUUUAAUCUUCACAUAAACUUCUAUGGGAAUCCACUUUCUGCCACAACUAAAUGUCUGUAAAGAGAUUUGAAAGUGAAUACUCCAUCCACAGUUAACAUCCAUUUUAUGGAAUCUUUAUUAUCAUAGGGUCAGCUUAACACUACUCCACCCUAGAGAGCUAAAGUACCACCCCACAGGGUCCGUCUAGAUUUUGUACACUCCCAUCCUUCAAGGCAUCAUCCACAUAAAUAUUGUAAUCAAAGCUCAAAUUGUAUAAUAUAACAUGGGUAUUUUCUAUAGUUUUAAAUAGCGCGCUAAGCAUCUUAGCGGUGAACCUCUUCUAAAGGCGAUAUAUCGCGCUAUUUAAAAUGGGAGCUAUAGCACGCUAUUUAAAACCAUUACUAUUUUUACAGGUUUAUCACCAACGCACCAAUCCUCCCAAAACCUUGUGUUUUUAUGUUACCCACUAUCUUCUUACAGUGUUGGUAGAAGGUGCCUUUGAUUUUCAUUAAGUUGGACAAAAAGUGGGAAUUCCCCACUUUUGGUUUAAGCCCGGCUAGGCCUUCAAUUUGGACAUAUUUAUUCAAAACAAUAUUUUCCCAUAACCCACUUUUAGUUUUCAGUUUCCAAAGCCACUUAGCCAUCAGAGCUUUGUUCAUAAGUUCAAGAUUCAAAUUCCUCAAACCCACUUGAUCUUCAUUAAAUGAUAUUUCUUUGUAUCUUCAUCUCAUUGCCAAACAAAUCUAGCCAUAAAUAAUUUGCUCUUUUCAUUCACUAAGUCUUACUUAAUAGAACUAUUUUACUUCCACGUCAAUGUGACAUACAUCUAAUCCUUAUAGACAACAAUAGUUUAUCACUAGCGCAACAUAACAACACCUAUUACACGUUUAUGUGCUUUCGGUUUAUGUAGGAUUCACCAUGACAUCAAAUUUCUAUGUUUUUCUAUUCCGAUGUUUUCAAAUCUUAUGAACCAAAUUAAGGUGUGGAGGGCUACACCUUUUUCCUUUACAUGGUUCACCAAUUAGUGUUCAACAAAUACAUUUUUAGUAUAGUUCAGUGGAGAACUAAACUAAGAGAAUCUAACAUGAACGCCAUGGAAAUAUGUUUCCUUGGAAAUUCAAUUUUCAGUUGAUACAAUCUCUAUCCAGAUAGGUUUAACCUCCCGUUAAACAUAAAAAUAUGCAACCUGGGAGCUUGUUCUUUUCUCAGGGAAUAGUGAAAGUAACACUACACAUAUGAGGUAUGAUCGAUGUCUACAUAUGUAGUUUAUAGUAUUUUUUUCAUUGUUCUGUUUUUCGUAUGUCUGUGUUGAACUCAAUCUAUGGCUUGUAGGGUGACGAAACCCUACCGUUUAGACUAACUAAUUUGUAUAUCUAGGAAGGACGGUAGAAACUUCACAUGAUUAAAGCGUGGAGGCUAUUUCCAACAACAAAAAAUUAUGAAGACUGCGUUUUUUUGCGGGUUUUCCUGUUCAACAGAUCUAGAGUUACAUUGAAGUGGAGUAAUGAAUUAAAAGAGAAUUCCACAGGGAGUAGUAUAUAGGCGGUGUAUUGUUUUUCGGCAGCCGGUAGAUAAUUUUUUGGCAGAACGGCCGAUGUUAAUACGUUUCUUGAAGUCCCCUAAAAAUAUGUGUUUCUCGAAAAAAAAAGAUAUAGUCAUGUAGUAAUAAUUUUCGAAGGAGAUACACUAGCGGUUUGUCCAAAAAUGAAAACCAGUGCUGAUUCUUUUUAGCAGCUGCUACUGUAGCAUGUACUCCUCUACUAGACUGCAGGGCCACACAUGGGCACUGGUAGAAAAAAGCCCUUUAGUCCCGGUUCGCAACAGCCUUUAGUCCCGGCUGUGCAACCGGGACUAAAUAUGCGCGACUAAAGACCCCCCCCCUUAGUCGCGCCUCUUACAGACCGCGACUAAAGGCUUUAGUCCCGGUUCUUGUGGCUGACCGGGACUAAAGGCCCGUCCACGUGGGCGCCAGUGGUCCGUCGGGGCGGAGGACCUUUAGUCCCGGUUCUCGUGGCCAACCGGGACUAAAGGCCUCCUCCGCAGGUUUAGGGUUUUAGCCCCCCUAAACCUGGUUUCUUUUUAGUUUGGAGUGUUUUAUUUCUUUUAUAUUUUAUUUUGUGUUUUAUUUUAAUUUUGAUAAAGUUUCAGUACACAUAUUCUACGCUACUAUAUACAUGCAUAUGAAAUUUCAAAUAUGAAGAAUUCAAGAGGAAUAUAUAAUAUAUAUUCAAUCUCGGGUGACCAUAUACAACUUCGAACAAGUUUCCAUACACAAUUAGGAUGGAUGACCAUAUACAACUUCGAACAAGUUUCAAUCUCGGGUAUGCAUAUAAAUUUCUUCGUCCUCGGUAUAGUGUUCUCCUUUAGGAUUGAUGACUUCCCUCAUGAAAAAUCCUGCUAAUUCUUCUUGAAUUGGUCGGAAGCGAGCUUCUGGACUAAGCCUCCUCCGCAAGUUAUCCGUCGCGUUCCGCACGCUAUCCGAUGCCUUCCGCUCAGAGGUGUGUCUCCGGAUGUUCUCACAAACAUAGUAUCCACAUAGAUUGGUCCCCGGUGGCUGCUUAUCCACAUUAACUAACCUUCUGAAAUCUAGCUCAUGUUUGAAUUCACCGACAAUUUUUCUGAGAACCGUCUCCAAACCCUACAGGGCAAAGAAAAUUAAAUGAACAAGGGAGUUAUUAGUUACUUGAUAUUAGGAAAUGAACGAAAGAGACCGAUCGAUAUAGAGCUCAAAUGAUUGAAAAUAAUUACUUUUGCAGCAUUUUUCUCAUGUCGGCCCAACGCUUUGGAUCCGAAUCCAUAGAGUCCAUGAUUAGAACUCUGGAGGUGUGAAGUUCAAUAUUUAGCAGAAUCCAGUGGAACCUGCGGACACGUUACAUGCACAGUCAUGCAUAACUCAUCGAUUAGACAUACCAUGCAUAGAGUAAACAAAAGAGAAUGGGCACAAGAGAGAAACACUCACCCAAAAUGGUAAGGAAAUAGAAUAUGACUUUUGAGUUGAUGCUUUCUAAGAAACUUGUACAAGUCUUUCUCCACGUCUUCGGGGUGAUGUUGUAACACAUGUCCAUUAACGAUAUGUGGGUCAAUGAACCCAACAUCAUGGAUGUUUCUUAUUUUGCAUUCCCAAAUCUUCAAUCUGCAUAAUAGCGUACGCAACAAUAUAGUUAGGACAAUAUAUAUAUAUAUAGUGCAGGCAAUGAAAAACGAGAUGAGGUAGAAAUAAAUCACUUACAGAACGUAGCAACUCAGCAUAGAUUUGUCGAGGUCGCGCAGAUUGAACAGCUGGAACAAUUCACUCAUAUGAACUUCUACAGAGUACCGUUUGGUGUGAUGCUCAUCUGUAACAUCCGCAUAAACAUAUUCUUUUUCGGCCCAUGUUAUGAAUUGCUUGUACCAACAUAGCAGAUUUCACAUUUGUGGUGGUAGACUCUUUUCCCGCGCAGGCUCGACGAGAGGCCCAUUCCGCACAUAUUGUAAUGCUAUCUCACAUACUGGCGCAUCCUCAAGGCCUAAGAAGGCACGAAGAGUCAAACCCAUCUCGGACGCUUGUUUCAUGGCACUCGCUACAGUCAAUCCAAGUGCUGCCGCAGCUGCUAUGAUCUCGGGGUCCUCUUCCGGACCGGCUUUCACUAUGAGCGGGGGGAUCGAUUGUUUCUUCUGCAUCCCGAGCUGGUCAACUUGUUUCCCGCUUUUUUUACUUUCUUCUUUCUCCUCCUUCAAUAUUUUUGCUUGCCUACGAAGUUCAUGUCCAUAGUCGUCAGGCAUAUUCAGCUCCGCUUGGGACGGUGUCGUCAAAAAAUCCUUAGCCCACUUCUUUUGCUUCUCAGUGAAUACUUGCUUGGGCUCAGGCUCUUUUUUCGCCUUCAUAUCCGCCUUCCAUUUCUCAUAAUCAGCAGACGCGGCCAAUUUGGUUUCAGCUUCACUAAGUUCCCCAGGCCUUGGGAGGAGAGGCUUCAGUGAUGGCUCCGGUACCCUUGUGGUCUUAGGUACAUAAGGGUCCGGGUUAAUAGUCCAGGAGCGGGUUUCCUUGUUGUCCGCCUGCUUCUGCUUCUUCGCCGGAGGUGGAUUGGGGGGCGUCGUACCCGCCGGAGGAGGAUUGGGGGGCGUCGUACCCGCCGGAGGUUGUGGAUCGGGGGACGGCGUCGAAUGGCGUGAAGGAGGUGUAGGUGAACCACCACGACCACCACCACCGCCACCACCACCACCACCACCAUCACCACCACCACCAUCGGAGGGGGGUGGACUUGCUAGCCUUGGCGCCUCGCCUGGAAACACUAUGUACUUCUUUUUCCAUAGAAUGAACUGGCGCUUGACAUCUCCAAGUCUUCUCUCCCCUUCGGGUGUAGGUUUGUCAAUCUCCAGGUCCUCAAACCCUUGGACUAUGUCUUCCACCAUGACACGAGCAUAGCCAUAUGCAAUGGGGUUGUUGUGGUGGAGUGCUCCAGGUGUACAGGGUAAAGCACUGCCGCUAGCUACCUUCGUGGAAAUGUUCCCCACGGGAUAAUGCAGAUCACAUUCUUUCAUCUCCUUUACAUCAUCCACGGGGUAGUGAGGCUCCGGUGCACGAAUCUCGAUCAUCGGUGCACUAGCACCAGGCGGGGCAUCCGUGGAAGCCACGCUGCUUCUCCGCUGCUGGCUUCCGCGAUCCGCUUCAUGAUCUUCAUGCGGCCCUGCAGCCGAUUUUUCUUUCACUAGUUCAUGCACGGUCUGCUUCAACUCAUGGAGUUCCGAUGCAAACUUCGUCAUAAGAUCUUCAUCCCGGUCCGUCUUUCUCUUACGGCUUCUGUAACAGUACGGGUCAUUGUCCUGGGAAAACCCUACUUUCCACGGAACUUUGCCUUUGCCUCGUACACGUCCUCCGUGUUCAUCAUUCCCGAGGGCUGUUGUCAGUGCGUCUUUCUCUCUGUUGAACUUGAUCAAGCCCUCUUGAGCUUGGGUCAUUGCGUCAAUAAGGGCUUGGGUGGGAGCAAACUGUCUCUGCCGGUGAACACACACCCCUGUCUCCGGGUCUAGCGAUACCCCAUGCCCGUACCACCAGCUUUUGGCCCUUGGGUCCCAUCCCUCUGUACCUAGAGGGAUUCCUCGCACCCUCAGGUCCUCCUCCAUCUUCUGCCACCUAGGCUCCGAAAGGCGGUAUCCUCCUGGCCCCAUAAUAUGAUGGAACUUUUUCUUACUCGCAUUAUCCUUAUUUUUUUCGAUAUUUCCUUGAAAUGCUCCGAUUGCUUUUGCCUCACAAAUUCUGGCCAAUCAUCUUUCAGUUUCUCAUGUUGUCCAUUGAAAUCCGGAGUCUUGCCCUUGUUGACAUAGUCACGGGUUAAAUUUUUCUUGAAGUUCCGGAAUGCUUCGCCCAUCUUCUGAAAAGCGAACUCUUUAACUAGCCUUCUCCUCUGACGUCCACCCGGAACCUCGUUACCGAAUUCAUCGACUUUGUUGUAUUCCGGAGGUAGAAUGAAAUGUUCCAUAAGCUUUCUCCAGCAAUCCUUUUUCGUUCUCUUGUCGACAAAACUGAAACCAAGACGUGCCUUCUUUGGCUCCUUCCAUUCCUGGACGGUGAUCGGGACGUUGUCUCUAACAACGACUCCGCAUUGGUUGAUAAACUUUGAGGUGUGCUGUAGGGGCUUGCCGGUUUCACUGACAAACUCAAUGGCAUAUGUUUCUCCUGUUUUCAUCGCCUUGGAUUUGCUACGCUUUGUCGUACUCGAUCCGGAGGGCUAAAAAAAGAAAGAGAGUCGCGCGCGUUAAUACAUAUGUAUUCACAUUUCAGUAAGUUUGUAUCACGAGAGGCUCAAUGUAUAUAUAUACCUCGCCGGAGGUGGUUGCUACUUGCAAUUCGAGAUCGUCGUUUGUUGACGGUUGACCUCCGUCGACAAUGUCCGUUCCUUCACCUUCUUGAUCAUCGACAAUCUCUGUUCCACCGUCAAGGUUCAGAAAAGAAGAGACUACAUCCUCUUGUUGCUCAUAUUCUGAGCCCGGCACAUAAGGAAUCUCAUUGUUGAUGAUGCCCAUUAAAUAGCGUUCAGCCUCCGGAUCCCUAAGCGGCUCGGCUCUAUCGUCCGCCAUAUGUCACUCCUGCAUGUAGUAAAAAUUCUUUAAGUAUAAAGGAAUUAAAAAAUAAGAUUAAGGGGACACAGAGGAGGAGGAAUUAAAAAAUAAGAUUAUUGAGCACUGCCAAGUAUUUUGUUUUGUUUUCUUUGUUUUUCUUUUUGGUUUUCAUUUGGUUUCUUUCUUCUUCCUUUUUUCUUCUUUUUUUCUUCUUCUUCCUUUUGUCUUCCUCUUUCUUCUNNNNNNNNNNNNNNNNNNNNNNNNNNNNNNNNNNNNNNNNNNNNNNNNNNNNNNNNNNNNNNNNNNNNNNNNNNNNNNNNNNNNNNNNNNNNNNNNNNNNNNNNNNNNNNNNNNNNNNNNNNNNNNNNNNNNNNNNNNNNNNNNNNNNNNNNNNNNNNNNNNNNNNNNNNNNNNNNNNNNNNNNNNNNNNNNNNNNNNNNNNNNNNNNNNNNNNNNNNNNNNNNNNNNNNNNNNNNNNNNNNNNNNNNNNNNNNNNNNNNNNNNNNNNNNNNNNNNNNNNNNNNNNNNNNNNNNNNNNNNNNNNNNNNNNNNNNNNNNNNNNNNNNNNNNNNNNNNNNNNNNNNNNNNNNNNNNNNNNNNNNNNNNNNNNNNNNNNNNNNNNNNNNNNNNNNNNNNNNNNNNNNNNNNNNNNNNNNNNNNNNNNNNNNNNNNNNNNNNNNNNNNNNNNNNNNNNNNNNNNNNNNNNNNNNNNNNNNNNNNNNNNNNNNNNNNNNNNNNNNNNNNNNNNNNNNNNNNNNNNNNNNNNNNNNNNNNNNNNNNNNNNNNNNNNNNNNNNNNNNNNNNNNNNNNNNNNNNNNNNNNNNNNNNNNNNNNNNNNNNNNNNNNNNNNNNNNNNNNNNNNNNNNNNNNNNNNNNNNNNNNNNNNNNNNNNNNNNNNNNNNNNNNNNNNNNNNNNNNNNNNNNNNNNNNNNNNNNNNNNNNNNNNNNNNNNNNNNNNNNNNNNNNNNNNNNNNNNNNNNNNNNNNNNNNNNNNNNNNNNNNNNNNNNNNNNNNNNNNNNNNNNNNNNNNNNNNNNNNNNNNNNNNNNNNNNNNNNNNNNNNNNNNNNNNNNNNNNNNNNNNNNNNNNNNNNNNNNNNNNNNNNNNNNNNNNNNNNNNNNNNNNNNNNNNNNNNNNNNNNNNNNNNNNNNNNNNNNNNNNNNNNNNNNNNNNNNNNNNNNNNNNNNNNNNNNNNNNNNNNNNNNNNNNNNNNNNNNNNNNNNNNNNNNNNNNNNNNNNNNNNNNNNNNNNNNNNNNNNNNNNNNNNNNNNNNNNNNNNNNNNNNNNNNNNNNNNNNNNNNNNNNNNNNNNNNNNNNNNNNNNNNNNNNNNNNNNNNNNNNNNNNNNNNNNNNNNNNNNNNNNNNNNNNNNNNNNNNNNNNNNNNNNNNNNNNNNNNNNNNNNNNNNNNNNNNNNNNNNNNNNNNNNNNNNNNNNNNNNNNNNNNNNNNNNNNNNNNNNNNNNNNNNNNNNNNNNNNNNNNNNNNNNNNNNNNNNNNNNNNNNNNNNNNNNNNNNNNNNNNNNNNNNNNNNNNNNNNNNNNNNNNNNNNNNNNNNNNNNNNNNNNNNNNNNNNNNNNNNNNNNNNNNNNNNNNNNNNNNNNNNNNNNNNNNNNNNNNNNNNNNNNNNNNNNNNNNNNNNNNNNNNNNNNNNNNNNNNNNNNNNNNNNNNNNNNNNNNNNNNNNNNNNNNNNNNNNNNNNNNNNNNNNNNNNNNNNNNNNNNNNNNNACUAAAGGGUACCUUUAGUCGCGGUCCGCCUUCCCAACCGGGACUAAAGGGUUUUGGCGCCGCUUUCGUUCCCGCGCAGAAAGACCCUUUAGUCGCGGUUGGGGACAACAACCGCGACUAAAGGGUACCCUUUAGUCGCGGUCCGCCUCCCCAACCGAGACUAAAGGCAUUAUGUUGGAACUGGCGCGGUGCGGUGGGAUGUUUAGUCCCACCUCGCUAGCCGAGAGGCUUCGACAGUGGUUUAUAAGCGCGGCUGCGCUGACCACUUCGAGCUCCUCUCAAAUGCAGGCUUACGGGCCUAUUCUGUCACUAUGUGCCUGUGGGCCUACUGGGCCUUCUGCGGGCCUGAAUCCUGGCCCAUUGAUGGGUUUCUAGUCGUAUUCAGGCCGUGGUGGCCCAGUAGGUGGCAUAUUUUUUAUUUUUUGCCUGUUUUUUGUUUUCUUUUUUGCUUUAUUUAUUUUGUUUUGUUUCUACUUACAACAAAAAACUUAUUUAUUUUAUUUUAUUUUGUUUCUAAUUACUUAUUUAUUUUACUUUAUGAUAAUUAUUUUUGCUAUUAAAGUUUCUAACAAAAAAAGUUCUUUAUGAAAAUUCUUUUAGCUUUCAAUGAUUUUGAACAGAAAAUACUUCGAUAAUUUUAGUUGAAUCAAUUUUAUUUAUGUUAUUAAAAUUUAUUUUAUUUUGUUUGUACUUAUAUAUUUUAUUAAAGUUUAUAUCAUUUUGUUUCUAAUUCAUUUCAAAAUCUUCAAAAUACAAUUAUAUAUCAAAAAAAUCAGAAAAUAAAACUAAUUCAUUUUAAAUUCUUAAAAAUACAAAUAAUAUAUCAAAAAAAUCAGAAAAAUAAAACUAAUUCAUUUUAAAAUCUUAAAAAUACAAUUAUAUAUCAAAAAAAUCAGAAAAAUAAAACUAAUUCAUUUCAAAAUCCAUUGAAGGUUUGACAAAAGGUUUGAUACAUCAUUCAGUUCAUCGACCAAAUACAAAGUUUGGUACAAUAAAUUAUUACACAUCAAUUCUUCCCUUGUGUCCCUGCUUGCUUACGAUUGUGCCGUAUCCAUGGAGCAUCCUCAUCAUUUAACUUAAUGCUUGGGUCUGUGUUCACUUUGAAGGGCGGAAUUUCACCAAACAUAUUAUAAUCUUCUGACAUGUCUGUCUUGUCCUCCACUCCCACGAUGUUUCUUUUCCCUGAAAGAACAAUGUGUCGCUUUGGAUCAUCGCAUGAUGUACUGAUCUUUUUCUUAUCUUUCCGUUUCCUCGGUUUGCUACUCAUGUCCUUCAAAUAAAAAACCUGAGCGACAUCUUUGGCAAGGACGAAUGGUUCGUCAAGGUAACCAAGAUUGUUGAAAUCCACCAUUGUCAUUCUGUAUUGCUCGUCCACCUUUACCCCACCUCCUGUUAGCUUGAACCAUUUGCACCGGAACAAAGGGACCUUAAAGGAGGGUCCAUAGUCAAGUUCCCAUAUCUCCUCUAUGUAACCAUAAUAUGUGACCUUUCGCCCAUUCUCGGUUGCUGCAUCAAAGCGGACACCACUGUUUUGGUUGGUGCUCUUUUUAUCUUGGGCGAUGGUGUAAAAUGUAUUCCCAUUUAUCUCGUACCCUUGGAAAAUCGUUAUAGUCGAAGAUGGUUUCUUGGCCAACAUGUACAGCUGAUCUCCAACAUCAUUGUCAUUCAUUAAAUGUUUUCGCAACCAACUGCCGAAAGUCUCCAUGUGGGCCUUUCUAAUCCAGGAUUCAGGCUUCCCCGGGUUGUCCGAGCGUAAAAUAUUCUUGUGUUGCUCGAAGUACGGAGCCACAAAGCUGGAAUUUUGCAGAACUGUGUGGUGUGCUUCAGUCAUAGAAUGACCGUCCAUACAUAUCGUGGAUUUCCUUCCGAUCUUGCCUUUUCCACUUAGUCUCCCCUCGUGCCGCGAUUGAGGAAUACCAAUUGGCUUAAGGUCAGGAACAUAGUCAAUACAGAACUCAAUUACCUCCUCAUUUCCAUAGCCCUUGACGAUGCUUCCUUCUGGCCUAGCAUGGUUACGAACAUAUUUCUUUAAUACUCCCAUGAACCUCUCAAAGGGGAACAUAUUGUGUAGAAAUACAGGAUCGAGAAUGGAAAUCUCUUCGACUAGGUGGAGCAGGAGGUGCGUCAUAAUAUCGAAGAAGGAUGGUGGGAACACCAACUCGAAACUGACAAGGCAUUGGACCACAUCGUUCUGUAACCGUGGUAGAUCUUCUGGAUUGAUUACCUUCUGAGAGAUUGCAUUGAGGAAUGCACAUAGCUUCACAAUGGCUACUCGAACAUUUUCCGGUAGGAGCCCCCUCAAAGCAAUCGGAAGCAAUUGCGUCAUAAUCACGUGGCAGUCGUGAGACUUCAGGUUUUGGAACUUUUUCUCCGCCAUGUUUAUUAUUCCCUUUAUAUUCGACGAGAAUCCAGACGGGACCUUCAUACUGCUCAGGCAUUCAAAAAAAAUGACCUUCUCUUCUUUGGUAAGAGCGUAGCUGGCACGACCUUGAAACCAUUCCGGAUGCCGGUCAUCUGGGUCUUUCAAAAGUUGCUGGUCCUGCCGUGCUUCCUUUGUAUCAUUUGUCUUCCCAUACACGCCCAAGAAGCUUAGCAGGUUCACGCAAAUAUUCUUCGUAACAUGCAUCACGUCGAUUGCAGAGCGGACAUCUAGGACUUUCCAAUAUUCUAGCUCCCAAAAUAUAGAUUUCUUCUUCCACAUGGGUGCGUGCCCGUCAACUCCCCGCGGAACUGAUUGUCCGCCAGGACCCUUUCCAAAGAUGACUUUAAAAUCCUUGACCAUAUCAAAUAUCUCAGCACCAGUACGUUCCGCAGGCUUCGGCCGGUGAUCUGCCUUGCCGUUGAAAUGCUUGCCUUUCUUUCUUACGUUAUGAUUUCGGGGAAGAAAUCGACGAUGACCCAGGUACACGUUCUUCUUACAAUUAACCAAACGUACACUUUCAGUCUCAUGUAAGUAGUGCGUGCAUGCAUUGUAUCCCUUAUUUGUCUGUCUUGAAAGGUUACUGAGAGCAGGCCAAUCGUUGAUGGUUACAAAAAGCAACGCUCGUAGGUCAAAUUCCUCUCCUUUGUGCUCAUCCCAGACACGUACACCAGGUCUGGCCCACAACUGUAAAAGUUCAUCAACUAAUGGCCUUAGGUACACAUCGAUGUCGUUCCCGGGUUUCUUUGGACCUUGGAUGAGCACUGGCAUCAUAACGAACUUCCGCUUCAUGCACAACCAAGGAGGAAGGUUGUAGAUGCAUAGAGUCACGGGCCAGGUGCUAUGGCUGGAGCUCUGCUCGCCAAAAGGAUUCAUGCCAUCAGUACUUAGACCAAAUCUUAUGUUCCUUGCGUCAGCUGCAAAAUCUUUGAACACUCUGUCGAUCUUUCUCCAUUGCGUUCCAUCAGCGGGGUGUCUCAACUCCCCGUCGGACUUACGGUCCUCUUUGUGCCAUCGCAACGACUUGGCAUGCUUUUUGUUCAUGAACAGACGUUUCAACCGUGGUAUUAUAGGAGCAUACCACAUCACCUUGGCGGGAACCCUCUUCCUGGGUUUCUCGCCCUCAACAUCGUCACCAGGGUCAUCGCCUCUGAUCUUAUAACGCAAUGCAGUGCAUACAGAGCAUUCUUCAAAUUCUUGUAUUCACCGCGGUAGAGGAUGCAGUCAUUAAUGCAUGCAUGUAUCUUCAGAACCUCUAAACCUAGAGGGCAGACUACCUUCUUUGCUUCGUACGUACUGGCGGGCAACUCGUUAUUCUUCGGAAACAUAUUCUUCAACAUUUUUAGCAAAUUUUCAAAUGAUGAGUCACCUACACCUUCCUGUUCCUUCCAUUUUAGCAAAUCCAGUGUGCAGCCCAGCUUUUUCAGACUAUUAUCGCAUCCUGGAUACAACGACUUUUUGUGAUCCUCUAACAUGCGAUCCAAAUUCUCCCUAUCCUUGUCAGUUUCGCAGCGUCUCCGUGCAUCAGCAAUGGUCCGACCAAGAUCAUCAGCGGGCUCAUCAUGUGCCUCUUCUUCACCUUCACCUAACCCUUCCCCACCUUCAGCAUCAUCCUCCAUGAAAGUAUCACCGAAAUGAUCAUGAUAGUUGUCAUCGAUAUCAUCCCCUUCUUCAUCUUCUUCCAUUCUAACCCCUCUUUCUCCAUGCUUGGUCCAACAAUUAUAGCUUGGCAUGAAACCGUGCCGAAGCAGGUGCAUGUGAACGUCUCUUGAGGAGGAGUAACCCUUCUGAUUCUUACGGACAGCACAUGGACAGAUAAUAAAACCUUGCUGCUUGUUCGCAUUUGCCACUACGAGGAAAUCUUUCAAACCCGUAGUGAACUCGCCGGAGAGUCGGGACCGUACAUCCAUUGCCGAUUCAUCUGCAUUAUUAUUAUAUAAAGUAUAUAAUUAACCAUCAUGCAUUUGUUAAACUAACUAGCUAGAAAUAAUACAAAUUAAACAAUGAACUACACACAUGCAUAUUUUAUCAAUGACACAUGAAAGGUUCAAGUUGCUAACCGCGAUCGCGGAGGAAAAAUAAAUGAGAAAGCUCAAGUGUGGCUCGGACACUUCAUAUCAUGUUUGUUUCAGGCUCUCGGGCAUUUCAUCGAACACCUUGUGUGCAUAGGAGGAACCAAAAGCAAACCCACCACCCCCUUCUGAAAAUUGUGAAGUGGGCUGAGUGAAGUGAAGUGAGCUGAGUCCUAUAUAUAGGGAUGGGCCUUUAGUCCCGGUUGGCCUGGCCAACCGCGACUAAAGGCCUUCGGGGACCUUUAGUCCCGGUUGGCCAGGCCAACCGGGACUAAAUCCCAUCCCGUCCGCCAGCUGUCGACCGAGCACGCUGGGCCCAGAUAGUUGGUCGCGGGUCUCCUCCCGAACCGCGACUAAAGACCCCUUUUGUCGUGGUUCGAUUAUUUUGGGGACUAAUGGGGGCGUAUGGAAGCCUAUUUUUCUACUAGUGGGGCUAGCCGCCCGUGGGUUGCCCACCCUGAGGCCAACUCCACCGCGCGACCCUAUCCUGUCCGGCCCCGCUCGUUUGGGGUAAAACGGACAAACGAGGCGGCCCAGCGCGCGACGGCCCGGACCCAUCUUGUCCGUUUUGUGUCCAGGCCGACCCAUUUCGAGCGCAAACUUGCUCCGGGUUUGGGUCGCCGCGGAAACCGAACGGACGCGCCGCUCGUCCGCGUCUGGCCGCAUGGCGGGGCGGCCACCUACCUCCCACCAGCCAACAUCAAUGCGCACGGGCGGCCGGCCCCACCUGUCAUCGGCCCAGUGGAAGGUCGCCGUCCUUCUUAAAUGGGACCCGUGGACCGGUCGUCGUCCUCACUUUCCACUCCGGCCCCUCUCUGCCCCCUCGAAAGCCGACACGCCCAAACCCUAGCCACUCCCCGUCCUCGAACUCGCCGGCCGGCCGCAGCCAUGGGGCUAUGGAACUACGGCCGCAAAGGGAACCACGACCGCGAGGCCGGCUCCUCCUCGGGCCGCCGCCGCGGCUCCGUGAAGAAGGAGGAGCCCGUGUCACCGUCGCGCUCCUCCCGUCGAGCCCCCGCGCCGGCCCCCUUCACCAUCGCCCCUAGGCCCGCCGGCGAGCGCGACCGGCAGUACCUCUGCGCGGACGUGUGCCGGAGGUACUGGGAGACAAGGACGCCGGUCCCGUGGAGCGACGUCCACCUCCCCAACGGGUGGCACCUCAGCGCCGACCGGGUCCCGAUCCCGCCGGUGCCGAUGGGCGGCCGUGCGCGCCGCGAUGAGAUCGAGCGCCGCUGCCGCCUCCUCCCAGACGACAUGUACUACGACGACAGGUACGCCCCCGACUCCGUGCUCUGGGACACAUGGCUCCAGGACGAGCACGACACGCGCCGCGCGUCCUACUUCGUCGGCACGGUGUCGGGGCCGCGGCGGCCACGUCGAGAGGUGCGCGGGCGUACGCGGGUGCGCGGCCUCACGCCCACGCCAUCGCCUUCCCCGUCUCCGUCACCACCUCCACCUCCUCGCAUGACAGCGGAGGAGGAGGCCCGGCUCAUGCAGCGUGUCAUGGAGGACUCCAUAAACACGCACGACGAGCGCCAAUGGCACGGCUUGGAGGAGGCGAUGGCACUCUCUGCCGCCGGCGAUGUCACCUUCCCCGAGAUGGAGAUGGUGGCCGUCAAGGAGGAGGAGAGGAGGGAGGAGGCGAUGGAGGCGGAGCCGGUGGCCGCGUUCCACCCCGGCCUGGUGGGCCAGCAAUGGAGCUGGUCGUGCACCGCGCUGGAGAUGGCCGACGCCGUGGGGGGCGUGCACUGGCGCCCCACGCCGCCGCGGUCACCGGAGCGGGAGGCCUCGCCGCGGGAGGAGGUGGUGCAGGCACCUCCGGCCUUCCAGGCCGCACCUGUGUACCACGCGCCGCCGUCCCACCUCUGGACACCGCCGGCCUACGUCGACCUCGUCAGCGACGACGACGACAUCGGCGGCCACUGAAGACGGCGAGAGCCAUGGCAUCGACGGGCGCGGCUGGAGCGCGCGACGGCGUUUUUUAUUUUUUUUAUGUUAAUUAAGUCAAGUGAACUGCUAAACUGGGCCGUUUUGUGGCCGUGACCCCCGUAACUAAGUUUUAUGUUUAUUAAACUACGGUUAUUUACUUUUUUAGUCAUUUUAUUUACGUUUUUCUGUUUUUUUAAAUCAUGUCCAACGCGGACGUGAUUUGGCGUGCAGCCGCGCGGUGGGCGCACGCACGACCUAAGGCCAUCUCCACCGCGCGACCCUAUCCUGUCCGGCCUCGUCCGUUUGGGGUAAAAGGGACAAACCGAGCGGCCCAGCGCGCGGGAGCAAACGGACUUUUGUCCGUUUUGUGUCCGCUUUCGACCCAUCCCCGGCCCAAGUUUGCGCCGCUUUUGGGGUGAAACGGACACCACGUGGACGCGCCGGCCGUCUGCGCGUGUCCUCCCCUGGCCCGCCCAUCGGUGGCACAGGGCGGGCCUUUUUCUAUCCGCCCCCCUCCCUCCCUCCGGCCGCACCCCACUCCACUCUUCUCCACUCUUCCCUACUUUUUCCCUCGCCGCUGCUGCCAUUGCAGCCGUGCAGCUCGAACGCGCGCUCGCCGGAAGGCCCUGGCAACGCCGCAAGGCCACAUGCAGGCAGUGGCUCUUCCUCUAGCCGCUCGGAUCUGCACCGUCGGUGGUCCGCCGGCAGGUACACGAAUGGCGGCCGGCCGGGCUCGGUGCUUGCCCAAAAGCUCGUCGGCGCACCGUUGCCACUCAUUAAGUGUGACCACUGCCCAAGGAUGGUCGUGCGCCACGUGUCUACAACGCCGGAACAUCCCGGAUGGGUGUUCAUCAAGUGCUUAAACGAUGGGGUAUGUGCUCUUUUUAGCUUCGGUUUGUGCUCUCGGAUUAGACUAGUUGUGCUAACUUCAAAUUUUAUUGUGUAGAAUGGAUGCAAGUUUUGGUAUUGUGUCGUAGAAUUGUCACGGCAGAUGUCCUUAGUGUCAGGACUUAGUCGCGAGGCCAGCGCAUCUAUGUGGUAGCUUGAGAGGGGUUGGGCGGAAUCGAGAGACGCAACACAAGACAAGGAUUUAGACAGCUUCGGGCCCCGGGAAACAUCAUCCGGUAACAACCCUACAUGCUGUUUGAGGCUAGGUCUCAUUAUGAUCACGGGAGAGUUGCCGGGAAACGGCUCUCGGUGUCUAGCCCUAGAGAUCGUUUCUUGUCCUUUGGGGAGCCCUGCCCCUCCUUAUAUAAGUUAGAGGGGCGGGUUACAUGUGGAGUCCUAGUAGGACUAGGACUAGUCUAUCUUCUCUUACAAGUUAAUUACAAGUCCGGGUCUUGCUUCCUCGUAAAGGAAAUAUUCGUCAUCCCUUUCCUUUUAAUCCGGCCCAUCAUAACGUGAGCCGGCCUUCUGGGCUUUAGGCCUUGUUGUCCAUCUGACCCGCCCGCCGAGUUACUAAUGAGCCGCCAAGAUCGGGCAGGUUAUCUGUGAAUCGCCAAGCUCCGGGCGGGUCACCAGUGAGUCGCCAAUUCCGGCCGGGUCAUACCGCGGGGUAUAUCCCCGACAUUAGCCCCCAGUUUAAUUUUGAUUUAUCCAUGUUAAACUGAUCCUGUAAAAUAAACACAAGAACAAACUUGAUAGGUUGUGCUCCGGGUUAAAUUUUUGUAAGCCGGCACCUGAUCAUCUUUAAAUCCUUGUCAUUUCCUUCUUGAUACAUGCCCAUGAACUCAUAGCAAAUCUCCUUUAGUAGAUAUGUUCAAACUUUGUGAAUGCAAAAAAUCCAUAUACUUCUUUUGAAAAAUCCGGGUCAAUAGGCCAGCUUCAGAGUCAAUUUACUCGCAUUAGUCUCUUGUAGAGAAACAUUGUAAGAAAUAAUCCACUUGAAUCGGCUUCCAAAGCGCCGGCUUAAAACAUAUUGGUCUUGAAAUACUCAUCUGACUUUCAGUCAGCUUGAAGAGGUAAAACUUGCCGGUUUAUCAUAACCAAAAUUGCCGGCUUGUAAAUAUUGAUAGCACCGGGUCAUAACUGUUGCCGACGCCGGGUCAUAAUUAUUAGUGACACCGGAUCAUGAUUGUUGCAAACACCGGGUCAAUCUGAUCUGCUCAAAACUAAGAAUUUGAAUAUUUUCCCCCCUUAUAUGUAUAUCACCUGUAGCCCCUAAGUGUCGGGUUGUCAUGCUUGCAGCAAGCUGGGACUUGUAAUUGCCUUAUGCUCAUAAAACUUCAACCAGUGUAGCCCCCAAGGGCCGGUUCAUUAUGCAAUAAUGAGCAGGGACUUUGUAAAUAUGAUCAUGUAAACUGGAGCAGCAACGUGUAGCCCCCAAGGGCCGGCUCAGUAAGAUAUUACUGAGCUGGGACUUUGUAUAUAAUUCAUUGAUAAUAACAUCAUAUGAUGUAACCCCACCAUGGGGUUUGAACCCACGUCCAAAAGUUUAUGAGUCUUGUCCUCUACCAACUAAACAAUGAACCCUUCAAUAUAAUGGAUUAAGGCUUGUGUACCUUGAAUUUUUGACAGGAGCAAUUGGUAGUCCCCAAGGGCCGGCUCAUUUAGAAUAUGAUGAGUCGGGUCUUCAAUAAGUUGAGCAAAAAAUAACUUUGCAUUAGCCCCAAGUGCCAUGGUGCAUGCUGGCAGUGACAUGGGACUUGCAUAUUUGAUGUAAUCUCAAUUUAAAUAAUGUAGCCCCCAAGUGCCGGGUCGUAAGCCUGCAGUGACUCGGGACUAUUCUUUCCAUUGUAGAAUAAAUCAUAUCCAUUGAUAAAAUAAUAGCCAUUGCGCCAAAGCGACUUUGAAUACCUCAUCUGCUGAUAAGUCAAUCCGGAGUUUAAAUACCCGGCGGCUCUUGGCCGAUGGCGAUUUAAUACGCCUCCAUUGUAAGCAGGAAUUUGUACAACCCGGCGGCUUAUAGCCUUUAAGAAAAUCAAGAAUUGAUAACCCUUUUGAGACACCAAUUUCAAUCUAUGAUGAUGGGCUUGAAUUUAAUCAUUUAUGUAAGUCAUAGCUCUGUAAAUCCUGCAGAGUUUAAACAACAUAUGCCCUGGCGACUUAACGUCAAAAACCAGGGCGGGUAACCACCCAAAUGUAGUCUUAUCCUGCACAUAAUUAGAUCACAAGAUCCCUUGGCGGUUUACCGCAGGGCGGGUCAUAAUAUCUCACAUAUAACCAUUGAUGUGUAACAAGGAGUCAUAGAUAAGCCUGUUAUGAAUCAUAACUUUGAAACAUAACUAUAAUAAUAAUAUUAUACCUGUGAUAUUGAAUUUUCACUGCCGGUUUAUGUGACAUGUGCAGUAAGGGUGAUAACCCAAUCUUUAGAAAUCAAGACUUCCAAAUGUUUAUGAUUGUCAUAUGAUGGCGACUUAUCAUCCAAAGUCAAACUGGGUUAAAUAGCAACCACUCAUAUACACUUUAGAUAUGAUCAAAAGAGCUUCAAAUAAAAUCCAAAAAUUGUUUGCAAAAAGAGACUUCAAAAAAUUUGAGGCUUCUGAUUCGAAUACGAUCAGAAAACCGUCCCAAAGGGGUUAAGCUAAUAUUCGAAUACGAUCAUAUAGCCCCCAGUGGCUUUGGCGUUGCCGAUCAAGAGGGUACCGACAGCUAUGUUCUCUUUGGUUCGAAUACGACCUAUGUUUGAACAGGAAGCCCCCAAAUGACCUUGAGAGUUGUUUAACGACACUGGUUCGAAUACGAUCCAAGUCGGUUCCCAAAAGGGGUUGAGCUAUGAUUCGAAUACGAUCAAGAAGCCCCCUAGUGAGCUCGGCAGUGUGCCAAUCAAGAGGGUACCGACAACUAUGUUCUCUUUGGUUCGAAUACGACCUAUGUUUGAACAGGAAGCCCCCUAGUGAUCAUGAGAAUAUUUAACGACUCUGAUUCGAAUACGAUCAGGGUCACACCUAAAGGGUUAAGCUAAAUUCGAAUACGAUCAGCUCCCAAUGGUCAUUAAAGCAGGGUACCUAUGUUUGGGUUGUGCUUUGUAACAGACUCCUUUUGGUCCCUUUAAUUUUUCCUGAGAACUCGAACUUUUGCGAGAAUAAAUUCUUUUUGAACCAGAAAACCCGGAUAUUGAGAGUUUCAAAGCUUUGUGAUAAACAAAUUUACCUUGAACCAGAUUUGAGAGCUUCAAAACUUUGUAGCAGAUAAAUUUCCCUUGAACCGGAUUUUAAACCGGAUAUUUAAGAGCUUCAGUGCUUUGUGGGAGAUGUCAAGUCGCUUGAGCCGGAUCUAAACCGGAAUCCUUCUUUUUAAACCAGAAAUUUUCUGAUGGCCUUUAAACUUUUUACCAAUAUGGCGGUAGCCUCCGGGACCGGGUUAUUUUUCCCUCCAAUGACCCGGAGUUCUUGAAUGCAUUGAAACCGACCAAUGCUGCCGAGUCAUAUCAUUGUAGCCCCCGAGUCUCAAGAUGACUCGAGGAGUUGGCUUUGAGAUUCUCCAUAUUGACCAUAGCAUAAGGUGUAUAUCAUUGGUGUUGAUAGCGCGAUGUGAAUCCACAGAAGGUUGAGGUGACUGCGGCGGGUUAUAAAUGAUCCCGUAUGAGCCGUGUCAGCAACUCGGCCAAUGGUUCCUUCCAACUAGAUGUUUGAAGUUAACCAAACUGUAGUGGCGGCGACUUGUGCGCCUGCCCAUUGAGCCAUCCAGUGCAGACGGUGGCUGAUAAUACAUGAUAAUUUGCCUCCAAUUUGUCGGAAGAAAACCGGGCUACCCAAGCAGUGACUUGCUCAUACUCAAUAAUCAGCUCAUGCAAACAGGUGUGGCCCGGUAUGUUUAUAUAGAUCAGGCCGCGAGAGACAGAUGGUAAAGACGACCGUAGCAUCAGAGGCGGUACAGACAGACGAGUCGGUCGCGGCAUUGUAAGCCGGCGCGGACGGACGAGUCAACCACGUUAUGUUGAUGUAGUGAACAAUUGUCCUGCAUCAAAAACAUCGCAAACCAGAGUAAUUGUUCUUUGACAAAAAAAUGUAUGCUAAUAAACUUAAACGGAUAAAUAUCACCUGAUUAUUCGGAUGACAGGUGAUUCGUUCAACGCAACAGAGGCGGCUCGGGCAGACCGACGGCUCAAUAUAGCCCGUGUGGCUCAACACGGCAGAGGCGGCUCAACGCAGCCCCGGCGGCUCAACACAGCAGCGAAACGGAGGCAUAAUCAUGGUGGCGGCUCAGAAACUGCAGCGGAAGUGCGUUUGAGACGGCGCAGGCGGCGACUGGAACUACUUGAGACGGACGCGAGCCGACCCGGGGGCAGGCGGCGGCCCAUCGUGUGACGGCGGCUCUCCGGCGGUAUAGUAACCUGGCGAUGACGGCUUGAAGCAAAGCGGCUCGCCAGAGGUCUUGGUUGGUGUUUGUGAGCCGGCCACGGCAGCCAGGUUGACAGCAGCGGGCGGGUCAGCAGCGGAAACCGGUGAAGGCGUCGGCGGCUCAAUGCGCGGUCAUGGAGACGCCGAGACGGUAACUGGCAGCCCGGCAAUUUUCCUGAUUCACCCGACGAUAGAUGAUUAGUUCUGCGCAUGUCGCCGGACUUGUCCCAGUCAUAGCACCCUUUUUUUUAAACGUCCUUUGACUCUUAGUUCUUUUUCACACAGCCCGCCCACAUCCCAUCUCCUUUUUAUCAGUCGAACAACCGGACCCGUGAAGGCCGCAGAAUCGGGGGCGGCGGCUCAGCGACUCGUAGGCAUGCGCGAGUAGAAAAGGUAGCGAGCCGGUGUGGCGCGCCGGAGCUGGCCGGGGCAGCGACUUAAAGCAGAGGCAGUGCGGGUUGGUGGUGUGCGGGCAAGGCAGAAGCGGCCUAGAGUCCAACGGCAGCUCGACCACGGCGGAGUUGGAGUGCGGCCAGGGUGGCUUGACCGAAGCGAAACAAGACCAGGGCGACUUGGAGGUGAGCACGGCGGCAGUUCUGGCAAUGGCGGGUGACUCGCGGCACAGACGGAGCUAGCAGGCGGAUGGCGGCCUGGAGCAGAACAAGGCGGGUCCGCGGUGGCGGUUUAUCAUUAGCAGCGUGAGGCGACUUGGGGGCGCCGGGCGAAACGGUGUAGCGGUGCAACUUCUGCUAUGCUGUCUUUAGUAUCUCACGCGCGGCUAACUUGUACCAACAAGCUUCUGUCUUAGGAUCAGUACGUGGAAGCAAAAUUCCAUGGGUGAUGCCUUCCACGUGAGCCACAAAUGAUCUUUGCUUUGGAACUUGUGUUUUGGGUAGUCCUAGUACUAACCCUUCACACUGCCAUCAAUUGAUUCUGACUUCAUCUGCUGGUACUCGGAGAAAUUGGAUUGCUAAUGGCAGUACAUGAACGUCGCUGUUUUUUCUUCAAAACAAUCCAAAGGUUCUGAUUUUGUGCUGUAAAUUGUGCAAUAUUGAUACGAAACCGAGUUGGGAAGUACUCCCGCAUACAGCCCGCAGGGAAAACAAACCUGCCAAAAAUAUUCACGCCGAGUCACGGUCUCACGGAAGUUGUCGGACGCUGGGUGGCUAGUACUUUGAGCCAAUAUGCUACUACUCGAGCAAAAAAGGUUAUGGCUGUCAUCAAACUUUAUACGCGCCAUUGAGUGAGCGUAGCAGAUGAUCACGCUGAUGCUCCGAAUUGGAUUUGAACACGGACUACGGUGUAGGUCUCGGCGACUUGUCCCUCGUAUCAACUGAUCUCAGAUGCGAGACUUCAACCUGCAGCGGCAACGGAAAUUAACCCGGCCUCGACGGAUCAUCUGGUCACGUGCGCUUGCACAAAAACGCAACUCUAACUUUCUCUUGAUCUUAAAUCUUGUAUAUCUUAUCUUGACUGUUCUUCGACGAUGUUAUCUUCUGCACCGGCUCUUUUUCAUCCGGCACAUCGCAAGCUUCUUGAUCCCUGGAGAAAGCCCUUCAAGAACUCAACGCCAUCGUGCGCAAGCCCCACGGUGGGCGCCAACUGUCGUAGAAUUGUCACGGCAGAUGUCCUUAGUGUCAGGACUUAGUCGCGAGGCCAGCGCAUCUAUGUGGUAGCUUGAGAGGGGUUGGGCGGAAUCGAGAGACGCAACACAAGACAAGGAUUUAGACAGCUUCGGGCCCCGGGAAACAUCAUCCGGUAACAACCCUACAGGCUGUUUGAGGCUAGGUCUCAUUAUGAUCACGGGAGAGUCGCCGGGAACCGGCUCUCGGUGUCUAGCCCUAGAGAUCGUUUCUUGUCCUUUGAGGAGCCCCGCCCCUCCUUAUAUAAGUUAGAGGGGCGGGUUACGUGUGGAGUCCUAGUAGGACUAGGACUAGUCUAUCUUCUCUUACAAGUUAAUUACAAGUCCGGGUCUUGCUUCCUCGUAAAGGAAAUAUUCGUCAUCCCUUUCCUUUUAAUCCGGCCCAUCAUAACGUGAGCCGGCCUUCUGGGCUUUAGGCCUUGUUGUCCAUCUGACCCGCCCGCCGGGUUACUAAUGAGUCGCCAAGAUCGGGCAGGUUAUCUGUGAAUCGCCAAGCUCCGGGCGGGUCAUCAGUGAGUCGCCAAUUCCGGCCGGGUCAUACCGCGGGGUAUAUCCCCGACAUAUUGGGAAGAAGAGUACAUCGAUAUACUGAUAGAGCGAAAUUUAGUACAUGUUCGUGCACUUUUAGCUAGCAUAGAGGCUGUAGAUGAGACAAGUGCACUUGUUGCUAGAUUAGAGGCUAGACAUGAGAUUAGGUGUGAGGAAGCAACAUCGACUUCUGGCUUGAAGAAGAAAGGAGGGUGCAACAUCGAGCCUCCUCCACAGAUCAACAAUGAGUGCAUCGAGAAGGCCCUAACCCAACUCAAGGGAGCAGUUAUGGAAGUUGGGUAUCUUCUAAAAUGUAUUCUUGUUGUUCUUAUUUUCUUUGGCCUUGCUUUACUAGUCAAAAUGUGAUGAUGUAUUGUCAUGUACCAAAAAUGAAUGAUAAAAAAAAGUUAAGGACUUGCAAAGAAAAAUGCACGCGGACAGGAUGCGGCCGGGAUGCGUCCGCGCGCUGGGCGCACGGCCACCGCAUCUCAGGACACGCCCGGACACGACCUCAAAUCCCUACCCAAACGGACAGAAUCCGGACAAAAUAGACGUCCGUUUGGGGUCGCGCGGUGGAGUUGGCCUAACGGACAAGACCGAAUACGGGCGAACCCAUCAGCGCCUCAAAGGGACAAAAUCCGGCCGAACCGGACGUCCAUUUGGGGUCGUGCGGUGGAGUUGACCUGACGUACGCGAGCAGGUAAAAACCCAAGCCAAACGGGCACCAACACCAAGCCUGUCGCUGCCGCACGCGCAGGCGCAGCGGACAGCGGUCCGCGCACGGUCCUGCCCCUGCGCCCUCGUCCCCUCCGCUAUAUAUGCCAUCCCCGGCACCGGCCACUCAAAAUCCCCAGACUUUCCAAGCCCAAAAUCAAAAUCCCACCUCUCUCCGAUCCCCCCUUCUUCCUCCUCUCGUUUCGUUUCUUGCGGCCGAGGGGAUCGUCGAUCGAUCCAUGGCAACAAUGGGCGUGGGCGGAGCGGUGAAGAUGAUCAUCGGGGCGAAGGAGGAGCGGGUGGUGGCCACGGGCAAGGCGCCCGGCGCUUGCCCGUCCUGCGGCGGCCCCGUGGUGGCGACCGACGUGGAGAGCGAGCGGCGCAUCCUCUGCCUCCCGCUGUGCCUCAAGAGCAAGCGCAAGUACUACUGCACCAGGUGCUUCCGCCGCCUCGUCACCGUCUACAGCUAGUAGCUCAUCAAGCCUCUCCUCAUGCCGAUCCAUCCAUCCAUCCAUCGAUCAACUAGCGUGCGGAGUUCUUUGGUUCUUAGUUGGCCGUGGUUACGGCCCUAGAGUAGCUUGCUAGCCUGGCUAAUGUAAUGUAAUGGUGAUUCUGAGUUAAUUCUUCUAUAUCUAGCUUAUUUGGUGGGCGUGCAUCCCGUGAAGGGCUGCAAAACUGGCACUCUGCUGUGUCUUGCAGCAACCUCUGGCGGUGCACCUCCGCGUUAAUGCGCAGGCCAGUAAUGGAAACCUGGAACGCGCCAGCUCCUCCUUCCUGAUUAAGUUUUUUUUUGAGUAAUCCUUCUUGAUUAAGUUUUUUUGAGAUAUUCCUUCUUGGUUAAGUAGAUGGUGUAAUUAACGCACGGC
rnacentral:lncRNA from 1 species